UUCUUUUUACCAAUAAGUAUUAUGAAAAAUAAAUUUGACUGCGGUAAGAAGAUGGGUUAUAUUAUAAAUACAACGAAUGUAAAAAAGCCAAAGGCAAGCUAUCCGAGUCUGUAUCAAUUGAAACAGAUCGAAUGCUAUAAUUGCAUUAGUUCAUAAAUGGACAUGCAAUAUUGAUCGUCCAUAUUAAUAUGGAUAUGAAAAUUGCUUUUCUCAAUGAGAUUUUAGUCUUUGUAGAAUAACUUUAAAAAGGCUAGGAUAAGACCUCAGCAUUGCUCAAGUCCAGAAGAUUAUGUCAUUGCUUAAGUCCAGAAGAUUAUGUAUGAAAUUUUAUAACAAGAAGCAUGGAGAGCAAAUUCAUAUUACAUCAGAAAAUCUUGGGAGAAUACACACUUGCCAAACAAAAGUUGAUUAAUUUGAUAGCUUGACUCAAGUGAAAACAAAUAAAACCCAUGGCCAAGUUACUCCCCCAAGGAGUUAUUGCAUCUCUAUAUAAGCUCAUCAGCCUCUCCUCUUCUGCCAAUAUCUUUCUUUGUUUCUGCAUUCCUUCCCUUGUUGAUCAAGAUCAUGGCACGUCCUUCCGAUCUUGAUCCUCGGGGUCUUGAUGAAGAUCUUGUGCUCGUUUCUUAAGAAUUCCCUUCAAGUGGUCACAGAUCAUCAGCUGCGGAGUCGGUAGCAAAGAGGCCGGUGACUCUCCAACGGCGCUGUCACUAUCUAUCAUGGGCCGUCCCUUUAUCAUAUCAACUUCCCCCUCUUCGUUCAUCAUCACCAUGUUACAUGGAAGCUUCCCGGCGUAAAAUUUUCUAUCAUUCUUUUGAUGCCUGUACAGAGAGAUCCCAUUAAAGUACUAGCUAAAAUUUGACAAAUAGUAUAUACUGACCAAAGUUUCAUUUUGAUUAACUAUCUUAUCAGUCGUUUUGAUUCUCAUACUUUGAGAUGUAUGCCUAGCAAGGACGUAACCUAACUUGUAUUAAGAUUUUUUGUUACAAUUGGUUCUUUAUGGACGAAAAUUUGUCUAAAUAACAAAGUAGUCUUUCCGGUAAAAGUGUGUCCGAAGGAAAACCCUAGCUUUUGUUAAUCCUAACCCAUCACCUUCUAUGAAAAUCUUAACAGAAGUUAGGCUCCAUCCUUAUUGGACAUACUUCUCAAAAUCUGAAGAACUAAAUAACUGAAUAAUGUCGAAAUCUUUCACUGUAAUGCAUGGUAUACCUAUCGAAGACCACCCAUGUCGCAUGAAGGGUUGUAAUUUGCUCAACAACCAGCAGCCGUGAGGGAUAACCCAUUAUAACUUUCUUCUGGGGAAAAACCUGCAAUUAACAUUCCAUACACAUGCAGAAUGUUAGACGAGCAUAAGUAUAUAUAUAUAUAUAUAUAGAGCUCCAUCGUUAACUAUACCCCAUAUUUGUUGCAAAGGUCCACCACUUUUUGAAGCUUUAGAUAUUUGAGGUCGCUUUUCCACUCAUUUUUCUCUUUGACAAAUGACAAUUCUUCUAGUCCCACCGGCCAAACAUCCAGCCAUGUCUUGGAAGAGACUGCACAUUUACAAUCACCACCCAAGUAUUCCAUUUUAUAUACGAAGCAAAACCUUGUUUGGAUUAAAGUAAAUAGCCAGCUAUAGAAGCAUGACAUGUAAAUAAAAUCAAGGAAAAUUCUAGAGAACUUCGUCUUUUUAUGUCAUUUGUGUGUAAUUCCAUGAAAUAUUGAAUAAUCAAUUGUAAAUUAACACAUCAACACCUACACUAUGUGGUCUAAUUAAAAAUCCAAUACCCUUAAGCUUUUGGGGUGGCCGAAGUACUAGAGAGGGUGAGUAGGGAAAUGAGUUAGGAUUAGGCUAGGUCAAUGGUUCGAUUUCCUUCCACUAUAUAGCGUUAGGCGAUUUUUGUGGUGCAGGCUUGUUUUAUUACGUACUCAACUAGAAUUAAAAGCUCAAGAUUGCCAUGCAUUUAGAUCACUCAUAUGCAUAUACUAAAGAUUAAUGGAUUGAGGAUACUAGAAUCACAGUACUCACGGGGAAUAUUAAGCCAUGGCAUGACACCAAGAAGAGUGACAGUAGAGCCAGCGUUGAUUACAUUCUCAAGGGCCCAUUCAAGCGGCUCCGUCGUGAACUCUUUCAUCCCAUCCAUGACGAUGAGCACAUGUUUUGUAAUGUUCAUCGACUCUGAUGACCCGUUCGGCAUACGAUAUGUUGCCAGUGCUCUGUUGUUCCAGCUGACAACCGAUUGUCGCAUUAUUAUUUUCUUCUUCUUCCCUCCUCUUUUGAAGAAAACAACCAUAUUAUGUAAAAGUUAACAAUUUUUUUAAAACUUUACUAAGCCGGCUUAGUUCUUGUGCCAAUCUUCAACAUAGAGAGAAGAAAAAAAAAAAUUGAUCAAGUACCGAAAUCGGAAUUGUUACAAGGGCUCAACAUUUCUUAAAUAGAUCCCAACUUUGUCAUGAGGGAAAAACUAAACUCAGGGAUUGAUCAAACCGAGGAGUGUACAUAGUUAUAGUACUUUGACACAAACAAAGAUACGUUGGCAAUCUACUGUCAUGCCUAGGAGUAUAGGAUUUCACAAAUUUUGGUUUUCCCUAGAUUAAUAUAAGAUGCUCAUUCCUAAAUCUUAUCUCCAACCUCUAACCUAAUUGACUAAUUGAUGAGCCGGGGCCUAUUGUUACUAGGAAGUUGUAGGCUCACCAACAAUUAUUAUAGUGAUCAUGUCAAAGUCUUUGUCCUGUUCUUUUUCAUGUUUCGAGCAUACGCAUGUGUCUUCUCCUUUGUGGAUUUUAUGUUGGAUACCGAUGACAACUUUCAUUGGUUGGCCAAAGCACCAAUAGUUUUCUUUUCUUAUCCAAAUUGCAACAUUACUCCAAGAGAAGUAACGUCAAGCCCAGUUAUCUAGUUUUUUUCUUCUUCUUGUUUUGCAUACUCAACCUAAGCAUUUUGUAUUAGUAAUAAUGCUACAAAGCACUAUAUUUUGUUUUAGAAAUUGCACCCGAAUUAACGAGUGCAGAUGACAACUUUUUUGGUGUGUUAAUAACAGCUCCCUAGUUUAAAGGGUUAGUAUUAAGGCUUUAUGGGUGAAACAAGAAAUCAAUAUAAUCGAUGCUAAGAAGCUAGAACUGGUGUGUAUGAUUGGCAUGAAAAUGGGUAUGUAACACAAGCAGAUUCAUUUCACAUGCUGGUGGUAUAUGACUACAAAAGUGUUUUCUGCUUCUUUUAUUAGAAAACUUGAGCACAUAUCGAGAGUUGUUUUUGACCUUCUUUAAACAACAAUAAUAAGAGUGCUAGUAUAAUACUGCAAUAGCAAAAUUAGUUACGUUUACAUUCUCUAAGACCAAACCUUUGUGUGUAAGCAUUAAAGUGGUUUGGAGUCCAAUAAUGGUGAGUGUCGAGUUCACAUGCCGUUCAAGAAUGAACAAGUUACCUUAUGGAAAAUCAUUCCCUCCUUCCCUCCUUCCCUCCUUCCCUUGUAAGUAGAAACUCCUACAUUCCUACCAAUAACAAUAUGAUAUGUGUAGAAGUUUUUCUUUUUGUGUUUGUAGACAUAGAAAUUUUAGUGAAUUAAAAAUUCACUAAUUUACUUUCAAUAGUCAAAAUUCAAAAUUUGGCUAGUCAAAGAUAACUAGAAAAUAUGUGGAUCCCACACAAAUACACGUGGCACAUGACUCACGCAGACAAAGGUGUGCACCGGAGAUGACACAUGUUAGCAUCUAAGAGCUUCAUCAAUCCAAUGAAAUCAUAUGCCAAAAAGGAAUAAAUUAUCCUUAUUUGGUCAUCUUCCUAAAUCACGAGUUAAUUUCCCUAAAUGAAAGAUUUUGACGUAAUUAACAUCUAAAGUAAAUCAAUUAGCUCAAAUUAAAUCAAAUUAGAAAUCAAUCCCACAAAUCAAGGGAUUCAGAUUGGGGAUUCCAAACCAAGACCCAAUUCUUUUCCUAUAAAUACUAGGCUCAUAUUCGCGAGAAAGGACCUUCACCUCACUUUGUUUCAUUUUGGCUCAAUUUGGGAGUUUUUGUUUGAUUUGGGUUUAAUCGAGCCCAGUCAACCGGCCCACUCUGAUACCAUGUUAAAACUUCAGAGGGACGAACUUUUGGCCCAUCACUAACAAUAUUGAUAUUGUCCCCAACUUAACCACCUGUUUAGCAGGUGUAUGGUUUGUACAAAAAUUCUCAAUGUUAUUAGAAGUGAAACCAUUUAUUAUAUGGAACUUUCUAUUUUGUUAAGUUUCCGAUGCGGGACUCGUGUUCUUGUCUCAUUUGUCGCAAGAUUUUCGUUUUUACAGUGUUCUUGAUGAAUUAUUUUUGCACAUGUGUCAAACUGUGAUUUGCAAGCCCGAUGUCAAAGUUUCAAUGGCUAUCCAAGUCAUGAUUGCCUUUAGGAAAGGUAAGUGGUUAGUUCCAUACAUGUUACUUAUGUCAUCCCUCUUAUUCUUUGAGAUUUCUUGUGAGAUUUCUAUGCGUUUGAAUCUGUAUCUCCUCCAUACACUUAGGGUUCCGUUUGAAUAUAUUCAAUUCUCCAAACCUCCAAUCAUAUUCACAUUGUGACUUGGAAACAAGUGGUUGGUGAACUUCUGCCUCAAGGCUAUUGAUAAACAUGGCUUAGUUUCGUGCCGCCAUUGAGAAGAUGAGGGGAUCAAGUCUGCAGGUGGAUAAGUAGCAAGAGUGUGGACUAGGUCCUGCAAUAUUUUGAUUGAUUGAUUUCUAGUUUUUUGAAACCCAAUAUGAAACUUGUGAUUAGUUGGUAAAUUGAUGAAAUUAGAGGUCAAUAUAAUUGUUUAUUUGAUAGAUAGUAGAUAGCUUUUGGCCCCUUUUAAGGAAAUCCUCUCACUGAAUAAAACAAAAGAAAAUUGGAUUGCUAGCUUUCUAUUCAUGUGACCCAAGAAUUUCGCUAUUUUGAUUUUGCUAGUGCUUGGUAUGGCAUGGCAACAGAUAAUUCAGAAUCUAAAUAGGUCCAGUCCAGGGGCAAAUCAAUAGGAAAUGCUAUUUGCUUUGUAAGAAUAAGAAUAAACUUCAAUGAAAUGAAAGAGUUUCGUAGGGAUUGUCUUAAUCAUCAGAUAUCAUUGAGAAAUAACAAGUGUUAUCGAACGAUUUCUUACAAUUCUUCCCAGUAUGGAACCGAUAACAGAAAAUGUUGCAAGGUCACUCGUGCAAGCAAAACCAUAUAUACUCCAAAAGAGGUUGUCGCAAUUGAAACAGUAAUUCAUUCCACAAGUAAGCAGAAAAAUUUUUGGCAAAAGAAAUAAAAAGAUGCCAGAUAAAAUAUAUGAACAAACUCCUCUUCUAUUUUUCUGUUCAAAUGAAAUAUUUGAACAAGCUCAUCUUUUACAUUUGCGGCUGAGCUAGAGAAAGCUUUAGCAAGCAGAAACCUGGAACAGCUCACCGUAAUGCCGCCGCCACAGGACGCAUAGAUUUAUGACUACCACCAGGAGGGCUGACCUUUUUGCAUGGUGAUGAUCCCACUCUCUUCCUUCUCUUGUUCGAAGAACCUUCACUUUGAGGCCCGACCAUGGCAGCAAGAAGUUGGCUUCCCCUGUCCCUUGUCAAACUCUUUUUUGAAAGAUAUCUGAAAGCUUCAAUUCUCUUUGAAUCAUCUACAUCAUUGUUGGAAGGUCUUUUACAGAGCGCAUUGUCUGCUGACUUCAAAUGAUCACUUCGAAUAAUAUUGUUCAAUGAUCUUUUGCAGGCCACAUUGUCCACUGACUUGGAAUGAUCGCGCGGAAGACAAUAUAUUGGCUCUGAAAAAUUCAAUUCGACCUCAUUAAGUUAGUUGCAUUCAUAAAUUUCAAGGGAAAGGUAAUAAAAUCUUUUGAUCAGAGUGUAUUUGCUUACCUGGAGACUCAAAAGAAGGCAGAUCAGGACUAGGAGAUCUGGGUGGUGUCAUAGGAUGGAGAUAAACUUUAGGAGACCUUUUAUGGCACCUAUUUCCACCAAGAGACGAUGUACUACAUAUAUUCUCAUUGUUGUGUGAUUUUCCAUCAAAGGAGUUACUUGCCCUCCCUGGAGUUGAAGCAUCAAUCACAGCAGCACUAUCUUUAGUCUCCUUGGAACAACCAUCGGCUGCAUCUCUAGUGUCAAUGACCUCAACCUCUUCACAUCUUGCUCGAGGCAACGAAAGAGUAAUUCUCUCAUGAGCAUCUCCGGGUUCAUUGGCAACACAACAAUCAACAUUGUUUACACUAGGAGAUAAAAUACUGACACUCUCGACAUUCUCUAGGACUGACUUAGGUGAUGUAUUCGUCAUAGCUGGAUCCAAGCAUGGCUUUAGUGAUUCCACUAUGCUAGAAAACCAAGGAGUACCCUGCCUUGCAUAGAACAGAAUGUAGGCCUCCUGUGACAGAACAAAUUCUUCUUGAACCCUAGUGACCUACAAAAAUAACAGUGGAACUUUUAGUGUAAAUCUUAAUACUACUAUAUUUGAGGGUAAAACCUGAUGGAAACAAUCCAAUUACCAUAGAUCAUCAUUACCGUUUAUUGCAUGUAAACAUACAACAAGAACAAAGAUCAUAUCAUAAAGAUCGUUUAUACAAAAACAAAUGAAAGAAGCCAUGAAUGGCAAGACAAUCACUUCCACACACCAGCUUCACAAGAAUUACAAAGUCAUGCAGAUAAAACAGUUACAAUGAAUUGUUUAUUACGGAAUGCAUAAAGAAAAUAAUUACCUUUGAGUCAUCCAACCUAUGCCAUGUAUCUGGAGAUGACCGAAUGAAGCAAAAGUAAUGUCCAGAAGUAGAUGAGAACCCAACAUGCUCCACAAUUGCAUAAAGUUCAUACUUCAAUUCCACCUAUUGCCAAGAAACAGGAAAUUAGAACUAGAGAGACCACACCAUUCUUUUUCUUGAUUAAAAUUGGAGGGAAUCGAAUCUUGGAUCUACCCUAAUCCUAACCCAUUACCCCACCAUUUACAGAUAACCCCCAAGGGCUUGAGAAACAACAGCCAUUUAAACAUAGCUAAAACACAAACAUGACAUUCAGCUAACCUUCAUUUUUAGAUCAUUUAACCAUUAUCAUGUGUUAAAAAAACCUUGCAUUUCUUAUAAGUUAUAACUGAUACCAAUUUGAUUAUGAAGAAACUAAAGGCAGCAAUCACAUUACUGUUGGUCCCACUGGUUGACUAAUAGUCCAAAUCCGAAGGAAAAUCAACAUAUUCUGUGUAAAAAAUAAUUAUAAUAAUAAUAAGCAGCAACUCACAUUAUUGUCACUGCCACUGGUGUAGGGCUUCAAGUCCAACUCCAAAGGAAAUUCUACAUGUUUUUCAAUCUUCUCAACAUGAGAUCCAUCAGUCUUAAAUCUCUUCAGAUGAAAUGCAGCAACUGGAGGGGCCUGGUCCACCACAAGCUGCUUCUCCACUGAUACUUCUUCCUUGCAGUUCUCACAUGUAAACUUUGUCUCCAAGUCAUUGAUAGUUUCUAUCUUAGUGAAGGACUCCAGGGCCCUUUGGAGAGUCUCUGCAUCUUCAAUCUCCAAACUCAGAUCAAUCAGAGGUUCGUAAGUGUCAGAACAGUGACCACAAUUGCAACAUCGAAGCUGAAAGUAAUUCAUACACACAAAAAUCAAUAAGAAUUAUAAUAAAAUAUUGAUUUUCCAUCAAAUUUAACCAUAGCAGAAUGAAUCAUGGCAAUCAGAUAUGGAGUCAUACUUUGCUUAGGAGACGACCACCAAAAACCCUUUCCACAAGAUUAUGGUCUUGGGCAGAUGGACUCUCCUUUUCCAACGAAUCCAAACAAGAUUUCUCAAGUUUGUCUAAGAAGCAUUGCAAGAACUCAUGGGCAUCUUCUUGCUGGUAUCUUUGGAAGAAAGAUGAGAAAUCUAGUAGCAUGAGGGUUAAGAAUCACAUUCGGAUGUAAACUUCUCAGGGUAAAACUACAGAAUUUUCAAAGCUUCAGGUAGAAUUACAUAUUUCACAACAAAAAUUAGUGCAACUGCUCAAUCAAAAUCAAUCACUUGUAGGGGCUUCAUAAGUUACUCUCUUUUUUUCAUUCAAAACAAAGAAAAGAACAAUCACAAUCACAAUUUUAUGCCCAGAAAUCUCAACACGUAUGAUCAAAAGGAUACGAUUCAAAUUGUCGACAAGUUUCCAUGGUGAAAUAACUCUUCCUGAAGAGGCUACUGAAAGAUCAACAUGGUCGUGAAGAGCACAAAGAACACAGAAUCCUUCACUACCACCUACACAAUCCCAAUUUCAGAUUUUAAAUUAGUACAUUUAUUAAGAAAUCAGCAAAACUAACUAGCUGCAUAAAGCUUCCAACAAUUAAGAAAAAUAUCAGAUAAGAACAUAAAGCAAACGCAAUAGAAACCAAGGCCUUACGAUCACAGGGCAUGGAAUGACUGCAAGAAUGAAGACCCUCCACGAGUGGCACAGUGUGCGUGAAGCAUUGCAGAAUUGCAUUCAUAAAGCAUGUGUUGCCUAGAUUUGCAAGCCCUGCACCCUGCAACACCAAAACGACAACAAAACUUAACAUCCCAAAAUUACUUAGACUAAAAUUAAACGCAAAAUGAAUAAUAAUUAUAAUUUUUAAUGUAAAAUAAAUGCAAAGUUUCAAACAGGUUCAAAGCAAAGGGGCAUACCACCAUAGAGGGCUUUGUUUCACAUAUUGAAAACUGGGAAUCCGAGGAAAUCACUGAUUCCUUGGUAGAAUUCGACGACCACCGAGAAGACCAAGAAGGUGCGGAAGACGACCACCGCGAUAGUCCUGAAGACUCCGAAUGUGGAUCCGAUUCAUAAUUUGAUAAAUCGUUACCAACAAUUUUGAGAGGCGAAGGCGGUGAUGGUUCAUCUUCUUGGCCUUCUUCAACAGAUGGUGAAGACCCAGUUGGGUUUGGCAAAGAAGAAUCCGAAGCCAUAUCGUCUAGGGCUUUGAGAGGUGAAGAUGGCGAAGACCCAUUUGCAUUUUCUGCGAUAGAAACCAAAGCAUGGUCAUCUACGGCUUCCUUUUGUGAAAAUGGCGAAGACCCAUCUAGGGUUUCUGCAAGAGCAGGCAUUAAAGCUGGAGAGGUUGAAUUUCCCACUUGGGUCUUCGUGAGAAGUGAGUCUGGAGGCAAAAGGUUGGCUUCUGAGAGAUGAAUUUUCCACUGAAGCUCUUGAGAUUCUAGAAAUGGGCUUUUCAACGAACUGAAAAUUGAAUCUGAAAUUGGAAUUUGGGGUUGGCUCCACGAAUUAGGAGGGAAAUGGGGAUUUGGGUUUUGAGAAUUUUGCUUUUAAAAUAUUUUUGGGGGUUUCGGGAAGUUGAAGCUGUCGGUUGAAAGGAGGGAAAGGCGAAAAAAAGUGUUUCGAAAAUUUUUGGGUUUUGGAAAAGGAGGGAAAACUCCAAAGUCUCCUCCAAUUUGGUACCAAAGUUCAGAAAAGAGAGGGAAGAGAGAGACGGGAAAGAUGUCGUUUUUCUUUAUUUUCAGAAGUUUCAUGUGUUUUUUUUUUCUUGGUUGAAAAAAGAAGUUGCAUGUUAUGUUAGUGUAGUGAAAUAUGGGUGAGGAAAAUUACAAUUAAUUGGUAACAAAGGGGCUCAUUUGUAGGAUUUCGUAAGUUUUGAUAUCCGUUUGUAGGGUCUUACAAGUUCAUGUAUGAAUUUGAAAUGAUACCCAAAAUUUGGUGUUUUAUGUAAUUGAUCUUAGAAUAUAUUAGGAAAUAAAGAUAUUUAUUAAAUGAGAGUAAUAUAGUAAAUUAAUAGUUUUUAAUAUUAAAAAGAUAUAUAAAAUAAAAUAAAAAAGGAGAACAUGGGUCCUAUUUUCAUGGACACAAAUAGACCCAUUUUCUCUUUUUUAAUUUUAAAUUAAAACAAUAAGAAUAAAUAAUAAAUAAACGCAAUUGGCACUCUUGAGCAUGUGCUCAAGAGCUAGUAUGUGUAUUAUUUUUUAUUAUUUUUAGAAUAGCUAGAAUGUGUAUUAAACAUGGCGAUUUUAAAAUAUAUAUAUAUAUAUGUCGCCAUAUUUUUUUGAAGUGCAUGGAAAAAUGAAGUAUUUUUUUAGCAAUACAUACAUCUAUCUAUCUAUCUAUCUAUAUAUAUAAAGCAAAAGGCAGAGAAUGGUGAAACAUUCAAAAUACCAAAAAAUGCCCUUGGUUAAUGCAAACAUUAAGAAUUGAAAUUAUUAAUUAAAUGAGGAUAAUAUGGUAAAUUCACAAUUUUUUGUAUUAAAAAAUUAAAAUUAAAAGAAAAUUCAGAUAAUGGGUCCUAUUUUUAUGGAACACAAAUAUCCAUUAUUUUUUUUAAUUCUAAAAUAAAUUAAAAUUUUUAUAAAAAAAAACCUCUCGCAUGCGCGGAAGCGCGUGCAAAGAAGCUAGUACGUUUAUAAUACAUGAAUUCACUAAAUACCUUUUCCGAAAGAUGGAAAAAAUCUCUAGGCAUGUUUGGGAAUGUUUCUACAGAAAAUGUUAUAGUCAUAACCACUUUUAUUUUCUUUUCUUUUUUUUUGGUUUGGCACUUUUACUAUAAGCAUAUCCUUUAUUAAAAUAAAAAAUCUAAGCUCUUCUUUUUUUAAUUUUUUGGUCCGAAAAAAUCCAAGCUCUUCUAUAACUUACUUGAAGUUUACAUUCCCGAAGAUGAAAAUGCAGAAAUUUGUUGUGACCCCCAUUGUGGAUUGACAAUCACAUAUGCAUCUCUAAAAAUUAUUGCAAAAGCUGGCCUAAGGAAUUUUGAGAAUCAAUGUUAAUUGACUAUAUCUAUCAAAUUGUAUUGGAUUGAAUGAUUUUAACAACAUGAAAAUGAACAAGUGAUCAAAAUCUCAAGGACAAAUCAAAGUUUUAACAGAAUACAGUAUCCUUUGCCUUGCUCUCUUGACACAAAGCAGUAAUGUUAUGGUGGUUUACAGAAACAAGAACGCAUAUGAUCAAAUCUCAGAACAGUACCUGUGCUACAAAAUAAAACACCAGCCACUCUUCUUAAGCCUGGAGAAUUUUGAUAAGUCUUAUUUGUCUUUAAAAAAAAUUUAUGAACUCUUCUUUACAAUCACUACAUAUGAUAAUGGCUGGUGUACUUUAACAAAUAAAGACAACGCAUAUCAACAUUAGAGGAUUCUGUCCUGAAGAUCCGUCAUUAAAUUGGAUGCCAAGGAGCUAAGCUUCUUCCCGGUCUCUCCAGCAAUGUUUUUUAGGGAAGAGAUAUCCUGUUGUGCCUGGAAAGGAGAAUACACAAAGAUUAAACCGAAAUUAGUUAAACAAAAGGCUGGAAACUCAAAAAGGAAAAGAAGACUAAUUUCUGAUCAGACAUGGCCAAAAUAUGAUAAACAUAUGACAAAAAAAUUGAAUUCCAAUGACUCAAAAACAACUGGAAAUUUCUUAUAUGCAAGGCAUACCUGAAAAGACAGUCGGUUGAUAAGGUCACUUGCCGUAAGAUCAAGGGGCAAAUUAUCAUCCCUGUCGCCAAAUAGAUCAGCACUUGAGAUGGCAGCGGAACCCUGGAAGUAGCAAGAAAUUUGUGUUAGUUUUUUUUUUUUUUUUUUUUUUUUUUGGUGUGGGGUCAAAGUUUCACAUUUGAGUCUAAUAACUUCAAGCACCCACCACGCUUCAGCUGAGAUAGUUUAAUGAAAGUGAAAGAAAAAAAACGAAGCAGCUGAGAUAGUUUAAUGACAGUCGAAGAAAAAAAACGAAGCAGCAUUCGUGUUCCCAAGUUAUCAUGGUAAUGUCCGGAAUCAGAAAACUACAAACACAAUUGUAUGAACUGAUUUGUAUGCCAAAGAUGUGUUGAUGUUGCAAAAGACAAUUAUCUUUGAUUUUAAUUAUUUCCUCGGCAUAUACUCCGACAAAUAUGAGGUCUAGCUGAAUGAAAGCUACAGGGCAGGACUUCAAUAAAUAAAAAAUACUAAAGACAAAAGGGAAUUCAAAUUCAAAAGAAAUUCCCAGUUGAACUGGGUUUAGUUGAUUAUGAUAGUAAUGAUACAUACCGAGAACUUCUGCAAGGAGGCUUGAGCAUCAACAUCAGCAGAUUUGUUCUGAUCACCAAAAAAUUGUGCGGAAGAGAUAGAUUUUGCAUUUGUGAAUUUCUUCCUUGCUUCAUCAGUUUCCUGAAUCUGAAAAACAAUAAAACAUCAAUAUAAAGAAACACACACAAAAUAACAUGAACAGAAAUGCAAACUGGUUAUCAGUGUGCUGAACCAUGACAUAAAGCAACUCUGUUAUAUGUCACAAGUUGGUGUCUCCAUCAGCCAAUAUGCAAGUGCAAAAAGACAAUUGCAAAAAUAACCAAAAGAGCAAACACUAUAAGACAGAUUUUUUAGAUUGAGGAAACCACCAGCAGCAUACGUCUUCCGAAAACGGGCUAAACAUUCCCACAGUAUCCAUCAGGACUGGAUAUCAUGCAUGAGAAGGAUAGUACAUUCCCAUUGUCAUAAUGAUUCUUUAAAUAACGCUACCAUUUGAUAAAAUAAGGCCCCACUAUUUGAUAAAACAAGGCCUUACCAUUUGAGGCAUAUGGUCAUUGCCACUUAAAAACAACAUAAAAUUGGAAUGGAGCAAACGAAAGUACUCCUCGCCAAGCAUACAUGAACCAUUUAAAGGAUAAUGUAACUCACUCAACAAUCUCAUGUUCUUUUGUUUAUUUUUUAAGACAAUAAUCUGCCUAUUAGAUUACGAUUAUAAAAACUUCAAAUUGUAGUGACUGCCUGAAAAGGAAUGUUUUUACUCCAGAACUUAGAUAACCAAAUACAUGUAAUACGUUAGGAUGCUUUCUCACCCAUGGGGGAAAAUUUGCCUACUCGUUUACUUCUGAGUAGAAUUUCUGGACCUUACAGAUUUUAGGAAUAUGAAAACUGUUACACAAUACAAAAACUCCAUUUGGUUGCUUCCCAUAUUACUAAUAUCAAGCAAACGGACUUGAGCCUCUUUAGGAUAAACAUAAAGCAUUUCAAUUAAUUAGUGGUGACCUUAAAAACAAUGAAUGGCCGGAAAAUAAAGAAAAAGAACAAACACUCAGAAACUACAAAUGUGUAAAUUACUCCUUUUAAUGAACAUACAGGAAGCAAAAACAUCACUUCAAUUAAUUAGUGGUGACCUUAAAAGUUGAAUUUCACUGAACAAUGUUGAAUUAAAUGCUGGAGUAAUAACUAUCCAGACAGUUCAGGGGCAAGUUUGAAAAGUUCAGAGGCAAGUAUUAACAAAUUUCUUUAAAAAAUAUUUUCUAUGAUAUACGAGCAGAUUUGUUAUAGACACAGCCCCAAUUUCACAAAGUUUUGGUAAAUGAUUCCUUCCUCAUCCAUAUCAACCUGCAGUAUAACUACAGAGAAGAACGAUAUAUUCAUCCUCAUCUAGGAAUUGAGGUGUUCUGAGUUUGAUUAGAAACUUAAAAAUGCAUUACCCUUGUGACAUCAAUGGAGGCUUUUGCAAAUACAAUUAAAACAUUAAUAGUAAAAUAAAACUAAACAGUAAAACUAUGAAAAACAAACAAGUAGACAGUUUUCACCCCACCAUUAUUUAAACUGUAGCAGCUUUUUAUUUCCUUCUAAACUCAGUUUUGUACUUUACUAUGUUCCCCUCUUUAGAUAAAUUUGUUUGUUUGAACCGUUUCUUAUAGCAAAAGGGAUUUCAGGGUCUUCAAAACUUAAACAAAAACCUGAAGCUUGUCCCUUUUAUGAUACAAUAGAUUUCAUGUCUGACCAUUGUUUCUCAUCAUAGUAAUACAGUGUCUAUUUUCUUCUUUCUUCUUUCUUCCUUGACCAGAUGAUAGGAAAAGCUUAGCCUUUUUGGUUCUCUUAAAUUUGUCACCCUAACACUUCUAAAUCAUGUCAAGCCUUAAAUCCUGGUGUGAAAAGUGCAAUAUAGAUUAGGGAAUUGGAGCCUUAAUUUUUUUCACAUUGUAGCAGGUCCUAAAUUAACGAUUUAUUUCUAAAGAACUAAUAUUUAUUAGUGGGCAAGUAACAAGAAACAUAAAAAACAAAUUAGUUCCCUUGGGAAAACUACUUAUAUGUGAAUGUCAUUGGUCGAAUAUAACUUACUUGAACUUUGGAGGAAUUUGAACUAGUUCUCUUGGGAAAAUUACUGUCCAUUCCAAAAUCCGCAAAGAAAUUUGACGACUUUGGUGGAGCAAUAUGACUAAUUACAUGAGCGCCAUUGGGAUUCGUCUCAGGAUUUUGGAUAAUUUCUACAUACUCAAAACGAGACACAAAGGACGAGCCAGCUGUUGUUGGAGUGCUGUUAGUUGAGGAAGGCACUGGUAUAACAGGUUCUUCAGGUUUCUGAUCGUACAGGCUUUCACUUGACUGCAUUUGAUAAAAGUUAUCUCGCUAAGAAAAAGGCAUUUUCCCUAAAAAUAUAAUAAAAUAGGAAACAGAACUCAAAGAUACCAUUGCUGAUAAAUAAUUUAUUCUAAGCGAUAAUAAGAAAUCACAACCUUUGUAGUAAGUUUGCGAGCACCAAGCCCCCCAGUCUUCCCAGUUUUCUUAGCACCAAGAGGCUUCUUGACAGUACUGGUAACAAAUGUAUGGGGGGCUUUCGGGGGAGCAGAGACUUCAGGGGUUUCUUUCCUUGCUAAAGAUGUUUCUUUUGGAGCUUCACUGGUCUUGACAUCAGGAAGCCCGUUAGAUGCUUGUCCUGACUGAGAUGCAACAGGUGAUGACGGAAGACCUGCCUCUUCUGCCAUACUUUUGGCAACUUCUUUAGAAAGCAUCUGCCUGUAUAAAUCGGCAGCUCUUGAUGUAUAUUUUGCCUCAAUUUUGCCUCCAUCCGUCCAUCCAUGCUGCUUAAAGAAAACCUGUGCGCGGUUGUUUCCACCGAAGCUCAUCGUUUUAAGCUGUUCAGGAGUCCAUGAGUCUAAAUUUGUGGAUCUGCACAAAUUAAACAAAUCAAUUAUAAGAUUGUCAUUGUCGCGAUUUUGCUUUUGCAGUUAUUUCUAAAGAUUAAACCCAAAUGUGAAUUUCAAAUAGGAUGCAUUAUUAAAUCUAAAUGAUCUGACAAUCAUAUUCAACUCAACCUUUGAAAAAUACACAUGAUUUUACUUGUACAAUCCAUUAAAAAACAAAUUAUUUAUCAAGAAAGUAUCUUUUAUGUAAACUUAGAAUCAUUACAUGGAGAAUAAAUCUAGGUCCAAUUUCAUUACAUGGAGAAGUGAAAUCUGAAUUCAAACUAUCAUAUCCACCCCUGAUGCUAAAAUAAUCUCAACAAUCGAAGGUGGGGAAAGAUGACGGGGGAUGGAGGGGAGGGCCAAGGGGUGUGGAGACAGGAAGAUUCUGAGUGAGCGGGGGAUUGGGGUAGGGAGGGGGGAGAGUGGAUUGUUUGGGAAGACCACAUUGAGGAGGGGAAAUGGUUGGUAGGCAAGAUCGGGCAGGAGGGGGGUGGGGGAAGGUCGUCAUCUGGAGGAAAGGGAUGUGCUCUGAGAACAUCCUUGGAAAGGGCUCGUCUAGGAAGAUCGGGGAAGGACGAGGGGAAAGUAACAGGAAAGCUUUUCCAUUAAGUGGAAAGUAACAACGAAUAAACGCAUAAGUCAUUAUGGAAAGAACUGCUAAUAAUUUUGAAUCACAUAAAACUAAUGGCUUCAUUGCAGUCGUAUGGGUGCGUGUGUGUGCAACUUCUUAUCUACCUUUGAAGUCUUCCUAAGAAUGCAUGCAACAGUUCCCUUGUUUGCCUUAUAGUUUCAGUUGUACUUCAGAUAUUAAGUUUGGGUCAAAUUGUAGGACUUAUACUCCAUCUAGCUCAAACAGAUACAAAGAACCACAAGAGGUGCUUUCCACAAAUCUCCUUUCUAUUAAAAGAACAAAACAGAUCACGGUUCCUAAAAUAAAGCAUAACCUUUCGCACUUCUGGCCCAAGUUUCUUGCUGCACCCUCCAUCCAAUCCCAUCAAACGUCUAUCUAAUUACCAAAUUCCUAAGAUUUAAUUAAUGAUACAAACUAUGACUCCGAUCCCCAACAUGUAACGUGAUUUCAGUUCCCUCUUAUUUAAAAACAUAACUUUGAGUUCUCGUAACAUAAAUUAGAUUACAUCACAAAAUGCACCAAUAGUUAAAGCAAUAAACAUUCAAUCAUAUGUACUCAAAACAGCUACUCCAACACCCAAAAUAUAACAAAAUACGGAUUGAGAGAAUUAAGGAUCCUUACUGCCACAUGAAACAUACCUAACAAAGCUGAUGUGAACGCCGAGACUGCGGUGAGCGGCCGAGCAAUCGAUGCAGAGAAAGAUCCCAUAUGUAACCGAGGCCCAAGUUGGGUUCUUUGCAUUGCAAUCGAAACACAUCUGGAGCAAAAACCCACAAAACGAAAAUCAAAACUCAAGAUCCAAGCACAGAACACAGAUCUGAAUCAGAUCUAACAGACCCAUAUCGAAUUUUGCAUCAAAAUCAAAAACCCAUAUAAAAGUUUUAAGAAUAACCCAAACAAAAAAGGCAAAAUGAUAUUAAAAAAACAAAAGAACCUUGUUUUCUGACUUUGCUUUCAGUUUUCUGAAAACAGCGUUCUUGUCAUUGAAGAUUUCGGACGCCAUUGGAGAGACAAAUCCUAGAGAAAUUAGCGAGAACAAAUGAAUCCGAAGAGGUGCUUGAACACCUCCUCAGGCAAAAGAGAGAGGUAGAGAUGUGUGGAAAUGAAACCCCAAAUUGAUUUCAGGUUCUGUUUUUUGGUUUUGGUUUUUCGUUUUGUGAAAUUUUAAACGGAACCAUUUUAUUAGCAGUGGGUAUGAUACAAUGUUGUUCAAAUGACGAAACUACCCUUGAGGUUUUAAGGGUAGUUUCGUUGUUGUCCAGUAGUGUAAUUAUUUAUCUGAAUGAAGGGCAAACGUAAUUUGUCAUGUUACGUCCAUGCCUUUUUGGUGGCAACUGGCGGUUUACCAACCGUUAACGGCUGGGCUUAUAUAGAUUGGUCAAUCUGAACCACCCAGUUCCACAUUUCUUCAACCUUGAACUUUUUAUUUUUUUAAUCAUGCUUAAUUUAGUUCAAUCUUUCUAAUUUUAAAAGCCAGAAAAAGAAAAGAGAGAAAAAUCUAUCUUUUAUCUGUUUAUACUGUUUUAUCAAAUACAUAAUCGACAAUCCAUCAGAAAAUAAAAGAGAAACCUUAAUUAUCAGGAAUGGGUGUUGGAAUGAUUAUGAUUUCUUCUUCUCCUGUGUUUACUAAUUAUGAUUUCUUCUUCUCCUGUGUUUACUAACACAUAGGUAUUGGAAUGAUUAUAAUCAUGACUUCCCAUGUGUUUAUGUUACAUAAAGAACUAAAAUUUAUGUGGAUUCCAUGCCAAAAUUUGCAAUCGAAUACCGUCAAAUUAGGAAUAGGAUCAACUAGGAGUGGUUGAUUUGAUUUUUUUUUUUUUUUUUUUUGGUAUGAGUUGAUUUGAUUCUCAUUCCUUGAUUCUGCUAUAUAAGUUCCUAGUGUCAUGACUUCUCUCAUUCCUUAUAAAUAAAUUGGAAAAUAUGAAUAAUAACCUUAAAAGCAUAGUGAAAUUUUGUUAACACCCCUUUAAGCAUAAUAAACCUUAAAAUAUCAAUAUGUUGGAACCAACCCUUUAAUUUUUCCCCUCAAUAUUCCACUUUCACCCCUCAUAAAUAAAAAAUAUUAGAAAAUAAAUAGCUAGCAACCCUCACCGUUUCAAUCCCUACGUAAGCUAUUGACAACCCCUCCACACGGACGGCAUCUAUUCCCUCUUCACACUUCCCAACUAGCAAUAUGAAGGGCAUGUUUACGUAUCAGUAAUAAAGAAAGUAAGGAAUCGGAGAAUUUAGGAAUCGGAAAACUAUUGAAUCAGUAUGGGAAGAAUCAUUCUCAUUAAGCUAUUUACUAAAUAUAUGGAAUUAGUAAAGGAAUAGGGUUGAUUCUCAUUGUUAUUGUUUACUAACUUUAAUGAAUCAGAAUCCAAAUUAAUUUGAUUACUAAAAUGCCCAGCACAUUUUCACCACAACACAUAUAUAAUUCUCAAAUUGGUUAAGGAGACCAAACUAAUCUUGCAGCAAACCAGUGAGGCGGUGUAAACAUGAGGAAUCAAUAUGCUAAACAAGAUAAACAACAGGAGCCCAGUUCAAUGAUAAAGUUAAUAACACCUUUGUCCAGAGCCAAUUUCAAACGAAAAAAUAAACUCCAAUAAAUAUAUAUCUUUCACCUACGUAACUAGUAAACAAUCAAAUAAUAAUACCUGCAUAAUCUUCAUACGAUUAAAUAUAUGGAACUUCUUGGAACUGAGUUUUUAUUUUUUUUAGGGUAGAGCGUCUUGGAACUUUUUGGCGUGAGUUUUUUUUAUUUUUUAUUUUUUAGGGUUUGGGGUGUUUUGGAAUUAUGGUAAGGUUGUAAGGGUAUUUUUGAAAGUUAUUAAGAGAAAACAGGAAUGGGAAUCAAAUCAACUACUCCCCUUAGUUGAUCUAAUACCUUGUUUUGAGAAGAUAUGAUUACGGAUUUUGAGGUGGGGUCCACUUAUUUUUUCAUUCCUGAUUGCAAGUAAACGUAGGGGAAGUUAGGAAUGGAAAUCAUUCUCUUUCCUCCCAUACCCAUUACUGAUAUGUAAACAUGCCCUAAGAGUGAGUUUUUGAUUUAAUACUUUGUACUAGAGAUGGAAAAAAUGUACAUAAUUCUUUUUUCUUUAUAUUGAGCGUGUGUUUAGUUAGGCGUGGGCGGAACUUGGGGUGUGUAAUGUGAGCAAUUGCACAGAGGUCUAAUUUUAGAAGGGCCCCAAAUUAUAAUAUUGUUCAACAUAUAUAUAUAUAUAUUAUAUCAUAUAUUUGCUUUUAGUUAAUAUAUUCACAUCCAAAUAAAAACGUAUACUCGCUAUAUCAAUUCAUUUAUCUUAUAUUCCCAUAUAAUAUGUAACGACUCAUUCUAAUUUUUUUAUUGAUUUACUUAAAUCCCUAUUCAACCCUUAGGGACGAAACGUGACUAAGUAGGGCCUCGGUUAACCCUUCACCCAACCCUCCCCAUUUUACAAGCUUUCAAAUGUCAUGGUUUCGCUUUUUCAAUCUCAUAUUGUUGCUAUAUGAUGUACUGUGAACAAAUAAAGGGUGUAUUUUAGUUUAGUACUACGAAUAGUACACGUAUUUUGAGUUUUAAUAAUUUGGUACCUUAACAUUUUCAAAUUUUGCUUCAAUUCAACUUGUUAUACUCAAAAUGUCAAUAAGGCACACCCUCAAAAGCCCAAAGCAGACUAGGCCUAGCUCACUUAGGAAGUGACUGGCCCUCUCCAAAAACCCUAAAUCGGCUUCCCCUAAGAUUGCCUAGGCUCGAUUGAGACAAGGCAAGGUCACCCAAGCCCAUGCAACGACCAGGCACUAAGGCCUCACGCACCAAUCCUGAAGGGAAUAUGGUGGGAAUGGUGUUGUGUAGAAAUUUCUAAAAACUCUACAACCAAACUUUGAGAGUAUAAAUCACCUAGCAAGCCAUAUCUAAUAUGAAAUCAAAGUAAGAGCAGAAGCAUUAAAUAAACUAGGGAUUCAUGCAAGUCUCAUUUGGUCCCAAUCUUUAUAAGUAUAUGAAAGUGUGCACGAAAGACUCUCUAAAUCCUAUUUGAAAGAAAGAAAAGAUGUUCAUACCCUUGGAGUGAAUCUUGAAACCAAGAAUGGUGUUCAAUUAGAAGGAGUGAUCCCUUUAUUGUUGGCUCUCCCUUUGAUGUUGAUUCUCCACCUUGUAGCUCUCCAAAUAGGUACAAAGAUAUGCACCUCCCUAAAGCUCUUCACCAAUGAUUGAAUGGGAUGAGAGAAUGUGUAGAUAACAAGUGAAGAGUGGUGCUAGCACCCUCACUUGAUGUGAUAGAUUGAAGGGGUUAGGGAGAGAGAGCUUGAUGUUUUCUUUCUCCCAAUUUCACCAACUUGAAAAACCCUAGGAUGAUAGAAUUUCAUAUCUACACAUUUAUAGGAUAAAAAAUGUCACAAGAGUGACAAAAAUGCCCCUAAACCCUAGUGUAGCCACAUCCCCCUCCCCCAAAGCCCAUUUUCUCUUUUUUGUGUGUCAUCUUUUGCUAUCUUGGUCUAACACAUUAAUCCUAUAAUGUGUCACAUGUGUGCCUAAAUCCAUAUGGUCAAAUCCCUUUUGAAUUUCCAAGUCAUAUGGGACCUUUAAUUAAAGUUUCAUAACUUUAAUUGAAUAAUUAAAUUAAUCUAAUUUUUUUUUAUUUCUCUAGUGACUUGACUAAUUUCAUCACUCACUUGUCUAACGAGUGUUAGUCCCAGUCAUCCUUAGUUGACCGUGUCAAGUGUCGAGUCAACCGUAUGACCUUUGACUUUUGACUUUAACCUUUGAAUUUCACAUUGACUUUGACCAAGUCACAAAAUCAUUCAUUCUCUUCAUAAUUUUCCAAUCGAUUCCUUUUCUGUGUGCGAUCUUAUGGGUUCUAAUUAGCGAGGCAGUGGGUAUGAAUUAUUUACUCUGAAUCUAGUGUAAAUUGUAUCCCUCCUUAUAAUUCUCCCUAUUGGCAAAGGCUAAUUAUAAUUAGUCCUUAUAAGGCUUUCACAAGCCAUGAGUGACACCUAGCAGUAUGUCAUGGCUACCCAAGCUAAAAAGAAUUCAUUUAGAGAACCUAGUCAUUUUGCGAUUACAAUGCAAUUCGAUCCUUCUCUAAUUCAAUACUCUAUGUCAUAUUCUCGGGAUAUGGUAAACUUGUGUCAAAAUCCCUAAUAUAACAUCUCUAGAUUAUAUGAUUCAAUUUGAUGAAAUUGCAAACGUUCUUAUUUCAAUUUCCAUCCAAUACUUUGGCCAAAGAUUCACGAAUCAUAUCUUUAGAGUAUUCUCUCUUCUUACUAAGAGCAGAGGAUUCUUGUUGUAUAUUCACCUGUCGCUGCGUACAUGCUAAGAAUCCUGAGGAACACCUUUAGGUCAAAUAAUUUUGAUACGACCGUAUAGUGUUAUUAAAGAGGAACAACAUAUAUACAAGACAACUGUGAUGUCUCAGGUCUAAGGAUUAAUUUGCAUUAUCACAACUUAGAAUUCUUUGUUUGACACUUGUGAGUAAGACUUCCAUACAAGAAUUCUAUAGUUGAUCACAUUCAGCAGACUCCAUCUUCUAUAGAGCACCUACACAUCUGUCUCAGUGUCUUUACACGAAUGACAUACUCUCUUACUGCAUCUCCAAAGAUUUAUCAUUAUAAAAAAAAUUAAAAAAAAAUUUGCCACUCAAUUACUGUUAUCAUACAGAUUUUGAUCUAAUUAAAUUAGCAUGAAAGGGAUUCAUCCCAGUGAGAUUCUGGAUCGACAAGGGAAUCCUAAACACAAGAAAUGUUAUGCAGUUGUCAUGUAAACACGCCCAACACUGUGUUGUUGGGAGAAAGGGGGAAAAUGAAGGAAUAAAUAUCAAUUACUCACGAAUUUGUUUUUAAAGGUAAUGCCUCUCUCCAUUUUUUGGUCGUGAGAGGUAAUGCCUCUCUUUGGUGCACAGAGGAAUGCGUUAUAUACAUGGGCUUGCAGCCCGGGCUUCUAUGGGCAGGCCGGGUUAGGUUUUAUGGACUCAAACAAGGCAGGUCAAGCUUUAAACACCCUAAUUCAAGCCGGCCAUUAAAUAACAGGUUGGGCUUUUUCUCAAUGGGUCGGGUGGGCCUCUAUUGGCCCAUGAGCUCGAGGGCUAAAUGGUAAUCCCAAAUUUAAUAUACAUAAGACAUGUGAUUUGAACUCUCCAACUUACUGCAAUGCUUUUUUAAAAUAAAAAUAAAAUAUUUCCACAUGUCUGGUACACCAGCUGGUGUACCCGGAACAUACAAAAAUUUCUCCUAUUUUUUAAGUCUUUAUUCAUAGAUUAUCUUUGCAAAAAAUUAGACAAAUUGAAAACCAUUAAGUGAUCUAAUUGUGACCAACGAAAUAGACUAAUAAUACCGUGCUCCAAGAAAAUACUAAAAUAACAGUCAUCUUUUUGAGAUUCAAGUGAUUUUUUUUUCCAGAGUUAACUUUAAAGAAAUAUCUAAAAACUAGACGAUUCUUAUCACUGAAAAACAAUACAUGUAAAUAGUGCAAUCCACUCACUAAUUUAAGAAGUUGGGCUUGUGCUUGAAUUCUACAUGCUUUAGCUACUCCCGCCACUCCCGCAAGUCACGAAUUUGGGUGAUUCUUAGGCCCACGUUUGAGUCCACACUCUCUUGUCAUGUUGACCAUAAAUAAUUGUUGUUUUCAUAAUAGAACUAGCUGUAAGCAAACAGAUCACGUCACCACUUUUAGAUUUCAAAAGUAUGUUGGGCAAACGUUGAUUCAUUCAUGGUUGAUGUUCCUGAUUUGUCAUUUAUAUUAGUUUUGCGGCUAAAAAUGGAGAAGGGUACAGAAGAGAUGUUGGUAUAUCAUUGGCCUGGACCAACAUUUGCAUAAUUGAACUCAACCCACCUUUAUAUAUGUUCAAAAUUUAAAACUUUUUCUUUUCGAAGUUAGGAUAGGGGAGAGAAUUUCUCUCACACACUGCCAAAGUAUCAUGAAAGUUCAAAUAUAAGACCACUAGUCGGCAAGUAAAAACUUUUUUCUACUGGACUAGACCCCGUUGACAUUCAAAGCCUUUUUAUAGCAUCCUACAAAAUGGCUAUGGUUAAACUCGAAUGUGUAACCCUAACUAACACAACUAGUAAAAGAAGCAUGAUCCUUAAAAAUAUGUAUUAUAAUGGGUGAAGCAAUGAAGGGCCCAGCCAAAAGAGGAUCUGGUUCCUCACUAUUUGUCGUGGAAGAGGCAAAAGGGCCUGUUAGAAUCUGGACCACAGAAAUGAAGUCCAUCUCAAGCAUAUCAAACUCAAUGAAAAAAUACAUAAGAUUAGAUUAGAUUUUUCUUCUGAACAAAAAGAACAGAUUUUCUCAAUUCUCCAAAGUAAAAAGGUUCAAAAAGAAACUAUGAACCCAAAUAACUUUUCAUGAGCUAUAUACAUUUCCUCAAAGAAUUUCUUUCCGCAAUAAUAUGCCUCAAAUCUUCCCCUCUGAUUUAUGGGGUCCAUUAUAUUUUAGACAUGCAUUGGAUCUAAUGAAUUAAGGUCUAGUCAGUGAAAUCAUUGAAAGGGAAUAAAACAUUAGUUGCUCUACAGCCUACUUGAUUCCCUAGUAUUUCUUUUCUUUUUUCAUUGAUACAAGAAAGGUCAAAUGGGAGCUUAGGGUUUAAGUAAAUGUACUCAACUACUGGAUUUGCGAGUAUUUAUCGGUCACUUUUUCUUUAAAUAAAUAAUGAACCCGAAUCAUCAUCUUCUUAUUUAUAAACUUUUUUUUAUAGUCAAAAUGAUCUCAAUUGGUUAAGCUUUUUACCUCUACCUAUGUGGACAGAGAUUACGCUAACAAAACCAUAAGAAAUUUACAAUUCUAUAAGAAUUUAUACAAUUUCAUUUAAAAAUUGAAAAAAGUUGUUCAAGUUGCGAAAGCUAAGUUAUUCAUUUUUUUAUAUAUUAGUGGUCUCAAAUAAUGAUGAACCUAAUGCUUAAUGUGGAGUUAAUUAAAUUCGAAUAAGGUUAAAUUUUCACCACUAUUAGGUGGGAAAAUGAUUUAAGAAUUAUGAAGAAUUCAUAUUUUUAUUAUUUCUUAUAUCUUUAAAAAAAAAAAUCCACCCUUUACUGCAAAAUUACAAGUGAUGGGUCCUGAAUCAAGGCAUUUGGUAUCAUAUGUCAACGUACCCAUAAUUCAAUAGUAAAAGUAUUUGCAUGCAGGUUAGUGGUCCCAACCCCAAGACACAUCUCCUUCUCCCUCAAAUUUUGGAAAAUAUUUUGCUCACAAUUUUAACUCAAGAUGUAUUUUCAUCAUCCUUCUUAAUACUUGACACGUGUCCAUAUAUAUAACUAUGGUCCUCUUUCUUUUGUAUUUGUGGAAUCAUGGUUAUACCUAUAAACACGUGUCAAGUAUUCAGAAGGGUAAUGAUAGUACAUCUCUGAUUAAAGAUGUGAACAAAAAUACUCCCAAACUUUGACAACAACAAAAAAAACAUUUGGUAUCAUGUGGAUAAGAUUUUGUUCCUUUUUUUUUUUCCUUGGACGGGUCUAUUUUGACAACUCUUUUUUCUUUGAUGGAAUGGAAUAAUUAUAAUGUCAUAUCUGCAAAAGAAAAAUAAUUACUCAUUGGACCAAAAAAAAACACUAACACUAAAAUAAAGUCUAAUCUUAUGGAAAACCUUUUUAAAACCACUAAAAUAAAACCUAGGUAAACAGAAAGAAAAAAAAAAUGCACCAAGUUAGACAAUGCCACCUGUCCAACCACCCACCCACUAAACUAAUGAAAGCAAUCAAUCACUGUUAAUGUCCCAUGAACAAUGCAUCCCCCACUUAAAGAAUAAAGCAAGUAAUGCUAAACGACAUGUCGGAUGAGUGGCAAAAUGUGCAAAAGGUUGAAAACCGCGUGACGUGAUAUGAAUGAAUCACGUGCUUCCUUGAAUUUCAAGAGAUACGACACAACAAGACCCACACUCAGACCAAAAAAAAAAAAACAAGACCCACACCUAAAAAUAAAAACCUGAUUGGUGCUGCUCAGUGCUCCACACACUAUGCUUUCAACCCUCUAAAAUCAGUUAUAGGGCCCUCGGGUCUCUCUCCACUCGCUCUUGCGCGCAGCUCACGUGCUCGUAAGUUUGGGGCUACGAUGCCGUAGGCAUUUCCGGUUUGGUUUGAUAGUACAGUUUUAUACGCAAGGUCUCUUUUGUUUUAGUUUAUUUCACCCGAGCGUUGGGGGAUCCAAACACGUUGUUUGUGCUGAGAAAAACUUACAUACUACCGGUUAUAUACACUUUAGUUUCUAUAUUAUAAAUUACGUGAUUUUAUGCUAUAGAAACUUGUUAAAAAUGUUUGUUGCACAUUGAUAAGUUAAGGGAUCUAACUUGAGUUUAUAAGAAAUUGGGCUACUCUUCCCAUUAGGCAUUUUCUAACACAUUUAGUUCUAAACUCAAAUUUCCCCCCUUCAAGAAGUAACUAUUUGGGUUUUGCCCAGACUUAAACCGUUUUUUCCCCAACCCUGCAUACUCAAAUUUUAAGUCCGCAAUUUUAUUAAAUAAUUUAAGUCUAAUUUUUCUUCAUUUAAUCUUUUUAAAUAACUUCAUAAUUUAUUUUUUAAACAAUUUGACCCAAAAAAUUAAAAUUCCAUAAAUAUAAUUUUAUUUGAGAAAUAGGUGGGCAUUUAUAGAGUUUAGAGUGAGUUUUGGGAUUAGAUAAUUUUUUUGAAGGACCUUUCUUAUUGAGAUGAGCGAUAGUAUACUAAACUCACACACACUACACGGAUGGUAGGACUGUCCGUGAGGAUCCCACCGGAGCGCCUUCUACUUCUAAUAGGCCAUGAACUACUCGAACCCAAGACCUUACCUAGGGAAGUAAUUACUCCAAACCACUACACUAACCCUAAACUUAUGUGCAAUAAGAUAAGUUAAAUUGAGUUGUUUGAAAAUGGAUUUCGUGCCUCUAUGUUUAAAGGUUGUGCAUUUACAUGCAUUUUGCAACAUCUAGUCCAUUCAAAUAAUCUAACGGUUUAAAACAUGACAUCAUCAACAUAAAUGUUUAACAUUAUAUAAUAGUAGCCUCUCUGCACGCGCUUCUGCGCCUGUGAGAGGCUUUUUUUGAAAAAAAUUAAAAUUUAUUUAGAAUUAAAAAAGAUAAUGGGUAGUUGUGUUCCAUAAAAAUAGGAUCCAUUAUCUGAUUUUUCUUUUAAUUUUAAUUUUUUUAAAUAUGAAAAAGUAUGAAUUUACCAUAUUAUCCUCAUUUAAUUAAUAACUAGCCUCUCCGCACACGUGUGAAUUUACCAUAUUAUCAUCAUUUAAUUAAUAAUUUUAAUUCUUAAUGCUUGGAUUAACUAAGGGCAUUUUAUGGUAUUUUGAAUGUUUCACCAUUCUCUGCCUUUUGCUUUACGAGUAAUGCUACACUUACCACAUUUGUAUAUCACAUUCUCAUACCACCUUAUGUGGCAGAUGAAGUGGACAACCACAUCAAUUAAAAAGUGUCAAUAAAUCAUAAAAGAAAAGAAAAUGUUAAAUUAAUUUAAUUGAUGUGGUUGUCCACCUCAUCUGCCAUAUAAGGUGGUAUGAGAAUGUGGUAUACAAAAUGUGGUAAGAGUAGCAUUAUUCUUUGCGCUUUAUAUAUAUAUAUAUAUAUAUAUUUCAAUUCUUAAUGUUUGCAUUAACCAAAGGCAUUUUCUGGUAUUUUGAAUGUUUUACCAUUCUCUGCCUUUUACUUUAUAUAUAUAGAUGUUUUAAAUUAAAAACUGUUUAAAAUUAACACUUGUUUAAUUGUUAAAGUAAAAAUAAUAAAUACUAAAAACCCAUUGUUUUCCGGCAAAACGUGAAGCAAGGGGUAGGGGGCUGUGAGGUAUCGGGUAGGAGGAAGUCAGUCAACAAAACAUUUUACAUAUCAUCACAGCCAUUGAUGUGGUGAAAUUGCUUGAAUUUUCCUUCAUAUCUAUAUAUGCAAAUGGGCUUGAGAAGCCAUUAAUUGAACUCAUGAUUUUCCUCCAACUUUGUUUAUGCAGAAGCAUAUCCUCCACAAUAUAAUUUAGGUGAAAAAUGGCACAAUUUUGGAAGGCGUUGGGGUGGGAAGGGAUGGAGUGAGAUAGAGAGAUGGCAUUGAGAUGGCAUUUGAUAUGGCGGCUUAGGUGGUGUUGGGGUGGUUAAGGAUGGUCAUGGCGGGGAUGGGGUGGGGCAGGGGAGUCCACUUCCUGGAAUUUUUCACUCUGGAUUUUUUUGAUUUUUUAAAUCUCAUUUUUUUAAUUUUAAAUUCUAUUUUCUAUUUUUGAAGUUAUUAAAUUUUAUUUUAAAUUUUGUUAAAAUUUAUUAAUAUGUCAUAUCGUAAACCGUUAAAUUAUUCAAAUAGACUAGAUGUUACGAAAUUACGAAUAAAUGCAUAACCUCUAAAUAUAGAGGCUUGGAAUCUGUUCUAAGACCAGGACUGCAAGUUUGCAACCACCACCCUACUUAUCAUAGUCCCAUAACUUCAUGCAUGCAUGCAUUAUGGUAACUUAUGACCCAAAUCAGCAAGAAAGUGAGCUGCAAAGUCAGCUUUACAAAAUACACGACCAAAGCAGCAUGCUCCUUACUUGCUUACAACUUGAAUUUUUUGUUUUGUAAUCCAAAACAAAGCAGCAUGCUAACUCUUUUUUUUUUUUUUUUUUUCUUUUCUUAGUGAUUAAGCUCAAUUACCGUAUAAAGUUAUCAUAUCAAUCUUUUUAGGAUUAUAUUUUGAGAUAUUUAGUGAUAUACCCAUUUCUAGCACUAAUAUUAUAAAUAAACCCUACACAAUUGAAUUCCUAUAAACAAACCCAAAAAAAACCCAAAAAAUGAUAGCUGGCCUUAUUGAAUUUAAUAUUAAUUAUUAAAUUACUUUGAUGCCCUAUUGAGUGCUUUGGGUAUUUUUAUGAGAUUUUGGGGUUGGGCUUGUUUUAAGAAAUUGAUGGCAGUUUUGUAAUUUAUAAGAAGUUAAAAGCUUUUUUGUUAUGUUGUAAAUGGACUUUGGGUGUGUUUCUAAAGUCCAUUUUAUAUAGGGUAUUUUUAUAAUUUUGGCCCCCAUAUUGGGUAUAAUAGUGAAUCUCCCUUAUAUUUUCCGUAACUUGCUUUGGCUUACUUUUCAAAUGUAACAUAGUCAUGUGAAAUGAAAUACAACAAUUUUAUUAUUGAAAGCUAAAACGAAUACAUAGGGCUGGCCAUAAAAAACCGAAGACAUUGAUUUUUUUUUUUAAUUUGAUCGAAAAUAAUUAAAUUUCAUUAACCAAAAUCAUUGGUUACAAUAAGGUCAUCAAGAAUACAAUUCAUUAGCAACAUAGGGUCUUCUUCUAGCCAAUAAUAAGGACCUUAUUCAUGUAAAGCAAAACGAGAAAUAGCAUAAAUCACUUUGUUACACUCCCUAGGACGAAAUUGGACUUCCUUUAAAGAAAACCGCAUGAGCAAGUCUCUCACAUCAUCCACAAUGUUGCAGAUAGUAGCCCAAACAGUCUCCCAUGAAUUAAUCAUCAUAACAGUCUUAAAAGAGUCAGUUUCUAUGAGGAAAGGGAAAAAAACCAGCAACUGCAGCAAAUAAAACUCCUCUAUAGAUAAAUUACAAUUUUGUAGCUAGAAUGGAAACCCUACGAGGGCUUUGCAUGGCUAGGGCACCCAUAAAAACUCCAGAAUCAUUACGAACAACUGCACCUACACUACGCAAGCCUGUUGCAUUGUCAGUAGCUCCAUCAACAUUGAGCUUAUAGAAACCUUCAGGGGGACAACUCCAAAUCUCAUUCUAAUUAACCCUACAAGCACGAACAACGCCUCUAUCAAUAUAUUUCUUACUUAUAAUAUUAUGAAGCGAAAGCCCAUAAAUAUAUGAAGCCGAAGUAUCAACCUAAUAUAAAGCCAACAUUGCAAUCACCAUUCUAAUUUCUAAAUUGCUGACAUGAGCAUCUACAAUAGUCUUUUUAAAGGCUUUUAAAUAAUAGAUAUUUAGUUAUAUACUAAUUCUUAGCACUAAUGAUAUAGGUAAAUCCUACACCAUUUAAUUUAUAUAAACAACCCAAAAAAAAAACUCAAAAAAUGACAGAUAACCCUAUUGAAUUUAAUUUUAAUUAUUAAAUUACUUUGAUGCUCUAUUGAGUGUUUUGGUUUUAUUUUUUUUAAUGAGGUUUUGAGGUUGGACUUGUAAUUUAUAGGAAGUUCGAAGCCUCUUUGUUAUGUUGUAAAUGAGCUUUGGGUGUGUUUCUAAAAUUACAUUUCAUGUAUAAUUUUUUUAUUAUAUAAUUUGGGCCUCUAUAUUAAAUAUAAUAAUGAAUCUUCAUUUGAAUAAUUGAUUUGGUGAGUCACCUAGGCAAAAAAAAGUUUCGAUAGAAGUUCAAGUCUAUGACCACCUUCUCAGUCUACAAAUUUUUGGUCACCACUUUCUAACUCUUCAACUUAGCUUUCUAUAUUAAAAAAAUUAAACAUAUUGUUAUGGGAGAAGAUAGAGAACUAUGAAGAGUUCUUUGGAAGGCAAACUUUUUAAAGUAAUUAACGAACUUUAUUCUUCAAAUUUCCACAUAAAUCAAUAAAAUACAAUUUUGAAAAAUGAAAUUUGUUUCUUCUCUUGAUGCUACAUUCAACAUUCAUAUAAAUAACAAACUAAUAAUCAGAUUAUAUUAAAAGUUAAUGUGUGUGAUAAAGAAUAAUAAUAAAUGGUGAUAACCAAUAAUAAAAUAUCAAGUAGAAAAAAAUAAUGAAAUUAAUAUAGGUCGUUUGAUUCGGGUUUUUUUUUUAAAUAAACCAAACCAAACCACACCACUCAAAUAAAUCUAAUUUGACCUAUUUAUAAAGUUAGCAAAUAAAUUAAGAAAAAAGUUAAAAUGAAGACAUUCACCAAAUAAUAUGAAAGAAUACUUGUAUAAAAUUAGAUAUUUUAUUCUUUUAUAUUAUUUGGUGAAAUUGGGCCCAAGCCCAAUUGUUCUUUUAUUUAUUUUUAUAGAAAUUUUGAGAUUACAUUCAUAAUGUUGGGAUUAAAAUUUUGAUAUAAAUAAAUAAAUAUAUAUAUUUUACUUUAACGUUUGCUUCCAAUUUAUUAUAACUUAUAAUUAUAGUUUUCUUAGAGAUUCUUUUAUUUUUAUAUAACCAGUGUGAAAUUAUUAUUAUGUAAACGUGUUGUCAUUUGUCUUUAUUGAAUUUUUUCAUGCGUUUGACAGCAAAAUAAUAAUAACAAUAGUAAUGUAAAGGACUCACUAGUGUAGUAGUUUGGGGCAAUUGUUUUCCCAAGAAAGGUCCUGGAUUUUAGUCCUAUCUUGUGUGUGAGCAGUGGUGGAGCCAGGAUUUCACAUUAGAGGGGCCCCUUCACAAAAUUUUAAAAAGUAAUCCAAAUAGGAGAGUUCAAGCGCUAACCGAUUAAUAAGUUAAUGCGAUACUAACUACUCGGUUUAGCCCGCAUCAUAAUAUCAUUUCAUAUUGGUUAAUAAUUUAUCGAUUCAUUACAAUCAUAAUUGUCUUGAAUUUCAUAUUUUAACAUUGUUGAAUAUUAAUCUCAUCGUCUACACUAUUAAAGGUUCAAAAGUUAAUAAUUUAUAUUCCAACAGAGAGAAGAAGUACAAAAAAAGUUCAUAAAUCCCAAUAUUACGGUACCCUACUUAGACAUAUAAAAAAGGAGGGAAAAAAAUUCACAAAGCUUAAGUUAAACAAAAGCGGAAAAGAAAGAGAAAAAAGAAUUAGGAGUUUUUAGUGCAAAUAUCAUAACUCUAACCUAGAAGUUUUAAGGGAAAGUAGAAGAGUGAUUAGUAACUUUUAUGGUUAAUUUGUAGACAAAAAUAACAUAAUAUUUUAUUUAUUUUAGAGUAAAUAUCCCAAAAAUAAUCUAAUAUAUUAUAAUAUUAUAUAUCAUAUAUAAGGAAACUUUUUUGAACCAUUGGAUGUUACAUCCAACGGUGGGUGACCACAGUCUCUUGGACCCCUGUGGUCCAAGAGAUCGGGGAUGUCUGUAUAUAUAAAGCAAAAGGCAAAGAAUGGUAAAACAUUCAAAAUAUCAGAAAAUGUUCUUGGUUAAUACAAACAUUAAUAAUUGAAAUUAUUAAUUAAAUGAGAAUAAUAUGGUAAAUUAGCACAUUUUCAUAUUAAAAAUUAAAAUUAAAAGAAAACUUAAAUAAUAAAUACUAUUUUUAUGAAACACAACAACCAUUAUCUUUUUUUAUAGUCGUGCAAGUUUACUUAAGAUUUAUAAACAACAUUAUCCUAGUAGAAGCGCUCUUGCCAACAAGUGAUCCAAUAUUUUGAGAAACGUAAAUAGAGAUUAUUAUAAAUUAAAUUAAGAGAAAAUGACUAAGUUGAUCCUUCUAUCUUGGGUAUUUUUCCGCUAGGUCCCAUAACUAGAGAGGUGGCAUAAGGGCGGAUAUACACUUGAGUUAGUGGGCUUCAGAUUUUUGUGUGUGUGUAGUUUUAGUUGUUUAAGCUAAAUAUAGGUAAAGUAAAUAAUAGUCUAGCCCUUUAUUUAAAAUAAGCUAAGCUCUUUAUGUAGAAAUAAGCCCACUCUGGAAGCAUAUAGGAAAUAGUAAACAUGCAAUCCAUAACCUAUAUAAAUUUGAUUAGAAGCAAACAUCAGAAUUUUUCUUCUAGCCACCCAAAACAUCAUAUUUGAACCUUCAGAGCCUAGAAUAAAUAGCUCUCUCCCUCUGAAAAAUUGUACCAACCUAUUUUAAGUGGGUUCGCCAAUCUUGAUAAGUUUUUCUUUUUAUUUAUUUAUUCAAUUUCCAAUUUGAAUUGUUGUUGUUAAGUUUUUAUGAUUUAGGGUUUAUGUGAAAAUUUUUGGGGAUUGUUAUAUAUGUUUUAUUUUUGCAACUUAAAUUAUUAAUUAGUAUAUAUGAUUUUUGGUGUCUAGUAUUUCUUGUUAGGAUAUCAUGUCACAUGAUUAUAAUAGACCAACAAAGAGAGGAAAAACUAUUCUUCAAAAAAAGGGGUAACGAUAACAAGGAUAUACAUACACCUUCUGCAUAUAAUGUUGAUACUUCAAUUCCUGAGAAACUUUCUCAACUCGGAUCUCAAGUAGUUGAACAAUGUGUUUGAUUUGAUAUUUGUUUAUAUUUGGUAUUUCUUUGUGUGAUAUUUGCUCGUAAUGUGACCUUCUUUGAUUUAUAAAAUUUAUUCACAUUUUUGUUUCAAGAGGAAAAAUAAAAAAAGGCUUAUAAUAUAUCUCCUGUAAAAAUAAAAAUAAAAAAUAGCUUAGUCCUAUAAAAAUUCCUGGAUUCGCCAUUGGUAGCACAUCAAACCAAAAACCAAGAUCCUCCUAACUAAGACCAUAACAUGCAAUACGAUCGACAACUCCAUUAGCAGUCCGAGAAACAUGGUGAACAGAAUAAGACGACACUGAGUUGAAAAGACGACGAAUAUCCUUCACUAAACCCCCUUUUGCAGCAAAACAAACAUCGUACUUACUUCUAGUUGUAGAUUAAGUAAACUAAAAAUCUCUAAUUAUCAAAAUUGAAACUAUAUAUAGGUCUUCAAGUGAAAAAUCAAGCAAAUUCUAAGGACCCGAAAUGUAAGUUGGACCUAUUUUAAUGUUUUAAUGUACAUUGUACGAAGUUGUGUACAUCAUCGUUGUCGUGUACGCUAUACACGGCUGCUAUAGAACGAGGCGGAUGAAAUGAAAGUAGGCGUGACAAAUGUGACGACAAUUAUUAGAGGCAUGAACGAAUCUGCCGUCCACAAAUAAUCGAAAUACAAUAAAAUAAAAUAGUAAGAGCAAGACACGAUUGGCUUGUUUAAGGCUGAACAAAAGCAAACCCUACAGCUUUCCCCACUUGCUUAAAUUGUUUUCACGUUUAUUUCCUGCGACUUUUUUGUCCUCCUCCUCAUGGGACCCUGAAAAACUGACAUCCCAUUAUGUGCAUGAACAUUUCUAUUUUUAUUUUUAUUUUUAAAUUGGUGAAAGCGAUUUUGGUCAUAGAGCAUUAAAAAUCUUUACAUGGAUUGGAGAUUGUAAAGGUUCAAUAUCUUUAAUGUACCGAAAAGAAAGUCGACAUAGUAGAAAAUAAUAAUAACUGAUUAUAAAUAAAAUUAGAAAUUACGAUGUCAAGUGUUGAAAAAAAAGAUAGCGAUUUUUAUGCUCUAAGUUUAGUAUGUGUACGUAGAAAAAUGACAAAAUAUUUAGUUUGGAGUGCAAAGGUUAAGCUGAUAGUGCCAAAAUCGUUACCCGAAAAAUCACUUUGGCUUGGUCAUAUUCAUACUAGUCUGCUAACACAAAGAAUGAGAAUUCUUACUUGAAUUUUCUUUGGCUCAUUGAUGGCUUGACUAUUCCCUUGAAUUUUCUUUUACCCCAAAAAUGAAAUAUGAAGUAAUUAUUCUUAUUAUUAUUAUUAUUAUUAUUAUUUUGAGGUUAUUUCCUAUUGAAAGGGGCGAUAGACUAAGAUUCGAACCCAGGACUUUGCCUGAGGGAGUAAAAUUCCAAAUCACUACACUAAUGGGUCAUUUGCAAUAUGAAGUAAUUUUUAUAGAGGAAGAAGGAGGGGUUUUUCUGAAAAGGGUGGUGGUGGUGACUCUGGAUUGAAGGAAGGGGUGUGGCUGGAGAUGGUGCUUAAGGGUAUGGGCCGAGGAAGGGGUGCAACUGGGGAUGGUUGCUAGAUAGGGGUCGGAUUCCUCAUGGACUGGUAGCUUUCAAAGAAGAUGAUAGGGGCAUCGUCAUCGUGGUUGGUGAUGUCGCUCGAUAGGGUCUUGAAGAUGUGUUGGGUUGAAGCUGAAACGAGGUUAUUGUUUUGUCUCUUUAAUUGUGUUUCUUCCUUCUCAUUAUUUGGUGUUUCAAAUUUUUAAUUAAGAUUUUUAAUCUUAUCUCUUAAUUUUGAAUGUAAUUUUUAACUUUAUCGUAACAACGAAAUCAUAUCAUCACUAGCCACCAGGUUCAUAUGUCACAUCAUCUUUUGAUGAUCAUUUUUAACAAUAAAUUAUCACUAUUUCGUAAACGUGCCGACACUAAAAUAUUCAAAUUGAAAAACACGAUUUAACCAUGCUAUUUGAUGAAAGAUUCAAUGUACUAAGCUGAAAUUAACCUUGUAAUAUAUUACUUCUUUUUUCACUUUCCUCUUUCUGCUGAAUAUUGAAAGAUAUACAAGACCAGCCUUGGUGGAAAACCAUGUCCUCAUUCAUGGACCCUCAUAGAAAUCAUUAUCUUUUCGUAAAGUGUGGUGCAAGCGAUAGUGACAACAUCCACAUUCGCACCAUGUGAUUAUCUAACGAAUCUAUUUUUCUAACAGGAGUGAGUGAAAUCAGUUGGUCAAAUUAGUGUGUUGAUUUUUUGCAUUUUAGUUCGAUUCUGCGUUCUGUACGUUAGACUAAAAUAUCACUUUAUAAAAAAUAAAAAUAAAACCCACCAAGUGAAGAAGCAAAGCUACGCACCUGAGGGUUCUUUUUUCCUCUUUUGUUUGGUUCAACCUGAGGGUCACCUUCUGGAAGCAGGACAAGCUUUUGUUUACAACUAUUAGCUUCUGUACUUUGUGAUUUUUGUUUUGCAAUUGAUUCUUGCUCAAUAAAAUAUUUGUAUUAUUAAAAAAAAUGCAAAAAGAAAAGAAAAAGAAAAAGAUUCCUGAACAAAAAAAAACAAAACAAUCUCUUAGCAGAAGAAACAAAAAGGGGAUAAAAUAAUAAUGGAUUCAAAAAUUAGACGACAAAAGAACAAACAAAUUUGAGAGAUUAAAACAGAUUAGCUUGUAUUGCAAUGGGAAGAGAACGACGUCGUAGUGGACUCUCAGUGGACCCCGUUGAAAAUGUUGGCGUUCGUGACGAUAAGGUUCAUGGGUUUUAACGAAAAAAAAAAACAAAGGAUAAGAUAAGUAUUUUUUUUUUUUUAAAGAUGGGGAGGAUUUUUCACAUGGGAAGGAGGAAUGUUACACGUGCCUAACAAAACAAAAAUAAAAAAGAAAAAAAAGAAAAAAAAGAAGGGAAACGUGCUUUUACGACACGCAUCAAGCAAAACGUGUUUUUAAAUAUUUAAACCGUGUAUUAUUAUACGCGAGCAAAUUGUAAUAAAUUAAUGAUUAUCUGGUGUGGGAAUUUUGAAAACGAGGGAAAGGACGAAUGGGGGGCGACCAGAUCAAGGGCCAGGAUUCGAUCUGUGAAGCCAACGCGUCCCCACCCUUUUUGUCUUUUAUGUUUUAUAUUCCGUCGUUGAGUCGUUGAGUCGUUGUCCGCUACUCGAUUCAAAGUAAUUAACCUGAGAGGAAAACAGGAGCUUCAGAUGGAUUGCCGAUUAGUUCGAUGGCGUGCGCCGAGGAUUUGGAUUUUCACUGCUGCUGCCGAGAGGCGGCUACUUCGUGGAAGCUAACUGUAGAAAGGUGAUGAUUAAACUCCCGAACAAUGGAUUUUAGAACAGUUUUUGCAUCUCAACUGUUGUUUACUAAUCUUCGUAUUGGAAAUGUCACCAUUGCGACAGCUCAUUGCUUAAGUCACAAUUUAGAAGUAAUAUCUUUAGAAAAAUAAUUAGAGAUCGUUUAAUAAUGCAUGUGUGUGGAACAAAUUUUAUGAUUUUAGUAACAUUAAGAUCCUUAUGAUGAAUUGAGUAUUUAUUUGAUACAUAUGGAUAACUAAACGAUCUCCAACUAAUUUUUUUAUAUAGAUGAACAGUUUCAAUUAUGACAUAUUCACAAGGAGGAUUUGUUAAUCAUAAGAACUAUAGUGGCCGAGGAAGUGCACCCGGAAGAUCCUUCGUUAAAAUAGCAAAUAAUAGCAUUGCAUUUGUACAUUGUGUUUGAUAAUCAUUUUACUUUUCAUUUUUACCAUAUUGAAAACAAAAAACUUGUAUUGCAACCAAUUUUAGUUUUAGUUUUUUUUUAAAAAACCAAAAACUGUUUAAAAGUUGUUUUAAACUAUUUUCAAUUUUUUGCGGAACUUGGAUAUUGAAUUUUGUUGGGGUCAAAUUAUGAAUUUGAGAUCAUAGAAUGAAAGUACAUGUUAUAAAGGGUCUGUAGUAUUUUUCGAUGAAUUUUUUGGAAGUUAGGAUGAUUUUAUUUAUUUAUUUAUUGUAAUUUUGGAUAUGGAGGUCCCAAGGAUUGGAUUGGGUAUGCGACCAAAUGCAAGUGUCGAGCGCAUGGGUCCAAGUCCGGAGGUCCUAACCGCUAUGCAUUACAUUUUUGGUGAUGUAAAAUUGGUGAAUGAGAAAGGAGCGAAAAAAGAAAAAGAAAAAAGGAAAACUGAAAACACUUUCAAGUUGUUUUAACAAAUAGGGGAGGUUUUGAAAACAAGCCACCACUUCAUUUUUACCCUUUCUCCUCCACUAAACUAUUUACUUAGACGCUUUGAAGCUCUAAGGAACUCUCUCUAUAAAAAAAAAACCCUUAGGAACCAACUCUAGCCACCGCUGCCCUUUUGGGGGUGGUGGCAUCCUUCUCCACCCAUCUCCACCUCUCUCCCCUCCUCUCCUUCUCUACCCUACCAUUCCCUCCCAUCCCCUCCCCUCCCUUCUUCGCCCAUCCCCUCCCCAAUUUUUGGUGAGGAUGAAGUAGUAGUGUAUUGGUAGUUUUGUUGGUGAAUUUGAUGACAAACGAGGUGGUUGUGUGGGUUUUACUCACUUGUUGUGUGUUUACAAUGUCUUGAACUGUAAUAAUUGCAUCAACUGUUUGUUUGUAGUCUAUUCUCUACUUGUGAGAGUUGUAAUUGUAUUGGUAGUUUUAGACAACAAACCACUGCCGCUUUGUGUUAUCGUUGAACACAAUCUUAUAUUUAUUUCUUUUAGAUAUGAUAGUUAUUCAAGGAGAUAAUAUUCUCAUACUAUAAAGAUCAAUACCAAUAUCUGCAGCAAAUAAAUAAUUUUGGUAUUUAUGUGAUGACUUUAAGACUUAAAUAUGAGGGAGAUAGCGAAAAGAUUGAGCAUUAUUGGAAUUACUCAUGUAACUUGCCAUGGAAUGUAUAAAAUAUAAAAUAUGAUAGUAAAUCAUUAUAAAUAUAGAAAAGAUUAGAGUGUAUUUUAACACUCUUUCAUUCUAAAGUUCCUUAUUUUCUUUUUCUUUUUUUUAUAAUUAAUUUAUUUUAAUUUAUAAAUUUUUUUUAUACAAUUGCCGUAGUUUUAUAAAAAUUUUACUGACAACGAUAAUUUGUCGAUGUUUCCAUGUUUUUGGACUACUGAUAUUUCCAAAACCAUCAAUAUUUAAGACCACACGCAUAUCCCCCACGCUCUCCUUCACACACAUAUCUUCUUAAUAGGUAUGUAAGAUAAAUUUAACCCACCGCAUUUUGAAAUUUUGGAUCCGUUCCUAGCUUGUGUGGCUUAUGGUCUUUAUGCCAAAUUUAUGACUACAAAUUACAAUUAUCAUUUUCUCUCUAGAAAGGGUGAUUUUGAAAAUUAAAUUUCAUUUUUUAAAAAACAGAAAACAAAAUAUGUAUCAAACAUGUUUUUAGUUUUUUUUUAAAAAAAGUAAAAAUGAAAUUGUUAUCAAAUAUCGGUAAGACCCUAAGAAAAUGAAUCUAGUAAUAUACUUAUCAAUGCGACUAAUUUAACUGCAUAUGCUCUAAUUAGUAUUGGCCAAGUCUUCUUUUUUCCAUCUUUAGUGGCCAGUUAGUUUUUUUGAAAUUCUUCUUUUCUCAUCUACCUAUAGUGAAGUUGUUGCUCAUGAGAUUGCUCACCAAAUCUUAUAUUUUUUUUUAUUGGGUUUUACAUGAAAAUUUAAUUUGGCAACUAAGAAAAAAAUCUAGCCAAAUUGGUCACUGUGUUUUCCUAAGUGUACAAUUUAUAGACAUAUAUUUUAUAAGUUAAGUGCAUUUUUUUUAUAGGAAGUACUUUCAAUCUUCUUCCUUUAACUCAACGAGUUAGGGUAUAUUGUGCUAUUAGGGUUUAACAAAUUGGGGGAAGAUUAAAUGUGCUUUACAACAAUCUGUUAGAGGGCAUCACAAGUAGAGGAAGAACAUUAAACGUGCUUUGUAAAAAAAUAAAAAAUAAAAACUGCACUUAACGGAAGAUAAUAGAAUGUCUAUAAAUUGUAAACUUUGGAAAACACAGUGACUAAUUUGGCUUAUUUUUUGCUCAGUGACCAAAUUGAAUUUUCGUGCAAAACCUAGUGACCAAAAAGGUAUUUAACCAAUAAAAAAUAGGUUUAAGUGCUACAGUGCACCUUGAAACAUUAGUCAAAUCCUCUUUUACCCCCUUAAAGUCAAAGUGACACACUUUGCCCAUUGACCAAGGUUUGAUGUUUCACAUUGCCCCUACCGUAACUCCAUCAAAAUGUCCGUUAAGUUUGAUGAUGUGGCAGGGGUGUGUUAGUAAUUUUGAAGGAAAAUGACUUCCUAUGUCAUUUCUCAAUGGAUGGGAAAUGAAGAUUCUUUUCCUAUGUUUGGUAAUUCUGGGAAAGUAAUCAAGAAAUACCACUUUAUUUCCUUUCACAUGUUUGGUUUAUGUAGGAAUAUAAAACAAAGUUGGUUUAAUUUUUCAUGUAUACCCAUAUGAAAUCAAAUAAAAAAAAUGCAUUUAAUGCUAUAUUAUAAUUCUAAAUUGUUAAUGAGGACAAUAUGAUCAUGAAAAAUGUGUAUUUAAUUUUGGCUCAUAACUUUCCCGUGAGGAGGAAAACAAAACCCAAGUGGGUUGGAGGGCUUCACUUUCCCCCUACUUUUCCAUGUGCAAGACAACGAUUUCCCAUGUUUGGAAUUACCAAACAUGGGAAAAUAAUUGAUUUCCCCAUCCCCAAGCCUCUUUUUCCAUGAACCAAACAAGAGUAAAAUGGGAUUUGACUUUUCAGAAUGAAUUAAGCCUAAAAAAUUAUACUAAUUUUAUCAUUUAUGUGCAGCAUUCCACAUAUAAGAAGUCGACUAAUAAUUUUAAUUGUUCAUAUAAAUAUCUAAUUAUUAAUCAUCUGAUGUUUGAAGUAAUUAAUUCAAUACAAAAGAUUAUGCCGUUAUAAGUUUUUGAAUAGAUUCAGCUUUUUAUCCCAGGAUAACUAAUUCUAAAAAAAAAAAAAGUUUCCGAAUAGAUUCAGCCUUUAUUCUAGUGGAAAAAUAAAUUCAACCUUUUAUUCCAGUCAAAAGAUUAUGCAGUCAAACUUUUACUCCAUUACUCAUGUGAAAUAAAGAUCUUGGAAAAUCACCUUAUCCCAAAAACGCACAUUUCUAUUGUUAUCAUCAUUUUCCAGUUAAACUUACGUUUUUGUAAUAAAUAAGCCACGCCUCCGCACGUGAUUAUGGUGUUAGUGUUGCAACUUGCAGUGUCGGAAGUCCAAACUCCAAAGCCCAUUUCCGAAUGGUCAAAAGUCAAAGUGUUUCCAGCUGUGACACUUGUAACGCACGUGACGCACGUCCAAGCUUUAGAUAGAUGUAUGUACAUACGCCGGCUUUUGGAUGAUCUACGCUGGCGAUUAAAUCGGCCAACCCGAUUUUCCCCGAAACUCCCCCUUCCUUUUUACUCGGCUUGCGCUAGUAAACUUUUUGUCCGCUCACUCUCUCCUCCACCCUCCACCCACUUUCCUCCCCAACCAAAAUUCAGCUCAAAUGCUCUCCAAAUAAAUCCCCAAACACAAAUUCAGAACUCCCCAAAUCAAAAUUAUCUCUCUCUACCUUCUCAUUUUCUCUCCGCACCCUAUCCUCUCUUUGUCGUCCACACCUACUCUUACGUCACUAAGACGGUAUCGCUCACAUGACGGACUAUCGGAUACCGCCGACGAUGAAUCUUUGGACGGACGACAACGCGUCGCUGAUGGAGGCCUUUAUGAGCUCAUCCGAUCUGACGUCGUUUUGGGCGGCGCCAUCGGCCCAGCCCACGCCUCAACCCGCUCACCCCCAAGCCCAGCCUCAGUCGUCAGCCUCCACUUCAGACUACCCGAAGGCGGCUGCUGUCGCGCCAUCUCAGCCGUCCAUCACGCCCUUCAACCAGGAGACCCUCAUGCAGCGCCUCCAGGCCCUCAUCGAAGGCGCUCGUGAGAGCUGGACCUACGCCAUCUUCUGGCAGUCCUCGUACGACUACUCCGGCGGCACCGUUCUCGGGUGGGGUGAAGGGUUUUACAAGGACGAGAGGGACAAAGGCAAGGCUAAGGCCAAAACGACGACGUCCGCCGCCGACCAGGAGUACAGGAAAAAAGUCCUCCGCGAGCUCAACUCCUUGAUUUCCGGCGCCGACACGUCAGCAGACGACGCAGUAGUGGAUCAGGAGGUGACCGAUACCGAGUGGUUCUUCCUGGUCUCGAUGACUCAGUCGUUCGUCCCCGGCGGCGGGCUUCCGGGUCAGGCCUUCUUUCACUCGACCCCGGUCUGGGUUGCUGGAGACCGGCUGGCUGCGUCCCCGUGCGAGCGGGCGAGACAGGGCCAGUUGUUUGGGCUGCAGACUAUGGUUUGCGUUCCGACGGCAAAUGGGGUGGUUGAGCUGGGCUCGACGGAGCUCAUCUACCAGAGCUCGGAUCUGACAAACAAAGUCCGGGUUUUGUUCAAUUUCAACAAUUUGGAAGUGGGUUCGUGGCCUAUGGGCGGCGGCGGUGCCGAUCAGGGAGAAAAUGACCCGUCGUCGCUCUGGAUUAACGAUCCGUCGUCCACCACCAUCGAAGUCAAGGACCCGGUGAACAUGGCUCCCGUUACUUCGGCACCCACCAGCACCAGCACACAGCCCGUCUCGAAGCCAAUUCAGUUCGAAAGCCACCAGCCGAGUUCCAGUAGCUUAUCGGAGAACCCGAGCGCGAUUCAAUUACAACAAUCGCAGCAGCAGCAGCAAGUACAGCAGCAGACGCAAAGCUUCUUCACCAGGGAGCUCAAUUUUUCCGAUUAUGGUUACGACGGGAGCAGCGGGAAGAACUCCAAUUCCAAUUCCCAUUCGUUGAAGCCUGAAUCGGGGGAGAUUUUGAGUUUCGGUGAGAGCAAGAGGAGCUCUUACAGCGCCAACGGAAAAUUGUUUUCAGGGCACUCCCAAAUUGCCGCCGCCGAGGAUAACAACAGCAAGAAGAAGAGGUCGCCGACCUCUCGCGGCAGCAACGACGAGGGGAUCUUGUCGUUUAGCUCGGGGGUGAUUUUGCCGUCCAGUGGUGUCGUGAAAUCGGGCGGCGGUGGGGCCGCCGAUUCGGACCACUCCGACCUUGAAGCCUCGGUGGUUCGGGAGACUGAUAGUAGCCGGGUUGUGGACCCCGAAAAACGACCGAGAAAACGGGGUCGUAAACCGGCCAACGGGAGAGAAGAGCCCCUGAACCACGUUGAAGCAGAGAGGCAAAGAAGAGAGAAGCUUAACCAGAGAUUCUAUGCUCUCCGAGCGGUGGUACCAAACGUGUCGAAAAUGGACAAGGCAUCGCUUCUGGGCGAUGCCAUAUCGUAUAUCAACGAGCUGAAGGCGAAGCUGCAGACAACCGAGAGCGAUAAGGAGGACUUGCAGAAGCAAUUGGAGUCGAUGAACCAGGACUUGGGUUGUAAAGACUCGAGUUCUCUGUCAGACGACCUCAAAAUGUCUAAACACCAAGCUAGUAGUAAAUUAAUAGACUUGGAUAUUGAUGUGAAGAUAAUCGGAUGGGACGCCAUGAUUCGAAUUCAGUGUUGCAAGAAGAACCACCCUGCAGCCAGAUUAAUGGCUUCUCUCAAAGAGCUUGAUUUGGAUGUACACCAUGCCAGCAUUUCUGUAGUCAAUGAUUUGAUGAUACAACAAGCCACUGUCAAAAUGGGCAGCCGAAUUUACACUCAGGAUCAGCUCAGGUUAGCUCUUUUAUCGAAAAUCGGCGACUCCCGGUAAGAAAAAUGGGAACCAGAGGAGAGGAGAAACAGAGAGUUUGUUUUGGAUUUCAAUGGUGGUUCAGGGCUUUUGGGACAUUUUGAGGCUCCCGACAAAGCAGCGAGCUCUGUUAGAUACUGGUUCCACGCGUUUCUCAUGUCUUCUUGGGUAGCAUUUUGUUUUAGUAUAGAUUGAGUUUGAGGAGCUGAAACAAUUUUCUUAGGUCCAAAACUACAUGGCUUCCUCCCCUUCAGUGAAAAUAGCUAUAUUUUUUUGUUCUGUUUUUGGGUGUCAAUUUUCUGUCUUUCUUCUUUGUAUAUAUAAGUGUUAUAAAUUUGAACCCCAUGGGAGUUCUGGUUAGUGAUGUAGAAGUACGUAUUUCAGAAUGUAACAUUUGUAAUCUGUUAUAUCCACUACUGAAUUCAGCAUUCAAACAAGUUGAACUUUCUUCAACUUUUAAUCUUCCCCUGUUAUCGUUGGAUUUCCUCAAUUUUUCUAUGCACAAGUUUUCAUCAAUUUGCUUGGUUUUUUUUUGGGGUAAAGACCUGGGCUUGCAGAUUUCAGGUGCAUGAAUUUGUUUGUGGCAAGUGGUUUUAUUUUAGUGCCAUGAAUUCAGCAUAUACCAGAAGGGUGAAAUUCUAGCUAUUAUACAAACGAUAAUUUACUUUAAAUUAAUUUAAAUUACGAGGAAGCGGAUUCGAAAUAUAUCUGCAUGGCAAAAGCCUUUUUAUGUUCCUACAGGUUAUCUAAAAAAUGCCCCAAAAUCCAAAAGGGCACACUUCGUGAAAGCCCUGGGGUCUAUUUUUGUUGCUGAAAAUGCACCGACACUAAUGGAUAAAAAAAGGAUGCAGCACACUUCGCCAUAUUUAGUAAUUGCAGUUACCAUUCUGUAAAUGGAGCAAAUAUUAUGCAUCAUGGAAGCAAGCGGUAAACAUAAAGGAACACCAAAAGAAGUUGGUUUCUCACUUUUUCUGAUUGUUUCUCUUUUACCUUGGCAUCCACAUUUCUCCUAAUAUAACCAAUGCUUUUUGCCUCAAUGCGGGUUUAAAAAGGGCUUGAAGAACAGCUCAUACGUGGUAAAUUUCCAGAACAUUGAGUAUCUCAUGAUUUUUUUUUUCUCCCCCACCUUUAUAGUAUAGGCAUUUUGGUACAGCACAGUAGAUACAUGUGUUUUUCAUUUCUGGAGUAGGAGAAGCAAUGAAUCAGAAUUCAGAAGAGGAGGAGAGAGAGAGUAAAAAAAAGAGCCUCAAAUGUUUAUUUUUGUUGUUCAUGUUCUAUUCAGUUCUGUUGGGUUCUUCUGGUGUGGCCCAGAAAGUGACCCUUCAUGCCUUGCAUUGCAUGACUCGAAUAUAAAGGGAUUUACUACCUAAUCAGAGACCAUUUUUAAUAAAAAAAUUUGUUUAGAAAUUAAUUCUUUUUGCUCAACUUGUGGUGUGGGUGUCUAUAUCAAUCAAUCAGCCUAUUUUUAAUUUUAAAGAAAUAUCAGCUGGCUAAUUUUGGGGUUGGGUUAAUUAUUUUAUUAGUCCCUGAAUUUAGAUUCGAUUUACAUUUGAGUCCUUCAAUUUUCAAAAUCAUUCCCGUGGUCCUUUAACUUCACUUUCAUUAGGACAAAUGGUCAUGCAGUCAAUUUUGUUAACUUUUUCUGUUAAAUGCAGUGGCAAAAUGGUAUUUUUAUAUUAAAACCAAAAAAAUGAAUGAAAAAUCAUAUCUUGAAAAUAACAAUAUAAAAAAAUCAAAUAAAAAACCAAAAAAGAAAAAAAAAAGUUUGGGGGAGUAGAAAUCGGGAUUUUUUUUUGGGGGGGGGGGGGGGGGGGGGUUUCCGGGCGUUAUAUUAAUUUUAUUUUCCUCUUUUAAUCAAUUUAAUACAAAAAUACCAUUUUGCCCUUGCAUUUAACAGAAAAGUUAACAAAAUUGAUGGCAGGACCAUUUGUCCUAACGAAACUAAAGUUGAAAUACCACGGGAAUGAUUUUGGAAAUUGAGGGACUCAAAUGCAAAUUGGGUUUGAGCUCAGGGACUAAUAAAACUAUUAACCCUUUUGGGGUUUAAACCCCUUCAUAUGUCUUCUUUUAUUUAUGUUUAUAUUAAUCGGGAUAGGAGUUUGAACUUGCAAUCUCUUUCAAUAUUGUGAAAAGAAUACCACUAGAACAAGAUUUAGUUGUAGAUAGUGUGAAAAAAACCUUUACACUUAAUAAAAAAGCACAAAUAAACUAUAUAGAUUGUGAGACUAUGUGUAUUUUUUAAAAAGUGUGUGAUUAGGCGAAUCAAUUUUUCACGGUAGCAUAUGAGGAUUUAAGGCAAGAUGUGAAGAGGAUUUAAAAUCAAGGAUUAGAUUCACUAGGAACUUGUUAAGUGUAGAAACCUAUACUAUUAUUACUAUUUGUGUUUAAUUAGUUGUUUUGUUAAAGUUUAUUAGUAAUUUUUUUUAUUGCUUAUGUUAUUGUAGGGUUUUAUUCUCUUUAAGUUUCGGUUCAUAUUUUAAUCUGGAUUUGAAAAAAAAAAAAAGGUUUCUUCAUCACAUUUAGCAUGACAUUUUCAAACGAUGAAUAGGGAGACUAAACUUUACCAGACACAACUUUGCUUUGGUUCAAACUUCUGAUCACCCUCAUCUCUAUGUCCCGGAAAAUGGAUGAUUUCAUGGAAUUUCGUUCAAGCUAUGUGAAUGAACAGCCCGGUUUUGGUAGGAAAUGCUGUAUGAUUUAGUGAUCGGGAUAGUUGAGGCUUAGGUUCUUCUUAAGCUGAAAAUUUAGGCAUACGUUCCAAAGAGGAAGAAACUAAAAUGAAAGUUUCUGUCUAAUCAGUUUCAUAUGAAUACAUACCAAUAGUUUCUCGACUUUCAGAUCAGAAAUGUUGCUAUCUAGCUAUACCUAGGAAAUAACUCAACUCUAAAAUUAAAUUUAACUAAAACAUAUAUCUAUCUAUCUAACAACAUUCUAAGAUAACACAGAUAACAAUAUAUCAGGCGCUCGGAUCAGGUGAGAACAGCUAUGUGAGAACCUUAUAUGAAAAUCAAUCGCAGCCGUUGAAAUGCAUAUGAACGGUUUAGGAGAAAAAGCAAGCUUACGGUACAAACGGGUAAGCUGCAAUUUCUCCUUAGCCCAUGUGUCAAGUCGAGCCUGUUUCGGAAAAAAACUAGCCUUUGUUCUUCUUGACAGUUGUGCCUUUCUUCUCAAUGAAUUUAUGAAUGAACCCUAAUCAUAACAUCCAAAAUUUCACAUACCAGACAUAAAUUUGUAUAUUCCUUUUCUCUUGUCGCAGAAACUCCCUAGUCUACUCUUUUUCUUUCACUUUCUCUUCUGUUGUCGCAAAACCUCCCUAUUCUAGUCUUUCUCAUAUAAAUGUCUAAAUCGGUAUGUUUCUCUUGAAUUCCCUCUCUCUUUCAUAUUAAGAUUUGCAUGUUAUAUUGCAUUCACUUAAUGUUUAAAUUUUGUUUAGGAUUUUAGGGCUUUGAUUUUUUGGGUAAGAGUACUCUUUCUCCGUAGUAGUUGUGUUUGCAAAAAUAUAAAUUGGAAAUUGGCUUCAGUUGCUUUUUUGUGUUGUGUUUUCUAGUUUCUAUUAAUUUGUUGAAGCAUAGUAACUCUUUUUUUAAAGUUUUGCUGCAAUUUAAAUUCUUUCAUUUUUCCAAAAUUAGGGAUUUUUUUUGCAAUUCUUUGUAGUAAUUUGUUGAAGUGUAGAUUCACAGCUGUUGCUUCUUCCAUUUUUUUUUUUUUGGCAUUCUACAUGUUAGUUGUCUUUUCUUAAAAUUCCAGGAACCUUUAUCUGUUUGCUUUGACCCUUAUUGUAAUCCUACUUUGCCCAUCUAGUGGUGUGAGUGUAUGACAUCAUUUUAGUGAUUUAAUGGGGCUUGGAAAACAAAUAAUAAGUACCAUUAGAAGUAGAACACAGAAGAGAAAAUUGAAGAUCUUAAUUGUGAAUAUGAGAUGAUUUGGGAUGCAUAAGGAUCAAUGCAUCUUGUAGUAGGUAUCAAUUCUAUAUCUUAAUGUGUUGAAAAUAGUGUUGUUACGUAUCAGUUCUGUAUCUUAAUGUGUUGAAAUAGUGUGCAAGUGAAAAUUAUGUAUCAUUUUUGCAUCUUAAUGUUUGGAAAAUAGUUUAAUUAUGUAUCAAUUUUGUAUCUUAAUGUGUUGAAAAUAGUGUUUGUAGGUAUUAAUUAUGUAAAUGUGAUGAAAAUAUGUUGAGAAUAUUGUGACUAGGUAUCACGUCUGUAUCUUAGUGUGUUCAUAAUAUUGUGAGUUGGUAUCACUUCUCUUUCUUAAGCAAAAUGUUGCAGGUAUAAAAUGGAAUCUGAGUUUGAGCUUUGUUUCCCGAAGUCAGAGGUCUAUUCUACACUGGUGAAUAAUAUGUGUGUGGCGACUACAGGCCUGUGUAAUUUUGGGCAGUGAUGAGCACAUAAAUUAUCACGUUUAUUCCUUAAAUAUAUUUGUUAGUAAUUGAUUUUCUUACAAUUUUAGUUAAUUAGGUGUGUUUUCACUUAUUUACUUGCUUACAUACUUUUUACAUAAAUAAUGAUAAUCUCUUUAUUUUAUCUUAAGGUUAUAUACGUGUAUAUACAUUUAUAAUUUCUUCAACCUUCCUAAGUAGAUAAAUAUGCUUGCUUACUAUUUUCUGUACCACUUUUUAGUUUGUAAUAUUGCACUUUGAUGUUUACAGUGGGGAGAGCCAUGCAUUGCAAGUGAUGACAAUUGAAGCAAUCCAAUUAAUUGUGGCAGCCGACACUACAGAAGAAUUGAGGCAGCUUCCAUAAGCCAAGAAGAAUUAUAAAAUGAAGAAUGUGGUUACAGCAUAAAAGCCAAUUGAAUUGAUUACAUAUGUUGAUGUGUAUUCCAAUAAAAGAGAUGAAAUUGCUUAAACAAAAGAAAUUGGAUUGGCUUGCGCCCAGGUGGAUGAAUAAAUUUAUUCAAAUGAAGUUGGAAUUGUCCAUGAGGGCUGCUCUCAUUCUCCUAUAAAUACGAGGAGCUACGGCAUUGUACAAACACACCAAGCUCCACAACUCUUGAGCUUUCUCUCUUUCCUCCAUCUUUAUAGGUCUAAAUUUCUGUUUUAGUUUUAUUUUAUUUUAUGGGGAACUAACUCCCUAGCUAAGGCUAAGGAGAAAGCUUUUAAUAUGAGUGUGUAAUUUUAUUAGUUUGAUCCAAACUUAAGCCUUAAUAUGAAUUUGUAGUAUUCUUUUUAAUUAAUUGAUGAAUGUUUGAUAAUCUAUUUCAUGGGUUAAAUCAUGUUUUUCCCUUUGUGUAGUAAAAACUUUCAUGCUUUUAAAAGAGGAGAGAAUUACUAAAGAUUAAUAGAAUUUCAAUGAAGAUUAUUUUUUGAUAGUUUGUUGCCAAUGGUACAAGUUAUGCUUAGAAUACUUCUAAAGGAAAUUAAAAAGAGCUUUAAUUAUUUUGAACAACUACAAUGAAAAAUAUUUUGUGGAUCAAAUUAUUAAGAGUUGCAUGCUUAUGUUAAAAGUGGAAUCCCAAUGCCUUAGUGUUUUAAUCAAUUGAAUUUUCUUUAAAUCAAAUCUUGCAUAAAUCUAUUUCUCAAUCAUAAUUGUUCUUUUUUAGCUAUGUUAUUUUCUAUACACCGUUCUCUAUAGAUACGGUACUCGGACUUCCGAGCUACACUACUAUACGACACCUUCCUUUAGGUUUUGCAAAGUGAUUUGGGCUUAAUUUGGCACACCCAGCCCAAGGUCACAAAGCCCAUAGCAAUUUGUAAACCAGCCACCAAUGUUCCAUUGAAUUGGGUCAAGAUUAUACACUCCGCCCAAACACUACAGGCCCAGACUCGAGCUUUGCAAAAUAAACAGGAAAUCCAAAAGAACCCAGCCCAGGAUUUAUUAAAAGGUGGCAAAACAAAAACGUGAGCUUUGAAAAGAAAAAAAAAGCAAACCAGCCCUUGGUUUGAUUCCAGAAAAAACAGAGCAGGCCCAACAUGAUUAAAGAAAGGAGAAAAUAAAAACAGACCCAUGUGAAAUCUCUUUUCUCUGACAUUUGAAAAGUCAACAUUUUCAACUAAUUUGAUAAAGUGUGUUAAUCAAAAGCAGGCGAACUAGGAGAAGACCUCUCUAAAAAUCUCUGCCAUCAGAAGAUCAAACCCUUAUAUUUUUUGUAUAAAAUAUUUAGAGAUAUUUUCCUCUACUCCAACAAAAGGGUGAUUCUCCCAAAAGAUAAACAGGUCAUACUUUCAAAAAGAGAUAAGCAGGAAGGAGCUGUUCAAACUGAGAAUCAAACUAACCAUCACGGUUUGAGCUCUUAUAGGGGGGCAGUUGGAAAUUAAAAAAGGGGUUAGGUUCUCUUUCAGGAAAAACAGGGAAGUGAUCUUGAGAACAGACUAUUGAGAGCUUAUCUGCCAGAAUUGAUUAAAACUUUUCUUUUUCUUUGCAUUUAAAAAUAAAAAGAUCUUUUGAGAAAUCUUUGCCGCCCAUUGUUAGAAGAAUGAAACCCUAAUCCAAAGCAUUUCCUUAUAAAUACUAGAGAGGGUGAACAGAAUAAGACACUCAAUUUUCAUCAAUCAAACAAACAACCAAAAAAAUCAACCAAAAGCUCACUUGAACCACAAGGAAAAAAAAAAAAGUUUAGAUCAGAGUUCCCAAAGUUCAGACUUAAAGAAAUAAGUCAUUCAAAACGAGAUCCUUCUUGUUACGAAUUUGGUUCAGCAAAAGCCAAGACAACCAGAGUUUGAGUUUUCUCAAAUAUGAAAACCUCAACAAAUUUCACAGUGCAGUUUCCAGCUCAUUAAGUUCUUAAGAACGGCCACUUCUGUCCCAAAGCUUGGAGUAGAUUAAAGCUCUGCCAAAAUUGAACUUUGGUAUCGACCUACAGCUGAAACUGAGCAGUUGAAGUUGUUAAAAGUCCAGUCUAGCCUAGACUUACCCAGUCCAGCCCGGAUCAGAAGCUUCUAUCCAUACAUGAAUGGAGUUCUAGCUUUCCUUUUGCUUUUCUAGAGUUGAUUUCUUCCUUUGUAGCUCUGAAAAGAACAGUUCUGUCUAAAAACAGUCUACUUUAUUAUUCAUUACUCUGGCUAGAAUUACCAAUUUUAUACUGGGAUAAAUUGUGAAGUCCUCACCAGUCUGAGGCAAGAAAAAGAACUUACUUGGGAGAUAUUCCCCACCCAAAUUCAUAAUCGUUUGUUUAGAAAUCAGUAACUUGGGGCGCAAGUUAUCGGUUUUAAAGAAGUCUGCUAGAAUCUUUAUUGCUAGUGGUGGCACGCUCAUACACCAAAGAAAGCUGACUUGUUGACCAAUCAAUGGUUUCCAAGGCAGUGGGGAACUUUGCCCUUCCAUCUCAGGAAUAAACACAAAAAAGGGUGAACAGUGGUACUAACAGGCAGCAUUUCAGUGACUCAUAAGAAAAGAUUUAGAGAGAGCUAUUUUGGGCACCUGUUGGGCCUCUAUAAAAUUGCAUUUAGCGGUCAAAUUGUGCAUGCUUUAGCACUCCGGCAAGUUAGAGGACUUGAUGUGAAGGACAUGCUGAGCCUUAGUUAUGCAAUAGGGUCCAACGUUGCUCAAUUUACUGUAAAGGACUUUCGUUUGAUAAGUGGUCUGAAAUGUGGAACAGAGCCUUACAUAACGUCCGCAGGGGAUGCUCCUAAUCGAUUUAUGAAAAAGCAUUUUACCAACAGGAGUCAUAUUAUUUUUCCAUGACUUAGAAAAUGCAUUCCUAAAGUCCGAAAGAGGAAGCAAGAACUUGUUCAAAUUGAGACUGUUGUAUUUUGUGGAGUUUGUGAUAAUGGGUAAACCCCAAAAUGUAAAGAUAAACGAGGACUACUUACAUUUGGUUCAUAAAAUAGAUGAAUUCAACAAACAUCAGGGGGAUCUAUAUCGUUUGAGUGUUUGCAAGAUUCUCUGUUGUUUUCUCUCAGGAAGAAAGAGAGUGAUAAAGACAAUGAUGGGAAGGGGAAAGGACAGAAAAAAUGAAAAAAGGUGGUGCAGAGUUCAAUGAGAAAAGGGAAGGAAAACAUGGAGGAUGACAAGUGUAAAAGAAUUAACAAACCUACAUGGAAUAUAAAGGGAUUGAGCUAUGCUUUCCAAGUAUGAUUUAGUUCAAAAUUGGUGUUGGUAAAAUUUAAGUUCGUAAUUAAGUACUGACUUUGAUAAUCUAUUUGGUGUAGAUUUGGGCGUAUGAAUUAAUUGCUAAAUUAGGAAUUCCCCCUAGAUAUUGUAAGAGGAUCGAGGAACCUGCAUUAGUCCCUCAAAUUUGCAUGUGGGAAUCCAUAGAUAAAGUGCCUGAGUUUAGAAAGCUGAACGCUUAUAUAUUUCAAAGUAAAUAGGUGUGUAGUUAAUAAUUUAUUUCAAUAGUAUGUUGGUUUCAUAAGGAAAGCUGUUUAGUAUUGUAUAUGACCUGUUAACUCUAUAUUUUUGACAGCCUGUUAUACUGCGCCUUUUACGACCAAGUGCAUCGAAGAUGAGCCAACCAUAUUGGAGUUGGGGAUUAGAUGUUCUUGAAUGUGAUGCACCUAGUGUAACCCCACGGAUAUGUAAGGACCUUGACGAGGUAAACUUUGUUGGGCAAAAAUUCAAGAAUGAGGUUGCAAUAUGCACCGUGAGAAGGGUGAGCUAGAGGAGAGAGUUUUGCGCUUGGAAAAAUGUACUAGUCAUGCAGACGCAAGGAAGACUAAGGAUGCUGGAGAGGAGAGCCAUAAGACUGAGGAUGCUGGAAAGAAGAGUCAUAAGACUGAGGAUACUGGAGAGGAGAAUCAUAAAACUGAGAAUGAUGGAGUAGCCGAAUUGAGAGAAGAGUCUGUAUGAAAUGAGAAAGAAGAGGUGCAAUAUACACCCCGAUAUAAAUUGGGAUGAUCCAGAUGUGGUAUGUGUCACCCUUGUUAAAUUUCUUUCGAAAGUGGAAGGAAGCCUACACCCUCCAAUUUUUUCACGCUUCCGCAUUUCUUUUCAGACUCCAUCCUCCUCUCAAACCCUCUCAUAAUUUCUGUGGUCAGAAUCGAUACCUUCCUCAAACUCCCUCUCUCUUUCUCUGCCCUCUCAGUUUCUCUCCUCUCAAACUCCAUCUCUUCUUGCUCUCUCAGUUUCUCUGCAUCGAUAUCCCUUCCCGCCGUCAUCUCUCUCUUUCCUUUCCCUAUCAAAAAUCGAGGUCCAAAAGCAUUAUUUACUGCUCUCAUUUGGUAUAUGUUUCAUUUUCCUAUUCGUUGUUGCCUUCUACCUGUGUUGUCCCUCCUGCCGUUCUCUCAGUUGGAAACGCCGAAAACCCCCAUGUGGCUAGAACACCCACCCUAAUAUCUGAGAUCUCGUUGAGAGGGUAAUAAAUUUUCGAACUUUCAUAAGAUGUUUUGCAUUUUCUAUUGCAUUCACUUAAUGUUUUUACUUUUUGGAUUUUAGGGCUUUGAUUUUCUGGAUUUCCACUUAUGGACUUAUUUGUUUAAGAACAUGAUUGUGUCUCUGUGAGAUUGAGAGAUUGAGUGAAUUUUUCUUUUAACGUUUUGUGAUGUGAAUCAGUGCAGUGAGGUCAGUGAUGAUGACGAUGAUGAAGAAGCCAGAAAGGCAGAGGCUCUGCUUCAUCAGUUCAAUGUAAGCUUGUCUUUUCUUUCAUUAACUAAACAUUUUGUCCGUAAUGAUUUUGAGUUUUUCUAUUUAAACUCCACACUUCUCUUUGUUCACCCCAUGCUCUAAGUUCAACCCAACUUCUAAUUCAAACUUUCACAUUCUAAUAAAAACCCACUAUCUUCCCAAACCACCUUCAAAUACACACUCAGCAGAAAAAAUAAAAUAAAAUAAAACUCAUCAACCACACACCCCACACCCCGUUGUCUUGCGCCUCACCACUCUAAGUUCACCUCAAUCUCACAUUACUUAAAGAGAUAAAAACAUUGUUGUCAAAUGUGUAGCCGUAUUAUUUUAUUAUUAUUUAAACAAAAUUUGAGAAUGAACUAGGAGGUUUUGAUAGAGAAAUGUUGACAUUUAAAUUGAUAUGUAAGUUACCAUCAUCAAACAUGAAGAGUGGUGGGGUGUGUAUAGAUGUACUAGGGUUAAGUAUUAAGUUGGAUGACUUUUUUUGUCUUUUUACACAAUAAUAAAACUUAAGAGUUUAAUAAUUUAAUAUUAGGGUGAACAAAAAGAAGUAUGAGGUUUAAAUAGAAAAACUCAUGAUUUUUAUGCUCAACAAUUUCUUGGUGUGUGUUUUGAUGGAGUUAUUUAUUCAUUUGUUAUUUGAUGUAUUUUUGGGGCUGUUUAAUAAAUAAUGGUGAUGUAAAAUGUAAAUUUUCCUUUUUGUCUUCUUUUUUAAAUUAAUAAGAUAGAAAAAAAGAUUAGCGUUGGGAACUUUUAAAAUUAAAUAAAUAAAUAAGUCUCUGUAUGGUUGUUCAGAUAGACAACAUGGAUAAGUCUCUGUGUGGUUGUUCAAAUAAGUCUCUGCACAUCAAUUCCCAAUUUCAGUUUAGCUGCUAGAAUGAGGUUUUUUUUAGUUUAGGUAAGGUCGCUUUGUGUAGUCUCUCUAAUUUUUGUUCAUCCGUUUUAUAAUUGUUCCUCUGAUAGUAGGGUAAAGUUUCCUAUUGUCUUGAAAACCAUUGACUGGUCAACAAGUCAACUUUUUUUUGUGUGCGAGCGUGCCACUGCUAGCAAUGAAAAUCCUAGCAGACUUCUUAAAAAUAGAUAACUUGCGUCCCAAGUUACUGAUUUCUAAACAAGCGAUUGUGAAUUUGGGGGAGUAAUAUCUCCCAAGUAAGUUCUUUUCUUGCCUCAGACUGGUGAUGACUUCACAAUUUUUCAUAGUACAAAAACUGGUAGUUUUGGCCAGAAUAAAUGAUAAGAAAGUGACUGUUUUCACACAGAACUGCCUUUUUACAAAGUUCAAAAAGGAAAGGCCAACUCUAAAAGGACAAAAAGAGUGUUGGACUUUAAUUUUUGCCUGGAUAGAUGCUUCUAAUCCGGGUUGGACUGGAUAUGUCUGUGCUUGAUUGAACUAUCAACACCUUCAGCUGUCAAGUUUCGGCUAUAAAUCGAUACCAACGUUCAAGUGUGGUAGAGCUUUAAUCUAUUUCAAGCCCUGAAAGGCUUUUUGAAAGGGCAAAAUUGGGACUUCUUCAGUCUGAAACGGGUAGAAGUGACUGGUUUUGAUGAUUACUGAGCUGGAACUGCACUGUGGUACCUGUUCUGCUUGAUCAGGGCUCCCCAUAAAUUUGUUGAGGUGUUAAUAUUUGUAAAACCCAAACUCUGCUUGAUUUGGCUUAUGCUGAACCAAAUUUGUAACGAGAGAAAUCUCGCUUUGAAUGACUAUUUCUUUGAAACUGAACUGAGGUUUAAGAUUCUGGAUUAUAGCUGACUUGUUUCUUGUAGCUCGAUGAGUUUUUAGUUGCUUCAGUGUUUUGAAGGCUUUUGAGAUCAAGUGAUCAUUUUGAGUUUUUUUAUUUUUGAUUGAUUUUUUGGCUGUGCUUCAUCUGUUCACCCGCUCUCUUAUUUUAUAGGAAAUGCUGGAGUGGGGUUUAAUCUUUGAAUAAUGGGUGGUAGAUCUUUUCAAAAAUAUCUUUUCUCUUUUCAAAACCAAAAAGGAAGAAAGUCAUUGUUUUUGGCAGAUAAGAACCAUCAACAAUCAGCUUUCAUAGAGGUCUUUUUUUGCUUUUUCUGAAAGAAAACCAACUCUCUUUGUUCACUGUUUGUUCUUUGUAAAGAGAAAAACUCAAUCUGCCAUGAUGGUCAGUUUGCUUUCCCUGUUUGAACAACUCCCUUGCUCCCUACUUAUCUCUUGAAAUCGUAGUCUGCUUAUCUCUUGGAAAGGCCACCUGCUUUGGUGCAGAGUUUCUAUAUAUAUAUAUAUAUAAGGGAUCUUGAUCAUCUUCCUUUGGCUGUAAAAAUGGAGAAGUCCUCCUAUAAGACCUGCCUUUAUUAACUCGCUAUUAGCUCAUCUUGAGAUUUUUGACUUUUUCAAAGUCAGGUAGUCACGUGGGCUUCUUUGAGAAUAGACCUUCAAAAAAGAUCUGUUGAGUUGUACUAUGGGUUUUUGAGAUAAAUGGUGAGAAUUUAGAAGCUGAGCCCAAUCCAAUUCUUCUUUAGAAAUUUAUCGAUCUGCUUUGGUGAUGAAUUGCCAUUUUUAAUUGGCAAUUUUAUUGACUUAUUUUGUGUUUCUUACACCUCUACCACUUUGUAGAAGAUACGGGCCUCUUUGGUUUGGUUUGGUUUGGGCUGCUUUUCUGGAAUCAAGGCCCAUUCUUUUUCUCUUUUGUGGGCUUUUUAUUUUGGACUGGGCGUGUCAAUUCCCAAACAAUUUUACAUUCGUAUUGUUAUGAAUUUCUGAUUUUAGUUUUGGAAUAGAUUUAUAUAUUUAUUACCAUUUAUUAUUUCUUAUGAAAGGGUCUUAUGCCAAUGUAAAAGUUUAUAACAAUAGGUUUCGAAGUUCACAUUCCAUCAAUAGCUAAUGCAGAUGGAGUUAUGAAUUUAAUUUUUGGGAUGAUUUGUGUAGCCUGUAAUCUUUGAGAAUGUUUUGUUUAAAUGGGUUUUAUUUUUGGUUUGGUAGAAUGCAUUUUAUUGUGGUUUGGGUGUUUUUAUUUAUUUAUGAUAGAGUGGUAGAGAUGCAGAAUGAGGUGUGGGUAUUUUGGUCAUGUAAAAGGGAAAUUGCAGGUUUAUGGUUUGGUUUAAACAAUUGUGUGGCUAUGUGUUCACUUUAGGUGUAGGUGUUGUGAUGCACAGGAGACUCUGUUUCUAGGUUUAAAUUAUGUGUUUCUAUGUACGUAGUUGGGUGAUUUCUUAAUGUUUCUAUUAGGUUAUUUCAGUUUGUUUUCAGUUUGAUUUCGACAGCUGCGCUUCGUGUGAUUUUGCUUUUUUUUAUUUUUUUAUUAUUUUAUAACUUUGUAGAUUUAGGUUUGGCCAAAAUAUGCUGGCAAUGGCUACAACUACAUAUCCACCACCACCACCACCGCCACCGCCGUAUAUAAGCUCUACAAAAAUCACUUGCAAAACUCCAAAAGGAACAUAAUUUGCGAUGGUGGCAAUUAUACUGUGAGCUUUUCUCAUUCUUCCUGUCAAACUUUGUAUAAACUAUGUAAUUUGAGUUCUGAAAAAUGCUUUUGUCACUAAUGAUAUUUAUAUGGAUGCUUUUGUUUGCAUUUCUAAUUAUCUCUGUCUCUAAUUUGAAUGUUUUGCUUGACUUAUGAAUUAAAGUCUUUGGAAUUUUAUCUCAAUAGAUGGAAUUGUCUCUCACCUUUUUGACAUAUAAGGGUUCCGUUCCAUACCCGAAGCAAAAGAAGUAGAGGAAACUAUAUUUCAUGUUUUCCAGGUUAGUUGGAAACUAUUUUGUAUUUUAAAGUUUCCAAUCAUGAUACAUCAGUAUGAUUAUGUUUCAGGUUAGACACCCAAAUAUUAUAUCCUUAUUUCAUAGUACUUAAGCUGAUGAAAUUUUGGGUGCUUCUACCACCAAGUGUACCAUCUUUGUUGUCACCGAACCUGUCAUGCCAAUCUUUGAACAAGUCAAGGAACUCAGUUUACAACUGUAGUUCUAUUUUUUUUUCCCUUUAAUUUUAUGUUUGAUUUGUGUAUAUUUCUUUUUUCUUCCCUAAAAUUGGGCCAGUUGCUCUAAUUUGGAUAUUGUUGUUUGCCUUUUUUGUAUAUAGAAAGAAAGUUCUUGUGUACUCUGAUGUUGGCUUCAUUUAUGCAGGUCAUUUCUUUACUAAGCUAGACUACCAAUAGGCUACAAUUGCUACAAGGGGAGAGGCCAUCCAUGGUUGAAGAAGGGCAAUGGAUAUACCAUACACUUACCUAAAUGAGGUCAGUUUCUUGACUUGCUGCUUAACAAUAAUAACCAAUGUUAACACAAGUGUCAUCUCAACAGUAGAUAUAUCCUAAAAUUAUCAGUUGCAAAAUAAUGUAUACAUUGUAUGAACUCUUUCUAUUCUGAACAAAAGCAACGUAGAGAUUUUCUUAAUUUGAUUUUGCUUUUUCCAUUUGCCUUCAUUUGGAAUGGAUGAAGAAGUACAAGAUUGCAUUCAUUUUUCGUAGUGAAUUGUAUUCUUUUAUUAUACAGAAUAUUGUUUCAAAUGCAUGCUGCACCCCGAGUCUAGAAACCAAAUAUCUUCUCUUUUUGCUCCAUGUAGCUCCACAUAUGACAUCAGUAGCACUGCUUCUUCCUUUUCAUCAAGCUCAGCAAAAUUGGCUUCUUUGCCCCAACUUGGACACUCAUAUUGAAAGUGUCCGAGCUUGUGGCAAUUAUAACACUCAACAAGUGAUUUGUCGAAUGUUUGACCUCUGCCUCUGCCUCUUCCUCUAUAUGACCCUCUGCCACGUCCUCUUCCUCCUGACCUGUCUUCAUGAGUUACCUUUAAGGCCUGUUCUUCCCCAUCAUGCUUGUGAAAUUUCUGCUCAUGAACAAUCAGUGAGCUUUGUAAUUCAUCAAUGGACAGCUGGUCAAUAUCUUUCGACUCUUCAAUAGAACAAACUAUGUAAUUAAAUUUGUCUGUUAAGGAACGAAGUAUUUUCUCCACAAUUGUAACGUCUACCAUACGUUCACCAUGCACCCUCAUCUUAUUUGCAAGAGACAUUACACGAGAAAAAUAAUCACAGACUUUCUCACCAGUUUUCAUCUCUAAGGUUUCAAACUCUUUACGAAGAGCUUGUAGGAUCGAUCGCUUCACCCUUGCAUUCCCUUCAUAUUUCUUUCUCAUCGAGUCCCAUAUUUGCUUUGAAGAAUCCUUCUGAAGUAUGGUCUCCAAGAUGUCUCUAUCGAUUGCCUGGAACAAGUAAUUCUUCACUUUCAAAUCCUUCAAUUUCAACUCAUCGAGCUUCUUUUGCUGUGCCUCAGUCACAGCUGCUCCAGCUUCUGUUUCUGCAUAACCAGUCUCCACCAGGUUCCAAUAUUCCUUAGACCUCAAAAAAUUUUCCAUGAGCAUGCUCCAAUGGUCAUAAUGACCAUCGAAGCGGGGAAUUGCUGGCUGCACGAAAUUCACUUCACUCGUCAUAUCUCUCUCUCUGUGUUUGCAAGUCACUCAAAAGUCUGCGGCUUUCUUUUUUUCUCAGGCCCAGUGGAGGCUCUAAUAUCAGAUUGUUGUGACACAAAGAACUUAAACAAAGCAACACACUUAAUCUGGGAGAGACUUCUUAUUGACUUCAGCAAACACUGGCUAUUAUAUAGCCUUACAACUUCCUAAAUAAAAACAAAGAUUACAGUCCACGUUUACUCUAACAGAAACAUGGUUAUCAACAAAGGGAAAUAGUCAAAACAAACAACCUACUCCCUAGUUAACAGGGAUUAUUCAAAACAACCCAACAGAAACACCUAUAAACUCGACAUAUUCUUCAUUCGGAGGACAAUAUUUGUAUUUGAUUUUAAAAAAAAUUUCUAUUAUGUUUGGUUGUAACUUUUUUAUUUCGACAUAAAAAAGAAGAAAAAUUGGGAAUUGAAUUUUUUUUUUUAUAGAGUUCCACUACACUGGAAAUUCGCUUAUUUUAAAGCGAUAUGUGUGAUAAUUAUCUUAUGUAUUUGAUUUGUGAUAUAAUUCCUUUUCCUUGGUGCCCAAGUAGGCAGUGAAUCUGUUCUGUAACAAAAACAAGCGUAUUCAUUUCCUUGGAAGCCUAAAGAUCAAUCAGUCAAGCCUCUCCACACUGAGAGAGAGAGAAAUAGAGAGAGAGACCAAUUUGAACUAAGAGGGUUCAAUUUCACGAGGAAUUACAGAUGAAGAAAGCAGUAACGCUUCAAAUGUGUUUCAAUUUCACGAGGGUUCUGAAAGUAAUGUAUCCUCCUGCUGCUACUCCUAAAAUUCCAACUUCAACAACCCUUGUUGCCCGUCAUCCUCAACUGCUCACAAGAAGGUUAAUGUCUUCCAACUCUAACCUUGACAUGGCCGAGGCCGACAAGAUCUCCACCUCCCCUAUUUCGUUCUCCUCGUGGUAUUCCUUCGGUGAUCCCUGCCUUGAUCUGUUUUUUCAUGUGAAAAGUCGAGAUCAAGAUCACAUCGGUAACGACGACGAAGAUGACGACAUCAAGCAGGAGAGGCAGAAACAGACCUCCCAUUAUAACCAUCAUAGACUUAACUAUCUGAAGCAACUGCUGCCGGUGGCCUGGUCCCACAAUCCCCUGACCACCCUCAAGCUUAUCUUCAAUCUCCAUUCUGGGAUUUCUAGUAAGGGAAGAGAUUAUCCGGAAGCCUUUCACACAGCCGUGUUUUGGCUCCACCAGAACCACCCCAAGACGCUAUUAUGCAACCUCCCCGCCUUCGCCGGUUGGAAAUGGGGUUUCAAUGACCUUCUCGACAUUCUCUACGGCCUUCUAGAACAAGGCCAAGACCCUACUGCAGGGGAGAGGCUCCACCGCGACCCUGACUAUAAGUUGUUACACGACCAGAUUAUGGAUCUCUUGGCGGAGCGGUGGAAGUCUGAUGUUGAAAAAUUUAAGCAGCACAAGCUGGAACUAAAGUCAUUCCAAGACUGGGACCAACUUGAUGAGGCUGAUCAUCUUUUGGUAUCUGGGACUGCAGUGGUUUGCAGCCUCCCCGACCAUCACACCAGCUCCAUUUUGCUUCGCGAAAGCAUUGCGAGGAGGCUUUUCCCACCAGAAUCGGAUCAAUCCGAAGAGUGGGAACGGCUAACCGACGCUUUGGAGCCCUUUUUAAAUUACUACAUGCAUCGGGCCUCACUUUGGAACCACACACUAGAGCGCUCUGAGGUUAAAAAGUGUUUGGAGGAGGUGAAAGCAGCAGCUGCAGCAGGAGGCAAUUUAGGAGGCGGCAUAAUAAAGCCGGAUGCUUUGCUUCCAAAUGAGAUCAUAAAAUAUGCAGAAGAUGAGGAUUUCGGGGAAGCGGCUAACCUUCAGUGGAAGGCAAUGGUGGAGGACAUGUACCUAAAGCAGCAGCAAAAGAAGGGGGAAGAAGGUUUGGGCAAAUUUACAAACUGUUUGGCAGUGUGUAACAUCACCGAGGACACGGCCAAAUUACAAAGAGAACUGGGGGUGAGUUUGGGACUUUUGGUUUCGGAACUGAAUGAAGAUCCGGCAUGGAAAGGAAAGGUGAUCAGUUUCGGUGAUUUGCCCGACGGUCAGCCUCAGCCUCAGCCUCUGCUGCAUUCCAUACAAGGCGAUGAUUUAAAGUCCAAGUGCGAGUUUAUGAUGAGGACAUGUCGCAUGAAGUCCAACGAGAGUGUCGAUUAUCGGAAGGUGUGUGAUCUGAUUCUGGAAGUGGUUGAGAAUGAGAACUUGAAGGCAGAGCAGAUGAUCAAGAAAGUGUUUGUGCUCACCGACUUCACAGGAUUCUUUAGCUGCACCUCGAAGACUCUGCAUGAAGCAAACCAGAGCAAGCUUGAGGAGCUCGAGGCUUCCGGAUAUGAUGCGAGGCCAUUGCCACACAUUUUGCUUUGGAAUAUUAGUGACUGGAAGUAUCCUCAUUCAGAAGAACAUCAUCCAGGGGUGACGCUGAUGAGUGGCGUCAACGACAAUUUGAUCAAGUCCUUCAUGGACAAUGGUGGGGAAAUUGGCCCGCGACAGGUCAUGGAAGCAGCCAUCGCUGACAAAGAGUUUCAAACUUUCUCUGUCGUCGACUGAACUUUAAUUUUAGAGUUGAGUAUAGCUAGAUAGCAACAUUUCUGCUCUGAAAGUGGAGAAACUAUUGGUUUGGUAUGUAUUAAUUGAAACUGAUUUCAUUUUAAUCAUCUGCUUAUACUAUGUUCAUAUGAAACUGAUUACACACAAACUAAAUUUUCAGCUUAAGAAGAACCUAAGCCUCAACUACCCCGAUCACUAAAUCAUACAGCAUUUUCCCAUCAAAACCAGCUGUUCAUUCACAUAGAUUGAACGUAAUUCCAUGAAAUCAUCCAUUUUCCCGGACAUAGAGAUGAGGGUGAUCAGAAGUUUAAACCGAAGCAAUGUUUGUGUCCGGUAAAGUUUAGUCUCCCUAUUCGUCGUUUGAAAAUGCCAUGCUAAAUGUGAUGAAGAAACUUUAGUUUUGUGAUCAUUCCUCCAACAAUAACAUAAGCAAUAAAAAAAUUACUAAUAAACUUUAACCAAACAGCUAAUUAAGCACAAAUAUAUAGUAAUAAUAGUAUAGGUUUCCGCACUUAACAAGUCCCUGGUGAAUCUAAUCCUUGAUUUUAAAUCCUCUUCACAUCUUCCCACCUCAAGUUCAUCUUCGAGUCCUCAUAUGCAACUGCGAAAAAUUUAUUCGUCUAAUCACGCACUUCAAAAAAAUAGACAUAGUCUCACAAUCUAUAUGGUUUCCGAACACUCUUUUAUGUGACAUGUUAUUGGUGCUUUUUUAAUUAACUAAAAACUUUUUAAAACACUUUCUACAACUAGAUCUUGUUCUAGUGGUAUUUCUCUUCACAAUAUUGGAAGAGAUUGCAAGUUCGAAUCCCCCAUUCCGGUUAAUAUAAAGAUAAAUAAAAGAAGACAUAUGAAGGGGUUUAAAUCCCAAAAUUAGCCAGCUGAUAUUUCUUUAAAAUUAAAGAUGUGAGUUUUCUUAAGGCUGAUUGACAUAGACAUCCACACCACAUGUUGGGCAAAAAGAAUUAAUUUCAGAGCAAUCUUUCUUUAAUAAAAGUGGUCUCUCAUUAUAGGCAGUAUAUCCCUUUAUAUUUGAGUCAUGCAAUGCAAGGCAUGAAGGGUCACUUUCUAGGCCACACCAGAAGAACCCAACAGGACUGAAUAGAACAUGAUCAACAAAAAUCAACAUUUGAGGCGCUUUUUUUUAGUGUCACGUGUGAUUAGAGUUUCAAUUUUUAUUAUUAUUUUUUUUUGUUAACCUUAAAACUUUAUAAGAAAUUAAUACAAAUACAAAAAUAUAUUGAAAUUUUUUUUUUUUUUUCCAAACUCCUUGCAACAUUAUCCAAGACUAUGACGUAUGAAAACAAAAUUUUUACCUUGGGAAAUUUGAAGUAAUAAACAAAUGAAACAUACGAUCAAUUAUUAAGAAAAGAUAGAAUGAUGUGUCUAGCAGUAAAACAAUUCACAAAGCAAUUCAUGACACAAAACUAAAGGAACUCAUAUCAUGCAUUUAUGGAUGUGUAUUUUCAGAUGAUAAAAAAAGCUUUCAACCUACUCCGUGGAUAUACCUUUCCACAAUGCUUAUUUUAUUUGAGCCUCUGAAAUUACCAAUUCUAAACAGAUUGGCACGAACCUUAACAUAUGCAAAGUAGUUCCUUAUUUCCGGUACAUCACCAAGAUAAUAGGAAUGAGGACGACUCCAUCCACCGCAUGGAAUUUGCACAAACUGCAACAAAAUAUGGGUCCCUCCUUGGGCAUCAAAAUAAAUAACACAAACAGCUUACAAAUCAUUUCAGUAAGCAGUCUGAGGUACAGCAAAAGACUCUACUUUGGUCUCGGUAAUUAAGUUCCAAAUAAUAAAAUCCACUGAUGCAAAACCAGCAGCACAAUGGCUGCUUGACAACUCAUUGACAGAGCUAUUAUCAGUGGAGACGGAUUGAAUAAGACUCAACUCCUUCACUUGCUUCAUCGCUAUAAACUCUAAUGUCUAUUGCUUUAUCCCUGACGACUGGUCAUUUUGAAGUAGGGUCUCUGUAGUUGAAGAACUAAGGGGAGGCAUUGGUGACAGGUACUCGGCGAGGCAUUGGUGUCAGGUUACUUUGAUGCAGAGUAAUGUCCUGGGGAAAAAAAUCGAGAAUUGGAGCAGGGGUGGAUUCUCGAUUCUCCUCCUGGACUGUUGAAUAAUAUAAGUCAUGUUCCCGAAACACAACAUCUAUGGAGGUAAAGACCUUCUGACUAGGUGGAUGAUAACACCGGUAUCGUUUUUGAUGAGGUGCAUAGCCAAUAAAAACACACUUUUUUGCUCGGGGAUCCAAUUUGCUUCGUUGGUGAUCAUGUAAGUGGACAAAUACAACACAGCUGAAAAUUCGGGGUUCCAGGUUUGGGGUGGGAGGUGUUUGGAUAUGGUGGUGAAGUGUUUGAAGUGGUGUUUGGGAAUUUAGGAUACUAGAGGGAAUCCGAUUGAUAAGGUAUCACUACAAGAAAAAUACCGUAUAACAACAUGAAUAUAACAACGUGCGUUUAAUGGGUGUUGUAAAAUAUACUUUUAACAACAUGCUUUUAAAUGCGCGUUGCCUAAAUUUUUUUUUUGACAACAUGCAAAAACUGUGUGUUGUUAAACGGCUAUUUUACAACACACACAAGCGCGUUGCAAGUUUCACUGAAAUCUACAACGUGGCUAGUACGUUGGGAAAUUAUUAUUUUUUUUUUUGGUAAGAGAAAACAUAUAUGAAGUGACAACAAAGUUUAUGAGGGAAAUUUUUUCGCGAACUCCCUCCAUUUUUUUUGGACUGAGCAAACUCCCCAUGAGUAUACUUGGUUUUUUUUUUUUUUUUUUUCUCUUUUAUGAAAACCAAGUUCAAAUUGAGAAACUCAUUCAGCCUUAAGCCCUCUCGCUGUCUCCUCCUCUUCCACCCCUCUCCCCUUCUCUCACCUCCCCCCUUUAUCGCUACUUUGGUUUUCAGCCUAUCCCUCUCAAACACCCUUUUCUCUCCCUUAUUUUAUUGCUAUUUCAUAUGUUCUGGGAAGCCCAAGCAAAUGAAGCAUAUGUAAGGCCCCGUCCUUCUUUUCUAUGGCUAACGAAAAUUAUAAUUAACUUUAAAUUUAAAAUUUUUGGUUAUUCUCUUUUGAUUUUCAAUUUCCUAGGUUAUUUUUGGGGUCCAAUUUUGGUUUUGAUUGUUAUGAAGGAUUUAGGGUUUGGAUUGGGUUUCCAAAAGCUAUUCUUAGCUAUUCUUUGAAUUGCUCUGUGUAAUAUUUGUCAAUUCAUAGGAUUUCAGUUUAGGAUUUGGGCAUUCACAGUUCCUUCCAUUCGAUUUAAGGCUGAAAGUGUUUUUUUUCCCUUCCUUAUGCAUCUCUGAUUCUAUUAGGUGGGCGGAAGACACCACUCUAGCAAGUCGCUCUACUCGUGAAGGAAUCUGCUUCAAAUUCUGUUACAUAUAUGGUAUUCCUUUUCUUCUUUAAGUCUAUUUUCUUCAUUUUCUUUAAAGUAUUGGCAUGUGCUGCUGUUUCUUUUCAACCUAAAUCCAAUCUUUCUAUGAAUUUCUCUACAAUCUCUUUCUAAUUUGUUCUUUUUAUUGUUACAGUUUCCUUUUUUGGGGCUUUCUCUUGUAGGGACUUGUCCAUUCUCGAGUGAUUAUUUCUUGCUCCAUUCUGAAUGUUAGCUUGUUGCUCAUUCUUUGCUCUGUUAUUUGGAUGUUAGUUUGAAUCUCUCUAUUUUUAGUUGGUACUUCACAUUCUUAUUUGAAUCUCAUUGGAAACUCUAAUGGAACCACUAGUUUUAAAUCUCCCUAUGUGUUCAUUUGGUUAUGAACUUUCAUUUUGUUUUUAGUUUUGGAUUCAUUCUUUAUUUUGUUUGGAAUUUGGAACACUGAUUUCUAAUUAUGAAACAUCUCUCUAUUAAAAUAACUUCAUUAAAUACAUGUAAUCUGAUUUGGGGCUGGGGCAUAAGGUCUUGUUUGUAGGUGCUGUUUUGAAGGAGAUGAAAAGAGAAGAGGAAAUUGAGCUUUAGUUUCCAAUCUUUGUUAAUAAUUUGUGCAGGCUUAUAGUUUCCAUUUCUAUGUAGAUGGAUUUAUAGGCAAGGUGAGGAUUCUAAAUUAGGUUCCAUUCUUUUUUCUUUUUUCCUACAAUUUUGUUUCUUGAAGAUUUGUUGGCUUUGUGCAAAUGGAGAACACGUUUAAUUUUGAAACCCCACACAUCAAUUGAUUAAGCUAGUCUCUCUCCCACUUUGACACAUGCAAACAAGCACAUUUUGUUUUUGUUGAGUUUCUUUGUUCUAGGGAAAUUUUUUUGUUCGUGAAAAUUACAAUGGAUGACUGCUAAAAUGAGUUUUCUAACAAAAAUGCAGGGGAUUUUGAUAAAUGGCCAAGGCCACAUAUCAAAUGCAAGUUUGAUUCUUGUUAGCUUGUGUCUGCUAUUACUAGGAGGUUUUUGCAUAGGUUGCAUGUGGUUUGGUGUGUUAGAGAUUGAUUUUUGUUGUUAUAUUCAUGACUACGGGUUGGAGGCCAGUGUCAAUUUGUUUCAGGCUUCAAUAGGAGUGCUGGUCAGUUUUUUUCUUUUUCUGUUAUUUUUUAGGAUGAUGCUGUUUGAAUUUUAUUAGUUUUAAAGUGAAUUUUUGAAGAAUAUUGUCAUACUGAAUUGUGUUUGGGUAGGUGGGUUCCAUUAGCAGCUUCAUCCCGAAUUGUAAGCAUUAUUCAUAUUUUCUAUUCAAUUUGAAACUUAUAUAUGCAAUUUUUUUUUCUUUCUCAAUGCACAUAGUUUAUGAUUAGAAGAUCAUUCUCCCUGUUUUUUCUUGUCCAAACCUUUUCAGAAGAUAUUUAAGAUGGUGAAAAAAGCUCGGAAGCAUGGUAAGGGGGAGCUUGGUGGAUUAUGUGGAGUUUGUUGAUAUUGUAAAAGUCAAAGAACUACAAAGGAGAAGCUUGAGUGUAACUUAGUUGGUGAUGAUGAAGUUAUACAUAUGUAUAGAUAUGUUAGAACUUGACUUGUAGGAUAAUCAUGUGUAUAAAUUUGGUUUAGGUUUAUUCGUGUAAUUAGGCAUGCAGUUAGCAGCCCUAGAAUACUUUCAUUUUUUAUAGAUUUUAUUUUGUUUUAUUGUACCUCUCAUAUUGUAUGCUUUUGAAUAAUAUUAAUAAGCAAUUGAUACGGUUUUUUGUAGAUGGAAUGGCAAAAAAAAAACAAAAACAAAACAAAACGGAUUAUGUGUAUAAGAUUUGAGGGUAUGUGUUUAGGGAUUUUGAUAAGAGGAUUUGGGGACUUUAGAUUUGAGGGAUUUGGAUUUGGGGAAAAAUAUGAGGAAUUUGAUUUAGGGUUUUGGAUUUGAAUAUGAGAAAUUUGAGAUAAGGGUUUAGAGACAACCUAGGAUCGAUUGCUCUGAUACCAUGUUAAAAUACGAAUAUGGUUUGAAUGUAUUAGGUUGAGUUUUAUUCUUCUCUAUAAGAAGGUAUAUAUAGGAGUUUACAUGAGGGUUUUACAAGGAAUUAGAUAUAGUAAAGAAUUAUAAAAGUAUCUCCUAAUUGUACAAUGAUUUAUCACUUAUAUAAAAUUAGGAAAGCAAAUUCCUUAAUUAAUCAAGGAAGUAAAUCUCCUUGAUUAAUUAGGAGACUCACGUCAACAAAUUUGACAUGUAAAAUUCAAAUAAUUUCUCAACGUCAAGUUUGUUUUGAUGCUAACAAUAAUAUUAUGUUGAAAAUCAUUACUCUCCUUGACAACAACUCUUCCUCCAAUUAUUACUUUCAAAUUUUCCAAGGCCAAAAUUUUAUUAUCACACAUCGUAGUCGAAGAUAAUGUCGCAAGGAGUUUUUGUAGAAAUUUUCGGUGCCUUUUUUUCAUUUUUUAUUCAUUGUUUGUGAAUUUUUUAAGUUAUAGAUACAAAAAUGAACACACAUGGCGCCACGCGAUACUAACACCUGUUGGAAACUCUGACGACGCACAAUUCAAGUGUCACCACUUGUCAUUCUCUUACGUUUAUUUCUAUUUUUGUAUACUUUAACUUCCAAAAAUAAGAAUAAUUCAUUAAAUAACAUGAAAAUACACAAAUUGCUUGUGAGCCUAUGUACAUCUUUUGAGUUCAUCUGAAAAAUUCAUAAAAUAGUAAUGAAAACUUCUUAGUAAAAAAAAAUUAUUUAUGAAGCUUUAGUUAAUAAUAGGGAAGGAUGCGAUGUUGAAGCUGUAGAAAAUUCUUUUGGAUAAUGGGUGGAACUCAAUGAGUUGGCAAUAUGACAGUAAAAAUGUCAUCGGCAUACAUCUGUAAGUACAUGAAAAAACUGUUAUAAUCCAUGGCAUACUGCUACAUUAUAGGCAGCAGCCUUCACGCCACACCUGCAGAGAUAGUUUGCAAUGCCCAAUGUUCCUUUUCUAGUAGGAACAUAUGUGAUGGUUGACCCAUUCUCUAAAGGCUCCUGCUGCAAAAGUGUUGGUCUUUCUUUCGGUUUAUUUGGCAGAUCAAUAAUAUCAGAUAUAGUUUCUUUUCUAGUAUUAUGUUGACAAGUGUGAACUGAUGCUUGAUCGAGGGAUGAUAUUGGGGUGAAAACUAAAAGCAACUGCUCUUCUCUCACGAUAUGGCCGAGUUUUGUGAAUUUGUAUUUUUUUCCUUUUUAUUUUAUUGCGUGUUUGCGAAACUUCACAUCCGAACUCUAAAACAUAAAUUUCUCAUAAGCUAUUGGUUUUUUUUGUUUCAGGGGUUUUUCUGUCCAAGUUUUUUUGGUAUUUCUUGAGCACGUUUUCAUCUUAUUUCCUUUCCAUUUUUUUUUCAAAAUUAAAAUUUCAACACGUUUAUUUUACCACUUUACCCCUUUUUAAUUAAAUUUUUUUUCUGAUUUCUUAUCAAGUUUUGGUGGACUUAGUCUUUGUGAUUUCAUCUCCUUUUAAAAGAAAAGAAAUUGAUAUUGGAUUUCAAUAUUACUUUCUGAAUAGUUAAGACGUAAACUUCUUUUUUUUUUUUUUUUUUUUUUUUUUUUUUUCUAGUUUUUGAGUACACAACAUGUAUAAGGGGUGGCCUCGUUAAAACCUUCCCGAAGAAAACUACGGAGUAGGAAAGAGUACCACACCACACAUGCCGCCUUAUUUAAAAAGCAUACAUAUAAUAAAAGCACGAAUUUAAAAAGCAUUGAUAGUCAAGGCCAUGAUGUACUACCGUAAGUACUGGAGCCCUCAUCUCCCUUGGAAGACUUCCUGUCAAUAAAUAAAAAGAAAGAAAAGAAAAUUUGAAUAAGCCAAAAUUAUAAAAUACUAGAAACUUUUAAAAAAAAUAUAUAAUUAAAACCAAAAAUACAUAAAAAAAUUUCUUACUUGUUUUGCUUAAGUUCGUAGUCGAUGUCGUACGGCAUGAUUUUCAAGUCAUGCUCUUCAGCAAUUUUUUCAAUCUCAUUGUACUCUGUUGAUGAAGGAUCUACAGAGUACGGAUCAAUGGAAAUUUGAUUUCCUUUCCAUUGAUCGUUAGUUUUGACUUGUAUGAUUUCUUGCAUGUCUUUGAUGCUAGCUACAGAUAGUUGUUCUAAAUUUUUCAAAUUUUUUAUAGCCCUAUCUCUUUGUUUUUCGAGUGUUUUAAUCAUCUCGGCUAUCUCUUUAGCUUCGGAUGAUGUGCUGUUCUUGGGUGAAAUGCUUCGUAGGUGCAUUAUUCUACUAAUUUUUGAUAAUACAAUUUUAAACGCAGCGUUAGUGAUGAAAGACAUAUCUAACCUAAUUACAAAAGAAAACAAUACUGGCUUUUUAUAACCGGAUGGGAAUGGAAAUGAAUGUAAAACAAAUGCUUUUCUUGCUGAAAGAACUCGCUCAACUGUCAACUCAUGCAAGUCAUCCUUUAUUUUUGAGUAGUUUGCAUGUGGUGUGUGUGUCUAACGUUUUUGUCAUGAAAAUGUUUUUAUCAUAUUUCUUUUUGGGCUUCUAGUCCCAUAUUUCAUGAAUAUGGCACAUUAAAAUAUGGGCUGUUAUCUGGUGGGGAGUUCUAUUUGAGAAUCUCUACGUGAGAACACCCUCGGAUCUAAUCUAACGGAUGAGAAAAAGCAAUCCUAAGUGAAACUGUUGCAGUGGAAGCCAGCCUACACCCUCCAAUUUUUUCACGCUCCCGCACUUCAUUUCAGACUCCAUCCUCCUCUCAAACCAUCUCCUAUUUUCUUUGGUCAGAAUCGAUACCUUUCUCAAACUCCCUCUCUCUUUCUCUGCCCUCUCAGUUUCUCUCCUCUCAAACUCCAUCUCUGUCUUGCUCUCUCAGUUUCUCUGCGUCGAUAUCCCUCCCCGACGUCAUCUCUCUCUUUCCUUUCCCUAUCAAAAAUCGAGGUCCAAAAGCCCUAUUUACUGCUCUCAUUUGGCAUCUGUUUCAUUUUCCUAUUCGUUGUUGUCCUCUACCUGUGUUGUCCAUCCUGCCGUUCUCUCAGUUGGAAACGCCCAAAACCCCCAUGUGGUUAGAGCACCCACCCUAAUAUCUGAGAUCUCGUUGAGAGGGUAAUAAAUUUUCAAACUUUCAUAAGAUGUUUUGCAUUUUCCGUUGCAUUCACUUAAUGUUUUUGCUUGUUGGAUUUUAGGGCUUUGAUUUUCUGGGUUUCCACUUAUGUUCUUAUUUCUUUAAGAACAUGAUUGUGUCUCUGUGAGAUUGAGAGAUUGAGUGAAUUUUUCUUUUAACGUUUUGUGAUGUGAAUCAGUGCAGUGAGGUCGGUGAUGAUGACGAUGGUGAAGAAGCCAGAAAGGCAGAGGCUCUGCUUCGUCAGUUCAACGUAAGCUUGUCUUUUCUUUAAUUAACUAAACAUUUUGUCCGUAAUGAUUUUUAUGCUCAACAAUUUCUUGGUGUGUGUUUUGAUGGAGUUAUUUAUUCAUUUGUUAUUUGAUGUAUUUUUGGGGAUAUUUAAUAAAUAAUGGUGAUGUAAAAUGUAAAUUUUCCUUUUUGUCUUCUUUUUUUAAAUUAAUAAGAUCAGCGUUGGGAUUUUUAAAAAUUAAAUAAAUAAAUAAGUCGCUGUGUGGUUGUUCAUGGAUAUUUUUGGGUUGGUUUAUCUAAAUAGAAAAGAGAAGGAAAGAAAACAAAAGAUUUUACUUUAGGGUUGGCAGAAAAAUUAAAAAGAAAAGACCAACUUGAUGUCGGAGACGGAAUCGCAAUUUUUUUAAGACGAAAGAAAUGUAAUUUAUCAUUAGCUUUGCUUUCAUAUUAUAAAGUUGACAUAUGAUCUGUCAUCAUUUUAACACGGUUGCUUAUAAUUAUUAGAUUUUCUUUAAUAUUUAAGUAGUUGUUCUCUGCUUGUUAAAUUUUAUAGGAAUCGGAAAUCAUGUUUUUGAUGGCUGAGUAGCGGAAUAGAAUGGAUAUUACCAAUCCAAAUAUCCAGAUGGCUGAGUGUGAACUAGGUUAUUUAGCUUCUUAAGAUUAUAUUGUAUCUGCUUUCCAUUGACGUUUGCUGUUCAAACUGCAGCAUCUCACUUAUUCAAUUUAUUGGUUUGCCUUCUAAUUCUUUGAGUAUAUGUCGUGAUUUUUUUUUGGGACUUUUGUCAUCUGCUUGUAUCAUUGUGCUUUCUUCACUUGUUUAGAUCAAGUAUUAUGUUGACGAGUGUGAGAUCUUUUCAAUAUGUUGAGAAAUGUGAGAUAAACUUUUUUAUAUUCCUGUUUGCUCGAUGAGACGCACAGCUUGUGCAGCCAUUGAGUCAUCUAAGCUUAUGCAAGAGAAGCACAGGGAAAUACCAUCUUAUUCGAGGUAAGCAAUCCGAAUCCUUGUUGGAAUGUCAUUGAAACGAGUUUUUUUUUUGUUGCUUUUAUUUCUAAAUACUAAAGCUUUGUGAUUUCGCUUCUGUUUUUAAUGUUUUGUCUCCAACCCCAUUGAAAAUAGGGUCUGCUUAUGGAUAAAGAAUUUGGUUUGUCUCAAAUUAUGGAGAAGAUUUUUCUUCUGCUCUUUGGGAUUGUAUUGUUACAGCUUGUGGUUCAUUGCUCUGGUACUGAUUUAAAGGUAAAACAUGAUAGAGGUUUGUUAAUUAUAGUAAAAUUUAUUGUUUUGAAGAUAAUCAAAUAUAGAAAGCAAAAAAAGAGAGUAUUCCUCUGAAUAUUGCUUAAACGCGUUUAUAUCUACAAUUUGCUUAAACUUUGUCUAAUUAUAGUAAAAUUUAUUGUUUUGAUAUUCGUUAUUCUUUUCAUUUUUUAAUUGAUAAAGCAGAUACAAUUUGUUGCAGGAGAAAGCAGCGCAAGAGAGACUCAGCAGAUAGAGGGAUGGGGAAGCAUCAUGGUGAGUCAACAUAAGCAUUGAUCAUGACUUCUUCGAGCAGUGAAUCAAAGUCCCUCUUUUUCGUGGACAAGUCCAAAGGUACCUCUUGUGACCUUCAUACCUUUGUUUUUUUGUUUUUGUUUUUGUUUUUGGUUUCGAGUGACAUAAUUGUCUUUUUUCGCUUUCAGUAAUUCAAUUGCUUCUGUACAUCAAUCCCGAAUUUCAGUUCAGCUGCCAGAGUUAGGUUUUUUUUUAGUUUAGGUAAAGUCGCUUUGUGCAGUCUCUCUAACUUUACGUUUGUAUUGUUAUGAAUUUCUGAUUUUAGUUUUGGAAUAGAUUUAUAUAUUUAUUACCAUUUAUUAUUUCUCAUGAAAGGGUCUUAUGCCAAUGUAAAAGUUUAUAACAAUACGUUUCGAAUUUCACAUUCCAUCAACAGCUAAUGCAGAUGGAGUUAUGAAUUUAAUUUUUUGGGAUGAUUUGUGUGGCCGUCUUGGAGAACGUUUUGUUUAAAUGGGUUUUAUUUUUGGUUUGGUAGAAUGCAUUUUAUUGUGGUUUGGGUGUUUUUUUUAUGAUAGAGUGGUAGAGAUGCAGAAGGAGGUGUGGGUAUUUUGGCCCUGUUAAAAGGAAAUUGCAGGUUUAUGGUUUGGUUUAAACAAUUGUGUGGGUAUGUGUUCGCUUUAGGUGUAGGUGUUGUGAUGCACAGGAGACUCUGUUUCUAGGUUUAAAUUAUGUGUUUCUAUGUACAUAGUUGGGUGAUUUCUUAAUGUUUCUAUUCGGUUGUUUCAGUUUGUUUUCUGUUAGAUUUCGACAGCUGCGCUUCGUGUGAUUGCUUUCUCUAACUUUGUAGAUUUAGGUUUGGCCAAAAGGUGCUAGCAAUGGGUACAACGACAUAGCCACCACCACCACCACCGUAUAUAAGCUCUACAAAGAUUACUUGCAAAACCCCAAAAGGGACAUAAUUUGCGAUGGUGGCAAUUACGCUGUGAGCUUUUCUAGUUCUUCCUGUCAAAAUUUGUAUUAAACUAUGUAAUUUGAUUUCUGAAAAAUGCUUUUGUCACUAAUGAUAUUUAUGUGGGUGCUUUUGUUUGCAUUUCUAAUUAUCUCUCUCUAAUUUGAAUGUUUUGCUUGACUUAUGAAAUUAAAGUCCUUGGAAUUUUAUCUUAAUAGAUGGAAUCGUCUCUCACCUUUCUGACGUAUAAGGGUUCCGUUCCAUACCCGAAGCAAAAGAAGUAGAGGAAACUAUAUUUCAUGUUUUCCUGGUUAGUUGGAAACUAUUUUGUAUUUUAAAGUUUCCAAUCAUGAUACAUUAGUUGGAAUGUGAUUUUGUUUCAGCUUAGACACCCAAAUAUUAUAUCCUUAUUCCAUAGUACUUAAGCUGAUAAACUUUGGGUGGUUCUACCACCAAGCGUACCAUCUUUGUUGUUGCCGAACCUGUCAUGCCACUCUUUGAACAAGUCAAGGAACUCAGUUUACAAUUGUAGUUCUAUUUUUCUUUUGCCUUUAAUUUUAUGUUUGGUUUUUGUAUUUUAUUUUAUUUUAUUUUUCCUAAAAUUGGGCCAGUUGCUCUAAUUUGGAUAUUGUUGUUUGCCUUUUCUGUAUAUAGAAAGAAAGUUCUUAUGUACUCUGAUGUUGGCUUCAUUUAUGCGGGUCAUUUCUUUACUGAGCCAGACUACAAUGGGCUACAAUUGCUACAAGGGGAGAGGCCAUCCAUGGUUGAAGAAGGGCAAUGGAUAUACCACACACCUACCUAAAUGAGGUCAGUUUUUUGACUUGCUGCUUAACAAUAAUAACCAAUGUUAACACAAGUGUCAUCUAAACAAUAGAUGUAUCCUAAAAUUAUCAGUUGCAAAAUAUGUAUACAUUGUAUGAACCCUUUCUAUUCUGAAAAAAAGCAACGCAGAAAUUUUCUUAAUUUGAUUUUGCUUUUUCCAUUUGCCUUCAUUUGGAAUGGAUGAAGAAGUACAAGAUUGCAUUCAUUUUUCGUAGUGAAUUGUAUUCUUUUAUUAUGCAGAAUAUUGUUUCAAAUGCAUGCUCGCCCUUAAAUCCAUAUUCUCUUUGUGGUUUUCAUUAAAUUCCUACAUUUCUUUGGGCACUUCUGUGUCUCUGUGGUUCUUAUUCUUCGUUGUCAAGUAAACAUUUGAUGUAUGAUUAUCUUGGUAGUGGCCUAUUGUUUCUUCGUUUAGCGUUUUGAACUAUAUGAGAAUUUUAACUAUGUUUAUAUGAAGAUGCUGAUGCUUCCUUACAAUCAUGUGACAUAUCAAUAAUAGGCUUUAAUUUUCUGAAAUUGAUUCAAUGGCAGCAAAGGAAGAUUGAUGUAACAAUUAGCAGGGAGCUGCUAUAGGAUUCUAUACAAUGAAGUGCUUCCACUACUUCAACAACAAAAUAAAGGAGGUGGGAACAACGAUUGCUACAGAACCGAGGAAAUCUGAUUAUUCAGGAGCUGAAUAUGGUCAUUAAGUCUUCAUGCUCAACAAAAUCACCCAACUCUGUAAGCCAGAAUUGUAGGAAGAGAUGGUUUCAAAUAUGUUAAUGAGAUAUGAGUACAUUUGCUGUUUUAUGUAGGAUCUUGGUAUUUGUAGGUAUUUGUAUAUUUUUUUAAAUUCAUUUUUUGUGAUAUUUUUACGUUUUAAGACACAAAAAUGAACCUCCGAUGGCAUGUGUCGCCGCGCACCACUGAUACUUGUUUGAAACUCUGAUCGCACACCAAUUUGGGGCUGUUAUGUGUCGUUCUCUUCCAUUUAGUAGUAUUUUCCCAUGCUUUGACUUCCAAAAAUCAUAAUAAAUUCAUACAAAAUAUGAAAAAUUCACCAAAAAAGCCCACAAACUCCUUAUCGCAUUUCCUUCCUCCUUUAAGCUUUAAAAUAUGAGUAAUGUUUUUUGGACACACAAGAUCGACCACAUUAGCCGACCACUUUAUAUGACAACUGAUGUGGUUAUGUCAUGUCAAUUAAUGAACUCUUCCAUAUGGAUUAUAUUUGUAUUUAUUUUACAAAUCAAUAAUCUUCAAAAACUAAAACAAUAAAAUUAACCCUAGCGUCCCUUAGAUUGUAGCCUCUCGUUCUUUCAGUACUUCCUCACGUCUCCUGCCCUCCAUUCCUCCAUCAAAAGGAGUUGCCAUUUCCAAUCGUCUUUGUAUUUAUAAUGGGAAAAUAGAAGGCUUUGAAAUUGCUAAUUGUCUUUGUGAUUCCUCCUACGAUGUCUUUGUGAGCCCUCCAGUCCUCCACCAAGACUGACUCAUUCAAAUGCGGUUUAGGGGUGGGCAUCAGAACCGAAGAACCGAUCAACCAAACCAAACCGGACUGGAAAAAAUCGAAAAAAAUUGCAUUGACCAAAAAGUCAAACCCAAUUCAAAAAACCGAACCGAACCUGUUCUAAUCGGAUCCCAUUCGGGUUCUAUACCUCAACAAACCGAACCGGUCAAACUAGAAAAUAUAUUUUAUAUUUAUUUAUAUCCAAUACUAUAUUUUUAAUCUCAUAACUAAUAUUUACCCAAGUUCAAUUUCAAAACAUCUCUCUUUUCUAGCCUUAAUAUUUCUUUUUGUAUGAAAUUGAAUAAUUUGUUAGUUUUCAAGUCAAAAAAAUAAAAUUUCAGUUGAAAUUUAUAUCAAAAUAAUAAUUUGAAAAAAUAGUAAUAAUAAUUCAAUUCAAAACCGAACCAAACCGGAACCGAUUCAACUCAAACCAAACAGUUUUUUAAUUUUUUUUGUUAAAACUGGACCGAAUUGAACCGGUUAAAUAGUACCGAAUUCAAUUCCAAUUUGAGGCAAAAAACAGGUCCAAACCAAACCGAAUCAGGCCCACCCCUAAUGGGUUUGUCUAUUCCCCUUGGAGAAGGAGGGGUGGUGUUGAAAUUGUGUGCGAAUGAUUCCAUCAAAUGGGUUUGUACCUCUAGAAUUAAUUGUCAGUAUACCUAUAUCGAAUGAGUUCCUUUUUUAAUAGUUAAUUUCUUAUUUUCUUAACUUCAAUGGAAGAGGGGAGAUAUGAGUAGAUUUGAUUAAGGAAGGGUUGGAGACGUGAGAAAGAGUUCAGAACCAACGAGGCUACGUACAUGCCCAGGACACUAGGGUUAAUUUUAAUUUUAUUGUUUUGUUUUUUUUUUUUCCAGAUUAUUGAUAAGAGAAAUAAUAAAUAAAGAAUAAUUUGAGUUUACAUGGCAAUAUUCAUUAAUUGACAUGGCAUGACCACAUCAGCUGCCACAUUAAGUGGUCGGCUAAUGUAGUCAAUCUUGUGUGUCUAAAUAGAGCAUUACUCUAAUAGUUACAUAUACAAAUUUCAAAAAUAUUUGUCAAUAAUGGAAGUUUGUUUAUAUACUAACAAUAAUACUAUGUUGAACAUCAUUACUCUCCCUUACAACAACUCUUCCUCCAAUUACCACUUCAAAUUUUCCAAAGUUAAAAUUUUGUUUUCACAAAUUAUAGUCGAAGAGAAUGUCUUAAUGAGUUUUUAGAAAUUUUGGAUGGAUUUUUCUCAUUUUUUCAAAAAAAUUUUACGUUUAAUAUACAAAAAAUGAACCUCUGUUGACACGUGUCCCUGUGCGCAACCGACACUUGUCAGAAACUCUAAUGACACACCAAUCUGGAGCUGCCAUGUGUCAUUCUCUUCAAUUUAUUAGUAAUUUUCACUGCUUUAACUUCAAAAAAAUUAUAAUAAAUUCAUACCAAAUCUGAAAAAUUCACCAAAAAAUUCUUAUGGAUACUUAGCCAUAAGACAAUUAGUAUAUAGAGUGACAGCGAUUAAAGUUUGUAGUUUUGCAAUAGUCAUAUUUAAAAAAGAAAAAAAGAAAAAAAGAGGAAGUUUCAACUGGGUUAGCUAUGUCAUGUGUUUCGGUUGCCCACCCCUCAAGGCUUUGUUACGAAAUUUUGAGGUGCAUUAGCUAUGUCAUGUGUUUGGUGGGGUUGCAUAUGAUUUAGAUGAUAUUCUUCAUUCGAAGGACAAUAUUUGUAUUUGAUUUUAAAAAAAAAUUUUAUUAUGUUUGAUUGUAAGUUUUUUAUUUCGACAUAAAAAAGAAGAAAAAUUGGGAAUUGAAUUUUUUUUUUUAUAGAGUUCCACUCCACUGGAAAUUCUCUUAUUUUAAAGCGAUAUGUGUGAUAAUUAUCUUAUGUAUUUGAUUUGUGAUAUAAUUCCUUUUCCUUGGUGCCCAAGCAGGCAGUGAAUCUGUUCUGUAACAAAAACAAGCGUAUUCAUUUCCUUGGAAGCCUAAAGAUCGAUCAGUCAAGCCUCUCCACACUCAGAGAGAGAGAUAGAGAGAGAGUCCAAUUUGAACUAAGAGGGUUCAAUUUCACGAGGAAUUACAGAUGAAGAAAGCAGUAACGCUUCAAAUGUGUUUCAAUUUCACGAGGGUUCUGAAAGUAAUGGCUCCUCCUGCUGCUACUCCUAAAAUUCCGACUUCAACAACCCUUGUUGCCCGUCAUCCUCAACUGCUCACAAGAAGGUUAAUGUCUUCCAACUCUAACCUUGACAUGGCCGAGGCCGACAAGAUCUCCACCUCCCCUAUUUCGUUCUCCUCGUGGUAUUCCUUCGGUGAUCCCUGCCUUGAUCUGUUUUUUCAUGUGAAAAGUCGAGAUCAAGAUCACAUCGGUAACGACGACGAAGACGACGACAUCAAGCAGGAGAGGCAGAAACAGACCUCCCAUUAUAACCAUCAUAGACUUAACUAUCUGAAGCAACUGCUGCCGGUGGCCUGGUCCCACAAUCCCCUGACCACCCUCAAGCUUAUCUUCAAUCUCCAUUCUGGGAUUUCUAGUAAGGGAAGAGAUUAUCCGGAAGCCUUUCACACAGCCGUGUUUUGGCUCCACCAGAACCACCCCAAGACGCUAUUAUGCAACCUCCCCGCCUUCGCCGGUUGGAAAUGGGGUUUCAAUGACCUUCUCGACAUUCUCUACGGCCUUCUAGAACAAGGCCAAGACGCUACUGCAGGGGAGAGGCUCCACCGCGACCCUGACUAUAAGUUGUUACACGACCAGAUUAUGGAUCUCUUGGCGGAGCGGUGGAAGUCUGAUGUUGAAAAAUUUAAGCAGCACAAGCUGGAACUAAAGUCAUUCCAAGACUGGGACCAACUUGAUGAGGCUGAUCAUCUUUUGGUAUCUGGGACUGCAGUGGUUUGCAGCCUCCCCGACCAUCACACCAGCUCCAUUUUGCUUCGCGAAAGCAUUGCGAGGAGGCUUUUCCCACCAGAAUCGGAUCAAUCCGAAGAGUGGGAACGGCUAACCGACGCUUUGGAGCCCUUUUUAAAUUACUACAUGCAUCGGGCCUCACUUUGGAACCACACACUAGAGCGCUCUGAGGUUAAAAAGUGUUUGGAGGAGGUGAAAGCAGCAGCUGCAGCAGGAGGCAAUUUAGGAGGCGGCAUAAUAAAGCCGGAUGCUUUGCUGCCAAAUGAGAUCAUAAAAUAUGCAGAAGAUGAGGAUUUCGGGGAAGCGGCUAACCUUCAGUGGAAGGCAAUGGUGGAGGACAUGUACCUAAAGCAGCAGCAAAAGAAGGGGGAAGAAGGUUUGGGCAAAUUUACAAACUGUUUGGCAGUGUGUAACAUCACCGAGGACACGGCCAAAUUACAAAGAGAACUGGGGGUGAGUUUGGGACUUUUGGUUUCGGAACUGAAUGAAGAUCCGGCAUGGAAAGGAAAGGUGAUCAGUUUCGGUGAUUUGCCCGACGGUCAGCCUCAGCCUCAGCCUCUGCUGCAUUCCAUACAAGGCGAUGAUUUAAAGUCCAAGUGCGAGUUUAUGAUGAGGACAUGUCGCAUGAAGUCCAACGAGAGUGUCGAUUAUCGGAAGGUGUGUGAUCUGAUUCUGGAAGUGGUUGAGAAUGAGAACUUGAAGGCAGAGCAGAUGAUCAAGAAAGUGUUUGUGCUCACCGACUUCACAGGAUUCUUUAGCUGCACCUCGAAGACUCUGCAUGAAGCAAACCAGAGCAAGCUUGAGGAGCUCGAGGCUUCCGGAUAUGAUGCGAGGCCAUUGCCACACAUUUUGCUUUGGAAUAUUAGUGACUGGAAGUAUCCUCAUUCAGAAGAACAUCAUCCAGGGGUGACGCUGAUGAGUGGCGUCAACGACAAUUUGAUCAAGUCCUUCAUGGACAAUGGUGGGGAAAUUGGCCCGCGACAGGUCAUGGAAGCAGCCAUCGCUGACAAAGAGUUUCAAACUUUCUCUGUCGUCGACUGAACUUUAAUUUUAGAGUUGAGUUAUUUCCUAGGUAUAGCUAGAUAGCAACAUUUCUGCUCUGAAAAUGGAGAAACUAUUGGUUUGGUAUGUAUUAAUUGAAACUGAUUUCAUUUUAAUCAUCUGCUUAUACUAUGUUCAUAUGAAACUGAUUACACACAAACUAAAUUUUCAGCUUAAGAAGAACCUAAGCCUCAACUACCCCGAUCACUAAAUCAUACAGCAUUUUCCCAUCAAAACCAGCUGUUCAUUCACAUAGAUUGAACGUAAUUCCAUGAAAUCAUCCAUUUUCCCGGACAUAGAGAUGAGGGUGAUCAGAAGUUUAAACCGAAGCAAUGUUUGUGUCCGGUAAAGUUUAGUCACCCUAUUCGUCGUUUGAAAAUGCCAUGCUAAAUGUGAUGAAGAAACUUUAGUUUUGUGAUCAUUCCUCCAACAAUAACAUAAGCAAUAAAAAAAUUACUAAUAAACUUUAACCAAACAGCUAAUUAAGCACAAAUAUAUAGUAAUAAUAGUAUAGGUUUCCGCACUUAACAAGUACCUGGUGAAUCUAAUCCUUGAUUUUAAAUCCUCUUCACAUCUUCCCACCUCAAGUUCAUCUUCGAGUCCUCAUAUGCAACUGCGAAAAAUUUAUUCGUCUAAUCACGCACUUCAAAAAAAUAGACAUAGUCUCACAAUCUAUAUGGUUUCCGAACACUCUUUUAUGUGACAUGUUAUUGGUGCUUUUUUAAUUAACUAAAAACUUUUUAAAACACUUUCUACAACUAGAUCUUGUUCUAGUGGUAUUUCUCUUCACAAUAUUGGAAGAGAUUGCAAGUUCGAAUCCCCCAUUCCGGUUAAUAUAAAGAUAAAUAAAAGAAGACAUAUGAAGAGGUUUAAAUCCCAAAAUUAGCCAGCUGAUAUUUCUUUAAAAUUAAAGAUGUGAGUUUUCUUAAGGCUGAUUGACAUAGACAUCCACACCACAUGUUGGGCAAAAAGAAUUAAUUUCAGAGCAAUCUUUCUUUAAUAAAAGUGGUCUCUCAUUAUAGGCAGUAUAUCCCUUUAUAUUUGAGUCAUGCAAUGCAAGGCAUGAAGGGUCACUUUCUAGGCCACACCAGAAGAACCCAACAGGACUGAAUAGAACAUGAUCAACAAAAAUCAACAUUUGAGGCGCUUUUUUUUAGUGUCACGUGUGAUUAGAGUUUCAAUUUUUAUUAUUAUUUUUUUUUGUUAACCUUAAAACUUUAUAAGAAAUUAAUACAAAUACAAAAAUAUAUUGAAAUUUUUUUUUUUUUUUUCCAAACUCCUUGCAACAUUAUCCUCGACUAUGACGUAUGAAAACAAAAUUUUUACCUUGGGAAAUUUGAAGUAAUAAACAAAUGAAACAUACGAUCAAUUAUUAAGAAAAGAUAGAAUGAUGUGUCUAGCAGUAAAACAAUUCACAAAGCAAUUCAUGACACAAAACUAAAGGAACUCAUAUCAUGCAUUUAUGGAUGUGUAUUUUCAGAUGAUAAAAAAAGCUUUCAACCUACUCCGUGGAUAUACCUUUCCACAAUGCUUAUUUUAUUUGAGCCUCUGAAAUUACCAAUUCUAAACAGAUUGGCACGAACCUUAACAUAUGCAAAGUAGUUCCUUAUUUCCGGUACAUCACCAAGAUAAUAGGAAUGAGGACGACUCCAUCCACCGCAUGGAAUUUGCACAAACUGCAACAAAAUAUGGGUCCCUCCUUGGGCAUCAAAAUAAAUAACACAAACAACUUACAAAUCAUUUCAGUAAGCAGUCUGAGGUACAGCAAAAGACUCUACUUUGGUCUCGGUAAUUAAGUUGCAAAUAAUAAAAUCCACUGAUGCAAAACCAGCAGCACAAUGGCAGCUUGACAACUCAUUGACAGAGCUAUUAUCAGUGGAGACGGAUUGAAUAAGACUCAACUCCUUAAGCCCUCUCGCUGUCUCCUCCUCUUCCACCCCUCUCCCCUUCUCUCACCUCUCCCCUUUAUCGCUACUUUGGUUUUCAGCCUAUCCCUCUCAAACACCCUUUUCUCUCCCUUAUUUUAUUGCUAUUUCAUAUGUUCUGGGAAGCCCAAGCAAAGGAAGCAUAUGUAAGGCCCCGUCCUUCUUUUCUAUGGCUAACGAAAAUUAUAAUUAACUUUAAAUUUAAAUUUUUUGGUUAUUCUCUUUUGAUUUUCAAUUUCCUAGGUUAUUUUUGGGGUCCAAUUUUGGUUUUGAUUGUUAUGAAGGAUUUAGGGUUUGGAUUGGGUUUCCAAAAGCUAUUCUUAGCUAUUCUUUGAAUUGCUCUGUGUAAUAUUUGUCAAUUCAUAGGAUUUCGGUUUAGGAUUUGGGCAUUCACAAUUCCUUCCAUUCGAUUUAAGGCUGAAAGUGUUUUUUUUCCCUUCCUUAUGCAUCUCUGAUUCUAUUAGGUGGGCGGAAGACACCACUCUAGCAAGUCGCUCUACUCGUGAAGGAAUCUGCUUCAAAUUCUGUUACAUAUAUGGUAUUCCUUUUCUUCUUUAAGUCUAUUUUCUUCAUUUUCUUUAAAGUAUUGGCAUGUGCUGCUGUUUCUUUUCAACCUAAACCCAAUCUUUCUAUGAAUUUCUCCACAAUCUCUUUCUAAUUUGUUCUUUUUAUUGUUACAGUUUCCUUUUUUGGGGCUUUCUCUUGUAGGGACUUGUCCAUUCUCGAGUGAUUAUUUCUUGCUCCAUUCUGAAUGUUAGCUUGUUGCUCAUUCUUUGCUCUGUUAUUUGGAUGUUAGUUUGAAUCUCUCUAUUUUUAGUUGGUACUUCACAUUCUUACUUGAAUCUCAUUGGAAACUCUAAUGGAACCACUAGUUUUAAAUUUCCCUAUGUGUUCAUUUGGUUAUGAACUUUCAUUUUGUUUUUAGUUUUGGAUUCAUUCUUUAUUUUGUUUGGAAUUUGGAACACUGAUUUCUAAUUAUGAAACAUCUCUCUAUUAAAAUAACUUCAUUAAAUACAUGUAAUCUGAUUUGGGGCUGGGGCAUAAGGUCUUGUUUGUAGGUGCUGUUUUGAAGGAGAUGAAAGAGAAGAGGAAAUUGAGCUUUAGUUUCCAAUCUUUAUUAAUAAUUUGUGCAGGCUUAUAGUUUCCAUUUCUAUGUAGAUGGAUUUAUAGGCAAGGUGAGGAUUCUAAAUUAGGUUCCAUUCUUUUUUCUUUUUUCCUACAAUUUUGUUUCUUGAAGAUUUGUUGGCUUUGUGCAAAUGGAGAACACGUUUAAUUUUGAAACCCCACACAUCAAUUGAUUAAGCUAGUCUCUCUCCCACUUUGACACAUGCAAACAAGCACAUUUUGUUUUUGUUGAGUUUCUUUGUUCUAGGGAAAUUUUUUUGUUCGUGAAAAUUACAAUGGAUGACUGCUAAAAUGAGUUUUCUAACAAAAAUGUAGGGGAUUUUGAUAAAUGGCCAAGGCCACAUAUCAAAUGCAAGUUUGAUUCUUGUUAGCUUGUGUCUGCUAUUACGAGGAGGUUUUUGCAUAGGUUGCAUGUGGUUUGGUGUGUUAGAGAUUGAUUUUUGUUGUUAUAUUCAUGAGUAUGGGUUGGAGGCCAGUGUCAAUUUGUUUCAGGCUUCAAUAGGAGUGCUGGUCAGUUUUUUUAUUUUUCUGUUAUUUUUUAGGAUGAUGCUGUUUGAAUUUUAUUAGUUUUAAAGUGAAUUUUUGAAGAAUAUUGUCAUACUGAAUUGUGUUUGGGUAGGUGGGUUCCAUUAGCACUUCAUCCCGAAUUGUAAGCAUUAUUCAUAUUUUCUAUUCAAUUUGAAACUUAUAUAUGCAAUUUUUUUUUCUUUCUCAAUGCACAUAGUUUAUGAUUAGAAGAUCAUUCUCCCUGUUUUUUCUUGUCCAAACUUAUAUCAGUGGAGACGGAUUGAGUAAGACUCAUCGCUAUAAACUCUAAUGUCUAUUGCUUCAUCCUUGUAAACUCUAAAGUCUACUGCAGCUAAGCUUUAAAAUAUACUUUGACAUGUAAAAUUCAAAUAAUUUCUCAAUGUCAAGUUUGUUUUGAUGCUAACAAUAAUAUUAUGUUGAAAAUCAUUACUCUCCUUUACAACAACUCUUCCUCCAAUUAUUACUUCAAAUUUUCCAAGUCCAAAAUUUAAUUAUCACUCAUCGUAGUCGAAGAUAAUGUCGCAAGGAGUUUUUGUAGAAAUUUUCGGUGCCUUUUUUUCUUUUUUUAUUCAUUAUUUAUGAAUUUUUUAAGUUAAAAAUACAAAAAUGAACAUAAUGAACCACGCACAAUUCAAGUGGCGUAAACUGCUCUCUGAAUCCCCUUGAGAAUGAAGUUUGAUGAUACAUAAUUUUCUAAUAUCCAGAAAAUUGCCCAAAAAGUAAGAAAGUAUCAACUGCUACUCAAUGCCCUCUCAUUUUCUUAUACAAGUCUAAGACAUAAGAUCACAGUACCCUAUAGAUCAGGCAAAACUCAGAAGAAAAAUGCCUUACAAAAAAUAAAGAUAUAAUCUAUAGUUAACUCAAUACUUUAGUCUGGAGUCUUGGACUAGGUAUUAAUAAUAAACUAUACAAACAAAUAGAAAAAUCUUUUCAGGGGCAUAAAGAAUCAGAAUGAAGCUAAGUUUUGUAGCCAUUAUCAUCCAGACAAAGAUUGAAAAAGUUAAUAUGGACUUACUAGCAUUCUGUGCAUGAAUUUAAGAUCCAAAAUAGCCAAAUUGUUCAACACUUUCAAUGCUCCAGCUGCCACGUUUUCAAAAUUAGAGGGAAGGACAUCAGAGGUUUGAAAUAGAAUAGGAACAUUCACUACAAUUAUGUCAUGAUCAAAGAUACCACUAGUACAACAAAGCGUUACAAACACACUAAUGGAUGCACGAUUCAUCUAAUGGUCUAGAUUUUCCCAAGGACUGAGUUAUGGGAAGAUCUUCAGUAUUAUCACCCUCUGCAAAUUUAGCCUCUUCAUUUGACGUAUGAGAAGCAGGUAGGGCAGAAGCUAUGAAAUCAAGCAAACCAGCUUUGCAGGAAGCUAGUAGUUCAGACUCCUUUUUUUCUAAAUACUACAUCCAUAACAGAGUGAAAAAGAAAAGGUCAAAAUCAGUGUUUGCAAGUCAACAUAACCAUCUCAAAGGCCCCGUUGUUUCACGGAAUGAAUUUGAUGGGAAAUCAUUUCCCAUGUCAUUUCCCAAGGGAUGAGAAAUGGAAGAUUCUUUUCCCACGUUUGGUAAUGCUGGGAAACUAACCAGGAGAUAUCACUUUAUUUCAUUUCCCACGUUUGUUUUGAGUAGGAAUGGAAAACAAAGUUUGUAUAAAUUUUCAAUUAUACCUAUAUUAAAUCAAAUAAAAAAAUGCAUUUAAUGAUAUAUUGUAAUUCUAAAUUGUUAAUGAGGACAAAAUAGUCAUGAAAAAUGUUUAUUUAAUAUUGGCUCAUUUUCCCAAACUUUUCCAUGACGAGGGAAAACAAAACCCAAGUUGGGAGGAUGGCUUCACUUUCCCCCUUACUUUUUCAUGGACCAGACAACGGUUUCCCAUGCCUGGACUUACCAAACAUGGGAAAGCAAUUGAUCUCCCAUUCCCAAGUCUCCUUUCCCAUGAACCAAACGGGGCCAAAGAGUAAACUUCAAAGUUGGUUUUUUUUCUCACAUAACCAUACUUGGAGCAUCUAAUAAGGCAAUUCCAAGCACACGAGAUUUAUAAAAAUGCACAACUAAUUAAGUAAGCAAACUUUUUCAGUUAAAAAAAGCACUCACUGAUUCAGAAACUCAUUGGAAUCUUGGGGACAAGGUGGUAGGAGAUACUUUCCACUAGAAAUCUCUGACCUACAAUUUGGCAUACCAAAUUACACCCAUGCUAAUUGCAAAGCACCCAAAUUCAGGACAAGCGCAUCCCCAAUCUGCUUACACUACAUAAAAAACUUGAUCAUUUCAGCAAUUAUUAACCCAACACUUGUGGGCCCCAAAAUCCUUAGAAGCUCGCUCUUGUAUCUGCACCUGGUAAAACUCGUGGUUGCUUACUUUCACCAAGUCUCUCGGCAAAUUUCUGGGCCAGAAGUUCAGCCCCCUCCUGCUGGGCUUUGGCUCUUUCCUCCUUCCUACAAAGUUGUUCCAUGGCCUUUGUUUCACGCUUUGCACUUGUCAUCUAUUCUUCUCGUCUCUCAUUUCUUCCAUUUAUUUUCCCUCCAUGAUUUUUUAAAAUAAUAGUCUAGAGUGGUUUAAGAGUUCUUAAACACCUUUUGUUACAAGCCAAUGUUUAGGGGAAGGUUCUACCCAUAGGCUCUUAAAAUUUUUGUAUCAGAUCCCAAUUUCACCAUGUAACUUGCCCGACUUCAUGAAAAAGGUGAUCUAUAGCUUAAAUUAAGAGUUAUUGAAUACAUGAAGAUGAGUGAAAAUGUCUUAAAGGAGAUUAGGACUCACGAUCUUAGACAGGGACGGGUCCAGGAAUUGCAAAUUAGAUGAGCUAAAUUUACUUUACGUACAAACCUAUUAAGAAAAUUUGAUGGCUUUUGGUGGGUUUUUAGGCUUGGACAAUAGAUUGUAGGAACUAAAAACCAUAAAUAACAUUUAGCUCAGCCCAAGCCCACACUCAACCCCUUCACUCAUAGGUGAAAACCCCAUUAUUUAAGAUCCUUAAACGUUAUAGCCAGGUUAGUAAGAAAAUUCAUGUUGGGCUAAAUGUUAUUUUAGGCUGAGAAAAAAUAAAAGCCCCCCGGGCUGUAACCUAGGUUAGGUUGUACUAAAGUCCGUGCCUGAUCCUAAAUUGGAAAAAUUACAUAUCUCUCUUAAUCUAUCUGUCUCUCCAGGUGCUGGAAUUUUUUUAAAACUUUCGUUUAUUAAAAUCGAAAAGAUGUGACCAUCCAAGUUUGAAAUUAUGCAUCUUUUAGGUGAAUAAAUGCAUCGCUUGCCUCUUCAGAUAAAGUCACAUACUUUGGUACAUAAUGUCAAUGUCUAUAGAUAUGCAAGUCUCACACAUGUUAAAAGUAACUUUUAACACUUGCAUAUUCAUUCAGAUAGUGCACUAUUCUUAGAGAUCAAUGUAGGGUCUCAUUGAGUUUGUAGUUGAGAGAGUUCAAAGAAUCAUGGUUCGCUAGGAACUUGUGAUUUGGAGUGCUACAAUCAUAAGAUCAUGUUCGUUGUAUGCUAGGAGACUGUUGGAAAAACAAUCUAUCAUCUACUAAUCAAAUAAUACAUAUUUAACAAAAAUUUAAAUAUACCAAACAAAUUUAGUAAUGUAAGAAUACUAGUAUUAUAUUAAUAGACAAAUGUAAAAUACAUAAAAGAGUGAAUUGAAAUCGAAUUCACUGACUUGUAUGUGAGAUAGGGGCUUGCAGAUUCAUGUUAUGACCUAAAGGCAAUAUUUUACCCAUUCUCGGUGCUUGAAGUUCUACACAUGUGAUGUGACUGUCUCCUAGAAUUCAAUUAUGUGUAUUCUAAUCCUAGGACUUAUGUGCGUCUUAGUGCUUAUGUGAAAAACUUUGGGGGCUAUUCUAAUUUAAGUAGGCCUCUAAUACUUGCGGCCCUUGAAAUCCUUAGAAGCUCGCUUUGGUGAAACUCGUAUGCUUGCUCACUUUCACUAAGUCUCUCAGUUAAUUUCUGGGCCAGAAGUUCAGCCUCCUUCUAGGCUUUGGUUCUUUCCUCCUAACUACGAAAUUGUUCCAUGGUCUUUGUUUCACGCGCUACACUAGUCGUCUACCCUCUCGUCUCUCAUUUCUUCCAUGUAUUUUCCCUCCACGAUCUUUUAAAUAAAAAUAAGGCUUUUUAUCACAAAACAUCUAUGGGGUUUUAAGUUUUCAUGUGUUAUUAGUAGUCCUUAAGGUUAACAACCAUGCUCAAAAGUAUUAUAUGUUGUUAUGUUCUAUUCCAUCCAAAAUUCCAUCUAAUGAUAUCACGUCAUGUGAAUUGAAUAAAAAUACAUAUUUUAAAAUAAAAAAUUUAUAAUAAAAAAAACCUCCAAUUUCACCUUCCAUGUCCCUCCCCCUCCACGGCUCCCGCUCCCGCUCUCUCUAUUCUCCCUGUAUCUCUCUGUCCUCUCUCUCUCUUCUUCCUAACCCAACCCCCAAAUAGUUUCAAAUCAAGCACACAAGAUGCACAAGAUAUCAUUUUUAAAAUAUUUUAAAAUAAAAAAUAAAAUAAAAACUAUUUAAUCCACAUGGUGUGAUAUCACUAGAUAUGUGAGCCCUAUCUGUGUUUGGGGGUGGUGAAAAUCCACCUAACCUGAGCACUUGAUGGAGACAAAGGGCUUGGGGCAUUGAAACUUGGCAAUCGGGUUUUGGCGGCCAGGUUUGGAGCUGGAAGGAGUGUUGCGGCCGAUAUCCAAGGAUGUUGCGAGCGGGUUACGUGGCUAGGAGGAUGGACCGGGCUACGUGGUUGAAAGAAUGGGCCGAGCUGUGUUCAAGCUUGGCUGGAGAGGUGCGGCUAGACUAUGUGCAACUGGGUUUUCAAUCGCGGAGCUGGGCAGCCAGGGCUUGCAAGAUAGAUAGGCACGGUCGUAUUAAAGGAAUGACGGUCGAGAGUUGGGUUUUGGGAGAUACGGCUGGGCACCGCUGGAAAAACAGGAGCUUGCGAGACAGCUGGGCGUGGCCGGAAGAGCUAAGGGAUUUGGAAAAUUGCGGCCGCGUCCGGAAUGGAUGUGUUGCUGCAGGAUUUGAAGUUGUGGAGUUGUGGCCGAGAAUUGGAGCACGAGUUGAAGGAAUAUUGAGGCUGGAGUUUGUAGGUAUUUUGCAAGUCAGGUUGAAGGGUUUGGAGGUUAAAGUCUAAUAUUGUCUAUAUAUAUAUGGGGGCGGAUCCGUGGCACUACGUUUUUGACACAAUUUUUGGGCCAUUAGAUUACUUCACUUUUAAUGGUUGAGAUUAAAUAUUACAUGGCAAGUAGUUUUAAUUUUUUUUAAAUAGACAAUCAUUAAUUUUAUUCUCUCUCAUAAAAAUAAAAGGAAAUUUUUCUCUCUCCAACCUUUUUGCUGGAAGACGUAAUCUCUCCUGCCUCUUUAAUCUCAAAUAUUUAUUAGGAUCUAAUAAAUAAAGAAUCUCACCAAAAACUAAAUACCCAAACCCCACAUUUGCACGCCUCUCUCUCUCUCUCUCUCUCUCUCUCUCUCUCUCUCUCUCUCUCUCUCUCUCUCUCUCUCUCUCUUUCUCCUCUUUAAUCUCAAAUAUUUAUUAAGGUCUAAUAAGGACUGUUUUCAGUUUAUCCUUCUUCAUCCUCCUUCUUCAUCCUUCUUCAUGCACAGCAUAUACGCAACCCUGAAUUCAUCUUCAGUAUAGUUCUUUUAUGUCAAAGCAAUUUCUCAUAUCUGAAUACAAUAUUGCCUCAUCAAAAUGUUGGAGCGCACACAAGAUAUUUCCUCCAACUCUCAGUGCAUAUCUUUGGUAUGUUACCUUCAUCUGAGAUUUUAUUUUUCUAUUUUUUUUAUUUUUUUUAAUCUUUGUUGUAGCUCUUCCUGUAGACAAUUAGAAUUGCUGAAUUUUUUAUAUUUUAUUUUUUAUAAAUACGAUGUUAUAUGAAAGUUUAUACGAUCUUAGGAUUGCUGAAUUAUUGGGCCAUUAAGAAUUCUUAUGUUAAAAAAUAUUUCGUAGUGCCAUUAAUGAUUGUUUUUAACAUAAGAAUUAUUUUUUAAAAUCAGUAUGAAAGUUUAUUCCAUUAUAUUUCAUCUUGUGUCAAUAUGAAAGUUUAACAUAUGUAUAAUAUUUUUCUAAGUUGCAUCGUUAAGAAUGAUUAAUAUAUGUUCAAUAGGUAGAGGAGAUAAUUCAAGUGAAGAAUGGUGAAACAAGUACUCCAAAAAAGAAAGUGACACAAUUAAAAGCGCCUUAUUCAGGGAUGGUAUUUGACACAAUGGAAGAAGCAAGAAACUAUUAUGAAGAGUAUGGCCGACAAGAGGGAUUCUGGAUUAGAACUCGAUCUUCCUCCAAGACAAGAAGGCGUUUAGAUGAGGUAACGAGUAGACAAUUUGUUUGUGCACAUGAAGGAAAAUACGUGCCCAAAAAUACAUCACAGAAGGCUUCAGAAGAGAAUGAUGAGAAAAACAUAAGUGAGAUUGAGAAUAUGAAGAGAACGGGUAAAAAUUGUUCUACAGUGAAAUGUGGAUGCAAAGCAAGUAUGAGAAUUAAGCUUGAUAGAUGGUCAAACAAAUGGAAAGUUUCAAGUUUCCAAGACUCUCACAAUCACAAGCCAGUUACACCGGAAAGAAGAAUGAAAAUGAAGUCAAAUAGGGUUAUGCCGAAAGCAGCUAAAAUUCUGACUGAAACAUUUCAUGAAGAAAAUUUGCCAAUUGCAAAAGUUCCUUCAAUCUUUGGUGGCCCGCAUAUUGGUUUUAACAAUAGAGAUUGUUAUAACCACUUGAGAAAUGUCCGGCAUAGACAACUGGAUGGAGGUGAUGCACAGUCAGUCCUUACUUACUUUAGGAAGAAGCAAGCUGAGAAUCCUCAAUUUUUUUAUGCCAUUCAAUGUGAUGAAAACGGAAGGGCAGCUAAUUUCUUUUGGGUGGAUGCUCGAUCACGCAUGGCGUACAACUAUUUUGGAGAUGUAGUCACAUUUGACACAACCUAUAGGACAAACAAGUAUGAUAUGCCAUUUGCACAAUUCACAGGAGUAAACCACCAUUUGCAAUCAAUACAAUUUGGAUGUGCACUUUUACAAGAUGAGACAGAGGUGACAUUUUUGUGGUUGUUUGAGACAUGGCUUGAAGCAAUGGGAGGACGUCAUCCAGUUUCCAUUAUUACUGAUCAAGACUUAGCAAUGAAAGGAGCAAUUGCCAAGAUUUUUCCUAACACUCGCCAUCGGUUAUGCCUCUGGCAUAUUAAAAAGAAGUUUGCAGAAAAAUUGUCACAUGUGUACUUCAAGAAGUCCAAAUUCAAAAUUCAGAUGAAGAAAUGUAUUCGGUCAACAUACAAGAUAGAGGAAUUUGAAGAAAAGUGGAAGGAAUUGAUGAAAGAAUGUGAAUUGGCUAAUGAUGACUGGUUGAAUAGUUUAUAUGAUAUACGUUCUUCUUGGGUUCCUGUUUAUAAUCGUGGCAUAUUUUUUGCAGGAAUGAACACUACUGGACGUAGUGAGGGUAUUAAUUCUUUUUUUGAUGGAUUCGUCACACCGACAACAAAUCUUAGAGAGUUUGUUGUCAAAUAUGAGCAAGCACUAAAGAGGAUCAUGGAUAGAGAAAGUGAUGAAGAUUUUGAAUCAGAACACAAGUAUCGCAUUGUGAAUGAAGGAGAAUUCCUUUUGAAACAUGCAGCAAAGUUUUACACUAGAAAUGUUUUCAACAAGUUUAAGGAUGAAUGGAGUAAAGUUACUCUCUACAAAGUUGAAGAAAUUCCAUGUGACGACGAAUAUCAUGCAUAUCUAGUGAAAACAAAACUUGGAGAGCAUGAAGAGUUUGUGGUGAAGUUAAAUUUGCAAACAUACAAAGGUAUGUGUGAAUGCCAAAAUUUUGAGUUUGUUGGAAUACUUUGUCGACAUUUGUUGAAAGUAUUUGUUCGCCUUGAUAUAGAUACACUACCUGACCAUUUUAUUCUUCCAAGAUGGAGACAAGAAGCAAACAAAUUUAGGAUAAUGGAUUUUAAAAGUUUGGUGACAAAUGAUGGUAAAGAAGAAUCAGACACUACUACAAAAAGUGAAAAAGACGACCAGAAAACAACGACGGUCUAAGUGAAAACCGUCGUGGUUUAUAAAAAGACGACGGUUCUAAAAACACCGUCGUGUAAUACAACCUUAGACAACUAAAAAAUGGAGUUUCAAAUGGCUGUUCAAAAACAACGACGUACAUAAUUAAACAACCGACGUCUAUUUGAAACAGAUUUCCUCAGUGUAAAAUCAAUGCCAAUAAAGAACGGCAGAAGUUAUGAAUCGACCGACGUAGAAAGUAAAGACGACGAUUUCAAUAAAAACUGCCGUUUUUACUCAUAAAAUAACACGACGAGGUUUUCGUAUAAGACGCCGUAUAAUUACAAACAAAUCCACGGCUUUAAAAUACAAAAUAUCGCCGUAUUAAAUUAAUUUACAACGACGGAAAAUAUAAAUAUAUCGACGUCAUUCUCGUAUAGUUCUACUACGUUAUCUUUAAAUCGUACAAUAAAAUUUAUCGUCGUAUUUAUUCAUUUUAUACGUCGUACCUUUAAUUUUAACGGUCGUCUUAAUAAGAAUUUUUGUUAACAAUUUUUUUCUUUGAUUUUCUUAUCCUACGUCGGUAGAUCUACUUAAUGACAAGAAUUGAAAUAACCACGACGGUUUAUAUAGAACACCGCCGACAUAAUCAGUUUUGUCUGAGAUCCCAAGGGUUACGAAAUCUUACCAGAUGGAACUCUGUUCCACAUCAUAAUCUUAACAGAUGACACAGAUUUGCAAAUAUUGCGUCGUGUUAGUUUACAAAUUCUAGAACAUUAAUUUCCCUCAUUUUAAAUUUCCUCGGGAAAGAAAAAUCUAUUUAUCACGCUUUGGAAUUGAAAACUAAAACUGAAAGAAUACGGGAAAAAAAACUCCAUUUAUAAUUUAAAAUUAAAAUCCACGUCGGUUGUAGUACACUUAACGACGUUUAACAAAAUAAUCUACGUCGGUAAUUAUAAAUCUACCGCCAUCGUAACUUAAUAUAGACGACGAGAAAAGACGACGGUAGAACAGAAAACCGCCGUUGUUUCAGUUUCUUUAACAUAUCUUUCUGCAGGACUUGUGUAGUUCAAAGCAUUGACAAUGUCUUCAUCAUAUCUCCCAGAAACUACUGAUUCAAUUGCUCAUGCUUUAGAGGCCAUCUGAAGCCAUUUCUAUUCUUUAUCGCAUUCUUGAAACCCAUCUUCUUCUUCUGAAGCUCUACGGAUAAAGGAAGAGGCUAUCACAAUAAAUCCGACGGAUCUUCUUAGGCAAGAAAAUCAAGCAGAGGAUCAGGCACAUCUGAUCUUCAGAUUUCCCUGAGAAGCGAACUUUCCUUCGACAGCGAGUGGAGGCCAGGCUUGCAUCUCUUUUGAUGGAAAGCAAGGAGUAUCAGAAGACGANNNNNNNNNNNNNNNNNNNNNNNNNNNNNNNNNNNNNNNNNNNNNNNNNNNNNNNNNNNNNNNNNNNNNNNNNNNNNNNNNNNNNNNNNNNNNNNNNNNNNNNNNNNNNNNNNNNNNNNNNNNNNNNNNNNNNNNNNNNNNNNNNNNNNNNNNNNNNNNNNNNNNNNNNNNNNNNNNNNNNNNNNNNNNNNNNNNNNNNNNNNNNNNNNNNNNNNNNNNNNNNNNNNNNNNNNNNNNNNNNNNNNNNNNNNNNNNNNNNNNNNNNNNNNNNNNNNNNNNNNNNNNNNNNNNNNNNNNNNNNNNNNNNNNNNNNNNNNNNNNNNNNNNNNNNNNNNNNNNNNNNNNNNNNNNNNNNNNNNNNNNNNNNNNNNNNNNNNNNNNNNNNNNNNNNNNNNNNNNNNNNNNNNNNNNNNNNNNNNNNNNNNNNNNNNNNNNNNNNNNNNNNNNNNNNNNNNNNNNNNNNNNNNNNNNNNNNNNNNNNNNNNNNNNNNNNNNNNNNNNNNNNNNNNNNNNNNNNNNNNNNNNNNNNNNNNNNNNNNNNNNNNNNNNNNNNNNNNNNNNNNNNNNNNNNNNNNNNNNNNNNNNNNNNNNNNNNNNNNNNNNNNNNNNNNNNNNNNNNNNNNNNNNNNNNNNNNNNNNNNNNNNNNNNNNNNNNNNNNNNNNNNNNNNNNNNNNNNNNNNNNNNNNNNNNNNNNNNNNNNNNNNNNNNNNNNNNNNNNNNNNNNNNNNNNNNNNNNNNNNNNNNNNNNNNNNNNNNNNNNNNNNNNNNNNNNNNNNNNNNNNNNNNNNNNNNNNNNNNNNNNNNNNNNNNNNNNNNNNNNNNNNNNNNNNNNNNNNNNNNNNNNNNNNNNNNNNNNNNNNNNNNNNNNNNNNNNNNNNNNNNNNNNNNNNNNNNNNNNNNNNNNNNNNNNNNNNNNNNNNNNNNNNNNNNNNNNNNNNNNNNNNNNNNNNNNNNNNNNNNNNNNNNNNNNNNNNNNNNNNNNNNNNNNNNNNNNNNNNNNNNNNNNNNNNNNNNNNNNNNNNNNNNNNNNNNNNNNNNNNNNNNNNNNNNNNNNNNNNNNNNNNNNNNNNNNNNNNNNNNNNNNNNNNNNNNNNNNNNNNNNNNNNNNNNNNNNNNNNNNNNNNNNNNNNNNNNNNNNNNNNNNNNNNNNNNNNNNNNNNNNNNNNNNNNNNNNNNNNNNNNNNNNNNNNNNNNNNNNNNNNNNNNNNNNNNNNNNNNNNNNNNNNNNNNNNNNNNNNNNNNNNNNNNNNNNNNNNNNNNNNNNNNNNNNNNNNNNNNNNNNNNNNNNNNNNNNNNNNNNNNNNNNNNNNNNNNNNNNNNNNNNNNNNNNNNNNNNNNNNNNNNNNNNNNNNNNNNNNNNNNNNNNNNNNNNNNNNNNNNNNNNNNNNNNNNNNNNNNNNNNNNNNNNNNNNNNNNNNNNNNNNNNNNNNNNNNNNNNNNNNNNNNNNNNNNNNNNNNNNNNNNNNNNNNNNNNNNNNNNNNNNNNNNNNNNNNNNNNNNNNNNNNNNNNNNNNNNNNNNNNNNNNNNNNNNNNNNNNNNNNNNNNNNNNNNNNNNNNNNNNNNNNNNNNNNNNNNNNNNNNNNNNNNNNNNNNNNNNNNNNNNNNNNNNNNNNNNNNNNNNNNNNNNNNNNNNNNNNNNNNNNNNNNNNNNNNNNNNNNNNNNNNNNNNNNNNNNNNNNNNNNNNNNNNNNNNNNNNNNNNNNNNNNNNNNNNNNNNNNNNNNNNNNNNNNNNNNNNNNNNNNNNNNNNNNNNNNNNNNNNNNNNNNNNNNNNNNNNNNNNNNNNNNNNNNNNNNNNNNNNNNNNNNNNNNNNNNNNNNNNNNNNNNNNNNNNNNNNNNNNNNNNNNNNNNNNNNNNNNNNNNNNNNNNNNNNNNNNNNNNNNNNNNNNNNNNNNNNNNNNNNNNNNNNNNNNNNNNNNNNNNNNNNNNNNNNNNNNNNNNNNNNNNNNNNNNNNNNNNNNNNNNNNNNNNNNNNNNNNNNNNNNNNNNNNNNNNNNNNNNNNNNNNNNNNNNNNNNNNNNNNNNNNNNNNNNNNNNNNNNNNNNNNNNNNNNNNNNNNNNNNNNNNNNNNNNNNNNNNNNNNNNNNNNNNNNNNNNNNNNNNNNNNNNNNNNNNNNNNNNNNNNNNNNNNNNNNNNNNNNNNNNNNNNNNNNNNNNNNNNNNNNNNNNNNNNNNNNNNNNNNNNNNNNNNNNNNNNNNNNNNNNNNNNNNNNNNNNNNNNNNNNNNNNNNNNNNNNNNNNNNNNNNNNNNNNNNNNNNNNNNNNNNNNNNNNNNNNNNNNNNNNNNNNNNNNNNNNNNNNNNNNNNNNNNNNNNNNNNNNNNNNNNNNNNNNNNNNNNNNNNNNNNNNNNNNNNNNNNNNNNNNNNNNNNNNNNNNNNNNNNNNNNNNNNNNNNNNNNNNNNNNNNNNNNNNNNNNNNNNNNNNNNNNNNNNNNNNNNNNNNNNNNNNNNNNNNNNNNNNNNNNNNNNNNNNNNNNNNNNNNNNNNNNNNNNNNNNNNNNNNNNNNNNNNNNNNNNNNNNNNNNNNNNNNNNNNNNNNNNNNNNNNNNNNNNNNNNNNNNNNNNNNNNNNNNNNNNNNNNNNNNNNNNNNNNNNNNNNNNNNNNNNNNNNNNNNNNNNNNNNNNNNNNNNNNNNNNNNNNNNNNNNNNNNNNNNNNNNNNNNNNNNNNNNNNNNNNNNNNNNNNNNNNNNNNNNNNNNNNNNNNNNNNNNNNNNNNNNNNNNNNNNNNNNNNNNNNNNNNNNNNNNNNNNNNNNNNNNNNNNNNNNNNNNNNNNNNNNNNNNNNNNNNNNNNNNNNNNNNNNNNNNNNNNNNNNNNNNNNNNNNNNNNNNNNNNNNNNNNNNNNNNNNNNNNNNNNNNNNNNNNNNNNNNNNNNNNNNNNNNNNNNNNNNNNNNNNNNNNNNNNNNNNNNNNNNNNNNNNNNNNNNNNNNNNNNNNNNNNNNNNNNNNNNNNNNNNNNNNNNNNNNNNNNNNNNNNNNNNNNNNNNNNNNNNNNNNNNNNNNNNNNNNNNNNNNNNNNNNNNNNNNNNNNNNNNNNNNNNNNNNNNNNNNNNNNNNNNNNNNNNNNNNNNNNNNNNNNNNNNNNNNNNNNNNNNNNNNNNNNNNNNNNNNNNNNNNNNNNNNNNNNNNNNNNNNNNNNNNNNNNNNNNNNNNNNNNNNNNNNNNNNNNNNNNNNNNNNNNNNNNNNNNNNNNNNNNNNNNNNNNNNNNNNNNNNNNNNNNNNNNNNNNNNNNNNNNNNNNNNNNNNNNNNNNNNNNNNNNNNNNNNNNNNNNNNNNNNNNNNNNNNNNNNNNNNNNNNNNNNNNNNNNNNNNNNNNNNNNNNNNNNNNNNNNNNNNNNNNNNNNNNNNNNNNNNNNNNNNNNNNNNNNNNNNNNNNNNNNNNNNNNNNNNNNNNNNNNNNNNNNNNNNNNNNNNNNNNNNNNNNNNNNNNNNNNNNNNNNNNNNNNNNNNNNNNNNNNNNNNNNNNNNNNNNNNNNNNNNNNNNNNNNNNNNNNNNNNNNNNNNNNNNNNNNNNNNNNNNNNNNNNNNNNNNNNNNNNNNNNNNNNNNNNNNNNNNNNNNNNNNNNNNNNNNNNNNNNNNNNNNNNNNNNNNNNNNNNNNNNNNNNNNNNNNNNNNNNNNNNNNNNNNNNNNNNNNNNNNNNNNNNNNNNNNNNNNNNNNNNNNNNNNNNNNNNNNNNNNNNNNNNNNNNNNNNNNNNNNNNNNNNNNNNNNNNNNNNNNNNNNNNNNNNNNNNNNNNNNNNNNNNNNNNNNNNNNNNNNNNNNNNNNNNNNNNNNNNNNNNNNNNNNNNNNNNNNNNNNNNNNNNNNNNNNNNNNNNNNNNNNNNNNNNNNNNNNNNNNNNNNNNNNNNNNNNNNNNNNNNNNNNNNNNNNNNNNNNNNNNNNNNNNNNNNNNNNNNNNNNNNNNNNNNNNNNNNNNNNNNNNNNNNNNNNNNNNNNNNNNNNNNNNNNNNNNNNNNNNNNNNNNNNNNNNNNNNNNNNNNNNNNNNNNNNNNNNNNNNNNNNNNNNNNNNNNNNNNNNNNNNNNNNNNNNNNNNNNNNNNNNNNNNNNNNNNNNNNNNNNNNNNNNNNNNNNNNNNNNNNNNNNNNNNNNNNNNNNNNNNNNNNNNNNNNNNNNNNNNNNNNNNNNNNNNNNNNNNNNNNNNNNNNNNNNNNNNNNNNNNNNNNNNNNNNNNNNNNNNNNNNNNNNNNNNNNNNNNNNNNNNNNNNNNNNNNNNNNNNNNNNNNNNNNNNNNNNNNNNNNNNNNNNNNNNNNNNNNNNNNNNNNNNNNNNNNNNNNNNNNNNNNNNNNNNNNNNNNNNNNNNNNNNNNNNNNNNNNNNNNNNNNNNNNNNNNNNNNNNNNNNNNNNNNNNNNNNNNNNNNNNNNNNNNNNNNNNNNNNNNNNNNNNNNNNNNNNNNNNNNNNNNNNNNNNNNNNNNNNNNNNNNNNNNNNNNNNNNNNNNNNNNNNNNNNNNNNNNNNNNNNNNNNNNNNNNNNNNNNNNNNNNNNNNNNNNNNNNNNNNNNNNNNNNNNNNNNNNNNNNNNNNNNNNNNNNNNNNNNNNNNNNNNNNNNNNNNNNNNNNNNNNNNNNNNNNNNNNNNNNNNNNNNNNNNNNNNNNNNNNNNNNNNNNNNNNNNNNNNNNNNNNNNNNNNNNNNNNNNNNNNNNNNNNNNNNNNNNNNNNNNNNNNNNNNNNNNNNNNNNNNNNNNNNNNNNNNNNNNNNNNNNNNNNNNNNNNNNNNNNNNNNNNNNNNNNNNNNNNNNNNNNNNNNNNNNNNNNNNNNNNNNNNNNNNNNNNNNNNNNNNNNNNNNNNNNNNNNNNNNNNNNNNNNNNNNNNNNNNNNNNNNNNNNNNNNNNNNNNNNNNNNNNNNNNNNNNNNNNNNNNNNNNNNNNNNNNNNNNNNNNNNNNNNNNNNNNNNNNNNNNNNNNNNNNNNNNNNNNNNNNNNNNNNNNNNNNNNNNNNNNNNNNNNNNNNNNNNNNNNNNNNNNNNNNNNNNNNNNNNNNNNNNNNNNNNNNNNNNNNNNNNNNNNNNNNNNNNNNNNNNNNNNNNNNNNNNNNNNNNNNNNNNNNNNNNNNNNNNNNNNNNNNNNNNNNNNNNNNNNNNNNNNNNNNNNNNNNNNNNNNNNNNNNNNNNNNNNNNNNNNNNNNNNNNNNNNNNNNNNNNNNNNNNNNNNNNNNNNNNNNNNNNNNNNNNNNNNNNNNNNNNNNNNNNNNNNNNNNNNNNNNNNNNNNNNNNNNNNNNNNNNNNNNNNNNNNNNNNNNNNNNNNNNNNNNNNNNNNNNNNNNNNNNNNNNNNNNNNNNNNNNNNNNNNNNNNNNNNNNNNNNNNNNNNNNNNNNNNNNNNNNNNNNNNNNNNNNNNNNNNNNNNNNNNNNNNNNNNNNNNNNNNNNNNNNNNNNNNNNNNNNNNNNNNNNNNNNNNNNNNNNNNNNNNNNNNNNNNNNNNNNNNNNNNNNNNNNNNNNNNNNNNNNNNNNNNNNNNNNNNNNNNNNNNNNNNNNNNNNNNNNNNNNNNNNNNNNNNNNNNNNNNNNNNNNNNNNNNNNNNNNNNNNNNNNNNNNNNNNNNNNNNNNNNNNNNNNNNNNNNNNNNNNNNNNNNNNNNNNNNNNNNNNNNNNNNNNNNNNNNNNNNNNNNNNNNNNNNNNNNNNNNNNNNNNNNNNNNNNNNNNNNNNNNNNNNNNNNNNNNNNNNNNNNNNNNNNNNNNNNNNNNNNNNNNNNNNNNNNNNNNNNNNNNNNNNNNNNNNNNNNNNNNNNNNNNNNNNNNNNNNNNNNNNNNNNNNNNNNNNNNNNNNNNNNNNNNNNNNNNNNNNNNNNNNNNNNNNNNNNNNNNNNNNNNNNNNNNNNNNNNNNNNNNNNNNNNNNNNNNNNNNNNNNNNNNNNNNNNNNNNNNNNNNNNNNNNNNNNNNNNNNNNNNNNNNNNNNNNNNNNNNNNNNNNNNNNNNNNNNNNNNNNNNNNNNNNNNNNNNNNNNNNNNNNNNNNNNNNNNNNNNNNNNNNNNNNNNNNNNNNNNNNNNNNNNNNNNNNNNNNNNNNNNNNNNNNNNNNNNNNNNNNNNNNNNNNNNNNNNNNNNNNNNNNNNNNNNNNNNNNNNNNNNNNNNNNNNNNNNNNNNNNNNNNNNNNNNNNNNNNNNNNNNNNNNNNNNNNNNNNNNNNNNNNNNNNNNNNNNNNNNNNNNNNNNNNNNNNNNNNNNNNNNNNNNNNNNNNNNNNNNNNNNNNNNNNNNNNNNNNNNNNNNNNNNNNNNNNNNNNNNNNNNNNNNNNNNNNNNNNNNNNNNNNNNNNNNNNNNNNNNNNNNNNNNNNNNNNNNNNNNNNNNNNNNNNNNNNNNNNNNNNNNNNNNNNNNNNNNNNNNNNNNNNNNNNNNNNNNNNNNNNNNNNNNNNNNNNNNNNNNNNNNNNNNNNNNNNNNNNNNNNNNNNNNNNNNNNNNNNNNNNNNNNNNNNNNNNNNNNNNNNNNNNNNNNNNNNNNNNNNNNNNNNNNNNNNNNNNNNNNNNNNNNNNNNNNNNNNNNNNNNNNNNNNNNNNNNNNNNNNNNNNNNNNNNNNNNNNNNNNNNNNNNNNNNNNNNNNNNNNNNNNNNNNNNNNNNNNNNNNNNNNNNNNNNNNNNNNNNNNNNNNNNNNNNNNNNNNNNNNNNNNNNNNNNNNNNNNNNNNNNNNNNNNNNNNNNNNNNNNNNNNNNNNNNNNNNNNNNNNNNNNNNNNNNNNNNNNNNNNNNNNNNNNNNNNNNNNNNNNNNNNNNNNNNNNNNNNNNNNNNNNNNNNNNNNNNNNNNNNNNNNNNNNNNNNNNNNNNNNNNNNNNNNNNNNNNNNNNNNNNNNNNNNNNNNNNNNNNNNNNNNNNNNNNNNNNNNNNNNNNNNNNNNNNNNNNNNNNNNNNNNNNNNNNNNNNNNNNNNNNNNNNNNNNNNNNNNNNNNNNNNNNNNNNNNNNNNNNNNNNNNNNNNNNNNNNNNNNNNNNNNNNNNNNNNNNNNNNNNNNNNNNNNNNNNNNNNNNNNNNNNNNNNNNNNNNNNNNNNNNNNNNNNNNNNNNNNNNNNNNNNNNNNNNNNNNNNNNNNNNNNNNNNNNNNNNNNNNNNNNNNNNNNNNNNNNNNNNNNNNNNNNNNNNNNNNNNNNNNNNNNNNNNNNNNNNNNNNNNNNNNNNNNNNNNNNNNNNNNNNNNNNNNNNNNNNNNNNNNNNNNNNNNNNNNNNNNNNNNNNNNNNNNNNNNNNNNNNNNNNNNNNNNNNNNNNNNNNNNNNNNNNNNNNNNNNNNNNNNNNNNNNNNNNNNNNNNNNNNNNNNNNNNNNNNNNNNNNNNNNNNNNNNNNNNNNNNNNNNNNNNNNNNNNNNNNNNNNNNNNNNNNNNNNNNNNNNNNNNNNNNNNNNNNNNNNNNNNNNNNNNNNNNNNNNNNNNNNNNNNNNNNNNNNNNNNNNNNNNNNNNNNNNNNNNNNNNNNNNNNNNNNNNNNNNNNNNNNNNNNNNNNNNNNNNNNNNNNNNNNNNNNNNNNNNNNNNNNNNNNNNNNNNNNNNNNNNNNNNNNNNNNNNNNNNNNNNNNNNNNNNNNNNNNNNNNNNNNNNNNNNNNNNNNNNNNNNNNNNNNNNNNNNNNNNNNNNNNNNNNNNNNNNNNNNNNNNNNNNNNNNNNNNNNNNNNNNNNNNNNNNNNNNNNNNNNNNNNNNNNNNNNNNNNNNNNNNNNNNNNNNNNNNNNNNNNNNNNNNNNNNNNNNNNNNNNNNNNNNNNNNNNNNNNNNNNNNNNNNNNNNNNNNNNNNNNNNNNNNNNNNNNNNNNNNNNNNNNNNNNNNNNNNNNNNNNNNNNNNNNNNNNNNNNNNNNNNNNNNNNNNNNNNNNNNNNNNNNNNNNNNNNNNNNNNNNNNNNNNNNNNNNNNNNNNNNNNNNNNNNNNNNNNNNNNNNNNNNNNNNNNNNNNNNNNNNNNNNNNNNNNNNNNNNNNNNNNNNNNNNNNNNNNNNNNNNNNNNNNNNNNNNNNNNNNNNNNNNNNNNNNNNNNNNNNNNNNNNNNNNNNNNNNNNNNNNNNNNNNNNNNNNNNNNNNNNNNNNNNNNNNNNNNNNNNNNNNNNNNNNNNNNNNNNNNNNNNNNNNNNNNNNNNNNNNNNNNNNNNNNNNNNNNNNNNNNNNNNNNNNNNNNNNNNNNNNNNNNNNNNNNNNNNNNNNNNNNNNNNNNNNNNNNNNNNNNNNNNNNNNNNNNNNNNNNNNNNNNNNNNNNNNNNNNNNNNNNNNNNNNNNNNNNNNNNNNNNNNNNNNNNNNNNNNNNNNNNNNNNNNNNNNNNNNNNNNNNNNNNNNNNNNNNNNNNNNNNNNNNNNNNNNNNNNNNNNNNNNNNNNNNNNNNNNNNNNNNNNNNNNNNNNNNNNNNNNNNNNNNNNNNNNNNNNNNNNNNNNNNNNNNNNNNNNNNNNNNNNNNNNNNNNNNNNNNNNNNNNNNNNNNNNNNNNNNNNNNNNNNNNNNNNNNNNNNNNNNNNNNNNNNNNNNNNNNNNNNNNNNNNNNNNNNNNNNNNNNNNNNNNNNNNNNNNNNNNNNNNNNNNNNNNNNNNNNNNNNNNNNNNNNNNNNNNNNNNNNNNNNNNNNNNNNNNNNNNNNNNNNNNNNNNNNNNNNNNNNNNNNNNNNNNNNNNNNNNNNNNNNNNNNNNNNNNNNNNNNNNNNNNNNNNNNNNNNNNNNNNNNNNNNNNNNNNNNNNNNNNNNNNNNNNNNNNNNNNNNNNNNNNNNNNNNNNNNNNNNNNNNNNNNNNNNNNNNNNNNNNNNNNNNNNNNNNNNNNNNNNNNNNNNNNNNNNNNNNNNNNNNNNNNNNNNNNNNNNNNNNNNNNNNNNNNNNNNNNNNNNNNNNNNNNNNNNNNNNNNNNNNNNNNNNNNNNNNNNNNNNNNNNNNNNNNNNNNNNNNNNNNNNNNNNNNNNNNNNNNNNNNNNNNNNNNNNNNNNNNNNNNNNNNNNNNNNNNNNNNNNNNNNNNNNNNNNNNNNNNNNNNNNNNNNNNNNNNNNNNNNNNNNNNNNNNNNNNNNNNNNNNNNNNNNNNNNNNNNNNNNNNNNNNNNNNNNNNNNNNNNNNNNNNNNNNNNNNNNNNNNNNNNNNNNNNNNNNNNNNNNNNNNNNNNNNNNNNNNNNNNNNNNNNNNNNNNNNNNNNNNNNNNNNNNNNNNNNNNNNNNNNNNNNNNNNNNNNNNNNNNNNNNNNNNNNNNNNNNNNNNNNNNNNNNNNNNNNNNNNNNNNNNNNNNNNNNNNNNNNNNNNNNNNNNNNNNNNNNNNNNNNNNNNNNNNNNNNNNNNNNNNNNNNNNNNNNNNNNNNNNNNNNNNNNNNNNNNNNNNNNNNNNNNNNNNNNNNNNNNNNNNNNNNNNNNNNNNNNNNNNNNNNNNNNNNNNNNNNNNNNNNNNNNNNNNNNNNNNNNNNNNNNNNNNNNNNNNNNNNNNNNNNNNNNNNNNNNNNNNNNNNNNNNNNNNNNNNNNNNNNNNNNNNNNNNNNNNNNNNNNNNNNNNNNNNNNNNNNNNNNNNNNNNNNNNNNNNNNNNNNNNNNNNNNNNNNNNNNNNNNNNNNNNNNNNNNNNNNNNNNNNNNNNNNNNNNNNNNNNNNNNNNNNNNNNNNNNNNNNNNNNNNNNNNNNNNNNNNNNNNNNNNNNNNNNNNNNNNNNNNNNNNNNNNNNNNNNNNNNNNNNNNNNNNNNNNNNNNNNNNNNNNNNNNNNNNNNNNNNNNNNNNNNNNNNNNNNAGUGCUGCAUAUGAGUUGAAAUGGUGACAGAGUUUGUUGGAAGAAGAAAUCAAUAUUCUUUGAUCUCGAGUAUUGGAAAUACCUUCUUGUGAGGCAUGCCCUAGAUGUUAUGCACAUUGAGAAGAAUGUUUGCGAUAGUAUCAUUGGUACAUUGCUGGAGAUCCCUGGAAAAAAUAAAGAUGGGAUUGCUGCUCGAUUAGAUUUAUUGAACAUGGGGGUCAAAACUGAUUUGCAACCCGAGUAUGGAGAAAGACGUACUCGUUUGCCUCCUGGGCCUUGGAAUUUGUCAAGAGCAGAGAAGAGAGAGGUUUGCAAUUCUUUCUAUGGUAUGAAGGUCCCUGAAGGUUAUUCUUCAAAUAUUAAAAAUCUUGUAUCUGUACAAGAUUCAAGACUUCUUGGCCUUAAAUCACAUGAUUGUCAUACCUUAAUGCAACAAUUGCUCCCUGUGGCAAUUCGUUCUGUUUUGGAGAAGCCUGCAAGGUAUGCAAUAACUCGUUUGUGCUUCUUCUUCAAUGCUAUAUGUGCAAAGACUGUUGAUGUUUCCAAGCUAGAUAAGUUGGAAGAAGAUGUAGUAGUUACUCUGUGUUUGCUUGAGAAGUACUUUCCCCCUUCAUUCUUUGAUAUCAUGGUUCAUCUAGUAGUACAUCUUGUCAGAGAAGUUCGUCUAUGUGGGCCAGUAUAUUUUAGGUGGAUGUAUCCGUUUGAAAGAUAUAUGAAAGUGCUGAAGGGGUAUGUUCAGAAUCGUACUCGUCCCGAAGGUUGCAUUGCUGAGCGGUAUAUAGCUGAAGAAGCGGUAGAGUUUUGUACUCAGCAUUUAUCUGAUGUUAGUACAGUUGGAGUGCCUUCAAGCCAAAAGAUGGGAGUUUCAAAGCCAUUAUUAGGUUGCACAGUGAGCGUAGUUGAUCAGGACCUGUUGAAUCAAGCACAUCUAUAUGUCUUGGAGAAUACGGAGGAAGUCCUACCUUAUAUCGAGUACGUAUGAGUUUUAUUCUUUAAGUUUCCAUUUAAAAUUAUUUCUUAUGUUUAUCUUAUAUAUUUGGGACCGUAAUGCUUGAAUUUUUCGUGUCAUGUAGGCAACAUAUGAUCCACAUCAAGACUGCUUAUCCAAAAUUUAGAAAGAGAACAAAGUGGCUGCAGGAUAAGCACAAUAGCACUUUCAUUCAAUGGCUACGCUUCAAGGUAUAUGUUGUUGAAUAACGUAUUUCUCUUUUAAUUUUCUUCUUAUUUAUAUGUUAGGAUGAAUUAAGAUAUGAUUAAUUUGCAGGUUCAAAGUGAAGUUGAGGAAGACAAUCAUGGCGUAUCAGAAAAUUUAAGGUGGCUAGCAGCUGGUCCAAACAUGUCAGUGCCAUUAUAUAGGAGCUAUCUUAUUAAAGGUAUUAAAUUCAAUAUCAAGGCACAAGAUGAUGUGCGGACAACUCAAAAUAGUGGAGUUUAUUUACUUGCACAUACCAUGCAAGUUGCUAGUGCCAAGGAUAAAAACCCAAUUCUCUCAAAUAUGGGUUUCUAUGGUGUCAUUCAAGAAAUUUGGGACCUUGACUACCAAAAGUUUACAAUCCCAGUCUUUAGGUGUGAUUGGAUAGAUAGUUCUGGUCUUGUAGUCGACGAACUUGGAUUUACCCUUGUAGAUUUGAGUAAAAUUGGACAUAGGAAUGACCAAUUUGUUUUGGCUUCUCAAGUCAAACAAAUAUUUUUUGUUGACGACCCGAUGCAUCGUGGUUGGUCGGUAGUGUUAUCAAUGCCUAGUAGAGAAUAUAAUGAUGUUAUUGGUGAUGAAGUAUUAGGUGAUGUGAUAAUUGAGUGUGAGCCAUUUACUAGAGGGAUGCCAAAUGUUGACACAUUUGAUGAACUGGUAGGUGAGUUAGGCGGUCAAAAUAUUCGAGAUGGGUGUGAAGAUAUAUGGAUUGAAUGAUGCUUAUGUAAUUGGCAGUGUAUGACAUUAAUUUUGUAAUAUAUUGUAAUGUGAUUUCUUCACUUUCUACGUUCAAAUAAAACACGACGUUAUUGUGAAUCAGUUAUUCAGCAUAUUUACCGACGUCUUAAAGCAACGUAACAAUGAAGAACCACGACGCUAUUGUGAAGCAAUUAUUCAGGAUAUCACGUCGGUGAAGGAUAAAGAACCGCCAUGUAAUUCAAAAUAACACGACUCCAAUCCCAUAAUACCGACGUCUAAAAAACGAGAUAUGUAAUCUGAACGUUAAAAAAUACGACGUCAUCAUACAUUUUCCACGUCGCAAGUUCUUUUAUAAACGAAGAGGAACGAAAUUAAUUCCGACGGAAAUUCAUUAUAACCGCCGUCUAAUAACAAUUAAACGACGUUAUUUGUAAUACGGCUCCCAUCAUAAUCUACGCCGUCUAUAUGUUCUGUAAUACGGCUCUCAUUUAUUUGGAACCGACGUUGUUUAGACGUUCAACGUCGUCUAUAUUAUUAAGUGCGUCGUGAGUAAUGAAUACAUAUAAAUACAACGUCGACUAUAUAAAUGUAUACGUCGUAAAUAAUGACACUGACAACUAUUUCCACGUCAUCUUUUUUAGAUAAAAUCGAAGUGGAAAGUUUAUUUCACGACGGUUUUUUGUAAAUAAGAGACGUUGUAGAACUUUAGCAGACUAAACACGUCUGUUUUUAUUGUUUUCCGACGUUGUUGUAUUUAACAACGUCUAAUAUUUAUGGUCGUUGUUUGUUUCUGAAAAUAGGACGUAUAAAUUUUUUAAUACGACUCUCAUAUAUUUGUAACUGACGUUGUUUAGUUUUUCAACGUCUACUAUAGAAACACAUACGUCGUAAAUAAUGACACUGACAACUAUUUCCACGUCAUCUUUUAUCAAAAAAUCGAAGUGGAAAAUUAAUUGUACGACGGUUGUGUUUAUAUGUGCGACGUAGUAGGUAUCAAUAACGUCGUCUUCUAAUGUAUUUAAAGACGUCAUAUUUUUUAUUGUCGUGAAAAUUAUAUUUAACGUCGGCGUAUUUUUAUUGUCGUCGUUGUAUGUCUAUCUUGCGGCCUUGUUCUCUUAAUAUGUGUCAUAUUUUCCCUUUUUAACGACGGUCUUUUUAGAGAAUUGGUCGUCUAUUAUCAUCAUCGAUUGCUUUUUUUAGAUCUUUUUGCAGUACAAAGACGUCGUUUUGUAUUUUUUGAUGACGUUGUAUUGUUUAACAACGACGGUUAUUUAGCGUCGUGGUUUAUGAGGGAAAAGAUGACGGUGGAUUCCACGACCAUUGAAAAACCAAAUACACGACGGUGAUUUACCGUCGUCUUUUUGCUUUUUUGUAGUAGUGAGAGGCUUUGCGACUUAGCCAUAUGUGUCAUCAAGCAACAAAGUUGGCUUGCAUUGCAGCAUCUUCAAAUGAGGCAUACACAACUUUUAUCGAAGCUCUAAAUGAAUUGUCCAAGAAACUGUCAGACAAUUCUACUCAGCAUGCAACAAUUCCUUCCUCAACAACAGGUGAUCCAUGUAGUACUAAUAUUGAUUCCUCUCAAUUGUUGCUUUUGGACCCUAAUAUCUCACAAACUAAGGGUAGAAAGAAGGACAAUAUUAGCGGUUCAAAAAGGCUAAAAAGUGGUAUUGAGUUGGCUCAAAACAAGAAGAAAAGAAAGUGUGCAUUAUGCAAAAAGAUAGCCCAACAUGACAAAAGAAAUUGUCCUUCAAAUCUGAAAAGAAGAAAGAAUGAAUCAACAAAUCUAUGUAAGUUGGUUCACUUUGUUUUUUUAUUUUUUUAUAUUCUAAUAGUAAGGUCAAAAGCUUAUGUUUAAUUUAAUUAUUAUGAAUCUAAAUUUAGGCAAUGAAGAGUCAGAAGAUUUGUGCCAAGAUAUGGAGAGUGAUGACCAAGAAUAUUGUUAAUGGUGAGUUUUUUUUUUUUUAAAGUUGUGAUCAAUUUUCUUUUCUUUUACUUUAAUUUAUGCUCAUUUGUGUAUUUUGAUCUUGUCUUGCAUCAGGAAUAGUCUAUUAUGUUCAUCAGGGGGAAGCUCUUGUUGCAAUGGUGAUCAUUGGUCUUGUUAUCUCCGUAUAUGUGGCAUUACUUAGACAAAUUAUAUGAAUAUAUGCUUUUUGGAUUAUGAUAUCUUGUAUCAGGAAUGUUUACGUACUAUUUGAUACACAAUGUGUUCCAAAAUUGUUCUUAAUCCGUUGUUUAUGGGUGUUUCAUGAUAGUAAAAUCUUGUAGGUGCCCACUUAAAUCAAUGGAUGAACUUUGCAAUGAACUUGUGUAAAACUUGUUAUUCUAAGGAAAUUAAUCACUUUACUACGGUGAAUAAACAAUUUUUGUUUUUCAUACACAUAUAACACUUAGACGAAUGAAAUCUUCCUCAUCAAAUAAUCUUCUACAGCAGAUCACCUUCCAUAGGUGAAAUCAUAGUAAUAAAAAAGGUUGGGCUGUAAACUCAAGCAGCUCUUUCUUCCCAGUGACAACCACAUCAAAAUCAGAAAAAUGAACUUUCAUAAAAGCCACCCGUGGGCAAAAACCCAAAACUAACAACCAAACAUACAUAGGACCACAUGGGAGCAGAGUACAACCAGGGUGUUGAGGCCAUUUGAAGAAACACUCAUUUUGGACAGCCCAGCAAAGACAAUUCAUAAACUGUAAUUCCAUAUGUCAAUGCAUAGGUAAUCCAUCAAUUUCUAGAACCAACCCCAAAGAGGGAGGAGGUUGAAGCAAGUUGGUGUGGCAUCAAAUUUUCUCCUUGUAUUCUGUCCCUAUUAAUCGGGACCAAAAAAAAAAAAGUAGUAGUCAAAAUUUUCAUAUAUGAGAAGAUUAAAAUCCCUAAAUCAAACCCUCAAAAUAAGAAAUCCUACCAACAAUUUGAAACAAAUUGAAAUGAAUAGCUUAAUCAUAGAUACCUAAGAAAUAAACUUAAUCCCCUUGGAAACUAUUAAUUCCUUAAAUUCCUAAUCUAGAGAUUCUAGUUUAAUUCCAACAAAAAUAAAAUUAAAAUAAACCAAAUCUGAUCAAGAAAAUCGAAAAUUGAAAUAUGUACCUGGAGCAAAGCUUUUCUCCCAACGAAGAAGGCAAAAACUGAGAGAGAGAGAGAGAGAGAGAGAGAGAGAGAGAGAGAGAGAGAGAGAGAGAGAGAGAGAGAGAGAGAGAGACGUGCAAAUGUGGGGUUUGGGUAUUUAGUUUUUGGUGAGAUUGAGAGAGAGAGAGAGAGAGAGAGAGAGAGAGAGAGAGAGAGAGAGAGAGAGAGAGAGAGAGAGAGAGAGAGAGAGAGAGAGAGAGAGACGUGCAAGUGUGGGGUUUGGGUAUUUAGUUUUUGGUGAGAUUGAGAGAGAGAGAGAGAGAGAGAGAGAGAGAGAGAGAGAGAGAGAGAGAGAGAGAGAGAGAGAGAGAGAGAGAGAGAGAGAGAGAGAGAGAGAGAGAGAGAGAGAGAGAGACGUGCAAAUGUGGGGUUUGGGUAUUUAGUUUUUGGUGAGAUUCUUUAUUUAUUAGACCAUAAUAAAUAUUUGAGAUUAAAGAGGCAGGAGAGAUUACGUCUUCCAGCAAAAAAGUUGGAGAGAGAAAAAUUUCCUUUUAUUUUUAUGAGAGAGAAUAAAAUUAAUGAUUGUCUAUUUAAAAAAAAUUAAAACUACUUGCCAUGUAAUAUUUAAUCUCAACCAUUAAAAGUGGAGUAAUCUAAUGGCCUAAAAAUUGUGUCAAAACUUGUGUCAAAAACGUAGUGCCACGGAUCCGCCCCCUAUAUAUAUAUAUACGAAUUUAAUUUAAAUUACAAAGCCCAAGUAGCUAGCCCCGGCCACAUAUAUAUAAAGAUUCAUAUUUUGUGCAUGUAAAAAUUCAUGUUUUGUGCGGCCGACUUCAAUAAUCGAAGGGCCCGCACACGUUAUAUAUAUAUAUAUAUAUAUAUAUAAAGAUUGAAUUAGGUUCCUCAGCGGACCAAUUUUAGAGCUCUAUAUAUAUUGUGGGAACCUAAUUAAAUCAAAACCCUAGGUCAAUUAAUUAGGCCAAUCAAUUUGGGAAUUAUUUGACCUAAUUAGGAGUUACCUAACCUAAUUGGGAAUUACCUAAUCAAAUUGGGGGUUACUUGAUUCCCAAUUUAAUUAGGGAUUCGGUUCAUCCAUAAUCCCUAAAUGCACCAACCCCACCAACCACACCAACCACACCAACUACACCAACCACGCCAACCACACCAACUACACCAACCCCACCUACCUCUCCAAAGGCCACUAUAAAUACAUGGUUACGCACAAGGAUGAGGUACGUCUAAAUUCCUACUCAAACUCUGCAUAAAUUAUUUCUCAGAGACCCUAGCCACCUCCUCUCUUUCUCUCUCUCACACAAGGCUCCGGCCACCACACACGGCUCCGGCCACCCGGUUUUCCUUGAAUUCCCUUACCUAACUUAGGCAUCGGAGGGCCUUUGGCCAACACCCCCCGGGUGUGGUCCUUUUACUCCGAUCUGUUUUGCAGGGAGAAAGAGAGGCGGAGAAGACGAAGGAAUCUUGGGCGAAUAUUCUCCCGUGAGAUUAUUUGCACAAACAAAUUGGUGCUUUCAUUGAGAGCACGAGAUAUAUUCAAAGCGUGCUCCAAAUCCAUCUUUCACACAUUUUUUCAAACAACCAUGGUUGAUACAAGACGUACGAAGAGUAACGCCACCACGAUGGGCCCAUCUCAUGGUUUCGUGGUGGAAACCUCAAUGCAACGUCACGGAAUCGUGGCUGCCAACGCCUUGCAGUCGUUCUCUAGUGCUUUGCAGCCGCCCUCAGCUGCUGGAAUUGCAGAACAGCCACCACAUGACCCUGGGACCUCCACAGCCUUGCAGUUGCCAGCGCCGAUUACCAGAGCUGCUCUGCCUCGCUGUCCUACCGUAGGAGCACAGCAGCAGCCACACCACUCAACUACCGGAUUUGCUGCUCAGCCCCAUGGCUACUCCGACGUCGUCCCAGUCUUGGAGCAGAUCCAUUCUCUCCCUCCUCUGCAAUCACACUUGACAUAUGCACCUGUGUAUGCGUCUAAUGGAGCCCUAGCCCAUAUGCCGUUAGGCCUGAUGCACAACGCUCUACUUGACCCGCGCAGCCAGGUGGACCUUAACUCACGGGUCGAUCAACUCACACAGAAGGUCGAUGAUCAGAACAACCUGAUUGGCCAGCUACUCAGGCAGAUCAACUUGAAUCAAGGCCCUAACCUUGGACCUCGUGACGAGGAGAUGAGGGCACACCAGCAUGUCGGCGAGCAGUUCGAGAGGUCCCAAACUGGUCAGACAAGGGCAAACCGGCAGAGGAGAGAUCGAGAUCGAGAUCGAGUAGAUGAGACGCAGACAGCCGCGAGCCAUACUCUUAGCCGUUCGGGGCUAGAACCAAGGACCAAUGUGCUCGAGAGGCUAGGCCCACAGACUAAUGUCCACGCCCGCUUAGGCCCACAAUCCAAUGUCCACGCCCGCUUGGGCCCACAAGGAGCUCGAAUUCGUGAGCAGUCGCGUGACGAGCGCAACGACCGACGCCUACCAACCCGCUCGAGGGCCAACACGCGGCGACAAGCUGUAGAGGGAUCCUCACAAGCCCAAUCUCCUAAUCUGCCCCACGGGCAGAACACCCAAGGGGAUCGACCCUUGGGAACCGAAGAAGGAGUUAGCCAGUCACGCUCGAGACACCAAAGACGUCGACCUGAGCGACCCUCCUUGCGGGCAGAAAAUGAUGAUCGACGCCCACCAACCUGCUCGAGGACCAACACGUGGCGACAAGAUGUAGAGGAAUCCUCACAAGCUCAAUCUUCUAAUCUGCCCCACGGGCAGAACACCCAAGGGGAUCGACCCUUGGGAACUGAGGAAGAAGUUAGCCGGUCACGCUCGAGGCACCGAAGACGCCGGCCCGAGACUCCAGUCCUGCGAGCAGAGGACGUCGAGAAGCUAGUAAAUGACCGACUCCAAGCUCUCCAACUUAAAGGAAGCGCGGAGGAGGCCCUGCAUAAGGAAAUUGAUCGAGUUGACUGCUCGCCCUUUACCGACAAAGUGGAACGAGCUCCUCCACCGAAGCGGUUCACAACGCCAUCCAUCACUCCAUUCAAGGGGGACUCUGACCCUGAGAGCCAUUUGAGGCACUUCAAGAGCGCCAUGAUCCUGUACAAGGCAGAUGAUGCCCUGAUGUGCAAAGUGUUCGCGAUGACCCUGCGAGGAGCAGCUCAAGACUGGUUCCACACUCUACCGUCCGCGUCGAUAGGAAACUUCAAGGAGUUGGCCUUCAUCUUCACAAAGGAGUACACCUCCUACAAGACGGUCAGAAAGCAUGCAGACCAUCUGUUCAACCUGCGCAAGAAGCCAGACGAGUCUCUACGAGACUACCUGAGACGGUUUAAGGCUGAAAAGGCUAACAUCAUAGGAUGCAAUGACCAAGUUGCAUCCUCAGCUUUCAAGAAGGGCUUGCCAACCGAGCACGAGCUAUACCGGGAACUGGCCAUAACACCAAGUCAAACCUUGGCAGAAGUGUUCGCGACGGCAGAACGCUACGCACUUUGGGACGAUGAUCGAAUCGCCGCAAAGAAAGCCAGCAAGCAAGUUGAUCACCCGACGAAGCAGGCAAGCCAAAAGAGCAACCAGUUCGAGCAAAAAGCCCGAGAUAAGCGCAGAUCGCGGCCCCGAGAGGGAAGCUCAGAAACAGGGACCUUCACUGAGUUCGCUAUCCCAAUUCAUCAGAUCCUGGCUCAAGUGAAGGACAAGCCGUGGGUGAGGAGACCGCCACCCAUGAAGGGAGACCCCUCUAAGAGGGACACCAAUAAAUACUGCGCAUUCCACGGGGAGCACGGACAUUACACCAACAACUGCAAUGCUUGGAAAAGGCAUCUUGAGGAGCUGGUCAGAGAAGGUCAUUGCACAGAAUUCGUCGCAAAGAAGGCCAUUUUGCAGAUCGAGGAUCGUGAUGCGGCUGCCAAGGAGCCUCCCCAAAAGGUCAUUCGAAUCAACACCAUUCUAGCUGACUCCCGGGAGUCUGGGCUGACCACCAAGGAGCGCAAGAGGAAGAUCGCGCAGGCGGCUUAUGUCUCCCAAGUCACAACAGGAGUACCAGUCAUUGUGGAUACACCCAUCAUUGGUUUCCAGAAGAAGGACUUGAUCGGGCUUGACCUACCGCAUAAUGAUGCGCUAGUCAUCUGCAUUCAAAUUGAACAAGCUGUGAUCGAGCGAAUUCAUGUGGAUGAGGGCAGCGCAGCUAACAUCCUGCAACUAUCUGUCAUCCAACAGAUGGGAUUGGAGCCCAAGAUUAGCAAACUUGCCAGGUCGCUUACCGGCUUCAAUGGGGCCACAUCAAUCACUAUUGGAACGAUCGACCUUGACGUCCACUCACCCCCAGUGCUCUGCUCGCAAAUCUUCAUGGUCAUCAACGAGAUCUCCCCCUACAAUGGAAUAUUGGGCCGACCGUGGAUCAGCAAGAUCGAGGCCAUCACAUCUGCUCUGCACCAGAAGAUUCGAUACCCCAUCCCUAGAGGCGGAAUCGGGCAGAUCAAUAGUGACCAAGACAUGGCAAGAAGAUGCACAGCCCAAGGGCUCAAGAAGAGCAAGCAGUUGCAGUUCACACCAGUAAUGCAAGCUGCUAACGAGGCACGAAGCGUUCCCAGCAAACAAGCAAGCUCGAGCGAGAAGGGAGCUGUUACCCCACAAUAGCAAUUAAUGAGCUAGGAUCAAGGCGAGGGAAUCCGCCCGGAAGACUCCCCUGAAAAGGGUUGGAAGCCUGAGGAUGACGUCGAGUUAGUACCCCCUGAUCUUGGCCAGCCAGACAAAGAAGCGCAGAUCGGCUCGUGCCAGAAUCCAAACAAGAAGGAUCGAGAGGAGGGAAUCCGGCCAGAAGGCUCCCUUGAAAAAGGUUGGAAGCCUGAGGAAGACGUUGAGUUAGUACCCCUCGAUCCUAACCAGCCAGACAAGAAAGCGAGGAUCGGCUCGCGCCUAAGCCCAGAUGAGAAGAUGGAGUUGACCAUCUUCCUCCAAAACAACAAAGACAUGUUCGCGUGGUCACCAUCUGACAUGCCCGGCAUCGACCCAGACAUCAUCUGCCACCGCCUCCAUGUCAACCCUGCCAGCAAGCCCGUGGUGCAGAAGAGACGCAACUUCGCUCCCGAGCGAGUCGCGAUCAUUGAGGCCGAGAUCGACAAGCUUCUAGCAGCCGGAUUUAUUGAAGAAGUCUCAUACUCAGAAUGGCUGGCCAACGUCGUUUUGGUGGCAAAACAAGAAAAGGGCAAAUGGAGAGUGUGCGUCGAUUAUACCGACCUCAACAAAGCAUGCCCUAAAGACAACUUCCCAUUGCCGAGGAUCGACCAGCUCGUGGAUUCAACUUCCGGCAACCAGCUGCUCAGCUUCAUAGAUGCCUACUCAGGCUAUAAUCAAAUUAUGAUGUACGACGAUGACAAGGCGAAGACCUCUUUCAUCAUCGAGAGAGGGACCUACUGCUACAAGGUCAUGCCCUUCGGGUUGAAGAACGCCGGAGCAACAUACCAAAGGCUCGUGAAUAAGAUUUUCAAAGAGCAGAUCGGCAGAACCAUGGAAGUCUACGUGGAUGAUAUGCUGGUCAAAGCCCCCAAGCGUGGAGACCACCUCAAAAACCUCACCGAGGCAUUCAGCCUACUCCGCCAAUACCGCAUGAAGCUGAAUCCAAGUAAAUGCACGUUCGGUGUAUCAUCCGGUCGAUUCCUGGGGUACUUAGUCACACAACGAGGUAUCGAGGCACACCCACGCCAAAUUAAAGCCAUCCUCGAGAUGAAGUCACCUUCCACGGUGAAAGAAAUACAAAGUCUGACGGGCAGAGCAGCAGCUCUCAACCGAUUCCUCUCGAAGUCUACCGACAAGUGCAGACCAUUCUUCAAAGCUUUGAAGAAGGGGCAAAAAGACAAGUGGGACAAGGAGUGCGAAGUAGCUUUCCAGAGUCUAAAGACCUACCUUACUUCACCUCCCCUGCUCUCGAAGCCAGCUCCUGGUGAAGACUUGUUCGUGUACCUGGCAGUGUCCGACUCAGCCAUCAGCUCAACUCUCAUCCGAGAAGAACUUGGGGCCCAACAUCCGAUAUUCUAUACGUCAAAAGCUCUCCUCGAUGCAGAGACUCGCUACCCAAAAUUGGAGAAGCUCAUUUUGGCCCUUGUCGUUUCCGCGCGAAAGCUGCGGCCUUAUUACCAAGCUCACCGAGUCAUCGUUAUGACUGACUUUCCUUUGAGAUCAAUCCUCCACAGCCCUGAUGCUUCUCAGCGGCUUAUGAAGUGGGCAAUAGAACUAAGCCAAUACGACCUCCUCUACCGGCCAAAGACUGCUAUAAAAGCCCAGGCCUUAGCAGACUUUGUUGCAGAGUACACACCAUCAGCCGAAGAAGAGAAGCUGGUCAGUAAAAAGAAGGAAAGUUCGAGAGCAGACAAGACCUCCGCGGAACCUGACCAACCCAGAGACAUGUGGCAGCUACGCGUAGAUGGAGCGUCGAACCAGAAAGGAGCUGGAGCAGGCGUCGUCAUCGUCACUCCAGAUGGAACCCUGUUAGAGCAAGCUAUCACACUUGGCUUCCCAGCUUCAAAUAACGAGGCAGAGUACGAGGCAUUGCUCGCUGGCUUGCGCCUGGCAAAGGAGCUAUCAAUCAAGAAGCUGGCCAUCUACUCAGAUUCCCAGCUGAUCACAAGUCAAGCCUCAGGAGAAUACAUGGCGAAGCACCCAAGGAUGAUCUUGUACCUUGACAAAGUCCAAGAGCUGUUGAAGGCAUUUCCCACCUUCACCAUCUAGCAGGUGCCCCGAGCAGAGAACGCGCACGCAGAUGCACUGGCAAGCUUAGGAUCAGCACUGGAUACCCAAUUCAGAGGCUCCAUCCCGGUCGAGCACCUUGAUCAGCCUAGCAUAGAAGAGGCAGAACAACCAGACCUGAUGCAAAUCGACGAGGAUCCUAGCUGGCAAGAACCCAUCAUCGACUACCUAGUGAAUGAAAACUUGCCCCAAGACAAGUUCGACGCCAGAGAAAUCAAGCAGAAGGCUGCAAGAUAUUACAUGAAAGGCGACACGCUUAUCCGCAGAUCAUACUACGGGCCUCAUCUCACUUGCAUCAAGUACCCGCAAACGCUCGAGGUUCUCUGCAAAAUACACGACGGCGAAUGUGGAAAUCACGCUGGAGGCAGGUCGCUUGCUCAGAAGGCUCUCAGCAUCGGCUAUUUCUGGCCUACCAUGCGUAAAGAUUCCACGGAGUAUGCUCGAAGAUUUGAUCGAUGCCAACGGUACAAGCCAGUCCCUGGCUUGCCAGCUGAGGAAUACCAUCCGCAGAACAGCCCAUGGCCGUUCAUGCAGUGGGCCAUUGACUUGGUGGGACCUAUGCCGACAGCACCUGCCAAUAAAGAGAUGAUGAUCGUUGCCACUGAUUACUUCACUAAAUGGAUCGUGGCCGAGGCUUUGUCUUCUACCAAGGAAGCUGACGUUGAACGUUUCAUCUGGAAGAACAUCAUCUGCAGAUUCGGUUGCCCGCAAUCGAUAGUUACUGACAAUGGUACACAGUUCGUGGGCAGGCAAAUCACUGCAUUUUUUGCGAAGUAUGGCAUCAAGCAGCACCUGUCAACUCCCAGAUACCUGCAAGGCAAUGGUCAAGCAGAGGCAUCCAACAAAAUCGUGCUGGACUGCCUAAAGAAAAGACUGGAAGGCGCAGAAGGAAAAUGGGUCGACGAGCUGCCAGGAGUUCUAUGGGCUUAUCGCACAACCAAAAGGAGAUCGACCGGAGAAACACCAUUUUCCUUGGCCUAUGGGACGGAGGCAAUCAUUCCCCCACACAUCACAGUCCCUUCCAUGAGCAUUGAAGUGGGCAGUCUUGACCAAAACUGCAGGCAUAUGAGAAUUAACCUUGACCUGCUCGAAGAAGAACGAGAAAAGGCCAUUGUUCGAGUUGCCGCCUACCAGCAGCAGUUGACAUCCUACUACAAUAAGAAGGCCAAGAUCAGACAGUUUCGGCCUGGAGACCUUGUGCUCAGAAAGACUUUUAUCACAUCACCAAGGCAAGGAUCAAAGAAGAUGAAGCCAAAUUGGGAAGGCCCCUACAUGAUCAGCCGGUCUGGGGGCAGAGGAAGUUACACCCUCGACACUCUAGAAGGGAAGGAAAUUCCAAGACAGUGGAAUGCCCACCACCUUCGGAGAUACUAUCCAUGAAGCUCUUCGCUUACCAGCUCGACUCCUAGCAGACAACGAGCCUCUCAUACUUCUAUUAAAGGCAAAUUGCUUUUGAUGUUACCUAUGUUAUUAAUUUCCUUUAUUCAAUAAAGCGAUGUAUUCACACCAACAUCAAUACAAAAGCAAGCUUUUCAAUGAAGUACUUUUUUCGAGCUUUAUGUCCCACAAACAUAUACACAAAGGCGACAAGCCUUACCUCCAUUGCAGACAAGCUGCUCUCCGGAGCACGAACUCAAUGGAGUCUUUUUUAAGAGCUAUGUCCCCGACAUACGCUCACAGGCGACAAGCCUUACCUCCAUUGCAGACAAGCUGCUCUCCGGAGCACGAACUCAAUGGAGUCCUUUUUAAGAGCUAUGUCCCCGACAUACGCUCACAGGCGACAAGCCUUACCUCCAUCGCAGACAAGCUGCUCUCCGGAGCAUGAACUCAAUGGAGUCCUUUUUAAGAGCUAUGUCCCCGACAUACGCUCACAGGCGACAAGCCUUACCUCCAUCGUAGACAAGCUGCUCCCCGGAGCACGAACUCAAUGGAGUCUUUUUUUAAGAGCUAUGUCCCCGACAUAUGCUCACAGGCGACAAGCCUUACCUCCAUUGCAGACAAGCUGCUCCCCGGAGCACGAACUCAAUGGAGUCUUUUUUAAGAGCUAUGUCCCCGACAUACGCUCACAGGCGACAAGCCUUACCUCCAUUGCAGACGAGCUGCUCCUCGGAGCACAAACUCAAUGGAGUCUUUUUUCAAGUGCUAUGUCUUUCAAGUGCUAUGUCUCCGGACGCACACUUACAAGAUACAAAGAGAAUUGAAAAUUCAAUAACAAAGCGGCCAAUCAGCCAAGUUCAACAAGAAGUAAGAUGGUCAACCAAAGACCACUUAUUGAAAGAAAAAUAACAAAGUUCAAAAAUAGCAAAAAUGGACUACAACUGCUAAGGAACUUCAGCAGGUGACCCUCAGCCGAUCACAUCCUCAACUGAGCUGGCAACAGCCUCAUUCUACCCAACUGGCACAACUGGCUCAACCGCCUCGGCUGCCUGCUCCUUCGCAUCCGCCUUAGCCUCAUCAGUUGACCCACCUUGGCAUUUAUCUUCCUCAAUUACCGCUGCUUAUGCAUCCACAACAUCCACCUGCUCACUCUGAGCGGGGGGCAGGUCAAGACCAGUCUGCUCACCGUCAUCAUCUUCGAGAGAGCAGUAAGGAGAAACACCAUUCUGGCAAUCCAGGUAUCCCAGCUUGUACGCGUUAGCAGCAAUCUCCAGUUUGGAUGCCUCCGUGGCUUCCACAAGGGUGUCCAACUUGACCAGCAGUUUGUCACGAUCCUGGGCCAAAGCAGCAUGCUUGUGUUCAAGGCAGAAGUAGGCUUCCUUACGUUCGAGCAGGGUAGCAGCAAGAGACUUGAGUUCACCAUCCUUUUGGCCAACAGAACUCUUGAGCACGGACAAACUCUCCUUCAUCUCGGAAAUCAUCGCAUCAUGGCGAAUCCGCUCGCUCGAGAGCUUGCCAGUCAAGUCGGCAUUCUUCUUCACCAGCUCGUCAAGCAGGGCAGAAGAGGGGGCAACAUCACGCGAGUUCCGCAUGGCCCCAACAGCAAAAACCAUUCCUUUUUGAAGAUGAUACAUAGCAGCUUCUUCUUGCUUAUCCAAAGGAAGGUUCGAAAAAGCACAAAGGUCGCCGGCUCGAUACACGUGAUCAGCCAGCUUAGCGCAAGCAGACGGACUUGACAGAAAGCCUGUUUUCAGCAGAUCAGACACGGGCUCCCCCCCAGCAGAGCUAUCACCAAUUCCCGGACCAGCAGUUUGCGCGAUUGGAGGACUCUUCGCUCGAGCAGACGACUCUUUAGCUCUUUUGACUGCAGCUUGCAACAUUGAGUCAGCCCCGCGCUUGACUGCUCGUGGCCCCACAGAUGAGUCAUGGUUGCAAGGCAGAGGUACGGUCCUCUCAGCUUGAUUCCCAGAUCGGCACGGACGACCCAAACCUUGCUUCCCAGCAGUUUCCUUGCAUGGCAGAUCACGGGUCUUAGGCGGUACGGGCAAGGACUUGAGCAGAAUUUCCCGAACCUCCUGCAUGCCAUUGGCCUUCUUGCUGAUCCCGGCAGAUGGAGUAGGAACAAUUCCCAUAUGGGCUUUCUGAGCAGGCGAGACCUCCCUUGUGGAAGACUUGUUCGUGGCAAGAGAAAAUCUCGGCUGCUGUCGCUGUGGAGAUGUAUCUACUGAUCGUGAAACUGCAACUUUAUCCCGAGCAGAGCUGCUGCACGUUUUCCCACCCUCGGGGGACUCAGUCGAUGACUUCUGCUCAACUGGCAAGUCACUUAGUUUCAAGCAGCGCGACUUCCACCUUUCAAUAUCUUCAGCAGGGGGCAGGCCACUGACUUUCUUCUGGUGUUCGCUCAGCAGCCAGCGCCAUUCACGGAACUUAGCAGGGAUGCUCAAAGCUUGUCGAACCUUCGUCAUGUCCGAGUCGAGAACAAGCUUCUUUCGAAUGGCAUCAUCUGCAAGCAUAAGACAAAAGUUAGUCAGACACACUAAAGAAUCCCAUGGAAAAUAGUAGCAGAUCAGAGGGAUGCAACUUACCAUCACAGUAGGUGAGAGGAACGAGCGGACCGUCGCCAACCUCUCCUUCCCAUCUGCCACUAACCUCUAGCACGUCCUUGCUCCACACAUGAUCGCCCUGACUCAGACUAUCAAACAACUUGGGUUCGCAUGCGCGGAGUUGGGCAUAUUUCUCGAAGCGUCUCACCUCAAAGAAGUAGAAGAACUCCUUCACGGUCAAAUCCAACUUGAAGAAGCAGCUCAAAUUUUCAAAGCAGAUGACCGCCCGAUAAACAUUCGGAGUACACUGACUCGGGGCACAUUCCAUGGCGCAGAACACCUCCCUGAAAAAUUUCGACAACGGAAACGUGAAACCCAGCGAGAAAUAGAAUGGGCGGAACGUGAUAAUCCUGGCGCCUGGAUUGUUCGGGUCCACACGAGGUAUACUGUCAGAUGAGGGCUCUGCCAACUUGACAUGCACAUCCUUGGGUAUAGCAGAGUCGAAAAGGGCACGCCACGUUUUGAACUGGGCCUCGUUGGUGACACGGUGCAAAUUGGCCACAAACUUCUCUUUGGGAACUUGAGAACCGCCCCACAGGUACAAAGGCACUCUUGAGUUUGGUGAUCGGCUCUUUCCUUCAGAAGACAUGGUCGUUGAGCAGCUGCAAAAAGAAAAAAAAUUUCUACAUGUUAGAAUGCCAAAAAAAAUAAUAAUAAUAAAAAAUAAAUAAAUAAAAAACAGAAAGCAGCCCAGCUCGCAGCCCAGCACGGACGCCCAGAUGACUAGCUCCAGCUCGCAGCCCAGCACGCGUGGCCCAUCACCUUCAGCCCAGAUGACCAGCUCCAGCUCGCAGCCCAGCACGCGUGGCCCAUCGUCUCCAGCCCAGAUCGCGCAGGCCAGCUCCAGCUCUCACCUUGGCCCAAUUCGGACGAAGCCCAGCGCAGGUGGCCCGUCGCCUCCUGCCCAGCAGCGCCUUGGGCUUUCCGCGCGCAGCCCAACCGUGAGCCAGGCCUAACCCUUCCUUGCCUCAGCUGCAGCCAGUUUGCUCCAGCAAGAACCCAUAGCCCUUGGACCUCCAUGCUCGAGCCCAAAAUGUACAGUCCCAAGCCUGCUGACCUCCCUUUCAGCUCCCCACAUCAGCUAGAAGCAUGAGCCAAGCUGCGGGAAAUUGGAACAAAGAAAAAAAAUAUAUAUAUGUAUAUAUAUAACUCAAGUCUAAAUUACCUUGGGUGUGCGAUGAAGACAAGAGCUCAAGAAGAAGAAAAAAAUUCUCCAAAGUUUACUCUCUCUCACUAAUAAAAUCAGAAUGGAUUUUGGAUGUGAAGAAUAAAUUGGAGGAGCCCUACAUUUAUAAGAAUGAAAAUUCCUUGAGCUACAAGGAAUCACAAAUUCUUUCCAACCUGGGAGUUCAUAAAAUUGGCAAGUCAAGCACCUCCUCUACGCGGGAGCCCAAGUCCACGAAGGAAGCCCAGUUACAGCUGGACAGCCCAACGGAUAAUUUACAUCUCCUACAUGCCACCACGCGUCAUGCAGAAGCUGGGGGGCAUUUGUGGGAACCUAAUUAAAUCAAAACCCUAGGUCAAUUAAUUAGGCCAAUCAAUUUGGGAAUUAUUUGACCUAAUUAGGAGUUACCUAACCUAAUUGGGAAUUACCUAAUCAAAUUGGGGGUUACUUGAUCCCCAAUUUAAUUAGGGAUUCGGUUCAUCCAUAAUCCCUAAAUGCACCAACCCCACCAACCACACCAACCACACCAACUACACCAACCACGCCAACCACACCAACUAUACCAACCCCACCUACCUCUCCAAAGGCCACUAUAAAUACAUGGUUACGCACAAGGAUGAGGUACGUCUAAAUUCCUACUCAAACUCUGCAUAAAUUAUUUCUCAGAGACCCUAGCCACCUCCUCUCUUUCUCUCUCUCACACAAGGCUCCGGCCACCACACACGGCUCCGGCCACCCGGUUUUCCUUGAAUUCCCUUACCUAACUUAGGCAUCGGAGGGCCUUUGGCCAACACCCCCCGGGUGUGGUCCUUUUACUCCGAUCUGUUUUGCAGGGAGAAAGAGAGGCGGAGAAGACGAAGGAAUCUUGGGCGAAUAUUCUCCCGUGAGAUUAUUUGCACAAACAUAUAUAUAUAUAUAUAAAGAUUGAAUUAGGUUCCUCAGUGGACCAAUUUUAGAGCUUUAGGAAUUCAAAGGUCAUGAAGGGCACCCUCAUGUCAUGUCAAUAGAUCAAAGGUUUAAGCCUAGGCUACCAAUUCGAGCCAGGAUUUCCAGAGGAUUACAGGCAUGUGACGGAGGCCUCACAAGGAAAGUAAUCAAGAAGUUUGAUGAUGACUUCGAAUGUUCCAAAGUAAGGAAGAAUCAAGCAUGGCAGAAUAUUUCAAUCAAUGCAAUCCCACAAAUUUAGAGGGGCUUCGCAAGGAAAGAUUUUUAAAAGAGUUGACAUUCGACCAUUCAAUGGCCAGCCCUGACGAGUGCCCUAUAUAAACCUUGCUCAACAAAGGCAAAGGACACACAACAUCAGACAGACAAACCUAACUUUCGUAUCGCACUUUACUUUUCUUAGACUGAGGAUUUUAUUUUUCAAGCACCUAGUGUAGCGAGUUCUUCAUUUUUCUAGUGUAAGUUUCAAUUCUUGUUCAAUUUAUAAUUUCUUAUAAUUUAGAUUCAAGUUUAUUUCCAUUGCUUUGCUUUUCAUUGUUAUCGCACUUCAAUUAAGUUUAAUUUCAAGUUUAUUUUAUUUUAUCGUUCUUAUUGUUCUUAUCGCUUUUAUUUCUGUUCUUGCUUUAUUUAUCGUUUUGAUUUAUUUUAUUGCACUUUAAUUCUCGUCUUUACGUUUAUAUGCACGUUUAAUUUUAUUGCACUAUUUUUACUUAAAAACCUAAAAAUCACAAAAACAUUCGUAUAAAGCCUAACCAUCCUCGAGUUCGAGGAAGUGAAAGAACCUAGGCCAAGAAAAGGUUCCUUGCUUGGCCGAUCAAUCGUUUGAUCAAAAGUUAGAAGCACAACAGAUCCAUCUACUCACAUUCAAUUCAAGCCCAAAUUCGGGGCUUAGGGGUAGCGUGCCCCGCAUUCAAAAGAAGAAGGACCAAACUCCUUCAAUCGGCCUACCCGGCAGAAAAGAGGGAAACAUAAUUUGGCAUGCCCUGUGGCACCACUAGGUUUUGUAUGGUCAUAAACACUAGGGAGAAUCCUAGAAGAGAUCAAGAAUUUGAAGAAUCUAGAUUUCAGUCGGAAUAAGAGACAAGUAUGGCUGGUUCACUCCCUAUCAAUACUCAACCACAAAAUGUUAUGACCGCUCAACAAGAGCCAAAUGACCCCGACCGAGCCACUAUUGUCACCACGACAGCGUGUUAGUUAAAGAUGUUACAGAAGUCGCUGGGGGACCAGUCUUAAGGCCUAAUCCGGCCACUUCAUUGGACGUCCAACAAUUCAUUCGGGCUAUGGAAACUAUUUCCCAGACAAUAGCCACUCAAAAUGCUCUGAUCAAUGAUAGGUUUUAUCGAUUGCUAGGCCAACCAAAUGGCCAAAAUGGGAACCAAGUAGCUCCUAAUGGAGUGCCAGCGUCGGGGCCUCAAGCGGAGAGCCAACCAAAUGUCUUUGGAGUGAAUCCGCCCCUACCGAAUCCAUCAGCUAGGGCCAACCCAGCCCCAGCAGUUAAUGUUCCGCCGACGGGCAACAACCCAUAUACGGCGGCCAACUAAUUCCAAGUGUUCUCGCCAUAUAAUCAAUUCCGCCCGCAAGCUCACCAAGGGGCCGGAGCCAAUUUGACUGGGCCUCAUAUCAACCAAUUUGUUGGAGUCGGUGGUUGGAAUAAUCUCAGCGGGAAUGCAAACAACUCGUUGCUAGGGAAUCAAGCAAUCGAUUGAGGUGUGGUUAAACAAAUUAUUCAAGAUAUGGUGCCCCAUGCUAGGAGUAUUGGUAGGCCAGUCUACCGGAGGCCAUAUUCGGAGCACUUUGAUCAAGAGGAAUUUCCAAAGGGUUUCAAGGUUCCGGAUUUUGCACCAUUUUCGGGAGAUGGGCUCUAGUUGACCAUUGAACACAUUGGCUGAUUCACAACCUAAUGUGCAGAGAUUGGGCAUCGCGAGGCCUUGAAACUAAGGCUAUUUUCGAGAACCCUUACGGGGCAGCUUUCUCAUGGUAUGUUAAGCUUCAGCAGAACUCCAUCCCGAAUUGGCAAGUUUUGGAGCAAGUCUUCCACGAGCAAUUCUAUCGACCAGAGCUGAAAGUCUCAAUGGCCGACUUAUCUAAGAUAAGCCAGAAGCUAAGUGAGUCGGUCCAAGAAUAUUUGGGGCAAUUUAGAGAGGUAAGGGCUAGGUGUACGGUCAAUAUGCUGGAGCACGAGUUGGCAAAGUUGGCCUAAGGAGGAUUGUUGCUUGACCUCAGAAAGAAAUUCGGAGAAAUUGAGUUACGCGACAUUUGUGAUCUCCUACUUCGGGUGGACCGAUACGAAGCUCUCCUAAAAUAGGAGCAACAGGAAGGGCGGUCGUCACCUUGGCCGACCUUUUAUAGGGAUUCAACCAAACCUUCUAGGCCUAGAACUACGGUGGUCCACGCGGUGGACAUUGAAGAUAUAGACCUAGAAGAAAGAGGUUUACUUAGAAGAGGAAGAAGAGUCGGCCGGGGUAAACUUGGCAGAGAUUGUGGCCAAAGGGCUAUAUGUGUGCAAGGCUUUGUCUAAAGCCUCUAAGGAUCAAAGGCCGACAACGGCCUAAGUUUCAAAGUUUAGUGGAACCUCCCAAAAGGCGGUCGUGACAAAGUCCUACACGUUUGAUAUUUCUAAAGCCGUUUCGACCAACUUUUGAAAGAAAAGAUCAUAAAAUUGUCUAAUGAUCAUGAUAUUAAGUCAACUAAUGAACUUAGAAAUAAAACUUAUUGCAAGUUUCACAAUGCGUGGUCUCAUACGACUAACAGUUGCCUUGUUUUUCAAAAUGCCGUGUAGGAUCUCAUCGAUCGAAAGAUUUUGAAAUUUUCGGAGAAAUCUACAAUGGGGGUCAACCAGAAUCCUUUCCCAAAUGCUCAAGUCAACAUGGUGAACACCAACAUCCCAAGGCCAGACCAACCUAGGCCAAGGUUGGACUUGGGUGGCUCGGCUAAGGUCGCGGUCGAAAGAAGGGCAAGGGAGAGUCCGACGGACCCUAAGGCAAAGGGCAAGGCCAAAAUGUACCCUGAAUGAGCCAAGGUUCCAAAGACAAAAGUUUCAACCAAGGAAAAACCUCAGAAGGCGAUUGUACUAUGCAGUCAAUGCCAAUACGAGGUAACUCUCGAGGUGGUUCAUCCAAAACCCAAGGAGCUAACCAAGGAACCUGCCAAAGAACCUACCAAGGGACUGAUUAAGGAGCAAACCAAGAACUAAGUCCUAGUGGGCAAACCUAGGAGUUUCGAAAAGAGUAUGAUAAUAAGUUCGGCUAAGAAUUACUGCCCACACAGCCCAAGGGGAGAGAUGGAGGAGAGGCCGAACAAACGGCUAUUACAUGAGUGCCAAGAUAGGUAUGAGAGGCCUCAAUACUAGCCUCAGAGGAGAAGCCAACAUGCCCCUCUAAGGUAUGAAGACAUUGAUUCACCAAGCCAAAAUCGAAGCAUGUGGAUCUCAGUGGCGAGGGCAAAAGCUGAGAUGUGGCAUAUGUAUCAAGACCCUGCCCAGCGGACAGAAGUGGUGUUCCAACUUUCAAGGUACCAAACACUAAGGCGGGCCAAUGGUAUAAAAGCAGGAGUCCAAAACUCCCCCCAGUAGCUUUGAGCAAGACUCAAACGAGAAAGGCCGAAAGGCAAUAUGCCACAACCUGCAAGGCAGAGUUAGAAUGGGUGGACAAGAGGCAAGCUCAACUUGAUCAAUUGAUUGAGCUUCGAGAAAAGCUUCGACUGGAGGAAUUGGAGCUGGCCAAGGCUGAUGCCGUGGCUUCCUUGGAGGCAGCAAUGGCCAAGGAAAUAAAAAUACAACAAGAAUGGGUGAAUGGCCGAGUCGUAGUAACGGCCCCAGAAUAGCCAAUUUUGAAAUUUGAGGCACAUUUGACUGGGGCUUUUGAGGCAAGUAACUCCAAGGUUGAAGCUAGUGAUCCAACCAAGAUGAGAGGAGAUAAAAAUUUAAAGGCUGAAAAGGCAAGGGCGGCUUAAACCAAAAGCAAGCCUUCGGUCGCCAAGGCCCCGGCCGUGAUUAAAGUGGCUCAACCCACCAAGGUUGAGAAGACAGAAGAGUUAAAGGACCAAAACAUGGUCCAAGAAGCUGGGGAUGAGCCCCAUAAGAUAUUAUGCGAGCCUAGGGUGGAAGAAGACCAAGUCAUGAUCGACGCCGAAACCAAUAUAGUAGAAACAAAGGCCGAGCACAUGAGCCAUUGGAAAAUCUCGAAAGUUCGGCGGCCGAAGAUGAAGAUCUCUGCGGGGAUGAUGAGGAGUAUGCUGAUGACGAGUACCUAGAGGAUUUGCCAGAGGAGGUUAUGAAACAUUUAGAGAAAGAAUACAAGGAAGAGAUGGUCAAGUUUGAGAAUGAACUAAAAGUGGGCAAGGCCAAAGUGAAGUUUGGAGAUUUUGAUGAGGUGAACGUCAUGGUGGUCACACUCCCACUAUUUUUCGAGGCUCGCCCGGAUCAACCCAACUAUAUGAAGGGAGAUGUUUUCGACAAGGUUGGGUCCAUGGUCCAGAUGAAUGAGGCCAAAGAAAUUGAGGUGGCCCAAGAAAUUCCAAAGGAAGGGAAUGCCCAACCUUGCAUUGUGGAGCCUAAAGCGGAGGAGAAAUUGCCGGAGAAAGUGUGCUAUGAGAUGCUCAUUAAGAAAAUAUCCUCCUGCCUUAAGCCUUUGUAUGUGGGAGCUCAUUUUGAUGGUGUUCCGGUAAGCAAAGUCCUUUUAGAUAUGGGGGCUACUGUUAACAUCCUCCCGGCCUCAAUCAUGAGAAAAUUGAAAAAAGGCUCAGAUGAACUAAUUCCGAUCGAGACAGCGGUCAGUGAGUUUGUUGGAGACACCACGACUUCAAAGGAGAUUAUCCAUAAAAGCUAAAUUAUGUAAUUGAGCUUGUAGUUGUAAUUCAUAGGCCCAACCCAACCCAAAAGUAGUUUGUUUUGGUUCAUGGAAAACAAGUGGCAGCAUUGUUUAAAAAUGCAGUUUGAUUUCUAUUAAUCUAAUUAGGAAACACAACUACAAGCUCAAUUCCGUCAUUUAGCUUUUAUGAACAAAUCGAAGCCCACAUGAAAUUGGGCUGGGCUGGGCUGGGCCUACGCAUUACGAAGCUAGAGUUAUGCAAAUAUCAUCAGGAUGGACUGGGCACCAGUAGCAGCAGUAAACAAGGAACAAAACGAGGACAAGAUGAGGAAGUUUGUAAACAAGGUCUUUUGGUUAAGACCAACCAAAAGUGGGUAAUCUUCUACCAUGUAUGAAUGAUUGUAGGAAAAGAAAAAGAGUGCUAGUGUAUUUUUAAAAUAUUUGAUUAUCUACACAAGGCUACAACUACAACGAUGCAUUUUCCCUCUCACUUUUAACAGCAAAGUUUGCUUCAAACUCUGAAAGUUCCAUUCAGCUGUCCAUAAAUACCAAGAUAACUCUCCACCUCAAUGAAAAAUCACUCAAAACACAACCAAAAAUAAAAUACUCAAGAUAGGCAUUAGUCCAGCACAUAGAUCUCCGAGAGGCAAUAUCUUGGACCAACCAAUCAAAUCCCUCGAGCAGUCCAUCUCCCGUGUAUGCACUGCAGCGAACAAUUUCAUAAUGGCGAGUUUUAUCCAUCGCCUCCAAGUUCAAAACCUAGACGGAAGUAUAAUAGAUAACUGUUUCAGAAACUCUGAAUUUUAAAGGAAUGCUCAUCUUUAUCUGUAUAUAAAUUGUUUCGAACAUGUACCAAAACUCCUUGAAAGAUUUCACAUAACAUUGUUGCAUAUAAACUCCACGGACAUGACAAGUAAAACCCAUGCCGUUGUUGCAUUUGUCAUCCAGACAAUAAGACAAGUGAAUAAACAAUCUAAAGCAACAGAACAAGACAACGAAUAAAGCUGUCUAUGGGCAAUGGGUAAUCAAAUCAUGCAAAACAAAACCAGGGCCCCAUUCACAAAUUAAUCCUUCGUGUAUAUACAAGCUGACCCAGAGCCUUACCUUAGCAAUUUCUUCUGGAGUAAGGGCACCUUUUAUGUCCUGUUUAUUUGCUAGUAUCAAGGAUGAUCCAGAUAGCCUCUGUCAUAUCAUCAAAACAAGUCAGCUUCUUUAGAACAUUUGACCAAAAUAAUGGUCAUAACUCACAAGCACAACGAUUACUCCUCAAAGCAUUUCCUAGGUCUUAUCAUGUCGAUAUUCGUUUCAGGAUUCCAGACCAGCAACAUUAUAAGUUAUUUAAGAGGAUGUGAUUGCUUAUCCAAAAUUUCAAGUGAUGCAUCUCAAUUACAUAAUUAAUCAGUUCACAGCCAGCAAAAGUUAAAACAGUUAUACACUCAUACAAGACUCGAGAAAAUGCAGCAUGAGUUGAUACACUCAGAACAUGCUCGCAUACUAGAUAUCCUAAUAGUUGGAACUGCAUAUGAGCAUAUAAAUCGUAUCGUACAUUAAAAGAGGUAUAUGAAUAACGAGAAAUCCAAAUGGGUUAUUUUACACUAGGUACAAAAACAAAAAGAGCGAGUAUAUAAUGAAGUAAUAAGCGAAAAUACCUCUUCCUUCAAAAGAUUAUCAAGUUCCAUUUUGCAGUCAUCUAACCUUCUAAGAUCUGAACUGUCAACUACCCAUACUAGGCCAUCAGUUUGCUCAAAAUAGUUUCUCCAGUAAGAUCUUAUUGUUUUCUGUCCCCCGACAUCCCAUAUAUUAAGGGUAUACCUGCCAAGAUCAAAUUACAAGCAUUUAAAGUUUCCAUAUCAUAAUAAACAAAGUAUGAAACUUCAAAACCACAUUGGUGCCAGAGUUUUUUAUGGUCUAUAAACGAAUCAAUGAAAUAAACAGUUGUCAAUAAUCUGGGACAACAAUCCCCAAAUUGAGAAAAUAAACACCCAAUCUCCUUAAUAGGAGCCCCAAGCAUUCCAACUACCUCUAUAUAUGAUUAACCCACAAACUAUUUUCAUAACACUUUGGUACAAACAAUUACAAAUGUAAAAAAAAUAUCAUGAUUUGGGGUUAAGCGUAGUUCACUUACUUUUGGUAAGUGAUGGUCUUGAUGUUGAAGCCAAGUGUGGGACUGACAACACUGGUGUCCUCUCCAUUAAUCCUGAGCACAAUGGUAGUCUUGCCGGAAUUGUCAAGCCCACUUCACAAACAAAACAAAACAAACAAACGAACAAACGAUUACUUAAUUCUCAUAUCAUACGAGUGAACAAAAGGCAAGAGAGGGAGAGAUGAAGUUUCACUUACACCAUGAGUAUACGAAUUUCUUUUUCCUUCCUUUCAAUUUUUCAAAUGAAGCUGAGAAGCCCCAUUUGUUCCCUCCCAAAAAUAAUCAGAUUGAGCUUCUCCCCAAUAGAGCUUCAGAUGAUUCGAUGAAAGUCGGGAUUGAGGAUUGUAAUUUGUAAAUCAGGGCUAUUAAUUUUAAAGAAAAUUGAAUUGACAACCAGGGUAAUAUGGCAGUACAAAUUUAUGGCCUGUCUUCUUGUUUUGCUGGCGGCUUUUGCGCCUUUUAAUGAAGUAUUUUCAGACCAAAAAAUAAAACAAAACAAACUACGAGUUAGCUCAGCUCAGGGCAUACUCAUCUUCUAAUCUAAAAGACUCCAGGAUCCAAAGCAGCCCGGUUUUCCUCAAGGGACUAAAUGCAACUCCAGCGGUUGCCUUUGCCUGGGCAGAGGGGCCCAAGCCCUGUUUUUCCCUUCCAGCGGGCCUAAGCUGCCCCGGCAGAAGCUGGGUCGCACAAAACUAGAUCAGCUCAAAGGCAAAACGAUCUCGCGCUCUAGUUUAGGUUUGCUAACGUCAGUAAUAAUAAAAAAUUUAUUUAAAAAAAAAACUAAAAAUUUCAGAAUUUUUUUUAGUCAUAUUCUUCACUUCCUACACAAAAACUUUAUACAAAUUCAUCUCCUCAUAUCUAAUGUGAAUAAUGAUUGUCAUGGUAAUAGGUGGAAACACCACAAGUCUUUUGCAAAUGCUGCUACUAUUCACGUAAAUAGUAAUAACCGUUGCCUUUUACUAUAACAAAUGAGUGGAAGUGCUUUGAGACAUCCACGAAUUGGGCCUAGCCCUCACUUGGUUAUUUCUUUAACUUCUCUUCUCUUUAAAUAGCUGUUUUUUUUAAAAAUAAAAUAAAACACCGUUUCGCAGUUGGAUACUUAACUUUGUCCAGUAAAUGAGGUGCUUGAUUGAAUUGAAAUAGAUUGUAAUCAUGCCACAAAACAAAACAAAAUCUUCAACAUUAAUACUAAUUUCAUGCUAAUUUAAAUAUGAUAUUAACUAAAAACAAUACCUCAAUUAAAAAAAUUAAAAACUUAAACAUUAUACAAUCGAACUAAACAAAACAAAACACUUUAAGUAAAAAAAAAAACUAUGUACAUAUUUAUAUUUACUUUCAUUUCCCAAUUAGGUCCUUAAACAUAAUAAAGCUCAUAAUAUGAGAGUGAGACAUGUAUUAUAAUUAGGUCCUUACACAUGUAUUAAACAUAAUACAGCUUAAUAAAUUGUUGUCAAUAUUCUCUUCAACUUGUACUCUUCUAAAUUAUAAGAACAAAACAGUCUAUGAGUUAAAAGCUGUAUAUAUACAUCCUCAAGUGGCAGAACCCAAAUUCGUAAUUCUCUACAGAUUAAAAUAGAGCAUCCCUCUGUAUAGUUCCUUUUCAUGAUUUGUUUUGGUUCAUGGAAACACAAGUGGCAGCAUUGUUUAAAAAGGCAGUUUGAUUUGUAUUAAUCUAAUUAGGAAAUUAAAGUUUUCUAAGGAAAAAAAAUCGGAGCUUUCAUCUAAUAUAUUCAAUAUGAUAAGUGAUGGGUUUGUUCAGCACUUCAGCUUAGCCAAUUGAAUGGAGAUAGAGACUAAAGAAAGCUUAUUCACAACACAAGGCAAAUAUUAGCAAAUGAAGACCCUGAAAUCUGACCAGAAGUGUAUACAAACAAGAACUUUUCAUUAGAACAUGAAUUUGGCAGAUGAAAACAAUUAAAAACAGAGAAAAUUUAUCCACAAAAAACAAUUAAAAAAUCUGCAGAAUUUCUGCAUAACAUCAAAAUCAGAGAGAGUGAGUGAGAGAGAGAGAGAGAGAGAGAGAGAGAGAGAGAAAGAUGAAGAAUACCUCAGAGAGUGGCAGAACUGCUACUGGAAGCUGCAACCUGCUCCAUAAAUUUCCUGCUGAUCUGCACGAACUGCUGCUAAUCAAACCUAAAUCAAUUUGAUAAAUUUCUAGGGCUGUCAUUUUAUUUUAAUCAAACCUCAAUCAAUUUGAAUCAAUUUGAUAAAUUUCUAGGGCUGCCAUUUUAUUUUAAUCAAACCUAAAUCAAUUUGAAAAACACCCUAAAUCAAUUUGAACCCCAACCCUAAAUCAAUUUGAAAAACACCCUGUGCAAACAACAGACAAUAACAAAGCUAAGAACCACAAGCCAGCUAGGUGGAGAAAUAAUCUAAACUUGAUAGCAUAACAAAGAAACUCAAAUUCUCAAAUAGUUUAUGGAGAAUCAUAUCUGACAGAGAGAGAGAGAGAGCUAAAUAAAAUGAAGAGGUGGCUGCGAACUGCUGAGCUGAAUCUGCGAAUUGCAGACAGAUAGAGUUAGCCAGAGAUUCGAAGGGGGAAAAGAAAAAAGAGAGGAAAAAAAAAAAGAAGAAGAGACAAUCUCGCGAUUGAGAGAGGUGGCGGCUUAGAGAGAAGCGGAGGCUGAGAGAGACGAUGGCUGACAGAGGCGUGGUUGACAGAGAGGUUUGCCUGAGGAGGUUUUGAGCAGAGAGGAUUGGCCCCAGUGCCGGCCCUGAGGGCGGGCAAGGAGGGCAAUGGCCAUGGGCCUCGCAUUUGUAGGGCCCAAUUUAUAUAUAUAUAUAUUAUAUAUGUAACAAAUUGAAGAAUAUGAUUUUAGAGGAGAAUAAUUUCAAUAGUUUGGCAUUUGGAGGCCCUAAAUAUGAUUACAAGUGUUUCUAAAGAGUCCAAAUGAAAAUUAUAUAAUAUACAAACAUCAAUUGCAUGUAUUUAAGUAUUUAAUUGCCAAAAAGUAUUUAAUUGCUAAAAGUAGUAAUCAAUGAAAGAAAGCCAAUAGGGACUAGAAAUUUCUUUUCUUUAUCCAAAAAUUCUUGUUAUUAGAUUAUUUAGUGAGGAAAUAUGAAAGAGUGCAAAUUAUUUGUAUCCUCAUUCUUAUUUAUUUUCAGAUUGGGGCAAUGAUUAUAUGACCAAUACUAGAGCCGUGUUUAUUUAUCCAUAUUGUAUUUAAUUGCAUAAUUUUUUUUCCAUGUUAGUUUAUUAUAUUCCGGAGAAUGAAGGAGAAAUGGGCCUCGUUUUCAUUUCUAGCCUAUAGCCACCCAAAAGUCAGGGCCGGCCCUGAUUGGCGCAGACAGAGCCUCUAUUAGAGAGGAUGAGAGAGAGGAAGGCUGAGCGAGAGGUUUGGCUGAGAGAGAUGAUGGCUAAGAGAGGUUUGGCACAGACAAAGCCUCUAUCAAAGAGGUUUCGGCGGCUAAGGAGAGACGAACGAAAUUGGAGGAGGAAAGAAGAAAGGAAAACCUAAUUGGGUUAUAAGUUUUGUGUUGAUCGUGUGCAUGCACGCCUAUAGUAACGUCAUAUACAACCAAUAAAAACAGCCAUGUGUAAAAUAUAUAUAAUAUAAAAAUUAAUUAUAUUUGGACUGGUUCUGUGUGUUGGAAAAUUGAGACCGAAACCGAUCUAAACUGGUUCGGUUUGGAUUUUUUUUCGAUUUCUGACUUUUUCAGUCAACACGGUUUUUCUCGGAUUUUUUCGAUUUGAUUUUGCAGUUUUGCAGUUCCAAUGCCCACCCCUAGUGAGGGGCUUUAGAUAAGGCCCUAUCCCUAACUCUUUGUUCAAACUAACCAAUUUGAGCCAACGGCUAGUCAAUUUGAUCAAACAGUUAGGGUUUAGAGCCUUCCAAAAAUCCUAAUAAACUCCUUGAGAUGUUAUCUUCCUCUUUUAAGCUUUAAAAUAUAAUUUUGAAUUAUAUAAAAAUUCAAAUAAUUUAUCAAACUCGAUAUAUGUUUAAGAUCAUUACUCUUCCUCCAAUUUUUACUUCAAAUUUUCUAAGGUAAAAUUUGAAUUUUUAAGCAUCGUAGUCGAAGAUAAUGUCGCAAAGAAUCUAUAUAAAUUUUCAGUGUAUUUUUAUAAUUCUUAAUUAUUUUUUAUGAUUUUUUAAAUCAAACACACAAAAAUAAGAUUUUAAUGACACGUGACGCUAUAGGAUACAAAACUUUGACGACGCAAUAUUCAAACGUUGCCCAUCAUUGGGUUUGGAUGUUUAACAAAAAAAAAAAAGACUCAUUGGGUUUGGGUAAAUAAAAAAUUUGUUGUAAGUGCGAAAUGUGGGAGAAUGGAAGAUGCCUUCACGUGGGCUCGUGUCUUCUUAUUUUUUUCUUUUCUCUUUCUUGCAGGGCCUGCUCUCUUGGGUGCUAGUUUCUUCACAUGAGAUAUUUCCUUUUUAAUAUGAAAAGAUUUAAAAUCAUUUACCCAAAAAAAUUACACUAAAAAAUAUAAUUUGGAAAUUAUUAUAGAUUUUUAAAUUAAUUUUGAAGUAAAAAGAAAUCAAUAAUUGCCAAAGUUGCCAGGUGUCUGUGUCCCUAGGUGACCCUUGGAGCUAGAAUCGUAGCUAGGCUCUCACGUAAGGACACAUGUCACAAUUAGCGGCUCAUCCCUAAAUUGCAAUUAUAUUCCGAAAUUUUUGCAAAUUUGUUAUAAUUAAUAUGAACAAGGAGUAUACAAAUUUGUACGUACUAUUAAGGAUGAAUACUUCGUAUCUGAAGUGAAAUGGCUGGCUGGCUUGUCUCAACUAUAUCAAUAGAAGAUUGGGGAAAUAAAAUAAACUAAUUUUUCAUAUAAACAUUAUAAAAUAAUAAAAUAAAAAUAAAAAACAAUAAAAGAGUGUAGCACAGCUUCCUGCCAAAAUUUGGUUGUUAUCGGGUCAUGGUGCACAUAAGUGUUGAUUGGAAAAACAAAUUAAUCAUGAAAGCGCUUCCUAAUGCAUCCAGACGUUGUCUGACGUUUUACUAGUGGUCAGUUCAUCUUUGGGGUUGAUCAACACAUCUUUACAAACAUUGCAUAUAAAAAGACUCAUGUUUGAAGUUUAAUUUGUUGUUGCGUUUUAAUUUGGUUGAGUUUAAUCUGUUAUUCAUAUUCUUUUAUGUUGUUGCUUUUGUGUUGUGUUGUGUUAUAGACGGGGUCUAGCCACUCUAACACACCUAAUGCCUCUAAUCGGAGAGCCUUCGGCAAUCACCACACCAGUGUCCGAAGUUUGACGACUGCUUCUCAUUCCUUGUCUUCUGCUGGUUCUUCCAACCCCGAAGGUCCUCACCCUUUUCCCUGCUGAAGACUCUACACUUCUCUCUAAGUUGACCAUCCGAAAAAGAACAUCAACAUGAUCAUUUUUUAGAGCCCAUGGGUAGAACCUUCCCCUAAACAUCAACUUGUAACAAAAGGUGUCCAAGAACUCUUAAACCACUCUAGGAGGGAAAAUACAUGGAAGAAAUGAGAGACGAAAGAAUAGACGACAAGUGCAGUGCGUGAAACAGAGACGAAAGAACAACUUCGUAAGAAGGAGGAAAGAACCAAAGCCCAGCAGGAGGAGGCUGAACUUCUGGCCUAGAAAUUGGCCGAGAGACUUAGUGAAAGUGAGCAACUGCGCGAGUUUUACCUGGAGCAGAUAUGAGAGCGAGCUUCUAAGGAUUUCAGGAGCCGCAAGUAUUGGGUUAAUAAUUGCUGAAAUGAUCAAGUUUUUUAUUGAGUGUGGCUAGAUAGGGGAUGCUGAUGUCCUAAAUUUGGGUACUUUGCAAUUAGUAUGGGUGUAAAUUGGUAUGCCAAACUGUAGGUCAGAGAUUUCUAGUGGAAAGUAUCUCCUACCCCCUUGUCCCCAAAAUUGGUAUACCACACACGGCUCCGCUCACCCGGUUUUCCUUGAAUUACCCUACCUAACUUAGGCAUCGGAGGGCCUUUGGCCCACACCCCUCGGGUGUGGUCCUUUUACUCCGAUCUGUUUUGCAGGGAGAAAGAGAGGCGGAGAAGACGAAGGAAUCUUGGGCGAAUAUUCGCGUGGGGAAAUUUGCUCCCACAAAUUGGUGCUUUCAUUGAGAGCGCGAGAUAUAUUCAAAGCGUGCUCCAAAUCCAUCUUUCACACAUUUUUUCAAACAACCAUGGUUGAUACAAGAUGUACGAAGAGUAACGCCACCACGAUGGGCCCAUCUCAUGGUUUCGUGGUGGAAACCUCAAUGCAACAGCACGGAAUCGUGGCUGCCAACGCCUUGCAAUCGUCCUCUAGUGCUUUGCAGCCGCCUUCAGCUGCUGGAAUUGCAGAACAGCCGCCACAUGACCCUGGGACCUCCACAGCCUUGCAGUUGCCUGCGCCGAUUACCGGAGCUGCUCUGCCUUACUGUCCUACUGUCGGAGCACAGCAGCAGCCACACCACUCAACUACCGGAUUUGCUGCGCAGCCCCAUGGCUACUUCGACGUCGUCCUAGUCUUGGAACAGAUCCAUUCUCUCCCUCCUCUGCGAUCACACUUGACAUAUGCACAUGUGUAUGCGUCUAAUGGAGCCCUAGCCCAUGUGCCGUUGGGCCCGAUGCACAACACUCUACUUGACCCGCGCAAUCAGGUGGACCUUAACUCACGGGUCGAUCAACUCACACAGAAGGUCGAUGAUCAGAACAACCUGAUCGGCCAGCUACUCAGGCAGAUCAACUUGAAUCAAGGCCCAAACCUUGGACCCAGUGACGAGGAGAGGAGCGCACCCCAGCACGUCGGCGAGCAGUUCGAGAGGUCCCAGGCUGGUCAAACAAGGGCAAACAGGCAGAGGAGAGGUCGAGAUCGAGCAGAUGAGAUACAGACAGCCGCGAGCCGUACUCUGAGCCGUUCGAGGCUCGGACCAAGGACCAAUGUGCUCGAGAGGCUAGGCCCACAGUCUAAUGUCCACGCCCGCUUCGGCCCACAAGGAGCUCGAGUUCGUGAGCAGUUGCGUGACGAGCGCAACGACCGACGCCCACCGACCCGCUCGAGGGCCAACGCGCGGUGGCAAGCUGUAGAAGAAUCCUCACAAGCUCAAUCUCCUAAUCUGCCCCACGGGCAGGGCACCCAAGGGGAUCGACCCUUGGGAACCGAGGAAGGAGUUAGCUAGACACGCUCGAGACACCAAAGACGUCGACCUGAGCGACCCUCCUUGCGGGCAGAAGAUGAUGAUCGACGCCCACUAACCUGCUCGAGGACCAACACGCGGCGACAAGAUGUAGAGGAAUCCUCACAAGCUCAAUCUCCUAAUCUGCCCUACGGGCAGAACGCCCAAGGGGAUCGACCCUUGGGAACCGAGGAAGAAGUUAGCCAGUCGCGCUCGAGGCGCCGAAGACGUCGGCCCGAGACUCCAAUCCUGCGAGCAGAGGACGUCGAUAAGCUAGUGAAUGACCGACUCCAAGCUCUCCAACUUAAAGGAAGCACGAAAGAAGCCCUGCACAAGGAAAUUGAUCGAGUUGACUGCUCGCCCUUUACCGACAAAGUGGAACGAGCUCCUUCACCGAAGCGGUUCACAACGCCAUCCAUCACUCCAUUCAAGGGAGACUCUGACCCUGAAAGCCAUUUGAGGCACUUCAAGAGCGCCAUGAUCCUGUACAAGGCAGACGAUGCCCUGAUGUGCAAAGUGUUCGCGAUGACCCUGCGAGGAGCAGCUCAAGACUCGUUCCACACUCUACCGUCCGCGUCGAUAGGAAACUUCAAGGAGUUGGCCCUCAUCUUCACAAAGGAGUACACCUCCUACAAGACUGUCAGAAAGCAUGCAGACCAUCUGUUCAACCUGCGCAAGAAGCCAGAUGAGUCUCUACGAGACUACCUAAGACGGUUUAAGGCUGAGAAGGCAAACAUCAUAGGAUGCAAUGACCAAGUUGCAUCCUCAGCUUUCAAGAAGGGCUUGCCAAUCGAGCACGAGUUAUACCGGGAGCUGGCCAUAACACCAAGUCAAACCUUGGCAGAAGUGUUCGCGACGGCAGAACGCUACGCACUUUGGGACGAUGAUCGAAUCGCCGCAAAGAAAGCCAGCAAGCAAGUUGAUCAACCGACGAAGCAGGCAAGCCAAAAGAGCAACCAGUUCGAGCAAAAAGCCCGAGAUAAGCGCAGAUCGCGGCCCCGAGAGGGAAGCUCAGAAAUGGGGACCUUCACUGAGUUCGCUAUCCCAACUCAUCAGAUCCUGGCUCAAGUGAAGGACAAGCCGUGGGUGAGGAGACCACCACCCAUGAAGGGAGACCCCUCCAAGAGGGACACCAGUAAAUACUGCGCAUUCCACGGGGAGCACAGACAUUACACCAACAACUGCAAUGCUUGGAAAAGGCAUCUUGAGGAGCUAGUCAGAGAAGGUCAUUGCACAGAAUUCGUCGCAAAGAAGGUCAUCCAACAGAUCAAGGAUCGUGAUGCGGCUGCCAAGGAACCUCCCCAAAAGGUCAUUCGAAUCAACACCAUUUUAGCUGACUCUCGGGAGUCCGGGCUGACCACCAAGGAGUGCAAGAGGAAGAUCGCGCAGGCGACUUAUGUCUCCCAAGUCACAACAGGAGUACCAGUCAUUGUGGAUACACCCAUCAUUGGUUUCCAGAAGAAGGACUUGAUCGGGCUUGACCUACCGCAUAAUGACGCGCUAAUCAUCUGCAUUCAGAUUGAACAAGCUGUGAUCGAGCGAAUUCAUGUGGAUGAGGGCAGCGCAGCUAACAUCCUGCAACUAUCUGUCAUCCAACAGAUGGGAUUGGAGCCCAAGAUUAGCAAACUUGCCAAGUCGCUUACCGGCUUCAAUGGGGCCACAUCAAUCACUGUUGGAACGAUCGACCUGGACGUCCACUCACCCCCAGUGCUCUGUUCGCAAACCUUCAUGGUCAUCAACGAGAUCUCCCCCUACAAUGGAAUCUUAGGCCAACCAUGGAUCAGCAAGAUCGAGGCCAUCACAUCUGCUCUACACCAGAAGAUUCGAUACCCCAUCCCUAGAGGCGGAGUCGAGCAGAUCAAUAGUGACCAAGCCAUGGCAAGAAGAUGCACAGCUCAAGGGCUCAAGAAGAGCAAGCAGUUGCAGUUCACACCAGUAAUGCAAGCUGCUAACGAGGCACGGAGCUCUCCCAGCAAACAAGCAAGCUCGAGCGAGAAGGGAGCUGUUACCCCACAAUAGCAAUUAAUGAGUCAGGAUCAAGGCGAGGGAAUCCGCCCGGAAGACUCCCCUGAAAAGGGUUUGAAGCCUGAGGAUGACGUCGAGUUAGUACCCCCUGAUCUUGGCCAGCCAGACAAAGAAGCGCAGAUCGGCUCGUGCCAGAAUCCAAACAAGAAGGAUCGAGAGGAGGGAAUCCGCCCGGAAGGCUCCCUUGAAGAAAGUUGGAAGCCUGAGGAAGACGUUGAGUUAGUACCCCUCGAUCCUAAUCAACCAGACAAGAAAGCGAGGAUCGGCUCACGCCUAAGCCCAGACGAGAAGGUGGAGCUGACCAUCUUCCUCCAAAACAACAAAGACAUGUUCGCGUGGUCACCAUCUGACAUGCCCGGCAUCGACCCAAACAUCAUCUGCCACCGCCUCUAUGUUAACCCUGCCAGCAAGCCCGUGGUGCAGAAGAGACGCAACUUCGCUCCCGAGCGAGUCGUGAUCAUUGAAGCUGAGAUUGACAAGCUCCUAGCCGCCGGAUUUAUUGAAGAAGUCUCCUACUCAGAAUGGCUGGCCAACGUCGUUUUGGUGGCAAAACAAGAAAAGGGCAAAUGGAGAGUGUGCGUCGAUUAUACCGACCUCAACAAAGCAUGCCCUAAAGACAACUUCCCAUUGCCGAGGAUCGACCAGCUCGUGGAUUCAACUUCCGACAACCAGCUGCUCAGCUUCAUGGAUGCCUACUCCGGCUAUAAUCAAAUUAUGAUGUACGACGAUGACAAGGCGAAGACCUCUUUCAUCAUCGAGAGAGGGACCUACUGCUACAAGGUCAUGCCCUUUGGGUUGAAGAACGCUGGAGCAACCUACCAAAGGCUCGUGAAUAAGAUUUUCAAAGAGCAGAUCGGCAGAACCAUGGAAGUCUACGUGGAUGAUAUGUUGGUCAAAGCCCCCAAGCGCGGAGACCACCUCAAAAACCUCACCGAGGCAUUCAGCCUGCUCUGCCAAUAUCGCAUGAAGUUGAAUCCAAGUAAAUGCACGUUCGGUGUAUCAUCCGGCCGAUUUUUGGGGUACUUGGUCACACAACGAGGUAUCGAGGCACACCCACGCCAAAUUAAAGCCAUUCUCGAGAUGAAGUCACCUUCCACAGUGAAGGAAAUACAAAGUCUGACAGGCAGAGCAACAGCCCUUAACCGAUUCCUCUCGAAGUCUACCGACAAGUGCAGACCAUUCUUCAAAGCUUUGAAGAAGGGGCAAAAAGACAAGUGGGACGAGGAGUGCGAAGUAGCUUUUCAGAAUCUAAAGACCUACCUCACUUCACCUCCCCUGCUCUCGAAACCAGUUCCUGGUGAAGACUUGUUCAUGUACCUGGCAGUAUCCAACUCGGCCAUCAGCUCAGCUCUCAUACGAGAAGAACUUGGGGGCAGAGGAAGUUGCCCGCAAUCGAUAGUUACCGACAAUGGUACACAGUUCGUGGGCAGGCAGAUCACUGCAUUCUUUGCGAAGUAUGGCAUCAAGCAACACCUGUCAACUCCCAGAUACCCGCAAGGCAAUGGCCAAGUAGAGGCAUCCAACAAGAUCGUGCUGGACUGCCUAAAGAAAAGACUGGAAGGUGCAGAAGGAAAAUGGGUCGACGAGCUGCCAGGAGUCCUAUGGGCUUAUCGCACAACCAAAAGGCGAUCGACCGGAGAGACACCGUUUUCCCUGGCCUAUGGGAUGGAGGCAAUCAUUCUCCCACACAUCACAGUCCCUUCCAUGAGCAUUGAGGUGGGCAGUCUUGACCAAAACCGCAGGCAAAUGAGAAUCAACCUUGACCUGCUCGAAGAAGAACGAGAAAAGGCCAUUGUUCGAGUUGCCGCCUACCAACAGCAGUUGACAUCCUACUACAAUAAGAAGGCCAAGAUCAGAAAGUUUCGGCUUGGAGACCUUGUGCUCAGAAAAACUUUCAUCACAUCACCAAGGCAAGGGUCAAAGAAGAUGAAGCCAAAUUGGGAAGGCCCCUACAUGAUCAGCUGAUCUGGGGGCAGAGGAAGUUACACCCUCGACACUCUAGAAGGGAAGGAAAUUCCAAGACAAUGGAAUGCCCACCACCUUCGGAGAUACUAUCUGUGAAGCUCUUCGCUUACCAGCUCGACUCCUAGCAGACGACGAGCCUCCCGUACUUCCAUUGAAGGCAAACUGCUUUCGAUGUUACCUAUGUUAUUAAUUUCCUUUAUUCAAUAAAGCGAUGUAUUCACACCAACAUCAAUACAAGAGCAAGCUUUUCAAUGAAGUACUUUUUUCGAGCUUUAUGUCCCACAAACAUAUACAUGCAGGCGACCAGCCUCACCUCCAUUGCAGACAAGCUGCUCACGGAGCACAAACUCAAUGGAGUAUUUUUUAAGAGCAAUGUCCCCGACAUACGCUCACAGGCGACAAGCCUUACCUCCAUUGCAGACAAGCUGCUCCCAGGAGCACAAACUCAAUGGAGUCUUUUUUAAGAGCUAUGUCCCAAACAUACGCUCACAGGCGACAAGCCUCACCUCCAUUGCAGACAACCUGCUUCUCGGAGCACAAACUCAAUGGAGUCUUUUUCAAGAGCUAUGUCCCCGACAUACGCUCACAGGCGACAAGCCUUACCUCCAUUACAGACAAGCUGCUCCCCGGAGCACAAACUUAAUGGAGUCUUUUUCAAGAGCUAUGUCCCCGACAUACGCUCACAGGCGACAAGCCUUACCUCUAUUGCAGACAAGCUGCUCCCCGGAGCACAAACUCAAUGGAGUCUUUUUCAAGAGCUAUGUCCCCGACAUACGCUCACUGGCGACAAGCCUUCUCUCCAUUGCAGGCAAGCUGUUUCACAAGUACAAACUCAAUGGAGUUUCCUUCAAGUGCUAUAUCCCAACCGGCACAACUUGCUCAACCACCUCGGCUGCCUGCUCCUUCGCAUCCUCCUUAGCCUCAUCAGUUGACCCACCUUGGCGUUUGUCUUCCUCAAUUGCCGCUUCAUUUGCUAUCUGCUCGUCAACUGCUUCUGCAUCCACAACAUCCACCUGCUCACUCUGAGGGGGGGCAGGUCAAGACCAGACUGCUCACCGUCAUCAUCUUCGAGAGGGCAGCAAGGAGAAGCACAUUCUGGCAAUCCAGGUAUCCUAGCUUGUACACAUUAGCAGCAAUCUCUUGCUUGGAUGCCUCCAUGGCUUCCACAUGGGUGUCAAACUUGACCAGCAGUUUGUCACGAUCCUGGGCCAAAGCAGCAUGCUUACGUUCGAGGCAGAAGUAGGCUUCCUUGCGUUCGAGCAGGGUAGCCAUAAGAGACUUGAGUUCACCAUCCUUUUGGCCAACAGAACUCUUGAGCACGAACAUACUCUUCUUUAUCUUGGAAAUCCUCGUGUCAUGGAGAAUCCGCUCAUUCGAGAGCUUGUCAGUUAGGUCGGCAUUCUUCUUCACCAGCUCGUCAAGCAAGGCAGAAGAGGGGGCAACAUCACGCGAGUUCCGCAUGGCCCCAACAGCAAAAACCAUUCCUUUUUGAAGAUGAUACAUGGCAGCUUCUUCUUGCUUAUCCAAGGGAAUGCUCGAGAAAGCACAAAGGUCACCAGCUCGAUACACGUGAUCAACUAGCUUAGCGCAAGCAGACAGACUUGACAUAAAGCCUGUUUUCAAUAGAUCAGACACGGGCUCGCCCUCAGCAGAGCUAUCACCAAUUCCCGGACCGGCAAUUCGUACAUUGGAGGACUCUUCGCUCGAGCAUACGACUCUUUAGCUCUUUUGGCUGCAACAUGCAACAUUGAGUCAGCCUCGCGCUUGACUGUUCAUGGCCCAGCAGAUGAGUCAUGGUUGCUAGGCAGAGGUACAGUCCUCUCAGCUUGAUUCCCAGAUCGGCACAGACGACCUAAAUCUUGCUUUCCAGUGACUUCCUUACAUGGCAGAUCACGGGUCUUAGGCAAUUCGGGCAGAGACUUGAGCAGAAUAUCCCAGACCUUAUGCAUGCUAUUGACUUUCUUGUUGUUCGCGUUGACGAGGCGCUUGAUCUCGACAGAUGAAAAAGGAGCAACUCCCAUGGGGAUCUUCUCAGCACAUUAGACCCCCCUUAAAGAAGACUUGCUCAUGGCAGAAAGAGGAAGUUCAGUUGAGGACUCCACCUGCUCAGCUAGCAGAUCAUCUAGGCCCCUAGCCAUACAGCUUCCAUAUUCCAAUAUCUCGGGCAAGGGGCAGACCACCAACCUCCUUAUGAUAUUUGCUCAGCAACCAACGCCAUUCAAGGAACCUGGUAGGGAUGUUCAGAGCUUGCUGAACCUUGGUCAUGUUCGGGCCGAGAUCGAGUUUCUUGCAUAUGUCAUUCUCUGCAAGCAGAAGAUAGAAGUUAGUCAGAUACAUAACAAAGAAUUCCAUGGCAACUGUAGCAGAUCAAAAGGAUGCAACUUAUCAUCACAGUAGGUGAGAAGAACGAGCGGACCGUCGCCAACCUCCUCUUCCUAUCUGUCGCUGACUUUCAGCACGUUCGUGCUCCGCACAUGAUCACCUUAACUCAUCCUGAUCCUAGUUCGUGGCACAAAAAGAAGAAGGAAUUGAAGCAAUUUGGAUCAGCCACAAAAAAGAUGACCAAACUGCCACAUGCUCCAGCAGCAGAUGGCGCACCUUCAGCCCAGUUACAGCUGGACAGCCCGAGUAGAAAGCCUCCUCCAUGCAGGAGCCCAAACCAAAGAAGAAAGCCCAGUUGCAAUUGGAUGGCCCAAUGGUUAAUCCACAUCUCCUACAUGCCGUCACACGCCAGGCAGGAGCUGGGGGGCAUUUGUGGGAACCUAAUUAAAUCAAAAUCCUGGGUCAAAUAAUUAGGCCAACCAAUUUGGGAAUUAUUUGACCUAAUUAGGAGUUACCUAACCUAAUUGGGAAUUACCUAAUCAAAUUGGGGGUUACUUGAUCCUCGCCUUAAUUAGGGAUUCGGUUAAAUCCAUAAUCCCUAAAUACACCAACCUCACCAACUACACCAACCCCACCAACCUCUCCAAGGCCAAUAUAAAUACUGGGCCACACACAAAGGUUAAGGUACGCCUAAAUUCCUACUAAAACUCUGCAGAAAUUAUUUCUCAACAACCCUAGACACCCCCUCUCUUUCUCUCUCUCACACAAGGCUCCGGCCACCACACACGGCUCCGGCCACCCGGUUUUCCUUGAAUUACCCUACCUAACUUAGGCAUCAGAGGGCCUUUGGCCAACACCCCCCGGGUGUGGUCCUUUUACUCAGAUCUGUUUUGCAGGGAGAAAGAGAGGCGGAGAAGACGAAGGAAUCUUGGGCAAAUAUUCUCGUGGGGAAAUUUGCUCCCACAGUGUGGAUACUGUAGGGAGAGAAGGGGUCGAUUUGAGUAAUGUAGGUUUUUGGGAAAGGGAUGUUGGUAGCACAACACUUUUUAAACUAUGUUAUCAAAAAUAGGAAAAAUUGCAUGGCUAAACUUAUAACAAAAAACCAAAAAUCUGCAAAGGCAUCUCCAUUGAUCUUGUGUAUUAUGUUGAAGACACAUUUGGAGAGAAGGAUAUUUGGCCUCUCCAAAUUUUUGUUCUUGGUUACAAAAAGGUUUUAUAGCCUGCAAUUUUUACCAUUUCUUGACAACCAAGUUUUAAAAACAUUGUUAGUUAUAAAUAAAAAAACCAACAUAUCUAACCUGCUUACAAUAGAAGACAAUACAUGCUUUUUAUAGCCGAAUAUGGGGAUGGAAAUGAAUGUUGCACUUCCACCUACCAUUCAUGAUUCAACUCAUACUUGUUUUGCUGUAGAACUCGACUCAUGAUUUUUUGCUCUAUAACUCAACUCAUGUUUUUUUGCUGUAUAACUCAUGAAGUUAUCCUUUAUUGCGGAGAAGACGAAGGAAUCUUGGGCAAAUAUUCUCGUGGGGAAAUUUUCUCCCACACUGUGGAUAAUGUAGGGAGAGAAGGGGUCGAUUUGAGUAAUGGAGGUUUUUGGGAAAGGGAUGUUGGUAGCACAACACUUUUAAAACUAUGUUAUCAAAAAUAGGAAAAAUUGCAUGGCUAAACUUAUAACAAAGAACCAAAAAUCUGCAAAGGCAUCUCCGUUGAUCCUGUAUAUUAUGUUGAAGACACAUUUGGAGAGAAGGAUAUUUGGCCUCUCCAAAUUUUUGUUCUUGGUUACAAAAAGGUUUUAUAGCCUGCAAUUUUUACCAUUUCUUGACAACCAAGUUUUAAAAACAUUGUUAGUUAUAAAUAAAAAAAACCGACAUAUCUAACCUGCUUACAAUAGAAGACAAUACAUGCUUUUUAUAGCCGAAUAUGGGGAUGGAAAUGAAUGUUGCACUUCCACCUACCAUUCAUGAUUCAACUCAUACUUGUUUUGCUGUAGAACUCGACUCAUGAUUUUUUGCUCUAUAACUCAACUCGUGCUUUUUUGCUGUAUAACUCAUGAAGUUAUCCUUUAUUGCGGAGAAGACGAAGGAAUCUUGGGCAAAUAUUCUCGUGGGGAAAUUUUCUCCCACACUGUCGAUACUGUAGGGAGAGAAGGGGUCGAUUUGAGUAAUGGAGGUUUUUGGGAAAGGGAUGUUGGUAGCACAACACUUUUAAAACUAUGUUAUCAAAAAUAGGAAAAAUUGCAUGGCUAAACUUAUAACAAAGAACCAAAAAUCUGCAAAGGCAUCUCCGUUGAUCCUGUGUAUUAUGUUGAAGACACAUUUGGAGAGAAGGAUAUUUGGCCUCUCCAAAUUUUUGUUCUUGGUUACAAAAAGGUUUUAUAGCCUGCAAUUUUUACCAUUUCUUGACAACCAAGUUUUAAAAACAUUGUUAGUUAUAAAUAAAAAAACCGACAUAUCUAACCUGCUUACAAUAGAAGACAAUACAUGCUUUUUAUAGCCGAAUAUGGGGAUGGAAAUGAAUGUUGCACUUCCACCUACCAUUCAUGAUUCAACUCAUACUUGUUUUGCUGUAGAACUCGACUCAUGAUUUUUUGCUCUAUAACUCAACUCAUGCUUUUUUGCUGUAUAACUCAUGAAGUUAUCCUUUAUUGCGGAGAAGACGAAGGAAUCUUGGGCAAUUAUGCUCGUGGGGAAAUUUGCUCCCACAGUGUGGAUACUAUAGUGAGAGAAGGGGUCGAUUUGAGUAAUGGAGGUUUUUGGGAAAGGGAUGUUGGUAGCACAACACUUAUAAAACUAUGUUAUCAAAAAUAGGAAAAAUUGCAUGGCUAAACUUAUAACAAAGAACCAAAAAUCUGCAAAGGCAUCUCCGUUGAUCCUGUGUAUUAUGUUGAAGACACAUUUGGAGGGCAGGAUAUUUGGCCUCUCCAAAUUUUUGUUCUUGGUUACAAAAAGGUUUUAUAGCCUGCAAUUUUUACCAUUUCUUGACAACCAAGUUUUAAAAACAUUGUUAGUUAUAAAUAAAAAAACCGACAUAUCUAACCUGCUUACAAUAGAAGACAAUACAUGCUUUUUAUAGCCGAAUAUGGGGAUGGAAAUGAAUGUUGCACUUCCACCUACCAUUCAUGAUUCAACUCAUACUUGUUUUGCUGUAGAACUCGACUCAUGAUUUUUUGCUCUAUAACUCAACUCAUGCUUUUUUGCUGUAUAACUCAUGAAGUUAUCCUUUAUUGCGGAGAAGACGAAGGAAUCUUGGGCAAUUAUGCUCGUGGGGAAAUUUGCUCCCACAGUGUGGAUACUAUAGUGAGAGAAGGGGUCGAUUUGAGUAAUGGAGGUUUUUGGGAAAGGGAUGUUGGUAGCACAACACUUAUAAAACUAUGUUAUCAAAAAUAGGAAAAAUUGCAUGGCUAAACUUAUAACAAAGAACCAAAAAUCUGCAAAGGCAUCUCCGUUGAUCCUGUGUAUUAUGUUGAAGACACAUUUGGAGAGAAGGAUAUUUGGCCUCUCCAAAUUUUUGUUCUUGGUUACAAAAAGGUUUUAUAGCCUGCAAUUUUUACCAUUUCUUGACAACCAAGUUUUAAAAACAUUGUUAGUUAUAAAUAAAAAAACCGACAUAUCUAACCUGCUUACAAUAGAAGACAAUACAUGCUUUUUAUAGCCGAAUAUGGGGAUGGAAAUGAAUGUUGCACUUCCACCUACCAUUCAUGAUUCAACUCAUACUUGUUUUGCUGUAGAACUCGACUCAUGAUUUUUUGCUCUAUAACUCAACUCAUGCUUUUUUGCUGUAUAACUCAUGAAGUUAUCCUUUAUUGCGGAGAAGACGAAGGAAUCUUGGGCAAAUAUGCUCGUGGGGAAAUUUGCUCCCACAGUGUGGAUACUAUAGGGAGAGAAGGGGUCGAUUUGAGUAAUGGAGGUUUUUGGGAAAGGGAUGUUGGUAGCACAACACUUUUAAAACUAUGUUAUCAAAAAUAGGAAAAAUUGCAUGGCUAAACUUAUAACAAAGAACCAAAAAUCUGCAAAGGCAUCUCCGUUGAUCCUGUGUAUUAUGUUGAAGACACAUUUGGAGAAAAGGAUAUUUGGCCUCUCCAAAUUUUUGUUCUUGGUUACAAAAAGGUUUUAUAGCCUGCAAUUUUUACCAUUUCUUGAUAACCAAGUUUUAAAAACAUUGUUAGUUAUAAAUAAAAAAACCGACAUAUCUAACCUACUUACAAUAGAAGACAAUACAGGCUUUUUAUAGCCGAAUAUGGGGAUGGAAAUGAAUGUUGCACUUCCACCUACCAUUCAUGAUUCAACUCAUACUUGUUUUGUUGUAGAACUCGACUCAUGAUUUUUUGCUCUAUAACUCAACUCAUGCUUUUUUGCUGGAUAACUCAUGAAGUUAUCCUUUAUUGCGGAGAAGACGAAGGAAUCUUGGGCAAAUAUUCUCGGGGGGAAAUUUGCUCCCACACUGUGGAUACUAUAGGGAGAAAAGGGGUCGAUUUGAGUAAUGGAGGUUUUUGGGAAAGGGAUGUUGGUAGCACAACACUUUUAAAACUAUGUUAUUAAAAAUAGGAAAAAUUGCAUGGCUAAACUUAUAACAAAGAACCAAAAAUCUGCAAAGGCAUCUCCGUUGAUCCUGUGUAUUAUGGUGAAGACACAUUUGGGGGAGAAGGAUAUUUGGCCUCUCCAAAUUUUUGUUCUUGGGUACAAAAAGGUUUUAUAGCCUGGAAUUUUUGCCAGUUCUUGACAACCAAGUUUUGAAAACAUUGUUAGUUAUAAAUAAAAAAAACCGACAUAUCUAACCCUGCUUACAAUAGAAAGACAAUACAUGCUUUUUUAUAGCCGAAUAUGGGGAUGGAAAUGAAUGUUGCACUUCCACCUACCAUUCAUGAUUCAACUCAUACUUGUUUUGCUGUAGAACUCGACUCAUGAUUUUUUGCUCUAUAACUCAACUCGUGCUUUUUUGCUGUAUAACUCAUGAAGUUAUCCUUUAUUGCGGAGAAGACGAAGGAAUCUUGGGCAAAUAUUCUCGUGGGGAAAUUUUCUCCCACACUGUCGAUACUGUAGGGAGAGAAGGGGUCGAUUUGAGUAAUGGAGGUUUUGGGAAAGGGAUGUUGGUAGCACAACACUUUUAAAACUGUGUUAUCAAAAAUAGGAAAAAUUGCAUGGCUAAACUUAUAACAAAGAACCAAAAAUCUGCAAAGGCAUCUCCGUUGAUCCUGUGUAUUAUGUUGAAGACACAUUUGGAGAGAAGGAUAUUUGGCCUCUCCAAAUUUUUGUUCUUGGUUACAAAAAGGUUUUAUAGCCUGCAAUUUUUACCAUUUCUUGACAACCAAGUUUUAAAAACAUUGUUAGUUAUAAAUAAAAAAACCGACAUAUCUAACCUGCUUACAAUAGAAGACAAUACAUGCUUUUUAUAGCCGAAUAUGGGGAUGGAAAUGAAUGUUGCACUUCCACCUACCAUUCAUGAUUCAACUCAUACUUGUUUUGCUGUAGAACUCGACUCAUGAUUUUUUGCUCUAUAACUCAACUCAUGCUUUUUUGCUGUAUAACUCAUGAAGUUAUCCUUUAUUGCGGAGAAGACGAAGGAAUCUUGGGCAAAUAUGCUCGUGGGGAAAUUUGCUCCCACAGUGUGGAUACUAUAGGGAGAGAAGGGGUCGAUUUGAGUAAUGGAGGUUUUUGGGAAAGGGAUGUUGGUAGCACAACACUUUUAAAACUAUGUUAUCAAAAAUAGGAAAAAUUGCAUGGCUAAACUUAUAACAAAGAACCAAAAAUCUGCAAAGGCAUCUCCGUUGAUCCUGUGUAUUAUGUUGAAGACACAUUUGGAGAGAAGGAUAUUUGGCCUCUCCAAAUUUUUGUUCUUGGUUACAAAAAGGUUUUAUAGCCUGCAAUUUUUACCAUUUCUUGACAACCAAGUUUUAAAAACAUUGUUAGUUAUAAAUAAAAAAACCGACAUAUCUAACCUACUUACAAUAGAAGACAAUACAGGCUUUUUAUAGCCGAAUAUGGGGAUGGAAAUGAAUGUUGCACUUCCACCUACCAUUCUUGAUUCAACUCAUGCUUGUUUUGUUGUAGAACUCGACUCAUGAUUUUUUGCUCUAUAACUCAACUCAUGCUUUUUUGCUGGAUAACUCAUGAAGUUAUCCUUUGUUGCGGAGAAGACGAAGGAAUCUUGGGCAAAUAUUCUAGUGGGGAAAUUUGCUCCCACACUGUGGAUACUGUAGGGAGAGAAGGGGUCGAUUUGAGUAAUGGAGGUUUUUGGGAAAGGGAUGUUGGUAGCACAACACUUUUAAAACUAUGUUAUCAAAAAUAGGAAAAAUUGCAUGGCUAAACUUAUAACAAAGAACCAAAAAUCUGCAAAGGCAUCUCCGUUGAUCCUGUGUAUUAUGUUGAAGACACAUUUGGAGAGAAGGAUAUUUGGCCUCUCCAAAUUUUUGUUCUUGGUUACAAAAAGGUUUUAUAGCCUGCAAUUUUUACCAUUUCUUGACAACCAAGUUUUAAAAACAUUGUUAGUUAUAAAUAAAAAAACCGACAUAUCUAACCUGCUUACAAUAGAAGACAAUACAUGCUUUUUAUAGCCGAAUAUGGGGAUGGAAAUGAAUGUUGCACUUCCACCUACCAUUCAUGAUUCAACUCAUACUUGUUUUGCUGUAGAACUCGACUCAUGAUUUUUUGCUCUAUAACUCAACUCAUGCUUUUUUGCUGUAUAACUCAUGAAGUUAUCCUUUAUUUUUGAUUGGUUUGCAUGUCGUGUGUAUGUGUCUAACGGUUUUUUGUAUCCUUCCUUUUUGGGCUUCUAGUGCCAUGAUAGCUUUAUGGCCCUGGCCUCAUCUUAAUUUGUUUCUUGUUUUAUUUUGGCUAUGCUCUCUUUCCUGGCAUGGCAUACCAUAUGUACACGAAGAAAAAAAAAAAAAAAGGCUUACUACAAGUAAGAGUUAAGGGGAUAACCAAUUACUUCAUAUCCUAGUUAGCAUUUUUCCUGUUUAAUACUCGUAUUAUACACGCAUGUAUGUUUUAAAGAUUUGAUAAAGUACAUAUUAAGGAUGAGCAUCCUUUUAGAGUUGUUGAGGGCUCGGGUUUAAGGAAAUGAUGAACAAGGUGCAACCUCGCUUCAAGGUACCAAGUAGGAAGAAGGUUGCCGAUGGGGUGUGGGAGUUAUUCAUGGUUGAAAAGGCAAAGAUAAUAAGUGAGAUUGGUGAGCAAAGAGUUAGUAUCACAACUGAUACUUGGACAUCGAUUCGAAACAUAAAUUACAUGGUUGUGACGAUCCACUUCAUGGAUAGUGAUUGGAACUUGCACAAAAGAAUAAUUAUCUUCACAAAGAUCACUAGUCAUAAGGGCAUUAACAUAGGAAAAACCCUAGAUGCAUGUUUGACGGAUUGGGGCAUACAUAAAGUGUUCACAAUUACCGUUGAUAAUGCUUCGGCCAAUGAUGGGGCGGUUGAGCACAUGGCACAAAGCUUAAAGGCAAUGAACACCUUAAUGUUGGAUGGGAAGUACUUGCAUUUGAGGUGUGCUUGUCACAUUCUUAAUUUAAUUGUUAAGGAUGGGUUGAAGGUGCUUAGUGCCUUAAUUGAGGGUAUAAGAAAUUGUGUGAAGUUUAUUCACUCUUCUCCGGCGAGGUUGGAUAAGUUUAGAGAGUUUGCAUCUAUUUAAGACACAAAAUCUGUUAAGGAAUAAAAGUGGAAAGUUUUUAUUUGAUUGGCCGGAUACUUGGAGGUGAAGAAGGAAUAAAACAAGAUGAGAUAUCUAUCCUAUUCUGUCAUGGAUUCUAGAGGUGAUUAAGGCAUGAUUUAGGAAAUCUUUUAUGGGCAAAAAACCUAGGUCAAAUCACCUAUAAAAACAAGGUUUAGGUCCCCGAUCUUAUACACAUUCAUGCAUACGAAUCCUACCCCAUAUUAGGAGUUCAUAAGGCGUGUAGAAAGAUUGGAAGACAUUUGCUUGUUGCUCAAGAUCUUUUCUGUCCAGUUCUCAUGGCUUCUCAAGGUUAGUACUUAUAGCUUGUUUGAUCUUAAAGUCUAACAUGUGGUAUCAAAGCCUAGGUCAUGCAGCUGUAAGUCUAAAUCAAGAUAAAACAUAAACUCCAUAUUGUUUUUCCAAUUUUGCAUUUUGUGCUGUGCUACAAUGAUUGUUUGACAAACUCAAGAAUUAAAAUUUGUAUUCUGGGACUGCUGUGCGUGUUUUUAAAUAUUAAACCAAUUUAUAGUGUUUAGCAUAUCUAUCUACAGACGCAUAUAGAAUCAUGACUAGGGUUAAAACCACUUAAGCAUGAACAUAAUGAAAUUCCGCAUCAAGUAAACAUAUCAAGGAAGUCAUAUUUUGAUUCAAAAUCAUUGUCUGAUGUUCAGUCCACAGAUGAGCAUGAGGCAAUUGUUUUAAAUCAUCUCCAGGUUUUUGAUGACAAAAUUGCAUCACAAGACACAUCGACCGAGGUUUUCUGCUUACAAGUGUGAACCUCAUUCGAUUAUGCCCUACGAUGGAACAAGAUGGCACAUCAACUACUAUGAAGAUCAAGAUCUUCUCUGUCCACAAAUGUGAAGAUCUUGACAACAGCUUAUCAUAGACAGUUUACGACGUUAGACUUGUGAAAGAAACUCAAGCAUAUUUGAUAUUCUGUCCAUAGAUGUGUAUCACAUAUGUAUAAAGAUUUUUGUCCAAACCGCAAACCGACCGACUAUUUGCGGUAUGGUGAUUUUUGAAACCGCAAACCGACCGCUUUUUGUGGUUUACCGCAUUGCGGUAAAACCGCAAGUUCAGUUGGUUAUCGUGAAUUAGCGGUUUAAAACCGCAAGUUCCUUUUGUGUCAUAAAAAUCCAAUCUUCCACAUUUUAGGCCUAGUUUUGAUGCUUCUUUUGAAGCCUUUUGAGUUCAAGCAUACUUUAACCCAAAAAUAUAAAUUCACAACCUCAACUUCUCAACCAUAUAUAAAUUCACAACCUCCUCAACUUCUCAAGCAUUCACAACCUAAAGAAAAUUAAAGUUACAAUUCCAAGCAUUCCAAUUAAAGUUAAACUUCUCAAGCAUUCACAACCUCAACUUCUCAAGCAUUCCAAAUCCAAAUUCUUUAAAGUUACAAACCAAAAGGAAAAUGCAAUGCAAAAUGAAUUAAAGUUACAAUCCAAAGGAAAAAUCCAAUUCAAAGUUAAUCAAAGUUACAAACCAAAAGAAAAAUGCAAUGCACCAAUGUUACAAACUCAAGUGUUGGUGGUGGUGAGUGGAUUUGAAGGACCCCGUUGUGUUGUUUGAGCACCAAUGCUAUCUACAAAUAAAACAAUAUAAGUUUAGUACAUUUUAUUAUAAGAAGAAGCAUAAAUAAUAUGAGCAUAAAUAAACUAAUUACUUACAAGUUGUCAUAUGUUCCAUUUCCUUGUAGAAUUCAACCUCAUCAUCCGUUGGUUCCUUGUAAAAGAAAAAUUCGUCCACUCUAAGCCAAUCACUAGUACACACUAAUGCCUCUACCAUUUUAGGAUGCAAAGAGCUUCUAAAAGGAUCCACAAUCCUCUUGCCUAGGCUAAAAGCAUUUUCACUAGCAACCGUAGAACUUGGAAUUGCAAAGAUAUCCUUGGCAACUUGUGAAAGAAUAGGAUAUCUUGUUUGGUUCCCUUUCCACCAAUUCAAGAGAUUGAAUUGUUUGCUCAAGGGGCUCUCAAAAGGAUCUGUCAAGUGCUUAUCCACUUCAUUGGAUAUCUCAACGGAUUGCUCAAACUUCCUCUUUUGCACAAGUUGUUGCAUUAGUUGAAAUGUGGCAUCAACAUCAUCACCAAUUAGUGCAACCUCAUCAUCAAUCUCAUCCACAUCAAUUUGUCUCACAACACCCCCAACCCAUUUAUACUCAUUAUACAAUUCAUUCAAACACUUUACAACCCCUUUCACAAUCUCAUUUUGAUUUCUAGCAUCUGCCCCAAGAUUGCCAAAGCUUAUUUGGAGCAUUUGAAGCUUCAUCAUUGGAUCUAGCACAUUGCCCAAAAAUAUAAGCUUAUUCACAACAUCAAAGCUCCCCCAAUAUUUGUCAAAUUUCAACUUCAUUAAAGAUGCUACCCGUUGUAUAGUAGGAUUUCUAGGAUCCUUCAUUUUCGCUUCUAUUUGAACUUGUAAAGCAACCAAUUCUAGGGAAAUUAUUGGGGAUGUACAAGUUUUGGUUGCAUUAAGCUUCAAUGUAGCAUCAUAAAUUUUGUUGAGAAAAUGCACAAAAGCUAAUGCCUUCUCCCAAUCAUCAUCUUUUGGAGGUCCCACUCUCUUAACCAUCACUUUCUUAACUUUUUCUUCCUCUAGAAAGUAAGCUUGAAACACCUCACAAUAAUAUGCCAUCUUCUCAAAGACUUGCCUAUAUUUGAAUGCACCUUCAAGCAUUUUAUAGGUUGCAUUCCACCUUGUAGGCACAUCCAUUGGCACAUUUGCCAUCUUGUCCAUCCUACAUGCAAUGGCAAACUCUCUAAACUUAUCCAACCUCGCCGGAGAAGAGUGAAUAAACUUCACACAAUUUCUUAUACCCUCAAUUGAGGCACUAAGCACCUUCAACCCAUCCUUAACAAUUAAAUUAAGAAUGUGACAAGCACACCUCAAAUGCAAGUACAUCUCAUCAACAUUAAGGUGUUCAUUGCCUUUAGGCUUUGUGCCAUGUACUCAACCGCCCUAUCAUUGGCCGAAGCAUUAUCAACGGUAAUUGUGAACACUUUAUGUAUGCCCCAAUCCGUCAAACAUGCAUCUAGGGUUUUUCCUAUGUUAAUGCCCUUAUGACUAGUGAUCUUUGUGAAGAUAAUUAUUCUUUUGUGCAAGUUCCAAUCACUAUCCAUGAAGUGGAUCGUCACAACCAUGUAAUUUAUGUUUCAAAUCGAUGUCCAAGUAUCAGUUGUGAUACUAACUCUUUGCUCACCAAUCUCACUUAUUAUCUUUGCCUUUUCAACCAUGAAUAACUCCCACACCCCAUCGGCAACCUUCUUCCUACUUGGUACCUUGAAGCGAGGUUGCACCUUGUUCAUCAUUUCCUUAAACCCGAGCCCUCAACAACUCUAAAAGGAUGCUCAUCCUUAAUAUGUACUUUAUCAAAUCUUUAAAACAUACAUGCGUGUAUAAUACGAGUAUUAAACAGGAAAAAUGCUAACUAGGAUAUGAAGUAAUUGGUUAUCCCCUUAACUCUUACUUGUAGUAAGCCUUUUUUUUUUUUUUUCUUCGUGUACAUAUGGUAUGCCAUGCCAGGAAAGAGAGCAUAGCUGAAAUAAAACAAGAAACAAAUUAAGAUUAGGCUAGGGCCAUAAAGCCAUCAUGGACCUAGAAGCCCAAAAAGGAAGGAUACAAAAACCGUUAGACACACACACACGACAUGCACACUAGUAAAAACUAAAGAAUAACUUCAUGAGUUAUACAGCAAAAAAAACAUGAGUUGAGUUAUAAAGCAAAAAGUCAUGAGUUAGGUUCUACAGCAAAACAAAUAUGAGUUGAAUAAUAGUAGGUGGAAGUGCAACAUUCAUUUCCAUCCCCAUAUCCAGCUAUAAAAACCCUGUAUUGUCUUCUAUUGUAAGUAGGUUAGAUAUGUCAUUUUUUUUUAUAACUAACAAUGCUUUUAAAACUUGGUUGUCAAAAAAUGGUAAAAAUUGCAGGCUAUAAAACCUUUUUGUAACCAAGAACAAAAAUAUGGAGAGGCCAAAUAUCCAUCUCUCUAAAUGUGUCUUCAACAGAAUAUACAGGAUCAAUGGAGAUGCCUUUGCAGAUUUUUGGUUCUUUGUUAUAAGGUUAGUUAUGCAAUUUUUCCUAUUUUUGAUAACACAGUUUUAAAAGUGUUGUGCUACCAACAUCCCUUUCCCAAAAACCUCUAUUACUCAAAUCGGCCCCUUCUCUCCCUACAAUAUCCACACCAAAGCAAAAACAAUUGUGUACCCUAAACCCAACUAAACACAAUCACUUUCUUCCAUGUCUAAUUCCAAAGUGCCCAAUAACCAGCUCACUAACGGAGGCGGCGGAGGGAUGUUCAAGCAACAGGCGUCGCAGAGGCCAUCCAGCAACAGCAUUAAAGAUAUAAUCUAUAGACUCAAUGCCUUAAAAAGAUAAAUGUUUUCAGGGACAUUAAGAAUCAGAAUGAAGCUAAAAUUUGUAGCCAUUAAGAAUCAUCCAGACGAAGGUUGAAAAAGUUAAUAUGGACUUACUAACAUUCUCUGCAUGAAUUGAAGAUCCAAAAUAGCCGAAUUGUUCAACACCUUCAAUGCUCCAGCUGCCACGUUUUCAAAAUUAGAGAGAAGGACAUUAGAGGUCUGAAAUAGAAUAGGAACAUUGGCUACAAUUAUGUCAUGAUCAAAGAUACCAUCAGUACCAAGCGUUACAAACACACAAAUGGAUGCACGAUUCAUCUAAAGGUCUAGAUUUUCCCAAGGACUGAGUUAUGGAAAGAUCUUCAGUACUAUCACCCUCUGCAAAUUUAGCCUCUUCAUUUGACGUAUGAGAAGCAGGUAGGGCAAAAGCUAUGAAAUCAAGCAAACCAGCUUUGCAGGAAGCCAGCAGUUCAUGAUCAGUGUUUACAAGUCAACAUAACCACCUCGAAGUGUAAACUUCAAAGCUGGUUUUUUUCUCACAAAACCAUACUUAUAGCAUCAAAUAAGGCAAUUCCAAGCACACAAGAUUUAUAAAAAUGUACAACUAAUUAAGUAAGCAACUUUUUCAAUUAAAAAAAACACUCACUGAUUCAGAAACCAAUUGGAAUCUUGGGGACAAGGGGUUAGGAGAUACUUUCCACUAGAAAUAUCUAACCUACAGUUUGGCAUACCAAUUUGCACCCAUGCGAAUUGCAAAGUACCCAAAUUCAGGACAUCAGCAUCCCUUAUCUGGCCACACUCUAUAAAAAACUUGAUCAUUUCAGCAAUUAUUAACCCAAUACUUGUGACCCCUGAAAUCCUUAGAAGCUCGCUCUCGUAUCUGCUCUAGGUAAAACUUGCGCGGUUGCUCACUUUCACUAAUUCUCUCGGCCAAUUCUAGGCCAGAAGUUCAACCUCCUCUUGCUGGGCUUUGGUUCUUUCCUUCUUCCUACGAAAUUGUUCCAUGGCCUUUGUUUCACACACUGCACUUGUCGUCUAUUCUCUCGUCUCUCAUUUCUUCCAUGUAUUUUCCCUCCUAGAGUGGUUUAAGAGUUCUUGGACACCUUCUGUUACAAGCCGAUUUGUAGGGGAAGGUUCUACCCAUGGGCUCUCAAAAAUUUGUAUCAAAUCCUGUUGAUGCUCUUUUUCGGAAGGUCAACUUAAAGAGACGUGUAGAGUCUUCAACAGGGAAGAAGGUGAGGAUCUUCGAGGUUGGAAGAACCUCCAGAAGACAAGGAGGGAGAAGCUGUCGUUAAACUUCGGACACCGGUGUGGUGCUUGCCGAAGGCUCUUCGAUGCUUAAGUCAGCUUUAAGUGGUAAUUUUAGCAGAGUAACAGUAAAUAUGAGAAAGUAGUUACCCUUUUUACUUGGUUACUGUUCCCUAUUUAUAAGGAAGUGAAAAUGGGAGUUUUGCACAAAGUUUCGAUGUGGGACUUUGUGCAAGUUACUGUGGUGGUGACACGUGUCUUGGAGAUUAGGUUCGGCAGUCGUGAGCUUCGACAGUGGGGAGCUUCGGCAGGUGUUUGCCACUUCAGAAGAGUGUCUUCCUUCAGCAGGGAAGAAUGCGUGUCUGCCAUGGUGUUAGUCGUUUUGAUGCUGGAUAUGCUUGGUUGAUUAUCGUGAAAAAUAGUAGUCUCCCAAGUUCGUGGUCAAGAAGUAACUUCUGGGUUGGGAACUUGUGAGAUUUUUGUGUAAUCAUGAUCGAGCAUUCUAUAUUCAGUGGGAGCCGUAGGGCAUUCCCUAGUCCUUCACAUUGGCAAGCCAGAAGUUGCAUCAACCCUUGAAAGGUAUGGUAAAAGCUGUGUGAGCCUCCAGAAGCGUUGGUAGCUAGGUACUUUUGUUGUUCGGAAAGAGGGCGGGUCUGGGCUAUGUGGAGCUAGGCUGCAAGGGGUUAGACAAGAAAAUUUUGCCGUGAUGUAAGCCAUGGCCUAAACAUGGGCCUUGCCGUUUGGCAAGGUCUAGUGGGAAUGAUUUUCUCUAGUGCCUAAGUAUCGUCGGCAAUGGUGAAGUUGCGCCGCCUGGGGCUGGGCCCUUGAAGCUUCGGUAAGGGUGCUUUGGGGAGCAUUUUGUGAGCCCCUUUAUUCCUUCUGCACAAUGCCUGUCGUUAGGCAGGGAUUUUUUUUUUUUUUCCCUUUUUUGCCUUGCGCCUUGGGCCUAUGGUAGUUUCGUCAUGGUCCUUGCCGUUUCGGCAAGGGACCAAGAUGGCUUGGGGGUUUUGGUGAGGCUUGUCAGCAAGGGGGGCCAAGACUGUGCAAGUUGGGCUUCGGUAAGAUACUUUGGGUUAAAAGGCUGGGCCUUUAUUUUGUGGGCUUGGGUAAGUGAAGCGCUAAGGUUUGGGUUGAAGGGGAGCGAGUGUCCACCUACAUAAGACUUGCCGUUUGGCAAGGUAUAUGCGGAAGAAGGUAUUCUUCCAUCGAGAAGGCAUUCAGCAAGAAUUUUCUUAGGUUCGACACGGGUGGAGGCUUGAGCUUGGUAUAAUCCUUCAGUAGGGGUCAAGAUCCAGCAUCGUGGAAAGAAACAAAGUGUGUUAUAGUUUCAGUAGGUUGCGCCAUUUGGGUUAAUUUUAGUGGAGUUCUCUUGAGCCAGCACGUCCUCUCGUGUACCUUCGGUAGCAUUCUAGUUUGUGGUUAGUUCAGCUCCGUGCGCCAUUCGUGUCUUCUGCACAGCCCUUGCCGUUCGGUAAGGGUGUGUUGUGAAAAAUUUUGAGGCAUCUUGAGCUGUCGGCAAGGGUUUGGGGUUGAGCCUUCAUUACGCUUCGGUGAGGUACCCAAGGCUUGGGCAAACCAAUUCGGAUCUGAUUUCGUGGGGUUACAACUUCGGAUGCAAAUGCUUGUACUUUCGGAACUUUGAUUUUGGAAUGAGCCAUCUUGUGAGCCUGCUACCUUUCUAGCAGAUCUUACCGUUCCGUGAGGCAAGGGUAGUUCGAAUUGUAGGGUUGCCGUCUUGUGAGUCCCCAUUGCUUCUACUCAACCCUUGUCAUUCGGCAAUGGUGGUUUGAAAAAAAAUUUGGGAGCUUGUUUUGUGUUUGGCAAAGGUCCCAUGUAGUUUUGGCAGUGAUUUGGAAGCAUCUCCUUCCACCGUUCGGCAAGCGUGAUCUUAAAAAUGGGUUAAAAUCUCUGCAUAGCCCUUAUCUUCAGCAAGAAGUGGGUCUGGCAGGUGGGUUUGCUUCGGCAGCUUAGGUGUGCUUUUUGGCAAGGCUGAGGUGAGUAAUUUUUGUGAGCCCAUUUUUUCUCUGCUCAACCCUUGCCGUUCGGCAAGGGUGAUUCGGCAUGAGAUUUAGAUCCUCUUUUUUUUUUUCUUUUUCUUUUUUUCGGCAGGGUUCAUUAGGAAGAUCUCGUGGUCUGGGCUACGAGUGUGGAUUCGAAAGGAGGCUUCACAUCGACAGCACGUGACAGCCGUUCGGCAGUUUUGCCUUAUUGCCUGAGCCUUUCAAUUUUAGCGAAAUAGGUUCGAUGGUGGAUCAUACCCAGAUUUUUGGCAUGCCCUCCUUGCCUAAUCUCGGUCCUUUUUGCUUAGGGCUGUGCAUUCAACAUUCGACAGGUGGGCCUUGGCAACGAGGAAAUUUUGUGAGUCCCCCUUUUCUUCUUUUUGAAUUCCUCUCCAUUUUUUGUUUUUUUGGAUUUUGAAAUUUUGAAUUUCAAAUUGUUUGGAGUAGGUACAAGAAAUUUGGGAGGGAAGGUGAAAGGGUGCUAGGGUUUUUCCAUGAACCGAGGCGUCGGUACCCUUGAGUCUUUAUAAAUAGGGACUUGAGGUGAAAAAGGUAUCACACUUAAGUCUUUGAGAAAAAAUUUCUAGAAAGUGAGAAGGAGAGAAGGAGAUUUCUGGCGAGAUACCUCGUGGUCGUGAUGUGGCCAAGGUGAUUUUCGGCUUCUUUUCGUGGUGGUGCAAACAAGGUUAGACCCCAUUUCCUUUGAAUUUUCCAAUUGAAAUGUUCUUUUUGCAUGAACAUGUUGAAUACUAGGAUAAACACCUUGAAUAUUGGUAUGAACUUGAUGAACACCUUGAAUAUGAGUAUGAACUUGUUAGAUGUUGUUUGUAGAUCGAAGAGCAUGUAGGUUUGUCAUCCUUUUUGUGUUUUUGUGUUUUUGUGUUUUCGAUCCUCCUUGCAUGUGCAUUAGUUCCUUUUUCUUGUUUCUGCAUAUUGUAGAUGUCUGAAAGUUCUAGUAGAGAAAUUCAUGACCCCUUUGCCUUUGGUGGGGAUGAUACUGAAAGUGAGGAGCCCAGCCUAUAUGUUUGUUCUGAGGAUGAAAGUACCCAAUCAGGGCAUGUGGUAGAAGGUGUUAUAAAGAGUAGGAUGGUAGUGCAUGAGGGUGAGAGGGGUGAGCCAUCAGUAGAUUCCCGGGAGGCUGAGUACAGAGAAAUGCAGAGGAAUUACAGAGUGUUAGAGGUUGUGGCUGAUCGAGUUCUAGCCUUGCCUCAUACACCAGAUGUGGGCUCGAGCAAUCAGGCAUCACCGUCUAGGUCUGUAGGUGUAGCCGUUGCUUCAGCUUUAGAGGGAGUGGAUAUACGGGUUAGUGUCCCUUUGGCAAGGCGGAAUACACUUACUGAGGUAAAGCUGGUCGAGCUUCGAAUAGAGUUUAGUGUCCCAUCCUCGGUGGGCUUGAGGCUACCCACUGCUGCUGAUGUGGGUUAGAUAUCCUCCGGAGGGAUGUGUGCUGAUAUUUACAUAUAUGUACCAGCAUGGCUUUAGACUACCGUUUCAUCCUUGGGUGCAUAUGAUGUUGGCCAAGCUAGGGUAUGCACCGGGGCAAUAUAAUCCCAACUUCUGGAUUCUUCUUCAUGAGGUGUAUAUUGCCUGGUGGUUGGCUGGGUUAGGGGAGCCGAUAUUUGAGCAGUUCAUGUAUUUAUACUCGAUUUCGAAGCAACAGAGAAAUUUUGGCUGGGUACAAGCCAAUUGCUGAAAGGCAAAAGAGAUGGGUUAUUUUAUUAGUCGCAUGCCUUCUACUCAGAAAUCCUAGAGAAACAGGUGGUGCCUGGCUUAUGGUGACUAGGAGUGUCUACCUGGGAAGACCUUCUCCAAACAUGUUCCUACCCACUUCCAGUCUAUAGGUCCUUGGUCCCAUCCGUUAAGAUUGUUUGUUGUUUUGUUGUGUUAUACCUGCCUUCAUUCUUGGUUCUCCAUUGAUGUUUGCUUUUGCAAGUGUAGAUGUUUGAGUGGUAUCUAAACUUUGUUGCAGUUUCACCAUGUAACUUGGCCCGACUUCACAAAAGAGGUGAUCUAUAGCCUAAAUUAAGAGUCAUUGAAUACGGGAAGAUGAGUGAAACUGUCUCAAAGAAGGAGAUUAGGACUCACAAUCCUAGAUUGGAAAAAUAGCAUAUCUCUCUUUAUCUAUCUAUCUCUCCAGGUGCUGGAAAUUUUUUUGAACUUUCUUUUAUUAAAAUUGAAAAGAUGUGACCAUCCAAGUUUGAAAUUAUGCAUCUUUUAAGUGAACAAACGCAUCUCUUGCCUCUUCAGAUAAAGUCACAUACUUUGGUAAAUAACGUCAAUGUCAGGGGUGAAACUACCUACAAGGCUAUCCCGGGAUGUAGUCCAGCCUAGGUAGCUUUUUUAAGAUAUUUUUUUUAACCUAUUGUAGUCCAUGUUUAAAGAAAAACAAAAUUAAACAUAUACAGCCCAUCAACUUGUCGUUCCCACUUAUGGUUGGGGCCCUCAUUUUGUGGCCUUUUGGCAAUUUCCCCACUAUUUCUAUGAAUAUGGAAAUAUGGAAAUAUUAUUUUUCCAAAGUCUGUUUUGUGGUCUUCUUGACAGUUUUCCCAUUGUUAUCAUGUUAACCCUUUUGUUGCAUUUAAUUUGUAUUUUUUUAUACUAAACUUAUUGGAAAUUAGUUAAUAGGGCUAUGAACUAGGAUUAAAUGAUUUAAUGUUCUAGAAAAAAAAUAUAGAAAUUGUAAGUUAAAAAAUAUCAUUAGGUUUUAAGCUAAAAAUUUUAGUUAGCCCACUCUUCAAAAAAUUCCUAGUUCCGCCCUUAGUCAAUGUCUAUGGAUAUGCAAGUCUCACACAUGUUAGAACUAACUUUUAACACUUGCAUAUUCAUUCAGAUAGCACUAUUCUUAGAGAUCAAUGUAGGGUCUCAUUGAGUUUGUAGUUGAGAGAGUUCAGAGAAUCAUGGUUGGCUAGGACCUUGUAAUUUGGAGUGCUACAAUUGUAAGGUCAUGGUCAUUUCAUGAUAGGAGACUGUUGGAAAAACAAUCUAUCAGCGACUAAUCAAUAAAUAUAAUAUAUAUUUCACAAAAAUUUAAAUAUACCAAACAAAUUUAGUAAUGUACCAAUACUAGUAUUAUAUUAACAGACAAAUGUAAAAUACAUAAAAGAAUGAAAUCGAAUUGACUAAUUUCUAUAUGAGAUAGAGGCUUGCAGAUUCAUGUUAUGUCCUAAAGACAAUAUUUUAUCCCUUUUUGGUGUUUGAAGUUCUACACAUGUGACUAUCUCCCAGAAUUCAAUUAUCGGUAUUCUAAGUCCUAGGACUUAUGUGCAUCUUAGUGCUUAUGUAUAAAACGUUGGGGGCUAUUCUAAUUUAAAUAGACCUCUCAUACAUAUGGCCCCUGAAAUCCUUAGAAGCUCGCUCUCGUAACUGCUCCUAGUAAAACUCGUGUGGUUGCUCACUUUCACUAAGUCUCUCGGCCAAUUUCUAGGCCAGAAGUUCAACCUUCUUCAGGGCUUUGGCUCUUUCCUCCUAACUACGAAGUUGUUCCAUGGCCCUUGUUUCACGCGCUACACUUGUCGUCUACUCUCUUGUCUCUCAUUUAUUCCAUGUAUUUUCCCUCCACAAUCUUUUAAAUAAAAAUAAGACUUUUUAUCACAAAACGUCCAUGAGGUUUUAAGUUUUCAUGUGUCAUUAGUGGUCCUGAAGGUUAACAAUCAUGCUCAUAAGAAUUAUAUGUCGCCAUUCCAUCCAAAAUUCUGCUAAAAUGAGUGACAUGGCACACAUAUGGUGCUCACAUAUCUAAAGAUACCACAUCAUGUGAAUUAAAUAAAAAUACAUAUUUUAAAAUAUAAACUUUAUGAAAAAAAACCUCCAAUUUCACCCUCCAUCUCCCUCCCCCUCCACGGCUCCGUCUCCCCCUCUCUCCAUCACAUAUCUAAAGAUACCACAUCAUGUGAAUUAAAUAAAAAUACAUAUUUUAAAAUAUAAACUUUAUGAAAAAAAACCUCCAAUUUCACCCUCCAUCUCCCUCCCCCUCCACGGCUCCGUCUCCCCCUCUCUCCAUUCUCUUUGCGUAUCUCUAUCCUCUCUCUCUCCUUCCCGACCCAACCCCCAAAUAGUCUCAAAUCAAGCACACAGGAUGAACAAGAUACCAUUUUAAAAAAAUGUGAUAUCACUAGAUAUGUGAGCCCCACCUAUGUGCCACGCCACCAAUUGAACAUAUUUGUAGACAGAUGUUGACGGCACCUGACCACCUAAUUAUAAUUAAUAAUUAAGUUUUAAUUAGCUUGGGGAAUUGGGUAAAUAUAUAUCAUAUUUCAUAAUCAAUUGCUUAUAUUUACUUUUACAUUUUUUGGGUUUGCUUCUUUUCUGUAUCAGUCAAUUGGUUGCCUAGUUUGUAGAAACAGAAAAUUUUGGUAUUUUGUACUUCAACAAAGGUGAGGUUGCCCGCCCACUUUUACAUUGCGUCAGUUGACAGCUGAAAUCUUUUAAACCAGAUUGUAGCACAACAAAAUGACAGCAUAUAAACCUAAAGCUAGCAACCUUUUUCCAUGAAAACCAAUUGGAUAAAGAUGGCCCAAAUUAGAACUGGUCAAGCUGUAUUUCCGGUUGGCAUUUACCCUAAUCCAAAUACCAAGUUAACAAAAAUAACAUUUGGUUGUUAUUUUUCCAACCAAAAAACUAACCCCCCAAAACAUUGUAUAUUUCAAUCUCCUCUCUCUCUCUCUUUCUCCCUAAUCCAUCACCGUCAUGAAAUGGUAGAACCCUUUGCAUCUCCAACCCUACCCAUUCCUCUCUCGUAUGCAAGCUUAGCCUGAAGGCUUUCAACCUCUCUUUGUUGAAGAGCUUUCUUGCUAGCCAAGGCACACACACACAUAUUGUAACCAUGACCCUUAAUUGCCUAACUUGCCAGGUCCUCAACAGGACAAACUCCUCUGGCUCUGAUAAGGAUAAUGUAUGCAAGGACAAGGCUUAUAGGAAAAUUUGUUGUGUAAACAUCAAUAUGGAGAGAAGCUGGUCUGGCAACCUAACUCCGCCGUCUUACGAGCAAAUCCAGGAAUCUUCUAUGUUCAUGCCGGAUAAGAAGAAGGUGAAGAUGUCCAUGGGGCAUCGCCGGCUUAUGAGUACAGGUGGGGUUGCAUAUGAAGGAAGCACCGAACCACGCUUGGUGAGGAGCUCUGGAAUGAGAAGGGAUUGGAGCUUUGAGAAUUUGGCUCUCCUCAGAAACGAGAAGAAAGGGAGAAACUCUUAAGAUAUAAUUGACACGAGUUUAAUCUUUUCAUGCUCAAUUCUUUUUCUUCUUCUUCUUUAUUUCUUUCUUUUUCACUUUUUUUAUUUUAUUUUCAUUUGUUUGUUUACUUUUCUGAGCUUUUGUGUCGUUAUCUUUUGAGACGGAGAGAAAUGCAAAUGUGUCAAUUGAAGUUUGAUCGUUGUGGAGGAGCUUUGAACAUAUAUAGUGUCGAAAAUUGAAAUUCCUUAUUCAAAUGUACAUGUUGGUUUUUCCUAUAGUAAAAAAAAAAAAAAAAAAAAAAAUUGAAGGAUUAUUUUCACUCUUGGGAUUAUUCAUACUAUUUUCUAUAUUUUAAAAGAGAUAAACCAAAAAUGAGUUCGGAUUAGAAUAGGUAAGGAUUCUAUUCCAUUUAAUGUCCUUCAGGAAAUUCCGUACUCCAUUGCUAUUUGCUAUUGUCUUCUGAAUGUUAUCCUCUCUAAUCUAAUGUAAUCCAAUUCGAUCUAAUUCUACAGUUUGGGAUUGCUAUCACUUUUUUAAAAAGUUGCUUAUGUUGUGCUUUAAAAAUAAUUAAUUGUAAAGUAAAGCAGCUCCAUGUUUGGCAAACAAUAUUUUUAAAGUGGUGUUACGACAAAAAACAGUGUUAAAACCAUUUGGUAAAUUUUAAUAUAAAAUUGUUGUAACUGUGAAUAAUGACUCAACUAGACAUGAUGUUGAAAGUGUUAUGAGCUAAUCAUGUGGUGGUAGUGGUGGUGGUGAAAGAGAUGGAGGUGAAGGUGAUGGUGAAAGAGGUGGCAUUGGAGGUGGUGGUGGGGAUGGCAGUUGAGGAGGUGGAGGGGGAGGUGGUGGUGGUGGAGGUUAAGGAGGAGGUGGUGGUUGCGGUGGAGGUGUGGGGGUGGUGGAGGUGGUGGAGGAUGUGGUUGUGGCGAUGGUGGAGUGGUGGUGGUGGUGGUGUUGGUUGUGGAGGUGGAGGUGGAGGUUGAGGAGGAGGUGGUUGUGGCGAUGGUGGAGUGGUGGUGGUGGUGUUGGUAGUGGAGGUGGAGCAGGAGGUGGUGGUGGUGGUGGCGGUGGCGGUGGCGGUGGCGGUGGAGGUAAUGAAGGUGGUGGUGGAGGUGGAGGUGGUGUCAUUUUUAAAAAUUAAUGAUGGUAUUUUAGGAAUUUAAAAUUUUUAUUUAAGACUCAUCUCUACUUCUUUUGAAAGCAGCUUUAAAAAAACAACCUAAAAUCUGCUUUUAAAAACUGCUGUAAAAAGGCCAUUACUUUUAAAAUAAUCAAGAUAUUUUAUUUUUACCACCAGUGCAGCAUAUGCAUAACAAAUUGCUACCACAUUAUUAAAUAUUUACAGUUCUUUAAAAUAUUAGCAGAUCAUAUAGAUCGAAGGUACGCCAUCAUUAGGAUGAACCUGCACAGCACUUCAAAAGAUGAUUCUUCCUGCUGCCUCAUCAUAAUGAUGGCAUAUAAAUGAUGUCUAUGAUGGCAUACAUUAAAAAUCUCUUUUCCAUUUAAGCAUCUUAAAGCCAUAUUCUACAAUUUCACAUCAAGUUUACUAUAAAUACUCAAUAUGAACACACGCAUAGAUAAGAGUCAUGUCAAACAAAUUUCAGUUGCAAUCCAGAAUACAUUGCUUUUUUAAAAGCACACAUUCAAAACCCAUCACUCCUUACAGAUGAAACAUCCUGCGUCAGUCUUUAUAUACUUCGUGGACAGUAAUCAUACAUUACAACAAGUUCGACCACUUACCUGAUUUUCUAACUACAACAGUAUCAGUGUCCAAGAUUCCUUUCCCGUCAUUGUUAGACUUCCGCAUAUGCAAUCCAAUACUUAACCAACUUAGAACUUAUCUGCAUAUUUCCUCAUCCCUUAUACAUCAGUAAAGAGCACAAGUUGAAAAUGUAGACAGACAAUACCAACUCCAUACUAUCAAAAGAGAAUAGUUAGGAGUCAUCUGCCCAAUAUUCAUAAAGUUACCAUCCCAUCAAAAUGGAACAGUUAAGGAGUUGUCUUCCAUCUGCUUUAGUUUUUCUUCUUCCUUGCAUCGGCUUUCCAAUCUCUUCGACACAGUUUGGGUCUAUGCAUUUCAAAGUUAUUCUGGUUCACAGAUAUCUCGGAAUGGGUUUCACUAUCUAAUAGUGGCUCUGCCGUAGUUCCAGAUAAUAACACAGUUUGACUCUCACUGGUUGACAUAGGAGUAAGGACAGCACAACCAUUAGGUGUAACUUCAGGAUACUCAGAAACACGAGCCCUCCUUGCAUCCUUUUUCCAAUCUCGUUUACAGUGCACACGGGGUACAUAAUUGCUAACAAAUCCAUUCAUUUGCACUUCCACUUGUGGUGGAGGUGAUUGCUUUAUGAUGCUAGGCUUCUUCAUAUCUGCUUCAAGGCGCUUCCGGGCCCUAUACCUACGUUGUCGUUCUCGGUUCUUCAGGCGACGAGUCAGAACAUCAUUACGACUUCUGGUGCGCUCUCUUUGAUCAAUAGGCUUCAUUAUAAAACUAUCUUGUGUUUGAGCAGCAUUCAUAUCUUUGCCUGCCUGACAUUCAGACCAAGUCUAGCAUAAGCAUGAAUAAAGGAGGAAUGCAAACAAUAACACUACAAACAAUGGUUCUCUAUUUGACAGUAAACUUCUUACCACUAAAAAUUCGCUCACAACUAGGAGAUGAUAGCUCGCUUCAAUUACGCAACCACUUGAAUGGCGAACAAAGGGAACAUGACUUGCUACAUCUAUAAACGCAGCAAUGCAUCUCUCUAAGUGGUCUAACAAAAACAAAAAUUAGCAAAAAAAACAUUACAUGCACAACAUCCUUCACAAGCCCAUAAAGAAAACAUGAUCAGGUAUUCAUUUGGUCGGACGUACCAGCUAAGUAAAUUUCCUCACACAGCACAUUUAAUGAGACAUAAAUGUGCAGUUUUGUAUGAUUGAGGAUUACACGCGUUCAAGUAUACAUCACGAGCUAACAAUCAAAUUCUGCAAUUUUGCUUUAGAAUGGGAAAGACUGAUACUCAAUUAGUUUUAAUCCAGUAAUAUCUACUGUAGGACCUUUUGUACAUUUACAUGGCUAUGAAGUUAUAAAGUAGAAAUUUUACAUUCUACUAUCUCAAUAAGUGACUCUCCUCAGGUACUUCUCCUAUUGGAUGGAGCACGAUCUACAAAAUUGUUUGUCCAAAAAAAAAAUAUGGACUCUUACACCCAAGCCAACCACAAAUGCAAAACAAGCCUAAAUGUUUGUCCACACACACAGAUCUUUCUCAAAAGGGAUCCCGCACAUUUCUGACCUUUCUGCACGUGGCUGUCAUCCGUUUGAUCUCAUUAAUCUGUCAAUCUCAUUUAUAUAAAAUGUCGCAUAAAGAUCUUAGUAAUUUGUGGUCUGGUUAAAACUUCAAUGAAUCUUUCAAUACUUUUGGUAGAUUAUAUAUCAUGAGCACCUACCCCUGAUUUGGAAAUAAAACAUCAAUUCUUAAAGGUAAAUCCAUGACCUUUGAAAAUUAUUAAUCAGCCACAACCAGAGAGUAUUUAUCAAUCGGCCAAGCAGGGAAUAUGAUUAGAAUCUAAAAGUUGCCCCUCAAAAGGGGGAAAAAAUAAGGAUGUAAAUCUUGGUUCUUUACCAUCAAACAAGGAUUGAAUUACCUUUAAAUCCAAUGUUGGCAGCUCCAUUCCAUUCUUAGCCUCUUAAGCUUUCAAUCCAAUGUUGGCAGAUAUGAACGUGAAACGACUACAAAGUGUCCACAACAGUCUCUCUUGCACACGUUUCAGGCCAAAAGCAGUCCUUCAUGUAUGUUCUGUAUAAUUUUUUAGUCCGGAACUCCUGAAACAAUGAAACUUCAGUUAAGAAAUUUGGUUCCAUAAUUGACAUAACUGGAACACAAAACACUAGUACAACAGUAAAAAAAAUUAUCAUGAACAUAUUGCUAUUAGUUGCAACCUGCCACAAAUAGAUGAAAGUUUUUAAAUAAACAAUGACAUUGUAACUAUUAUAGAAACAAAAUUUCAACCCAUGAAGCUACCAAUUAACUAAAGAAUUGGUUGGAGCAUAUAUAUAUACCAGGAGGCUUUAAGAAGGCUGGCCACUAAUAGCCAUAGCCAGAGACUAUUAUGCAAUUAAAUAUAUUCUAUAUGCAAGUGUGCCGUCGCACACCACAUAUAGGCACCUAUUAUUAUGCAAUUGCAAAAUUUGCAGUUAAUCAUGUCCAAUUAAUAUAAGCGGCAGGUUAGAAGAAUAUCAAAAUGCAGGUUUCAAGAGGCCAAAUCAAUGCAUGUCUUCAUUUUCUAGGAAGAAAAACCAUAGUUGCCUAAUUCGCUCACCCCCUACGAAUUUCGAUCUGGAUCGAGCGUACCCAAUGGCGGUACGGUAUCGAUCUGGAACGAAAAGAUUUAACGACGCACUUCCAGAGGAGAGAACAGUACCUGAUAGAAGACGUCGCUGCUACAGAACAGUUCCUGACCGCCGACAGCAGACGAGCAAUCGAGGGCACAUGAGGGAGAGUGCUAUAGCUAAUGAGCCCACGUUUGAUUCUUGGUCCCCUGGAAGAUAUUGGAUUCGGAAAGGAUUUUUUUGGACGAAUAGAUUCCAAGGGGUGGGAUGGGCGAUAAAUGGAGGGCGCGAUAAAGCAGUUCCAGCGGACAGCCCAGCCCAGGAGAAAGGCCCCUACAUCCAGCCCGGCAAGGCCCAAGGCAAGAUAGGCACUGACAUCAGCAAAGAAAAAAUAUUUUAAUCCCAUGUGAAAGUAGUUGUCCUUGGAUUAUCAUGGUAAUGGGUAAAAAAGUACAAAAAAAAUUGUAGAAGAAUCUACUAUUCAAGUGAACAAUAACCGCCCUUACUUGGCCUUGCUCCUUGCCAUGACAAAUUGGUAGAAGUACGAGGGGAACGUACUAUAGAUUGGGUGGUUGGGUUUGUCAAUAUAAUAAAAGUACUAUUUCCAAUAAACGUACUACCCUUGGACCUAAUGUAAGGGUUGAGAAAAAAUUGGUUUAAAUAUCAAUAUGUCAUCUCUUAUUUUACUUUUACAGUAAAAUACUAUUUUGGUUAUGAAAACUACAGUCCCGUUCUCUUGGAUCCCUAUAGUCCAAGAACUUGUGAUCACCCACCCUCAGAUUAGAUCUAAAGGUUCACAAAAAUAUAUUUAAAAAUAAAUUUUAUUUUACUCUUACUGCAUAAGAUAUUAAUUUAACUUAACCAAAAACUAAAAGUUCAAAAAGAAAUAGUAACACUUCAAUCAAACAACACGUUCAGGGCAGAAAAAAAAAAAUCAGAAACGGGUUCUUCCUUCCAUCGCCGCCACAGCAACUCCGACGCCAUCGCCUCCACAGUAACCCCGACUCUGGCGUCCCAUACAAAAAUCCAAAUCAACCCAUCCCCUUGCAAAUUAAUGCGAUCAAUAUGUAGUAAACAAAGAGAAAACUAGAAUUAAAGAAACAAAUGAAUGAAGGUCUGCAAAAAAAAAAAUUCAGAUGAUGUAAUUGCAGGAUGCCCACCCAAGACCUCUUCCUAUUCACAUGUUAACCGCUCCUUGAUAGUAUAAGAUUCAUAAAAUCAUGUUAACCAGUAAAAGAGGAGGAAACCCAAUUGGAAAACUUCAUCUACAUGGCUGCCAAGAGGCCAAAGCCUCCCAACUGCUACCUUCUCUCUUAUCUCCCUUUGAGAUUCUCAACUAUCCCUCUUGUGUACAAUGUAAUGAAAGGAAUUUAAGAAUGAUGAAUUAUCAAUGAAUGAGUCUCAACUCUUUGGGGACUCUCUAUUUAUAGACCCAGGCAGUGGCGGACCCACAGAGGUGCAAGGAGGUGCAGCUGCACCUCCCUUCGCCCGGAAAAGCCUUAAAGGUACCAUAUUUGCCUCUCUGCUCUGGUGCCCACUAAUUGCUUGAGAAAAUGCCUGAAAGAUGUUCUUGUUUUGCUCGAGAGAUUGUCUUCUGUUUUGUUUCUGCUUGUUUGCUCGCGUGCAAGCUCACUUUGGGGAGAGGCGGAGGUGUUUUGCCUGAACCUAUCAUUAUCAUUGUUUUGCAAAUUUCAGGUAUUGAGGAAGUGUCUAACAGAGGUGGUGCACGAGGUGAAGAAGACGACCUUCCUUUUUCUCAAAUAAUUUGACACAAACGGUGUCCUUUGCAUUAUUGUUGUGAUUCUUUUUCAUCAAUGAAACAAUAUGUUUUGGCUUUGUGUUGUAAAAUCAAACAGUGCAUUUUCAAUUGUUUUUUAAUGAAACGGUGCGGUUACGUUUAAAAAGGAAUAACCACUUUUUUAUUUUAAAAUAAGACAGCACACCUUUUUGAAAUAAACCAUGCUUGCUAGUAACAACUUUUUUUUUUUUUGGCAACAAAACAUUUAGAUAUAAGUUAUUACCUACAUGUAAGUGGCUUUAACCCUUUUGAAUAUUUGCCCCUUUCUAGAAAAAUUUCUGGAUUUGCCACUAGGCCUAGGGGUUAGCUAAAAUCAGAUUAUACAAUUGAGUCCACCAACCACACCUACUUGACCUAACACACAAUUGCAUUUGAAAUUAGUUUCUCUUCUCGUUAGGCUUAGUGUUGUAGCUCCCACUUCAUCUUCUUUUAUUUCUUUUGACAGCUAGAAAGCUCCACUCCAAUUAUAAGUAAUGAAUCUGCUUCACAUAACUUCCCCACCAUCAGCAACACCUCAUGCUUAGGUCAGAAUUACCAAGCAACAAUUAGCUCAUGCUUAGGUCAGAAUGACCAACAAUUUCAUGGGCUCAUAACUUGGGCUUCGCUUUAGCAAAUGACGACUUUAAGCCCUCCAACUUGAAGUCCAAAAUGUCAUCUUUCCAACCACAUGUCAUUUGGGUCAAUCCAAGGUCGGAUGAAGAUGUUAAGCCCAAAACAAGUUGCUAACUAAGUCUUCAAGUUUGCACCUUUUUUGCACCAUUUUGCAUCUUCUUCUAUCCAAUGCCUCCAAUGAUACUUAGAGCUCAAUGAACUGAAUGACAAAGACAAAAGAGAUUAAAGGCACAAGGUUAACUAAAAAACAUAACCAAAUCAUAUGUUAUAAGGGUACAAAAUGAUAACAAUUAUGCAGUGAUCACUUACUCACUUUUGAUUAGGAUAAUUUUAAUUUUAUGAGAGGAUUAUUUAAUUAUGGUAUGUAAAGUCUUAUUUUCUAACCGUAUUGGAGUCAUGUUCAUUCCUAAUCUGAUCUUGGAUGAGGGUCUUUUAUAAAUGGAUAAUGCUUCCCUCGUUGCCCAUAAUGAGGAUUAUUGCUGGUCUCCUCGGCUUUGUAACCUUGCUGAGAUUCGAACUGAAUCAACUUCAUUAGCUUAGGAGAAUGAUUGGCAAAGAGAAUUUGUUUGAAUUAAUAAUUAAAUAGUAUUUUUGGAAUAAUGGUGGGUGGAAAGAUAAGAUUAUAUUAUUUUUUUUAAAUUUACAUGGUGGAUGGGAAGAUAAGGUGGGUUGGAAAAUAGGACAUUUGGUGGAAAUAGCAGCACUCUGAAUUAAUUAUGAUUUGAAAUUUUUUUUUUUGGGCCGAAAAUUAUGAUUAAUUUAAUAUUCAUAUAAAAAUAAAUUAAUAUUAAUUAUGGUUGUAUUUAAUUAAUUGUGAUUUUAUUUAAUUUAUUAUUAGUGCCCCUUUUUAUAGGGCUAUAUAGGCUCCAUCUAUGAUCAUGAACAUUCUUAACCCUUGGGUAGGGUUUGGGCUUAGCCUAUUCAAGAUAUGGCGAAUUCGACUUGGCCCAUUCAAUCUUUAGGGCUAGAAAAGUCUAUAACUGAGUAGGGCCUGGACUAACCGAGCCCGACCCCGUUUUCUUAUAAUACAUUUAGGCAUAUGUGGGUUAGAAUAGUUGAGCAUAGAGAGUGUCUCUAAAUAUAAGAAAAAUGAAAGAACAAAAAAUAAAAAUAAAAAUUUCACUCAAGUUCGAGUCCCUUUCUUUAUAGAUUAAAUUAAUUUAUAAUAAUUUAGACUAUCCCUUAUAUAAAUAUAUAUAUAUAUAUAUAUAUUUCACUUCUAAUUUUCUUAUAUUUGUAUUAACAUUGAUAUUUAGUACCUUAACUAUCAGCUGCAAAUCACAGCAAAAUUUUAAUCAAGGUGGAAAAUAACCCCUUUUGUUUUCAUUUUAUAAAGUCACAAAAGACUUAUAAUAAGAGCAUCACCAAGGGUAUACCGUAUAGACAAAUAAAUAAGCAAACCAUGUUUGAACUUGAUUGCGAGUGAGCACACUGCCUUACCCAACUGGACUAACCUAUAUAUGCAUUCUCUUUUUGUUUUUAUGUAGUAGUAAAAGAUAAUGUAAAAGAUGAAAGUAAAUAAUAUCAUAAUAGUUAAUACAAUUACAUUAUUUAAUCUAUUAGAAUGAUCAAUUUUUUCAUAUGACAAAUGAAUACGCAACGUGACAUAUAAGUUCGUAAAGCACAGGUUUGUCUAUUUCAUUCACAUCUCCCUUGGACGAUAUUGGCAUAUUGCUGUAAAUUGUUUUGACAAAAUGAAAACUGGGUAUUAAAUCCGCUGCUUAUGAUUACGACACCCACAUAGAUUUUUGUAGUUAGGGGAAGGUCAGUCAAGACCUACAGAAUGGAGAGGUAGCAGUAUCAAAUCAGCGUCAAUUCCGUUUAAUUUUGACUUGGCUCUCUCUCUUCUGAAAUCGGAAAAUAAAGACUUUCAUUUGUAGUAGAAAAUGUAAAAUGAAUACAAUAAUCAACGCAAGCCCGUCGUCACGCUUUUGGCUUUUGGCUUUUGGCUUUUUGGACCCCAAUGCGUCCUCACCCAAACACGCCCUUUCUUUCUUUUAUUUUCUUUGUUUUCCAUCUAAUAAAUUUCUCUCAUUCAUUCAUUCCUUUCCUUCCAUAUUUGACCCACUUGCUCAACUCAUUCUGCAAAUUGCUAAUUUACUAAAUUGCUAGGGCUUCUUCCCGCACCACCUUUCUCCUUGUUUAUCUUGUUUCUUUUUCUGCUGAUAGAAAGCUCAAGAGGAAAAAAGAUCCAGGUUGACUCUUCUUUGCCGUAUCACUUCCUCAAGUCAAGGCGUAAUUUUCUAUUCCCUCUCUUCUUACUUUUCUAUGUUUCUUUGCGUUUACUCUUUGUCUUGUGAACCAUUUGAAGAAUUUUUUAGGUGGGUUUUCUUCUUUACCCAAAAUUUGUAGGUGGGUUUUGGAGUUUCUGAAAUUGGGUUAUCUUUGUGGAAUGCUUGUGGUUCAAUUAUAGUAAGAUAUUUGUUCUGUUUGCUUGAAUUGUUUUUUUGGGGUUUUUUUUUGGGGUUAAUACAGGGAGAUUUAUGAUUUGUGGUUUUGGUAUUACAGGAAUCUGUCUGAGCUUGGAACUUUUGCUGGUUUCUGAAGCUAAUUGUAUCUGCGGCUUUUGUGUUGGACUGUGAGGGCAGCUUUUGUGCUUUUCGAUUUGUUUGAAUUGGUUGCAUUUUCUAAGAUUGUUGCCUUCAAUACUUAUCACUGAACAAAACUGGGGUUGUUUUGAGCUUGGUUUGUGAGUUUUUGGGUAUCCUUUGAAGCUUUGGAAUGGUUUGACUUUGUGGGUAUUUAGCAGAAGUACAUAUAUUUCGUUUGGUGAAGUUGUAUUUGAGAUUCAAGGAGUUGGAAAGUUGUACUCGAGCCUUCUUUUGAAGUUCUGGGCAAUUGUUUUGAAGCUAAUGCGAAUGGCUUGACUUUGUGGGACAUUGGCGAAAGUUAAUUGGUUGGUGGUGUGAGUUUGUUUGUGUUUUCCUCAAAAUGGAUAACUCCGCAAACAGGCAUAAUGAUCAUUUGGGUGUGAACAAAAUUGGGAAAAAUAUAAGGAAGAGUCCAUUGCACCAACCCAAUUUUGCUAAUAAUGCCGCUAGGCAACAGCCUCAGCCUCAGGUAUACAACAUAAGCAAGAAUGAUUUCCGCAACAUUGUUCAGCAGCUUACUGGUUCGCCAUCACAAGAACCUUUGCCUAGACCUCCUCAGAAUCCGCCAAAACCCCAAAGUAUGCGGUUGCAGAGAAUUCGGCCUCCUCCAUUAACACCUAUCAAUAAUAGACCAGUAAUACCGCCUCCGGCUCCUCAUCCUUCAGCUCCACCGCUGGUUCCAUACAAUAAUAACUUCAUGAGGACUCAGUUUGGACAACCAUCACCUACACCGAUGCCGCCAUUUCCACAUGGAGACUCAAUGUGGGCAAAUACAGCUGAGUCUCCUAUCUCAGCAUAUAUGAGGUACCUUCAAAGUUCGAUGCUGGAUCCAACUCCAAGGGGUAACCAAGCUCAGCCACAACCACAAGGUCCAGGUCAAAGUCAGUCUCAGGCACCAUCGACUGGUUUACUUCCUAACCCAUCCAUGCCUGCUCACCCGCCCCCCAGAAUGAAUGGUCCUGUACCACCUGCGCCUAAUCUACCACACCCACCAGUGAAUGGUCCUGCCCUCUUACCCUCACCAACUUCACAGUUCUUAUUGCCAUCCCCAACAGGUUUCAUGAACCUGUUGUCCCCAAGGUCACCUUAUCCAUUGCUUUCACCUGGGAUGCAGUUUCCUCCACCACUGACCCCCAAUUUUCAGUUUUCACCCAUGGCCCAAUCAGGGAUAUUAGGUCCAGGGCCUCAACCUCCACCCUCUCCGGGUUAUUUGUUUCCAUUAUCUCCUUCGGGGUUUUUCCCCAUUUCAAGUCCAAGAUGGAGGGAACAAUAGUUGUCAAACCAUUGUUAUGUAUGUCAGUUCCAUGCUUUCUCCUGAGGUCUGUCUUUAUGUGGACUCUCUCAUCUACUUCUUCAUUUGUGAAAACAGUGUUGUAUACUGGUAGUGUAAGUGGCCCUUUGGGCCACCUCUAGUGUUCAUCUCUCAUUUUUUUAUCUUUCUUUCGUUGAUACUCACUCUACAUCUUUUUUUAUUCUGGACUCCUGUAUCAGCUGCUAUCUUUUUUAUUUAAUUUUGUUUUCAACAAGUUUAAUUUAGGCAAUAUAGUGAAGAUCAACAAUGCAAUGGGAAGAUUGGACAGGAGCUGUAAUUUGGAAGACUGGAAAGAUGGAGCUAUAACAUGAAAGGAGGUAGGACACUUGAAAAUUAAUAUGUAGGGUCUUUAGUGGAAGGUCUAUAGUGGAAGAGUUCUUGUAAUUUUGUGAUAUUUGAAUUAAACUGUAGUUUGAUGAUGUUAAUUCUUCUUAAGUUAGCUGGCAUGCGAAAUGAAUUUUCGUAUUAAUGAUUAUAGUUUUGUUGUACCUAGAUUUGUUCAAUGAAGAAUUUCUUGUUUGACCAACUCAUAAUUUGAAUAAUGCUACUAGUUCGUUGUUUUUCUGCUUUAAAUUUAAACAUUGUAAUGAUGUGUUGGGAUGAAGUAAUUCUAGUUUCUCAUGUUUGUGAAAGAAAAUGAAAUUGAGAAACUACAACCCAGAUUUCUAUAUAUAAUGCUAAGAUUAUUUACCUAGAUAAUGAAUUUCUGACGCAUGUGACUUGCUAAUUUCCUUUUAUGAAAGAAAUAGUACGAGAAAGAAGAAAUAUAAUGUAAUUCUUAUGAGAUUCAUGUAUGUUGAGGGAAUGCAUUUAACAUCUACCAGCAUUCUUCUCUUCAACUAUCUUCAUCUUAGCAUUUUUCCUUUUGUUUAAGCAUUAGACUUCCUAGCAUUAUUAUUGUACUUACUGGUAAAAAUGACUCUUCUCCUCACAAGUGGCGUUGGGGGCAGGGAAGUAUUUUUAUGUACAUUCCAACUUAGUGGUGCUACUGUAUUUGCAGCCAUUCAAUGUCUUUCAACUCUUGCUCCAUUUUUCUUUCGCUUUUACACUUGGAUGUGGAUAGGAUAGGGUUUCAGCUAUUUUUCAUUGCAAGAUUGGGUGCCUGUGUUCCCUAUUUCUUAUGAUCUGGCUGUUGGGUGAUCAGACGAAGUUUUUAGUGGUGGACCUUAUUUACACCUUUAGUUAUGGUAAGAACAACAUGACCGCGCAUUUUUUGAAUUGUGCAUAGAGUUCUUGUAAUUAUUAGAAUUGAGUAUGUUAUAGUAAAAGGAGGACCUUUCUAGCAAUUGUGUCUUAUUAGCAUGAUCAAAACCAAGGGUGAGAUGUGGGUUAGAGAUAUGAGAUUGACUAUCAAUCCUCACAUCCUGUUUCUAUACUGCUUGACGUUCCUAACCUUUAGGGUUUUGCCCAUUGAGGAAAUUUAUAGAGCAGAUCAAGUCAGAAUGGUUAUAGUAUUGUUUAGAAGGGAAAGAUGAGUUGCUGCACUUAGAAUCGAUCUAGGCUGAUUAAAUGAUUUAGGGCCCGGGGUGUAACCUUUGAUACUUUUAUUUUACAUAGGACAUCCGUAUGAAGAUUGUUCUAGAUAGUAGAAGAUGAAAUAUGAAUGAAUUCUUGUAGAAAGGAAACUGGCUAUGCCCCAUCAAGCAUAGGGCACAGCCAUUUUCCUUGCUAUGCCCUAUCAAGCAUUUGUUGGAUUUGUACUUAUGAUCCUAUUACAUAAUGAAGAUGAGGGAUGGCAUAGGAAAGGAUGCCCUGGCAUUUGUGGCUUAUCGGUGACCUGAUCAUGACCCAAAAGCCAUAUCUCCUUAGGGUUAAGGGUAAGAUGUGAGAUUUAAUCGCUUGAGCUAUAGAUUGUCUUGUUUUUUUGUUUUUUUGUUUUGUUUUUGUUUUUGGUGCAAACAAUAUUACGGGAGGAUGAAUAGAACACAGAACCUCAUAUUCAUAGGCAAAUACUUUUAAUUGCUUGAGCUACAGAUUGUCUUGUUUUUAACCUUUAGGCUUUGCUCUUUGAGGAAAGAGCAGAUUUGAGACUAGGUGGUUUUGGACUAAAUUUAACUUGGGUUAUAGGAAAUUCAAGCUUUUUUUAAAUAUAAAAAAAAAAUUAUUUAUUUUUAUUUUUAUACAAGCAAUAUUGGGGGAAUAAAGUUUUUUCACACGCUGUCAAGAUGUCAUAGGGAUUUUCUCACCACUAGUCUACAAGUUAAGCCUCUUUCCACCGAGCCAAACCCUGUUGGCAAGGUUUUUUCUUACUCAUGGGAAAAAGGGGGAUUGGAGGAGAAGCUAAAUAUAGCAGAUAUAUGCAUUUCUUACUAAUUUGUCCAUCCCUGGGUAUUGCUUUAGCAUAGAAAAUAUAACAAUAAUUGUUCAAUACUCCCUUGCCCAUGUCUUCUCAACACGCUAAAGUGAGAAAAAGAAUACAUAAAAUAGUUCAAAAAAAAUAAAAACUGAAACUGAUUGCCUAAUGGUUUGUUAUUUUCUAUACACAAUCUUUAUUAUUUCCUAUCAUAAAUUCAUUCAUCAUCUCUCUCCCUUUAUUUUAAAUUAUAAAAAUAAAAAAUGAAGAAAUGUUGUCAAAUAUCAUUACUUGGAUGAUUUUAUACUUGUUAAUAUUCUCAUGUAUUUAUCUAAGAUAAUAACUUUGUGCAAUUGGAGACUUAUGAGCUUAUAUCUAAUCAAUACAUGAGAAUAUUAAUAUUAACUGGAUACUUGAGAAUAUUUAUUGGAUAUUAAUUGGAUCAAUACUGCCAUUAUCUAGUUUAUUGUUAUUUAUUUAAGAUAAUAUCUUGGUGUAUUGGAUAUCAAUUUUUUUUUAUACGAACGAUAUUAUAUUUUAAUCUAAUCUAAAUUACAGAAAGGGAAUUCGAACUUAAGUUCUGAGUAGAAAACAUAUCUACCCUAGUCAACUUAACUAAUCCACUACCAGCUCAACAAUUUAGACUAACAUAAUAACAACAAUAAUUCAGCCACAUGGCCGUUGCUGUUUCGUUGGUCCUCAUCACAUCAUAUACCAUAAUGUAUUUUUUUCCCUGGUAGCAUCAUCAUAGUGUAUAUAGUAUUGUACGAUUCACCUAACAUAUCCAUCAAUUCGGAUACGUUCCAGUCCCAUGCCUCAGCCUGACAUGGGGACCGUUGACUCUGUCUAUAAAUUGCCAGUAAUAAUCUCAAUCUCCUUUUCUUAAAUUUAUUUUUAAUUUGAUGAAGUUCAGUGUGAAAGGGUCUGCAUAAUCUGCAAGGGCACGCACCCCACCACCACCACCAACCAAGAUACCAAAUUACACGAUACAUCAUUGACUCUCACAAUAAACGUAUGGGUUUUCAUGAUUUUGUGUUCAGAUUUGUACAGUUUUCAUGUCCGGAGUCAGUGUGAGCGUUAUGAUCUCAAAAUGUACAAGUGUUGUCUACUAGCAGCUGAUUUCUGGGUAGUCGUUUCUUUCUAAUGUUAGAACAGGUUCGUUCGUGUAUUUUUGUUCUUAUUUAUUAAAAACCGAAAAGAAAAAAAAGAAAAAAGGGAGGGGGGGGGGGGCCUAGACUUAUGUUACUCCCAAUAGUUGAAUGCCCUUUUUCGAACUUAAGCUGAAAAGGGGAAAAGGUCCUACUAUAAAUGGACCUCUCCUUUCAACAGUAUUGUUAAUCUUCCAUUAUCUGGACCCUACUGCUCUCUCUGUGUGGAAAAAUCCUAUCUAACCUCACUCUCUACUUAAGAAGGUUUCCUAGGAAGAUUUUAAAGAGGGCGCUGUUAUCGUGGGGCUCUACUGCAUUGUGCCGCUCUAUGUAUACGUCUAUCAAUCAAAUCUUUUUUUCAAAAAACAAUACAUAUACAUUUGAGAAUUUCAAAGGGGUUUGUUUUAAUGAAAAGGAAAUAAAAUGGCAAAUUUUAGAGAUUUUAGAGUGAGGUUAAAAUAGAAUUUCAAUUCCAUUUUUCUUUACUGUUUGAAAUAAAAAAGAGAAAAAGAAAAAGAAAUGGGUUUCUUUUUCUUCGCAUGUAUCAUUAUUAUUAUUAUUAUUAUCAUCAUUAUAUUUGAAAUAAAAAAUAAAAAAGAAAAGAAUUGUAUUUCUCAAACUCAAUCACAAGUGACAAUGACUGGAGUCCAAUGGUCAGCGAAGUAAGUAAUGCUUUCAACUGCCAACAUGCAAAUUGCUAGCUCUCAUCAAUGAAUACUUUUGCCAUCAACAAUGACCAGUACAAUGAACCUUUCACCUCCUGCUGCUGCUGUACUCUCUCUUUCUUUUUUGUUUGGUAAAAGUAGAAAUAAUUAAUUACUAUUUAGUUACAUUUUGAUAAAUUUACUGUGCUAUCAUGGGGGUUGAUAUAGAUACAUUGAAUCUGAUAAAUUGCUAAGAACUACAAAUUAUAUAGACAGUCACCUUGUGGAAUUCCCCAACCAAUCUCAUUUGAGGUACAUCUUAUGUGAUUCACAAUAAAUAAAUAAAAAUAAAAUCUCAACAGAUAGGACGAGAGCGCCGCGAUCUAUCAAAACUUGGGCUCUCCAAAUCCAACGCUGCAUCUCCUCCUUGUGGGAGAGGAGGUCUCUACCCCUCCCCCCAUCUCUCUUCCCUGGUUUUUGAUUUUCUUUCACGGUUCAUGCUCGAGCUUUCCUGCUCGUUUUUGAGGCUUCAUGCUUCAAGGCUUCUUGCCUCUUUGGUGGGGCUUCUUGCCUUUCUAUUGGGGCUUCAUGCCUCCUAUCUUUAUUGUUCCCCCAAAUCUCUGUCAUUCCAUUCCACUCAGUGUUUUCCCUUUGUUGUCCUCCAAUCGGUUCCUACUUUCCUUCAUGUCUCCUAUUUAAUUCAUUGUAAAAAUUAGAUACAUUGGAAACCACUAAGACAUCUACUUGUGAAUGACAAAAUUAAUUAAUACAAUGUUUCAUAUAAAAAAAAUAAAAAUGAUAACUAUUUAAUUGAGUGGUCAAAUAGUUUUGAAUUGAGUGAUCUUUGUUUUGUUUUUGCAAAGAUGAUAUUCAAAAGAAUACUUCAAAAAAUUAGACGAUUUAGAUCAUUAGAAUACAAUGUAGAACAAACCCUAUAAGGGUGUCCCUAAAAUAAAAUGCAUCAACUAUUUGUACAAAGAUUAAAUACAUAUCUUGGGGGAACAAAAAACCCUAAGAAAAGAAACCUUUGAAUUCAAAUUUAACCAGUAUGACACUAUGAGUUUAGCCGAUAUGGUGCUAUGAGUCUCUUCGAAUUUGCCUCGAGAGGAUGUGGAGUGAUAGUAACACUUCUUUGUUCAUGUUCAAUACUUUUCAAAAUCGAUACAGAUUAAUGAAUCGAGAAUUUUAGUCACUUUGUAAAUCGAUUCAACUUGUUAUUGCAUUUAGUCAUUGGAGAAAAUUUAUCUAUAGUUCUUUGUACUCCGUGUUUUCUCAUCAACAAUUAUUAUGUUUAUUCUUAAAACAUAUUAACACAUUCAAUUGGAACAAAGUACGAUGGUGCAUUGUGAUUUGUGAUGAGAAGUCGAAGGACAAAAAGCCCCAUUAAUCGCGAUUAGAUUCUUACAUAAAGUCAAAAGCAGAGAUUCCAUUUUCUUUAAUUCUCAUUUAUAGGGUGGGAUUAAAUUAGGCACUAGGAUAUGACCCACUCAUCCCUUGCCCUUUCUUUGCUCCUUGCCCUUUGGUUGGUCCUAACUUCUAAACUUGCACUCAACAAAAUGCAGAGAUUACAAUAUCAAAGAGAUAUGGAGAGAGAGAGAGAGAGAGAGAGAGAGAGAGAGGAAAUAAAUUGAAAAGCACACUUGAGUUGCAAACCCAAAUGCCCAAAUCAAAAUAUUCACAUUGGAAUUUGGCAGCAAGAAAGAAAGAAAGAAGACAUGACAUCACUGUCCCUCAGCUUUGACAUUUCUGUACAAAUGCAUUGACUGAAAUGCCCUUACCUUCUCCUCACAAUUUCAACUUACUCAUGCAUGGCAUCCCGGUCAAUCCAUUAAAACCAAGGACAUUUUGGUGAUUCCAAAUUUAAAAAACAGAGAGAUAAGGAACAGAGGCGGCGUACUUACAAAAUUCAGAAAUUAAAAAAACCCAAAACAAAGCCCCAGAAAAAGAUUUUUUUUUUUUUCUUUUCUUUUCUUCUUUUAAAAAUCGGUGUGAAUUUUUUUCUCACAUCACCUGCGGUUUAGCGUCACCGUCACCCGCCAGCCCUUCGGUGACCGACGCCAGCUUCUGGAGAUUCAACUUGACAACUGUAUCCGCGAAGAGACGCGUGUCCUCCUCGGAAUUCCCCUCGGGCACAUCGACAACGUACGAUUCCAAAACGACAGUCCAGAUCCUCCCGUCGCGCUCGAACCCAUGCACGGUCGUCACCGACCGGUAAUUCUUGAGCCGGUGCUCGCCGCCGGUAAUACUGAAACCGGUGACGUGGCGGUCGUCAUCGAGAAAGUCGAGCCGCUCCGUGCUGGUGGCCGCCGGUAGCCCGGAGAUGACAUUGACGUCCCUCGUGCACCCGACGGUCAUUUUAAACCCCUCCUUGACCGUACAGCUCCGGAUGAAGUGCUUGUAGGUCUGGGGCUUGUCGAAGCGGCGCACCACCGACCACACCUUGUCGGGCGGAGCGUACACGCGCUGCGCGAGUAGGGAAGAGCAUUUUCCGGGACCCACCGGGUACUUGUGGAACUCGGCCACGAUCCGCUUCAAGUCGUCGAACUCGUCCUGAGUCAACCCGGCGGGAAUCCUGAGGUGGUGCUGGGUGGUCUCCUCCGCGUCUUGCUCGGCCGCUGAGCCCUCGCCUUUCUCCAUUACGAGUCUCCGAGAGAGAAAAGAAAGAGCUGAUGAGGGGAUGCACUUUGGUUUAUUUGGGAUACGGAUUUUGUAGGAUGGCAGGGGUGAAAUGGUAAAUGUAUUUGUUUAUUAAAUUGAAGGGGUUGAUUUGGGAAUUUUUUUUUAAAAAAAAGGGUUUUUAAAAAGGUGUAUGGGAAAGGUGUCAACUUGUUGAUGCGGACAGAUGGGUUCUUCUUGGUUGCUUGACAGUUCUACCUGGCUAAGCUCUGCAAGCCGAGCUAAUUGCACGUCUUAAUUUUUUUUCUGUAAAAUAAUUUCAUAAAGAAAAAAAUAAUAAAAAUAAUAUAAAAACUAUACAUAAUACGACAAGAUUCAGAUAUGGAUUUACCCAAAGAAGAAAGAAAAGACAAUGCUGCCGCAAAUUAUUAUAUAUAAUAAAGUGACAGGUCAGAGUAAUUAUUGUACAAGGGUUAUAUAGAGCAGGGGUUGGGUCAGUUUGUUUAAAUAUUUGAACCCCUAGAAGAUACUAAUGGAAAUUCAUUAAUGCUUUCCUUUCACAACAAGUAGAGUGGAAGUAUAAUGAAUCGUACAUUAUGGGCAUUGUAUAAGUUAGUUUAUAUAGGUUUCAAAAAAAGGGAAAUACAGUCACUCUUUAUCCUUGUAGUUUCCCCGAGUUUUUAAUCUAUGAAUUCAAUUUUGACACUUUAACCUCUAGUUUGAUACAUAUUGCAAUUUGAAGACACGUUUAAUUUCAUGAUUAAGUAAACGUGUGCCCUUCAAGUGGAGGGGUAUUUUUUGUCUGCCACAACUACAACUGGAUGAGCCACUUCUUCAACCUCUGAAUCGAAAUUUUUGCACUCUAUACUUGUCCUCACUCUGAAUCUUAUAUAAAUUGAUUGAAAAAAUCAAAACUUUUGAGGAGCACGAAGGUAGAUGGCACAAGUAGACAAAAAUACAUGAGUGCUUACAACGUCAUGGAAUUGGACAUCAAACUAGAUGGGUGUUAUAGUUUAAAUUACAGGGACCAAAAUGGAAGAUUUGGUAAGAUAUAGGGACAAAAAGUGACUUUUCUCCAAAGAAUGAGAGUGACUUAAAAGAUCAAGACAUGUAAAAAGGAAAAAAGAGUGAGUUAAUUGGGAAAUCAAAUUUAGUGUUCGACGCUGCCUUUUCAAAUGGUUGUGUAAACUCAAUUUUUCAAAAACAAUCAAACAAGAAUACGUGCACAAAAUAAAUUUGUAUUAAUUUAUUAAGUGUGUCAGUUAAACGCUCUAUGGUUUAUUAUUUACUUGGAUAUCACUUUGAUUCAAUCUAUCUGAUGAGUUUCAUCCAAGUGUUGCGAGUACUUGUCAUUGAACGGGAUGAUUGAGUCUUCAGAUCUCCUUGAGUCAUCAGAUUUGCAGAAGUGGUUUGGUCAAGAGCCAUCAAGGCUUCAUUCUUGAACAAACUGGAACAAUGAGGAUUGUCACGCAGUGGAUAAUCUUCGGUUUUGGUAGUGGCAGAAUCAACACAUCUUUUUUAUGCUUUGUGAUUCUUCCAAUGCUUAAUGAAGUUGCACUAACAACUAUUAUAGCCCACAUCACCACAUUAAGCAUAAUCCCAAAAAAAAAAAAAAAAAAAGUCUAUGAAACCCAACAUAACCGAAACCAUAAGCAAUAGAGAAGCUCAAAUGAACACUACUGCCACCACCUAAAGAAGCGGCGUAGUGGUCCCAUCAACCACCUCAUAUAGUCUAUAAAUGAGAAAACAUGUGAUAGAUGUGGGGCCUUCCAGCAAUCUAAUUGCGCAUAAGAGCGAACAAAUAUGCCAAAACAACAACCAUGACAAAGAGCAAUUGAGUGAUUUCUAGUAAACUCCGUUAAAUACGAAGUAGAGCUAAAUUCAAAGAAAAUGAGCAUUGUUAGAGAGCAAGUUUUAAGAAAAUGUUUUGAUUGAAGAUAUAGCCCAAAAUGAUAUGAGCAUCUGAUUCAAAAUGCCUAGUGCACUUAUUUACUAACCCAAAUAGAAAAAGGAAAGAAAAGAUGAGGGAGAUGAGGGACAUGAUGCUUCUUCCUCCACUCCUUAUGUUGAGUUUUUCUAUGGCACCCACAGAGAGUUAUUUCAUUAUUCUUCUUUCUCAUUAGUUGGUUAUUAGCAUAGUCAAAAAUAUCGAUAAUAUCGACAAAACGUAUUCAUACACAUAGCGUAUAAAUAUCAGAAAUAUCGAUGUCAAUAAUUUCGCUCACACUUCAGCAAUAUUUUGUCAAAAUAUGGCUAUAAUAUCGAAAAUAUUUAUGAAAUGGAGAAAAAAAAAAACACACACACACACACACACACAAAGGGGAUUCAAACCCUUGUAAUUUCACUCAUCCAACACCUUAACCACCAUGUUGCUUGUGUUUUUGUGAUAAUAUGCUAAAAUAUGUAUAUUUAUAUUGUUUUGAACAAUUACAUGCAAAACUAUUUUUGGGGUUUAUCAUUUGAUGACUACAUUUCACAAUAUACUUGCUCUACACAUAGAAAUGAGGAAGAUAGUGAAAAUUUUGAACUUCAUUAGAACUCUGUGUGGUACAAAGUCACUCUUGUAUCUUACCAUGCAAUGUAUAAAGUAUAAAAUAUUGUAGUAAAUCAUUAUAUAUAAAUGAUUAUGGUGUGUUUAAUCUUCUUUCAUUAAUUACUACAUAUUUUCUAUACUCACAGUGUUUGUCAGCUCGCUAUAUAAUCAACUUAAAUCAGUUACCCAUCAUGCAAUGCAUUUCCUUCCAAUUUUUUGUGAUAAACUAAUAGAUAAUUGACUGAAUCAACAUCCUCCAAAGUUUCAAUAAAAAUUUCCAAGUUUUUCUUACAAUUCUGUGGUUUUUUUUUCAAUUUUUAUCGAUAUUGAUAAUAUCUCAAUAUUUCCAUCGAAAUUUUCAUGUUUUUAGAAUACCAAUAUUUUCGAUACUAUCAAUAUUUUAGACUUUAGUUAUUAGACACAUAAAAUCUCGAGUUCUUAUUACUUUGAAUCUCCACCUUGACAGUGAUUCAAGGUCUUCAGAUUUAGUGAAGAAAAAAAAAUUCAACAUCAAGCUAGUUCUUGAUUCAUAAUUGAUUGGUCUGAAAUCAGAUUCUUUGACACAUAUGAUUCAUUCGUUCUACAAGUCUAGUAGCUCAACACAAAAAGAGGUAAGAUUAACUCUAAUAUAAAUGAAGAAGAAAAAAGUCCAUAACUCAAGUCGAAGCUGAGGAAAGAAGCUAUAAGGUUUUUGUUUUUUGUUCAGGUCAGCUGAACUUGACAUGUUCUUUCCUUUGUCUUCGGAGAAUUUAAUACUCUUAGGUAGUGUUGGAGCUUGCGUGGUUCCCUCUUUGGGAAAGUAAACGUCCAUCUCACUUUCCCAGCUAAUCCAGCUAAGCAAACCCAUCCCCUUCUAGUUCCUCUAGUAUAAAUAUAUUUUAAGCAGAUAUAAAUUAGAUUAGUUGAUAAUGACAAUAAAUCCUUUUCUUUACAUUCAAAUUCGAAUAUUUUUAUAUAUGCAUGCAUAUUUAUAUAAGCGAUAGUUUAAUUUACUUAGAGGGAAAUUUGAACUUAAAUAGAAGAAGACGGAUUCAUUAUCAUGAUCAACUGACCUAACUAACGUCUACAAAAUAAAUAAAUGUAUUUGAACAAAUCCUAGGACAAACUAUUCAUAUAUUCGCCAAAACAAGACAAGAGGCAAAUGACUUUCUUAUCGACAUGAAGAAUCCAAGUCUUUGGUAGCAACCCACGACUUCUUGCGCCCUCAUAUAUUUAAUUUCCCCCACUUUUGGUUUUGUGGUUCUUGUUUAUUCCUUUUGCUCUAAACCAUGUAAGGGAUUGCAAAGAAGAUAUUUGAUUGGUGCAAUUUGUUUAGGCCAUGUCCCAUUUUGAAGUCAUGAUGUUGGCUUUUUUGGCUCUUUUUUUUGGUUAGUCCUGGAUUAAUGGUGUCAUUAUUACCACCAAAUACUCCAUUGUACAUAGGCUUCAAUGGCUUAGAUAUGAGUCGAGCCAUUCGAGAGGCUAAUUAUUCUGCAAUAGCUGUGUUGACAAUAAUUGUCAUUUUAAAAUUCUCGUAUUCGAAUAUAUUGAAGCCUGAAUUUCCCAAUGCAUUAGAUUAUACAACUAUUUGGAGAGGAGCCUAGAAGAUUUCAAAGUUUUAUAAUGUUUUUGUUUUGUAGCAGCUGAUUAUUGAUAACAAGCAUAAGUUUCCAAGGAAGAUAUUUAUAAAAAAUAAAAUAUUUAAAACAGGUGAAAAUAGGGUAAAGAAAUAGUAGUGGGACUAGCAGCCUAAUAAUUUCAAGUAUGGCCAAUUGGAAGAGGUUUUCUUCUUCCCAUUUGGGCAAGGAUUUUCAUCUUUGCUGGUCUGGUUCUUCUUCUUCUUCUUAAUAAGUUGGGUUUGAGCAGAACAAGUAGUUGGAGGCUUCUGGUCUGGGUGCUCUCCAUCAGGUUGUUCCUGCACAGAAGAAAAUAACCAGACAUUAUUCCAAGGUCCCAUGGGCACUGAAUAAGUCUAUGUUGUGCUUUGAAUGGAACUGAAAAGAAGUCAGUUGGGAAGUAGAAUAUGUGUAAGAUUGAGAUGAUCACCUGAAACAAAAGUGAAAGUGUUUUUAAAGAGAAUAUUUUGAUGUGACAAAAAGGAAAGUUCAUUCAUGAACCAUUGCACAAAAGACAUGGAUAUGCACAGGCUUUAUGCAUGAUAUAAAAUUGUCAGCAUCCACAAUAAGCCAAGCGCGCGCGCGCGCAAACACACACAUACAUAUAUAUAUAUAUAUAUAUUAUAUCAGCUUAGUAAACUGCUAAAAGAAGAAACAAAAAAAGCAAAAUAAAAUAAAAUAAAGUUUGGAAAUUCACAAACUCCAUUCAACAAAAGGAGUUUGAAGCAAGAACAAGUUAGAUGACAUAAGGCAAAACUUUCUGAAGAGAGCAUAUGCUUUUAGUAUGAUACUGCCCUGCUGUAGUUUAUUAUUAUUUUUUUAUAUGCGAUAUUUGGGGAGGGAGAAAUCAAGUUUAGGACAUCGAAUGCAGAGAUAAAAAAUUUCUCAAUGUGAUGUUGAUCCCCAGCAUUAUUAUGAUAAGUUUAUAUAUAUGUAACUGAUUGAGAUAUAAAUUAAUUACCUCAAUUUCAAGCCUGGUGGCAUGGACUUGGGAUAUUCUUUUAUUGUGACCUUGAUAGGGAUUGGAGGUGAAAGUUGGGAAUGAGCAAGAUGAUUCCCCCUUGGAUCCAUGGCUCCAAUAGGUAUUCCCUGAUGCUUGUGUAGAAGUGCAUGAUGAGCUGCUGCUUGAAUCCAUCUCUAAGCACAACUGAAGCACCACAGGUUGAAGGAAAAUAAAAGCAGGAAAUUAAUUGUGUUCUUUAUUGAUAUAGAACUGCAUCCACUGAAAAGAGAAACCCAUUUUUGUUUUCUUUUUGGCCAUCAAAUCCUUUUUUUUUUUUGUUUUGUUUUGUUAGGUCACUCCUUUGUUCCAAAUGAUGAUAGUUGUCUAGUUUCAUAAUCACAGAGGUUAGACACAUUGACACAAUUUUUUUUUUUCUUAAAACUAAAAUAAAAUUACAUAGAGGCUUCUUGAAGAAGCCCGAAAUUCUGAAUAUCAUACAUAAUUUUUACAAAAAACAGAGGAAGGAGAGUUACAAAACCAAAUAUGAUGAUUCUCAGACUUGUGACCAAAUAAAUUGACCAGAGCAUCAGCUACCAUAUUAGCUUCCCUAUCAUAACUAGGUCUAUUACGUGUAUAUUAUUGCCUUCGUAUAAACACAAUUUAUAGUUGGUUUGUAGAUGUCUUGGUUGUAUCGUUAUAAUUUUUCGGGUAAAAUUCUCUAUAUUCCAAAAAAAAAUAAAAAAAUCACAUUGCUACUUCCUCUAGAUUCUAGAAGUAGUAAGCUGCAAUUUGAUAAUUAAACUCCAGCAAACAAGCAAUUAUAUAACAUUGAGAUGGAAUUAACCAUAAUUCACCUCAUAAAUUCAAAUUAAACAACAAAAAUUCACCUGAAAAAGCCUAUGUUCAAGAGCUGCCACUCGAUCCAAGAGUGAGCCUUUGAAGUAAGUCUCCUUCAAUGCCAAAUCCAUUGGCAGGCAUUGCCCCUUCAAUUUUGCACCACUCGAACCAUUGCUACCCAAUUUUGCAAACUUUUGUUUUCUUUCCAGAUACUUCAUCUUUAGGUCACACCCCAAAUAUUCCAAAAAUAAAAAAUAAAAUAACAAAAUAAUUAAUUAAAAGGGUGAGUAGCAAAGGAUAAUAAUUUCCAUGAUAUUGCUAAUAAAAUAUAGAAAAUUUUAAAUAAUAAUGAGUGCAGAGAAAUUGAUUAAACUUACAAUGAAAUCCAAAUGAUCCAACCUGGACACUAGAGGCAUGGAUGAAUUGUGAGACUGGAUUCUGCCAUCCAUUAUAGUUUUUAAUAUAGACCAAAAUAAUAAAUAAUAAAAAAGAAGAAAUAAAUGGCAAGUAAAAGAGCUUUGGAGUUGUUAAGGAAGGGUGGCUUUGAUGAAGGAUGAUGAUAAGGGAGAUGAGCAAUGUGUUUCUGCUCCCUCUGUAGAAGUCUUCUACGCAAAGCCGUUAUGCAUUCCCUCCUUUUUUGGUUGACCUAUUGAGGGAACGUCACAAAUCAUCUGCAGUUUGUUGCAUCACGUGGCGAAGAAUUGGAUAUGCUCAUUGAUGGCCAAAUUGACAUGGUGUCCAGCUUCCUGAUAAAGCGUAGCAGGCUUGGAAACCAGAAACUCUCUUGGUGGCUGCCUUAGGAGAAAAACUCGGUUAUAAUGGGAAUAACAUUGUUUUAUUAUUUUUAGGUUAGUAAUAUUAUGAUAUGCGUGAUAAUUUUUUUAUAUGGUAUAAUUUGAUUGGUUGAAAAUGACAAAAUAAUGCUAUCCUCGUCUCAUAUAAUUUUUUCUCCUGCCGUAGGGGCUUUUGCCUAUAGCUUUGUGUUUUGUUAUUUUCCAUCAACAAGAAAAGGAAAAAAGACAUGGUGUCCAUCAUCUAACUUUGAGGCUCAAGUGCGUGUUGGAGUUCGAAAGCAAAUGCAAUGGCUUUUGUCCCACAUCGACAAACCCCAUCUUUUUCAUAGGCUUCAUAACCAAAGCUCCUUUACCCCUUUGCAAGCGUGCCUUGGAUAAAAGUGGUGGGCUGGUGGUUGUUUUCGAACAGCAGCAGAAUUCAAAUUAAAAAGAUGAAAAUUAGGGUGGGCAUUCAAAUUAGAAAAUUGGGUUGGAAAAAAUUGAGUUGACAAAAACUCAGACUGAACUGGUUUGGUUUGAAUUUCAAUUCUUGAAAAAAACAAAAAUUGAACUGAGCUGAACCGAAACAGCUCUGUAAUUUUUAUUAUUAUUAUUUUUCCUAAAUAUUCAAUCCAGCAACCUUCCUAGUCCAAUUAAUUAACCCAAAAUCCGAAAUACAGCAGGCCCAAAACUAAUUCCCAAAUGCCAAACCUUAUCCCCCAACCCCAACUUCUAUUUUAUUGACCAAAACAAAAAGUCCAACUUCUAUUUUCCUUUUCCUCCUUCCCCGUCCCCACUUUCUUUCUUUUCUUCUUCUCCCAUUUGUUUUUUCUCCAUUCUUUCCCCAUCGAGUAAUAUUUGGGUGUUCUGGGUACACCACGUGAUUAGUGUAUCAUUCAAUAAAAGAAAGACAUGUAAAAUAUUUCCAAUGCAACCAACCACAUGUCAUAAAAAACAAUGCAAUAAGUUGGAGAAUAAUUCUACAUGUCCUAUGUGUAUUGGAUGGUACACCAGCCACGCGGUGUACACGAAACAUAUAAAAGUUUCUCAUCUCUGUCCCUUUUUCUUAUCUCUCCCUCUUUUCUUUUCUUCCUCCUUUUUUUUUCCCCUCAUUUCCGUCCAUUCUUCCUUUUUCUUUCCCUCCUUUUUUUCUUUAUUUUAUUACUUCUCUAUUUCUCCCCUCUUAUUCCUCAUCCUUCUAUCUUUUCUUUCUCUUUCUUUUUUCCUUUCUUUUUCCUCUUUUAUUUCAAUGACUUUCUCAAUGUUGCACUGAGACUUUCACACCACCACCACCGUCACACCGCCGCCACCAUUGCACAUCUAAACAAGCAUGUAGAUCUAGGGUUAGAUCUAUAACAUCUGAUGUUAUAUCUUGUAGAUCAAACUCAUGUGUUUUUUGUUGUUACAGACUUGAUUAAAGUUUGGUCAAAAUUUGGGUUCUUCAUUGUAUCUUUUUUGUUGUUGUAAAUUUGAAUUAGAUUUUUUUCUUUUUAGGGUUUUUGAUGUUCAUGGGAGAGGAUGCUUCGUUGACUAACAAAAAAGAGAGAGUUGGGCUUAAUAGCCUGUCCAAACUGGGAAAAUCGAAACCAAAUCGAAUCAAAACCAGUCCUGAUUGGUUAGGUUUAGUUAUUAAUUUUUCAUGAGAACCAGAUUGAAUCGAAUUGGAUGAACAAUGCUAGUUUCGAUUUCAUAUUUGGGUGAAAACAGGGCCAAACUGGAUUGUGCCCAGGCCUAAUCAAAACACAUCCAAGUUCUUUUAUAACCGCAGCAUAAUUUGAAUUAUAAGGCAAAUAGUUAAAUCAUGUGAGAUAGAUGUCCAUUGAACUUCAAGCAUUGAGGAGGGUGAAGCCUUUAUCCAUAUAAUAAGUGCCCAUUUGAUUUUCUGAAGAUAUGAAAAUUCAUUAUCUCUUUCUUCAAUGAACUAAGGAGCGCCACUGUGGAAACUAUCUCCUCUGACCCAGACUCAUUGUCGUCAACAUCCAUUGUUGACCCUGAGUUCAGGUGGAAUGUGCUACUUGAUUAUAUUGAUAGUGUAACUUUGAAAUCAUUGUCAACUACACGCUGGGAAAGUCACAUAGAAAGUGUUAAAGUAAUAAAAUCUCAAGCUUUUAAAAUCAGAGAAGCUUUAUUUAAAUUAGCUGAAAUUAGUGAAGAUGCUAAAUUGAGUAGGAAUGCUGAAAGUUUAGCAUCAGGAGAACUUUCUCAAGUUUCGAGUUUAUAUUAAGCUUGGUUAUUUGGUAUGACAUUUUGCACAAGAUUAACUUAGUUAGUAAAAAAUUACAAUCUGAAGACAUGCUUCUUGAUGUUGCUGUAAGACAAUUAGAAAGGCUUGUUUCAUUUUUUGAAAACUAUAGGAUAAAUGGGUUUACUUCUACCAUGAUUGAUGCUAAAGUAAUUGCAUUAGAUAUGGAAAUUGAGCCUGCAUUUCUUAAAAAAUGUCAAACUUGUAGAAAGAGACAUUUUGUUGAGAUUUCCAAUAAUGAAAGGGAGCAACAAUCAUCUGAAGAAUCCUUUAGAACUGAUUACUUUCUUGUCAUAGUGGAUAUUGGAAAGUACGUUAAUUAAAAAGUAGGUUUGAACAAUUGUAUAUCUUUGAAUCUAUUUUUGGGUUCUUAUUUGAUGCUGCAAAAUUGACUUCUUUGGAUGAAAAUGAAUUGAAAAGCUCUUGUGUGAAUCUUAAAAAUGCUUUAAAAAAUGACAAUGAUACUGAUAUUGAUGCAAGAGAUUUAGAGUCAGAAUUAAAGGUGUUGCAAGUGAUGUUACCAAGUGAAGCAAUUGAAACAAAUAAACCAUGGACAUCCAUUAAAAUUCUAGAAUUUGUGAAGAGUGUGGAUAUGUUUCCAAAUGUACUGGUUGCUUAUAGGAUAUUACUGACUAUACCUGUGACUGUGGCAUAUGCUGAAAGAAGUUUUUCUAAAUUAAAAUUAUUAAAAUCUUAUUUGCGGACCACCAUGGCUCAAGAUAGGCUAAAUGGACUAGCUAUAUUAUGCAUUGAAAGAGAUAUGUUGGAAAACAUUUAAUAUGAUAGUAUAAUUGAUGAUUUUGCUUUUAAAAUUGUAACAAGAAGACAUUUUAAAUGAUCUUUUGUGAUUAGGAUUUCAUUUCUAUUUUUAUCUUGUAGGUGCAUAUGAAGGUGAAGCAUAGGGACAUGCAAGUUAAUUUGAUGUUUUCAGUCGGGUACUCCUUUUCCUUCGUUUGAGGUUUUGUUCCCAUUGGGUUAUCCUUAAACAAGGUUUUAAUGAGGCCCAAAGUGUUCUAUAUUAUCGGUUGUAAACUCUUAUAAUUUUAAUAACAUUUAUUAUUUGAUAAAAAAUUGUAAUUAUAUUUAUUUAUUUGUUUAUAAAGGGCACAUUCUUAAACUUUGGCCCUAAGCCUUAAAUCACCUAGGGGCGCCCUUGAAAAGAGAGGAGAGGAGGAAGAAAGAAAAAAAACUAAAAAAGUGGCCUGAGAAGGAAGAAGAAAGAGAAAGGAAAGAAGAGGAAGAAAGAAAGAAAAGGGAGAAAAAGGAAAAAAGAAAGUAGAUAAGAUCAAAUUAGUAGAAUUAGUGAGCUCCAUUAUUUCUAAUUAUAGGUAGGAAGUACGUAUUGGUUGACUAUGUAAUAACUAUUGAAUCUUCAAGUUUUAUGAAAGAAAUAAUUUUUGAGUGUAUAUAUUCGUUAAUAAAGCAUUAUAAUUGGUUUUCUAGUUAAAAUCGUUGUAUAAAAUCAUAGGAAACAAAAAACUAAAAUAUAACAGCUUGAGAACUUAAUAGACGACAGAUUUAAAGAUAAUAAACGAUGGUUUUAUAAAAAAAAUCGCCGUCAGCACAUAUAAUCACUAACCAUUUUUAACACAAUACCGUUGUCUUUAUAUACAAUCAACGACACUUUUUAACACAAUACCAACGUCUUUACCCAUAAAUGAUGACGGUUUUAACAAAAUAUCGUUGUCUUUUAAAUGAAAACUAUCGUCUUUACCCAUAAAUUUCAGCUUUACACAUACACAAUAACAGUUUUUAACAAAAGACUGUCAUCUUUACAUCAGAACAACAACGGUUUUACUAAAAACUGUUAUCUUUACAAAUAAAAAACAACGGUGAAAAGCCAUUGUAGUUUAAUACUCUAAAAGAUGGUGGUUGAUUUAAUGAUGAUUUUUAAAUCAUCACAACGACGAUGGAUCACUGUCGUCUAUUUUGUUUUUUGUAGUAGUACUUUACUGAUAUUAACAAUGCUUUUAUUAUAAACCGAUGUCUUUGGAUAUAAUAAACUACUGUUCUAUUAGACAAACUGUCGUCUUUACAUCUAAUAGAUGACGGUCGAAGGUUUGGAGUAAAAGCGUCGUCUUUACAAUUAAUAGACGACGGUGAAUCAUUGUCAUAGUUUUACAUUCAAAAGAUGACGGUCGAUUUAACGACGGUUUUUUCCAGUCGUCUAUUUCAAUUUUUGUAGUAGAAUAAUGUCACAUGAACUUAUACAUCAGUUUCAAUUUGUCACCUUAAAGAAAAAUUUAAGAGAAAUGUCACUUUAAUUUUUUAAAAUCCAUGACUUUUCAUCUGACUUUUAACACCAUGCAAUUUUCCAUCCAUUUUAAGGGUAUUUUAGUCUUUCAAUUUUCAAGGGUAUUUUAAAAAUGAAAAAAUCAUUAUAUAAAUUUUUUUAUAUCUUUUAAACAAUUAAAAUUAAAAAAAAAAAUCAUUUCUCGCCUUCCCCCAUCCCUUGUGUGCCACCAGCAGCUCCAACCAACUCCUCUCACCUUGAAAUCCAUUCCCCUUCCUUCUUCUCCUUCCUACUUCUCUCUCUACCAUGGAACAUCUACCUUCCACCCAAACCGAGUCCACCUUCUUCUUCUUCUUUUUUCUUUUUGAAAAUUUUAGACAUGCUCAAUGAACACCAUAACAAAAUUUUAUACAUCCUCAAAGACAGAGAGACAAGAGGAAGGGGGGGAGGGGGGGAGGGUGUUGUUCCUAUGCAAUGUGUUUUGGGGGCGGGUGGGGUUGGGUUCAGGUGACAUUUCUACAAAAAAUCUAUUUCUUUAAUAUUGGCUCAGAUAUUCAAUUAAUAUUAAGGCCCAAGCCAUGAUUUGGCUUCACCUAAAGGCCAUAUAUAAGGCUUUGAGUCAUUAUAUAGAGAGGGUCUUAUAUAUGGCCCUUAAAUGAUGUCUUAUCUCUUAACCAUUGAUUGAAGCUAACAAAGUUGAUCCAACAUGUAACCAAUUUGAUUCAACGAUUAAGAUAUAUGGCUUCACCUAAGGGCUAUAUAUAAGACCCUCACUAUAGAAUUCUUGAACAUUAGUUAUGUAAGAUCGGGCCUAAACAGAGCCUUAGACUACCGUGCCUUGGAGAUUCUUGGGCCUCCGACUGGAUUGCAACUAGGUGCAAUCAAUUUAUUUGGCAAAACCUCUUUCAAACUUCUGAUUUUGAUGUUUGGUUAGGAUAACUUGUUUCAUUGUUUGCAGCCACUAAAAGUCUUGUUAUGAGAGAAGCCUAAUUCGUUGAGGUUCUCUUUUCUUUUUCUUUGAAUUCAAUGUCUAGAGUUCUAUAUUGAAUAAAAAAGUUGUUUAGUAGAACUAGAAGUUUGGUAGGCCUUCCAUUUUGACUGCGGAUAUCUGUGGGGUAGGUCGGCCCAAAGGUAAUUGCCUUAAUCUUGCUUUGUUCUUUUGGGCUUCCAUCCCCAACUCUAAAAAAAGAAAAAAGAAAAGAAAAGAAGGUGUUUCAUUAGUUCUCUAAUUCCCUGCCACGUAGCAACCGUAAAAUAGAUCCGCAACAGCGGCCAUGGGCAUAAAUUAGCGAAACUCCUUUUAUUAUAAGAGCCCUAAUAAUAUACUAAAACCCUAAAAAAUCUAAACCCUACUUUAAAAUCAAACGCUUUUUCUCCGCUAGAUUUUUAAUUCCAUCUCUCUCUCUCUCUCUCUCUCUCACUCUCUCUCUCUCUGUGUGUGAAACAAAGUAGGUCUCAACUCUCUCAGUACGUUUUCCCGGAAUCCAAACACCCCAUUACGCGAAAUCAGUUCUCUCCUUCUUGAUCCCCCGCACAUGGAUUCGCGGGAAGUUCCGCAGCAGCAGCAGCCGCCGCCGCCUCCUCAGCAGCAGAGCAUGAUGGUGGGUCCGCCUUCCUACCAAACGUCCAUGCCCAACAGCAACCUAAACCCCAAUUCGGGUCCCAUGAUGGGCGGCCCUAAUCCGGCCCGGUUCCCGUUCAAUGCCGUGCCUCAGCCGCAGCAGCAGCAGCAGCAGCCCACAUCGAAGCCGCAGAUGGAUUCUCUGAGCCCCAGUCCGUACGACGGGUCGCUGAGGCCCUGCGGCAGCGGCGGAGGGUUCAGCAUCGACUCUUCUUCGGCUUCCGCGGCGAAGAAGAAGCGCGGGCGGCCCAGAAAGUACUCACCCGACGGCAACAUUGCGUUGGGAUUGGCUCCCACACAGAUGCCCUCGACGGCUUCGACAGCCGCGGCCGGGCCCCAUGGGGAGUCGAGUGGCACAAUGUCUUCGGACCCCCCGGCCAAGAAGAACCGAGGGAGGCCCCCCGGUUCGGGCAAGAAGCAGUUGGACGCUUUGGGUAAUUGAUAUGCUCAGUGCCACAACAAAAUUUGGUGUGAAUUUGUAGUUUGUUGAUGUACAUUCUGGUGAUUGGUGUUUUGCUUGUGUGCUGUGCAGGAGCUGGUGGGGUUGGGUUCACGCCUCAUGUUAUUAUGGUGCAAGCCGGCGAGGUAUGUGACUUUCUUUAUGUUAAAGAGUAAAUUGUAGUUAAUGAAGUGAGUCUAAUUGCAGUUCUUGCAAGGAACUUCUCAUUGUUAUUAGGAGAUUCCUUAAUAAGGAAUGUUAUUUAGUGCAAUAAAGGAUGGCCUUUAAUUUUAUUUAAAGUUGUGUGAACCAGAACUGCAAUUCUGAUGUUAUGACUUUGAGGGUGUGAAAAUAAUGCAUCUGUAGUUUAACAAUGGUGUAAAUACUUGUAUUGGUGUUCUGAUUCCAAGAUGAAGAUAUAUGAAAUAUAUUAAUUAAUUUCUUUUAAGAAUGUUUGUGUAUUUCCCUUAUUUUGGUACGACGUUCGGCAAUCAUGUCAAUUCUUUAGUUUUUGUGAUCAUCAUAAAAUAAAAAUUUAUUCAUAAAAAGCAUAUAUCAGCCAAAAUAAAGGGUGCCCUAAUAUUUAAAAUGCACUUUUGCUGUUUUUUUCCCAUCUUUGUGUGAUGUCUGAUAUACCAGAUCUUUCAACUUUUUGUUAUAAGGAAUGAAACUUAUUUGACGGGUUUGUUGUAAAUGGUUGUGUCACAUUAUCCUGUUUGUUGUUUACCAAAUGAAGAUACCACUUGUCUAGUUAGUAGAUUUUUUUGUUACCUUUGAGUAUUAUAAGGAAUAUUUUAUUUUCUUGAAUUUCUUCUGGUUGUUAUCAUUGGGGGUCUUAAGUAUUGAUAUUUUUGGUAUUUCGCCGGAAAUACAUUAUGUUUGCUUUCAUUGGAUAAUUAUUCCUCCAAAUACACUUCUCCAUUGAUCUGCGUCAUUGGAAUAUGUAGGAUUACUUGUAGAUGUUAGAUAUCGAUCAAUUGCGAAUUUAGAAUAAUAUAUAUAGCAGAAUACUAAGAGAAGAGAAGAAAUUAUUUGCAUCCUUUUGUCAAUAACUUCUUAUUUAUUUGUUUCUGUGUGACGGGUGGGGCUUUAUCCACUAGAACAGUAGCGUAGUUGACCAUGGUGAUUAAUUGAAAUUGAAAAAUAGCAUUUCUUUAUUUGCAUUGUUUUAUGUUAUAUAAGUGUCCGGGACUAUGUUCUCAUUUUCAGUUCUUGUGCAUCUUUUAUCCCAAUUUCAAUUUAAUGCAUAGAUAAUAAUGAUAUUCGAUAUUUUCAUCCAAUUAUGGUCUGCCUUCUUAUUUGUGUGCCCUUGUGGUUUGCAGGAUAUUGCAGCAAAGGUUAUGUCCUUCUCACAACAAGGACCGCGUACGGUUUGUAUUCUCUCUGCAAAUGGGGCCAUCUGCAAUGUUACCCUUCGCCAGCCAGCAAUGUCCGGUGGUACUGUCACAUAUGAGGUACUUUGAUAUUUUUAUAACAAAUAUGUUGGUAUGGACAUUGGAACAUGGAUGUGGUUCUAUAUGUACUUACUGCAAUAUUACAGAACCAGAAAUGUGUUUGAUGAGGACUCAGGAUAAUAGAUGCAAAAAACCUACAAACUUGUGUUUAAUUAUGAUAUUACCUUCCUCUUCUCAAUUUUACAAAUACAAUUUUUUUUUUGUACCAUAUAGAAACGCUGUUGUUUGUCCAUAUAAAAAUGGGACAUGCUGUAAGAAAAUGUCAUUCAUUUUGAAUUUAUUACUGUGGAGUAAUGAAAACCCAAAUUUACAACCUUUUCCCCUCUACAUUGAGUACUUUGUAGUCAAAUUUAGCGACCUUCCCUCUAGAUUGAGUACUUUGCAUUCAAAGUUAUAAGAAAUUUUCUGUGGGGUCCCUUAAUGUAUAAUGAGUUAAAUAUUCUAUUUUUCUAGUAAGUAAAUUUUAUUCAAGGUGGUAUCAAGGCACAUGGAAACAAUGUUCCAGAUGUUUGCACUACCAUAAGUACUGGUUUUGAAAGGUUAGAAAUUGUCCACGAAUAGGGAUCCCACAGUUACCACUGCCAGCUUUCUCUCUUAAGCUUUUAUAUGUGACAUUUUUUGGUAAUUAUGGUGGAUAUGCAUGUUUCACAAGACACACAAAAUAUGGAACAAUUUACUCAAACCCAAAUCUGGCAAAUUGUCCCUGAAACUGACUGACAUGGUUGGUUCAUAUUGAGCUCUAGCUCGGUGAUUCCAGCUACAUGUGUGGCAUUAUUUUGCGAGAAGCACAAGUCUGUUUGUAUCUUACAAUUUCUUUUUGUUAAUAAAGUCUUGUUUCCUAUCAAAAUAAUAUUAAGUGCUAUGUGGGUUUUAAGUAAUCAGUUCUAAAUGUCUGGCCCAGAAGCAAUAAAAUUCCUUAAUUAUAGAAGUAUCUUGGGAGCAGAAAUUUAUAUCAGAAGCAUGGUGCACAAAGUUUUCUCACCUUGAAAAUACUUCUUAUUUCUCUGUUGUUUCCUCUUAAGUAUGCUAUGUUUUCAUCAUUUGAAGUUUGUAGUGCUAUCCCACCCCUACAUUAGCUUGCACUGGAUUUCCUCAUUUUGCAGAAAUUGAGGAUUACAGAUAUAACACUUUCAAUUUCAGUCAGCAUCUAUAUAAUCUGAUUUGUGUUUUGUGAAAAUAUUCUUUUGUUUUGUUUCUGCAAAUGAUUUUCUUGGAGAACAUUAGUAUGGCUGCUGUUUAUUGUCUCGAUACUAUGAUUUUGUUUUGUUUAGUCUUACCAUAUAGAUUAUAUUACUCCACAAUGGAAUUUCCAUGCCGUUUAGCAUAAUUUAUUAUGCUAUUUGGAUUCUCAAAUAACAUUUUAUUCAAUUAUGUAGCAUUAAAGACCUGACAGUCUGCUACAGCACUUAAGUUUGAUCUGUUUUUUACAUAUGAGAUGAGAUUCCUUAUAUGGACCAAUAUUAUUCCAGGAAUCUCAAUUUUAUUGGUUUUUUUAAUGGUAUGAUAAUUGAACUGGAAGAGCAUCCAUAAUAAAUAAGUUUCAAUUUUGCAUGCAGUCAGUAAAUUUAACUUUUUACAUGAACUCAAUUGAAUUAGGAAACUUGAGGCCAUGAAAUCAUGAGGUAAGGAAACAUUGUAGAGUUUUCUGUUGAUGACUAACAAGGCUGAUGAAACAAAUGCAUAUGGAAUAACCAUCCAAGCAAUUGAAAAAGUAGAAACAAAUGAAUAGAUGUGGCAUGCGGCAAAGCAAUCUCACAAUUUGAAGGUUAAGCAUAUGCAACCGAAUCUCAGCACCUUCAAACCUUCUUCUAUACAUCCAAAAUAUGUUCUUUUAAUAUAAUAAGUAGUUCUAAUUUGUAAAAUUGGAGCUACUGUAAAUUUAAAUAGUCUUCGUUAUUGAGCGAUGACAUUCUUAUUGAAGUUUGCUUAAGCAAUUCUCUCUCUCUCUCUCUCUCUCUCUCUCUCUCUCUCUCUCUCUCUCUUACACACACUCACGUGCACAUCGGUCCCCCUCUCCUUUCUCACAUGCACAAUCACUCACUCACUUUCAUGCCCGCUCCACUUACACAUUGACUGAGGCAUUGGUAAUGUGUUCUACUCUUUCAAGUGUUGAUCUUUGUCCAACGAAUGCACAAAUUUGUUUGAGCACUCAAUGUUACAUAGUCAUGUGAUUCAUUUCUGGUGUUAUUUGACAAACUUAUUUAAACCUGGAUGAUCUUUUUCAUGUUUAGUUAUUUAUUUCUAUUGUCGAUAUCUUUUGUGCUUCAGGGUCGAUUUGAGAUUAUUUCGCUCUCAGGUUCCUACUUGUUUUCUGAAAAUAAUGGGAACCGCAGUAGAAGUGGUGGUUUGAGUGUAUCCUUGGCAGGGUCUGAUGGCCAAGUUUUGGGUGGUGGAGUUGCGGGCAUGCUGGUGGCAGCAUCACCGGUACAGGUAUCACUCUGCUACUAUUUGCUCAGAUCAGUUAUGAAAUUAUGACCAUGUUCAUCUUCUGCAGUUGUAAAAGGAUAUCCAGGGCAAUAAACAUAUCCUGUUGACUGUUUGACAGCUGAAAAUUCAUUAAAUGCAUGUAUAGUCUUUGCAUUUAACUCAAUUUUAAUGCACUGCCAGGUCAUUGUGGGUAGUUUUAUUGCUGAUGGGAAAAAAUCCAACUCCAACUUCCUAAAAUCCGGGCCUUCUUCUCCACCGCCAUCUCAAAUGUUGAAUUUUGGUGCACCGAUGACAGCGGCCAGCCCCUCCUCUCAAGGAGCCUCAAGUGAGUCAUCUGAUGAGAAUGGUAGUAGCCCUCUCAACAGGGGACCUGUGCUCUACAAUAAUGCUAGUCAACCCAUUCAUAAUAUGCAGAUGUACCAACUAUGGGGUCAAGCUCAACAGUGAAGUAGAAAAUGCUUCCGGGUUACCAGUACAGUGCAUUCGGGUAUUGACUGCAUUAUUCUGCCUAGUGGAUAGGGAGAAGGGGGGUGUGGGGGGACAACUCACAGGGGAUUAUUUUAGUUCUAGGUUGAGUUUUUGUUUUAUUUUUUGCUUUCAAGGUAGUUCACACUUUCCCUUUCUCUCUCUAAAUAUGAUUAAAACAUGGGCUAUUGUUGAUAGCUGAGAAUAUGCCGCCUGUCCCUUAGGUUCUCAUGAGUUAAAUUGCAUUUAAAAUAUUUUCUCGUUCUUUCUAUUUUUCAUUUUUCUUUGUUCCCCUGCUAGGAGUAUCUGACUUAAUAUGUAAACUUGUGUUACGAAUAUAAAAUUUCAUUGCAGUCUUGAAUAGGCUUGAGUGGAAUCUUAUUACAGGUUCGCUCUCGCACAGUUUCAGUUGGCACAUUGUAUUUUCUUGUGUUUCAUAUCCUGGAAUCUCUGCCCCCAGUAUUUUCAUCCAGUUCAGGACCGGAUGUAAAUUGUUACCUGAAAUGUUUUUAAUUUACGUAAGGAUUUGAUCUGUUAGAGCAUGUGUGGUGGUGAGGCAAGCGGCUGGACCCUUGAUGCCGUUUUUGCCUCCCAGAAUUUUUGUCGUUCAGGGAGCGAGGGUUUAGAGGGUUAGAAUUCAAACUUUAUUAUUAAUUUUGUAGUUAUUUUUGUAGUGACGAGGAGAUUUUAGGUGUGAGAAGUGAUUACCAAAUUGUCAGUGCUUAUUGAAUUAUGAAAAAACAAAUUUGGCCCUUAAGGAAUUGUAAGUAUCCUAAUGCAACUUUGAGUGGAGCAAAAAAUGGUAUUUGCACAUCGUUUAUUAGAACAAUUGCUAUCAGGAAGGCCAAUACAACAAGGCAAAAAUCUCAGGAAGAAGAAUGGAAAGUACGCUCAUAAGUUCAUAUUAGUUUACUACUUCAAUAAACUGAUGGUUAAUCAUGGAGGAUGGAAUAUAAUAGCCAUUGCUAGUUUGAAAAAUCAUGGACUGUUCCUUGAAAAGCAAAUUGAAGCAAUGUGCUAACUUAGUUAAAACAAUUCAUUGGAAUGUGCUAGCCUAAUUCUAUCUAUCCAAAAGGUUGCAAAUGAUUCACACAUGAUCUUUCUGAAUGGUAUUGCGACGUUUGAAAUAUCAACACAUGCAACUUUUUAGAUACACAAAUUGAUGAAGUUAGUUAUAGAUAGCACAUUGCUUUAUUAUUAUUAUUAUUUUUUUAAUUUCUAGUGACAUUCAAGAUUAUUUAUGUUUUGUAAGGCGUUAAAUUUAGUCAAUUUGAUAAUGACAUUAUGAUUGUUUAUUGUGAGCAUUUAGAUACUUUGGUUUUCACAUAGGGGCCUACAUACUUCCAAGGAGCGGUGCUACCAAACAACAGAGAAGUUGCCGUGAACCUUUUGUUUUGUUUUUUUAUUUAUUUACGAGGGAAAUUAACCUUAAGAUUUAAUCAUCAUCUCAAUUUAUUUCUAUGGAGUGCAAUGCUACAUGUAUAACAUUUAUGCACCAUAAGUUCUAGUUUUGUUAAAGAUAUGUUUGGAAGUGAUUGUAGAUUGACUAACAAUGUCUUUAAUUAAAUUAAGGCGGUCGAGACAUGUACUGUAAAUAUUCUAAUUAUAUAAUAAAAGAGCAAUGUAGAACACCAAAUCUUAAUUAAAAAGACAAAUAAUGACGUAAGCACCUAAAGACCAGAACGAGACGGGCCCCUUCUCAUAGUUUUUAUUCUUUCAAAUUUUUACUUAGAUAUGUAUAUAUAUAUGUUGCUUAUGGAAUGAGUCGGCCAGUGAGAUCAUUAGUCGACCGUAGAUGUUCUAAAGCUUGUUGUAUAUAUUUUGUUUAGUUAUUUACCUUUUCCUAUGUGUUGAUGCUUGUUUAAUGGAAAACUAAACAUACUUCUAUCCAAAUUAACAGAACAAAAUCAUCAAUUUAUCUCCUAUUAUUCCGAUUUGAUAUUAAGUAUAUUUGUUUCAUGGUCUAAUAUAUCCCUCCCGACAUGACUUCUAGCAUACUCUGUCUCGGUGAGAGAAUUGGAGCUCAAAGUUCAAGUUCAUUCAACCACCUCAUGCAUUUGUUCAACGGACCCACUGGCCACGGUCUCUAAGAUCCCUUUGAUGACAAUCAGGAACGCGCCAACAGCCAGCAGGCGGGGUGGGCCCACUGCCGCCUCGUCGGCGGUCACACUCCCUUUCCUAAUUUCCUACUACCCAGCGAUGCUUCCAACGGCUCUUUUGCCAGCAAAGCUACACACUAAAACCAUAUAAUACAAAUAUAAAUACAAAAUAACUCUUUCUUAAUCCCAAAAAUAAAUAUAAAAAUAAAUAAAAGCUAUCUCUUUCUCUCUCUAGCCGCUGGGUGGCCUAUUCAUUCAUGCUCGUCUGUCGACGUCUUUCCCCAUAAAUGCCUUUGCCUUAACUCCCAAAUUAAUAACCACAUCCUAGUUCUCAUUGUCCUCAAACCCAAAACAAACACAUACCCAAAAUCCACAAGCAAAUUGUAAAUUUGAAAAUUUGCAAAUAAACACAUACAUACUCUCAUACCCCAAAUAUUGCAAGGCUCAUUUUCGUGUGAAUUCUUUUUCCAAUGGCCUGCUUGGUCUUGCCAAUUGCAAUGCUGAAAAAGAGGUGCAUGGGGUCACGGAUAGGCGGCUACCGGCAUUUAACCGAAGAGGGCUUCGGAGGGUUGGAGAAUCCGGUGACAGUGGUGGUCGGGAAGGAGAGGAGGGAGUUCUUGGUAGACCCUUUUGUGCUAGAAGAGAACCCAUUUCGGGUUUUGAUCGAGAUGAUGAAUAAGGACAAGAAGAUGGUGGAUUUUAUUGAUCAUGAGAAUGGCAAGGGGAGGAUGGUUUUUGUGGAUGUUGAUGCUAUUCUUUUCGAGCAUAUGCUUUGGUUGAUGUAUAAUGAUUGUUCUUCUUUGUUCAAGCUCAAUCUUAAGGAGAUCAUCGACUUCUAUGCUCAAGAUAAUUAGGCAGAUUCCAGAGGAAAAUACACAGAGGUACUCCAAAUGAAACAGAGGUACCAUGCUGCUCACUGAUACGAGUCUAUAGAAUUCUUCUUGUAAAGAAAUAUUUUAUAAUCUAAUAACUCACAUAUAAAUAUACAUAUUGCAAUGAAUAAUUAAUUAUUCAUCUCUCUAUGACUAGAUGUUCAACCCUUUUUUUUUUGGCUUUAUUUUAAUUAUUCAUCAUCACCAUCAGACCCCAAUUCUCAGUUUCUGUAUGUUAUGGUUAAGGUUGCAUGAGUAAUUGAAAUAACUUGCUGGGUUUUUCUCAGAUUGAUCAAUUUGGUAAUAUUUCUUUCAAAUUUUUGUUUUUAAAUUAAAGAGAAAGCGGGAGUCAGAGGAGAUAACAGAGAUCAGAAAAAAAAAAAAAAAAAAAAAAACUCAAGUGCUUGCGUUCUGCUCAAAUGAGAAUCAAAACCUGUUCCAAUUAAAUCAUUCUGUACAUUCAGCAAAGAAAGACAAAAGUCUUCAAUUCUAAUUUAUGUUGACAAAAGUCAAGAAAGAUGUUGCUUAGGAUUGUGGUAAACAAGGAGAAACUCAGCAAACAGAUCAUGAGUUACAUUUCAAACUGAAAAGAACCAAUGCUUCAAAUUAAUAACUUCCACAUUACUUUUUAGCUUUCAAAAGUCUGGAUAGUAAUUGGAAACCUUAAUUUCUUUCUUUUUCUAAGUUUAGAUUUGACCGAAGAUUAUUGUAACGCGUAAUGAUCACUGUAGUCUUAAUCUUCCAAAAGGGGUUUAAGGAUGACUGGCACAAUAUAUUAAUGAACAAAACACAAAUCCAAUGCUGAAUUAUUAUUACUGUUACUAUUCUGCUGGUGUUUCAUGAACACAAAACUUAUUAAAACCUUCCAUCUUCAACAAUUCUCUGGAGAAAACGACAACCUCAGCGCAGCGACAUCGAACAAGAACCUAUAGUUGACCUGCUGAGCCGCGCCCAGAAUGUUUAGACCAUCACUUUGGUCCAUUGACAAUAUGGUCAUGCAAAACUCAUUGUGAUGUUCAAAGGCCUGGAAGAGUGGGUUUAUGCAGCACAAAGUCAGCUCCUUCGAAAUGAAGCGUCACCGAUGGUGAAGUAAAGACAGUAGGGAUAUUCUGGUGGCAAAGAUCGAAACCAGUCUUGCUUUUCUGCGUCAUGAGUUGCCAUCCAUACAUGUUAUGGAAGUAAUCCACCACAGCUUGUUUCAAGACCUUGAAUGCCUCUGCCACGAUAUGGCUAUAUGGAGAUCCUGAAUCAACUGCCAUUCCUUUUCCACCUGCCAUGAACAAACUUGGAUCGAUUUGGAGACGUUGUCCAUUCAAACUUAUAGCAUCCAGUUUCGUGAAAUAAUAGUCAUCUGGACCGCCCAAAAUGGGUGUGCUACCAACACUAGGACCUCCAAUUUGUGCACCCUCACCAAAAUGUAGCAAUGAUUGGGCCUCAAAUUGUGGUGGAAGGCAAUACGAAAAUCUUCGAAGGGUGAUUUGGUUUAGUUGUUGUAGAAUACCAGUGGGGUGACCCCUGCCUAACCCCAAAAUCCCUCCUAUUGGAUUAUCAUGACCAUGAAAAUAGUCAUUGAAGUUCACCUUAUUGAAGAGUCCCCACCCAAAUGCCACAUUAGGGAUAGCUAGUUGCCUUCGCUCAGAUAAAAAUGUGAACGUAUCAAAUCCAAAGGGGCCGUAAGUGGAACUGCGAUCAUAGUAGAACAACCCAUAAACACAAUUUUGGCCCUUAGUACCAGGGCCAAGGUUUGGAGGAACACAAAGUGGGUGAUCAUCAGCAUGGGCCGGGAAGUGGUUGAUCUCCUGAUGUUGAAGUUAGGCAUUGACAAUUUGAAGCACGACUUGCAUCCUUCGCAUUGAACCCACGUUAGAGUGCUACCGGUGUCCAAGGCCAAGUUGGUUUUCUGAGGAGGUGUGCCAAUGUACAUCUCUGUGUAAUAGAAAUCACUGUAUGCAUGUUUAACCGGUGAACUUAUGGCGUUUGGGACUAAGGUUUCUAAUGAGUUGGUGGUCAUGAUAAGGUCGAGGGCUCGAGCUUUGGAUAUUUCGGUCAGUUUUUGGUGUUUUUAAAAAAGGGUGAGGUUUUGGAGGAAGAUGGAAGAGUUAGGUGAAAGCAUGGUGAACAUCUUAAUGCUCAAUCCUUGGGCUAUGCCUCCCAUGGUUGCCGGAAACAUGAGAAAGACCAUUAGAACGAAAAAGAAAACUGGAAUUAUUUUAGACAUGUUUCUCAGGCUCAUGUUUGAAUUUUGAUUAUCUGAUUUGAUCCAGCCUCACAAGAAAUAUAAUAUUUAUAAGGUGUGAUAAUUAACUUUUGCAUACCAUAAGGUGAAUGCAAUUGAGGAAAUAUUAGUCAUGCCAUCUUGGAAUAUGUCAACAAAGUUUGAAGAGGUUUUCCAUUUCAAUUUUCAUAAACACAAUCGUUCUUCUUUGAGAUCACUUGCAGCAUCUCCUAUACUAUAAACGGAGAUGGAUCCCUUUAGAGAUUGGAAGAUAGUGCUUGUCAAUUUUCAAUCAAACAGAUGAAGGUGGUUGAACUAGGAAGUUUCUGAAGUGACUAUAUAUAUAUAUCCACUACAGCUAGGCUAGGUAUGAUACACAACCGAACGACUCAUCUCUAUUUUCUUUGGAUGAUUUUCUAAUUAAUUACGGGAAACUUCAAAGUGUCUUUUAAUUUAUAGAUGGGCUGCCAAACAAACAUGUACACACAAACAAAACCAAGUAUUUUGAACUUGCUUGGGAUGUAUACCAUGAUAAAUUAUAGGUUAUAUACUUAAAUGGUCUUACAUAAAAGGAAAAGUUUCGGAAAAAGGUUUUUAGGAGCUAUUGCCUGACCCGGAUUAAUAUUUAGACCAUGCCACGCUAGCUGGAAGUUGCAACAGGGCAUGCGAACGCUGCCGAGAGCUGCUGACAGAUGCAGACAGUUUCAAUGCGGCAUUUUGUCGAGCACCUGGUGUGCACGCAUGGGUCGCCCAGCAGCCUUCUACAGGAUCGCCGGAGGAGUUGCCCAGACAUAUUUCUUGCCUCCACGGAGGAGCCCGACCCCAUUUGUCCCUUUUAAAUUAAUCCACCACUGCAGUAUGAAACUUACAUUGUUGACUCGUUAGCCUUAUGACAAAUUUCAUGAUAGAAGUUUAACAUGGUAUUAUUGGAAAUAAGGAACCAGAUAUCUCUAGUACUGAUGAUCAAACUUCACCAAUUUGAAGGCUGAAUUCUUUCUGAAAUCUUUUGGAUUCUUAUGUUCUAAAAUAGAAAAAACAAAAUUGAUUAUAAAUCGGUGCAGGGUUCUAUGCCCUCCUCUUCAAUAAAAAUUCAAAGAAAAAAAAAAAGGUGUGUUUCAUUUGGCAGUCACCUAAUGGUCACAUUCUUUUCCUUUCAAUUACAAAUAGGUCAAUUAUUUUGUAAUCCUUUAUUUUUUUUGGAAUAAAUUUCAAGCUAAACUCAGAUCCAUGCAUAUAACAUGUACAUCUGUAAGAAAAAAAUUAAGAACAUAUGGCAACGAAAAAGAGUUACUAUUUUGAUGGAGUUUGAUGGGCACAAUAUAUGAACCAUUUCAUGAUCCUAGAGAGUAGAGGUAAGCUAGUACUUAUUCCAAUCUUCCACAAUUUUCCUGACCAAAACACAAUCUCCUCGCACCAACAUCAAACAAGAACCUGUAAUUAACCUGCUGAGCCGCACCUACAAGGUUUGGACCAUUAUUGUCCCCCGUGACAAUAUCGUCAUGGAAAACUCAUUUUUACUUUCUAUGCACUUCGAGUUCUCCUCCUUCCAAGUGAAGCAUCACAGAUGGGGCCGUAAAAAUUGUAGGGGUGUUCUGGUAGCAGAGGUCGAACUCAUCCCUCGUACCUUUCGGAAUUGGUUGCCAUCCGUACAUGUUGUGAAAGUAGUCCACCCCUUGUUGGCUCAAGAUAUUGAAUGCAUCAUCCACAAUAAGAGUGUACGGAGAUCCUGAAUGUUUAUGAUCCCACUUCCGCCUCUCGAGAACAAGUUUGAGUCGAUUUGGAGACGUUUUCCAUUGAAACUUGUAGCGUUUAAUCUCACAUAAUAAUGGUCAUUUGGAGCGCCUCGAAUUUCAGCAUCGUUACCGAAAUGUAACAAGGAUGGCUGGGACUCAAAUUGUGGUGGAAGGCAUUAGGAGAAUCUUUGAAGGGUGAUUUGGUUUAGUUGUUGUGGAAUAUUGGUGGGGUGACUCCUCCCUAACCCCAUAGACCCUGAUAUUGGAUUAGGCUUGCCAUGGUAACGGUCAUUGAAGUUUACAUGGUUGUUAAGUCCUAACCCAUAUGGCACAUUUGGGAUCGCUUGUUGCCCUUGCUCAGAUAAGAAAGUAAAUUUCUCAAGUCCAAAUAGACCCUCAGUGGUAGAGCCAUCAGCAUACUCCAAGAAAUAGGAGCAAGCCCCGUGGCUGGAAGAACACAGAGUGGGUUAUUAGCAAGCAUGGCUCGGCAUGUGGUCGAUUGCUUGCCGUCGAAGUUAGGUAUUGACACCGGAAAACAUGUUUGGCAUUCUUUCCCUUGAACCCAUGUGAUAGAGCUACCGGUGUCGAUGUGCAAGUUGGCUUUCUGAGGAGGUGUGCAAAUGUAGAUCUGUGUGUAAAAGAAAUCACUGAAUGCAUGUCUAACAGGAUAUCUUAUAGUGUUUGGGAGACUAGUGGUUCUGAUGAAUUAGUGGACAUGGUGGCUAGAAGGUGAAGGGCUCGAGCUUUGGAUAUUUGGGUAAGUGUUUGGUAUUUUUCAGCAAGGGUGAGGUUUGCUGAGUAUGGCAAGGGUGGAAAUAUGAAUUUUUCGACGGGUGGGUUAGUUAAAAUUUUUGGCUAAAACAAAAGUAUAUAUUGAAUCAUUUAAACCAUGCAAUUCAUAGCUACAUUGACUAAUUUCCAAUAAGAUUUAAAAUAAAACAAAUACAUAUUAGAUGCAAUAAAAAUAUACAUAUUAUCAAAAUGAAUACAUGUUUAACAAUAUAAUUGAAAGUGUACUUAUUGAAGUUGUGCCUUGAGAUUCUCGAGAGAAUUGAAAUAUUUUGUUAUUGUCAUAUGAAUCCAUCUUGUUGCGAAUCAACCUAUCUAUCAAAUGAUAUCUUUGUGACAUUUUCGUUUCAUCUUAUUUGUAAAAGGGUGAAUUUCAUUGAGACAAAUCUUUCUCUUAUAGAGACAAAUCAAUGAAAAUAUUAAAAUUGGAGAGUUAUAGGGAUAAACCAAUGAGACUUUCGUAACAAAGAAUACAAAAAAGAGCAUGUAUUUUUUUGGGACCGCUAGGCUAAGUUUCACAUGUAUAUUUUUUAUUUUGACAUAGUUUAUUAUAAUCAAGGAUACUUCAUUAUGUGGGACCAAUUAGUAUACUAGGAUAUUUAUUUCUUUAUAUGAUACUUCAAACUUGCAUACUUCUUUACGUGAGAAACUGCCAAGAAGCCACAAGAUGAUAGAUUUAGUCAAUGGGCUAUAUAGGUUUAAUAUUUUAUUUUCCAAAAAGCUACGUUGACUAAAGUCCAAUAUAGCCCACUAGGUAGUUCCGCCCGUGAGUACGGAGAACAUUUUAGUGCUGAAACCUUGUGCCGUAACUCCCAUGGUUGCAGCAAACAUGAAAAGGGCUACUAGAACCCAAAAAAAAAAAAAAAACUUGAAGAUUAUGAGACAUUAUUUUCAUUAGGCUUUGAUGAUCUGAUGUGCGCAUUUGUGAUUUUAAGUAUGGACUCAUAAGAGAGUACUUAUAUACUGCAACGUGUGAUAAUUUUUGCAAUAGUUUUUUUUUUUUUUUCAUUAUCUCUUUAUAAAUUUAAGUAGUGGUGUUAGUUGUAACCAUUUGUGCAAUUGGCUCAUCAUUUGUACUAGUUAUUAGACAUGUAUGUAUGAUGAAAUAUAUUAGUCAUAUUAUGCAGGAAAAAAGUUGCAUGAUGACUUUUUAUUAUGUGAACAAGUAUGUUAAGGCUUUGAGAUGGCGAGAUUGAGACUACACAAUAUCCACAUGAAAAUUAGAAUAUUUAGGCUUCAAGGUUUUCCAUAUUUGGUAUAUCUAGCUGCCACUACAGGAAAAACGGGCAUAAAUUUUCUUAGUCACGUAAUUUUGUAUUUAAUUCGUGACCAACAUUUUUAAUCACGAAUAGUCUGUAAUUAAUAUGAAUUAUAAUGAGGUUUUCUAGUAGUAGUGUGCAUACGAAAUAGUGGAGGUAGCUAUGCCUCCAAUUUACAUGAAUGUGCAUACAAUGAUGAAAACGUCGACAGUCAUAGUAUCGGUCCUCCAAUUUACGGAUAUUUCCUUAAACAAGAUGGAAGGGAAAAAAUAAGUGUAAGCAAGCUUGAGGGGUGAACUGUCAACUGAUGUUCAUGCAGAUCGGGCCAGCGAUCCUAAUACAAGGCCCAAUUGGAAUGAAUUACUACAAUGUAGCCCGAUAGCUUCUUCCCAUGCUCCAAUGUCCUUUUUUUUUUCUUUCUUUAAUGAUAUUGUAUUCCCAUCCCUAUUGCAUAUAUAUAAUUUUCCUUCUCCUUUGGAAAAUUUUUUUGAACACCAAAAAAUAAGCUUUGUGUGCCACCCUCGGCCAAAUUGAAGAAUCCUUUUCAGAAGUCGUCAUUAAACGACUCAUCAAAAGCAAUAAGAAUAUGGUAACCAACCAUUCCUCAACGACAAAGUUGCUUACUAAUCCUUUGCCUUGACACAACUGACACAGCUGCGUUCAUCAAAGAAAAGAUGAUGUUCUUGAUGAAGGUCUUUGAAAAACCAGAGAAGUGAAAGAGGACAUGCCCUUUUCGAAUAUCAUUCAUCGAAUUGAUUUUGUGGCGAUGUCGGGAACGGGCUAAUUUGGUUAAGAAUAAGCUUAGAGUUAUACAGUGACUUAAUCCAGAUUACUUAAUUCUUAACAAUCAAUUGUGUUCAAAGUUACUUUCUAUAUUAUUGAUUGUAACAUGUUUCCGCACUUUUGGAUUCACACACCUUGUCACCAUCACACUACAUUCCAAUUAUUACAAUCACGUCCAUGCUUGCUUGACAAGGCAUUAGGGGGAGAGAGAGAGAGAGAGAGAGAGAGGACUCUUAGGUUAUGACCAGUUUGUCGGCCUUACAAUCUCUCAGAGAAAUCUAAGUCAGAAAACACACUGAUUAGCCUUGCAAAUGCAUUCUUUUUCGAGGCUUCGAAGGAGUGUGAAAAAUGAAAAGCAUGAGUUUAUAAAGUACCUGCAGCCACUUUUAAAGCAGGAAAACCAGCAUGACAGUAGACACCAUGGUAAUUUGGAAAAUCAUGAUUGCUGUCUGUACCCAUUAGUUUUCGUUUGCUUAAUGUUGUUUUAUUAAUUUAAUACGUUCAUGGAAAUGCGCACACAAAAAUUAUGUUUUCCUGUGGGGACUGGGGGCCUAAUAUUCAACUGCUCUUGAUCAUUAGUAUCUCUAAAGGUGGAGAUGACAGCUUAAAUUAACAUGGUAAGCAUGGAUAUUAUAUUGUUCAGAUGACCUGGUCAUCUCAUAUUUUAGAUCAAAGUUCUUUUUGUUAUUUUAUUAUCUGAGAACACUUGCUCUAAUAUAUAUAUAUAUAUAUUUGCUUUGGUGAUCAGCCGAGAUGCUUAAUGUUCUAACUACCUUCCAUUUUUUUCAAACUCUUUUCACCCAUUUUUUUCAAGCUCUUUUCUCCACAUGAUAAUUAAGCAUUUCACAUUCCAACCUAAAAGCAAAUAAAAUAUUUACAAGAAAUCGAAUAGGUUGAACGGAUUUUUUUUAUUUUUUUAUUUUUUAAAUUUAUAAACAGCGACGCAUUCCACAAAAAGUAAGGUUACAAAAGAUCUUCUGGUUGCAAUGCCUAGAAAUUGAAUGCUCUAAGAUUAAAUCAUUCAUGAAAUAAAUGAAGGUCAGAGAAGAAAAGUGGUAUUAAUAUCAAAUACAAAAACAAUAAGCAGCAACUUCAGUACAUGGAUUAUGCAGGGUUGCCCUCGUAACUUCUCGAGGUUAUAUAUCCCCAAAGUUGGGGAAGACAAUCUUACUAGGUUUUAUAGUCAUGUUAUGAUAAGUUUCUAAACAAGUGGAAAAGCUUUGACUUGAAGAUUAGAUGUCUCAGGUUCGAACCUUCUAUGGCAUCUUGGUUGUGUGUGUGUGUGAGAGAAACCAUCAUCCCUUGUAGUUUAGACUCUCGCUUGUACUAAAAAACAAAUCAUAUCUUAAUCCAAAUAAGAUAAAUGUAGCUUGAGAAUCCACUUAGAGGAGUAUUCCAAGCAUAUUCGUGAGCAAAAGUGCUUUAAGGAGUCAAAUGAAAUAUAUAUUCUCCUAAUUAAAAUGACCACUAGUACUAUGAUACUGAUAGGUGUGGAGGAGCAUCUAUAGAUUUCACCCAGAAAACAAAACAACCACAUUAAUUCUUCAUCAACAUCUUGCAUAAACAUUCCAAAUGGAGAAUUAAGAAUUGAAGUCCACAUACACAUGAAAGAAACCAAACACGAUCGAAAGAUUAUUAAUGAUCGCCAACUUUGUUUCAUAGCGGAUGACUUGGAAGAAACAUAUAAUGCAUGGUGGUGUGGGUGAGUGGAUGUGGAAGUGGUUUCCUCAAGUUCAAGUGUGUGAUUAUUUAGUACUGUUGACUUAUAUAUAAUAGAAUUGAAUGCGUGCAUUGUAAAGCUCUAGCUAGGAGUAUAAAUAACUCAUAAAACAGCUCAUAAAACACACAAACCAUGAAGGGCUAGAUUAUUUAUAUUAUCUCUCCUGCAAAUUGUAUUUUAGUAUGAGAGAAAACUGCAGCGUUUUGCACUUAAAGACUUGAAGCAUUGUAUUAACCAUGCAUGACGACUAUGGUUCAUUUCCUCUAUAGCUUCUGGUUUUCAAGUUAGCAGCUUGCAACUUUCAAGCUUGCUCCCAAAUGGGUUUCCAGAAACUUCAACAAAGAAGUCCUGGAAUCGGAGUAGGUCGCCAAAUGAUAUGAAAGACUCCUUGUUUAGUUGAAAAGUAAACUGGCCAUCAGCUAGCUAGAAAAUUAUAACGUGCCUAUAAGUAGGUAGCUCUUGGAAGCAUCGAGUCUUUUUCCUUCAUGUUCCUAAAUUGACCGGGGAUCAUGAUGUACUGACUAACCAAUCCAAAUUUACAUAGAAUCUUGUAACUAGCUUUAUUAGGUUUUGAAUCUGUAGGUGAAAAUGAUGCAGCAUGUAAUUAACCUAGCAAAAAUUUCUUGAAAAUAAGUGAGCUGAACAUUUCUAAUGUAACUUGAGCAUAGUAAAUAAAUCCAAACGUUGAGCCAAUAAACAAAGAAGAAAGAGCAAGGGUUUUAUCAACGGGCAUUCUACUUUUCUUUCGUAGCUAUUAGUAUUUCAUGAAAACAACGCAAAUUGAAGGGAAACAGAUGGCAAGCGACAGACCCUACAAGAUUUACUUGAGACCAUGCCAAGUAUAUGUUUAUCGAUACUGCUCCGAAGAUAGAUUUAAUCAUGUUAUUAAAACAAAAGAAGCAUAAAUUAAGCAAAAGGCAAGUGAAACAAUUGGUAGCAGUACCCCCUAAAUUUCAGGGACUGUGCCACUUUCUAAACGUAAUAAAAAUAAUUGCUAUCUGUUUAAAGCUGAAACCUCAAACCAUUCCUUAUAAAGAACAAAAGCCACUAUUUCCAUAAAUCCAAGAGACCCAAAAGAAGAAACAACAAGAAGAAGAAGAAGUGGUAACUUCAAAUUUAACAGAAAAAGAAAGAAGAAGAAGAAAAAAAAAUUAAACAUGAGGAUGAUGACUAGCUAGUCCAUGAAAUUUGCUGACCUUUUAUCUCCAAGAAAGCUCAUCUCAUCCAAUGCACAACCCAGCUUCAAAUCUGAAAUCCCCAUCUAAAAUAUUCUAAUUAAACACAUCAAACUCUUAGCAUCAUCUCACUUCAAUUAAUUUGCUCUACUCUCUCUCUCUCAAAAUGGUGGACGACCUCCUGAGUUAUUUCCAGCCCACCCAUCAAUCGGCAGCUGAACAUUCUGCAUAUUCAAUGGAAGAUUAAAGAAAGGAAGCCCCGAAGACGGGUCGGGGAAAGGGUUGUUGCCGACACCCACACCGCCGCCGCCGCUACCUCCGGAACCCUGGGGGACCUGCACCUGCAACUGCUCCUCUUCAUCCAAAGGCAGCCUCUCAUAAGCAACAUUAGUAAACGAGGAGGCGAUCACAAUAACGGGGCCUGCGGCGGUCAACUCACCGACCACGCUGCCCCCGACCACCUGCCCUUGCACGCCGGCCAAGAAUAUGGUCAAGCUCGUGGCGCCGGGAGGGGCCGGCGGGGGCAAAAAUGAGCCUGAAAGGGACAAAAUCUCGAACCUUCCAUGAAGGGUUACUACGGAGCCUGCUGCGGCCGGCUGCCGCAGGCUUACAUUGGUGACCGUUCCGCUGCCGCUCAAAAUACAGAUCCCACGCUGUCGGCGCCGCGCGUACGUGGCGACGCAGUCGAAUACAUCGCAGCCGUUGCCUACCUCGAGAAUAUGUGCUCGGAGAGUGUUGGCGCUUUCUCUUGUGAUGAUGACUGGGGGCUUAGGCUUGUUUUUGGAUCCAGGAGGACGACCUCGGGGCCGUCGGGCCACGAUGUCUCCUGACCCGGGGUUGAUGCCCCCGAGGUCAAGGCCCUGGUGAUGAUCUUCCGCGGAGAACUGGCCGGUUGACCUGUUGACUACUGCAUCGUCUUCAGAGUCGGUUUGUUGUUGUUGUUGGAGGUGCAAGUCUUGCCUGUGAAGCUGGUGAACGUAGCGAGGAGCUGAGCCUAAAUCCAAACCAGCCAUGGACACAUCAAAAAGAAAAACAGAAAACAAGGGGAGAAAAUUAUUAAAAAUGAUUUUUUAUAUAAAAUUAGUUUAUGGAACUGGGAAUAGCAAAUUAAAAACUGUUUGUGUUUUUCUGCUUUUGUUUAUUUUAUGGAAGUGGGAAAAAUUAAUAUAUAGAGAAAAUAAGAAGAGAAUGGAAAAAGAAGAGAGAGAUGGAGAGAGAGGGAGGGAGAGAGAGAGAGGGUGUGCUCCGGUACUCGAAGUUUUAAGAGUAGUUGAAUUAUCUAUGAGAGAGAGAGAGAGAUUUAAAGAAAAGAAAAAUAACAACGACAAGAAGAACAAGGAGGAUCGAGUGCAGAGAAAGGGAAGGAGAAGAAGAAGAGGAGGGAUGAGAGGAGGUGGUGUGGGGGUAGGGGCGACAAAGGACUCAAAACGCAGUCAUUUCUCUCACACCAAAAGUUUAAAUAUAUCACUAAAUUAAUAUUUUGUUCAAAGUUUAAUAUUGCUUUCUUAUUCUGAGGAAGAAGGGCAUGGUUGCAAGCAUGACUCUCAAUCUUAGAGCGUGAAGUAAACGUCAUCUUCAAUAUAAUAGGGGUGGAAUUAUAUUUAUUAUUCUAUGUUUUUUUAAUCUACUUAUCAGUUAUUUUGCUUAAGAGUUCAAUGAUAAGUUAUUUGAAUUUAGUAAAUAGUAGCUCAACUCAUUAAAAAUAUUUAUCUAUGCAUAUGAGGGUUGCGUUUGAUUUUUCAUCUCUCAAUAUCAUUUGUAUAAAUACAAAUUAUAAACUAAAAUUAUAAUUUAAUCAAGGUUGAUAAUUUGAUGAAAGCCUAAAACUAUGUAGCUUCUUCGGGACAUAAGAAUUAGUUAACACGAUAGAAAUGUUAAGAUGGGAUGUGAACUUGUAAAACUAUAGCAUGUCGGUUACAUUUACAGCAAAUACUAAUAAAAUUUUACAAUUUCAAUUAUAUAUGCAAGCACAAAACUCAAAAUAAAAUAAAAAAGUGACUAAUUCAUUUAACAAGACAAAUGAGUGGCAACCAUUCUCUAAUGCGGUGCUUAUUUUUAAAAUAGUAUGAUAUUAGGGUUUAUGGUAAGAUUUAUUGAUCAUUUUGUUGACCACCUCUUUAAUAUGAGUGGGCCACACUAAUGUACAUGAGAUCUACCUGUAUUAAAAAGGUGGUCAGCAAUAUAGUCAGUAAAUGUGACAUAAAUAACAACACUAUUUUAUAUAACAAAUAAAAAAGACGAAAUGGGAAAUAAAAUAUUGUUUCAACUUUAAAUGCAAUAUCAACAUUAUGAUCAUAUUAUUAGUUGGCUUUCAAAAUUUAAAUCACUAGCUUGGACAAAAAUAUAAGAGAUUAAUAAUGUAAAUGAAGAUGGACCAAUAUAUAGAAUAAUCUAAAAAUGGAAAAAAAAAUUUGUUGACUUAUGAUGAGUGAGUUAGUAUAAGGUGAAGAAGUUAUUUGAUAAGAGAAACCAUAUGAAACAACUCUUUAUAAUAUUGUUUUGAAUGAAGAAAAAACAAACCUAAAUACUUUAGCUUUGUGAUAUUUGAAUGAGAUGUGGUACCAAGAAAUUAUAUUUAAAUUGGAUGGGCGAGUUUGAUGACAAAUUAAGGAUCAAAGGAGAGCGUGGGGAAGUUGCAUUUCAAAAGUUUGUGUGAUCUAAUAUACAUAAAGAUUUGAGGAAAAGAACCUUAGAAGAGAGAGAGAGAGAGAGAGAGAGAGAGAGAAUUGUGUGGGUGGGGUUAGAUGAUGGAUCGCAGAUGUAUUGGUCAUGGGGUUUUGGCCUUGGGUGUAAUAAGUAACCAUGCGUUUGGACUUGGGUGUAAUAAGUAAUUAACCAUGGUUCAAAACCACUUGGAAUAGUUGACCAGUUGGGUUAGCUUCAAACGUGACGGGGGAGACAAAUUUGCAUUAUAAAAUUACAAAAACGAGGGAUGAAUGGGGCAAGUGGGAGAUGGUGCUACGGCGGAUGGGCCCCACUUUUGUCUUCUUCCCCCAUCCUGGACGGUCCCCUCUACUCCUCCUCUCUUUAGCCAGCCAUCCCUGCUUGACUGGCUCGGCCUCAGCUUUCAUUAGCAAUAAUUAAUUAUAACAAGGACCAAUUAUAUCAUUGAAUCCAUCGAAUAUUUUGAUUUUCUAUGAUCAAGUUUUCACUUAAGUACAGGGUUAUACAUUUCUUUUAGGGCUGUGUAAAUAAACCGGAGGACCGGAGAAUUGGUCCAAACCAGCUGGAUGGGGCUGGAUUUUCAACAAAAAUAAAGUUAAACGGUCCACAAUUGAAUUGAACAGGCUUAAUUCGGUUUAUAACUUUAAUCUUUUUAAAAUUCCAAUCGAAUCAAACCGGAUUUGGAGUUUUUUUUUUUUAAUUUUAAUUUUAUAUUUGUAGCACCCAAUCCCCUCAUUUCUUUAACUUAAGAGCUAAACAUAACCCUCGUUUCUCUCAUAUUCUUUGACGUUUGCACAUGUCAUCAAAUUUUUUCACUUGUCGACUCUCAUCUCUUUCAAGAUCUCACACCCCCUACGCCUCUCGAUCUCCAUUGAUUGAUCCAUGGCAACACAGACUAGUCCCUAAUGGAAAAUUGGCCUCUACCUUUUUCCAUCUCAAUUGUUGCAACUCACCAAUUCACUAACUCUCUCAUCACUCGGAUUUUUCUUCCUCUCAUACCAACCAACAAAACUAAUCAAAAUAGAAUGAAUAGAACCAACUAGGUUUGGUCUGGUUUGGACACUAAUAGUUUUUAGUUGAAACAGAUUCAAUAUAAGCUGUAUAGGUUUGAUCGAUCCGUUUGACAUGUGUGGGGUAGAACCGGGAUUGAAUUAACCCGUGUGUACUCAUAUUUUUUGUCAUAUGAGGAAGAGAGAAUUUGAAACUUGAAACCUCUUCUAAUUUUCAAAAGACAAAUACCAAUAAAUCAAAAGCUACUUAGUAAUAUAGGUAGUAAGUUGACCAAAAAAAGAAGUAAUAUAUGUAGUAUGAGAAAACAUCAGUCCAAAAUUUUCAAAUUUUGGAAAAUUUUAUAAGUUAUGAGGAUUUUGUGAAGAAAAAGUUGAGGAAUUACGUAUAACGAACCAUUUAAAUUCUAUAUGAAUAGUAAAGUUGCAAAUCACACACUCUUAACUCAUUAUACAUUUCCAUCAUCCAUAUAUUUGAUUUGUCAGUGGUAUGUCACAUAUAUGGUCAUUAGAAUUUGUGGCAUGUUAUAAGUUUUACAUAAUACAUCAACAUAUUUAGCCAAGUUCAAUUCACCAAUAACUUCUGAUAAAUCUAUAAGAGCAUUUACAAUCAUACUCUUUAUUUUUUAGUUAAAAUUUAGUUAAAAACACAAAAAAGUUAUUUUAAGAGCUCUCUAUAAAAUUUAAACUUCAAUCAUUCUUCCUAAUUUAGGGAGUCAUAAAUAUUAUAGUUAUUUUUUAAUUCAAUAUGAUUGGUCAAUCUCUACAAAAAAAAAAAAAGAUAUCAUUAAUUAAAAGUUUAAAUUAUGCAUAAAAUAAAGUAACAUUAAAUUAUAGGGAGCCACUAAAAGUCAUUUCUUUCUCCUCAAGUUUAGGAGCUCUUAGGCUCCGUUUGGUUCAUGGGAAAGGAGACUAGGGGAUUGGACAUCAAUUGCUUUCCCAUGUUUCUUAAGUCCAGGCAUGAGAAAUCGUUGUCUGGCCUAUAGGAAAGUAGGGGGAAAGUGAAGUCAUCCUCCCAACUUGAGUUUUGUUUUUCCUCCUCAUGGGAAAGUUUGGGAAAAUGAGCUAAUAUUAAAUAAAUAUUUUUCUUGACUAUUUUGUCCCCAUUAACAAUUUAGAAUUACACUAUAUUAUUAAAUGCAUUAUUUUUUUAUUUGAUUUAAUAUGGGUAUAAUUGAAAAUUUAUACAAACUUUGUUUUCCAUUCAUACUCAAAACAAACAUAAGAAAGGAAAUAAAAUGAUAUCUUCUGGUUACUUUUCCAGCAUCACCAAACGUGGAAAAUGAAUAUUCUAUUUCCCAUCUCUUAGAAAAUGACAUGGGAAAUGAUUUCCCCUCAAAUUCGUUCUGUGAACCAAGCGGGGCCCUAGAGGUCUCCCUAUAUUUAGGAGGUGAAUAGGGGGCAUGGUUGGAAUUGUAUUUUUCGAAUUUUUCUAAUUCCUUGCUAAAAUUUGUCUAAAGAGGUAGUUUAAAGAGUCCAUUGUGGAUGCUCUAAGAUCGCUAAUUUUAUAAUAAGAAUGAAAUAUUUGAUUAUUAAUUAAUAUGAUGAGUUGACAUAGUUCUCAACUUUGGUUAAUUUGAUGUUAAAGCGAUAAGGUCAUAAUAAAAUGCUAUAAAGUAUAGAAUGCCACGUUGAGAUCAUUUUUCAUAUUAGUACAACAAACUAUAUAGUUUUGAAUUAUGUUGGAAGAUAUUUUAAAUUUAAACCCGUCUUCACGUGAAUUUUUAUUUCUCUAAAACCUAAAUCCAAAAUACUAAAACCUUCUUCGUGUUUUUCUUUUUUCAAAUUUUGUAAAAUUCAAAUUUUUUAAAACCUUAAAUCCAAGGCUAAAACUAACUAAUGAACAGCUUUACUAGAAGGCUUGUGUUCGAAUUCCAAGUAGGAAAUGCUUCAUUUUCAUACGUGAGGAGCUAAAUUACCUAACUCAUUAACAAAUUAUAAAAGCAAAGUAAACGAUGCAAAUGAAAAUAAUUUAAUAACUGGAAAGGUUCUUUCUCCACCAAUACAAAUUUAUUACUUGAUGAAAUUAAGAAAUCUAAUUUGUUGUACGAUUGGGUAAAAGUAAUCCAUGACCCGAAUUUUUCAAACCAAAUGCGGCCAUUUGGAGGCGUUGAAAUUUACCAAUGCGGAAGACUAAAAAGUACGUAAUACUAAUACUAUAAUCCCUAUACAGUUGUAAUGUGAAUCAUGCUUUAGUGGCUAAACACAUGAUCAUAUAUGUACACAAACCAUAAUUAAGAGAAAAUAUGGGUCGUUGUCUUUGAAACAGUUAUUAAAAAGGAAAAGACUAAUCCAAUUAGAAUACUUAUUGAGAGGGGUACUUAUUUUUAACAAAACCCAAUAGGGAUUGCAUGUUCGAAGAUCCAAACUGUUUAAUUAUUAGGUCUCGUAUAUGGAUUAUUUAGUUAUUUAACGAAGAUGAAGUAAAUAGACGAACACAAUGAUUUCGAUAGUUACUAAAAUGAUCGUAAUGAUAAUCCAGUAGUCUAGUCAAGCAAUGGCUCUUAAAAGUUGCUUAGAUUCAACUAGCUCAAAAUGUAACUCAAUUAAUAUUAUGUAUUGUUUAUGUAUGUCUGUCAUCGUCUUGUGUCUUAUGGUCGUAUCUCUAGAGACAAUGUUUUGAUAAUUUCUUCAUCUUCGUAGGCUUCAUUUGUAAUAAUUUGCAUCGCAAAACAUGCACGUUAUAGUUAAUGUAUGUACUUAUUUAUUACCGUAGAAGCAAUUAACUUGCCUUUCUUAUAUUAUAUAUACUUUUCAAUAAAUAAUUCCCAACCCUAAAUAGCUUAUAUUAACUAUCAGAAGCGGUUGAGCAAAGGCAUAUGAAAGGGGUUGUAUAAAUUAUCCUUUUCAUAAUCAUAUCAUUGCUUGACUGUUACAGUUUACCAUUAAUUGUAAAAGUCUGGUACUUUUUUUUUCUUCACAAAGUGAUAUUUUAAAAUAUAUGUAUAAGGAGAGGGUCGAAUUUGGGUGCAAGGAAGUGGGUACUACAUAUAUAUAGUAUGUCAAUCCCUCGCAAAAGAAUCAAGAGAUUUAUGUCAAAAUUUCGUGCACUAAAUCAAAGAAAAUGUUUAUUACCAAUUGUUAAGAACUCAUGGGUAGAACUUGUCCUUAAAAACUACCUUGUAAAGUAAGGGUGCCCAAGAGUUCUUAAACCACUUUAGGAUAUGCUAUUUUUUUCAAUGUGGGAUCUUGAGUCCUAACAUUCCACCACGCUUCCGUACUCUAUCGACACUGGUCCACUUAGUUUGAGGCGGCUUCACUCAACUAGCAAUAUUCAAUUGUUGAAGAAUAUAAGUCUCACAUCGGAAACUUGACUAAAUAAAAUACAAUAUAUAAUGAAUGGUUCCACUACUAAUAUUACCGAUGUCUUUUGUGAUAAAACUCUACACCUACUAGGCUUGGUAAAUGGUUAAGUUGGGGACAAUAUCGGUGUUGUUAGUAGUGAACCGUUGGCCCGUCUCUCUGAAUUUAGCAUGACUCUAUAUUAUGCUAUACAUAACACCAAUCAUCUUAAUUGAGCCUAUAGGUAGCCCUUUUCCAUAGAAGUGGGUCCAGUUGCAUAGUGAAUCCUAGUUUUGAUACUAAUUGUUAAGAACCCAAGGGUAGAACUUGCCCUUAAAAACCGGCUUGUAACGAAAAAGUGCCCAAUAGCUCUUAAAUCACUUUAGGAUACGUUUUUUCUAUUACUCUCACCAUCUGGACUUAAAAGCGAAGUGGUUUUGAUGUGAGCCAAAGUUACUAGUAAGGUUUAUUUAAUAUAAUCAUAUUUUUGGUAAUUAUAGUUUUUAGAUUUUCAGCCUUUCUCACUAUUAAUUUUAGUAGAAUAUGCUUUUUAUUUUAUUAAAGGAGGCUAUUACUAGCACUCUAAAUUGGCUAUUUUGUAUUACUCGCUAGUCUAUAAGAUAAGAGAGAAAAGAUGCAUCAUGAUUAUCUUGGAGAUCCAAUAACAACUUUUGACCAUAUGAAAGGAAAAAAUAAGGCUUAAUUUGAGCAACGGUCCAUAAACUUAAUUAUACACACUUUAGGAUGGCCAAAACUUAAUUAUACACACUUUAGAUUUUGGCCAUCCAACUUGAAUUCUAGUUCUUGCAGUUCUUCAGCUCAACUUUGUCUCGCACAUUUGGUCAUUUAUGUUAACUGGUGCUCAUUUUUCGGUUUUGAUCAUGUGACAUGCCCAUAAUUUACUUUUUAGAGUAAAAAAGGACUUUAUAAUCCCAAAAAGAGACCUAAGAAAUUGCUAUGACGAUAUAUAGACUUUGGAAAGUACAAAUUGAAUAUGGUCUCAAAUGUUUUGGUUUGAAAGUUGAAUUUGUGGUUGAACAUAUAAGAUUCGGUUAGUGUUAAAUUUAUUAAUUAAGACAGAAUUUAUAGUAUGCAUCGACUAUUGAAGGUUUGAAUCGGGGUUAAUUUGACUAAUUAGGGCUUGAAUUUGGUGGUAUUAGCAACAAAUUUUUGGAGGAAAGUAUAAGCCAGAACGAUAUACCAAAUGAAAUCAAGUUGAAGAAUUACAUGAACAAAAAACCAAGUUAGAAGACUAAAAUAUACAUCAUGUACAAAUUCAAAGAACAUUGCUCUAAUAAAACCAAAACAAGAGUUGGUGGAUAUCCAAUUUUGACUUGUGACAUAGUCAAUAAAUCCGAUUGUCGGGGUUAGCCAAAUAAGAAAAAAAAAAAAAAACUAAUGUUUACGAAUUAACAUCAUGAUUGCCAGCAGUACUUUGUUGAGUCCUUUUUCCAUUUCUACGCAUCAACAUCCUUUGUUGUGGUUAUCUUUCUUCAUGGGCUUUACCCAAUCCGAUUGCAUGGAGCUUAGUGCAACUGGGAGUUUGCACAGAGAGAUAGAAAGGGAGGGAGAUCACGUGCAGUGUCCAUAUCAAAAUCGCAGGAGAAGUUAAGGAGCACCGAAUAGCUGUCGGCCACGAGGCCUCUCUCUCUCUCUCUCUCUCUUUAAUAUCUUCUCUCUGUGACUUAAUUUUUUUUCCAUUGGGAAUUGGUCUCUUUUCAAUCUCCAUCUCCUUGGUCACAUUUUCACCCCUUAAAUCCCGGGGGCCUCUUUAAGAUAGCCCUCCUGCACCAAUUCUGCUAUUACCUAACCCCAAUACGACUUUCCCCUCAGCUACUUCCAGCUUCCUUAAUUCCACUCUCUCUCCUCACGAGUUUUUCCACCAAUGGUAGAACGAGUUGAUGUAACAAUUAUAUUUACUUCAUGUUACAAACGUUACAAUCACACUUGUUACAUAAAUCCAUUACACACAAGUUUUUUUCUUUUUCCUUUUGCUAGAAAAUUGAUUUAUAGUUGUUGAUCAAUAUAUAAGUUAUCGUGCAUCCACAUAUGACUUACGUAACAAAAAUCCACAAAAAUAUAUAUUUAUUGAGUCUCUUAACAAACUUAGAAGAUUAAGUAAGGAAAAUACUUCUUUCCUUAUCAAUUAAGUAGAAGCUCUUACAUUCCUGUCAAUAGCAGUAUGAUAUGUGUGCAGAAGUUCUUAUUUUUAUAUUUUUAAUGAAUUAUUUUUGUAUAUAUGUCAAAUUAUGAUUUAUAAAAAAGAAGAGUAUCUCUUUACAGAUAAAAAGACAAAUAAUAUGUUAAACAGAUAUCACCUCAAAUGAAUCACAAUUACACAUGGUUUUAUAGCUAAACCCACAAGCACAAUAUUUCCAAGUCACAUUUUUAAUUUAACCAAUUGUUUUUUUUUCCCCCCUAACUAAUUGGGUUUUGUUACACACGUACAUUUACCUGCGCGUUGGUCUACGAUUGGAUUAGCUUGCUUGGUGAAGGAAUGCAAGUUUAAUAUUCCUGUGAAAUAACAGGUGGAAGCAGAUUGGGUUCAGAAAGAAAGAAAGGCUCCUGCUUUGCUUGGCUUUGCGUAUAUAUAUAGAGCUUGGGGCAGGAAGAUCGAUAAAGCUAUUGCUAGGCAACAACCCUGUCCUUCUCUCCCUCAGUCCAGUCCUAGGAAAAGCCCCCCGAAUUUUAGGCCACGCAUGCACAGAAGAGAGAGAGAGAGAGAGAGAGAGAGAGAGAGAGAGAUCCUUGAGUGUUGAAAGGUUUCUGAAAAUGCUCAGGUCUCAAAGAUUUUUAACCUAGUUCUAGUUGUACGGUCUAUAACCACUACUAGAAAAUACAGUGAGAGAGAGAGAGAGAUGAGAUGAGAUUAAAAGGGUCACAUGCUUGGAUUUGAUAAAAAGACAAACCCACGAGGGGUGGCCUUCAAGACAAAGAAAGAGGCACACAAGAGAGAAAAGAUCAAAAGGACCAAGUCCUUUGACUUUGUGAUAAGAAUAAGACCACCCAACCUCUCUCUCUCCAUCACAAUAUUGUCCUUGGGAAGAUCCACCAACUCCUAAUCUAUAUCCCCUCAGGUCUUUUUCACACGUCAACACCUCUCUCUCUCUCUCUCUCUCUCUCUCUCUCUCAAGAGUUCGGGAAGCACGUCUUCUCCAUUCUUUCACAAGCCAUUCUUGUACGAUUAUCAUGUGACAUAUAGACACAUUGCGAAUGUUUUUAGUUUCCGAGACAAUUUGAUUCAAAGUGUGCUUUUAUUAUUUAAGUUAAACCCUAAAUCAUAACAAUAUUUGUGUUUUAUAUUAAUUAUGCUUCAAAUAACAUCUCUAUCCGUCUGGAAAACUUAAUCUUUUUAAUAUGCCAUCAGCAAGUCUGCAAGAAUCAUUAGCACCCAGUCUUCUAAAAUGAUCUAUUAUAUUCAUAUUUUUGGUGUUGACUUUUUGCUUGUAGCCAAAACGAUGUCGUAUUAGGGUUUAAGGAUUAAACAAUUUUAGUUUUAGAAUUUAGACUAUAAAAAUAAUUAAAUGAAAUUUAAAACAAUAUAGUUUAUACGCAAGCAUGAGAACUGAACUUUAUCCCAUUAGAUUAAUCUAAUGGUUAACAUUCUCUUAAAUUUAUGUAGAUAUAUGAAUGCUAAAUACAAAGAUUUGAAAUUCGAACUUUAUCCAGCACUAAUUUAAACAUCAAAGUUCUACUUUAUUAGGGUAAAAACGAAGAUGGUACAUAGAUUUCUUCAAUUGACCAUCUCAAAUAAUUGAGAGCAAUAGUCUCCCAAUUAUGUUUGUUCCAAGCAAGUGCUCCCAUGUCUUCCAUGCUCCAACUUGUCGUGUUUCAUUACACACAUUUGACAAUGCAUAUAUCAUUUUGAUAAUCUCGAUUAUAAUUAACAUCAUCGUCAAUCUCAAUCAACUAAUAAUACAAAAUCUUCGGAUGCCAAAGAGGUGAUUAACUUGCCCUAAUAUAUGCUUAAAUCCGAGGUCCCCACAAGCUUUUGAUUUAAUCAUUUUUCUUUCUUAUUUACCUUUUAAUUUUAAUAUUAAUAUUUAUUCUGUGCACUUGCCCACUUGAUUUGCGAUAAAGCUAGCUACCAAUGGUAUUGCUAUGCUUAAUUCUCAACUGCGAGAGCAUUAGUUCCUAUGCGUCACCCCACAGGACAAAACCACUUUGUAAUCACCACACACCAAAAUCCAAUAGUACUGCUUGAUAAUUCAUCUUUUACUCACUGAUUUCAAACCUUAACUUCGAUAAUUCUAAAUGAUGCUAUACCAUCUUAACAAAGACACUUAGAAAUACAAUAUAGCAAUAUACAAAGAGUUUCAGUUUAAAGAUAUACUUUUGUAUUGUAUUUUAAUAAUUUAAAUCGUCUAUUUUUAUGUAUUUUAAGUAUGAAUAGUUCAAUUUUGUUUAUCACAACUAAAUGCCUUAAUGGUUCCAAUUUAUUUUUUUACAAGAGUGAUCUUUGAAUGAAGACUUAAAACGUAGAUAAUUUAGAUCGUUAAAGUAGAACUGCAAUAAUAUUGAAGACUGGUUUCUAAAUUCUAAGAUUUGUUUGUAUAUACUAGUAACCCGUGUUCAUGAAUUUAAAAAUAACUACUUUUUAUUUUGUUUUUUCGUUCUAUGUAUCUUGAAUAUUAUUAAAAGUUGGGAUAAUGGAAUUGCCAAGACCUAGGAUUAAUUUCUAUUUUCUUUUUGGACCAAUGAUUAUAUGAUGAGAACUUAGGAAUUGUACAGUUAGAUUAUCCAUAUAUUAAUAUUUAGCAAGAAAAACUGCAUUCAGGUCUAUAAUUAUUUAUCAAAAAGUACCAACCAACACGUAUCUUUUUCUUAUUAUAAGUUAAUCCAUAAUUUAGUUUACUAUGUUUAUAAUUAUUUAUCUUUCAUUACAAAAAUAUAUGACUUUAGCAAUCAUAUCCGAGUUUAUUUAUUAGGUGACAAAGAGAAGUAUGCAUGGAUCGAAGAUGAUGAAGUUAUUGGUCAAAUGCUAAAUAAAUAGUAAACUAUGUCAUAGGAAUUUGUAAAAAGUGGUAUGAUUAAUGAUUUUAAACUCAAAAUAUGGAUGAUCGAUGUUGAAACUUGGAGUACAAUUGUAAAUAAACAUUUACAAAAAAUUAAUAUAUAUUGUUUAUAAAAUUAAUAUUUUCUCUAGAUAUUAAACACUAACCUCCAUGCAUGGUUUCGAAAAACUAUAUAUUAUCAUUAAAAUCUUAGCCAUUCUAUUAAUAUAUGCAUAUUACAAUGAAGAAUAAAAAGGAGUUUCAAAAAAUUUCACCAUUUGUUUGUAUUAUAAUAUAUAUAUAUACAGCCCCUUCUAUUAAGGUAUCCGUCAAAUAAUAAUUGAGAGACACCUUGUAGGGUUUAAUAUGAAUUUUACUUCAAUAAUCUAAAUCGUUUAUUUUUAAAGUUUACGUCAUAGAUCAUUAUUGCAAAAAUUAGAUAAAUUGAAAAUUAGCAAGACAUCUAGUUGUGACCAACAAAAUAAAUGAACACUAACACUAAAAUGACAACCAUUUAAUCGAGUCAUUAAUUGAUUUCAUAUUUAAGUAUUUUUUGUAGAAAUGAUUUUUGAGGCAAUACCUAUAAAAUAUACUGGUUGGAUCAUUGAAAUACAAUGAAGAGUGGGUCCUUAAAAGAGUGUCCCUCAUAUAAGGUUAUUUGGUAUAGAUCCCUCAUAAGCUCUCUAUACAUUAAUCAUGUUCUAUUGAGGGAUCCAUUUGGAUACCUCACUGUGAAUUCUACCUCAAUGGUCCAAACCGUAUGUAUUUGAAGUCUUCAUUCAAAAAUCAUCACUGCAAAAAAUUACACAAAUUGAAAACCAUUAAGACAUUUGUGAUCAGUUAAAUCGACCAACAUGAUAUUUCAAGAAAACACUAAAAUGACAACCAUUUAAUUGAAGGGUUUAAAUGGUUUCGUAUUUGAGUAAUUUUUUUUUUUUUGCAAGAAUAAGAAUACCUAAAAAAAAUAGACAGUUCGGAUGAUUAAAAUAUAAUGCAAAUUGGAACCUACAAGAGUAUCCCUCAAAUAACCUUAUUUGAGGAAUCCCUCAACUGUGAGUGUAGGUUAACGUAAAAUUAAUUCAACUUCAUUAAUUCUUAUAAUCAGUACUAUUAAGUUCUUCAAUCCAUAACUUAAAACCUCCCAAACCAAAUAUGACUAGACUUAAUAGUCAUCCACAAUAUUACAUAAAAUUUAGAUGAAGUUGAACUUAGGAACCUCAUUAUAAUAUUCUCAUACCUGACAUGUAAUGAUAUCCACGCUGUUAAUUUGGUAUACGCUUAAAAGAAGAAAAAAAAAAAUCAAUUUAACUAAUGAUUCAAAUUGAUAGUGUGAUAAUAUACAUGUUCAAUUGUUGGCAUAAGGGACGUGAAGGUCAAGUGAUGAAGAGUAUUUAUUCAUGCACCCGAGGUCCUACAUUUGAUUCUCCACUUCCACAAUAUCACUUUGUAUAUAAAAAUAAUUGUCGGUAUAAUAACGGUUGAAAUACAAAAUCUUAGUACAUUCAACUCUAAUGAUUUCUCUACGGUACUAACACAUACUCCAUACAAACAGGGACAAAUCACCAUACAGAUACGGAUGGUGUAUUCGAUCGUAAAAGGGGUGCUACAUCACUCAAGGGAACACUCAACGAACUAUGAUGACCUAAAAUAUAGACCAAAAAUAGAUGCAUAUACAGUUUUGGUAGUUCACUGUCUCUACACACCAAAACAGCAUCAUGAAGGGCGCGUGUAAGUUUGCAAAUUUGAUUGCUUAAUUAUGAACCAAAACGCAAAAUUUAGGUAAAUCACAUGACUAGCUGUAUAGCCUUUGAAACAACUCCAAGUCCAAACCCAUCAGCCUCCCAUUGACAAAACAAAACACAUCCAAACCAUCUUUUUCGAAAACUGUUUACAUUAAAGCCAACUUGCAAAGUACACCACACCAUUUAUAAUGUUCCUUGUCGCUUUCCAAGUGGCCCUACCCCUAUAACAAUUUAUAAACACACCCUUUACCCAAUUGAUUCCUUCCUUGGUGCUUAGAUUAAUUAAUCUUAAUUAACCAUUAAAAAAAAUAUGGGUACUAAUUAAACCACGAUUAUGAGCGGCCCAUCUGGCUGAUUAAGAUCUCAUUGUCGUUUUAUUACCAUAUGGUGUGGGCUUUCUUCUCUCAAGUUGCAGAUCAGUUAAACAAAUUGGUCAUCGGUUUGUAUGUACAUCCAAAAUUCUUGAGCCUUUUCUGGUUGCAAAUUUGUAGGAAAUUACGAAUAUCAAGGAUAUGAGAAAAAUAAAAUGCUGAUCUCCAGAAGAUAAAAAAAACAUAUUGCUUAGAUAAGUAUAAAUUAGUCUUAAUUGUUUUGUUUUUUCUUUAGAUUUUCAGAACAUCUUACUUGUAGUUUAAGUGAUGAAGAACAUUUAUCCUACAUCCGAGGUUCUGUAAUGUUCGAUUCUCCCCUCCCUCCGUAGCACUUGUAUAAAAUAAAAAAUAAAAAAUAAAAAAAGAUAUGCAUGGGGACAAGAUUGGGUAAGUUGGAUAAACUGUCUCUCCCUCUUGAAGGAACAGAACAUGGUAUAAAUAAAGACAUACUAACAAAGAGAUUGAGUAAACGAGGGUCUAAAGUUGGGGUUUAGAAUUGGAAAUGUUGGGUGAACCUGCUUGUUGGGCUUCACAUGGUGCCAAUUGUUAUACUUUUAUCUAUUGCAAUGCAACGAAUUAAUAAAUGAAGCAACUUCAUUUAAUUAGUUGUGUUGAACUUCACAUCCCAUGCACAUUUGUAUGAUCAUUAACGAUUCGAGGAUAAUUAUUGAAGCCCGUAUCGGAUCUUCAAAGUCCAAUUGAGGAAAAUCGUAGCCCAUAUCAUGGAAGCCUAUACAUGUGUUACAAAGAUGUCCUCAAGCCUGCAUCGCAUUACCGUUUCAAAAUAAUUAUAAAAUAAAAAAAAAUUAUACACGUGAUAGUAUAAAUUAUUCUAAAUUGAUCUGAUCUAUAAGAGGAGGAUUCAAAUUUGGAUGCAAAAGGACGAGUUCUGACCUAACCCACAUGUUUAUCCGAAUCAAAGAAGUUAAUCUUGACCUUCAAUUUUUAAGCCUCACUAUAGCAAAUCUCCAAAUCUAACAUAAAAUGUCUGGUAACAAAAUAGGGGUUUACAAUGUACAAUGGUUUGUUGACAAUGAAACUAAAAUCGGUGGUUUUCUUUUGGUCAUUCUGCGUUACUGUCUGUGGGAGUUGAUAGUUGUUAUGCAUAAACUCAUAUUCAAUGGAUUCUGGAUGUGGCAAAAUAACUCAUUACUUUAUUCCUGAUAAACCAAGAUACACUACAAGAAAGCUCACAUAUAUGUUUGAAGGAAAAACAUAAACAAAACUUCUUAAAUUUGACAAUUCAAGAUUAAAGAAAGAUAAAAUCCCAAAAGCAGAUUACAAUAGUAGAUGAACUCUCAAUGGAGCCUAAAGAAGGAAAGUAGAGGAUCAUACACAACUUGAUUGGCAUUCAUAGCCAUAAUAAAAUCCAUAUGGGCAUAAUCCUCUCUGAACUGUACCACAAGCUUGUCCUUGUCAUGAUCUUUGAGGUUGUCCAGCAAAAGGUUCACAUCAAACACGUUCGAAAGCAGAUCCCUCCCUCCAUAGCUGAGGAAUAGAGGAACAUCUUUCGGAAUGUUUGCCAUGUUGUACACAGGAGGAGUAGGCUGCCUGUAGUGCUGCAUGUUUGUGAUUGGCAGACCGUAAUCAUACAUUUCUAUGGUGCCCUUUCUGACCACUUUCGAAAAUCAACAAGAAGCAAAAAUUGAAAUUAGAUUAAGUAUUGAAUGUAAUUAGGGUGGAUUUUCAAACAAAUACUUCAGUUUUGUAGUGGACUUUAGACCUUUAGUGUUAGGUGACCAUAACUAAACUUGGAAAUGAAAGAGACUUACUCUGAAAGAGAUGUAGAGCAUUCUUUGUCGAAGUGGUCUGUGGCGUAUGCUUAAAAAGAGCAUCAAUGCUUGAAGAACUGAGGCAGCAAUUUGGGCCUAUAGAUUGCAAAAACCAAGUCAAUCAACAGAGGAGGAAAAAAGGAAAUUCAAGUUAAAAAGGAUGAAUGGGAAAGCUUAACAUUGUAGUCACCUGUUGUAACUGAUAGAAAGUUGGAGCAGUCAAUGCCUGGUCUUGUGCAGAUAAAAUCCAAAAGUCGGUUCACCUGCCUGUUGGGAUUUUGGGAAGAACAGGAAAAUUGUUAGUAUCAUGUCAAUUUUCUCAAAUGAGUGACCAAGAAUCAGAUAGAUUAACAUUCAACCUCUUAUUUUAUUUUUUUUGCUAUCAAAAAUCCUUAUAAAUUUUACUUGAGUUUUCUACGUAAUCGUUAAUGUAAAAAGCGUCCUUGUCAACUCCUUUGAAACAAUGCAACAAAUUAUAAGACAUAGUUGAGAAACUUCUCAUGCUCUAGGCUAGCAUUGUUGGCCUCAGAGCCAGAAGAAAUUUGUGAAGUACGUAUAGGAAUUAAACUUAUGAUAUUGUCUGCAUUUGCCUUUGCUACUUAAGCAAAAUAGGUUAAGUUGCUAGUCUCACUCGUUUGGAAAUGCCUGGGAACCCAACAACGCCAGUCCCUGUUAAAUAAAACAGAUUACACUUUGGUCAGUUAAUCUAGUUCAUAAUGAAUGAACUAAGAAUCCCAUAAUUUCAAAAUAAAAUAAAAGUUCAUCGAGUUGUGUUACUUGAGCUAAAAAUAUGUCGGCAGCAGUUCUUCCAAACGGCGAUAUCUGACCAAGAUAAGCAAUUGGACUAAGCAAAGCAGCUGAUCUUAGCAGGUUUAACAGCUUUUCUUGGGAGAAGGCGGCAAGGGCAGUCAAAGUUCCCUAUAAUUUCAAUACUUUCCAAGUCUCAGUCAUACUUGUUUGUUAAUUAUAUGUGUCACAAAAAAGAAAAAAAGAAAAGAAAAAAAACCUGGAUCCAGCAAAUAUUUACCAAGGAAUGACCAACAUAGUGUAAUUUCUGUCCUGUUUGAUUGUUCACAUACUGGAAUGCAGCAGGAAGAUCAUAAGCAGUCAAUUCAUCCCAUGACCAGUCCCAGUAUGCCUACAUAUAUAAACAUGUAUCAUUAGAACGUAUAAGCUUAAUUACGAUGCAGAUUAUGAUGUGAUUAAAAUAAAAGCAAAGUGAUCGUACCGGAUCAUUAGGGCUAAGUGAUGUGUGUCCGCGGCUAGAUUCUGUCCCGCGAGCGUUGGCAAGCCAUACAUCAAAACCCUUAUCUGCCAAGAUGAAUGCCAAAGCCUUAUCCGGCUCAUUGAGCAGCCAAGCUGAAGCAUCCUGUUAUCACACAUAAAUUGUUUCUUAAUUGCUUGUUAUGCCAUGUACUGUGUACAUUUAGGGUUCAGGUAUAUGGUGGCUUAAUUAGGUACAAACCAUAAGGAGUCCAUGUUGUAACAAAACAGGCAGCUUAGCUGCUGUCUUGUUACCGGACCGACCAGCUGGAAUCCUUUGCAAGCCAAGGACAUAACCAUCUGCUGUUGUUACCUUAAACCCACCAAAAGUUACAUGAAAAAAGAUACAACAAAGUUUAAUUAGUCAAUGCCAAAAAAAGAGUGACAUAUAUAAACUGAUGAAAAAAAGAUAAAACUAAGGCUGGCAUCUUAUAAAAUUUAGUUACUUUAUGUUCUUCGCAAGCAUAGCCUUGUGUCUCCACCAAUGAUUUGCAAAUGCCACCAUCCACAUUGUUGGUUGGUUGCAGCUUAGUUCUUGUUGCUGCAGCAGCUGAAAGAGAAAGUAGAGCCACAAGAAGUAGAGUGCUCAAAGGGUUGGCCAUUUGGAGCUUAGUUUGAUUUUGAUAAGCGAUAUUGGUGGAGGGGGGGAAUCGAACCUAGGAUCUGAGGUGUAAGGGUAAAUGCUUUUAACCACUUGAGCCACAAGCCCCUUGAUGGAGCUUAGUUUGAUUCAUUGUCUUUGAGUGUUUCAGAGUGUUUUGCUUUUUAUAGUAAAUAAAUCCGAAACAAAUCGGAUCGAGCCAAACACAAGAGUUACCUUAUUUGUUGGGUGAACUAGUUAGUAAUGAAAAUAAAUGUCAUAUAGAAACCCCCCAAGACUUUGACCUCCCAAACUUUGAAUUAUUAUGAGAUUAAUGGGGAAAUUAUCAUGACACUAUAUGAGUAAAUUGUGUAAAUUCUCAUGAAUGACCCUUUGUACGUUUUGUGUAAAUUCUCAUGAAUGACCCUUUGUACGUUAAAUUGUACAUCUUAAUAUUGAAUUUCUGAAAAUUUGUAUUGAAUAAUAACGCUAGAGCAUAAAUAGAUUAGAUCCGUGGUCUAUUUUGAUAAAAACGUUUACAGACCAAUCAAUUUAUUUAUUUAUUUUUUGUAGUGGUUGACUGAAGUAGACAAAUUUGCCCGAAUUGAAGAAACACAUAAAUUGAAACGUCAACGUUUCUAGACCUGGGUGAGAGUCAAAAGAUCUACUUUGUCCCAAAUUAUAUGUUUAGCUUGAUGUCCAAGUUAUAAGUUAAUCUCAAUUUUCAUUCGACAUUUAGCUUGACCAUCUUGUGGCCUCCUUUUCCACAAUGGGUCAGCAAUGCCAGGUAAAAGGCCUUCAAGUCGUGAACUUUUACCAGAGAAGAAGCAAUGACAGUAUUUGAGGAAUAAACAUCGGCUAACUUCGUGCCAGCAGCCGCAGUAAUACAGAAGAUGCAAGCGAUGUUCCAAUUGGGUUUCUCAUGUUCAUGUCUUCUAUGGGCAAGGCCUGUUGUCAGGUUUUUGCAUGUUUUUUAUGCAAUGCAUUUUGUCAUUCUUUCCACAACCCCAAAAAAAAAAAAAAAAAGCACAAGGAGGGGAAAAUCUCAGUCAUUUUACUUAGAGCUGAAUAAUUCUUAUUACGUACUAAAGAACAAAAACUUGAAAUAACUCAAGGUUUAAGGCUGCAUGACCAUGAAUUUAAAACUCAAUUUCAACCUAGAGGUAAAUGGCCGCAUCAAAGAAUCUCCCUUCCACCGAGAAAUAAAAUAGAAAAGGCCAAGGAAGCUACUUUGAACUUAUAAUUAGUAUAUGUUGUUGGUCCUAGAUUAUCAACACCAGAGUAAACAAAAAUUCCAAUUGGCCAAUCAGCUCAAUCUCCCCCUUUAAGCUGUUUCUUCCGUUUUCUUCGUUGAUCUCUCAAACCUGGAAGGAAUAACAAUAUCAAUACAAAAACCAAAGGAGCCAACCUCCCUUCGACCCCGAAAGACAGAUAUACACAAAAAGAAAAGAAAAAGGAAAGAAAAUUUACGUGUUUUCUCCUCUUUUCUUUUCCUCCUCAAAUCCACUAUGUUUCUUCGUUUUUGUGCCAUCUCUUUCCCAUCUAUGUGCACCUGAGAGAGAGAGAGAGAGAGAGAGAGAGAGAGAGAGAGAGAGAGAGAGAGUAUGAAAUACUGGAACUCAAAGUAAUGGUUAUGGACAUAAAAAUAAAGAGAAAACAAAAGAUUUUAACUCUGCAUGCUUAUUAUUCACCCAAAUAAGAAGUCAAAUGAAAGCAAAUUUCUGUUAUGUUGACUUCAAUAUCGCUUUCGCACACAUCAGCUGCUAAUCUUAUUGUAAUUAUAGUUUACCAUGCAUCUGUUCACUUAUGAUGGCAUGCAUUCUCUCUAAUCAACAAAUGUAUCCAUAUUUUUAAAUUUUGAAAAAUCCAUGGAAAUUCAAAAAAUUUGAAGGCUUGACAAAGUAGAUAAAUGUACUUAAGUGCAAGUUUGACCAUACAUAAGUUUCAACCAUAACAAAAAAAUAUCAAUAUUAUCUGGACAUCAUGUGAUCCUCUCAUAUUGGGAACUAUUUCAGUGUGCACAACAUGAGAAGAGAAAAAGAGUAAUGAAAUCAUGCAACAAAACUUUAAUCAGAUCGUAGGAAAUAGGUAAAAUCUAUGACUUUAGCCUUUAGGUACUACCUCAUGCCCAGCACUCCGAAGUGCCUGGAGUGGUUCCACACAAUCCUGACCGAUAACUACCAAUUUACUUUUUUUCUUAUCUCCUGAGUCACUAUUGUCACCAAGUUUUUUCUUAGCCAAUUCUUCAAAUUGAUGUUGCAUGAGAGGCGAGACACCAGCCUGAAAAUAUAAAAACAAAAAAGGAUCAGUGCCGUUACUUGAAAAACACAACAGUGCAGGAGCCCCUUAUAAAGGUUGUGCAACAACCAAUAUACUCCUUAGUGGAGAUCAUAAUCAUAUUAAUCAUAAGUUUGACCUCAACUCUCCAGAAAACACCAUAAAGGGGAGAGAAGAUAGUAAUUCAGGAAUGUCAGGUUAUAAACAUAAGUGGUUAAGUAGCAAAGGAAAGGGGAAAAAACUGUACAGCAUUGUUCUGCCAUAGAAUGCUAGACAGAACAUGCAAAAGAACACCCAAUUGCCAUGAAAUGUAUAUUCUUUGAGAGAGCCUGUGAAAAUAAAGAAUCUAAAAAUGUGAAAGCCAUAAUUUAGUAAACCUACAAGGAGUUAUCCAAACAUUCCAGAUGUAAUGCUAGCAGUACAUGAAGACUUGAUUCUCAAUUCCCUUAGUUCCCUUGUGAUUAGUUACUACAUGACAUUCCUUAGUUUUAUACUUAAUCCACAUCGGGCACAUGUGACCGUAUAAAAGAAAAGGGUUAUACAUUUAUGUUAAACGAUUGACAUAUAAACGUGCAUCGAAUAAUCUGGUAUACAGCUACAAACUAUAUAAUACACGACAAUUUUGUUUCUUGGUAAACAAUAACUAAAGAUAAUAUGACAAAAUAUUCUCAAACCAGUUCUAUAAUAUUUUUCUACUCCUAUUCAAUUUUACUAAUUUUCUUUUCACUCUUCCAACAACCUGGUCACAAUUACAGGAGGGGAGUUACCCAAGUGUUAGGCAGAUAGCCUGUGCUCUUUGACCCACAAUUUUGGAAUCCAACUCUUACCAACAACUAGACCAAAAUCAUGAGGAGUUAAGUGUUGAACAGACAGCCUUGGUUGGGGUAGUAUCUACCUGCCGUUUGGGAUUCCAACAGUUUUAGGUUGGGUCCUUUACCAUUCAGGCCUAUGUGGCUGCAUAAAGGGCAUAAAGGGAUAAAUGCAAGCAAGGUAAUAGUGUCAAUUGAGAGACGGGAAGGUUCAGGUUUAUUAAAUUAGAGUUAAAAAGGAAGCCGAGACUGGAACGAAAGAAUUUUUAUGUUUUCGACAAACAGUGCCUAGAUAAAGAAAUUUAUGAGUUGGAAGGGGAGAAGAGUUUUGCGACUCAAGGAGAGACAUCAGCUUAGAGAUGGAAGUUCUUGGUGAUUAACAUAUAAAAAUGAAAUCAUUUUCGGUAUUGGUGUAUAACGAUUGGUUUUAUUUGCAUUAGAAUCAUCACCAGGUUGCUUGGAUAUUUAGAUUGAUAAAAUGGCUGGGUUAGUAGAUGGGUAUUCAAUUAAGGUUUAAUUUGGUUCAUAUUUGACUUCAUUAGAGGUUUUAAACAAUAAUGAUCAGAGAUUCUUUUGGUUUGAAUUUGCAUCUUCUUCCUUCUUACCUUCAAAAAUCACAAAAAAUUUCUAGGUUUUAAUGCUGAUAUCGGGAAAUGUCAGAACUGUCAACAAAUAUCAGGGAAAUCAACGAAAUAUCGGUGAUAUGGGGGGAAGAAAGGGGGUCGACACUCUGAAAAUCCAAUCCGUAGGUAUAUUGGCAGAUAUUUUCGUCCUUGAUUAAGCGUUUGUCUUGGUCUGCAUUGAUGUUGAGGAAAGGAAAAUGAUGGGCUACCUAAUUCAGGCUUUGGGAAAUGGUUAUGCAGAAUAAUUAAAUGAUGGGCUACCUAACUCAGGGUUUGGGAAAUGGUUAUGCAGAAUAGGCUACAAUUAUUGUUUUAAUUUAGGGUUUUUGAAGUUAGGUUGAUUUAAUUAAUUACGUUACCGAGGGUUUCUCAUAGGGUUUUAGGUCUAUAUAAAUUAAGGGUUUUGUAGUUCUCUAGAGCCAGACUUGGUUGAUGAAUAAAGUUUAUCCUUCUUGAAUCCCUGAGUAUCUCUUUCCCCAGUCCAUAAACUAAUGUCUCUCUCAUCUCAUCUUUCUAGCUCCUUCUUCCUCUACUUUCUGAAAAUUCUAAUCUCAUUUUUCUCCCUUAUUCUACCCAAAGUUCUAAAACCCCUUCUGGUACUACAUGAAUCAAGUCUACCUCUACAGAAAUACAAAGACCUAAUUUAUUGACCUAAAAUCCUAUUAGAAACCCUCAGGAACUAAAUUACUGAGAUAACCAUAUACAAGAAUAAUAAUCCUAGUCUAUUCUACAAGAAAUGGACUUUCAUUUAGUGUCAUUGCUUGGCCCUUCCUUUGGUCUAAGAAUUUCAAUGGUACUCCAUUUAAUUUAAUUAAUCUCAAUGGGUGAGAAAUAAAUUUAAAUGUCAUGCUCUAGCUAGGAAUGCUUAGACUGAUUCUUGUCUAUCUUUCCCUGAACAUCUUUCUUUUCAUGGAUAGAAGUUUCUCAUUCCGCCAAAAAAUAAAGUGAUAGUAUGAAAAUUUAAAGAAUGCAUCAGCGUAAAAACUACUUUUGCCAAGAUUAACAGCAAUUAACUAACAGCUUCUAGAAAAGAAUGUCACGUCUUAUAAAAGAUUUUUUUCAAAAAGGGAAAUACGAUGGUGAGAUAGUUACCCCUGCAAAAUAACGAUGUGAAAAUGACUUCGGUUGUAAUGGGCGCGAAAGUAAUAUCUUGAGCUCCUGUUUUCCAGACAAAAAUAGGUCAAAUGAUAUUGCCCUAGACUUUAGAAUAUGCAAUACUUGACAAACAGACGAGGUACUGCAUUAUGAAAAACAGGAAAGCUCAUAGUAUUACGCAACCUGCUGCAACUUGUUUAAAUUCAUGGAGCUGGCUUUCCUUUUCUUAUGAUUUUUCACCCUUUCUUCCUCGCUGUCAUCGUUGUCCACAACUAAUUCAAUCGAUUUUGCAUUUCUUUCAAACCAGCUUUUCUUUGAUUUCUCCUGAAAAAGAAAAAGAAACUAAACAAUUAGUAAAAUAAGGUCAUGAACAAACAAAAGAAUGUCAAACAUAUUAUAGCAAAUUAUGAGAAAAUUUUGAAAUAGACAUGAAAGGGAAUCACCAAAAUUGGUACUAGUAUGCACGUAUGACUAGAAAAUAUGCAGAUCAGCUGUAACUUAGAGAAAAGAAAAACUAGAGUAACAUACAAAAUCAUGAUUACAUACAAAGUAAGUAAGGGUCGCAUCCCAAGUUUUGGGAUGAUGCAUCGAGCUGGGCCGAUGGCACACACAAGCAGGGACAGUCCAUAUCACCUUGGUUGGGAUUGGGUCAUCUUUCAUUGAAAAGGCCAGCCAAUCAUUACAAGGCCUACUGAGCUUGGCCUUCUGUUUUGCCUAGUGGGCUUACUCUUAAACAGAUAAUAUAUGUUAUAUUUUGAUUUAGGUUCUAAGAUUUAAUUUUUUCAAAGAAAAUAUUGUUGUUUGGUGAUAAUUUAUGUCAGUUGUUUGGUGAAUAAAUAAUUAGUAACUUGAUUUUAGACCACGUGCAAUGCAAUGGAAGGUACAUAACAGAUAUUAUAUGUUAUAUUUUGAUUUAGGUUAUAAGGUUUAUUUACCAUAUUAGCCUUCAUUUUUAAAUAACAUUAAUGUACAAAUGAUAUAUAACUGACAUUUUCUGUAUUUAGGUUGACAAAGGGAGUUUCAUAAUAAUUUAAAUCAUUUAAAUUAUAUAAACCACAAAAACCCCUGUUUAAAAGUCGUGGUCAAUUCUAGGCCUGUCCCUAUGGGCCAUUCAAUCGUUUGGACUAAGGGAUAGGCCUAGGCGUAGCUUUUCCUCAUCUGGAUGGGAAAGCUCAGCCUGAACAGGAAGUUUGAGUCUUAUUAAACAGGCUGGGUAAGACCUAGCCUUUCAUACCAAAGGCCAAGUCACACUCGCCUUGCCCUUUUUGCGGCCCUAGGGAGCACUAGGCAUAGGCCUUGAGCGGCUUGGCCCACAAUGCCCACCAAUAGAAUUGCACAGUAAAAUUCUAAAUAUAUGAAUAUACCUGGGAAUCCUUCCGGAGAAUUUUGUCCAUUUGACGCGCAAGAGAUAAUCGUUUGAUGACCUCAGGCAAGUAUGCGUUGUCCAUGGGAAAUCGCUGAAAACUUUCCUGAGUACAGAAAAAAAAAACAUAUUAAGGAUAAAUUGGGGGAAGUCACAGAACUGAAAACAACAAGUGCUGUGAUUGAUAUAUUCAAUGUAUGACUACAUACUCAAUAUUUAAACCACCAUCAAUUAGCACUUAAUUUUUCCUUGAUGUAAAAUUCAAAAUAAAGCCUUCUUUUGAAAAGUGCUACCUUAGAAAAUGAUUUGCACAACAAAGCGAAUUUGGAUGUCUCAUUUGGUGCAAUUAGUGCAAUACUGCACCCAUCAGCAGAAGCUCUAGCAGUUCUACCACUUCUGUGAACAUAAACCUAGUAAUAAAUAAAUAAAACACAUUCUCCUGUCAGAAACUGUAAGAACCCCAACAAACAUGGUGAAAAGCAUCCAAAUGUUUACUUCUGCUGAAUGUGGAAGCUGGUAGUGAACAACAGUUCGAACACCAGGAAUAUCUAGGCCUCUUGCUGCAACGUCAGUGGCCACAAGUAAACCAUGUUCAUCUCCUCGAAAACGAUCGAUUGCCUGCAUUUAGCACGAUGAAGAGCAGAACGGUGUUAAAAAAGAAAUUAAAGAAUCGUGUAAAUACAACCAAGUCUUGGGAAGAGCAAAUGUGACUAUAAAAAUUAUAAAAAAGGCAUCAGAUCCGUCCCAAUUCCAGUUUGUCAGGACCCAGAUUAUAUACAUUUAAGAACGAGCUCUAGGACACAAACAUAAAAGAUUAUUUUUUUCAAAAAGUACCCAAAAAGAAAAAACCUUUGCCAUUUCAUAGUCUACUUCAUAGGAAUAUGAUGAUCAUAUUUAUUUUUAAAUAGGUAUCUGUCUCAUUAUAUAACUGCUCUGUUUAAACUACACCUACCGCCCUCAGCUCCUUGAAUCUAAAAAGGUUGAACUUCAAACUUUCUUUCCUAAAUAACCAUUGAUUGAAUAUAUCUGAAUAGUAAAGAAUUUUUGUCAAUCAUUCACAUGACCAAAUUUUACACAGAAAAUCAUAAAAUGUCAAGGCCCACCAUAUCGAAUGAAAAUUUUAAUUAAACUUUUUGUUUGCAAUAUAUUUUUGUUACAACCUUGUUUGACUUAUUUGGAAAACGAAAAAACGCACCUUCAAGCGAGCUCGCUGCUGCAUCUGAGCAUGAAGCGUCCAUACAUUUGUUCCAAGAAUGCGCAAGAGUGAUGAUACAUGUCGCAACGCUGCAACUGACGUACAGAACACAAGUGUGCGACCUUGUCCAUGAACACUUAAAAUAUAAUACAAAUAGGCGUCUUUAUCUUCUUCUGUGCAUCUGCAAACCUAAGAUGAUUAAGUAGCAUUCCACUGGAAAAACUCAUGCAAUAAAAUGGGAGAGAAUAAAAUAAAAUGACUAAACAACUUAUUCAAAAAACUGAUCCCAAUUUUUUAUUUUAGUUUUAAAGGCUUGAAUGGGUUGAGGUUAGGAUGAAUGAAAAGUGCAGACGUGUUUAAAUUAAGGCAGAGAAUUUACUCCAAGUCCAAGGCAGAUUUUAAUCUAAAACGUAAAUUGUCCCCACCAUCUAACAAUAAGAUAUGGAAGUACAAGAAAUAAAAAAUAUAUAUUCUUUUCCCACUUUUAUUUAUAAGAAAUAAAAUGAUUGAUUAAAAGAAACGCAUGCAGAAACAGAGGACAAGAAAUCCACUGCACUAAGCUAGAAUCACAAAACAAUACCAUAAGACAUCCAGAACAACAAAAUAAGGCACUAGAGAACAGCAGCUCUCCAAUCUGAAAAGACAGCUAAGAAAGAACUGCUCCUAAACUCUGAAGAAACUGAAGCCUAAUGAUCCCAAAAAUCGAACCCUCUCCCAUAAGUACUCCCCCUACCCUCCCCCUACCCACCCCUAACCACCCAAAAGAAAUAUUACACUUCCAUCAAUUCCGCUCCAUAAAAAUUACCCAGAAAACCUCCAUUACUGCACAUUUUCCCAAAACCACACCCCUCUUAAUCACGCUCCAAUAUUUGAUGAAUUUCAACCACAAUAAGGUACAGAAGUAAUAGCAUACAGUUCAAAGCUGUGAGAGAAAAUUUCACCUGAAUCACAUAACAAAAGCAGAGACAAUCCAAAAUUUUGCAAUAUGAUACUAAAGAAAACGAGUUUAAAGAUUCUUCAUUGCCAUUCAAAUAUUAGCUCCACAAAAGAUGGCAAAAUCAAAAUUACAUUUAACAUGCUAAACUAAAUCCAAAGUACCUUCGAUUACUUAAACACAAGAAUGCAAUAAAAUAAAAAUCAUUUACAGACUUUGUAAUUUACACGAACCAAGGACAUAUCUAAACAUCUAAAAUCUCCCAUGACACUCUGCUCAGUUACCAUAUCUCUUCUCCUGUUAUGUGGAGAUCUAACAAUUUCGAACAAAGAAAAGAAUCUUUAAUAGAUUUCCUACUCACAGCUAUUAUGUAAAUGUGAAAGAAAAUUAUUUAUGGAUAAUAGGUAACUAAGAAAUUUAGGCAUAAUAUCGAGCCAAGAGCAGAUUGAAGUUACAAACCACUGGCUUUUGGAGAUGCCAUUGUUUGUUAUCAGGCCUUCUCUCAGCCAAAAAAGAGAUAUCAUUACAAGGUCUGCAUUAGAGAAACAGCAACAGUGUCUUAAGGGAACCUCUUUACUAUUUAAAGCUAUUAAGUAACCUAGGUGUGACAUACUUUUCUUUAUUUGCUAAAAUUGGAAAACAUGAAGAGGUAUAGGCAUCAUAGUGAGCCAAGAGCAGAUUGAAAGUACUGAGCACUGGCUUCCUGAGAUGACAUUUUUUGCUACCAGGUCCUCUCUUCGCCAAAAGAGGAAACACUCUUCCAAGGUCUGCAUUAGAGGAAACAGUACUUGGUGUCUUAUGAGGACCUCUUUACUACUUGAAUUAUGCAACCAGUGAAAGAAAAUUUUACUUGUUUUAUAGAUAAUAGGAAACUAUGAAAGAAUGUAGGCAUCAUUGCGAGCCAAGAGCAGAUUGAAGGUACAAAGCACUGGCUUUCUGAGAUGCCAUUGUUUCUUAUCAGGUCCUCUCUUAGCUGAAGAAAAAGGAGACAAUAUGAGGUCCGCAUAGCACUACAUGUCCUAAGAGGACCUCUUUACAUAACUCUGGAAGAAAUUUUCUUUAUUUUAUAAACAAUAGGAAAUAUGACGGAUGUAGGCAUCAUAGCGAGCCAAGAGUACAUUGGAAGUAGAGAGCACUGGUUUUUCUGUGAGAUGUCAUUGUUUGCAAUCAGGUCCUCUUUUGGCCAAAAUGGGAAACACAUUUCCGAGGCAUGCAUUAGAAGAAAAAGCAGUGCUAGUCUUAUGAGGACCGUUUUAGGGAUUCACUUUCUUUCAACUUAAUGUAGAGAUAUCAACUAAUGACAUGAAGGCCUCUCCCAUAUGCAUAGGCGUAAACAGGAAGAGGAACUCAAUUGUUUGAGCAUCUAUGUAUGAUCAUUGAAAUACUUAUUGCCCAUCUUUCUUUUUGAAAAAAUAAAGUUUACAGGUUCCUAUCAUAAUAUAAGAAUGAUGCAGGAAAAGGAGAGAAUUGAGAAAGAGAGAAAGAUACGAGAAGGAGAAAAUAGAAAAGCAGUUACUCAGAGCGAGAUAAGGAAAACAAGGGGACAGAAAAACUGGGAUAAGCUAUUUGAUCAAUGUACCAAAAUCACCCAUCCUAGUACAAUGAGGCAUAUUUAUACAAGCAGUACUAAAAUAGUAAGAUACCAAAAAUACCCAAUAUGACAAGUGAUCCCUAACAGAAAUAAGUACAUAACCUUAAAUUUAAAUUUUAAUAACUAAAAAUAUAUCUAAUUUUAUACUAUGCAUCCGUCAUUAAGGCAUAGGACCACAAAUGGUGCUAGACACCAGGCAUACACCAGUUAAAGGUAUGAAGACCUGGAAUUGAUUUACACUAUAUUUUAUGAACAAUUGGUUCCCUCAUCCCAAAUGAAGGCCUCAAAAGUACAAUCACAUUUUUUUUCUGGAAGGAGUUAAAACUGGGGCUACCAAUUUCAGUACAAAUAUAUCAGGAAGGGUAAAAAGAAAACACAAACAUAUUAACAUUCACAUAAUUCAAUGGACAAAUAGAAAGUUCAACAAACUAUUUUCCCCCUUUAAUGACUAAGUACAUGUUAUUAGACAGGGAUUUGUAGCUCCAACAGGAGUGAGCACUUACCCCUGCACCCAAGGUCAAAUUUCGAAUUCCCUGUCCCCCUUUGACCUCCUUUGUACCAUUAAAAAAAAGUACAAUGUAUUACUUAAGAUGCAGUGGAUCAAGUGCAUUAACCUCCAUAUUGGAUCUAAGGUAUAAGAUGCCAUGCUCUUACUUAGCUAUUCACUAAAUCACCACUUCGCACAUGUGUGUACGUGUAUGUGUGUAUGAAAGAAAGUGUAUAAAUAUAAAUAUAUAUAUAUAUAUAUAGAGAGAGAGAGAGAGAGAGAGAGAGAGAGAGAGAGUUGAGUUCACCCAAUUCAAUGGAGAAACAGAAAUUCAGGAUAUUAUACUCAAAAUGACUAAGUUCUUAAGAUGAAUUGAAAUCUCAUGAGAAAGAGAUCCACAUGCCAGACAAUAGAUGAAUAGAUGAGAGGCACAUACUCAAUAAAUGACUCCACAAGCUUAUUUGCCAAAAUGGAUGCAUUUGUCAGAUCAAUGAUGGCAACAUUGUCUCUCAUUCCUGCUCGCUCACUUAGAGCUUCUAUAGAAUUCACCCCAUCAGACAUUGAUUGCUUUGAUUUUAGUGAACUACGCUUUAGCUUCUUACGAAAAUCAGUAGAUAGUGCUAUAGUAGCAGAGAAAACAAAUGUUUGUCUUUUCUUCGUCUGAAAGUUGGACAUCUCCACAGAAUUUUGUGCAUUUUCACAAUGGGAUUCAGUUAAUCCAUUCCUCACUGGAAGCAUGUCAAUUAUUGACUGCAAUUCGCGGAAAUGACCAUUUUCUAUCAUUCGAUCAGCCUCGUCCAGCACAAAGAAAGACAAUGAAUGUAACUGCAAAAGCAGAAAAUAAGAGUCACAAAAUUGAUUUAAACUAUACCACAUGUCAAGGGUGUAGUACAUGUGUGCAGCUCAUUUAUGCACACGAGAACAAGCAUUGCAUGACACCACAACUGCGACUAUGGUCCCCUUAUUUCUUCAUACGUUUGGAGUCACAAAGCUAGAACAGGGAUAGCCCUCCUCCAAUGAAGGCAACUGCAUAAAUACAUAAUAUUAUCAGUACUAACCUCAACUAGAUGCUUUUCUCCACCAGACAUAAGUUCCCAUAAUCUUCCAGGAGUCCCAACAAUAAUCUCAGGCCUUGCUUUUAGAAGUCUCUCCUGCUUUUCCAUUGACAUCCCUCCAACUAUUGGAACCACUCUAACAUUUGUAUCCUUGGCAACUGCCUUAAGAUGAUCAGAGACCUGGAAAAUGAAAAAUGAAAAUUCCCCACAUGCAGAUUCCAAAUCAAACACGGUUCACAAAAAUUAUAAAACCCAUAUGUUCCAAUUAUUCAAAAAGUAGUUCCGCUAUUUAUGUUGAAAAACAAUCUGGAAAGGGAUGAGUAAGCUCUUGCUUCCCAGAGAAUGCAAAAAUAAACAUCGGAUAACUUUUCAGAAAUGGAAAAUUCUGCUGCGUCCCAGCUUGUAAAAAAUUGAAAUUUCUGCUGCAUCCACUAGGAAUGAACCUUCUUUUACUAUAAAAACCAAAGGCUUAUUUUAGAAAAGUUACAAAACAUAAGGCAGGAAAACUGUUGUUUUCCAGCUAUCUUCACCAACUCCUAGACUCGAUCAUAACAAGAGAUGCAGCAGCAGGCAUCAAACUAUACAAAAUGUCAACAUAUGCACUCAUGCAACUGAGAAUUACAUGAAGAAAAUCAACUGGCAAUGCAACUGUAUUACCUGAAUUGCAAGUUCUCUUGUGGGAGUAAUAAUAAGGGCCCGUAAAAGACCUUUUGGAGCAAACUUUUCUGUUUCCUCCCCCUUUUCAUCAAACAUCUUCACAGCUUUUUCUCUUUCCUCCAACAACCGUUGCAAAAUGGGCAAACCAAAAGCUAGAGUCUUCCCGGAACCUGUUUCCGCAGCACCAAUAACGUCCUGCCAUAUAAAUCAAUUAUAAUGACCAUCAAACCAGAUAUAAUCACAACCUAUCCAAGAUCUUACACAAUAACCUUAACCAACCUUUCCUUGAUGAGCAGCAGCAGGAAUACAAGCUUUCUGUAUUGGCGUUGGUUCCUUGAACCCAAGCCGAUAUAUUGAUUUCAUAAUCAGAUGAUGGAGUCUCAACUCAUUCCAUGCAUAAUAUUCAUUUUCAUCAAAAGGCUCUUCUUCAAUUUCUUCCUUGCCAUUGCUACUGUCAUCUGGAAUCACAACACCAAUGCAUAAAAUAAAAAAGAAUAUAAAAAAAGAAACAGCACAACACAACACCAAUAAAAAGAAAUAAAAUAAAAUAAAAUAAAUUAGCAUUGGAAAAUCCCAAAAGUAUAAAUACAACACUAACCAACUGUGUUCUCCUCAGUUUCCAAGGUCUCCCCGGCCUUCUUCUUCUUCUUCUUGUGCUUUUUCUUUUUCUUCUUAAUAUUCACAUCUUCAUCCUUGUCUUUAUUUUUAACCUCAUUGCCACCAUUUCCAGCAACAUUCUCACUUCCCUGAGCUUCCUCCGGCUUCUUUUUCUUUUUCUUCUCUUUAUUCAUCUCAUUAUCAUCCUUGUCAAAUAUCUCUUCACCCUUAGCCUCAGCUCCAUCGCCAGCAGAGCCAUCGACCCCACCACGCUUCCGUUUCUUGGACUUUUUACUUUGCUUAGACUUUUCCUUCUUAUUCCUAUUUGCUAAUUGUGGUUCAGGAAUUUGUAAACCAUAUUCAGCUUCAUCAAUCUCUUCAAGCAUAAGAAAACCUGCAUUCACUCAAAUUAACAAUAUCAAAUGUAAACACCCAGCUUCUUUGAAACAAAAAACAAAAUUAAGAAAGCAAAUGCACUAACCUCCUUCGAGCUCGUUGUUGCCGACGACAUUAGAGAAGGCUUUGUCUUCGUCAAUGGGAAGAGAUGGGUUCCAUGGGAGCGACUCGAAUCGCUCGAGUUCUGCAUCUUGUUGUUGAAUUUGUUUCCUUUUAGCUUUUUUCUUCAAUCCACGCAAGAGAGGUGUUGGCAGCAUGGUAAUCUGGGAAUGUCUAGGUUUUCAAAUCAAUGAGAUUAUUGAUCCUAGAAAGUGAAAAAAGUAACAACAUUAAGUAAAAAAGAGGCUUGCACACAGAAUGCAUAUUGGGGAAAAAGGCUUUCAAUGAAGCACAUGGCUUGCGCGCAGUCAACUAUGAAAAGAAAAAAGAGGUCUUGUUUGUCCUAUUGAAAUAUCCGAAGACAAGGUAUAUAUACCUAAUAGAAUAUUCACUUUACAAUUUGACAUCCAAUUCAAAGCAGGUCAUUGUAUUUUACUGAAAUUUCUUCAAAGAAUGGGUUUCAAAAAGAGGGCAAUUUCUACAGCAAUAACCUCAGUUUACAUAGACCAAAAAGCCUACGCAUAUCAAUAACACAACAUAAAUGAGUCUUAGGUUUACUUGCAGUGGAUUCAGGAGCCGGAGAAACCACUCUGAAAUCCCAAAUAUUUAGAGAUGAGGUGAGCCAGAGACUGAAAGCAGAGAGAUGAGUUGAGCGAGACUGAGUCUUAGGCUGGCCACUAAUAGCCCUAGCCACAGACUAUUAUGCAAUUAAAUAUAUUCUAUAUGCAAGUGUGCCGUCGCACACCACAUACAGGCACCUAUUAUUAUGCAAUUACAAAAUUUGCAGUUAAUCAUGUCCAAUUAAUAUAUGCGGCAGGUUGGAAGGAUAUCAAAAUGCAGGUUUCAAGAGGCCAAAUCAAUGCAUGUCUUCAUUUUCUAAGAAGAAAAACCAUAGUUGCUAAGCCGUCAUCCCAACGAAUUUCGAUCUAUCGAGCGUACUCAGUCGCGGUACGGUAUCGAUCUGGAACGAAAAAAUCUAACGACUCAGUUCCAGAGGAGAGAACAGUACCUGAUAGAAGACGUCGCUGCUACAAAACAGUACCUGACCGCCGAGAGCAGACGAGCAAUCAAGGGCACAUGAGGGAGAGUGCUACAGCUGAUGAGCCCACGUUUGAUUCUUGGUCUCUUGAAGAUAUUGGGUUCUGAGAGGAUGUUUUUGGACGAAUAGACUCCAAGAGGUGGGAUGUAUGAUAAAGGAUAGAGGUAAGAGCAGUUUAGCGGACAGCCCAGCCCAGGCAAAAGGCCCUGGUCUCCAAAAAUCAGCUCCAGCGGUGACAUCCAGCCCGGCAAGGCCCAAGGCAAGAUAGGCAUUGACAUCAGCAAAGAAAAAAAUGUUUUAAAAAAUUGAAAACAAUUACCAAGAAAUUCGAAAAAAAAUUAUACAGCCAAAUUUUAUUUAUUAAUCUCAUAUAUAUAAAUAAAAUUAAUCCCAUGUGAAUUGUAAUUGCCCUUGAAUUACCAUGGUAAUGAGUAGAAAAGUACCCAAAAAAAAUAAAUUCUAGAGAAUAUACAAUUCAAGUAAACAAUAACUGCCCUUACUUGUCUUUGCUCUUUGCCAUGAUAAAUGGAUGGAAGUACUCUAAAGAGGAACGUACUAGAGAUUGGGUGGGUGGGUGAGUGUGUCAAUAUAAUAAAAGUACGCAUUCUGAUUUCAAGAAUUCAAUCAUGUUCUCUUGGACACUAUGGUCCAAGAAAAUUGGGUGGGUGGGUGUGUCAAUAUAUUAAAACUAAUAUAUAUAUAUAUGUUUUUAAGUUCAAUAUUAGAGAUGAAAAACAUUAACAAAAAACUCAUCCGCAUCUAAUACCGUCGUCUCCGACGCCAGUCAUCUUUCUACUUCACGCCUAGUGAACAAGAAAACACGAACCUUUCAUAAAAAUACAACAUAGUUGCAAAAACCCAAGUUUGGGUGGGUGGGUGUGUCAAUAUAUUAAAACUAAUAUAUAUAUAUAUAUAUGUUUUUAAGUUCAAUAUUAGAGAUGAAAAACAUUAACAAAAAACUCAUCCGCAUCUAAUACCGUCGUCUUCGAUGCCAGUCAUCUUUCUACUUCACGCCUAGUGAACAAGAAAACAACCUUUCAUGAAAAUACAACAUAGUUGCAAAAACCCAAGUUUGGGUUCAUGAACUGAAGAAAAAAAAAAACCAAAAUUUGUUUGUAAAAAAUUGAAGUUUUCCCAAACUGGAUUCAUGAAUCAUUCAAAUCUAACAUUUAUAAAUAGAAAAUUGAUCACAAAGGCAGAAAACAGUAGGAAAGUGACUUGGUUGUGGGCCCUCGAAAUUCAAUCGCGUUAAAGUGAGAAGGGAUAGCUUGAUGGCUCCGAAUUUGGAUCAAUAAAUUUUCUUUUGUUUUUGAAAAAAUUGAAUAUUUGAAACUAAAUCAAGAGAUGAAAUAGAUAACCAAUAAGAAUUAGAGUGAAUCUUAAACGACACAUGUUCUUGAUUUUUGUCUGCAAUGCUGAAGUUGAAGGUAGCUAUGAACGACAAUGGAGGAAGAACAUGUUCUUGGUUUUCUAAGAGAGAGUGUGUUUUGGUUGGAGUGAUUUUUAGUUUUUUUUUUAUAAGUUAAAUUAAUAUUUUGUACACUAAAAGUAAUAAAUUAUAAACAUAUUGAUAUUUAAAUCAGUUUUUUCUCAACCUUUAGAUUAGAUCCAAGAAUGAGUGACCAAACUUUCCUUGGACCUUAAGGAAAGAUCAGCACAAUCACUGGUUUUUCUUUAUUUUCUUCCAUUUCACAAACACAAACCAGAAAACCUUGUGCUUGAAAAGAGAGACAAAGACAAUGUUUCAUGAAAUAUAUUGCAUGUCGGUACAAGUUUAGAUGGAAAAUCACCAGUUAACUCAUUAAAAUAAAAUUAAAAAAUUUAUUUAAUAAUUGAAUAAAGAAGGGCCCAACCGGGUUCGAACCAAUGACCUCAAGAUUUGCAAUCAAACAUGCAGCUCAAAUGCUCUACCACUGAGCUAUGGACCCAUGGAUGAGUAAUAGUUUUAUAUUACAAUUACUUAUCUCAUUGCACUAACUUUUCAUCUCAUACAUACGCAUUUUAUAAUUUUUCUUCAAACUUCGUAAGUGAAAAAGAUCAACAAAAUCACUGGUUUUUCUUUAUUUUCUUCCAUUUCACAAACACAAACCAGAAAAUCUUGUACUUGAAAAGAGAGAUAAAGACUAUGUUUCAUGAAAUAUAUUACAUGUAUGUACAAAUUCAAGGGAAAAAUCACCAGUUAACCCAUUAAAAUGAAAUAAAAAAAAUUUAAUAAUUGAAGAAAGAAGGGCCCAACCGGGUUCGAACCGAUGACCUCAAGAUUUGCAAUCAAACAUGCAACUCAAAUGCUCUCCCACUGAGCUAUGGACCCGUGAAUGAGUAAUAGUUUUAUAUUAAAAUUACUUAUCUCAUUACACCAACUUUUCAUCUCAUACAUACGCAUUUUAUUAUUCUUCUUCAAAUUUCAAAAGUGAAAAAGAUCAGCACAAUCAUUGGUUUUUCUUUAUUUUCUUCCAUUUCACAAACACAAACCAGAAAACAUUGUACUUUGAAAGAGAGACAAAGACUAUGUUUCACGAAAUAUAUUGCAUGUAGGUACAAGUUCAGGGGAAAAAUCACCAGUUAACCCAUUAAAAUAAAAUAAAAAAAUGUUUAAUAAUUGAAUAAAGAAGGGCCCAACCGGGUUCGAACCGGUGACCUCAAGAUUUGCAAUCAAACAUGCAGCUCAAAUGCUCUACCACUGAGCUAUGGACCCGUGAAUGAGUAAUAGUUUUAUAUUCAAAUUACUUAUCUCAUUACACUAACUUUUCAUCUGAUAUAUACGCAUUUCAUUAUUCUUCUUCAAAUUUUAAAUGUGGAAAUGAUCAGCACCAUCACUGGUUUUUCUUUAUUUUCUUCCAUUUCACAAAAACAAACCAGAAAAACUUGUACUUGAAAAGAGGGACAAAGACUAUGUUUCUUUAAACAUAUUGCAUGUAGGUACAAGUUCAGUGGGCAAAUCACAAGUUAACCCAUUAAAAUAAAAUAAAAAAAUUAUUAGAUAAAUGAAUAAAGAAGGGCCCAACUGGGUUCGAACCGGUGACCUCAAGAUUUGCAAUCAAACAUACAGCUCAAAUGCUCUCCAACUGAGCUAUGGACCCAUGAAUGAGUAGUAGUCUUAUAUUAAAAUUACAUAUCUCAUUACACCAACUUUUUAUCUCAUAUUUACACAUUUUAUUAUUCUUCUGCAAAUUUCAAAUGUGGAAAUGAUUAGCACAAUCACUAAUUUUUUUUUAUUUUCUUCUAUUUCACAAACACACACCAGAAAACCUUGUACUUGAAAAGAGAGACAAAGAUAAUGUUUCACUAGCCUCUCUGCACGCGCUUCCGCGCAUGCGAGAGGUUUUUUUUUAAAAAAAUUUAAUUUAUUUUAGAAUUAAAAAAGAUAAUGGAUAUUUGUGUUCCAUAAAAAUAGGACUCAUUAUCUGAAUUUUCUUUUAAUUUUAAUUUUUUUAAUACGAAAAAUUGUGAAUUUACCAUAUUAUCCUCAUUUAAUUAAUAAUUUCAAUUCUUAAUGUUUGCAUUAACCAAGGGCAUUUUUUGGUAUUUUGAAUGUUUCACCAUUCUCUGCCUUUUGCUUUAUAUAUAUAGAUGAAAUAUAUUGCAUGUAGGUGCAAGUUUUGGUGGAAAAUCACCAUUUAACUCAUUAAAAUAAAAUUAAAAAAAUUAUUUAAUAAUUGAAUAAAGAAGGGCCCAACCGGGUUCGAACCAGUGACCUUAAGAUUUGCAAUCAAACAUGCAGCUCAAAUGCUCUACAACUAAGCUAUGGACCCAUGGAUGAGUAAUAGUUUUAUAUUACAAUUACUUAUCUCAUUGCACUAACUUUUCAUCUCAUACAUAAGCAUUUUAUGAUUCUUCUUCAAACUGAAAAAGUGAAAAAGAUCAGCACAAUCACUGGUCUUUCUUUAUUUUCUUCCAUUUCACAAACACAAACCAGAAAACCUUGUACAAAUGCUCUACCACUAAGCUAUGGACCCGUGAAUGAGUAAUAGUUUUAUAUUAAAAUUGCUUAUCUCAUUACACCAACUUUUCAUCUCAUACAUACGCAUUUUAUUAUUCUUCUUAAAAUUUCAAAAGUGAAAAAGAUCAGCACAAUCACUUGUUUUUCUUUAUUUUCUUCCAUUUCAUAGACACAAACCAGAAAACCUUGUACUUGGAAAGAGAGACAAAGACUAUGUUUCACGAAAUAUAUUGCAUGUAGGUACAAGUUCAGGGGGAAAAUCACCAGUCAACUCAUUAAAACAAAAUAUAUUGAACAAAUAAAAUCUAUAACUUAUUGAAUAAAUAAAAAAACCACUUUUUCAUAAAAGAAAUAAGUUCAUAAUUAAAAUUUGUAUGCAUAAACAUAAAUUAAAGUUUGUUGUUGAAACUUCAAACCAAACGAAACGGAAAUUGAAAAUACUGAAAAUUAAAAAUAGCCAACUUAAAAUUUCGAGUACAAUGAACACUUGAAAUAAAUGUUAAACUUAAUUAGAUGGAUUUGUUAUCUUUCUUUUUUCUUUUUAGCAAAUUGGUUGAAGCGUUUUGGAAGGGACACACAUGAGUUGACAAAGUUUGCUCUUCAGGUCCUUAGCCUUACUUGUAGUGCAUCUGGGUGUGAGAAGAAUUGGAGCACAUUUGAGCAAGUGAAGUUCUUCGGUUAAUUUAUUGUUCAAAUUUUGAUGCUUCUAAAUCUAAUUUUGUAUGUUUAUGUUCAUAUACAAAGAAAAGAAAUAGAUUUGAACAUCAAAUGCUCAAUGCUCUAGUAUAUGUGAAGUAUUAUACGACGAUAAGAGAGAGAAGUAUUAGAACGAAGUCAAAGAAUGAUCCAAUAUUGGUGAAUGAAAUUGAGUCUAAUGAUGAAUGAAUAGCUGAGGUUGAAGAACCAAUUCUACAAACUGAUCUUACGUGGCUUAAUUCUCAAGAAUUAUAUGAUGUUGAUGUUGUGAUAACCCGAUCCUAAAUUAAUAUUUAAUUAUUAAAAUAUUCAAGUAAAAAAUAAUUUUAUCCCGGGAAUAUUUUAAUGGGUUUAAAGUUGGCUUUUGGUCUGGAAAGAAUUUGGGGAUUUGAGUGAUGUCGUUGCGUAGAUUGCAUUGAGGUUUGUGAAUAUUUUUGGGUCUUUAUGAACUUGAUGCUUGAGAAAGGAUUUCGGCUACCCAUUUAAGAACUGAUUUUUAGAAAGUUGAGAAAAUAUUUGGAAAGUAGAUUUGUGGAACAAGGGAAAUUUUAUGAUAAGUUUCGGAAUAAUAGAUUAAACAGCCCAUUUUGGGCUUCACUUUGGCUCGAAUUUUUGGUUUAAUAAUAUCUUGGAAUCAAGGCUUGAUAUGGGUAUGUAUGGAAAGAGGAGAGAGAGAUGAAGAGUUUGCAUGUUGUGGCACCAGUUUUGAUGGCCGGAUGGCAGAGAUAUCUUUAUCUGAAGUUGGCUGGUUGUGAAGGAGGAAAGAUAAAGAAGAAAAAUAUGAGUUUUGAAAAAACUGAACGAAAUAUUUACGAUUAUGCCACUAGGCUUCCGUAGCUCGUAACUUCUUCGUUACAACUCCGAUUUGAGCCCAUUACGUGUCUACGGACUCAUCUCAAUGCAAUCUACGCAACGACACCACUCAAAUCCCCAAAUUCUUUCCCAAACAAAGCCAACGUUAAACUCAUUAAAAUAUUCAUGGGAUAAAAUUGUCUUUUACUUGAAUAUUUUAAUAAUUAAAUAUUAAUUUAGGAUCGGGUUAUCACAUCAACAUCAUAUAAUUUUUGAGAAUUAAGCCACGUAAGAUCAGUUGGUAGAAUUGGUUCUUCAACCUCAGCUAUUCAUUCAUCAUUAGACUCAAUUUCAUUCACCAAUAUUGGAUCAAUCUUUGACUUCGUUCUAAUACUCUCUUAGCGUCGCAUUAUACUUCACAUAUACUAGAGCAUUGAGCUUUUGAUGUUCAAAUCUUUUUUUUUUCUUUGUAUGAAUCUAAAAUGAACAUAAACAUACAAAAUUAGAUUUAGAAGCAUCAAAAUUUGAACAAUAAGUUAACCGAAGAACUUUACCUGCUCAAAUGUGCUCCAAUUCCUCUUACACCUAGAUGCACUACAAAUAAGGCUAAGGACCCGAAUAGCAAACUUCGUCAACUCAGGUGUGUCCCUUGUGGGAACCAAAUUAAACCUGAACCCUAGGUCAAAUAAUUAGGCCAAUCAAUUUGGGAAUUAUUUGACCUAAUUGGGAGUUACCUAACCUAAUUGAGAAUUACCUAAUCAAAUUGGGGGUUACUUGAAUUAAUUGGGAAAUUACCUAAUUCAAGUUGGAUGUAUUUGAUCCUCGCCUUAAUUAGGGAUCGGUUAAAUCCAUAAUCCCUAAAUACAUCAACCUCACCAACCUCACCAACUACACCAAUCCCACAAAUGACAGGACCCGACCCAAAUUCCACUUUGGAAUUCGAGCCGAACCCUGUGAGCAUAUGACACCUGGCUAAUGCCAGGCAUAAAGACCAAACUGCCCUUCUAACUAAAAAUCCACUUUUAAAAUAAUAUUAUCUUCUGCCGAAAAAAUUUGAGAGUUUUCUCUGUAAUUUACUCAUUCCCCAAAAUUUUCACCUGUCAUCAAACAUUUAUAUAACUCAAUCGUUCAGUAAGCAUUCAAUCAUAUCUAAACAAAUUAAGCAUCAUAAUAUUCUGGUUUCAGAUUGCAAGAAAUCAAAUAAAUCAAUCUGCUAAUAAAAUUCAUCUCAACUUUCAGAACAACAAUACUGCGUUGGUAAUCUCAAACAUUCUAACUCGUGGCUGCAACUUAUAACCAUAGGCUGCCUACGUACCCUUACUGAGGGAUCAAGCCACAUGGAGUUAUUUAAUUGCAAAACCACUCUAGUUCUCAAAUUUUAUCUCAGCUUUCUAUUUCAAGUUUCCUGGCAUUUCUCACAUGGCAAUAUAUAAUUAAACGAAGAAAUAAAAGCAUUUAUAUCAAGUAAUCGUGCUUGGGAAGCCAUAACCAUCAAUUCCUCGUGACACCAAUGGUGACACGUCCUGACCUGUGAUCCUCGCUGGACUCAGGAGACAUCUGGUCAACCUGGUACUCAAUCCUCGCUCCCACGGUCCGCAUAACUCUAAGACUCGUAGGGCAAAACAUGCUAAAAAACUCAAGAUAUUUAAUACUAUAUAAAAUAAUGCAAGAUAAAGAUAAAUGAACAUAAUAAAAUAAAAUAACAUAAGUUAAAGAUUAUAAGUUCCGAACACCCUUGCAUCGAACUCACGUAAAGUUCAUAAAUAAAUAAAUAAAUAAAUAAACUUAUAUAUAUAUCAACAACUUAAUGUGACGCUUGUAAAACAAAUGUAUAUGUAUAUUUCCAUCUAACACUUGUAAAACAAAUGUGACGCUUAAGAAAAUAAUGGUAACCGUAUAAAAUCCUCAAUUUAAUUUAGAAGCAUCUCGGGACUUAAAUUCUCUCCACCUAGGCGUACCCUCAUUUCUGAUCCGUCAAUUCCUUUAAUACAGUCAAUUCCAUAUAUGUCAUCAAUUCCAUAUAUCCGUCAAUUCCAAUAAUAAUCCGUUAAUUCCAAUAUUAGUCCGUCAAUUCCAUCCUCGCAGGUCUCGGAACCAUAAAGUUAACCGAGCUACAUUCCUCGCAGGUCUCAGAGAUAACACUUCAAUCUAAGCCGUAAUCCUCGCAGGUCUCAGAGAUAACCCUUCAAUCUGAGUUGCAAUCCUCGCACCACACGGUUCAGGCGUCCCCAAAACUCGUGGGGCAUCAUCAACAUAACAAAUUGUCUCAAGGCAACUGGGGGGGUACCCUCGCGGUGGGUUUGAAAACCAUAACUCGUCAUUUAUAUAAACUUUAAAUAGAUUGGUUCUCAACUAAACUUGAAAUAUAUAUAUCAUAAUCUGAUAAAAGCCAAAAGCCAAGAUUCAUCCUUUUCAACUACUGAAUAUAUAUAUAUAUAUAUAUAUAUAUAUAUACUAAACACUUGGCUAGUUUGUUAUCUAUCUCAAUCUCUGCUUAGCAUACCAUUCUAAAAUAUAUCAUUCCAAUAUUAUAUUUAUACUCCUACCACACAAUUAACCAUAUGAACAUAUAUAAACAGGUGAUAAAUAAACAGAUUAUUAAAUACUCAACUCGAAAUAACAUAAAAUCAUAAAAUUAGAACUACAACUAAACCAAGUGAAUACUCACACGCACAUGAGCUUUCUAAAGGCUCAAACAUAUCUCAUAGAGCUCAUCCUCGUUAUUUAAUCCAAAGUCCGGGCCCUGAGCUCCUAGAAGUGCGUGCAUUGUAUUUGAAGUCAUUCUCAAGCCUAUGUAAGCAUUUUCAAUUAUUAGAACGGUCUAGAAGUGUUUUGGGACUCAAAAAGCGAUAAGUCCCAAAAAGUCAACACGGGACCCCGUGGGGUCCACGGCCUCAAAAUUCCAAUCCGAGAGUUCCUAGAGAUCUUAACAUGCCUAGGACACAUGUCCUGAGAGUUUGUUCUCGAUCGGACAGUCGAACUACUCACGAUCGCACGAUUGGACGGUUACUAUAAACCUAGCCCUAUGGCUGGCCUUUUCGGAGUAUCGGGGCUCCGAUUCCCGAUCCGUUGAAUCCUACACGAUCCAGGAAUUGUCUAGCUUGACAUAUACAAGAAUAACUACGAUCCAAUGGUUCAAAUAUAUCAAACCAGGAAAUCACACAAUAUGCGAGAUCCGAUCGGGGCUCAAACAUUGUCUGAAUUGAGAUUCGCGAAUUCCUAUGCUCUCGUGAAAACACAAUGAUCAUUCUAGGACUGAGAGUGACCUCACUAUGCAGCCUACGCGCCGCCACAAGCGCUGGCAGUUAUGAUAUUAAAUAAUAUUUUAAUUUCUCAAAACCCUUAAUUAAUUCAAAUCAAUUUAUUUCCUCUUUUAAAUUUAUUCUCUCUUACUUUAAAUAUUUUAACACUUUUUCGGGCCGGAAUGUAACAAUUUCACCAAAGUCUCCCCGGUCAGCAAGUUAAGAUGUAAAUCUAUUAAAAUAUUCCGGGGUAACAUUGUCUUUUUCUUUAAUAAUUUAGUAUUUAAUUAGUAGUUUAGGACCGGGUCGUUACAACCAACCUCCCCAAGGCCACUAUAAAUACUUGGCUACGCACAAGGAUGAGGUACGUCAGAACUACUACUAAAACCUUUGUAGAGAUCUUCUCUCAUAGACCCUAGCUACCUCCUCCUCUCUCUCUCUCUCUCUCUCUCUCUCUUUUACAUAAGGCUCCGGCCGCCCGAUUUAUAUUAUAAACAUAUCUCUGUACCCUAUUAGCUAUUGUUUUCUAUACGAUUCAAUUGAACUAAUUUAGGCAUCGGAGGGCCUUUGGCCAACACCCCCCCGGGUGUGGUCAUCUUAUUUGUUCCAUUUUUGCAGGGAGAAAGAGGCGGCGAAGAAAAAAGGUGGAUCUUUCCAAUCGAAUAUUCUCAUGGAGAAAUUUGCUCCUACAAAUUGGUGCUUUCAUUGAGAGCACGAGUCAUACUCAACGCGUGCUCAAGGAAUCCGUUCCUCUUAUUUUCCAAUCAACCAAAGCCAUUCCACCAACGAUCCCGUGAUCGACAUGGUGGCGCCACCACCUCUCACCACCAUGCCAUCUACCGGACUUCCAGUUGAGACCAUCGCAUCAGCCACCGCUGCCGAAUAUGAUGGAACCUCCCAUCAAGGUGGGCUCGUUACCAACGCUGACUUAUGAUAGGACCCAACCCAAAUUCCACUUUGAAAUCUGAGGCGAACCCUGUGAGUAUCUAAUACCUGGCCAAUGCCGGGCACAAAGACCAAACUGCCCUUCUAACUAAAAAUUCACUUUAAAAAUAAUAUUAUCUUCUGCCGAAAAAUUCGGCAGAGUUUCCCCUGUAAUUUACUCAUUCCCCAAAAUUUUCACCUAUCAUCAAACAUUUAUAUAACUUAAUCAUUUAGCAUGCAUUCAAUUAUAUCUAAACAAAUUAAGCAUCAUAAUAUUCUAGUCUCAGGUUGUCAUAAAUCAAAUGAAUCAAUCUGCUAAUAAAAUUCAUCUCAACUUUCAAAACAACACUAUUGCAUUGGUAAUCUCAAGCAUUCUAACUCGUGGUUGCACCUUAUAACCAUAGGCUGCCUACGUACCUUUACUGAGGGAUCAAGCCACACGUAGUUCUUUAAUUGCAAAACCACUUUAGUUCUCAAAUUUCAUCUCAUCUUUCUGUUUCAAGCUUCCUGACAUUUCUCACAUGGCAAUAUAUAAUCAAACAAAGAAAUAAAAACAUUUAUAUCAAGUAAGCAUGCUAGGAAAGCCAAAACCAUCAAUUCCUCGUGACACCAAUGGUGACACGUCCUGACCUGUAAUCCUCGCUGGACUCAUGAGAUAUCUGGUCAACCUGGUCCGCAAUCCUCGCUCCCACGGUCUGGAUAACUCUAAUACUCGUGGGGCUAAAUAUGCUAGAAAAACUUAAGAUAUUUAAUACUAUAUAAAAUAAUAAAAGAUAAAGAUAAAUAAACACACUAAAAUAAAAUAAAAUCAAAUCAAAUAAGUUAAAGAUUUAUAAGCUUUGAAGACCCUUGUAUCCUUGUAUUGAAAUUCCUGUAAGGUUCAUAAAUAAAUAAAUAAAUAAAUAUAUCUUUAUAUAUAAACAUAUCAACAACUUAAUUAGAAUCUAUAUGUAUAUUUCCAUCUAACACUUGUAAAACAAAUGUGAUGCUUAAGAAAAUAAUGGUAGCCGUAUAAAAUCCUCAAUUUAAUUUAAAAGCAUCUCAAGAUUUAAAUUCUCUCCACCUAGGCGUACCUCCAUUUCUUAUCCGUCAAUUUCUUUAAUACCGUCAAUUCCAUAUAUGCCAUCAAUUUCAUAUAUCCGUCAAUUCCAAUAAUAAUCCGUCAAUUCCAAUGUUAGUCCAUCAAUUUCAUCCUCGUAGGUCUCGGAACCAUAAAGUUAACCAAGCCGCAAUCCUCGCAGGUCUCAAAGAUAACACUUCAAUCUGAGCUGCAAUCCUCAUACCACACGGUUCAAGCGUUCCCAAAACUCAUGGGGCAUCAUCAAAAUAACAAACUGUCUCAAGGCAACUGGGGGUACCCUCGCGGUGGUUUGAAAACCAUAACUUGUCAUUUAUAUAAACUUUAAAUAGAUUGGUUCUCAACUAAACUUAAAAUAUAUAUAUAUAUAUAUACAGUCCCCUUCAGUUGACGGAUCCCUCAAAUAGUGUUAUUUGAGGGAUGGGGUGCUUAACCGUUGGAUCUGUUUUAAUGACCUUGUGUGGCCGAGAUUGAAUUACAUCUUUUAACCCGUUUUCACACUCCUGACCCGCCACAAACUCCACUUACGCUUGGGAACGACGUACGUUAGGAAACCAAGCGUCUUUCUUCUUCCUCCAAUGCUUGGAGACCUUUCACGCAGACUAAACGACUUGAAGAAGAAGACUCACCAUCAUUAGUUGAAGAAGAAGACCCACCAUCUAUGCGACAGAGGUACGCUAUCAUGUGUAUGAAGUACAAAAAUUUUUGGAUGAGUUCUGAUAUGGUUUUAAUGGGUUUGAAGAUCAGUCCUCCAGAUUUUUAAUGGUUUUUUAAAUUUUAGAAUAUCAUGUGUAUGAAGUACAAAAAAACACAAUUUGAUUAAUGGAAUUUCGAUUUUGGGUUUCUGUGUGAUGAGUUUCGAUUUGGGUUCCCGCAGACUAAACGACUUGAAGAAGAAGACUCACCAUCAUCAGUUGAAGAAGAAGACCCGCCAUCUAUGUGACAGAGGUAUGCUAUCAUGUGUAUGAAGUACAAAAAAAAUUGGAUGAGUUCUGAUAUGGUUUUAAUGGGUUUGAAGAUCACUCCAGAUUUUUAAUGGUUUUUUAAAAUUUUGGAAUAUCAUGUGUAUGAAGUACGAAAAAGCAUAUUCAUUUAAACAAUAGAUGGUUGUUCUAGCUUGUCCAUCUUAUUUUUUCUGCAGACUUGUGCUCGAUGUAUAUAAUUAAGGUCAUUCUUCGUUCUCGGGCUUUUGCUAUGGGUGGCUUGCUGUUCAAUAGUUAGAGAAAGCAUAUUGAUUAGAUGCUGUCUGAUAAAUCAAUUAUACCAUGGUUCUUCGAUUUGGAGUUUUGUAUCCUGAGUUUUGAUAUGGAUUUUAAGAACUCAUCAACAAUUCUACAACUUUUUUUUAUUGAGUACUGUAGUUAUGUAAUUUUCCAUCAAACUUGUGCUUUCAAUUCUCCAUUCAACAUGGUUUGUGUUUCUUGUGACUCUAGGCUACUUAUUUUUUAUUUUUUUGGAGUACUGUAGUUUUGUAGUUUACAAUUAAACUCUUGCUUUCAAUGCUCCAUUCAACAUGGUUUGUGUUUCUUGUGUUUCUUGGUUAUUGAUUAAUCUACCUGGGGUUUCCCAUAAGGUAAUUGAUCUUCACUUACAUAAUAUAUUUGCAGUAGAGUGGGUUUUCCUGUUUUUUUUUUUUUUUUUCCUCUUUUCUUAAUCUAGUCUUUUGGAUUAAGGAAAAAAAAGAAGACAAGAAAACAGAAUUUCAUAUACAUAUAAUAUAUUUUUUAUCUACUCUUAAUUGAUAUUUGAGAAGAAAAAACAGAAUGUCAUAUAUAUGUCCAUGUUUUGUGAUUAAAGUGUAUCUGUGCAUGUUCUAUGGUUAAACAGAUUUGCUCACCUGUUGUUCAACUAUGGAAGCUAAUAAUGGAAUAUUAGUUCACAUGGAAACUGAUUCGGAAACAAAUCCUUCUGUAUCAAUUUUCUAUUCUCAAGUAAUUGGUGAGCUCACUCCCUUCCAAGGUCAACAAUUUGAAACAUUAGAAGAAGUGUAUGACUUUUACAAUCAGUAUGCAAGGGAAGCUGGGUUUAGUGUUCGAUCAUACUCUAGUAAGAAGAGUAAAGACGGAGAGGUCAUACGAAAAGAGUACGUUUGCAAUAAAGAGGGAAGUUGGUCAAGGGUCAUGAUGGAGAAAUGUUGUUUGAUCAUUUCAUGAAUGAGCAAGAAAAAAGUCCAGGGUUCAUAUUCAAGGUUGAGACAAAUAUUGAACACAAGAUUACUCGAUGUUUUUGGGCUGAUGCAAUCUCUAGGCAAUCGUACAAGUUUUAUGGUGAUGCGGUUAUCUUCGACACUACCUACAACACCAAUCGAUAUUGUAUGAUUUUUGCACAAAUUAUGGGAGUAAACAACCAUGGUCAGACAAUUAUUUUUUCUGGGGCAUUCUUAAGCGACGAGACUGCAGACUCUUUCAUUUGGUUGUUUAGAGAAUUUUUGAGGGCUAUGCCAGGCAAUGCUCCAAAAAUUAUUAUUACUUAUCAAGAUCUAGCAAUGACAAAAGCCAUUUCAGAAGCUCUUCCAAACACAUUUCACAGGUAUUGUAGCUGGCAUAUUUUGAAUAAAUUCUCUGACAAGCCCGAGUGUACUCUUCACUAUCAACAAUUUAGAGAAUGUGUUUGGGAUUCUGAGAGUAGAGAUGAGUUUGACUUGAGAUGGAAGAGAAUUGUUGAGAACAGCGGGUUAAAUGAAGAUAUAUGGUUGCAAUCAAUAUUUAAUAUUCGAUCUAAAUGGGUGCCAGCUUAUGUGAACCAUAUUUUCUCAUGUGGAAUGUCUAGUAGUCAGCGAGCAGAAAGUGGGCAUGCAUUUUUCAAGAGGUAUGUAUCAAAAAACAAUUCCUUGGUGGACUUUAUGGUUCAGUUUAAUAGAGGACUUUUACACCAACGACACUUGGAAUUGAUGGCAAAUCACACUGAUAUAAAUGAGAAGGCAAAAACUAAGUGUCCUAUAAUGAUGGAUAGACAAAUGGCUAAUAUAUACACACGUACUUACUUCUAUAAAUUUCAAGAUCAGUUGUGGGAGAGUUAUUGCAACAAUGUUGAGCUUACAGAAGAUAAUGUCACUCACUGCACAUAUAAAGUUGUACAUAUGGAUGACAAAAAGAAAAAAAGAAACCGGCUGAUUGUUUAUGACAAAUAUGUAGAUUUUGCAUCAUGUAGCUGUCAUAUGUUUGAGAGUUUGGGAAUCCAUGUAGCCAUACUUUGGCAUAUUUGCACAAAAUACGUCAGCUUCAUGAAUUGCCAGAUCAAUAUAUUUUGAAGAGAUGGACUAGAUCUGCUAGAUCUGAUCUUGUGGUUGACAAUGAUGGUGUUGAGAUAUCUGUUGACAACUCCUUAAUAGGAAAGCGCAGUGCAUUAUUCCAACGAUAUUCAAAUGUGAUUGAUAAAGUCAUCUUAAGUGAUGAGGCUAGUCAAAUCUUCUGUGAGGCAUUGGAUUCAUUGAUUGAGAGGAUUAAACCAUUGCUUCAUGGAGCCGAAGAAGUACUACCUUCUGCAAGGAGAAGUAUUGCUUUUGAAACUAGUAUAAAUGAAUCAGAUCCUGUAAAGCAAAAGGAAGUGGGAAAAGACUUAAGGGCAGAAAGGAGUUGGCGAGAGAAAAAUACAAAGGUCGGCGUUGUAAUGGGUGUGGAAAAUAUGGACAAACACACGACAAAAGGAACUGUCCUAUGCUUCAAAAAUCGUAAGAAUGCAAACUUAUUUGUUUUUUUCCUUUAUUAUUAUUAUGUAUUAACCUCCUGUGUAACUUUGUGAUGUUAUCUUUGACCAUGAUAGAUCUUCAAAUGUUGACAAAGAUGCUUUUCAUGGCAUGGAUAAUAGUUCUUCGUCACAGGUAAUUAUAGUUAUACACAGAACUUAUAUGGAGAAUUUUGUUGAUGACAUGGAUAUAAUCCUUCCACCUAUAUAAUUUGCUUGUUAUUGAGAACGAUAAAUUUUUAUUUCUUUUUUCAUUUACUUUGUCUUGUCAGGAUGAUGAGUUUCUUAGAUGAUGUUUCGAACUCCAGUGAUUCCACCUAUUUCUUGGGUUGUAGAGUUGCACUGACAUACUUGAAGAAAAGACUAUGUUUGCCCAAUCAAGCUUCUUGCAGCUAGCCUCCUAAUGGAAAGAUUGCGUUUGUACUUUUUGUUUUCAUUAGAAUGCCUUUUGAUGCGCAGUGUAUUGAACAAAGAAAACCAUUCAGAAAUCAUUUCAAUUAAAAGGAAACAAAUUUGUUUUGCUGCUAUUCUCUAAUAUCAUAGUUAAGUUUUGGUGUUAUAUGAAUAAAUGUCUUGGAUGAGUUUGCUAUUACUGAAAAAAUGAAACACUGAAGUUCAGAAAAAGUGAAAGAGAAAACAUGGGAAAACUCCCACACUAUGAACUGAAUAAAGUUUUCCUUACUAAGUAAAAUAAACUUAAUAACAUCGAGUAUUCAUUACAGAAGGGAAACACAAUUUUGUACAACAUCCAUUACAGAAAAGAGCUACAAAAUCCAUCCUUAUUACAGAAAAGAGCUACAAAAUCUUUAUUGAGCUUAAACGAACACCAGCAAAGAUUAGAUCCAGAGUACAUCAGAUGUUGGACUUCAAGAGUGAACGAACAAGAUUACUCCACUACAAACCUGCAAUGCAAGAAGAAACAAAAAAAUUAAAGUAAGACCACACUACAGUUAUUAAAAAUAAUAUUGAGUUUGGGACAAAGAGGCUAGCCUUGUAUUCACAAAGCCCUUCAACAAUAGAAUUGCUUGAAAGCAAAGUGGUCCUUAAAUUGAUUAUUAACUUCAAUAAAUUUCACAAGUUGGCAUCCAGCAAGUAUUCAUCUAAACAGAAAGUAGUACAAUCAUUAUCACUUUGAAUGUUUCACAUUGAUAGAAAGCCGGUAACAUUAUUAUUGGGUAGCACAUUAGCAAAAUGCUGUUCUUCUUUUCUUUUUUUCUUUUUUCUUUUUUCUUUUUUCUUUUUUCUUUUUUUCUCCUGAAAGCAGCAAAAUGUCUGAUAUAGUUCUAUACAUAUCAAAACUAUCUGUCAGGGAAAAAAGUGUAUGAAACAUCUGCAUUUCAUUUUCUUUUUACCUUCUAUUCUAUCUGAUGUGCAAAAAACAGAGCCCCAUGAGAUUGAACUAAGAUACUGAAGUAGUAUAGCAAAAUCAACAAUCAUCUUUUACUACUUUGUAACUGAGAAGUACUGUUGUGAAUUACUGGACCCUCAUCCUGAAUUGGGUUGACAUCUUGUUCUAGCAGCACUUCGUCCCUGAAUAAAUAAAUUGGGGUUAACAUUAAAAAAACUAACAAUAAUUAGCAAGAACCCCCAAAUUAAGAAUCACCCAAUGGAACCCAAAUCGAAACUCAUCACACAGAAACCCAAAAUCGAAAUUCCAUUAAUCAAAUUGUGUUUUUUUGUACUUCAUACACAUGAUAUUCCAAAAUUUAAAAAACCAUUAAAAAUCUGGAGGACUGAUCUUCAAACCCAUUAAAACCAUAUCAGAACUCAUCCAAAAAAUUUUGUACUUCAUACACAUGAUAGCAUACCUCUGUCGCAUAGAUGGUGGGUCUUCUUCUUCAACUGAUGAUGGUGAGUCUUCUUCUUCAAGUCGUUUAGUCUGCGUGAAAGGUCUCCAAGCAUUGGAGGAAGAAGAAAGACGCUUGGUUUCCUAACGUACGUCAUUCCCAAGCGUAAGUGGAGUUUGUGGCGGGUCAGGAGUGUGAAAACGGGUUAAAAGAUGUAAUUCAAUCUCAACCACACAAGGUCAUUAAAACAGAUCCAACGGUUAAGCACCCCAUCCCUCAAAUAACACUAUUUGAGGGAUCCCUCAACUGAAGGGGACUGUAUAUAUAUAUAUGUAUAUAUAUAUAUAUUAUAUUUUCGAAGUCAGCUGGGACUGGAAGAGGGAAGUGUGGUGGUUCUAACGGGACUGGUCUUCCUUCGAUUGGUGGCCGGGGUUGAGAGAUAUCACCUUUGGAAGUCAGCUGGUCGAGCUGCCAAACUGUAGAAAAUCCGGGUUUCUUAAAAACUGAACUUCAAAUUAUUUACGAUUAUGCCACUGAACUUCUUUUAAUCUUCAUUUCUUCGUUACAAUCCCGAUUCGAGUCCACUACGUGUCCACUGACUCGUUUCGACAUGCUCUACGUAAUGGUCUAAUCAAAAUUUCUAAAUUCCUUUUCAAACUUAAAAUGACCUUUUUACCCCUUCUUAAUAUUAAGUAAUAUUUUAAUUUCUCAAAAACCUUAAUUAAUUCAAAUCCUUUUAUUUUAAUGUUUAUUUCAAUUUAUUCCUCAUUUAAAUUUAUUCUUACUUUAAUUAUUUUAACACUUUUUUGGACCGAGAUGUAACAAUUUUACCAAAGUCUCCCGGGUCAACAAGUCACCAUUUUCUCUAAUAAUUUAUUAUAGGGGAAAAAUUAUCUUUUCUCAGAAUAAAUUAAUAACUAAAAAUUAAUUUAGGAUCGAGUUGUUACAACUUAGGCCCAGUCUUGGAGCAACUUCAAGCAUUCCCUCCAUUGUUUCCACGCUCCACACACUUCUCUCCUCCUGAUCCACGAAGUCAAGCAGACCUUAGUGUGAGAGUUGACCAGCUAGCUUAGAGAAUGGAGUACCAAAGCAGUAUGAUGAGGCAGCUCCUCAACCAAAUAAGAUUGGUUCAAAACCUUGGCCUUGGACAAUCGGGCGAAGAGAGAAGGAUGGACGAACGCGACGGUAGGUGAGGGACAACAACGUGAUUGGCCUGCCGACAUGUUGCAAGCAUCCGCGAGCCACACUCAGAGCAGACGAAGUCACCCAUCCAGGUUGAGCCUGAGGAACGACGUACGCGAGAGGCUGGGCCCACGACCUGACAUCCGCGCCCGCAUGGGCCUGCAGGAAAAUGUACAUCAAAGGCUAGGUCCCAAGGGAGGUCAGCCAAACAAUCAUCGCAACGAGGAUCGUGAAGAAAGACGCUCAGCUAUUCACUCGCAGAGGAGCAUUCAUGAAAGGCAAGGCCCCAUGGAGGUCAACUGGAUAACCCUCACAAUGAGGAUCAUGAAGAAAGGCGCUUCGCUUCUCACUCUCGAAGAGUCGAUUCUCACCGAUAAGCUACAGAGAAUCCUUCACAAGCACAGUCCACCAACACGCCACCUUGGCAGCGCAGGCGAGAAGGUUGACCCUCGGAGGACAAUGAGUAAGUCAGUCAACAUCGUGAAGGUCGUCAAUGUAGCCGACCAACAAUGUGUGCAGAAGACGUUGAGAAGCUCGUGAAUGAUCGACUUCGAGACUUGAAGAUCGACGGAAAUUUCGAAGAUGCACUACGUAAAAAGAUAAACCAGGCAAACACUGCGCCUUUCACUGCCGAAAUCGAGUAGGCUGCUCCUCUGAAGAGAUUCUCAACGCCUUCGUUUACACACUUCAAAGGGGGAUUCCGAUCUCCAGAGCCACCUAAAACACUUCAAAAGAGUCAUGAUCUUCCAUAAGGCCGAUGACGGGCUGAUGUGCAAGGUGUUUGUGAUGACCUUGCUAGAAGCCGCCCAAGACUGGUUCCACACUCUACCAUCCAAGUUGAUCAAUAGCUUAAAGGAGUUGGCUUACGUCUUCACCAAAGAAUACACCUCUUAUCGGACAAUCAAGAAGAACCCUGACCACCUGUACAACCUGUGCAAGAAGUCCGAUGAAUCCCUUCGCGAUUACAUCAAGAGAUUCAAAGCAGAAAAGGCUAGCAUAGUAGGAUGUGACGACCGAAUCGCGUCAUCUGCUUUCAAGAAAGGCCUUCCAGCUGAGCACAACUUGUACCGCGAGUUGACCAUCACUCCCAGCCAGACUCUGGCAGAGGUCUACGCGACUGCGAAACGCUACACGCUCUGGGAUGACGAUCGAAUCGCCGCAAAGAAAUCUACUAAGCAGGAAGAUUAGCUAACCAAGCGGGCAAGUCAAAGAAGCGACGGGUUUAGCAACAGGAACAAGGACAAGCACAGGUCGCACCCUUGAAAGGAGAUCCGGACAAGAAGGAUACUAGCAAAUAUUGUGCCUUUCAUGGGACCUACAGACACACGACGAACAACUGCUUCGCCUGGAAAGCGCACCUUGAAGAACUGGUGAGACGAGGUCACUGCAGGGAAUUCAUUGCAAAGCAGGCCAUCCAACAGAUUGAGGAUCGUGACACCGCCAAGGUGCCACUUCAGAAGGUCAUAAGGAUUAACACAAUCCUAGCUGACUCGGAGGAAUCCGGGCUGACCAGCAAGGAAAAGAAGAGAAAGAUCAAACAGGUCACUGUGAUCUCCCAAGUCUCGAUCGACCUUCCACCGGCAGAAGAUGAUCCUGUGAUGGGCUUCCAAAAGAAAGAUAUGAUCGGCCUCGACAUGCCACAUAAUGAUGCCCUUGUUAUCAGCAUUUAAAUAGCCCAGGCCAUGGUUGACCGAAUCCACGCAGACGAUGGCAGUGCAGCCAAUAUCCUGCAACUGGCAGUUAUCCGGCAGAUGGGCUUGGAGACAAAGAUCAACAAAUCGGCCAAAUCAAUGACUGGCUUUAAUGGUGCAACAAUAGUUACUGUGGGCACGAUAAACCUCGACGUCUAUUCUUCACCUGUAAUCAACUCGCAAACAUUCAUGGUCAUUGAUGAGGUCUCACCUUACAACGACAUUCUGGGCAGACCAUGGAUCGGCAAGAUCAACGCCAUAUCAGCAGCAGCGAUCAAGCAAUGUCGAGGAAAUGCUCCGCCCAUUGGGUGAAGAAAAGUAAACAAGCGCAGUUCCUCCUUGUGAGCCAAGCAGAUUUGAAGGAGGUUGAACAACUGAAUCUUGCUCCCUUAUAGCAACCAAAGCGUCAGGACCAAUCUAAGGAAAUCUGCCCAAAGGCCUUUCCUGAAGAAGGAUGGAAAUCCGAAGAGGAUGUUGAGUUAAUACCCUUAGAUCCUAACCAGCCAGACAGAAAGGUGCGGGUCGGCUCGCCCUUAAGACUAGACGAGAAGGUAGAGCUACCCACCUUCUUCUUGAACAACAAAGACAUGUUCGCAUGGUCGCCAUUGGACAUACCCGGCGUCGACCCGAACAUCAUUAAACAUCGACUCCACCUCAACCCUGCCAAUAAGCCAGUGGCGCAGAAGAGACGCAACUUUGCUCCUUAGCGAGUCGCUGUCAUCGAAGCCAUGAUUGACAAACUCCUAGCUGUCGGCUUCAUCGAAGAGGUCUCCUACUUAGAAUGGUUACUAAUGUUGUUCUGGUGGCAAACAAGAAAAGGGCAAAUGAAGAGUCUGCAUUGAUUACACUAACCUCAACAAAGCAUGCCCUAGAGACAACUUCCUAUUGCCGAGAAUCGACCAACUCGUGGAUUCCACUUCUGGCAAUCAGCUGCUCAGCUUCAUGGACGCCUACUCUGGCUAUAACCAAAUCCUAAUGCAUGAGGACGACAAGGCGAAAACUUCUUUCAUCAUCGAGAGAGGGACCUACUACUACAAGGUCAUGCCAUUUGGGCUGAAGAACGCCGGAGCAACCUACCAAAGGCUCGUGAAUAAAAUUUUCAAGGAGCAGAUCGGCAAAACUAUGGAAGUCUACGUGGAUGACAUGCUGGUCAAGGCCCCAAAGCGUGCGUAUCACAUCAAAAACCUCACCGAGGCAUUCAGCUUGAUCCGCCAGUAUCGCAUGAAGUUGAAUCCAAGUAAAUUCACUUUUGGUGUAUCCUCUGGCCGAUUCCUGGGAUACCUAGUCACACAACGAGGUAUCGAGGCACACCCUCGACAAAUCAAAGCCAUUCUCGAGAUGAAGUCGCCUUCCACAGUGAAGGAAAUACAAAGUUUGACGGGCAGAGCAGCGCCCUCAACCGAUUCCUCUCGAAAUCUACGAACAAGUGUAGACCAUUCUUCAAAGCUUUGAAGAAAGGACAAAGAGACAAAUGGGAUGAGGAGUGUGAAGUAGCUUUCCAGAAUCUGAACACUUACCUCACUUCACCUCCCUUGCUCUCACAACCAGUUCCUGGUGAAGAUUUAUUUGUGUACCUAGCAUUGUCCAACUCAGCCGUCAGCUUAGCUCUCAUCCGAGAAGAAUUGGGGGCCCAACAUUCGGUAUUCUACACGUCAAAAGCUCUCCUCAAUGUAGAGACUUGCUACCCGAAAUUAGAUAAGCUCAUUUUGGCUUUUGUAGUUUCCGCGAGAAAGCAGUGACCCUACUACCAAGCUCAUCGAGUCAUCGUCAUGAUCGACUUUCUCGAAGAUUUUAAUCAUACACAGCCUUGACGCUUCUCAGCGACUCAUGAAGUGGGCUAUAGAGCUAAGCUAGUAUGACCUCUUUUACCGGCCAAAAACUGCAAUAAAAGCCCAAGCUUUAGCAGACUUCGUAGCAGAAUUCACCCCGUCAGCUGAAGAAGAGAAGCUGGUCGACAAAAAGAAGGAAAGUUAGAAAGCAGAAGGAACAUCCGCUGAACCUAGCCAACUCAAAGACAUGUGACAAUUGCGCAUAAACGGAGUGUGAAACCAAAAGGGAGUUGCAGCAGGUGUCGUCAUCACCAUCACGGAUGGAACCCUGUUGGAACAAGCUAUAACGCUUGGCUUCCCUACCUCGAACAACGAGGUAGAAUAUGAGGUAUUGCUCGUUGGCCUACGCUUGGCAAAGGAACUCGCAAUCAAGAAGCUAGCCGUCUACUCAGAUUCCCAGUUGAUCACGAACCAAGCCUCAAGUGAAUACAUGGCAAAGCACCCAAGAAUGAUCUUGUACCUUGACAAAGUCCAAGAGCUAUUGAAGGUGUUUCAUACCUUCACCAUCCAACAAGUACCCUGGGCAGAGAACGCGCAUGCAGACGCACUGGCUAGCCUAGGGUCAGCGCUGGAUACCAAAUUCAGACACUCCAUCCCGGUCGAACACCUUGACUGACCAAGCAUUGAAAAAAUAGAGCCGAUCGACACAAUGUAGAUUGACGAGGACCCUAGCUGGCAAGACCCCAUCAUCGACUACUUAAUGAAUGGAAACCUGCCGACGGACAAGUUCGAAGCUAGAAAGAUCCAGCAGAAGGUCGCGAGAUACUACAUGCACUGCAACAAGUUCAUCUGCAGAUCAUACUUCGACCCUCAUCUCACCUGCAUAAGUACCCUCAAACAGUUGAGGUCCUAUGCAAAAUUCACGACGGUGAGUGUGGCAACCACUCUGGGGCUAGAUCGCUCCCCUAGAAGGCUCUAAACAUAGGCUACUUCUGGCCUACCAUGUGUCACGACUUUGCUGAAUGUGUAAAGAAAUGUGAUCGUUGCCAGCGAUACAAGCCGAUCCUUAACCCGCCUGCCGAAGUUUACCAUCCGCAAAACAGUCCAUGGCCAUUCAUGCAAUGGACCAUUGACCUAGUGAGUCCCUUGUCACCAGCACCUACCAAGAAGGACAUGAUGAUCGUCGCCACCAACUACUUUACUAAAUGGAUUGAGGUCGAAGCUCUAUCCUUUACUAAAGAAGCCGAUGUGGAGCGAUUCAUUUGAAGAAACAUCAUCUGCCGGUUUGGCUACCCACAGUCGCUGGUUCCCGACAAUGGCUCACAAUUUAUUGGCAAGCAGAUCACCGCAUAACAGUCGCCCAUAAGGAGCGUCCUAAGGGAGAUGCAGGGCGACGAUCAGAAGCGUCCUUCGGUAGAUGCAGCCCACUAAGAAGCGUCCUAAAUGAGACGCAGGGUGCGCCAGGAAUUUCCUAAGGGAGGUAUCCAAGUUCUUAUCCUUUCUCUAAGCGGAACAGGAUAGUCAUACAGUUGCCCAUAAGGAUCGUCCUAAGGGAGACGCAGGGUGGGCCAUGAAUUUCCUGAAAGAAGGUCUCCAUGCUUUAUGAGGGAGGUAUCCAGGUUCCUAUCCGUUUUCUAAUGGAGGCAGGAUAGUCACACAGUUACCCAUAAGAAGCGUCCUAAGGGAGACGCAGGGCGACGACCAAGGCAUCUUAUGGGAUGUGCAUAACACGCUCGGAGUCCCUCAAGGGGGACCCUGGCACUCGCCAACUUCCUAAGGGGAACCAUCUUACUUGAUAUGCAGAGCACGCCCGGAGUCCCUCAAGGGGAAUCCUGACAUCUAUAAAUUUUCUAAGAGAGACACACCGUCAAGAUACUGGCUGAUUACUCAAGCAGUUCACAAGAGAAUAGGCAAAUUGAAGUUGAAAAAAUAACUGAAAUUUCCCUAAGCAAGCUGACCAACGGGCCAAGUUCAACAAAAAGAAGAUGGUCAAACAAGACCAAUUAUCCUAAACGAGAAAGCAGACUACAAAAGCUGAAAAGAAAUAAAGAAGUCUUCAUCUACUCCAAGACGCCAGUAGGAGAUUCCUGAUCUACAGCCUCUUCGGCGUCCGUCUGAUCAAUCACGUUCUCAGUAGCUCUACCUACCUGAUUCGCGAUGUCUGUCAUUACCUCAUUUGCUGCAUCCUCCCCUACUUCAUCUUCUUCAGCUACCGCAUCUUCGACCGUUUACUUUUCAGCUCAUUCCUUGUUCACAACAUUAACAUGCUCACUAUGCAUAGGAAGCAAGUCAAAACAGAGCAUCUCGAUGUCUCCAUCUUCAAUGGCAUAUAAGGCAUCAUUUCCAUUUGAGCAGUCCAAGUAGCCCAGCUUGUACGCAGUCAUGCAUUUUUGCGCUCAAGACAGAAGUAGGCAUCUCUUCGAACCAUGUCAGCAACAGAAGAUGGGGCAACAUUAGACGAGGUUCAGAUAGUUUCAACAGCAAGAACUACUCCAUUUUGAAGCAGAUGAAAUGUUGCUUCCCUUCAUUUUUACAAAGGAAGACUUGAGACUAUCUCAAGAUCACCAACCUGAUGGAUAUGAUCAACCAGCUUGAAGAAAGCAAACGGACUUGACAGAAAGUUCGUCUUGAGCAGAUCAGACACAAUUGCAUCCCCUACAGGGCUGGACUUGUCCACAUUGGGAUUAGUCGCUGACAUUGCAGAAGAGCCUUUUGCCCGGGGAGAUGACUCUCUCAUCUCCUUAGCUGCCGUCAUCCUUACCUCAAACGAAGUCAACUCCACACUUGACUGCUCGUGAUUUAACAGCUGGAUCAUGAGAAGACCUUCCAGUUUAGUCUCCAUCUUUUGACUAAGGCAGACGACCUGAACUUUGAAGAAGAAUGCCUGCAUCUAUUUGCCUCUCAGUAGAUGAGCUAGAUCGAGCACGUGCUAUUCUACAGAGCAGAUUAUGGUUUUCAAACUUGUCAGCAGGAGGCUUGAGUAGAACAUCUUGAGCACUGCGUGUACCACCAACGUUCCUGCUAUCAGCAGAAACAAGAUAUUUGACCUCAGCAGAUGACAAUGGAACAGACCCCACUUGAGUCUUCUCAGCAUAAGGGAGCUUUGGAUUCUUCCUCAAUGGAUACACAUUCUUAGCCUACGAAGAAGUAGCUUCAUCUCUUGAAGACUUGGCAAUAACCUUCUUUUUUGAAGGGGGUUCCGGCAAAACACUCCCCCUGCCCAGCCUACAGAUCAUCAGAGUCUAGACUAUUCUGCUUCCAUCUCUCAACAUCCUGGGCAAGGGGCAGACCACCGACUUCCUCCCGAUACCCGCUCAACUUAUGUGGCUAGCAACGCAUGACGCCAAGCACGCUCCAACCUAGACCUACGACGAUAGGGAGCAGCUGGUCCACCUGCGCGCACCUGCUCCACCACGGCUGCCGCUAACUGCCAGCCAUUGCCAUGACGACAACCAGCCAGGCUUCCCCAAACUGGCUUUUGCAGCAAAAAAAAGAAGAAAAGACGAAGAAAAAGAAACAUACGUGCUCGACUUACCUUGGGAUGCACGGCGACUCCUCUCUUCGACAAGCAGUGCGAAUUCUCCAAGAUCUCUCUCAAGUUAGAAAGUAUAGAAGUUAAGUUUGUAAUGUGAAGAAGAGUGAAGAGAAGCCCUGCGUUUACACAGAUUGGGCAUCCUAGGUCAAGAAGGAAUCGCAAGCCCAUUCCUAUUGAGAACCCAACUCCAAGAACAGUCAAAAGCUCACUCCAAUUAGGAACCCAAUUUGCAAAAGGAAUCCAACUCACUGAAGGAAGCUCAGUUACAGCUAGAUAGCCCAACAUAUAAUUUACAUCUCCUACAUGCAACCACUCGCCAUACAGAAGCUGGGGGGCAUUUGUGGGAACCAAAUUAAACCUGAACCCUAGGUCAAAUAAUUAGGCCAAUCAAUUUGGGAAUUAUUUGACCUAAUUGGGAGUUACCUAACCUAAUUGGGAAUUACCAACCUAAUUGGGAAUUACCUAAUCAAAUUGGGGGUUACUUAAAUUAAUUGGGAAAUUACUUAAUUCAAGUUGAAUGUAUUUGAUCCUCGCCUUAAUUAGGGAUUCGGUUAAAUCCCUAAUCCCUAAGUACACUAACCUCACCAACCUCUCCAAGACUACUAUAAAUACUUGGUUAUACACAAGGAUGAGGUAUGUCAGAACUAUUACUAAAACCUCUGUAGAGAUCUUCCCUCACAAACCCUAGCUACCUCCUCUCUCUCUCUCUCUCUCUCUCUCUCUCUCUCUCUCUCUCUCUCUCUCUCUCUCUCUCUCUCUCUCUUUUACAUAAGGCUCCGGCCGCCCGGUUUAUAUUAUAAACAUAUCUCCGUACCCUAUUAGCUAUUGUUUUCUAUACGAUUCAAUUGAACUACUUUAGGCAUCGGAGUGCCUUUGGCCAACACCUCCGGGGUGUGGUCCUCUUAUUUGUUCUAUUUUGCAGGGAGAAAGAGACGGCGAAGAAAAAGGGGGAUCUUUCCAAUCGAAUAUUCUCGUGGGGAAAUUUGCUCCCACAUCCCUUCCAAAACGCUUCAACCAAUUUGCUAAAAAAAAAUGAAUAACAAAUCCAUCUAAUUAAGUUUAACAUUUAUUUCAAGUGUUCAUUGUACUCGAAAUUUUAAGUUGGCUAAAGUGGGCUAUUUUUAAUUUUCAGUAUUUUCAAUUUCUGUUUUGUUUGGUUUGAAGUUUCAACAACAAACUUUAAUUUAUGUUUAUGCAUACAAAUUUUAAUUAUGAACUUAUUUCUUUUAUGAAAAAGUGGUUCUUUAUUUAUUCAAUAAGUUAUGUAUUUUAUUUGUUCAAUAUAUUGAAAGAACCGUGACUUUCACUCUUCCUUAGCAAUUCUUGAAUAGUCCCUUUCUCUUGGACCCUAAGGUCCAAGGAAAGUUUGGUCACUCACUCUUGGAUCUAAUCUAAAGGUUGAGAAAAAACAGAUUUAAAUAUCAAUAUGUUUAUAUUUUAUUACUUUUAGUGUACAAAAUAUUAAUUUAAUUUAAAAAAACAAAAACUUAAAAAAAUUAAAAAUCACUCCAACCAAAACACACUCUCUCUUAGAAAACCAAGAACAUGUUCUUCCUCCAUUGUCGUUCAUAGCUACCUUCAACUUCAGCAUUGCAGACAAAAAUCAAGAAUAUGUGUCGUUUAAGAUUCACUCUAAUUCUUAUUGGUUAUGUAUUUCAUCUCUUGAUUUAGUUUCAAAUAUUCAAUUUUUUCAGAAAUAAAAGAAAAUUUAUUGACCCAAAUUCGGAGCCAUCAAGCUAUCCCUUCACACUUUAAUGCGAUUGAAUUUCAAGGGCCCACAACCAAGUCACUUUCCUAUUGUUUUCUGCCUUUGUGAUCAAUUUUCUGUUUAUAAAUGUUAGAUUUGAAUGAUUCAUGAAUCCAGUUUGGGAAAACUUCAAUUUUUAACCAACAAAUUUUGGUGUUUUUUUUUUCUUCAGUUCAUGAACCCAGACUUGGGUUUCUGCAACUAUGUUGUAUUUUUAUGAAAGGUUCAUGUUUUCUUAUUCACUAAGCUUGAAGUAGAAAGAUAACUAGCGUCGAAGACGACGGUCUUAGAUGCAGAUGAGUUUUUUGUUCAUGUUUUUCAUCUCCAAUAUUGAACUUUAAAAAAAAAAUAAAAUUAUUAGUUUUAAUAUAUUGACACACCCACCCAACCAAUUUUCCUUGGACUAUAGUGUCCAAGAGAAUAUGAUUGAAUUCUUGAAAUUAGAAUGCGUACUUUUAUUAUAUUGACACACCCAUUCACCUAAUCUCUAGCACGUUCCAACCAUUUGACAUGACAAAGAGCAGAGGUAAGUGAGGGCAGUUACUGCCAUCUUUUGCCUUGGGCCUUCCCGGGCUGGAUGUCACCUCUGGAGCUGAUUUUUGGAGACCAGGGCCUUUCGCGUGGGGCUGGGCUGUCCGCUAAACUGCUCUUGCCUCUAUCCAUUUAUCAUACAUCCCACCUCUUGGAGUCUAUUCGGCCAAAAAACUCCUCUCAGAACCCAUUUAUCUUCCAAGGGACCAAGAAUCAAACGUGGGCUCAUCGCUGUAGCACUCUCCCUCAUGUGCCCUUGAUUGCUCGUCUGCCGUCGGCGGUCAGGUACUGUUUUGUAGCAGCGACGUCUUCUAUCAGGUACUGUUCUCUCCUCUGGAACUGAGUCGUUACAUCUUUUCCUCUGGAACUGAGUCGUUAAAUCUUUUCGUUCCAGAUCGAUACCGUACCGCGAUUGGGUACGCUCGAUCCAGAUCGAAAUUCGUUGGGGAUGAGCGAAUUAGGCAACUACGGUUUUUCUUCUUAGAAAAUGAAGACAUGCAUUGAUUUGGUCUCUUGAAACCUGCAUUUUGAUAUCCUUCCAAGCUGCCGCUUAUAUUAAUUGGACAUGAUUAACUGCAAAUUUUGUAAUUGCAUAAUAAUAGGUGCCUGUAUGUGGUGUGCGACGGCACACUUGCAUAUGUGCGACGGCACACUUGCAUAUAGAAUAUAUUUAAUUGCAUAAUAGUCUGUGGCUAGGGCUAUUAGUGGCCAGCCUUCUUAAAGCUUAUAUAUAUAUAUAUAAUAAGUAAUAUGUUUUUUCAUAUUAUAUGGGUUUUGGGUAUUGAUUUAGUGGCUGGGUUAGUGGAUGUGUGUUCCAAUUAAGGUUUAACUUCCUCUUAAUUUAACUUAAUUGCAUAUUUUAACAAAAAAAUUAUAGAUUUUUUGGUUUGAAUGUGCAUCAAUUGCCUUCAACAUUCCAGGUUAGGUCAUAGGGCACCCAAUGCUUGGUGGGUAUGUCUCAUUCAUGCAUUCGUUCACUUCCAGCUCGGAAGAAGAAGUUUGGUUUAGGCCUCCCCCAUAAUCCACUUAAGAGUAACACUAACUUGGUCCCCAACUUGUACACAGAGAGACACAGACACCCAACUAAAUUUGGUAAGAUUUUUUUUUUUUUUUUUUUUCAUGCUAUCAAUUCUGUAUGUCGUCUCUGUUUAAUUUCCAAGAGUAGAUGCAAAUAUAUGUGCUUGAUGAUUGUUUUCUUUCAGGAUCGUUUACCACUGCCUUUUUAAAUCAGAUUCGCAUACCAUCCUUGGGUUGGGUUCAGUGGAGGUCAAUCUCAAUCUUGCAUCCUUGUAUCCUUCAGGCUACAGGGAAACUUUGCACGCUACCCACUAAUGAACUGUCUGAUUCUGAUUCUUCCAAUGAUGCAAUUGGUCAUUUGGAGGAAUCCCAUGUUGAUUCUGAUGGGGAUGUUACUACCAAGACAAUUAGGAGGGUCUACCAAACACCAGUGGAUUUCACCAAAGUGAACAAGAAUCUGCUUCCAACUGUAGUUCUUAUUGGGCGUCCAAAUGUGGGCAAGUCAGCUUUGUUUAAUCGGUCAGUUUUUCCUCUAGAUGUCGGUUUUUUUUUUUUUUUUUUUUCCUUUUUUCUUUUUCCUUUUCUUUUCUCAUUAUGCUAUUUUUUGAAAUUAGUAUUCUAUGUGUAUUUUCCAAAAUUUGGUUUUACUUAUAUUGGCGUAGAGGUUGUAACUUGUAAUAUUCUCAGCCUUGUUUUCUAAUUUUUUUAAAUUUUAUUGUAGUUUAAUCCGGAGGCGGGAGGCCCUUGUCUACAAUACACCAAAUGAUCAUGUUACUCGUGACAUAAGAGAAGGCAUUGCAAAAUUGGGUGAUCUACGAUUUAAAGUAUUGGACUCAGCUGGCUUAGAAACGGCAGCAUCUUCAGGGUCUAUUCUUGACAGAACAUCAGGAAUGACCGCAAGUGUUCUUGCAAGAUGUCAGUUUGCUGUUUUCCUAAUAGAUGUGAGGUUAGUUAUUAUCAUUACAUGGAGCUAGCAUGUCUUUAAUUAUGUAAAAAUUAAAAGAGUUUUUCUAGCGACACCGUGCAAGUUUUUAAGUUGACCAAACAAAGCUUUUCUAUAUGGGAUUAUUGGCUGUGAAUAAGAAGCCUUAUAUUAUGUGAUCUAAUAGAUAAGUCACAUUUGGUUGACCAGGGGGUUAUAUUUUAUAGCCUUUCUAUUGAAAUUUUGUAGUUCACUGUUGUAAUUUGAAAGAAUUACUUGAGUGCUACCACCCACCACAACACCCCAUCCCUCCAGUUUAUCUUUUCCUUUUGAAAGAAACGUUUAUUUAGUCUUUUGGUGUUAACUUGUGACUAGAGCUGGACUGCACCCCCUUGAUCUGGAGGUUGGAAGGUGGUUGCGCAAACAUGCACCUGGAAUCAAUCUUGUAGUUGCCAUGAAUAAAUCCGAAUCACUUCUUGAUGGUAGUGGCUCUCUUAUGGCAGCUGCUGCUGAAACUUAUAGGUUAGGAUUUGGUGACCCUAUUGCCAUAUCAGCUGAGACUGGACUAGGUAUGCAAGAUCUCUAUGGGAGUCUAAAGCCUAAGCUUGAGGACUAUAUGCUCCAAGUAUUAAACAGUAAGGAAAUUUUUAUGCUUUUUUUUUUUUGUUGCAAUAAAGUAUUUAUUCCAUGCAGUCCAUGAUGUAGAUGAACUUUUUGAAACAUUAUAUAGUCUUCUAAUCUCUAUCGUCACUCUUAGCAAGCUUGCACUGUGCAACCAUAUUUACUCUUCAGAGAAAAUUAAUGAAGAUUAUCAUGCCUCUUUAAAACUUGGAUUGGGAUUGCAAUGGUAGUGUUCACGCAUCUAAGCAUGUCAAAUUAUUGCUCUAUGUAUAGCAACACUGCUUACUUUAUGAUUUUCUUUUUUAGUGAGAAACAACUUUCAUUAAAAAGUGCAAGGGCAAAGAGGAUAGGAACGAUGUUCAUAAAAAACAAAUCUACCAAAAUAUCAUACACAAGAAGAAUACCUUCCUUUAUCUCAAAACUAAUCCCUCCCCCUCCCCAUAUCUAGCAUAAUUACAGUGAAAAGAAUAUCCUUAAAAAUGCUUUCACAUUGAUACCCAACAAUCCAACAAUCUUACUCUGUUUAGUUUGUUGGACCUGAACCUUUGGCUGAUGUUUUAUUUGUCUUUAAAUAUGUUUGAUGGAAUAGUACUGUAAUGAUGACUACUUAGUCCAAUAUCAAUAAACUGCUAUCUCAUAUUUUGGAUACUGUAAGUUUAUACCCUUGUAAAUAUUUUAUGUAUAGUUUUAAACUGCAAACAAGCUGCUCUUUAACGGCAUCAUCAUAUUCUUUUAUUGCUUUCUUGAUGACUUGGUCAAUUUUUAUGCUAACCUAGUUGAUAGCCCCUUUUUUUCCCUUCUUUCCUGAUCCUAGAUGAAGAAGGCACUGAAGAGACUAAUUUCAGUGAGGACGGCAGCUCCUGUGAGCUUGAGGAGAGUAAGUUGCAAUUACAGUUAGCAAUUGUAGGAAGACCCAAUGUUGGGAAGUCAACCUUGCUGAAUACAUUGCUACAAGAAGAACGGGUGCUGGUGGGUCCAGAAGCCGGUUUGACAAGAGAUUCAAUUAGAGCUCAGUUUGAAUUUCAAGGGAGAACGAUAUACCUGGUACAUGUUAUAUUAUUUGUUUCGUGUUGUUUUUCCCCCCCCUUUUUUGCAGUCAUACAAGAUUAUUUGAUUGCACCAUCCCUCUACCACCUUUCCAAUUAUCUAGAGAAGUAUUAUGCUUAUUGAAGUCUAAACUCUCACACUCAGGUUAACUGUUAAUUUAUUGCCUUUGUUUAUAUUCUAAUCGUACAUCUGUAGUUUUCGUUAUUCUCAUGUCAUGCUCUUUAUAACCUUGUCUUAUAUAUGUCAGAGAUUGUAUUCCAUCUGAGCUUCAACUUUAUCAUAUAUAUCAAAAUCGUAUUCUAUUAGAUUUCUUCACAAAUAUAGUUGAUUCCAUUUUGUUAUAGUGUCCUUGAACAAGAUUCGUGGGAGCGCUUCUUUGUUAGUGCAGGGCCUGAGUGAGAUUAUUAAUUUUAUAACUUUCUAAUUCUUGGCUAGAGAAAUCAAUAGGUGCUUUAGGAAUGUGAAAAUUUCAAAGAUAUUUCUUUCAAGCAUUUCCUGGUUUCAAAAAUGAAUGAUGUAGCUUUUUAUGGAUUAGAAGAAAUAUUUUGCAUGGGAAGGGGCAUGGGCAUAACACAUGCAAGAAAUAUGUGCAGAGCCGGAUUAGAGUACUGUUGGUUGUAACAACCACUACCCCUCACUUUUGAUCUCUAUCUUGAGUACAAGAUUUGUAUCCUUCUUGGCAUAUUUAAUGUAUAUUCAUUACCAAACGUGUCACAUCUUGAUAAAGUUUGCCAGUUGCACUUUCUAAAUUUAAUUAUAUCUUUUGUAUUAUGUUUUUUUUUUCAUCUUCUCAAGUUUCAUGUAUAUUGCUUGAUUUAUUUGAUUUUAUUGUGGCUAAAUUCAGGUCGACACUGCAGGUUGGUUGCAGAGAACAAAAAUGGAGAAAGGACCAGCAUCCUUGAGCAUUGUGCAGACAAGAAAGAGUCUAAUGAGAGCUCAUGUAAUCGCUCUGGUCCUUGAUGCAGAAGAGGUGUGUCAUACAAUAUGUUUUCUUUGACGAAAAUUUGAUAGUGUGUGAUAUAUUUAGAUGUCUACUGUGAAAAUGGCAAAAUUAUCUAAGAUGGAAAGAAAAAGGUCUCAAGUGUGUACAGUAGUGUUAAUGAUGAAAUAUGAGGCUUUGCUGGUAAGUGGUUGUAGAGGUUUCAAAAAGAGACAGUCUCCCUAUGAUAUACUGUAAUCCGGAGUAAAUAUGGGCUGCUUGAGAAUGGUUGGGACCCAGCAAAGGGAGUCUGUCUCUGUUUGAUGCUUCAUGCAGUGCAUUGUUUGGAGAGAGGUUUAAUUUAUUCGGAGGAAAGAAAAGCAGAGAAGUUCUGGGAAGAUGUGCUAUGUUGGCAGUUUUUUGGGUAGUGUGGAUGGAAAGGAAUAUGAGAGUUUUUUUUUUAAUAAUGUUAAGGGUGAUGAGAUAGGUCAGUUAUGGGAUCCUUAUGGGCAUCAAUGUCUUCAAAGUUUAGGGAUUAUACCUUUUAUUUAAUAUAUUUGGAUUGGAAAGCAGUAGUAUAUUAGAGAUAGUUUUUCAAGUGAAAUGUGAUAGGGAGGUGUCUUAGUUGCAAGAUUCUGAUUGUUGUAUAUUUGGUGGAUCUCUUGUUCACCGACAUGUACUUUCUUGUUUAAGGUUUAGUGUACUUUCUUGGUUUUUUUAUAAAAAAUUAUGGUUUCUUAUAAAAAUAAAAAUAAAAAGACGAAACAUGACACCUUAUGUGCACAGGUCAACCCAUCGAUAAUUCCUUUCUUAUAUUAUGAUGCUUGAAUGAUUAAAUUCCGUGUGAGAUUUGCUAUUAGAAAAAAGAACUACAAGAAUUUUAUUGUCAUUUGUUGCUUGAUGCAAAUGUUACUUUUGUACUAUGGACUAACUUACUUUGGGCCACAAAGGUAUUGAUCCAAAUCUAUAUUUGUAAAACAAUUUUAGUGUGCGUCAUCUACUUCUUUUCCCAUUUCACGAACUGAUGUGCCUCUUAGGUAAUAUUGCAGUGAAGUUUUAUUAGGUUUAAUGUUAUUGUCUUGCUCAGUGAGAUGAAAAUGAUUAGUGCAUUGGUGGAUCGCAGCAUAUAUGCCCCAUUAAUAUUAUUUGGAAUCUAGGGUGCAAAUACUGUUAAAUUGACUCAAGAGCAUUUUAACCCUAUUAUAAUAGUGAAUCCUUAAUGAAUAUAAAAAAAACUUCUUGACCAUAUUAUAAUAGUGAUAUAUGCACUAGAAAUUUUAUAACCUGCAACAGUGUUUUUGUUUUCUUCUCCAUAUUUAAUGGAUUCCUUUAUUGCAACAUUUUAUGUAAUGACCAGAUUGCAAAUUCUAGAAGAAGUUUGAAGCAUGAUGAAGUAGUUAUAGCAAGACAGGCAGUUGAAGAAGGCCGUGGCUUGGUUGUAGUUGUGAACAAGAUGGAUCUAUUAAGAGGGAAGCAAUUAUAUGACAAGGUUAUGGAAGCUGUGCCCCAAGAAAUUCAGACCAUUAUGCCUCAGGUAUGCCUGUGUACUAUUUUCUUAAAAUAAAUGUAAAGAAUGCUCCUGCUUGCUUGUUAUUAUCUUCACUACUCACGCAUAUUUAACAUACUUUUCAUAAAAAGUACAAAAGGCUGAAGCGUUUUUCAUAUGCUUGUCCUCGGCUACCCAAGUUAAUAUGGGGUUUGUGUUCUGACCAAAAAAAUAAUGAUAUAAGAUACUAUGAGGUCACAAAGUAUGGGUUAAUUAUUUGAUGCCACAAAAGUUUGGGUUAAUUAUUCGAUGCCACAAAGUAUCUUGGUUGAUGAGGUCAUUUUUAUUUCGGGCGGGUAUCUGCAAAAGACAGGAAGGUUGGGGAAGGGGAACUCCAAGCUUUAUCUGCAAUAAUGUGUUUUGAGCAAUGGUAAAAAUGGUAGUUUACUGUUAGCAUGGUUGUUGCAAACAGGUGACUGGGAUACCAAUUGUAUUCAUAUCAGCCUUGGAGGGAAGGGGUCAUGCAGCUGUCAUGCACCAGGUUAUUGAUACAUAUGAAAAAUGGUGUUCAAGAUUGUCAACAGCUCGUCUUAAUCGUUGGUUGCGAAAGGUCAGUUGAUGAUACCUUUUGUGUUUCAACCAUCGACCUCAUAAAAGUCAUUUGGAAGUAACCUUCUCUGUCUUUUCCUGUGUGUGAUCAGGUUAUGAGCAGGCAUUCUUGGAAAGAUCAGGCUGCUCAACCCAAGGUUAAGUAUUUUACACAGGUGAAGGCCCGACCACCCACUUUUGUUGCCUUUGUGAGUGGGAAGAAAGAGCUCUCAGAAACAGACAUCAGGUUCCUAAAAAGGUCUUUGAAAGAAGACUUUGAUUUGGGUGGAAUACCGAUCAGGAUCAUGCCGAGGACCAUCGAAAGGAAAGCUGUGAACGGCACUAGCAAGAGUGGCCAAAUUGCUAAUAGACCGUCUGAAAGGAUGUUCUCUGACAAGAGAAAAGUGUGUCCGGUUGAAUAGCAUUUUUAACUCGACGAGACGGCUAUUGUUGUCCUGCCUCGUUAUGCUGAGACUGUAAUUAUCCAAUAGUUACAAUUUUGACCUUUAUUGCAGGAUGUAAUUUUCUUUAGGAGAAUUAUCUUAGUUGUAGAUUAUAUUUUUUGUAUUUAACGUGAAAUUCUUAGUUGAGUGGUAGCACAGUUGCAGGAGGGAAUGAGGUUAAGUGUGUGUUUAUUUAGGGUUUAGGGAUUUUAUUUUGUGUUUUGACAUAAAAAUGAUAUUUAACACCAUUCCUUUUAUUUUUAUCCUUCUUUGGAACUCGUGCGUUUUUCCCUUAUUAUAUGCUGGAAUCUUCUUACCUCAAAACCAUUGUCUGAAUUAUUUGUUUUGGUAACACUAAUAGGCAAAUGUCUUGCAUCCAAUGCAAAUACUAUUUAUAGAUCAAUUGAUCUUCAUUCAUAUACUAUUUAUUUAUCAUUUUUAAAAAAUUCUAAAAAAAUGUAUUUUUUUAUUAUAAUUAAGUUAGAUUGCAAAUUGGCGGCACUCCUAUCAGACGAUGGUUCAGUUGGCCUAGCUAGCCAGAAGGAGGUCUAGUUCAACAAAAAAAACUUACUCGUAAUUGGAAUAACACUAGUCAAUAACACAAUGACAUCAGGGUCUGUCCUGAAAUUUUAAGGGCCCUGUGACAAUCACAAAUGUAUACAAUCACAUCACUGACUCAAAUCUAGGCCUUGUACGAAGAGAUAUGCACUAUAAACCAACUUCACCAAACACACUUUUGUGUCAAUUUACUGCACGCUAGAGUAUAUAUACAAUUUUUAUAAUAUUAAUAUAAAGUAAAAAAAUAAUCGAGAGCCCUGUGCGGUGGCGCCACUUGCACCAUGCUAGGGCCGCCCUUGAAUGACACAUGAAAAAAUUAUCCCUGUUACAUGAAAGUCUUUUUUUCAAGUUCAGAUAAAAAAUUACAACACCUAAGAGUUAUUCUGGAAUCUCUUAUUCAAUUUGACUUUUAAUGAGAGGUAAGGUCAACAGUCAGUGUUGUUAUAUAACCAAAUGCCAGAUCAUCAACUGUUGCACUUCAUCACAAUACUUACAAGAAAGGGCACACCCAAUUAUGCAUAUAUAACCAUAAAGUUUUCACUAGGUGGGGAAGCCUAACCUUUUGGACAAUUGUCUGCAUCAAGGCAAAUAUUUGAUAGAUUGUUGCUGAAGGCAAAUAUCUUAAGGCCAGCACUGGUGGGACAAAAGAGCUUGAAGCUCAUCUGUGAAUCGCUCUAAAUAAUUCUUGAGGCUCUCAUUACCUAUGUUGAGAAUGUGCACAACCGACAAGCGAGUUGUGCUUUAGUCUAAUCCUGCCAUGUGGCAGUUUGGCGUUAGAUUUUAUUUGCUCCCACAUUGCCCUUUCCUCCUCUUCCCAGCCCACGUUGGUGGGUAGAGGAAAAUAAAUAGAGCAACUUAUAUAUUGCAUAAAAAAUAGAGCAACUUCUUCAUGUCGUGCCACUAAACGGGCUGAUAUGGGCCCACACCAAACUUGACUUAUGCAUUGUACUUUUUUCGUAAAUUUUUUCAACUUCAUUUCAAUCUUUUUUACAAUUAUGUAUAUACUGACAAGAUUUAUUAUUUGUUGGAAAAAAGGUCAAUAAUUUUAUUUGAAGUACAUUUUAAUAUAAAAUGGCCAGAUUAUUGUUAGGUUUUAAAAAUUGAAACUUGAAAAAAAAAAUAUUUUAAUAUAUAUUAUUAGAGAAAAGAAAUAGAGUUGAAGAUAAGAUAUAAAUAUAAUAAUAUUAGGUAUUAUUUUACUCUUAAAAAAAUAUAAUUUAAUAAAUGGGCUUUAAAUGGGCCAGCUUGUUGGGCUUCAGGCCAUCACAGCCCACCCAAAGAUAUGCGUUGUGCUAUGUCAGGUCUUACUUAAUAAGCCCGUGCUUAGCUUGGCCCGAUUCGGUUGAUACCUCUAGUAUAAGGGCAUCAACUCUUGUGAUGUCAAGCAAAUGUCUUCCUCUGACGACAUGUAAUUCAAGUGGUAUUUAAAAAAUUCAGAAAUAAGCAAGUGAAGAGGUGCAUUUAGAAUUUCAUUCUCUUUCAUUGUGAGAUUAAAUAAACAGUCUUCAUCUUUCCAAGGGAGCUGAUUUUCAAGUAGCAACAAGUUAUUUCUAACUGUCGAUAACAUCCAUGGUGUUGAUUACCCACUUUGUUGGUCCCGACUAUAAAAUGCACAAAAGAGUCCUAACUUUCGUUUAAUUGAUAGUCAUAAGUGGGAGAACAUUGGGAAAUUGCUUCAAAGUUGUUUGAUUGAUUGGGGUUACGAGAAGGUACUCAAAAUUAGGGCGAAUAAUGCAGUUGCAUAUACUAAGGUAAUUAAGUAUGGGAGGAAGAAAGUAAAUUGGUGGAAAGAUUCAAAUAGUGUGUUAGAAUGAGGGUUUGAAGAGAUUGGAAAGCUCUAUUGUGGCAAUUCGUAAUGUAGUGAAGUAUGUAAGGUGAGGACCUUCUCGAUUGAGUUACUUCAAAAAGUGUGUUGAAAAAGACAAAAUAUAGUGCACCAGUGGUGAUGGAUAUGCCCACUAGGUGGAACUCCACUUAUUUGAUGCUUGAAGCAGUAUUGAAGUUUCGAAAAGGUUUUGAUAGGAUGGAAGAUGAACCCGAUUCUUCUGACUUAAUGUACUUUAAGGAAAAAGAAGAGGAAGAUGAACUAAAGGAUGAGGGAAAUGAAGAAAUGAAAGAAAAUGGAAAAGAAAGGGCAAGGCUAAGAGGGUGGAGUCACCUAGUGAAGAAGAUUGGGACAAAGUUGUGACAUUUGUGAAGACCUUCUAUGAUGUUAACUUGAAAAUUUCAGCUUCGUUGCAUCCAACAUCAUAUACAAGCUUCCAUGACUUGAUUGCCAUAGAUGGGAAGAUUCUGGACUUAUAUAGAUAGGAUGUUACAACUCCUAUUCAAGCAAGGGCAACCAUGGACACAAUUUUAAAUGAUAUGGCAUCAUCGAUGAAGAAGAAAUAUGAUAAAUAUAAUGGUGAACUUCAUAAAGUGAACCUAUUUUUUAUGAUAGAAGUUGUGAUUGAUCCCUAAUUCAAGCUUCGCAAUAUGAGGCACAUCUUUGAGGAAAUAUUUGUAGGUGAUGAAGACCUGUAUAUUUAAAAUAUAUAUUUUGGGGAUGAAAUAUUUUACUAUUAUUUAGUUUAUAAAAUAGAUUUAUUUUUAAAAAGUAUAUAUCUCAAAGAAAUUCAUCCUUAAGUAUGCAUUCUAGUUAAAGUUGACUUGGAAAGCUAGGAAAGCUAGAGUCUUGUAUUUCUAAAGUGAUUUACAUAUUUAUUAAGGUGCUUGUAAUAAGCACAAUUGCAACCUACAAUUGUCAAAAUGAUUAGAUAAAUGCUAAAGAUAUUUAAGCUUGAGGUGGAUUUCCUUACAAGAGGUGUUUAAUUGAUAUUAUGUCUCACCCAGUCAAUAGCAUGAGGUGCCAUUCAAGUGUUUGUAGCUAGAGGUGACACCACUAUUCUUCCUAGGAGAUUGGAUGUGUAAAGACUCAAGGAUAUGUAACUUUUCCUCAUUAUCCUUAUAGCUAGGUGUCAUUACCUCAAGUUGUUAUUAUCUCCACGUAAAUUUCGUAGCUGUAUAUCUUAUCUUUAAAGUACUUGAAAAUAUUGGUGUUUGGCUUCUAUGGUAUUACUAUAGAAAUUAGUUGAGGGAUUAUCUUGUUAUUUUUUCAAGGGAUUUCAUUAUCGAGGUGAGUGGUUUAUGUAAUGUGUUUAAAAAUUCUUAUUUUGUGAUAAAUAUGAAAACAUGAAUUCUCAUAGAUUUGUUAUAUUUCCAAAUAUCUUUCUAUUUCAAGUCAAGUAUGUCUAAUUUUGUACAAUUUUUAACAUGAUAUAUAUGAGGAAUGCUAAUCAAACUCACUUUAGGAGAGUCUGAAAUAAGAAUCGCUCUAUUUCCGCUCCAUGUGGCUAGUAUGAACUCAAAAUUCAAAGUUCUUAUUUAAAGCCAAUAAAAAUCAUUGAUAUUUCCCGUUGCUAAUAAAUGUAAAUUGUUAUAUACAACAAACGGUGUUGUUUUCUGAAAAUACCCUGUAUUCUCAAAAACAUCCAUAACCAACUAUUUGGACCGAAGCAUUGCAGUGAAACCACAUAUAUUUCUUAUUCUUUUUGUCGAAACAAGAAAAGUAUAUCUUGAAAUCCAAAUGAAAUAAAAUGAUUAAACAACAAAAUAUUGAUAUCAAUAAAUCCUAAUAGGUUGAUUUAAUUGAGUAUUCUUUAUUUGGAGUAUUUCCAUCCUGUAAAGCUCAGCACCAUGCUUGUAAUUGUUCAAUUGAAUGGGGUAAUAGUUUCAUUGUUAUUUCAGCAUUUGUUAAGUGUAUUUGGAUAUGAUUUUUCCUAUUUUAAUGUAUCUUAACUCAAAUUAUUUGAUUUCCUUUUUCCUAUUUUGUAGAAUUGGGAAGUAAAAAGAUUAUGGCAAGUUUGAACAAGACUUUCCCUCCCUAAUAUGAAUGAGGAUUUCGUGGGAGGUUUGAUUUCUUUUCUUCUAUCUUGUUUUUACGAAUAAUGGAUUGAUUUUUUGGCUCAUUUGAAUGGAAUAUGAAUAUUGGUGCAUCUGUAUAUACCUAUAUAGUUAGUGCAUAUGCCAUUAGCAUGAUUUUGGUUGUUUGAUGGAAUUUCAGAUAGAAGGAUAAUCUUUGAGUUAUUGAAUCUUAAUAGCUUGAAGGCAUUACCUUCUCUCUUUGCAACUCAUUUUUAACUUCUACAAGUGUGAUGCAGGCAUUAGAAAAAAGAAUAAUUUCACAAGCAUUACCUUUCUUUCUUCCUUUUUUUAAAGUUUUUUUGAAUGCUUGAGCUAACAAUGUUAAUUUCCCUCCCUAGUAUGAUGUGUUGAUGGAUUGGUGGCUCAAUGAUGGAUUUGUUGCAUUUGUUGCAGGUUGAUGGAUGGAUCUGUUGUUGGUGAUUUUUUUUUUUUUUUUUGGGUGUGUUUUGGACCUUGUUUGUGAUGUGUUUCAUUUGUUUAAACUUUAAAUUGCAGCUCCUUUAUGGGUUGUAAUUAUAAGCAAAAGUAUAAUAUGGUGCUAUAUGUGUAUUUUUUGUUAUGGUUUGUAAAAAUUAUAAUGAUUUUAUGUUCUAUUUCUUUAGCAACUAAUCUGUUUGAUGAUGAUUGUGGUUGACUUAGUUUAGAAACUUAAAAUGUUGAUUUAUACUUGAAUUUACAUUUUUGGGCUUCUAUAUGUACUCUAAAACGAAAUGGGCUUUAUGAUAUUUGAAUUGUGAUUGAUUUAGUCUAGAAACUUCGAAUGUUUAUACUUGAAUUUUGGCUUUUAUACAUACUCAAGCUCAAACUGAUCAAACCUGCAAAAUCGAAUCGAAUCUUGUUCGGGUCGGCCCAUCUUAGUUUUCAGUCGAAAUUUCCCCUACUAUUUGAAUCGCGGAUAGUUGACUUCACUAGUUCGGUCUCUAUUUUAGGCCUUGAGCCGGAUCGAAUCAAAAUGUGCCCAGAGCUAGAGCAAAUAACUUCAUAAGCUCUUUAGUUUAUAUCUCAAUUGAACCGACCAAUUGAACCGACAUGUGGGUUGUCUCUUCCUAACCCAUCAAAAAUGAUUUCCAAAUAGAAAGUAGUUCAACAAAGUCCAAGACCAUAUCUCAUAGUACUUUCCUCUAGCAAAAUUGUUUUGUGCUAGUCCCUUUCUUUUUGUCCUUUUUAAAAGAAAAAAAUUAAUUAAUUAUUUAUUCGAAUGUGUGCUAGAUAUUGUCGUUGGCUCCACAACAAAUUGUCAUUUACCACUUUUCACUUUGAAAAACUUCCUUUUCCUUUUUUCACUUGUCCUUUUUUCCUUUGAAAACUCUUGAUUCUACUACGCAUGGAGUAAAGAAGAGGAAAAAUGAAGCAACAUGCCAAAAAAAAGAGAACUAUCCCUCGAUGAAAGAUAUGUAGAAAAAGCAAGAGAAUGAAGGUGUUUCAAGUAUGCAUUUGUCAAAAUCUUGUUUGAGUCUUCCAUUUUCUUGGUAAGUUUUCCAUAUUGCACUUGUUGUCUAUUGUUACUCUACUGUCUCAAACUUCUUUGUGGGUUGCUCACAUGUUAUGGUAAAUAUGGAACAAACUAGGGAGUAAAAAUGUAGAAACCAAGAAUAAAUAAAGAAAAUAAAUCACUGCACUAUCUUGGUAAAUUUGUGGCUGAUUUGUUAACAAAGUUCCUCAAAAGCCACACAUUUAUAUAUGAAAAUUAUGCGCCUCUCUAACCCAUAUGGUAUGUUGUCCAUUAAUUUUGGUAUAAUUGCAAACACUUUGUUCCUUUGUUUUAAUAAUAAUUUUAACUGAUUUCUAAACUUAUUAAUUUUUUUAACUAAAAAAAAGCACUCAACUGGUCUUCAAACUUAUACCCGAUUUACAUUUUGGUCCCUCAAUUAAAUUAUUCGUUCAAAUGGUCCAUCAACUCUAUAUUAUUCUGUCAAUUGGUCUUACCGUUACAUUAUGUCAAUGUUGCCGUUAAAUGUAAGGAUAAAACCGUCCAUAACUGUCCUAUGUUCCCAAAAUAGGUGAUAAAGUAGUGAUAAAUUGAUGAGAAAGUAGUGAUACAGUGGUGAUACUGUGGUGAUAAAGAGGUGACUGAAAUUGCUGUUUGUGUUUACCUUUGGCUUAUUGUUUUGUUUCCUUGUUCUAUUUUUCUUUACUCAUUUCUAGUAUUCUAAUUGUAUUUUACCAUUGUCCCAUUAAAAUCUCUCUGCAGUCCCGCAGGAUCUCCUAUGCAAAUGCCAGACCCUUUAUAUUUGAAGUGAUGUGGAUGCAGCACGGAAGUUUCAAAGAUUUUGUGAUGCAAAAAUGAGGGCGGACUCCUAGUUCUGCUCUUGAUAAGUCCUAUGGGUUAAUUGCUCCUCUAAAACAGUGGAACCAAAAUAUUUUUGGCCACCUGAAACAAAAGAAAGCUCUUAUUCUAGCUAGAUUGGCUGGUAUUCAAAGAGCCUUAUAUUAAAGACCAAAUAGGUUUUUGUCUCAAUUGGAGGAUUCCUUGGUACUAGAUUUAUAAUGCUUUGCUUGAUGUUGUAUUAAUAAUUGGCAAGCACAAAUUAAUGUGUUAAUCAUCCAAUUAAAAAUACCCUCAAGUGUACGAAUCUAUUGGAGUAUAGAUUUAUAAAUACGAGAUUGUUCCAACGAGGAACUGGAUGCUUAUACAAAGUUAUAGUUUGAGUACGUAAAGAACACUUAUUUAACACAACACAAAGGUAAAACACAAUUAGGAUACUAGAAAUGAGUAAAGAAAAGUAGAAGAUAUGAAUCAAAACAAGAAACCAAAGGUAAACACAAAUAGCAAUUUCUAUCACCCCUUUACCACCACUGUAUCACCUAUGUAUCACCACUUUAUCACCUAUUUGAGGAACAUAGGAUGGUUAUUGAAGGUUUUAUCCUUACAUUUGACGGCAACAUUGACAAGAUGUAACGGUAGGACCAAUUGACCAAAUAAUAUAGAGUUGAUGGACCAAUUGAAUGAAUAAUUUAAUUAAGGGACCAAAAUGUAAAUCGGAUAUAAGUUUGAGGACCAUUUGAGUAAUUAGCAUACUUUUCUAGGAAAACCCUAAAACAUCUCUGAAGGUGAAACUGUGCGCUUGCACUGCAACUGCCACCCUUACGACAACUGAAGGCUUUUGCACUAUCCUUAGGCAUGUGACGUCAUUCUACGUAGCCUUAUUCACACAUAUUGAAAGACUCGUCGUGAGAUUGCAUUGCAACAGGCCCACCACUUAAUUAUGAUAUGCUUGUACUCAGGGACGGACCCAUUCCCAGACUAACCUGGGCUAUAGCCCAGGUGUCUUGAUUUGUUUUAGCCUAUAGUAAUACUCCUAGCCCGCCUAAGAAAACCCCACACCCUCUUGCGCAGUCCCUUAGCUAAUGCACAGAGAAAAAAAAAAAAGAAAAAAAAAAGCCCAAUCAUCCCUGCUACACGCCAAUCAACCAUGCACUUCAAGGCUUAAUUAAAGCAAACCAAAUUUAUCUUCAAUUAUUAAUCUUCUUUGAUUGUCUUAAUUUGUUGAUGUUGAAAUUUGGGGACUUUUUUAGAGUUUAUGAAGUAUCAAUUGGGAAUUUUUUAUUUUUUAUUUAAAAGAAUUCUAUGUAAUUUUUUUUUUUUCUACUUGGUCAAAACAUUUGAUUGUACAGGUUUUGUAAUUAAAAAUAAGCAAAUGAAAGUAGGUCAGCCCUUUAUAGUCCCCUAAAAUUCCAAUAUAUUUUUAAUUAUAAUCAUUCAUGUUUUACACCAUAAAACUUUAAUCCUAAAAAUUUCUUCAUUUUUGGAAACAAAAAAAUAGCUUCUACAUUUGUAAUUGUUUAAUUAGUAUGAGUUUAUUUCUUUUGUUGGUUAGUGUGAGUUUUUAUUUUGGUUAAUUAAUAUAGGUUUUGUGUUUUUAAAAAAUUGGAAAUAUGUACACAUCAAUCCCAUUGAUUAUGUUCUUCCCUUCAAGGCUUGUACGUAAGCUAAAUCUAGCUCACCCUAAUUUGAAAUUAUGGGCCCGUCCCUGCUUAUACUUCAUACUUAAUGAGGAAUGACACUAACCUGUCACAUUGAGGGGCUAUCACCUGUAUUUUGAUAGGGAUAAAGGGGCAUCUUCAUCGACAAUGUAUUACUUGAUGGAGAGGGAACGAGACUCGCUUAAGGAUACAAUGUGCAACCCAGAUUAAGCCAGCAUGCAUAUACUCCUAUGUUGAGAUCAUGCACAACACACACGCGAGUCGUGCUUUAUUCUAAUCCUGCCACGUGGUGGUUGGAGUCAAAUUUUAUUUGUUCCCACAGAACUUCCUUAAUUAAGGGAAGAAUGGUGCCUAGCCCAUACCCUAAUUAAUUAAGGGGAGAUGUGGUGUUUGAGCAUGGCCAAAAGUGCUGAUUGCAGGGGAAACCAACUAGCAAAGGGCAAAUGACAUCUAGCAAGAGUUAGGAAUGCAUGUAAGAUCCAUCCAUGUGUUGACACCUGGCCCUGGCAGUAGUUAAUCCCAAAGUCCUACUCUUUUCCACAUUGGAAAAAUAACAUAUUCUAGAGUUGUGUAAGAGCUCUUGGACACCUUUCCCUUACAAACCUAUUUUUAGAGGCAAGUUCUACCUAUGGGUUCUUAACAGCCCCGGCCCUGACCAGGGGCAGUUAGUGUGACUGCCCUGGGCCCAUUAUUCAAAGGGGCCCCAAAUUUUUUAUUUAUAUAAUAAGUGUUAUAUUAUAUUAUUAUAAAAUGAUAUAAUAUUUUUGAGAGAAAAACAAAAAAUGGCAUUCAGAAUGACGAUCUCUUCUAUUCUUCUUCUUCUUCUUCAUCUCAUCUCAUCUCAUCUCAUCUAAGCCUCUCCUACUAGUUCCAGAAUUAUGAAUCCUUAAAUUAAUUUUUCUAUUGGUAGAUUGGGGAGAUUCCAAAAUCCAAAGUGUGGGCUUUUGUUCAGUGCAAAAUUGGUCCUUGUAGAAAUCAAUUGAAGGUAAUUUUUCAUGAUUUGAUAUAAAAUGAAAAGGAAAAUAUGAUUUUUUUAAUUUAUUUGUUUGUAGAUUUUUCACAUCGUUUCUUAAACAACCUCCCAUCCUAUCUCCUCCCAAUCUGCCAGUGACAUGAACUUUUAUCGAAUUUCUCCUCUGCAAAAAAUAACCAUGUGUGAUUUAUUUAUUUUUCUCUAUCGAUUCCUCUUCUAAGUCAUUUAAAUUAUGGGGCUUUCUUGGAUUUAUUCAUUUGAAUUCGUUGAAUCACUAAUAUAUGUAAUAUUCUUGGGGUUUUCUUUUCAAAUUGAAACCUUGCUUUCCUCUUGGAAUUGUUUCUCUGCGAAAAUAACUUGGGUGAUUUCCUAUUUUUCUUGUAAGAUGAAUCAAAAUUAAAUAGACAUUGUUUUCCAUAAUUUAGGAAUAGGAUAUUGAGAUGAAUUUGAAAUUUUGGAACAAAGGAUCCAUGACGAGAGUUUUAAAAGAAAUUCUUUGAUUUUGGCUUGACUUGCAUUCUUGAAAUUUUUUGACUCACUGAUAUGGUAUCUAUAGUUGGACAUUUGUUUUCAUUAUUUAGGAAUAUGGAAGACAUUGCUCAAAAUCUUAAAAUAUUUUGGAAUAAAUACUUACUCAAAAAAACCAAUGCUUAGUUGAUAAAACAAGAAGUAUACUAGUGUUAGUGAUUAAUGCAUGUAGGGCACACUUUAAAUUUUCGCCCUGGCCCUUUGAAAACUCAGAACUAGCCCUGGUUCUUAAUAAUUGGUAUAAGAGUUAGGUCACUACACAACUAGGGUCAAUUCCAUGGAACGGGUGACUAUAGGAUGAAUUAAAAUGACCGGUGUUAUGUAUGGGCACGAUAUCCAGUCAUUGAAUAUUUGUAGUUGAGUGAAGCCGCCGCAAGUCGAUUUUACUAACAAAAUCUACCCAUGAGUUCUUAACAGAUGACCUCGUACCAACUUUCAGUUGUCUCUGGUUUAGUCGGUAGGAUUAGACCAAGGCGACCAUAUAGGGAAGCUGAGCCGAGUAUGUAGUAUCGCGCCCAUCCAUAGUUGUCAACUUCAUUAAGUGUAGUGGUCGGUCGGGCAAGACAAUUCGAGUCAACCAUGGUCUGUAAGGGGUUACAACCCCUGGUUCUCGAUCGAGGUGGUAGAGUCAGUUGGGUCGUGUUCUACCAAGUGAUGAGGCACUGCUAACUGGGCCGUCCAUGUGGCAUAUCAUUAGUGGUCAAUCAGCUCAAAUGGGAUGAAAUAUAUGCCAACAACUUCUUAGAUUUCUGUAGUGCUAUUACGUUCUUGUUUUGGGACAUCACGGAUUCUUUAUUGUUACACAUUUUUCAUAAAUAAAUAAAUAAUAUAUUUACAUAUUUGUAGUAAUAUCAUUAAUGCUAUAAUUACUUAAGUAGAUUUAUAAUAUAAUUAAUUAAAAUAAAACUAUAAAUUAUACACAUGAAUUUUGAGUAUAUGCAUUUAGAAAUUGUGUAUUCAUCCGUAUUUCACUACGAUAACACAUCACUUAUAUUUUCUCUUCGCCUUUUAUCUUUAGUGAUGUCCCCUAUCUUUGUCUUAAUUGAGGAUUUUAGCCUCAAAACUUACCUUGCAUCACGAAUAUUCUAUUUGAUGAUAAGACCAAUAUUAAUCCGAUGGGUGAACGUGACAGAUACAUAUACUAGCUUAAUAGAAAAACCUCGUUAUUCACUAGAUAAUAAAGAAAAAGAAAUGAUUCAAAAUUAUCACAGAGUUUAAGCACUUGAAGUCAAAGCACUUUAAAAUAUUCUCUUCCACUAAUUACAGUAGGAUAUGGUAAUUACCAAAUAAAAUAAGCAACUAAGAAUGUGUUACAAGUAAAAGAGCUAGCUCAUCCCUGUCGGUCUAAUUAGUGGCAGACUGAAGACGAUGCAAACAAUGUUAUGAAAAAGUAAGUAAGUUUUAUUGGUUUAGUCGUUGGUGGAAAAAGCUAUGUCAAAACACUUGAUCAGCUUUCAGCUUGUUUAAGAGAGAUAUGAUAAUUAAUCAAUUCUUAAUCACAAGAUUAAAAUAAUGUAAUUGGUUUAGCCUUUGUCUUUGUUAAAGAGAGGGAUUUACUUAUGUGACAACAAGAAAAGUAACAAAAAAGAGAAUUUAAGAAGAAGAUGACAAGUGCAGACACUGAAUUAUAAGUUGUAUAUAUGACAGUCCACAUCCAAGUGGAGUACGUUGGACAUACGUUUAUUUGAUUGAUUGAACUUACUUUGGUGAUUAAUUAGGCAAUUUGGCCGCCUCCUUAAAGGAGAGAGAAAAUUUAGAGAGAACAAAAAUAAGUCUUCCAUUUUGGCCUCCUUUGAAUGUAAAAAAAGUUUGCUAUGGCAUCCUUUAUUUUUUUAAUAGGGUUAUUUACUCAAAUGGUCCUCAAAUUUAUACUCGAGUUGCAUUUUGGUCAUUCAACUAAAUUAUUCAUUCAAAUGGUACAUCAACUCUUUAUUAUUCGGCGAAUUGGUACUACCGUUACAUUUUCUAUUAAAUUUAGUCAUGUGAGCAGCACAUGCUACAUUUGUGGAGAUAAAUAAGACUUUUGACAACUAAAAAUAUAAAAAUUUAAUUUAAUUAAAAAAUUUCUUUAUUUUUAAAAUUAAUUAGAAACUAUAAAAGAAUAAAAACAACAAAAAGUAACCCUAAAAAAAAUCCAAUCCAACCAUCCUCUCUCUCUCUCUCUCUUCUCGAACAAACCAAGAGCCUUGCAACCCCAAUAAAUGUUUGAAGAGAGAAAUAUAAGGAGAUAGUGGGAGAGAGGAGGAAGGGACAUGAAGGGAGGGGAAAAGAGUGGGGCUGUGGGAAGACGGGGCGCUGGGGCAAUGGUUAUCGGGCUCGGGGUUGGGGGUUGGGAGGUGGGAGAGGCAGAAUUUUUUUUUUCUUUUGAUUUUUAGUUUUGUAUUUAUUUAAUAUUUUACUUAACUGGACUGUUUUACCCUUAUGUUUGACGGCAAUAUUGACAAAAUGUAACAAUAGGACCAAAGUGCGAUUAAUAAAGAAUUGGUGGACCAUUUGAACGAAUAAUUUAAUUGAAGGACCAAAAUGCAAUCCGGGUAUAAAUUUAAGGACCAUUUGAGUAAAUAACCCUUUUAAAUAUUAUAUGCCCAAUCCUUAAUUAUUUGAGUUUGGUAAAUAAUUAAGAGCCAUAAUAAAGGAUGAUGUGAAGAAAAACAUAAAUAUUGUCACAUGUACUAUCACACAAUGCUUCCGAGAAUCAGAACCUUAUCCUCUAUCUUUUUGGCCUUCUACCAAAACAAAAAAAAAUCGUGUUUAGUUUCCUAGAUUUGUUGGUUUUGAGAUAUUACUAAAGCAUGUCUUAGGUUCGAGGACUGACACCGAUCAGAUCAACAUAGUACCAGAAAAAUGGUGUUUAGUUUGGAUGUAUUCAUUUUCCUCUUUUUUCUACUUAUGGUAUUACAUGAUUGCAUCACCCAUGAUAAAUUGAUUCUAAACAAGUAUAAAGUUGGCGCUUGUACCUCAAAUGAUAAUAAACUUUUACCUUCACAAUUAAUUAACCUUAGAAUCUCUCACAUGUAACUUACUUUACUGCCCAUUUAAUGAGAUGUGUCAUUUUGUUUCCAACCGAGCUAAAACAAUUUUUGGAUGUCUCUGAUUAAACGAAGUCAUUGUAAUUUUGCUUCAGUUUCCCUAAUACAAAUUCAUCACUUAGAUAUCGGAAUUGUCAAUUAGAUUACAAAAUAGGAAUCUUAAUUAAGCAUGUAUCACUUAGGCCUUCCAGUUAACAUAUUUAAAUUAAGCAUGCAACAAAAGACUCACUAGUGUAAUGGUUUGGAAUAAUUGCUCCUCCCAGAAAAGGUCAUGGGUUCGAGUCCUAGCAUUCGUGUAGUGUGUGUGUGUGUGUGUGAGAGAGUUUAGUAUAUUAUCACCCCUCUCAAUAAGAAAGAUCCAUUUUUUUUAUUUUUAGAGAAAAAAGAAAAAAAAGGUUAACAUAUUUAAAUUAAUUCCAAAUAUUUGAACUAGUCACAUAAAAAAGAAUGAACUCUAAAGUGAACCAUACAAAGAACAUAUAUGGCAUGCCUAAUCAAUUAAUGCCCCAAGAAACUUCAUCAGCAUUACCAAUUGUUUAAAUUCCAAGUAGUACUUAAGUUCCUCUUUAUUUCUCAUAAACCCCUGUUGUCUUAUUAGCUCUAUAAACUAUCUUAAAAUCUGACCCACAAGUUGUGCUUGGGAUAUUUGAACCAGUAAACACACAUAUGGAUUGACGUUGAAGCCAAAGUUAACUGUCCUGCUAUACAGAACACAGCUAGUGGAGGUGGCAUAAGUUAUUUUAAUGUCUGUUGUGCUAAAAUACAACUGCUUGUUGCCCAACUUUGGUGAUACACUCGAGUGUUAGGGUUUCCUUUUGUCUCUACUCUCCCCUCUCCUCACCUAUCCCCUUAUUUAACCCAUUUCACAAUUUGGUUCCACAUCAACUCCUCCAUCAAUAUCUCUAUAUCUUAAAUGUUUGUACAAGUACCAUUCUACCAUGGCUGAGCUUGGCCUUCUCUCCUUGACCGAGCUCCAAAAAUUGUCUCUAUCACAACAAAACCAAUCGCAAUUAUUAAACCCUAGCUUGCCCCCAAAAGCCUGGAUGUGGAACCCUAAGCCAGCUCAAGAACCCGAAGAUGACUCGUGGGAAGUGAGAGCCUUUGCGGAGGAUACCGGUAAUGUAAUGGGCACCACUUGGCCUCCAAGGUCUUACACUUGCACAUUUUGUAGAAGGGAAUUCCGGUCCGCCCAAGCCCUAGGAGGCCACAUGAAUGUGCACCGCCGUGACCGCGCCCGGCUCCACCAAUCUCAUCCUCCGAUCAACCCGGCAUCAGCCUCAUCUGCUUCCACUUCCUCAUUCAUAAUCCCAACUCAAGAAUUUGUCAAUGCAAAUGGUGGGUUAUGCCUGGUUUACCAAUUGCCAAGCCCUAGUAGUAUAAAUGGUGCAUCCUUCAACACUGCCACAACUUUGAUGAGCUCAAGUUCACAUGGCGUUGAGCAAUCACCAUCCACUCUGCUUUCAAUCUCACCCAAUAUUCCACCUCAUGACUACUUAGCAUCAGUUGUGCCACCAGGAACCAAUUCCCAAUAUUGUCACUCAAGCAAAUCAGCUGAUGAUCCGGAACCCUCAACACCUGAGACCGAAAAUGGCAAUUUUGAAGAGCUUGAUUUAGAGCUUCGCCUUGGCCAUGGCCGACCAACAGUACCAUCUUGACCAAACAAGAGAUUAAGGAUCAAAAUACAUGGCGUGUGUCUGCAGUUGUUGGAGGAAGAGAUCGUGUGCCAUAUAUUGAUGUGUAAGAUUAUACAGUGCUAGUACUCUAGCCAGCUUUCAUAGAAAUUAUCUGUUUGAGAUUUUUUUGUUUUUUAAUUAUUUUCAUGGUUGGUAUAAUUAGUUUUUGUGUGUGAGAUUGAAGAAAGCUGCAAUAUGGAAGAGAAAGAGAAAGCUAUGAAAGGCAUAUAUCGUAUAAAAUAAAUACAAAGACAAAGAAAUUAUGUAUAUUAUAUAUAUCCAGUUCCGAUCUCUUGGACUACAAGGGUCCAAGAGAUUUGUGGUCACUCAUCGUUGGAUGUAAAUUUAACGGUUCACUCACUCUUGCACUCAUUUUAAGAAACUUUUUUGAACCGUUGGAUGUUACAUCCAACGGUGAGUGACCAUAGUCUCUUGGACCGGGGCAUGUGAAAGAAAAUGAAUAAUUAUUUAGGGUUUUUUAAAAAAAAUAAUAAUUAUUUUUUUUGGAGUAGUGGUGCAGUGAGAUAAAAGCUUGGCAGUGCAGUGUCAUUUUCCGUUACACAGAUUUCUGAGUAAAUUGGGUCUACAGUGCUGUCCCUGGGCAUACAUUUCCGUGGGGAUUAUUUCUAUCUCGUAAUGCUUAUUUGAUUCGCUCCUCUUCUUUCCACAAACCACAAAAAUGCAACUUCAAAAAAUUUAAAAACCCGAAGUUCUGCUUUGAUCCUUUGAUUGGUUGGCCCGCCAUUAAAUCAGAUGGUAAAUAUUCAUUUAUGAUCGAUCAAUUCAUGGAGGAGAAGUAAUUGUUUAUCAGUUAUACGUACGAUCAUCACUUUCACUUUGCACCACAAAAGAAGUUGGGAAAGGAGACGGGUCAAUUGAUUUCAAGUAAUGGGAAUGAAAGAUUCUUUUUUCACGUUUGGUAAUGUCGGGAAAGUAACCGAGAGAUUUCACUUUAUUUCAUUUCCCAUGUUUGUCUUGAGUAGGAAUUUUUUUUUUUUGAGAAACAAAAUUUCAUUCAACACUCCAAAGAGAGUACAUCAGCUUCAAGCACAGGGAGCAACCAACUUGGUGCUUCCUCAAUCCAGGUAACAAAUUCAUUACAAUGAAAAGCAAACUGAGCCAAAGUGUGUGCCACUUUAUUACCGCAUCUUGGAGUCCAGUGACAUACGACUGCUCUAAAAUUAUUAAGUAGAUAGUUCACCUCCUCAAGCAAAGGACCAUCAAUUCCAUUAUACUCCUCUGUUGAGAAAAUACUAUUAAGGCAAUCUUGGGCGUCCAUUUCUAGAAAAAGAAUGCAUUUAAUGAUACAUUGUAAUUCUAAAUUAUUCAUAGGGACAAAAUAGUCAUGAAAAUUGUGCAUUGAAUGUUGGCUCAUUUUCCCAAACUUUCCCAUGAGGAGGAAAAACAAAACCCAAGUUGAGAGGAAGGCUUCACUUUUCCCCUUACUUUUCCAGGUGUCAGACAACCAUUUUCCAUACCUGGACUUACCAAACAUGGGAAAGUAAUUGAAUUCUCAUUCCCAAGCCUCCUUUUCCAUGAACCAAACGGGGCCUCUGGCAACAUCACUUAUGCAACAUCACUCUUGCGGUUGAAAUAAGUCCAUGUUUAGCACAUUCGUGUAAUUAAACAAUUUUAGGGUCUUUCUUUCUUUCUUUCUGGCUUGGUGUACCUUUUUAUUCUAUCGUAAAUAAAUUUUUAUCGUGGCGUAGUUUAAAAAAAAUAAAAUAUAAAAAAUAAAAAAUUUCGGGCUAUUAAAUGAAAAUGUGUUAUGACCAUCAAACAAAUCCAUAUACUUUGAAAAAAAACAACAUAAUAAGUGCUUUUGUUGGAAACCUUGAAUGGUUAUUAGCUACUAAUAACAUCGAUGCCCUUUUGUGGUAUAGUAGUAUUAGAGAUACCAACUUUUUAGAUAUUAACUGACAUUGUUUAUUUGUUUCAUGUCUAGGCGCACCUUAGAGCAUAUUUAUUCACAACAAAUAAAAACUGACACAUCAGUUAUUAAUUAAAUGCGGGUAAGGUACUCUAUCAGUGGUUAGGUUCCUGCUCCUGCUUGCAGUUGAGAGGGUAAGGCUACUCAGUUAGACCGACAACUGAGCCCAUAUGUGUAGAGAAACUCGCCUAAUCCCCGACGACAUUGCCUGGUUUUUUGUACUAGUUACGCUUCCCUUUAAUAAAAUCCUAUCGCUAUUCUCUCAAAAAAAAUGUGAUGCAGUUAUCUAUGUACCUGUGAGGUCCUAUGUUCGAAUCUCCCAUACCCCAAUAUCUCUUGUAUAUAAUAAAAAUGGUUGUCCCACACGAGGGGCGUAUUAAAGAAUGUAAAGCCCCAUAUCAGACAUGUGACAAAACAAAUACAAUACAUAAAUGAAGGGUUCCACUACUACUACCAUUGAUACUUUUUGUGAUAAAACUCAACACCGGGUGAUUAAGUUGGAGAUAAUAUCCAUGUUGGACAUCCAAGUGCCAACACAAACCCUAUUUGUAGACGCAAAUACAAUAUUGGUGUCUCCAAGUGCCAAUGCAAACUCUAUAUAUGGACAUAAAUACCCAUGCUCGUUGACAUUUUUUUAGUGAACCAAUUGAUAGUGGGCCGCUCAUUCGUCUCUCUGCAUCGUGACAAACUACAGUAACCAUCUCCAUUGGAGCCUCUUGAAAACAUAAUAAUUAAUGGGAGUUGAUUUUUCCACUCCCAUUUUGUUAACUUACACUUCUUUUUUGUUAUAAUAAAAGGUAUUAAAAAAAAAAACAAAAGCAAGUGUAAAUGAAUAAAAAAGAAAUGGAAAAAUCAGAACUGAAUAAAAGAGGAAUGGAAAAAUUAGACACCCUAAUUAAUUUCAUUCUCGGACAACCAUUAUGUCGUCAAUUGGGGUUAAGAAUGACGGGUUAAACAAGUGAUAUAUGUUAUAUUUCAGAUACCCACAUGAGGCCCCCGUGUUUGUUUUAAUCUUCCCCCACUCCCCUCUUCCUUUCUUGAUCUGAAGCCCCUCAUUUAUUUGAGGAAUUGCACUUUAUUUUGUUUUCUUAAGUCUUUUUUCUUCUUUUUUUUUCUCCCUGGAAGAGAUCUCUAAGUAUAUAUCUCAAAUAUAGCAAGCGAUUUAUAUACUAAUGUUUUUGCGAAAACGAAAAGAAGAAAAACUAUGUAACAGCUGCUUUUGUAUUGAAAUUGUGUAUAUUCCCACGACCAAAGUCCAAGUAAAAUAUUAAUUCAAAAACAUUUGACUAGAGACACACAAAUAUGCACAUUACAAAUUCUACAGUGAUCUUUUUCCUGCAAGACUACAAUACUCGAACAGUGAUAGUUGGACUAGCUACUAGCCCGCGCUAUAGCCAGGUUCCAACCUAGGCCUGGCGUACUUGUACCCUUACUUCCUUUACAAAAGCUAGCUGGCUGUACCUUUUUCAGAAACUCAGAUUUCCUUAAAGCCAAAAUAAAACAAACAUUCCCCUACGAAUUAUCUGGUAAAUUCUCAAGUUUUCUCAUCAGGUCAUUUUUCUGUAUACAUAUUUAUAUAUAUAUUCUUAACAGUGGCUUCUUUACCAUAUGCAUACCAAGACCUAUACAGCUAUAAGCAUCUUAGGCUUCUCUUUCACUCCAUAAGUAUUCAUUCGCUGCCAACGUAGAGUUAUUGAUGAUGUGGUCCAUCCUUUUUUUUUUUAUAUAUAAAAAAAAUAAAAAACCAAUAGGCGAAACUAGAAGGAGAGGAAAGUUUUUCUCACACACUACCAAAGUGUUAUAGGAGUUCGAACUCGAAGUCACUGAUCUGCAAGUCAAAACUCUUUUCCACUGGAUUAUAUCCCGUUGGCUAUGUGGUCCAUCUUUAGAUUCGACGUAUCAAUACAAUUGUUCAGAAUUCAAAAUGCUAGCAAUUAUUAAGGACUCAUAUGUACCAUAGAGUGAUAUUAGACGGAUAUCUUUAAAAUCACAUAAUUGGCAAAUAGACUUGUAAGAAAAUAGCUAUCAUUUCUUCACAGAUAGGCUUGAAAACCUACGUACAACCACAGAGCUCUCAAAUCUUCUUCACACCAACCUUGAUAUUUUAAAAUAGAUCCAGACUCCUUUCUCUCUCUGUCUCAUACUCCUAAUCCCUAGGAUCCUUCUUUUCUGUUUCAGUUCUUUUUCUAAUAUCGAUGGGUGAUAUAGUAAGGUUUACCUGAAGAUUAAUGAGAUUUAGUUGAGAACUUCAUUGCCAUUAAAAAUCACAGGCAAACAAAGAGGACUAGGAUAACAAAAGGGUGGGUACUGACCAAACAAAAGCACAAUCGUUGGGUGAGAAUUGAGUUGAUGCAAAAUUUUAAGAUGAUAAGGAACAGAAAAUAUAUCCUUAACCCAGUGUUUUGAGGAGAGGUUUGCAAAAGAAGGAAGCUCAAUAAUUGUAAGCUGCACGAUUUUGCAUUUGAAACGUGACACUUUAAUUAUUAUGAAAAGGUUAGCAAGGUUAGGAGAUUAAUUAGGUGGUAGAGAAUCAGCCACAAUGUGAACCCUUUAGAUUCAAUAAAUAUUUUUUCCCAAGGGACUUAUAGCUGCAGUACCCUAGGCGCUUAGAUCCUAUGUUCGAAUCUCCCCUACUUUAAUAUCGUUUGUAUAAAAAUAAAAAAUAAAAAUCAUUUUCCACUAGGAUCCGAGACCCUGCCAAUUUAAUAGCUGGCUUAAUGAUCCUUGAACCUAACUUUUUUAUUAGCUUGCUAUCCCAGAGAGAAAGGUAAUUGCAGUCAGCCUUAUAACAUAGCAUAUUAACUUAGCAUAGUUUCAAUUCAAAUGACCUCAUCAAGAAGAACCUUCAUGCGUAGCCUCACAACUAGCUUAUAAGAUGCACCAGAGACAACCCCACUUAAAGUACUUGAAAACCUUUCGUAACAAUAUAAUUACACAGAAAAAGAAAAAAAGAAAAAAAAACUGUAAUUACUGCGAUUCUGAAGUUCUCAAAAUGCCAAUGGUAAUGGUAAUGGUUGGACCACUCUUGAUUGAUACCCCUUCCACAUAGCAGUGAUAAGGCAUUGGUAUUCGAGGUGAUGUAUGUUAUGUUCCGAUCCAGAAUUAUUCAAAUAUUGUGCUUUGUCAAACCUUUUCGAGCCAAAUAUUAAGAAGAAAUCAAUUCAGAAAUGAUCAAAUAUUAGUUAGGGUUAGGGUUCGAAUAUUUUGUAAGCGCAUACCAUUAUAUCCCUAGUCAGGGUAUCUCUUGAUUGAUACCCUGUUACGGCCCCUAUCAUUAUAUCCCUAGCUAGACAAAAUUCCAGCUAAGCAAGCGCAUACUUCAUGAUUUCUAAUUUCUUGGCUUCAUCUAUGCAUACAAUGCUCGGUCCCCUCUUUCACAGUUCCCUCUCCUGUGGAUUCAUGUUGUGCAAGUAUGGAUGCUAAUUAGUCUGGAUCUCUAACAAUCAUGAAUAUUUCAGUGUCCACUGUUCAUUGGAGAUGCUCUUAAUUCUUGUUUUUUUUCUUUUUUCGGUCGAGAGAGAUGCUCUGAGGUUUAGUAUGUAAAAAGAGAGUUCUAUUUUAAUUUAAGCACAUGUACCCGUAAAUCUCAUAAUAACCAGCGCUGCUAUGGGGUUUGGUGCGUUGUUAAAAGCAGUGUGUGGGAGAAGUAGGUCGGAGGUGAAGUCGUGGUCACUGCAUGGGCUCAGAUUCCCAGCCACACCAAUCACUAUAAUCAUUGCAUCUCUCUUAUCCUAAUCUGCAUGGAAAAAAGCUGUCUAUCUUUUUCUUCUCUUUUUCCUGCACAAUAGACUGUUACUAAUGGUGACACUUCUUCUUAGCUUUGCUACGACAAAAAUCUCCACAGAGAUUUUGUGCAACAACAGAAUUAAAAUCCCAUGUGCAUCUGUUCAACCUUGGUUUAGGUGAAUAUUUGAAAAUUAUUAUUUAUUACAAUACAAUUUACAUGGACGGACCCGACAUAGCUAGAACCUGGACCACUUUAUAACGUGGAUUUAUCACUAAACUGUUUUGUUUUCCUAUUUAGUUUUACUUUUCUUUUUCUAAAAAAAAAAAAAAGAAGAAAAAACCACGUUCACCUGGUUUUAACUUACUUAUUUUUUCUGUAAAAGAAAAAAACAAACUCGUAUUCUUACCUUGUCACAAAUCCUUUAUUUUUUCCUCAAUUACUAAGAUAAAGGAAACGAGAGAAAAUUCUAAAGCCGCCAUCCCCCUUUGGGUCGAUGGCCUCCAUACCCUCUACUGCUCCGCUUUCCUCCCCUCUUCCCCUCUCAUCUCCUUCCUUCCCCUUUAUUCCCCUUUUCUCUACCCCUCUCCUUUUUGGGGCUUUUACUAGCUUUAGGCUGGAUUUUGGUAUUUUGCCUUGUUGGCUGCUUGACUGUCUUGAGGACGACGUGGUGACAUAUAAAUUUUUUAAAAUUUUUUUGUUGGUGUUGUGUGUUGCAGUUUUUUGAGUUUUAGUAAGUGUAUCAACUUUUUUUGAAUUUGUUGCGUGUUUUUAGUAGUUUUACUUGUAAGAAUUUAAAGGUUGUAGUUGCAGUUGUGGUUUUGUGCUAAAAGGUCUUUGCCUGGUUUUUCUACGCUUGUGACUUUAUGUAGGAAUUUCUUUGGCUUGUGUGGCUAUGAUUAGAGAUACACCUUGUGCUUGUUGUUGCCGGUGAAUUCUUUCGUAGUUGGAUUAACCUAGUGUGAUUAAUGUGCUUUUGUAUUUGUAUUAACUUUAUGGGGUUAUUUGUAUCGGGUCUUGUGGCUAACAGCCUUUAGUCUUGAAUUAUGAAUACGGUCUAUUGUCUUUCUCUAAAAAGCCAAAAACCUAGUUAAUUUUUCAAGAUGCAUAAAGAAUAUAUUAGUACAUUCUUCUAAUUUCUUAUUGAUUACCGGUCAUAACACACUUUUACGCUUGACAAUAUGUGAUCCAAAAUGACCAUAUGUUGUUAUUUGUAUACAACAAUAUCUUAUGCAGUACUUAAAUUAGCCUCCCCAACCCCCACCCAAAUUUUCAAACUCUUACGCAUGGAAAAUGAUCGAAAGUAGGAGUGGACACGGUCCAGUUCUCACCCAAAAUUGAAACUUAAAACGGCAUUCAUUUGGUCUUGUUCUUAGCUAAAUUGGCUCGGGAAAUCAAACCAAUCUGGACUUGUUUGGUUAUUGCCGAAGGUCUUCUCAUUAUGUCAAAACUGUUUGACUAUUUUCAAGGGGCUUCUCAUUCCGUCGUAAUUGUUUAACUAUUUUCGAGAGGCUUCUCAUUUUGCUGGAAUGGUUUAACUAUUUCUGUUGAGAAAUAUGUCCUCUCGGUAAUGUCAUUAUAUUUUCGAGGGCACAUGUGUUAUUGGUAUGUUCUUGGAAAAAGUUGGAAGGUCAAUUAAAAAAAAUUAAAUACUAUGUUGUUAGAGAAACUUUAUGUUAGUGACUAAUGAUUGUUAUCCAAUUAAAUAUGGAGGUAAUUUUUGGGCGUGUUUUCCUCGCCCCCGCUCUUUUUUUUGGACUGACUAGUAAUAAUUUUUUUAAAAUAUAUUUUUUUUAGGGGGCUUGAUAAGCUUAAUUGUGGGAAGAAUAGAAAUAAGUAUAAUUUCUUGUUUUAGUAAUAAUAUUAUUUGAACAAAUGCGAUUGUCAUAAAACCAAGAAGCUAAUUAAUUCUUUGAUAAUAAAUAUUUAAAAAGCUAAGUAAUUAUUUCCUCUCACAAAAGGAAAAAUAAUUGAAUUUGUUAACAUGGUGAGAUGGGAAACAAGACUUUUGACUUCAUGCCUUGGGAUGUCUUUUUUUUAUGCGAUCAUGCCUUGGUAUGUCGCAAUAAUCAAAAGUAUAUUUUCUUUUAUACAACCAAUUUCAAAUGGGUAAACAAGGAGAACAAGCUAAUGGCCAAUAAAUAUAUAAUAUAAUCCAACAACAAAUUGGUUUCCAAUAUAGUCAUGUCAAUAACCUACUUUGGUUGUAAAAUCUCUGCAUUGGACUUGCAAAAUUGCAACUUUUAGACAUCCAAUAGAUAAAGUAAAAUUAGUAAAGGUUAACUAGUGAUUUGUCCCAUGAACUUGUACCUAGCUUUCGAUUCACUCCUAUCUUUUUUUAUUUAUUUAUAAAAAAUUAAGGAUAUGAACCUUUUUUAUUCUCCAAUUUCCCCCCUAUCGUCUAAAUCCUCAAUAUGUCAUCCCAUUUUCAAUUAAAUCAUUUUUAAAAAAAUUAUUUUUUGGAAAAAUUUGAAGAAAAAGAGGAAAAUUGACCCAAAAAGAAGAAGAAGAAAAUACACUUAACCAAACCUAUCGCCAACCCCCCUCCCCCAACUCUAUCUCCUCCAGCACCCUAUCAACCCCUCAUCGUCCCCCCGCUUCCUCCUAUCCCCACGUGAGGUCCAUCCUCAGCCCCGGUUGAAACCCAUCCCUAGCCCUUGCCACCAAGACCUAGACCCAUCCUCUUCCCCAACCUUGCCCCCAAGGUGCAUACCCAUCAUAUGCCCCAGCAAUGCCCUCUUGAGAUCCAACCCUAGACCCAGACUCAUCCCUUUCCUCCUCUUGGACGGCGGCAACUUACCUACCCCCACCCAUAGAAUCCAGCCUGAACCCUCCUUCCCUCCAACCCGAAGAACCCAGUCCUCCUUCCCUUUCCGUCUCCUCCCUUGCUCCUCAUUCUCCUCCUCUUUCCUUCUGUCCCCUUCCAUUUCCCCCACCCUGCCCCUCUGAUCUCUUUGUCACCACCCUUAAAUAUAUAUAUAUAUAUAUAUAUAUAUAUCUAUCCAUGUUCUCUCUCCCCAGCCGAGACCCAUACCAAGUGAGAUCCACCCCUAGACCAUCGCCCAACGCCACCAUACAACCACCCCCAUCCCCAAGCAAGGUCCACCCCCAGCUGAGACCCAUCCCCUAACCUUUGCCCCCCAAAAUCCAGACCUAGACCCAUCCCUCACCUCUCUCUCCUCAUCCCCCCGGCGGUGGCAAUAGAUCCCUCCUCCAACCCCCCACCCACAGAACCCAGUUUGCACCUAAAAGAGAGAGAGAGAGAGAGAGUAUUUCAAUUUUAUGUUUUUUAUAUAUUUAUUUUCCAUUUAUUAUUUAUUUUAAAUGUGCAAAAUGACCAUUUUGACCUCAUAUUUAAUGGAAAAUUGGAUGAAAUGUUGCGGAUUUAGAUGGAAGGGAGAAAUUGGCAGGAAAAAAAAAUUUAUAUCCUUAAUUUUCUUAAAAAACACAAGGAUAUGGGUAAAUCAAAAUUUAAGUACAAGUUCAGGGGGCAAAUCACCAGUUAACCCAAUUAGUAAUGUAUUAAGGCAUCUUGUAGACUUGUAAACAAAUCGAAUUUUGAUUGACUAGCCUAAUUCGAAUUAACGUAUUUAACAUGCCAAUCCAUAUCCAAUGAGAAACAUACAAGUUUAUCUGAUUUUUGAUCAAUCAAUGGUUAUUUUAGAUUCUCAAAUACUAUUGCACUUAUGAAAGUUUGUAGAUCGUUACCUUAAAAAAGAAUUGAUUGAUAAAGAUAUCGAAUUAUCAAAUAACAUAAAAUAGUUUGAUUUCCCCCAUCAUCAUAUUAUAAAAAUUAAGUGAAAUUAGUAAUGUAAACAAAUUGGAUUUGGAUUACAUUCGCCUAGUGCAAUACCAUAUCAAAUUUGGAUUGUAUUUGAAUUAUCAUAUUUAACACGUCAAUGGUUUGUCUAAAUUCUCAAAUGCUCUUUGACGCUGAACAUAAAGCGGAACUUGUAGACAUUGAAUCCGCCCUACACAAAUCGAACUAUCAAAUAGUAUAAUAGUUCGAUUCUUUUAAUUGACAUGUCUAUCCAUAUCAAAUGAUAAUCAUUCAAGUUCAUUCGGUUUUGAUCUAUUAAAAUGGUUUCUUUAGAUUAUUAUAAAAGUAAAAAUAAACGUAUAAAACAAAAACUUUUUCUUAUUUUCUAUAAAAUCAAUUUAUGUAUAUAACAAAAUAUAUGUUUAAAAAAGUAUGCAAUUCAACUCCCGCCUAAAAAAAAGGCGGGGAAAGCCUAAAUUUCCGCUCAAGCCUCUCUUUUCCUUUGGGUGUUUUGCCAACCCUAACACUCCAUAUACGGUAUCAGUCUUCAGCAAAAGCACAAAAAGAAAAAAAAAAAAAAACCUCCAUAUGUCUUCAACAACAGCAGUAAAGAAGCGCAUACCGAUAACCCAGCCAAUAGACUACUGCUCUCUUCUUUUUCUUUUUCCAUACAAUUAGUUGUUUUCUUAUUUGGUUACUUGUUGUCUAUGAGUGUAAGGUGAAUCUUUGAAUUCUCUGUAUGCUUGUGGAUUGUUUUUGGUGUUUAAAGAAUAUGUUCCUAUUCUUUGGUUCUGAAUUCUCUUUGCUUUUAUAUUGUUUUAGAUAUGUUAUUCUUUAUCAAUCCAAAACUGUUCUUUUUGCUUUUUGGUGAAUGACGUUGGAUUCCUAUACGAAUUUGUCAUACUAUUAUAUAUUGUUAAUGGCUUUGUAAAUCUGAAAUUUUUUAUUUUUUUUCCUUUUUGGAUAAAUCAAUUUUUCAAGUACUAUAUGUGGUUUCUAUGUUUUUUUUUUAGUAUGACCUUGGUACUCUUUGAUAAUAAAUGGCAGUUAUGGCAAAAAAGAGAACGGACAAUAAUAAAGCAUCACAUGAUCGCGAAAUGCAAGAGACAAAUCAAGAAUGUAUGAGUUAUUUGCUUGUAAUUAUCGAUGAAAUUCUUACUAUUAUUAUUUUUAUAGAGUUUAGUUGCCAUUAUAUAAGUUCUCAAAUUUUCAAUUAUGUUUUGUCUUUGUAUUUCUGUUACAAAUGAUAGUUAUGAAAAGAAAGGGAAAGAGUCAAGAUAGGUUGCAUUCGAACUACAUAUUAAAUUGUGAUAUUCUGAUUGGCUGUCCGAAUUAAGAAAUAGCAUUUUUGAGAAGUACAUGACUACUGGUAAGAGAUACACUCACUGACCAUCAAGGAUAUCUCAAGAAAUUUGGUGUGAAAUGGUUGAUUAUUGGUUGCCUCCUAAAUAAGGGAAAACAACUCAAAUACUUCGAAAUUUAUUCAGAUGCCUCAUAUAUAGUUGGUUGAUCCUUUUUAUUUUGCUACAUAUAAGUAUUCUGAAUUUCAAUGUUUGGAAUAUUUGCUGGUUGGUUAUAUGUUUUAAGGAUGAUGGGGAUUGUUUAUGUUUUAACUAUCUAUGAAUAAUUUUAUUUGUAUGCGUAAAAUUUUAGUAUAGUAUGGUGUCAUAUUAUUUUUUUUCUUUUGUACCAAUUAAUUACUGAUUAUUAGAAACUAUUUCUAACAAAUAUUGUAAUUUGAAUUUUUUUUAAUAAAAUAAUUACUUUUUUCAACCACAUUUCCCUCUCGAUAAUGCAUAUUUCCAAGAAACACUUCAUCAUUGGAAAUACUUUCCAACAACAUUACUCACGACAAAAAUGGAUCGGAAAAUUUUACAUUUCCAACUACUUAUUGGUCCAAAAUAUUUUCUGAUAAGAUUAAUCUAUUUUUAACAAACUUUCCGACGACUAAAUUAGAAGGGAACCACCGUAGUAAAUGCAAAUCAAUGCCCCAUCUCCAGCAAUCUUGCCGCCGCCAAAUAAGGCUCUUCUAGUAACUCCACAGUCAAUGCAAAUCAAUGCUCCAUCUCCAACAAUCUUGCUACUACCAAAUAAAGCUCUUCCAGCAACUCCAUCUUCAACUCCUCAUAAUCAAUCAAGGGCUUCCCUUCCUAAUCUAUCUUUAUGUUGACUUUGUAUAUUACCUCUAAUUGAUUUUGUAUUCAAUCACAUAUCUACUUACUCUAGUUAGCAUCAUCAACUCAGUUAUAAUCGUGUACUGCUCAUUGUAUUGAUCAUCGAGUAAAUACAAAAACCUCCUUCCAAUACAAUUAUUUACAUAAAUGUGGUUGGAAAUAUGUAUUUCCAACACAACUUACCCAUCGGAAAUAUUUUAUUAUACUAAUUUUAAACGAGAUAUUAUAUAUUUCCCACAACCUCUUUCGGUCAGUAAGGCUAAUUGCGAAGAAAUAUAGCCCUCGUAAAAAAUUAUAUCAUUGCUGGAAAAACUAUUUUCGACAACAAUUAUUGGUCGAAAAUAUGAAUUUGCAAAAACAAGAAAUCUCGGUCAAAAACUAUUUAUGACAGUUAUAUAAAUAUUUGCGGCUACCUUUAUGGGUCGAAAAUAAAGUUGCAUAGUAGUUUUGAAAGCUCAUUGCUGACAGACAUUUAAUCAAUAACGAUGGUCAGGAAAGAAGUAUUUCCAACCAGACAAUUACCGAUGACUUUCGAAGGAAGUUUGUAGUUGUAAAAGCGUAUUUCCGACGAAAAAAUGCCUUUACAGACCACAAAGUGCCCUCACUAAAGGCAUUUGGUUUUGUAGUGACUCACCAUUAAUAAAGUAUGUCAUUAUCACCAUGUAGUUUGUGUUUUGAACACUUAUCCAAGUGUUCGUUGUAAGGCAUACUCUAUAUGGUGUUAAAUCUCCCUUCAAUAUUUAUUUCAUGGCAUCACACAUGGUCAUAAAAUACCUCACAAGUGUCCUACGAUAUGACACUUGGAAAUGGGGGUUUAACGAAUCACAAAACUUCCUAAGCCUUCUAUGGCUCGUUGAUGUAAAAGCCCCAAAUGCUUGGUCGAAAUACAAAGUCCUUUGCUUUUUAUCCUUACCAACCAUCCCCAAGUACUUCUUACAUUAAGACUAAAUAUGCUUUCUUAAAUUUGAAGUCCCAUUUAAAAUGGGGCCAGCGACAUAAUGACGGGAGCAAUUUUUGCUACUAGCUCUCUUUUUAGAGAUUGAAGAUUUGGUCUCAUAUUCCUUGACAAACUCUACUACAUCCUCAUACUUCUCAAAGUGAUCCCAACAUUCGAUUUUUCUUUGAUUGAUUUUCUCCCUCCAGAAGGAGGUAAUGGUAGAAAACCACUAGGUUAAGGUGGUGUUUGUUCUUGAGGUUGUUGAGUUGGUAUUGGGACUGAGGUGCAAGAUUAGGUAUAGUAGGUGACAGUGAUGAUGCGUGUGCAAGUAACAUAUUGAAAGCAACCCACCACACUAAGAAAUUAUUAAGGAUCAUACAAAGAAUCACCAUUCAGAGCACUUAAACGGUGACCCCACGACGAAUGUGGAGACAAGCUUAGAUUUCUGCAUGAGAGUUUGACGUAAGAGAUCUGAAGUGUAUUUUGUUUGAGUCGAAGACAAACUAAAUAAGGACUACUGAAGUUCCGUGCCUAAACAAUAAUUAGCCUGAAUCAAAUCUUUUAUGGAGAAGAGGCGUUGUAAGUCAAAAAUAAGAGAAGUAAAAUACUUGGAAUCAUUAGUGUAAUUUGAAUGUCAUCCACAUAGAUUAGUAAAUAAAUCUGAUUCGCUAAGAGAGGCGAUGAAGCCCAAAUGUUCCAAAUGUGAAGAAAAUUAGUGAAACCAAGUGCACAAGCUUGUUUAGGCCUAUCCAAAUAGCGGUGCAACUUACUAACAUGGUAAGGAAAUUGAGAGUCAGCAAACAUGGUCAAAAAUUAGAAAAGUCAUUUUCUCAGAAUCAAUAGUAGGUCCCAUUAUAUUUUAUUGUAUUAAUUAUAACAAACCACUUAAAAAUUUAAUGGUCUUCAAUCAUAUAAACCUAACGCAGCAAACAAUUUGAUUUUUACACAUGUGCAUGCCUGUGAACUUGUGUCAUAAACCAAGAGGAGAAGAAUUUAGUGUCUUACUGAAGAGCACUAGUUGCGACCUUAGGAACAAACUUUGUCAUAGCCACAGCUACUAGCCCAAUUCUGUGAAUAGAGUAAAAAAAUCAAAGAUUUGGAAUGAUAGUCGAUCAGUGUGAAACUGAGAAAAAAAUAAGGAAAUAAAAGAAAACUUGAUAUGCUUGUUCUAACUAUGUAUAGACCAUCUUCCAAUCCCACAGCUUAACAUCCAUCUACAUAUAUAGUACCUUGUUGGAUGAAGUUCAUGUGGCAUGUCUAUAUUUCUAAUCAUGUUUCUCUUAGAGCAAUUACUUCAAGGGUGUCAACUAGCACUACUGGGAUUGAAAGCAAGAAAGCAAAAAAGAAACUAACAGAGGUUCAAUUUAGCACAAAUUUGAAACACCUAAUGGGGGCAAAAAGCAAAAAAGUAACUAACAAACAUAUUGAUUAAUUUUUGUGAAAUAUAUUAAAUAAUUUCGAUAUGACACCUUAUCAAGCACAAUGACCAAUGAGAUACAACUUUUCAAACACGUGUAUAACAAUAUUGUAUAGAGAUAUAAAAGGUCAUGAUGUUCGUUCCGUAAUUGGAGUGGUUGGUGUACUGCAUAGUUUUAGCUAUUGGAUUUCACUAAAAACUUACCAAAUGACUCUUCCCACCAUAUUAUGAUGUUGACCAAGUUUUGGGCUCAAUCCGAUAUUGAUUGAACCAAGAAAUUGGACAAUUCAAGUUUGUACGAAGUUUGUUCCGUAAAUAGAGUGGUUGGUGUAUUGCAUAGUUUUAGCGAUUGGAUCUCACUCAAAACUCACCAAAUGACUCCUCCCACCAUAUUAUGAUGUUGACCAAGUUUUGGGCUCAAUCCGAUAUUGAUUGGCCAAUGAAAUUGGACACUUCAAGUUCAUACGAGGUUCAUUCCGUAAAUGGAUUGGUUGGUAUAUUGCAUAGUUUUAGUGAUUGGAUUUCACUCAAAACACACCAAUUCACUCCUCCCACCAUAUUAUGACGUGAUGAAUUUAUUGAAAGAAAGGUAGUUGCUUUAGUCGUUAGUUUGACAUAUUUGAGUGAAAGAAGUGUUUCUACUAAAUUACUCUCAAAAGCUUGAGUGUGAUUCAAUGGGUAGCCUAAGAUACGUUCUAAAUACUCAGGAUAUAUAGGGCCUAUCUUGUACUGUCUAACCCAUACAAGAUUUAAUGAGUGACAUUAAUGAAGAAUGUUUCUUUACUGUUCAAAUAACAGUAGUUCAUGAGAAUCAAAAAGUACCCUUCCAAUCCUAUCACAAAGUUGAGAUACGUCGUUGGUUUCAGAACUAAUGUCGGUCAAUUGCUUUAUUGUAUCCCAUAAAGCUUACCAUUUCUUUGUAAGUGGUAUAGCAUUCUCAAUGGUCAUUGGUUGCUCUAGCCUUCCCUUCUAUUUAAGGCCGAGAAGAAUUGAGUAUUCAUGUAUUUAGCCUUCCAUUUUAUUCGAGGCAUACAAGAACUGAGAAUGUUUUGCCUCAAAAAUCAUAUGCUAAAUUCACAAUAUUUCCAUAAAAGAAAUAUGGAGGUUUAGCCACCAUUCGAUUCACUCUUGAAAGGAUUGCUUUUGAAAAGUUCUCGCAUUUCAACAUUACCAAUUUUAGUGUCACCUUUUUCUUACAUCCAUGUUGGGUCAAGUAAAGAGCUUGAAUCAUCAACAUACUCUUGUUUUGGCCUUUUCCUUUUACGUCUUUCUUUGAAAACAGCAUGUCUGAAUGCCCUGAAUUGACAAAUAAUGGUUAGAACAACAUUUGAAUCAUCAUCAUUAUACUUUUGUUCAGACCUUUCCCCUAAAUAUUUGUUUGCUAAGUUACAAUCCCUUGAUUGAGAAAUUAUAUGUGGAUGGAACACCCCACUUUCAACUUUAAUUGAAUCAUACAAUCUUGUAGCAAAAAACUUGGACUUCGCUCUAGUGUGUGAAUUGUUUAAAUGGGCCGAGUACUACACUAGAUAUCAAGCAUAUCACAAAGUUGAGAUAUGUCAUUGGUUUCAGAAUUGAUGUCAGUAAAUUGCUUCCUUGUAUCCCACGAAGACCAUCAUUUCUUUGUAUGUGGUAUUGCAUCCUCAACGGUCAUUUGUGGCAACAGAAAAAUAUGAGACAUGUUCUCAGUUGGGAGAUUGUGUACAUACCCUUUUAUUCAAGACAUUAAAAGAAGUGAGUAUUCAUGUAUUCAGGCUCCAGUCCAUACAUGAACUGAGAAAUUUGUCUUGGAAUCAAUACUAAAUUCACAAUAUUUCCAUAAAAACAACUAUGGGGUUUAGUUGUCAUUUGAUUCACACUAUUGAAAUGAUUGCUUUUGAAGAUUUUUAGCAUUCCAACAUUGCUAAUUGUAGAGUCAAAUUUUUCUUCCAUCCAUGUUCGGUCAGGGAAAGAGCUUAAAUCAUCAACAUACUCUUGUUUUGGCCUUUCUCCUUUACAUUUUGCUUCAAAAGCAGUAUGUCUGAAUACCAUGAACUAAGGAGUAAUAGUUGGAGCAUUAUUUGAAUUAGCAUCAUUAUACUCUUGCUUGGCCUCUUCCCUAAAAAUUGUUUGGUAAGUUGCAAUCCUUGAUUGAGAAAUUGUAUGUGGAUGAAACUUACACUUUAAACUUUAUGAUUUUGUAGAACAAAAACCUGGAACUCACUCUAGUGUGCGAAUGGUUUGAAUCAGCCGAAUAGUAUACUCUAGAUACAUUAUUCCAUACAUUAGUAAACGAAUCUAAAUAAUGAAUGAGAAGACUACACAUAUUUAUAAAUUACUAUGAAUUAGAGAAGCAACAACUUACUUGUAAGAAUAAAUUAGUAUAAAACAAUACAUAAAAAUAAUUAAACAUAUGUUCUGAAAUCUUCCCUAACAUAGCCCAUAAAAACAUCCCUUGAAAAAACAACUAAACAUUUUGACUACCAACACAUAAUAAUCAAAUAUACUAACUUAACAUAAGCUACCCAAUAGUGUGUUAAAUAGAAGACAAUGCCUAACAACACUAGAAUCCAUCAAACUCCACAAAGCUUGCAUAUCUUCACUCAUUAGAUACUCAUGUUACGCGUGCCAACAUUACAGACACUGUCAAUUGGGGGUUGGAUAACAAAGAUUUGAUUGGAUGCAAUGAACUAAUCAAAUCCCAAUCAGCACAUUGCGUGGGCUCCUGACAUUAGACCUUGUACUGAUACCAGAACAUUGUUGUUAUCCAUUAGAGUCACAGUUACACCAAGGUCGUGGAAUCCUUGGAUCACCAAGUCUCUCCUCUCUAGUAGUUUACGCUACACAACAUUAGCAUUGUUGGACGCUAUGAGGGGCAAAAUUUUUUGCUCUCCCCAAAUAACAGCAUUACUUGGACGUAGAGUCAUGAUAAAAACAAACAUAGAUAUAUACUCUUCAAACCAAAAAGUAUGAAAAAGUGAUAGAAUAAGGGAUAGAAAGAGUGAGCUGAUGGAAAAAGUAGUUACACUGCAUGAGGGAUAGGGUUCACAGUGUUCUGGCCAAAUAUGAAUUUAGCGAAGAUGUGGCCGGAAGAUGCUAUCACACUAGCAAACAUAAUGGUGUCGAAGAGGUGCAUGUACUCUUUCACUAUAUCCUCAACUGUUGAUGCUGGAUGCAAAACAAGUGUUAUGUUGCAGAGUGAGAGUGGGGAUAAAAAAGAGAUUAUGAGAGAAGAUGUGUGUGUAGUGCGCUUUGAGAUAAAGAGUGCAAGAGAAUUUGAGAGUAUUCCAUUAAAAAUACAUAUACUGUCAAUAAUAUGGUCAUAACAAAAAUUAAACUAGUCAUAAACAAGUAAUCAUAUACAUUUUUAAGUAAAUGAACUUAUUAAACUUGCAGCUAUAUAAUUUCUCAAUGUCUGCAUUUCUUGUGUCACAGAACCAUCUUCUUGUUGUGCAUCAACCUCUCUCUCAAUCUCUUCACACCUAAAACCAUUUGGAGGUUUACAAAAUUUAAUUGUAUUCACAAUGUAAAAAACUAAAUUAUAAAUUAUAUGAAUUUUUUUCUUUAGAUAGAAAUAGUACCAUUUGGAAGUUUAGGAAAAUUCAAACUUUGAUCACGUAAAUCCAAUAGAAAUAUCCUUAUGUCAUGGACCGUGUCUUCCCAUCUGGCACAUGCAAAUAUAAAUUGCAUGCAGCCAUCACAUUUUGGUUAGGUAUCCCCUUUCUACCAAUAAAUGCUAUUUAAUUAGAAGGAGAUACUAUAACUUGCACAUGAACACCAUCUAUAGCACCCACACAAUCCUACAAGUGAUAGAAAGAAAAACAUAAAAUUAAGGACUAACGAUAAAAAGACACCCUGCAGGUUUGGGGUGGUUCUCAAUUGGAACCCAGGGUAUCAAUUUUUUUAAUUUACACCUUUACGUUUGCAACAUCGUCCAAUUUCAUCCUUUCGUUAAGUUAACAGUGUGGUCAAUCGUUAAAUGCUGAGGUGUCUACUGUGAGACCUGCCCACUAACCAGUCAAUUCCUAAAUUUUUUUUAUAUAAAAUGAUAAAAUAACAUAAAGUUUUAAAAAACAUCGUCUUCCUUUCCCAGGCCAACAACCCCAACGCCCCAUGUUCACCCCCUCUGGCCCAGCACCCUCCUCCAUUUUCGAGCUCGAAGGUCUACAAGAUUGCUAGUCUGAAGUGACGGCUUUGGGACCCUGGUUCUUUUGCGCUCCAGAUCAGGACUGGUUUUUACUGUUAUUGGGUUUUGGUGUUCCAUCGCUGAGCCAACCCCAGAAAGAGAGAGCGAGGGAUGGGGUUUGGGGUUGGUGCAUUCAGAUCUACCAAUAAUAGUAACAAACGUAGAUGGAGAAGCAAGCAAACCUUUCUUGCAUUCAGAUUUAGGAACCGGUAUCGCCACUUGCAUUGAAUCCUGAAAACUAGCCGAACCCUCUUCAACUAUCACAGAGUCUUCCAUUUGCUUGUCCACCAAAUUAGAAUCAACCCUAUCUUUCACAACCAUCCAGAGUCUCUGUAGUAUCACAUACACCAAACCCAUAACCUAAAUUGCAAGCUUUGGUCUUUUCUAAUACCGAAAAGUGAGGAAAUUUCAUCUUGAUAUAAGGUUGACAAGGCAGUUACCAAACACAAACACAAAACUAAUCUAUCCAAUCCAGAAGAGAUUUGAGUUUGAAAAACUUGCAUCAGCCCCAGUAUCAUACUUGUUCAACUGAUCACACCUACAAAAUGACAAGGAGAUCACAAGUUUCAGACCACGAGCCGACGCAAAUUUAUUCAUCAGCCCUUCUCCAUCAGAGCAGUCUCCCUCUCUUCGUCCCGCUCUUUAUCUCUAUCCCACUCUCCUUCCAGCUCUCCAUCCUUAUCAAUAUAUACAAAUUAUGCUAGGAAGGAAGGAGGUCUGGAAGGAGAGGCCAAGUGAGAGAGUUGUGCUUGGAGGCUCGUUUUCUCGCAUAACGAUUAGCAGCCUCGAGGUGCACAUAGCCCAUUGGAGAGCGCGAUCAAUGAGCUUGGUCUGAUCGGCAUUCUAGCACCUAGACUCGAGAAGCCUCUCGAAGGAGAGGUCGAUGGCGAAGGGGGAUGAGGGAAUCGGAUAAUUCGAGAAAAUGGCAUGAGGGAGAAAAGGACGGAGUACGGCUGUGCGUCUGGUUUUUUUUUUUCUUUUAUAUUUAGUUUUUUGUUUAAUAUAUGUUAUUUUAUCAUUUUAUCUAAUAAAAAUUUGAGAAUUAAUUAGUAGGUGAGUCCUACAGUAGACACGUCAACAUUUAACGAGUGACCACAUGGUCAACUUAACGGAAUGAUAAAAUUAGACGAUGUUGCAAACGUAAGGGUGUAAAUUGAUAAAAUUGAUAUCCUGGGGUCCAUAUUAAGAACCACCCAUACCUGCAGGGUGUCUUUUAUCGUUACCCCUAAAAUUAAUUAUAACAUAAUAAAGCAUAGACAAAUAUUUAAGAGCAGUAAAUGCAAUANNNNNNNNNNNNNNNNNNNNNNNNNNNNNNNNNNNNNNNNNNNNNNNNNNNNNNNNNNNNNNNNNNNNNNNNNNNNNNNNNNNNNNNNNNNNNNNNNNNNNNNNNNNNNNNNNNNNNNNNNNNNNNNNNNNNNNNNNNNNNNNNNNNNNNNNNNNNNNNNNNNNNNNNNNNNNNNNNNNNNNNNNNNNNNNNNNNNNNNNNNNNNNNNNNNNNNNNNNNNNNNNNNNNNNNNNNNNNNNNNNNNNNNNNNNNNNNNNNNNNNNNNNNNNNNNNNNNNNNNNNNNNNNNNNNNNNNNNNNNNNNNNNNNNNNNNNNNNNNNNNNNNNNNNNNNNNNNNNNNNNNNNNNNNNNNNNNNNNNNNNNNNNNNNNNNNNNNNNNNNNNNNNNNNNNNNNNNNNNNNNNNNNNNNNNNNNNNNNNNNNNNNNNNNNNNNNNNNNNNNNNNNNNNNNNNNNNNNNNNNNNNNNNNNNNNNNNNNNNNNNNNNNNNNNNNNNNNNNNNNNNNNNNNNNNNNNNNNNNNNNNNNNNNNNNNNNNNNNNNNNNNNNNNNNNNNNNNNNNNNNNNNNNNNNNNNNNNNNNNNNNNNNNNNNNNNNNNNNNNNNNNNNNNNNNNNNNNNNNNNNNNNNNNNNNNNNNNNNNNNNNNNNNNNNNNNNNNNNNNNNNNNNNNNNNNNNNNNNNNNNNNNNNNNNNNNNNNNNNNNNNNNNNNNNNNNNNNNNNNNNNNNNNNNNNNNNNNNNNNNNNNNNNNNNNNNNNNNNNNNNNNNNNNNNNNNNNNNNNNNNNNNNNNNNNNNNNNNNNNNNNNNNNNNNNNNNNNNNNNNNNNNNNNNNNNNNNNNNNNNNNNNNNNNNNNNNNNNNNNNNNNNNNNNNNNNNNNNNNNNNNNNNNNNNNNNNNNNNNNNNNNNNNNNNNNNNNNNNNNNNNNNNNNNNNNNNNNNNNNNNNNNNNNNNNNNNNNNNNUUUAUACUAUAUGUAUAUAUAUUAUUUACAGAGAGCUUCCCAUUGAGGGAUCCCUCAAAUAAAUUUGAGGGACACUCCUUGUAGGCCCCACUCCGGAUUGUAUUUCACUAAUACAAACCUUCUAUUUUGUAGAUACUCAUUCAAAGAUCAUCUCUACAAAAAAUCACUUGAAUCCGAUAUCAUUUGACCACUCAAUUAAGUUAUUGAAAUUUUAGCAUUUUCUUGAAGCACCGUGUUCAUUGAUUUUGUAAGACACAAUUGGAUGUCGAAACGGUUUCCGAUUUGUCUAAUUUUUUGUAAGGAUGAUCUAUGAAUGAAGACCUAAAAGAUAGAUAGUUUGGAUCAUUGAGAAAAAAAUUGUAGGGUACCCUAAAGGGCGUCCCUCAAAUAAAAUUAUUUGAGGGAUCCCUCAAUAGAAGGGGAAGAACCAAAAAAAAAAAAAAUUCAAAUACCUAAAUUUUAUCUUGCCCCCAUUCCUCAAAUGCAUCAACAGUAUUCUUAGCGACAUUCCACUCAAGACCAGUUUCCUUCCCUUUUAGAUCUUUCCAUAAUUUCCAUUCUUUUUUUUAGUAAAUCCCUCUUGUUUUUCAAUUGUAAUUUUUCAUACGGUCUUCCGAUCUCUUUACUAAUAUUUGUAACCAACUUUGUCCAUCCAACUUUAUUAAAGUGAGUAACGGGACAAUUGCCUAGAUCCACCUCCUUGAUACAAAGGUCAAUGAAGAUGGCUAUAGUUUGAGCAUUCCACAAUGCUGACACGUUUUAAGAUCCACUUGCAACAUUUUCAGUUAUGGUGAAGUUACUAUUAUUCUUUGGCAUCUUAUUGCAAAGCACACAAGAAACUAAUGGGUCUACAAGUGAAUUACAAAACAAGCCAAACUAGCCACAACUCAAAUGCAAUGCAUAGAUGUUUAUCUAAUCUGAACAAUGCAUAGAUCUAUCUCAAAUGCAAGGAAAGGUAACUUAACUAACUGCUUACAAUCAUGGAUCAAAAAACAAGGCUAAUAGGGCAGGUUGUGUUAUAAUAUGUUGUUGUAUAAUUAUAAAGUAAAAUCUUUAUCAACAGUUCAAACUAGCAAAAUAUAUAUAUAUAUAUAUAUUCUAACAUCAGUUCAUCGCAGUAUUUAACAGUACAAUGUAAAGGAUAUUGUGCUAGCAGAACUAUGAAUACAACUUUACAGAUAAAAAUUAAAGAGAAAAUUUUCAUACCAUGAAAUAUGCAGGAAUUUUAAGAAUCACAUUCUUGAAUUGCUCAGGAGACAGACCCUAUCACAUAAUUAAAGUAAAAAUUGUGUAAGGCACAUUGUCAAAAGAAAUCUUGCCACAAACUAUAAUAAAGUCUAAAUUUAUAUAAUUCGGGAAUAAUCAUAAAAGGUUUUUGUUUUUGGCAGGAAUCAUUAAAGGUUUGCAAAAAAAUUAGUACAAAAAACAAAUCAUUUAGAAGCUUUUGGCAUACAAGAAAAGAAUCAAUCUUCCCUUAUUUUUGUGGAAGAAUAAAUAAUAAAGGGCACAACAAUGUCAUAUCUAACUAAGCAUUCAAAUAAGAAGCAUAAUUUGACAAGUAAAUGUAUUCCAGCAAUAAAAAUCCCCUAAACAGUGACCGCAUUUUGAAAAUUCUAGAAUAAACAUCUUAUAUAUAUAUAUAUAUAUAUAUAUAACACUAGAAUGACCAACUUUUAAGCCCAACUAAAAAAUCACAAACCUUAAGUGUAAUUUCAUUUGUAGACAAGAACUCACCUUUUCCUUUUGAUGGCUACCAAUUAGAAGAAGAUUACCAUCGAUAUUUAUACUUAUAACCACAACCUACAAUAUAUCAAAUCAAACUAACAUUAUAAUAGGGGAGAGAGAGAGAGAGAGAGAGAGAGAGAGAGAGAGAGAGAGAGAACAUUAAAUAGAACUGCACAAACAAGUUUCCAUGUGUACAACAAGCAAAACAGAUGUAACAUUAAAUAGAAACGUACAAACAAGUUUCCACAUGUACACCAAGCAAGUACCCUUUAAUAAAUGCCAAUUAGGAAAGAUUACGAUCUAUAUUUAUGCUUGUAAUCACAACCUAAGAUAGAUCAAAUUUACUAAUUAUAAUAAGAAACUGAGAGAGAGGCCAGGACAGAGACAGAUCUAACAUUAACUAGAAGUGCACAAUCAAGUCAGAUUUAUAGUACUUUUCUCUAGCUUAAUGAAACCUUAAAUAUUUUUUUUUUCUUUUCGACAUAAGUAUUUUUAGAUAGAUUAUGCGUCUAUUUUUUGGGUACUGAGUUUUGCCAUAUGAAGUACAAGUUCUCCAACCCUUCGUUUGGAUGAGGGAAAAUAACUAGGAAUUUAGCUAAAAGUAGGGAAUUUAAGAGAAGAAAUUGACAAUUCCUUUGUUUGGCAAGUUAAGCGCGUAAUUUAUUAAAUGACGCGUGAAAAAAAUGGUGGAAAUUGGAGCAUCAAAUUUUCGAGUUUAAUUUCCAUCAAAAUAGACAUCAUUUCACAAUUUCCAUAGUGACAUUUACAAAAUUUGACAUAUAUAAAUCCAAAUACUGAAAUCUUCAAUUGCCAGAAAUUGAAAUUCAUUCAUUUUAAAAUUCUAUGUAAUUUUUAAUUUCUUCAUCUAGACGGAGGGUAAAGUAUGCGUCAAAAUUUAACAUUUUCUUAUAAAAAAAAGGGAUUUUUUUUUUUUUUGGAGCUUUAGACUUUUAAAUAUUGCCCAUUCCUUGAAAAAUUCUUGGAUCCGCCAUUGUGGACAUCAAUUCGGCCAAACCGACUAAAUCGGCUGAUCUAAUCUGUAAUUAUCGAUUUGGUUUGGUUUUGAUUAAGAAAAAAUCAAACAGUUAAAAAUCUGAACCAAACCAUAUAUUAUUUAGUUUGAUUUAAUUUUGAGCUUUUAUAAAUCAGCAUAAACCGAACCAGACCGUCUACUUAUAUAUUUAUUUAUUUGUAUUUAAUUUUACACGUGUAGUCCUCUAAUUAGAAAAUAACUAGAUAUGAAUGUUGAAUUGUAACUAUAUUAGUUAUUGAAAUUUGAUGUUUUACGGUUUGUUGAGUUUUAGGAUGGUUUGAUGCUAGAAAAUGAAAAAGGUAUGUAGCAAGUUUUUUUUUUUUUUUUUUUUGGGUAAUUGGGCUAACAAUGUUGAAAAACUAGAAAAAAAAAAGAGAAUUGAACUUAAGCCAAAACUAGCCGAAGUAAAACAAAUCAAAUUGUUUUAAAUUAAUUUGGUUUUGCUAAAAUAUGAAAAUUAUGAGAGAAAUAUUUGUUUGUGGGAAUUUUCUGUGUAUUCUUCUCCUUGUAGGAGGUCAUAUUUAUAAUACAACGAAACCUGAAUGGGCAAGUAAAUAAUAAAUUCCUAAAUCUAUUUACAGUAGGAAAUCAGGAAUUAAAGUAAAUCAAUUACAAUUAUAAUAGGAAUUCUUGGUGUGUAAGGAAAGUAAGUCAAUAUCCACAAGUCACGCCAACACUCCCCCUCACGUUGGUGCAUAGAUGUCGCCAAUGCCCAACUGAUCCAGUGAAUUGUGGAAUGCUUUACUGGAAAUCGCCUUUGUCAAAAUAUCCGCCAAUUGAUCUUCGGAUUUCACAAAAGGAAACUGAAACAUUUUAGCCUCAAGCUUCUGUUUGAUGAAGUGUCGAUCUACCUCAACAUGUUUAGUACGAUCAUGCUGAACCGGAUUCUGUGCAAUGGCUAUAGCAGCCUUGUUGUCACAAAAGAGAUUCAUUGUGGAUGUAGGUUUAUACCCGAGUUCAAUAAGCAACUUUCUUAACCAAAGAAGUUCACAAAUCCCUUUAGUCAUGCCUCUGAACUCGGCUUCUGCACUGGAUAAAGCUACUACAUUUUGUUUCUUGCUCCUCCAUGUCACCAAAUUACCUCCCACGAAUGUGAAGUAACCCGAUGUGGAUUUUCUAUCUGUUACAUUACCUGCCCAAUCUGCAUCUGAAUAACCAUCAAUAUUUGGAUGACCAUGCUUUGAGAACAUAAGUCCUUUUCCAGGUGCAGACUUCAAAUAUCUAAGUAUCCGAAGAACUGCAUUCAUGUGGUCUUCACUUGGAGAGUGCAUAAAUUGACUGACAACGCUCACCGCAUAAGCAAUGUCUGGUCGAGUAUGUGACAAAUAGAUCAAUCUUCCCACUAACCUUUGGUAUCUUUCUUUGUUAGUUGGAACUUGAUCCGGAUAUUCUCCAAGAUGAUGAUUCUGAACAAUAGGAGUGUCCGCAGGUUUACAAUCUAGCAUUCCUGUGUCUGUCAACAAGUCUAAGACAUAUUUCCUUUGAGAGAGAAAUAUGCCUUGCUGCGAUCGAGCCACCUCAAUUCCCAAGAAAUACUUGAGUCCACCUAGAUCCUUCAUCUCAAACUCCGUAGCCAGAUAGUCUUGUAGCUGUGAUAUUUCCUGUUUAUCAUUCCCAGUAAUAAUCAUAUCAUCAACAUAGAUUAUUAAUGCUGUUACCUUCCCUUUUUGAUGUUUCAAGAACAGAGUAUGAUCUGAGUUGCACUGUUUGAAACCAUUGUUCUUCAUUGCCAUGGUGAACCGUCCAAACCAUGCACGUGGUGACUGUUUCAAUCCAUACAAUGCUUUUCGUAACCUGCAAACUGUUCCAGUCUGAGUAGUAUUAUAUCCAGGAGGAAUAUCCAUGUACACCUCCUCUGUGAGUUCACCAUGUAGAAAAGCAUUCUUUACAUCAAACUGGUGUAGUGGCCAAUCCAAAUUAGCUGCAAGGGACAAUAAGACUCUGACGGUGUUUAACUUUGCAACUGGUGCAAAAGUUUCUUCAUAGUCUAUACCAUAGGUCUGUGUGUACCCUUUUGCCACAAGUCUUGCCUUGUAUCGCUCGAUAGAUCCAUCUGCAUUGUGUUUUAUAGUAAACACCCAUCUACAUCCGAUAGUCUUUUUUCCUCGUGGUAUAGUCUCUAAUGUCCAAGUCUGAUUUUUCUCAAGAGCUUUCAUCUCCUCUUUUAUAGCUUGGACCCACUUAGGAUCUUUCAAUGCUUCAGAAACCUUGGUUGGAAUAUGGAUAGCAGACAACUGAUGCACAAAAGCCUUGAGUGGUUCAGACAGCUUCUCAGUGGAUACAUGAUUUGCAAUUGGAUACUUGGAUGUCUUGCCAAUAUCCGGUGAAUAACGGUUUGGUGGCUUCCCACGAUUUUGCCUGAAAGGUAAUUGAUAUCCAAUAGUUUUAUCAUCUAAAUGCACAAGUCUAGUAGGAGUAGUUACCUCAAGGAUAUUCUCAGGAGAUUGGUCUGUUGGUACUGUUGAGUUAGAAGGGGGGUCUUCAUCUUGUUGUUUUGUAUUGUCUGUAGGUGUGGGACUCAGAUAAGAAAUAUCUUCGCAUGGAUCAGGUGGGUCAGGCAAUUGAUCGCUAUGAAUGGGCGAUUGGUCACUUUUCAACAGAGAGUAAUCUCGUGCUCCAGACUCGGGAUGAUCAAUCAUUUCUGUACAUGGGAGAAUUUCUUUGUUUGCCAAGUUGCUCCAAUUCUGUUCUUCACUUCGUAUCUCCCCCUGAAGCGCAGAAUUGGAUGAUGGGUCAUGAAAGAACAGCUCAGAUUCCAGAAAAGUCACAUCCAAAGUGACAUAGGUUCGUUGGGUAGGAGGGUGAUAACAGCGGUAACCUUUCUGAUGAGUGGCAUAACCCACAAAAACACAACGAAGCGCACAGGGAUCAAGUUUGCUACGUUGAUUUUUGUGGAGAUGAACGAAAGCCACGCAUCCAAAGAUUCGGGGUGUGAGUACCAAAACAGAGGGUAGAGGUCUGUGUUGCGCAAGCACCUGUAAAGGAGUUUUAAAGGUCAAUACACCAGAAGGCAUGCGGUUGAUCAGGUGAACUGCAGUGACAAUAGCAUCAUCCCAGUGAUGGCGAGGAACAUGAGCGCCAAUCAGAAGUGCUCGGGCGGUUUCAAGAAGAUGUCGAUUCUUUCGUUCAGCAACACCAUUUUGUUGCGGUGUCUGAGGACAAGUCGUCUCAUGGAUAAUUCCAUGUUGUUGGAAGUAAGUCUGAAAGUCAUGAUUGACAAAUUCUCCACCAUUGUCGGAGCGAAGAAUCUGGAUUUGAGCAUUAAAUUGAGUUUUCAUCUGUUUGUGGAAGGACUGAAAACGGGAAAACACCUCGUUUUUAUUCUUCAGCAAAUAAAGCCAUGUCAUCCGUGUACAAUCAUCGAUGAAUGUGACAAACCAUCGAACACCAGAAGGAGCAGUGAUAGGCGAAGGUCCCCAGACAUCAGAGUGAAUUAAUGUAAAUGGAGUAGUACACUUGUUCGUACUCAACGGGUAGGGCACACGGUGACUCUUGGUCAAAAUACAAGUAUCACAUGUGAAGUCGGAGUCUUUGAAACCUGAGAAUAAAUCUGGUAUAAGAUGCUUCAUAUAACUAAAAGACGGAUGUCCCAAUCGACGAUGCCACAACCAAAUUUGCUUUUGUUUGCUAUCAAAGGAAUGUGUCACACUGUUAGCCACGCCGGGACUGAAGUCAUCGACAUAAUAUAGCCCCCCUCUCUUAGUACCACGACCAAGAAUCUCCUUAGUGUGAAUAUCCUGAAGCAAACAAAAACUCGGGUAAAUGAGUACACAACAAUUCAAUUGUUCAGUAAGCUGACUAACUGACAACAAUUUAGUGGAUAAAGAUGGAACAAGUAAAGUAUUAGACAGUGUGAGAGAGGAUGAGAGUGCAACAGUGCCAGCCCCUGUCACAGGAUAAGUAACACCAUUGGCAUUUGCAAUACAGGUUCGUCGAGGUUGUGUAGUAUUCAGAAAAUCAUCAGGAUCAAAUGUCAUAUGAUCAGUUGCACCAGAAUCAAUUAUCCAACUCUUGGAAUCAAUCUUAUCGGAAGUAUGGAAUCCAUAACCAGUACCAUUACUGGUCAUAUUGCAUUGUCCUCGAUCUGUAAGAGUAGCCCACCAAUCGGGGUAGCCAUGCGAUGUAAAACAAGUCUCACAAGUGUGUCUCGGAUCACCACAAUAUGCGCAAUUUGGUCCAUGUGUCGGGGUCGUUAGUCUAGAAGUCAUAAGCUGUGCAGCAGAAGAAGCAUAGGAUACAGGUUGAGUAGGAAUUUGGAUCGGAAUCUGAGCAUGAGUCGGGGCCGGAGUCGGAGUCGAAAUCGGAAUCGGGGUCUGAAUCAUAGACAAAUUCGAGGUUGGGGUCAUCAUCGGAGUAGGGGUCGUGGUCGUCUUCGGAGUCGGGGUCAGGGUCGUCGUCGUCAUAGUCGGGGUCGGGGUCGGGGUCGUCAAAAGAGGAUCCUGAUUUUGGAUCGGGGUCUGAAUCAUAGACAAAUUCGAGGUUGGGGUCAUCAUCGGAGUGCGGGUCGGGGUCGUCUUCGGAGUCGGGGUCGGGGUCGUCGUCGUCAUAGUCGGGGUCGGGGUCGUCGUCGUCAAAAAAGGAUCCUGAUUCUGGAUCGGGUUCGGGGUCAAAGUCUGCAUCUGUAGGGGCGGAGCCAUCUGGGCACUCAACUCAACGAUGGUUGGUUGAGGAUGAGAGAAGGAGUCGGUGGUGCUACCUCCAUGAGGGUUGAAAAAAUCAUCAACCCUCAUAGCGGCGGCGGAGUUUUGAAACUAGAGUCAGCAAUUCCAAGAUCGCCGCUCUGAUACCAUGCUAAAAUAUGAAAAUUAUGAGAGAAAUAUUUGUUUGUGGGAAUUUUCUGUGUAUUCUUCUCCUUGUAGGAGGUCAUAUUUAUAAUACAACGAAACCUGAAUGGGCAAGUAAAUAAUAAAUUCCUAAAUCUAUUUACAGUAGGAAAUCAGGAAUUAAAGUAAAUCAAUUACAAUUAUAAUAGCAAUUCUUGGUGUGUAAGGAAAGUAAGUCAAUAUCCACAAGUCACGCCAACAGGUUUGAUUCUGUUUCCUCCAUGAGUAUUAUCAAAAUUCAACUAAUUAAAUUAUUAUAUUAUAAUUAGUUUGACGACGGUUUUAAAAUAAAACCGAUUCAAUUUGGACCGUGACGGCCCUCUCCUAAGAAAACCUAUCCAUUAACGAAAACUGAAAAGUGGCUCAAACAGUGGGACCAAAGUUGUAAUUCUGCCUUUUGCAAUUCCCACUGCCGUUUUCCAAGUCGUCAGCCACACUCCACCCUGCAACUGUUUCUCUCUCUCUCUCCCCCUCUUUAUACCGGUCGACUUCGAAAGCCAAAACCCACAAAAGAAAAAAAAAAGAUUUCUCAUUUCACAGCCAUGGCUUCCUCAACCGACCUGAAGAAAAUACUAGGUGACCUCAACAAGGAAUCCUUCAUAUCCCUUCUCUCCAAGCUCAUUGGGGAGUCCAAGUACCUCCAAAACAACCCACCCGAACUGAUCCCUCAGGAGGACCGAGCGGUCAAGCACGUGCUUGAUUCCCUCCUGCCCCUAAGCACCACCACUGGCGGUGGACCCUUGGUGAUCAACCAUGUAACCUACUUUCCUGGCAGAGGAAACGUUAUUGUAGAAUACCCAGGAACUGUGCCUGGGAAGACCUUGUCCUUUGUGGGGUGUCACAUGGACGUGGUCACUGCAAAUCCUAAUGACUGGGUUUGUUUCUUAUAUCUAAUCUUUGGCUUUUGCUCUGUUCUUGUUAUCUUGGGUUGGCUUGUAUUCGUUCAAGAACAUUAGAGUUUGGCAGUCUAUCUUCAACAUAUAAAUAGCUGUUCAAUUCAAUUUGUAUUUUUGUUGAUUGUGCCUGUAUGCUGAUUCUUUUGGCAUUUCUGUUAUGGGGUUUGUCUAAAUUAGCUGGAGCCUCAUUUUGAUGAUUACUUGUUUCGAGUUGUGUGUAAACUAAUCUGGGUUCGUGUGGUUAUUGCAUUAGUGGUUUCAUGGCUAUCUAUUCACAUCAGUAUUUUCUGAAUGUUUAUUUUUUAUUUACUUAUGCUCCUGAUAUUUUUCAGGUUAGCGUUUCCCCUUUGGAGAUAAAUAUUUAUGUUUCUCUGAUUCUAUCUGGGAUUUUAUGCGUCCAAUUCAAGGUUGAACUCGAUUGGCUAAAAAAUUUAAGAACUCACGAUUUUUGACAAAAUUCAUUGGUUUUGAACUGAAAAUCCCCUUUAUUCGUCUCUGGCCUAAAUUAAAUUCAGAAGUUCUCAUUUUUUCUGUGUGCCCUUACCUUUUUCAAAUCAUUGAUAACUAUGGUUUGGUUUCGGCUAGCUUAUCCUUCCUCCAUAUCUUACCAACUCCUUAUCUAGUGUUUAUUUCAAUUGGAAUCAGAUGUUUGAUAUAUUUCUAGUUCACCGUGAUGCAUCUAAAAUCAAUUGUGAAUUUUAACCAGAGUUUCGAUGAUUUUCUUUGAUAAAUGUUUUGUUUUCUAUUGUGUUCUUGUUUGGUCUUUCAGUUUGCAUAAUUUGACAGUAAGCUGUAGUUCAAGACAACCAUAAAAUGUCGUAACUGUGGCCUAUUAAUUUUUUUUUUUUUUUUCUCUUCACAGCUUAGGCUCUGAAGCUCUUUGAAUGUUCCAUAUGCAAUGAUAGUUUAGUCUUUCAUUACAGGAGCUUGCUUUUGUCGUUUGCAUUGUGUACAAAUAAUGGAUCACUACUGGGAUGUAGUUAAAAUGAUCAUCAUUAUUUUAUUUUCUCAAUUUUGUUAGGUAGUGAUGAUUCAUUGUGCAUCAAAUAUGAUUCUUGUAUUUGCAGGAGUUUGAUCCAUUCUCAUUGAGCAUUGAUGGUGAUAAGCUUCGUGGCCGUGGAACCACUGAUUGCUUGGGCCAUGUUGCACUUGUAGCUGAGCUCAUGAGACGGCUCGCAGAGACAAAGCCAAAAUUGAAGUCCACUGUGGUUGCAGUCUUUAUAGCAAAUGAAGAAAAUUCUGCCAUUUCAGGUGUUGGUGUGGAUGCACUCGUGAAGGAUGGGCUACUCAGUAAGCUAAGGGAAGGUCCUCUGUAAGUAAUUUGCAUUUCUUGUAAAACUGAAGGAAAACUAAGAAACAUCUUUCUGAUUCAUGUUUAUGAUUAUGACUUUUGGGGUUCAACUCAGGUUUUGGAUUGACACGGCAGAUAAACAACCUUGCGUUGGUACUGGUGGUAUGAUACCUUGGAAGCUUCAUGUGACUGGGAAGCUUUUCCACAGUGGUUUAGCACACAAGGUAUAGCACUAUGUUGUGUAAUUCAUUGACUUGUCAGUGCACAGUUUCUUUUCAGGAGAUUGUCAGGUACAUCUUUUGCAAUGACAUUAUGGAAAUUAGUUAGACUGGUUUUGUAGUUAUAUUUUUUUAUCUCUACCCGAGAUAUGAGAGGGUGAGGAAAAAGCCUAUAUUCUUUUUAAUAACUGGGAAUAGAAAUGGGGACUUCUGGAGUGGCUGAGGUAUUAAGUUGGUUAGCAAAGAAAAAUGUUACAGGUUGAGACAAACUUGACUGGUAAAAGUUGAAGGUGCUACUUAGAUGGAUGUGGCUGAGUUCUUAAGAGAAGGCGUGAUAAACAUUUCCUCGAUAAAACAUAAAACAAUAUAAGAUACUUCUAUCCCUUAUUCGGCAAAUCCUAGGACUGGAGCUGCUGGGCAAGGGGGACAAACAAAAUAAAUAAUUAAAAAUGGAUAAACUCUUCAAGGAGAGUAAAACAACAAAUUUUAUCCAUACUAGAAUGGAUAAACUCUUUUUUAUAUAAACAUGAUAUGUACCAGUACCGGUUUUAACUAAAUCUGGACCGUUGGACCCCUUUCCUUUGUCUCAUUCUAUAAAUCGUAAUCAUUUCCAUGAUCAAUACAGUUAUUGGAUUUGUUGUUUGGGUUCAGCAUUUUCUUACUAUUGGCUUAGAUGCAUACCCCAGUGCCUACUUUGCAGCUACCAUGUCACUACCAUGUAUGCUGGUGGGGGUCUCGGUCAGCAGAAUACCAAACAGUGAUGUUAUUUUUUUGUUGACCCUAGGAGGAGCAAGAACGUUUAACAACUUAGGUUUCAGGUAAUAAUAAGAGAGGGCAUGAUGGUUUCCAUAUAAUAGAAAAUGCCUUCAAUGAAGUGCAAUAUAGGGUUUCAGUAGCUGUGCCCAAACUAUUAUGGAUAGGGAAGUAUUGAUUUUAUAUGGGCUUUUUAUGAAUAUCAUUGCUUUAAAAUGGUUUAAAAUGAUUUUUUUUAUUACUUCCAAAGAAGGUAAAAAGUUAUCUUGGUUCAAACUCAAUUUUAUUUUCUUUGACCCACAAAUGGCUCCUAUAUUUCGUUAGGAUAAAAACUUGUUAGGAGCAAGUGAAUCAGAGCCUGAACUUGUAUCUAGUUGGACAAUUGAGCAUUUUUACAAUAAGUUAAGAAUCAAAGCAGAAAUGACAUCCUGUUUCUACUUAUUUAUCUCUUGAGGCUGAUGUUGAAUAUCUGCAGGCUAUUAACCCUUUGGAGCUAGCUAUGGAAGCACUGAAAGAGAUCCAGUUGCGGUUCUAUAGAGACUUUCCUCCCCAUCCCAAGGAAGAGGUCUAUGGAUUUGCAACACCUUCAACCAUGAAACCAACUCAAUGGAGUUGUAAGUUUUAAGGUUUCAAUCUUAUGGUGAAAAUGUUGGAAAAAUGCUUGUACAUUACAUUGACCUUUUUCCGGUUGCAGAUCCUGGGGGCGGAAUAAAUCAAAUUCCAGCAGAGUGCACAAUUUCAGGAGAUGUCAGGUGUAUAAUCUUCUCGAUGACUUUUGUUUGAGGCCUUUAUGGUAAAAUGAUAUCUCUUUUCUUUUCUUGGUCGUAAGAGAAAUGACAUCUCCAGAGGAUUUGUCUUUAAUCUUUUUCUUUUCUAGGAGUUGCUCUUAAUUCCUUUUUUUUUUUUUUUUUUUUUUUUUUUGGUGCAGGUUAACUCCCUUCUACAAGUAAGCAACCUGCUUUGUUUGGCUAAGUUCCAUCUCUUAUAGUUUCAUUGUAAAAAUUUCAUAUGGGCUCCAUUUUUAACUUGGGAAACACUAUAACCUGCUACAGUGUUAAGGACGUGAUGGAAAAGCUUCAAGAAUAUGUGGAUGACAUUAAUGAAAACAUUGGAAAGCUUGACUCACGAGGUCCGGUGUCAAAGUAUGUCCUACCAGAUGAAAACUUAAGGGGAAGGUGAUCUCUCUCUCUCUCUCUCUCGUGUAAUUCUUAUAAGAUAUUCAUUUAGUUAACAUGUAAUUACUCAAUCAUGUGAGCUUUCUUAAUUUUAACAUUAGUCAAAUGCAUGCCAUAAACCUUUCCCUAUGCUUUCACAAUCUCUCUUACCCUUAGAUGAUCCUUUGUUUUCUCUGCAUUUUAAAUAGCUACCAUCAGAUAUGUCAAUUUCCUAAACAAACAAACAAACAAACUUACUUUUAGGGCAUGCUAAUUAUUAAAAUAAAAAAAGUAGCUUUUAGGGCAUGCUAAUUAUUAAAAUAAAAAAAGUAGUUUUACUUUUCUUUUUCUCUACAGCCUCACAUUAAGUUUUGAUGAGACGUCGUCUGGAGUUGCUUGUGAUCUCAACUCCCGUGGCUUUCACGUAUUAUGUAAAGCUACUGAAGAGGUUGUUGGGCAUGUAAAGCCUUACUCAAUUACUGGAAGUUUGCCUCUCAUUCGAGAACUGCAGGUACAAUUAAAAAUAAAUAAAAAAUCUUGCUUCCAAGGCUUUUUUUUUCCCUUUUCUUUCACUUGUAUUUUUCCUUAACUAUAUCAUUUUAUUGUGUGCUAGGAUGAAGGAUUUGAUGUUCAAACGUCUGGCUACGGUAAUGAUACUAUUUCUUUUGGCGUUUUGGAUUUAGUUCACAAAAGUUAUAGAUACUUUAGAACUUAGAAACAACCAUAAUGCUAUGAUGGCAUCAAAGGUUGUAUUACUUAGUGUAUGUUGUGAUGGUAAUUAGUUUAAGAAAAUAGACUUUGUGCGUAUGAAGCUUUGAAUUAUUAGUGAGAUGAGUUCUUGAGCCUAUUGGCUGUCAAUUGUGAGAGGAUGAGAGCAUAAGGGAAACUGAGCUGAGAAAGAGGAAACCUAAUUUGUAUGACUGUUUAUACUGCGUAAGUGGUAAACAGAUAUGAAGGUCACCUGGUUAGUCUUGGUUAAAGGGCACACAACCUUUCGAAGUAAAGGACAAUACUUCUCAUGAUAAGCAUACUUAUUUGUGCAUGGUGUGAUGGUAGUUAGUUUAAGAUGCUGGUAUAAAAAUAUACUUGUGGAUGAAGCUUUGAAUUACAAAUGAGAUGAGUUCUGGGCCUAGUGGCUGUCAAUUGUGAGAGGAUGUGAAGAUAAGGGAAGCUGAGCUAAAAAAGAACGAACUUCAUUUGUAUGACUGUUUAUACUGGGUAAGUGGUAAAACUGACAUGAAGGUGAGCUGAUUAGUCGUAUAAAAAGGUAUUCUCCACAACCUUUCAAAGUAGAGGAGAAUACUACUCAUGAUAUGCAUAGCAGUUGUUUCUGAGAGUGCGUAGGUUAUUAUAUCUUAGUUGAUGAUGUUCUGAUUCUUUGCCGUUUUGCAUGCAUGUACAGGCUUGAUGGCCACAUACCAUGCCAAGAAUGAGUACUGCCUUUUUUCGGAUAUGCACCAAGGCUACCAGGUUUUUGUCAGUAUUAUCUCUCAACUAGAAGACUGAGAAUCAGCAAAGAGAAAAGAAGAAAACUAGAAGACUGAGAAUAACAAGUUGCAAUGAUACUACCAAAUCACACCAAAAAUGAGUACUGCCUUUUUCUGAUGUGUGCCAAGGCUUGACUAGUCUUGACUAGAAGAAUGAGAAUCGAGGGGAAAAUAAAGGGAAGUGUAGAAGAUUGAGAAUAAUGAGAAAUUGCAAAUGAUACCUACCGAACCAUGGCUGAUAGGUAUUGUUCAGAAUUUCCAAUAGUCAUAGAUAAGCAAAAUGUUAAUUUUAAACUCUGGUUACGUGAAUGGCUUGUGUUUUUUCGUUGAGCUGAGUACAUGUGGAGUGUUUAUGGUGUACAUCUGAAGUGUUUAUGAUUGUUAUCCCUAUUUUCAUAUAUGUUUGAAGGUGAAAUUCUAUAAUGAGGGUAUGGACUCUUCAUGUGGAUCAUUUAAUUAAACUUAAAUGAAGUUACUAUUUAGAUUAAUUAUGUAGCUAAUAUGAAGUCCACAUUUAUUUAGCUACAUAUCUUAUUUUGGGCUUCUAGCCAUCCCCAUUGAUCAGGGCCACUCAAACAUGGUUUGGCCCAAAUGGUGAUCCAUUUAUCGGAUGUUGGGCUUGGACUAGUCAAAUUUCAACUAGGCUCAAACAACUAACUAAUUAAAUUAUUUUAGGGGAAAAAAAAAAAUCAAUUACAUCAUGUGUAGUUGUAUCUUUGGAUGUAUCCAAUGGUGAAAAGAAAAAAAAUCAGCCACCAAGUAUAACAUGAUAUAAUCAUGUUUGAAAAGAAAUUUGGUUAAUCCAAAGAGUGAGGAAUGACUUAUAUCAUGCAAAGCAAAAGAGAGAAUAUUAAUAUCCUCCUAAUUUAUUGAAUGGCUAGCCGCACAAGACAAGGAGUAGCAAGAGCAUAGCUAGCAUGGCUUUUAAUUAUUCAUUUUAGGGAAAUAGCUCUAAAUGCCACCUUUCUUAUAAUUUUAACUGAAAAUACCACCUCUCUCCAAAAAAUUUGCAACUAUCACCUAUAAAUAUAUAUUUAUUGACCACUUAUUGCACACAUAUCACUUUUGCUGAAAUUUUGUUUUCUCUAUAUCGCGCCCUCACUCUCUCUGUCGCUCAGCUCUUUCUGUCUCUGUUGUUCAGGUCUCACUCUCUCUUCGGUCAACUCUCACUCUCUCUUCUCUAUUUCACCGUCACAGGAAGCUCUCGGCCUCUCUUGCGCAGCUCUUUCUCGUGUAGCUCUCUCUCUCUCUCUCUCUCUCUCUAACGCAGUGGUCUUCCUCUUUCAUCGUUCACCUGCAAAAGGUACUGUUCAUCGUCAAUUUGAAUUGAUUUAGGGGUUUCUCUGAAGUUGUUUUAAGGUUUAUGGGUUUCUAUGAAAUUGGUUUAGGGUUUACGAGUAUCUCUAAAAUUGGAUUAUGGGUUUCUCUGAAAUUGGUUUAGGGUUAGGGGUUUCUCUAAAAUUGGUUUAGGGUUGAGGGGUUUCUUUGAAAUUGUCUGAUUCUGAUGAUUCCUUGUUUGAAACAUUGAAUGGGUUUGUUGUUUGUGGAUUGAUUUUUGCAUUUGAUUUGGGAUUCUGUUGUUUUGUUGCUGUUUCUGUUGUUUUGUUGCUGUUUUAGUGUUGUUAUUGAUGUUUUAUUGAUGUUUUAGUGUUGUUUUUGCUAUCUUAUUGCCAAUUUAGUAGUUUUGUAUUGGCAUUUUAGUGCUGGUGUAUUGCUAGUUUAUUAUGGUUUUAUUCUCGUUCCAUUAUGGUUUUAAUGAUUUUGGCGAUUUAUGUAAUUGAAGUCUGUGUUUCCUAUUAUUUUUUUUUUUCAUCCAAAGAAGGGAAAUUGUAGGUGUUAUUUAUAGUCUCUACAUUACCUGUUUUGUGGCAUCCAAUGCUUAGAAAUUCUAGUAGGUCAUUCUUCAAGAUAUUGAAAUAUAUCAGAAUGACAACACAUACAUUUGUGUAUAUAUGUUUAUUGUGAAAUUACAUAUGAAGUAGGAAGCCAUUAUUUGGAUAUGUAAAAGUUGUAUAAAGGCAAGUAUCAAAACAUUGAGGCAAGUGGAAUUUGACAGGGGCCUCAACGUUUGCACUUCAUAUUAUGCUUAAAGUAUUUAUGUUCCUUGCCACUGCAGUUAUAGUAUUCAAGGAAUCUGACGAAAUGGCCCAGUUGAAGCAACAACAAGUGGAAACUGGAUUCAAACUAUUUCACAAGUUUGCAAAAUAGUGGAUCCAUAAGGAAAUGGGGACAACAUCACUGUGGGCAGGGUCAUGAAUUUCAUGGGUUGCAGUCUCCACAUUUGAAGAGUAUGCAACUUCGAAUGUGUCAACAGAACUUGUGACACUUUAAUAUGACUUUGGAUAUUGUAAAAUACAGUGGAAACUACCUGUAAAAUGGAACUAUGAGGUGGCCUCUUUUUGUAUUAUGUAACUAUGGGGUGGCCUCUUGUUGUAUUAUGUAAGUUUUGAAAUUAGAUUUAAUGGAAUUAUGAUGCCUCUGUUUGCAUUUGUGCAUAUACAGUUUCCUUUAUCCGUGUCCAGUUCAAACAAUUAUAGUGGCAAUAACUCCACAAUACACAUGCUUAUUAUGGCAAUAUAAUAGCAAUAAAAGCACAAUAUAGUUACAAUACGAUCCUAUUGCAGUAGGUACUGCAUCAAACUUUGUGUUUUGUUAUUAUUUGGUCAAAAAUAAAUUAAAAAUUGGAAAAAUGAUGAAGUAUACAUCCCUUAAAAGACAUAUGGCCUACACACCUUCAAUAUGGACUCCAUAUAUACAAUUCAAGCCUUGCACCACCAUCACAUCCCCCCUAAAUUACAAAAACAUGACACCACAAAACCUCAUGCUCCUUCCUCUUUCAACCCCGGUGGGAUACCCUGCAACUCAAUCUUUAUGUGUUUCCACUCAUUCGAGGCCACCAAAACUGAGAACUUUAAGCAAACCUUGGCUUCCCUACUGUUUGUAUUACCAAUCUGAUGCAUACGAUUCAACAGUUCAGCAAACGUGCUGGUUCGUGGAACUAUUAAGCCUUUUGAGUCAUCCCCUUUCAUAUUUGCGCAUCUGCUUUAAGGUUACCCAUUUUCCAUUGUAGCAAACCAGAAUAACAAUUGUCUCCAUUUCUGACCAUGAUAAAACAACAUUUCAUUUACACAAUACAACCAUAAUAACCAGGCAAUACAAUGACAAUAUAACAACACCAUAAUAGCAAUACGACAGCAAAAUAACAUGAACACAACAGCAAUACAACACUAACACAGCAGUGAACAAGGAUUCAUCACAAUCACACUAUACAAAUCUACUACAUUAAAUGGAAAAUCCCAAGUUUCAAGAUUCACAUAUCCAUAAUCUAAAUGCAAUUGAUAAAAACCCAAAUGGAUGAGCAUGAAGAUUCAAAAAACCUAACCGAAAGCAAUUAAAGCCAAAACCAAUUUUACAGAAACCCAAGCAAUCAAAAUAAAACCAAUUUCACAGAAUUCCACAGAUAUUAAGAAAAUAACCAUCAACACUACCUAUUCAAGGUCAGCGAUCCAGUAGAGCUUCAAGGUUGCAAGUAGCUAUUCAGAAGACAUACCUAAAAGAUGGGGUCGAGUGAGGGUUUCGCGAUUCAGAAGAGAGAGCUGCGCGAGAAAGCAAAUAGGGGGGGGGAGAGAGAGAGAGAGAGAGAGAGAGAGAGAGAGAGAGAGCAACCAAACACAGAGAGAGAACAAAAUUUCAGCAAAAGUGAUAUGUGUGCAAUAAGUGGACAAUAAAUAUAUAUUUAUAGGUGAUAGUUGUAAAAUUUUUGGGGAGAGGUAGUAUUUUCAGUUAAAAUUAUAAAAAGGGUGGCAUUUAGAACUAUUUCCCUUUAUUUUACAACAAAUCUAGCAAGGCAAGAUGCAUAUACAAAAGAAUUAACUAUAUUUCACCCCCUUAAGUUUGGGCUCAUUAUCGAAAUGAGCCGGGAGAUUUCAAGUGGUUAAGAGCAUUAGUCCUGUACAUUAAAUCAUAGGUUCGAUUUCCCCCUCCUCCAGUAUCCAAUAUUGAAGAUUUCUCAUACACACACAACUAUGAUGUCGUAGGAAUUCAAACUUAAGACAUCUGGUCGAUCUUUUUUCUACUGGACUAGACCUCGUUGAUAGUAGCAUGAGGCCAACAAAACUUAAAUACAAGUUAUGAAGUGUACCGGAUUUGAUGAAAUGCACCAAAAUGCAUGAUAGCUAAAUGCAGAGGCUCGGAAUCCGUUCAUCAUAUACCAUAUGCACACAUAUGAGAUGUCAAUUUUAACAUAACCAAAUUGAAGCUCUGAAAGUUCCUAGACUUGAUGGGUUACAUUACAUGCAAUUUUUAUUGGGAGACUUUGGAAAAGCCCAAAGGAGAGAGAAAAAUUUUAAAAGAAGCCAAAAUGGACAAAAUUACCCUUAUUUAUUUUUUGAUUUCCUAAGGAAUCCUUUACAUUUGCAUGUCUUUUGUUUGAAAGUUGAGAGGUUUUUCUGUCUUUUUUGAAAAAACUUUGGCUUUUUCCAAAAGUGAAAGUUUUUUUAUGGGUAAAACCUAAAUUUACUAUUUUUAUUUCAUUUUAUCCUACUUCCUAGGAAAGAAUUAAAUUGUAAGUUUAUGGCAUGGUCCAGUUUUGUUUAAUAAUCAUGAAUCCAUUAGAGAUAUUAACGAUACUAAGAAAAGAACAAAGAAAUUAAAUCCCAUUAACUAAAUUGAGUAGCCAAACAAGUUAAUUUUCAGCUUUGCAUCAAUUUUCAAUUUCAAUGUUUAAUUGCAUUAACAAACUCUUCCACUGUUUAAUUACCAACUACUGUUAAUUGGAUAACAAAUGUAUGCCAACAUCUACGUACAUCCAGACAAUAGAUAUCCAUGACCUCCACUGAGCUCUAGAACGCAACUGUGUCGAGUACGGUUCCCAAGGUGGUCUGGGCUAUGUUUGAGGACAUCAUGUUGUAGACAUGUUCUUCCAGGUGUUUCUUGGCAUCUGCCCUUCCCACAUUUGCAAUUGCAAGCUUCUCCGGCUGUGCAUCGCCAUCCUCUUGCAGUGCAUUAUUGUACUUAAUAGCUAAGUUGGACAUCUUCUACAAAACCCAAAUGAAAAGGUAUCAAGACUUCAGCACUAAAUGACACCUGAAUCAAAAUCUGCUCACAUUCUAAAACAUGCUGGAAAUUUUUUCCAACGGUCCCAUUGUUAAAUGGCAGCAUAUAACCUAUUUUUCCUUCCGUUAGAUAAAUUUAGUUUUCAUUUGGUCACAAAAUUAUAACUAUUCUUAAGCAGUUUUUAUAAAAUCAUUAGAGUUUAUGGACAGUGAUAGAACAUUGAGACCUGCCUAUCAAUCAAAAUCAGAUUUCAAGGUUUCAAAAUAGCAUAAUUUUUCCUAUGAGCAGUUUAGCGCAAGAAAUCCGUUACAACAAAAUUUCAGGUCUGUGCUGGCCUAGAAUUACUUUGCUUAGAACUCUGCCCCCUGUCAACCUCCACACUUAACCAUAACCAGCGAUAACCUCCUAAUGAUCCAGAAAGAAAGUGAAGCAUACGCGAAGCCAAAGAGGAAACAUGCUUCUAUAUUGAAAAAUGUAACUAAUAUUUCCUUCAGCUAUACAUGCCGAACUAAACAAGAAUAACCAUAACGGGGGCUUCAUGAAACCUUGUCUUACCUGAAGAGUCUGCUCGCUUGUUUUUGAAUGAGCAUCAAAUUGCCUCAUCGUCAGCCCAUCAGUCCAUUUCUUCUUAUGAAGGUUAAGCAACAUUUUCUCCUCAACUCCAUUCAUCCUGAAAUUUACUGCUAGGGAGUAAUAAUUCCGGUUUAACCCAUGGAUCAAUGCCUGAAGAAGGAAAUUACAUAAGCGGUCAAAAAAUUUAAUUGCAAAGAAAAAGGUUUAAAAUUUACUUGUUGAGAAACUCACUUGACAGGAUUGAUAACAGAAGAGAGAUUUGGAAAAUAAGGGAAGAAGAAGACUGAGAAACAGAGAGAAUGUAUUAAGAAUUUCUGUAUGAUUAUUCACUGAAUCAAUAUUACAAUGCAUAGUUCAGCUUAUAUACAAUUGUAACUAACAGCCAAUGCUUAACAAACUAACACGUGAAUAGCACGUGGGUAUUCUAACAAUACUAAGCUAAUGUAUUCAUCUAUCAUUCCCCCUCAAAUCCAGCUGGGUUCCCAAGCCGCAAAUUACCACAAUGCUUUGUGAAGAGUGGACUGUGUAACCCUUUUGUAAAUAUGUCUGCAACCUGUUCAUCUGUUGGAAUAUACUGCAUGGAGAGAUCUCUUCUUUGUACUCUUUCUCUAACAAAAUGAAAGUCUAUAUCAAGAUGUUUAAUCCGUGAGUGAUAUACAGGAUUAGAACUCAAUGCUAGAGCAGAAAGGUUGUCACAAUGUAUAGUAGGAGGCUGAGGGAGAAACACUUUCAAAUCAAGCAAAACUUGUCUGAUCCAUGCCAAAUCUGCUGCUGUAUGAGCUAAUGCUCUGUAUUCUGCUUCGGUUGAACUCCUGGAGACUGAGUUCUGUUUCUUAGAUUGCCAAGAGAUAGGAUUAUGGCCUAAGAAAGCCACAAAACCAGUGGUGGAUCGUCUAGUGUUAAUAUCUGCUGCCCAAUCUGCAUCACUGUAGGCAUUAAGUUCCCAAGCACCACUAGUAAAGGUAAGUCCAUGAUCCAAGGUACCUUGAAGAUAGCGUAAAAUCCUCUUAACUAACUGAAAAUGUAGCUCUGAAGGAGUUGUCAUAAACUGACAUACUGUGUUAACAGCAUAAGAGAUUUCAGGUCUGGUAAAUGUUAAAUACUGUAAUGCACCAACAAUGCUUCUGUAGAUUGUAGGAUCAGCCAAAGCAUCACCUUCAGUCUGUAACAAUUGACCAUGUGGUUUACAAGGGGUAGGACAAGAUCGGCAUGAACUCAGACCAGCCUUAGCAAGCAAAUCUUUUGCAUAUUUAGCCUGGUUAACAAAAAUAUCUCCAGCUGUAUUAUAAGAAAUCUGUAAUCCUAAGAAAUAUUUCAACUUCCCCAUAUCUUUCAUAUCAAAAGCUGAGCUUAACUCAUCAACAACUUCUUGCACCAAAGCCACCUUUGAACCAGUCAAUAUUAUAUCAUCCACAUAUAAGAGAAGGAUCACAAUAUCUGAACCUAGAUGCUUCACAAAUAAGCUAGGGUCAGAAUGAGAUGAUGCAAAACCAAUGGCUGGAAGAUAACCUGUGAAUUUGGCAUUCCAAGCCCUUGGAGCUUGCCUAAGACCAUAAAGAGACUUUCGUAACUUGCAAACAUAACUGAGAUGUGUUGGAUCCUCAAAACCUUGUGGCUGACGCAUAUAGACUUCUUCCUCAAGAUCACCGUGUAAAAACGCGUUCUUAACAUCAAGUUGACGAAGUGACCAUCGAUUCAUCGCUGCAAUACUUAAUAUCAACCUUACUGUGGUGUGUCUGACCACAGGGCUAAAAGUUUCACUGAAAUCCAGUCCAGGAGCUUGGCUAAAGCCUUGGGCAACUAAUCUGGCCUUAUAUCUAGCCAAAGUACCAUCUGAGUUUUUCUUAAUUCGAUAUACCCAUCGACAUCCGACAAUAUUUUUAUGAACUGGCUUAGGAACUAACUCCCAAGUACCCUGAGCAUGUAAUGCCUCAAUUUCGUCCUUCAUAGCUUGAAUCCAAAGAACAGAUUGAGAAGCAACCUUAUAAGUGGCUGGUUCAAUAACAUCAUGUAUAACAGGAAGAGUGGUAUAAUAACACUGAUAAUCUUCAAACUGUUUAGACUUAACAAUACCUGCCUUUGAUCUAGUCUGCAUAGUAUGAGUGUUAAAAGGAGGAGACACAGAACUAGAGACAACAGGGGAGACAGGCAAGAGAACUUGUAGUUGCUGAUCAUUAAUCACAGAUAAGACAGAAUCACUGGAAGACAAAGCAGGAUUCUCAGGAGAUUCUAAAGAAGGAAUAGAAACAUUCUGUAAGCUAUGAUUUUGUGAAGAAACAGGUGGAGGAGAUACAGAACCGGAUAUAGCACUAGGAUUUAAAGCAUGUAUACAUGGAGGAAGUGAAACACAAACUGGUAAAAACUGGGGCUUGGAAGAGCAUGAAACUGGAACGGAAUCUGCUGAGAUGGAAUGAGACUUAAAAGGAAAAACAGAUUCAUCAUGAAUGACAUGUCUGGAAACAACAAACCUUGAGGUGGAUCUAUUGUAACAAAUGACCCCUUUAUAACCUGGAGAAUAUCCCACAAAAACACAUUGAGCUGUUCUUGGCUGAAGCUUAUGUUCAUUAUAAGGUCUGAUAUAUGGGUAAACUGCAGUACCAAAAAUCCUAAGAGACUUGAUAUCAGGAGCCUUGCCAUACAAGCUUUGAAAAGGAGACUGGUAUCUUAAAACCGAACUAGGCAUAAGAUUGAUGAGAUAAGCAGCAUGAGCAACCGAAUGAAACCAGAACUGAUCAGGAAGAGCAGAAGCAACAAGUAAAGUAAGAGCAGUUUCAAUAAUAUGGCGAUUCUUCCUCUCUGCCAAACCAUUUUGCUGAGGGGUGUAUGGACAAGAGACCCGAUGAAUUAUCCCUUUUGAAUCCAAAAAAGAAGAAAAUUGCCUACUAAUGAACUCACCACCCCCAUCACUUUGAAAAUACUGAAUAGUAGCUUUAAACUGAUUAGUGACAAGAGCAUAGAACUUGAGAAACUCUUCAAACACUCCAGAUUUAUUAAACAGUGGAUAAAGCCACAAGUAACCAGUACACUCAUCAAUGAAACUAACAUAGUAUCUAAAACCAUCUAUGGAUUUUUGUCGGGAAGGACCCCAUACAUCACUGUGUAUCCUCUGAAAGGGAACAGUAGACUUAACAUGAUCCUUAGGAAAAGACAGCUUGUGCAUUUUACCAUGUAAACAAGCAGUACAUAAUGCUUGAGAACUAUCAAUAGAAACAGAUAAAGCAGAAUCUUGAAGCAUUCUUUGCACAACGGUAUUUGUUGGAUGUCCUAACCUUUGAUGCCAGAUAGAGACGUUGACAUGUUGUCCAAGAUAUGCAACUGGAGCCGAAGAAAUAGAAGAAACACCUCGAGAUCUUUGAGAAGCAGAAAAAGGAAUGGAAUAUAAACCUUGAUUACUCUUGCCUUGAAGAAGAAUUGCCUUGGUUACCUUGUCCUGUAUAUAAAAGCCAGAGACGUCAAAUGUGAUAAAACAAUUAUUGUCUUUACACAAUUGAUGGACGGAUAAUAGAUUCGCUUUGAGCUUAGGAACAUGCAAAACAGACGGAAGAUGUAGUGAAGGAGAUUGGGCACAAGAAAUAGUAGCAGUGCCAAGAUUCUGAAUAGUCAAACCUGCCCCAUUGCCAACAGUAACAUUCUCAUCAACAUUACAAGGAGUCACAUGAUCCAAUCGAGAGGAAUCGCCAACCAUAUGAUGAGAAGCACCACUAUCAGCAAUCCAGACAUGCUCAGGAGAGAAAGAAGUCUGAGCAGUCAUAGCAGUCAGAGAAGAAGGAGGUGCGUGGCCCUGAAAUGAGUAGUUUGACCUGUGGAAACAAUCAAGUGCACCAUGUCCACGUUUGCCACAGAUUUGGCAUUCAACAACAUUAGGAGUAGAAGAAGAGGAAUUGGCAUUGGCAUGACGAAAAUAGCAAUUAGCAGCUGUAUGUCCACGCUUGCUACAAAUUUGACACUCAGGCACCACAUGAGAUCGAUAGGAAGGAGAACCUCCAGGAAAACCAGAAGUACUACCGCCCCGAAACUGAGAAGAGGCAUGGCGACCACCAUUAAACCUUCCAUGACCAGAGGUAUGUGCAGAAAAACCUCGAGAACCAGAGGCACGAGAAAAAAAACUUUGCUGACCACCAAAAGACUGAACAUGUGGCAAAGGCUGAGAAGGUGUACGUAAAAUACCCUGUCCAGAUGACACAGAGGAACCUUGAGCACAAGAGGAAUUAACCGCAUAUAACGCAGUAUGAUGAACAAUACGAGCCUCCGCAGUUUGUUCUGCAGCAAGAAGCUGUGCUCUGAAAUCCUUGAGAGACAAAGGAGUAUCGCGUGCAAUCAAGACAGUCUUGAUUAUGUCAUAUUCAGGAGGUAAGCCAUUCAAAGCAGUAAUAACGAAAUCAUCAUCAGAAAUCUUGAUACCAGCAGCAUUCAGUUGAUCUCGAAGAUGUUUGAGACGAAGCAAGAAUCGCUCGAUGGAAUCUCCACCUUUCUGCGCAGUUUGCAACUCAGUUUUGAGAUGGUUGAUCCGAGCGCGAGAAACUGAAGCAUAGCGAUCAGAGAGAUUAAUCCAAGCAUCGCGAGCCGUUUUGCAGCCAAUGACGUAUUCAAGCGCCUCGUCAGACAGAGAAGCAAUGAGUAAACUCAAAAGUGCCUUAUCAGUACGAAUCCACUCCUUAUAAGCAGUGGUAAGCUCAGAAGUUUCGCCUUCCUCAUCAACAAUGGCGAAUUUAGGAGGUGUAAUCGAAGAACCAUCGAAAUGCCCAAAAAGCUCGUAGCCUUGAAGCACAGAUUCAAUCUGAUAACUCCACUUCAAGAAGUUAUCAUCAGCAAGACGAAUUGUAAGGAGGCCAAGAAGACUCUCAAUUUUGAGAAAAGAAGAAGAAGCCAUGAAGAAAUUAGGGUUUUAGAAAAAAUGUGGAUUCGAAGAAAUGAAAAACUGAGAAAUCUGAGAAAUCGGAGAAAGCUGAGAAUUAGGAAUUGCAGAGAGAGAAGAACAAGACAGAGGAAGGAAGCGAAGAGAGAGAAGCGGAAUAGCAGAUCUGGAUCACCACCAUGGGCGCUGAUACCAUGAUAACAGAAGAGAGAUUUGGAAAAUAAGGGAAGAAGAAGACUGAGAAACAGAGAGAAUGUAUUAAGAAUUUCUGUAUGAUUAUUCACUGAAUCAAUAUUACAAUGCAUAGUUCAGCUUAUAUACAAUUGUAACUAACAGCCAAUGCUUAACAAACUAACACGUGAAUAGCACGUGGGUAUUCUAACAAUACUAAGCUAAUGUAUUCAUCUAUCAAGGAUGGUUUGUUAAGAUGGCCAAGAUUGGAUGUGCUUCUUGGCCAAGCAUCACAGUAUUUGGGUUAAUAAGGCGGAAAGCAUCGAUAACCACCUUACCCUUGACACUCUGAAUGGGGUCCACCACCACAGCCACAGCACGUCGAUUUAAGGCUUCAAAUCCCUGCAAAAGAUUACCGGUAUAAGAACAUAAGUAUGCUAACCAAUGAUGCAUUAAAAAAAUUCCAGUCAAGGGUAUCAUCAACAGAAGUAGAACAUAAACAAAUUGAGAAGAGUCAAUAAAUGCUUCCCUACAGAAGACCCAAUCUUGGGUGAUAGGCAGAGGAACAACAUGGAAUUUUUGCACAUCAAUGGGGUAACAAUACUCCCUUGAAAGGUAAAAAUUUGGAAUAGGACCUAGUGAACUUUGGGUCUAGAGGUUGUUGCCACAUUUGGGGGACACACAAGAAAAGAACGAGAGUAGAGUAGGCUGAGGUGAUCAAGCAACAUGGACAAGAUGUCAAGGGAAAAGAGUUCUAAAAGCAGCAACGAUUUUUUAACAAAGCCGUCAGAAGCUGGUAAUGCACAGUCCAUGCAUGGCUAGAAUAGAGACAAAAUUAAAAACGACAUAUAGAAUAGAGAGAAGCUGGUAAUGAACAGUCAAUGCAUAGCUAGAAAUUUAUACAAUACAGAGAUUUCUUUUGUUUUAAACCAAAAAAACAAAGAGUAAACUUGUGCUACAUGAGAAGCAGGAAAAUUGGAAUUUUUUGAUAAAAAAAGCACAACCUGUUGCGUAGUCAUGUCCACGCCAUAUAACCAACAGCCAAAUCCAGGAUGCGAAUGGUACCAGCCUACGACCAUCUCAUGUCUGCAAUUUCAGUCAAAAGAAGAUAAAUUACGACAAGAACAAGACAGAGCAACAUGGAGAAGCAUGACAAAAAUAAAAAGAUCACGUACAAGUAUCAUCUGUUAGGAUAGUAAGAAUGAAGGUGUGCAGCAUACAUUAACAUUAUAAGAACACAGAUGGGUAACAUGGAGAGGAAACUAUGACACUAAAAAUAAAAUGAAAGUAUUGAAUGUAAUUUUAUCAUCUUUCAAUUGAAUGUGAAUUAUGCAAGGGACACUAGUAGGAAUCACAUAUUAAUAUCAGGGCAAGCUAAUGUGAAUACCAUAAGGAAUAAUGUAUGAUGAAUUAUAAAUUAUAAAUUUAGGUUUUAAAGAGAUGCAAUCGAGUACACAACUACCCUAACAGCUACAAAUUUAGUUGGUUUAAUCAAAGUGAAAGAAGAGGAGUAGCGACCGUUGAGUUUGCUUACGCAUAUCGAGCAUAUCAGUCUGGAAGACAUGAUCUAUGGCCUCGACACUGACACCAGUACCACGCUGCGGCAUCGCAACGACGUCCACAACAUGAGUUGUGUAUUCGUCGGGGAAGCUUCCGAGCAACAAGCCCAUGACCUCCAAAGGGACCCCGGCUCUCCCUAUUAAUGAUCAAAAUUGCUAGAAUGAGUACUGAGUUGUGAACAAAAAUUAAAUUGCAUAGGCAUGAAAGGAAAAACAACAACAAUAGAAAAAAAAAAAAAAAAAAAAAAAAAAAAAAAAAAAAAAGGGGUCCAAUCCAAUCAUCAGAAUCAGGGCAACUCAAAAUCCUCCCAGAAACCCUAGUUAGUAUCUGUAAGUAAGGCAAUAUUUGGAUAAGAUUCAUUUCAUAAAGGCAACAAUAACUUAGUUAUGGUUUUGAAGUCCAACCCAUAGAUAAACCGAAUGUAAGCAGCUAAGAAAACAAUGUAAAAACCCUAAACCAGAAAGUUGGGAAGCCUAUCGUGAUUGAGCAUUUUGAGAAGGGAGACUAGGGAGAUGUUGACCUUCUCUGAGGAAUCAGGAGUUGGCUGGCCCAAACCCUCUCCGGCAUUGGCGUCGAAAAUUGUCCGAAACAUCACUCACUCACUCACUCUCUCUCUCUCUCUCUCUCUCAGCCCCAAACUAUAUUAGAAAUGUUGAAAUAUAAUCCUUCUACAGAUUUCUUAGAGCUGAAGUCAUUUUCUAUUUUCUGCUAAGUCUAUUUUAAAUGAUGUAAUGAGAACCAUUAGAUCAUAGUCUAGGUGGAUUCUCUAGCUUAGAUUUGGUAUGACACGUGUAAGCACCUAAUAGGGUGACAGUUGUAAUUCUGUUAGGAGAGAAUCACAUUUCUCUCUCUGUCAGACACACUAUGUAAGCUGCAGAUUGUAAGAAUUCAAUAGAACAGUGCCUUCCUCAUUUCUCUUCAUUCUCUCUAACUAAAAUCUCCAGAAUAUACACCUCUUCCUAAUCUGAAAAUACAUAUACAAACAGAGAAUUCUAACAUGGCCUCAGAGCCAGGUUCGAUUGUUUGUUGGGCGUGAAUCUGUGAGAAUCGAGCUGGUGUUUAGCUGAGCUGACGUUGAGCUCACUCAAAAUUUCACGAAGCUUUUCUAGCUGCGUCUGAUGUCUAACAUGGCAGGAUCAAGCUCUUCUGAGCUUCGUACACCAGUUUUCAAUGGAGAAAACUAUGAGUUUUGGAGCAUUCGAAUGAAGACCAUUCUGAAAUCUCAUGGACUGUGGGAUUUGGUUGAAAAUGGUUUUGAUGCUUCAGAUCCAAAGAAGGAAAAAUGAGAGGAAGAAGGAUCUAAAGCUGCUGAAGAAGAGAAGUCUACAUCGGCUGAGACUUUGAUGAAAGAUGCUCGUGCACUUGGACUGAUCCAAGGUGCAGUCUCAGACCAAAUUUUUUCCAGAAUAGUGAAUGAAGAAACCUCAAAAGGUGCAUGGGAUAUUCUGAAGCAGGAGUUUAGAGGCGAUAAACAGGUACGAAGUGUGAAGCUACAAGGCUUACGUAGAGAGUUUGAAUACACUCGUAUGAAGGAUAGUGAGUCAUUCUCUGGUUAUGUUGCUAAACUGUUUGAUCUAAUUAAUCAAAUGAAAAGUUAUGGUGAAGAGUUACCUAGAGAAAGAGUUGUGCAGUAGCUUGCCUAGAUCUUAUGACUCUAUAUGUUCUGUGAUUGAGCAUUCAAAGGAUCUUGACACUCUUGAAAUUCAAGAAGUGGUUGCGUCUCUCAAGAACUUUGAGCUCAGAUUGGAUAGGCACACUGAAAAUUCCACAGAAAAGGCUUUUACUAGCCUGAACAUAGAGAGUAAAAGCUCUAAGAAUAGAAGUUCUUCUGGAGGUAACAAGUCUCAGAGGAACUGGAAGGAAAAUGGGAAGAAUUGGAAUAACAAGUCCAAUUCUAAUCCCAAACCAAAUGCAUCAAAUGAUGGAACUAAAACACCUUGCAAGCACUGUGAAAAACUGCACUAUGGCAAGUGCUGGUUUGAAGGAAAACCAAAAUGCAGAGGAUGUGGAAAGUUUGGUCACAUGGUUAGAAAUUGCCAUGGAAAUCAACCUGUGCAGAAGGUGAAUUAUGCCAAUCAGGUUGAAGUAACUGGAACAUUGUUUUAUGCAUGCAAUGCCGUGACAGGUGUGAAAUUGAACAAUUCUUGGUAUGUGGACAGUGGUUGUAGUAACCACAUGACUGGAGAUGAAAGGCUACUGAUAGAUAUUCGAAGGGAUGUAACUUCCAAGGUGAAAAUGGGGACUGGAGAGACAGUUCAAGUUGCAGGAAAAGGCACACUUGUGAUAGAAACCAAGAUAGGCAGAAAACACAUUCAAGAAGUGAUGUUGGUGCCUGGUUUAGAAGAGAACUUGCUCAGUGUUGGUCAGAUGAUGGAACAUGGGUAUUGUUUAGUAUUUGGAAAGGGAAUGGUGACAAUUUUUGAUGAUUGGUCACUGCAAAAUCCUAUAGCUAAGGUUCCAAUGACUAGCAAUAGGUGUUUCUCUCUCACAAUGGUACCUGCUACUCAGUUGGUGCUGAGAGCAAGUGUGACUCACAGUUUGCAGACUUGGCAUAAAAGGCUGGGCCAUCUUAUGAUCAAAGCAUCAGGAUGCUGGCAAAUCAAGACAUGGUUCAUGGACUGCCUAGUCUGGAGAAGGAUUUUGCAGUUUGUGAAGGCUGCAAGCUGGGAAAGCAGCAUAGAGACUCAUUUCCUGCAUAAUCUACUUGGAGAGCUCAGUUUCCACUUGAAUUAGUUCACACUGACAUCUGUGGUCCAAUGCAGAUUGCAUCAAUGUCAGAAAACAGAUAUUUCCUGUUAUUCAUUGAUGACUAUACAAGAAUGGCUUGGGUUUAUUUUCUCAGAAAUAAAUCUAAUGCUUUUGAAUGUUUCAAGAAGUUCAAAGCAAUGACAGAAUUGCAGAGUGGACACAAGGUGAAAUCACUUAGAAGUGACAGAGGUGGAGAAUUCAUGUCAAAUGAAUUUCUUGCAUACUGCAAUGAGGCUGGAAUACAAAGGCAGCUGACUGUAGCAUAUUCCCCUCAGCAAAAUGGAGUUGUUGAGAGGAAGAACAGGACUGUAAUUGAGAUGGCAAAGUCUAUGCUACAUGAAAAGAGUCUUCCAUAUGAGUUUUGGGCAGAAGCUGUUCAUACAGCAGUCUACCUUCUCAACAGGUGUCCUUCUAAGUCUCUUAAGAAAAUGACACCAUUUGAGGCCUACACAGGAAGAAAGCCAGGUAUUGCACACUUGAAAGUGUUUGGAUGCCUAUGUCAUGUGCUUAUUCCUUCUGUUUUGAGACACAAGUUGGAAGAAAACAGUCACAAAUGCAUUUUUGUGGGCUAUGGAUUGUGUGAAAAAGGCUAUAGACUGUAUGAUCCUAAGACUAGAAAGAUUAUCUUGUCUAGGGAUGUCUAUUUUGAUGAAGAAGCCUCAUGGAAAUGGGAGAAUCCUAGCAAUGCAGAUGUGAGAAUGCCUAUGCCAGAUGGAAAUCAAGGUACUGCAGAAACUGAACAGAGGGUAUUAGAUGAACAAUCUCAGUUUUUGGAUACUCAAAUGCAGAUGGAAGAAGAAAUUGCACCUCAAGGGGAAGAAAUGCUUGAUGAGACUCAAAGGUUUGAUCACACACCUCACAAGUGGAGGAGUAUUAAUGACAUCAUGACACAAUGCAACAUGUGCAUUGUAGAACCUGACAGCUUUGAAGAAGCAGAUUUGGAUGAAUCAUGGAGAAGUGCAAUGGAGGCUGAAUUCGAGAUGAUUGAGAAGAACAAUACAUGGAAAUUAGUUGACAGGCCAUUUGACAAACCAGUAAUUGGUGUUAAGUGGGUCUACAAGGUCAAACUGAACCUAGAUGGUACUGUGCAGAAGAAUAAAGCUAGGCUUGUGGCUAAAGGCUAUUCACAGAAGCCUGGAAUCGACUAUAAUGAGACAUUUGCCCCUGUGACAAGACUUGACACCAUCAGAACCUUGAUAGCCUUUGCAGCACAAAAGGAAUGGAACCUAUUUCAACUGGAUGUGAAGUCUGCCUUUCUCAAUGGCAUCCUAAAGGAGGAAGUUUAUGUUGAACAACCUCAAGGAUAUGUUCAAGAGAGCAAGGAAACCAAGGUGUACAGGUUGAACAAGGCUCUAUAUGGACUGAAACAAGCCCCAAGGGCCUGGUAUGAUGAAAUAGAUGCCUAUUUCAACACUGCAGGUUUUAAGAAGAGCUUAAGUGAAGCUACUCUCUAUAUCAAAACAAGUGACACCUCAGGUAUUAUCAUUGUCUCACUCUAUGUAGAUGACAUUAUAUAUACUGGAAGCUAUCCUAAAAUGCUUGAAGAGUUUAAACAAGAUAUGAUGCAACAAUAUGAGAUGACAGACUUGGGUCUGUUGCACCAUUUUCUUGGCAUGGGAGUGGAACAAACUGAUAAGCAUAUUUUCAUUCAUCAAAAGAAAUAUGCCAUGAAAAUUCUUGAGAAGUUUGGAAUGAGAGACUGCAAGUCAGUGGCAAUUCCAUUAGUGGUGAAUGAGAAAUUGUGUAGAGAAGAUGGAAGUGAAGCAGCAGAUGAAAAUGAAUUCAGACAGAUUGUAGGAAGUCUGCUUUAUCUGACUGCCACAAGACCAGAUGUCAUGUUUGCAUCUAGCUUGCUUGCUAGGUUUAUGCACAAUCCCUCAAAGAAACACAUGGGAACUGCUAAAAGGGUGCUGAGAUACAUACAAGGCACAUUAGAUUUUGGAAUUGAGUUUGCAAAGGGGAAAACAGCUACUCUAAUUGGGUAUUGUGACAGUGACUGGGCUGGGAGUGAGGAUGAUAUGAGGAGCACCUCAGGAUAUGCCUUCACACUAGGCUCAGGCAUGUUCUCUUGGGCUUCCAUCAAGCAAAACACAGUUGCUUUAUCUACAGCCGAAGCUGAGUAUGUGAGUGCUGCAGAAGCAACUUCACAAGCUAAGUGGCCCAUAUUUGUGCUUGAAGAUUUUGGUGAAGAACAGGUAGAAGGGACUCCAAUUCUAUGUGACAACACCUCUGCAAUUGCAGUGGCAAGGAAUCCAGUUCAUCACCAAAAGACAAGACACAUCAGCAGGAAAUUUCAUUUUAUAAGGGAAGCCAUUCAAGCAAAAGAAAUUGAACUGGUGUACUGCAAGACAGAAGAUCAGAUAGCAGACAUUUUGACUAAGGCUCUGCCUAAGGAUCGGUUUGUGAGGUUGAGAAGCUUGCUUGGAGUGAAAUCAGCUAAAGGAUUAGAAGGGAGUGUUGAAAUAUAAUCCUUCUACAGAUUUCUUAGAGCUGAAGUCAUUUUCUAUUUUCUGUUAAGUCUAUUUUAAAUGAUGUAAUGAGAACCAUUAGAUCAUAGUCUAGGUGGAUUCUCUAGCUUAGAUUUGGUAUGACACGUGUAAGCACCUAAUAGGGUGACAGUUGUAAUUUUGUUAGGAGAGAAUCACAUUUCUCUCUCUGUCAGACACACUAUGUAAGCUGCAGAUUGUAAGAAUUCAAUAGAACAGUGCCUUCCCCAUUUCUCUUCAUUCUCUCUAACUAAAAUCUCCAGAAUAUACACCUCUUCCUAAUCUGAAAAUACAUAUACAAACAGAGAAUUCUAACAAGAAAUAUGUAAGCUAUCUAUCUAGCGUGUCCGCAAAGAAACCAAAACGGAAAAGGAAACACCUCUGCUAUGCUAUCAGAGUAUUUUUGAACUCACCAUAAUGUCCUUGCCUUCUAAAUGUCCAUUCAUACUCUUUUCACCAUCUCUAAAGGACAAAUUUGGUAUUUCAUCCAUAUUCUUUCUAGAGAUUUUUAUUCAAAAACCCACUUUAACAUGACAUUUAUACUAAAAUAUAGAGAACCAAUUAGAAAAUAAUAAGUGGCUAGUUUUGGAUUUUUCACUCCAAAUAAGCUUUAUAAGGGCUUUUGUAUAUUAUGUCGUGCUAAAAUGAGUUUAUUAGUGAAAUUGUCAUCUUUCUAUAUCACAUCAUCAUCUUCCCAUUUAAAUGAGGUCUAGAGAUUCUCUUUCCAUUCUUUCCCCUUCUGUUUGGAUGAAGGAAUUGAAAAUUGCAUAGAAUUCUUAAACAACAAAAUUUAAAUCUCCAGCGUUUAAAUUUCUAACAAUUAAUCAUUUCAUUGUUUGGAUUUAUGUAUAUUGAAUUUUGUAAAUGACAUAAACUAUUUUGAAAACAAAUUCUACACAAUUGAAUUUGCAAAAUGACGACUCUUUUAGCUGAACUUAAACUCGAGCAUCUCCCUAAUUUCCCUGAUUUUUCCUGCUCAUCAUUUAAUAUGUUCCUUCUUUUUUUCUUUUUUCUUUUUGAAAAUUAGCGAUAGUAUAUUAUUGAUAAGUUCCAUGUUUAAGUUGCCAAACAAACCACAACCAGAAUAUUAAAAAGAAGUUAAUGACAGGACGUACGUUCAUGAAACUAACAUUUUUAUCACAAAUAUGUUUACAAAAACUCUCCAUCUACAAAUUGCAUUGAUAUUACAACAUUUACAGACUUCCCAUUUUCAACUUCAUAUUAGUAUACAGUAUUGAGAAUAUUUGCUCUUCUAAGUAAUUUACAAAUUUCCCCCCAAGUUGGGAUAGUUCCCCCGCAGUGUGAAGCUCCAUAACUUGUUUUACUUUUUGCCAUCUACUUUAAGGUGUUCAAUUCUCUGGCGUAGUCUUCUCCGAUGAUCAUGUAUCUUCAAGAGGCCAUGACCCAAUACCACAGCAGAGUAUAUGCCAUGUGUGAUCAUGGGCGCAAGAAUAUUAUUUGUCUGCCAAAUUUUUCAUAAAACAUAAGGAAAUUCGAUUAUUGAGUUUCAUCCUCUUCCGUGUAUGGUAGUUACUCAAUGAACAACAAAUUUGCAACAAAGAAACAAAAGUACCUGCAUCCACUCAAAACCAAGAUAUAGGGCCAGAUGUCCUUCAAGCAGGGGAGAGUAGAUCUUCUUCAUUUGCCUCCUCUGAUACCAAGCUGCAGAACGACCACGGAAAAAAAAUGGUGAAAUGAUAAUUCAGAUGUACAUGCUACAGUUAGAAGAUUUAGAGACGUUAUUUUGUUUUCUCCAUCUUCUUGGAAUAAGAUGGAGUAUAACUAUUGUAGUAAAGACAGUUUUCUAGGCACUUCGUUGUGGAGAACUUGUAACUUUUGUAGAUAUCACAUUGAAAUAUAAGCAUGAAUUAACUGUAUAAAAUGGAAUGAUACGUUGAUAACCAUAAUUGCAAAUACCAGCGAUCUGUUGAAAGUUUUAAUCAUCUAAUUUGGUUCCACAAACAUUAACUAGCUUAUUAUGUGAAACAAGCUGGAAGCACCGAAAAACCCAUGCUCAAGUAAGGAGUUAAACCUGCAAACAGCUUUUUCAUCUCUUCACGGCCAGAGCGAGAUGGUAAAACUGGUGCAACUACAUAAUCAGGAUCUGCAAGAAUAAUUAGCAACUGAUCAUUAAACUUGCACAAACAAAUUUCACCGAAGUUACUUAAAAUGUCAUUCAGAGAAUCAACCUUUUGGAGAGGCUGCUACAUAGUACAGAGAACCUGUAAGAGCAGCUGUAAUCACCGCUGCAAAUGCCUGAGCAAAAGGGACAAAUGGGGGAAAAAAUCCGGUCUACAAAUAGAGCGAAUUCAGUCGUCAGAAAAUGUUCAUUACUGCUGAUUAUAGUAAAGAAAAGUGAAGAAAACUGCAAUACCAGAGACGCCAUUCCUCGAGCAUCUGUGACCAGAUCUGUGCCCCUUAGAAAUAUAUCGGUCAACGAUCCCUACAAAGUCAUAAAUGAUUGGGAAAAAAAUCAUAAUGAUUUACUUCUCCUACAGAACACUGAUUCUUCCGCUCAUAUUGACAAAUCGGGAAGAUUAUAAUUUGCAAUGAUAGUUAGUAACUCCAACAUUUAAAAUUAAGUGAGAUUUUUUAACAUAUACUAAAGGCUAAAUAUAUUCAAGGAUACCACACCUGAACAGCAGCCCUGUAGAAAAGUUCCUCACCCACGGAGCUUGCAGCAACAAUUAGUAUAAACUGCGACAUUGAAGGAGCAACAUGUCACUUGUUUCUUGCUUUGUCCAAUCAGCACACCAUAAAGUGCUUUACAAUAACAUUAUUAAAGAUGGUAAACCUGCAAAGGUGACAUUCCAUAAAAGAAGCUGCGGAGCUCCUCAUCCUCUACAUCUCUAAUAGCACGAGCAUGUGGCGAUAACUUUACAACUUCAUCCUAUAACCAUUUUCACAUUCGUUAGUCACAAAAGGGGCUGAAUACAAGCUUAAACCAAUUCCUUAAAUCUCCCAUUCUCUUCUUCUUUCUCUAUAAAUCUAAUCUUUUGCAAUACACAACUUAACUUGGUAUUAGAGCAGCCAAUCCAAUCCUAGAGGUCUUAAAAAAAAUUUAAAAGGGUGAAGGACAUCAGCGUCCAUAUGAACAUAUGGAGGGUUAAUUACUAGGAACUGAUGUUGGGUGUGGACUUUUGUGCUCUAUUCAGUUGCCAAUGAGAAAUACUGAUCCUCUUCUCUCUUUUCUAUUUUAUCUUUCUAAAGUUUCUCUUUACCAAAUAAUGAAAAAUCAUUCGUAAUCCGUAUCAUUGCGUGAAAUUUCAAAAUCAAUCAAUCAAUCAACUUACAUCUAGUAUAAAGAGAAGGGCCAUGAUUGGUGGAGCUGCAUAUCCAAGCCCUUGUACAAUUGCAUCUAAAGAUACUUGGAAACCUCCCAUGCUAUCGAUCCCCGUGACAGAGCAUAUAAAUCUUCCUACCACAGCCAUUGCACCAUAUAUACCUGUUCACAGAAACCCAAUAAAAAUUCAUCGCAAGAAGUAUACAUAAUUCAAGAAUUCUCUAUAUAAAAACAAGUAACAAAAAUGGAAAAUCAAAUCAAAUUGUGUAUCAAAAUUAAAUCUUUUAUUGGUGAAAUUGACAGGAUAAGGAUUCGUUAUCCACAACACACAGGGUGUGAAAAAUUAGUAACUACGUGAAUUAUGAAGCAAGUCAGGGUAAUUAGUGUUUAAUUAUGGUAAUUAUGGUAGAGCUCACUUACCUAUUCCAUAGCUAAGUCUAACAACAGCACCAAUCUUUUCCCAAACAGGGAACUCAGCUUCGCCGAAGCUCGAAUUAAAUGUGGUGACCUCCAUGGCAGGGCUCGUGAACCCUCCUCCCCGACUCUCUCCGUCUCUUCCAUCAAUGCCUUCUCUGCUGCGUUGCUCCCCCGAGCCCCUAACCGCCGGUACCGAAACCUUAGAAGCUCCGUCGAACAGCGCCGUCCUCCUCUUUCUCGUCGCCGGAAAAUGGCAGAGGCCGAGUUUGCCACACAACGACGUCGUUGGAGGAUUAGGAGCUGUAAACGAUGUGAAAGGAAGCUCCAUUUGGUUAAACAAGUAAGGAAAUGCCGAAAACCGGUUUGUUCAGACCGAGAUAUUGGGCCGAGACAAAGUCUUCGUCGUCUUCAUUGAGCAUACUUCAGCUGUUGCUUGGUUCAGGUUUGAGCUUCGCAGCUUUUAGUAGUUGUCUGAACGGAUUUGGACCGUUGGAUUCGGGUCAGAGAGAUCUGACGGUGGGGCCCGUGCUUGAAUUUUGUAUUAUCAGGUGCAGUAGGAUGUGGGAAUAUCCUAACUGUCUAUGGGAAAUUGACACGUGGAGAUAACGCUGGCAUGUCCAAAUGCCUUGUUGUGGCCAUCACGCUAAAGGGCCCGAUAGUAUUUUCAGAGAACCGCGAAAUAAAAAAAACAAAGUGAAUUUAGGUUUUAAUUAUUAAAAAAAAAUUUCACUUUUGAAAAAAAUCAAAAAAUUUUCAAAAAAAACAAAAAAAUCUCUCGACUUUCAAAUCAAAGCCAUGCAAAUGUAAAGGAUUCCUUAAUAAAUUCAAAAAUAAAUAAAAAUAAUUUUGUUUAUUUUAAUUUCUUUUAAAAAAUUUCUCUCUUCUUUGGAGUUUUUCGAAGACUUCCUAAAAACAAAUAUAUAAAAAGAAAAGAGAGGAAUUCCACCUCAUACGGAAAAAGAGAGGAUAAUGUGGAUCGUUAAAAGAUUCCAUGCGCUUAUGAACAAGGUCAAAAGAUAACAUUUUGUUGCCCAAACUUAAUCAAUUUUUUAGUUAAUUACACUAUGUACUUACGUGGUGGUAUGUAUGAUACAUGUAAGUGUAACAGUUUGACUAAUACUUAUUAUGAUUUGACAAAAAUAACCUUCAAAAUUGCAAAUUAUUACACCAUUGACCAUUGAGUCAGUUAACCAUUUUCUUUCCACCUUCGUUCAGUUUCUAAGACACAAUUACAAUAUAAAAAUAUGGGUCAAUUUUGGUUCAACAUGCCAAGACACAUUAAUAAAUAGGUAGGUUUUAUUAAUGGGGUAUUAGUUGGAUGGAUCUAGACUUUGAUGUGCUCUUAAGUGGUUCUAGCCCUUGGUUCAAGCCCCCAUGAUACCUGUGUGUGUGAGUUUUCCUCCCUCUCCUUUCCUAACUUUGGCAACAAAAAAAUGUAGGUUUUGAAUCAAUUUGCCAACUCAAAAAUAACCCGCUCAACUAGUUUAAUAAAUGUGUCGUUUUUAACUGCAAACUACAAUCUUUAAACUCUCACAAGUAGAGACUACAAACAUGCAAAAAACUCAAAAAAAGAGUUGAUGCACUUAUUACAAACAAAAACUAAAAGGCACCAAGUAAAUCACAAGGUGAAACCCAAUAUCUGCAAAAAGACUAAAAAAAACCAAAAAAGGCAGCCACGUCAUCCCCAAGCAAAUAAAAUCCCGAACCCUAUAUGAAAAGAGAGAGAGAGAGAGAGAGAGAGAGAGAGAGAGAGAGAGAGAGAGAGAGAGUAAGGAGUGGUAAGGUGAGGGGAGGGGAAGGGAGGGGAGGUGGGAAGGAGAUGAAAGGACAAGAGAAGGAAAAGUAAGGGAGAUGAGGAGGAGGAAGACAGAUGAGGGGAGUAUGAGGAAUAGUGACCUCUUCCCCCCUCAAGAUAUGUACGGUUAGAGAGUGUUUCUCUGAGUAAAAGUGAGGAUUUUCGUCGACAGAAUAUAGAUUCACAUUUAACCCACUUAAUUAUAUUAGUUUAACUAUAAAGUUAAAUUUAUCCUUGGUAAAGCUGAAUUAAUAUCAUCAUAAGUUCGUCAGUAUUUAUGAGUAACAUUUUUUAAAAAAAAGAAAAGAAAUUUUAAUAGGUAAAAUGGGUAGAUAUUUCAAAUUCGUAGCAGUCAAUUAUUAUAUUUCACAAAAUAAAACAAUAAUAACAUUUUGUUUUUCAUAUUAUAUUGUUAAAUAAUUAGAAAGCAAGGGAAAGGCCGCGAAAGAAAAUAUGACCGUUGGAACGCUUACACGCUCUCUCUAUAUAAUGGAAACCCAACACCACCAGGAAAAGGAAGUCACGAACUUCAAUCACCGCGUCAAAGUUAAGCAGAGAGAAAACCGUAAAACGUUCGCUUCGAUCUCUGUUUUCCUUAUCAACGACAUCGUCGUCUUCGUUGAUCACCCACUUCUCUGCUUUGUCUCUUUUUCUCUUACCCAUUUCCAUUUGAUCGAUCGUUUUCUCCAUCUCUUCGCUUUUGUGAGACCCAGACCAAGAAUUAAAGGCUUUAAUUUUGUUUCUGCAAAGUACGAAAAACAAUGGCUUCAUUGAAGCAGAAAAGAGAAACCCUAAAGGAAGACGAACCAUGGCUUGUAGAGAAGAGUUUUUUAGUUGCUGGGCGUGAGUGGGUUCGAGGGCGGAUUCUCGGCCAAGGCGGAUUUGGGUCGGUUUAUUUGGCCUCUGUGAAAAAACCCAAAUUGGGUAGGGAGGGUUUUCCGGCGAUCAUGGCUGUGAAAUCGGCAUUGAUGGCUAAAUCGUUUGAGCUGGUGAGCGAAAGGUCACUUCUUGGCGAGUUUCGUGGGUGCCCUUUUGUUAUCGACUGUUAUGGAGAAGAUUUCACGGCUGGGAUUGGAUAUAAUUUGGUAUACAAUGUGUUCUUGGAAUAUGCUGAUGGAGGAACAAUAGGGGAUUUGAUAAAGCAAUCUGGGGGCUCCGGGCUCUGUGAAUUACAAGUGAGGAAGUAUACAGAGUCGAUUUUGAAAGGAAUUCAGUACAUUCACGAAAGGGGUUUUGUGCACUGUGAUUUGAAGCCUGAAAACAUCUUACUUGUGACCUCUGGUUCUGGUUUUGUGCCCAAAAUUGGGGACUUGGGACUGGCAAAGAGGGCUGCGGGUGAGCGUUCUUGUAGAGGCACUGCAAUGUACUUAUCUCCUGAAACUGUGCUUGAUAGCAUUCAGGAGAAGCCUUCCGAUAUUUGGGCAUUGGGCUGUGUUGUGCUCAAGAUGCUCACUGGGAGGCACCCAUGGGAUGCAAAAGCCGGCUUGAAACUUCAUGACCUAAAGCCUCUGAUUGCUUCUGGAGUUCCUAAGGUUCCUGGUGGGUUAUCAAAAGAUGCUAGAGAUUUCUUGAAGAAUUGCUUUGCGAGGAACCCUUCACAGAGGCUUACAGCAGCUAAGCUAUUGGAACACCCCUUUGUGACUAAAGUUGAUGAGAUUGCACAGGUUAAAGCUGAACCAAUAAAGGAAGUUUCUUCAGUGUCAUCUUCUUCGAAUUGCAGUCUUGAUUAUGGUAGUUUCAUACCACUUGGAAGUUGGAGCUCUGAAAAUGCAGAGGAGAUGGAGCAACAGAUUCUUCCUUUGGCCAUCUUGUACCCUAGAGAUUCAAGGCCUGUGAUCCCAAACACCGGGUGCCAAAAGCCAUCAGCUUUUGCUAUAAUGGGUGCAGCUUAGUUUAAUUUUUUUUGAAAGCCUUCUCAUGAAUUUGAUGUAAUAUUUCAUUAUUCAGUGUUUGUGAUUGUAAGGCUUGACAUUAUGUAAAUUCUUUUCUCACGGUUGUAUUGGGUUCAUUGUUAAUAGAGAGCUAACAGUUCCACUUUGAUCUCUUUCUCUUGGUUCUCCCAUUGUGUGUUGGUGUUAUGUUUUACUGAUGUAGAUAAUCUCACUAAUCAUUGCAUUUGAUCCAUUAGGUUCACAUAAGAUUAGUAGUUUACAAGUUACGAUUAAAUCAGCAUGUAAAACUUCUAAUCAAUAAUGUCAACUUUCAAAGGAUAUUUGUAAUAGAUUCUCAGCGAUGGCUUUGUACCAUCAUUUUGUUGAUGACUACUAUUUUCUGCAGUAUGCCCUAGAAGUUGUAGCAAAAACUAAUGACCAACAUUUAUUCAGGAAUGGUGUCAAUUAUUCGACAAUUUGCAUCGUAACUUUGUAUCUCCUGGUUAACAAUAUGUACACAGAAACUAUGAGUAGCCCAAAAUACAACCGCACAAAAAUAUACAAAGAUUCAUUGUACAUGGAGGUUGCAGAAAACAUAAGCUACAACAGAGUAUCUUGCUCUGUAGCAUCUUCCUGGGCUAGAUCAUUCGUUCUCCUCAGAAAUCGAGAUAAACAUGCACUGACUGUUCUCGGCUAAGAUAUAAAGGCAAAACAAGCAUAAUCCUGUUUCAGGAGCAGACAGAUUCAAUGAAAAAGAAAAUUUUACACGAAUGCAUUCAAAUAGUAAAAGACUUUGUAUCAAUUAAAAACAAAAGAACAAAAGCAAGUUGCAAAUCAGACAGUGGCUACUGAAUCUGACAAAACACCAUGUAAGUUGUCACCCUGCUUUUUAUCUUAAAUGGCCAAACUACAAAAACUAUCGCAGCUACAAAGAGGUAACAGAUUUAAGCAAAAAACAUACCAGCAUAGGCAACUGUAAGACCUGACACCAACCGUCCCAAAGCUGAAAGCUUGUAAAGACAAAACACCACUCGGAGAAGAUUUAAAUACGAAGUUAUCUGGUGAGCUGUCUGCAAGAAUGACUUAUUAUCAUUGUUGACAAAUUUGCAUAACUUUACUCUACAUGACAACAUGCUAUCACGAAAAUGAUAAGCCACAUCUGCAACCAUCCCAACGGAAAGGAAAAAGAAGAUCAAUUUGAUAGACUAGCACAGCCAAGAUUUGUUCUUCAAGCAGACUGCUUUAAUAACAUAUGAUGGCCUGUGAGCCAAGGGACCAGCCACCGCAAGAUGCCUUUACUCAGGACAAAAGUUUCAUGGUUAGAAUAGAUAGCUAGAAAUAUAUAGUGAGGGCUCAGUGCAAAACAUUAAUUCUCUACUAUAGCAAAGCCACAGAUCUGGUAACACAAAGAUAUUUUUUAUUCUCUUGGGAACUGUUAGUACAAGUACGUUUUAGCUUCCAUUCUAUUCUUCUAAAAUACUAUGCAGUAGAAGAGAAGGUACAUUAUGGAGUGCCCUCCAAGUGGCAUCCAAGUCUUCCCAGUGAGAAACACAAUUGCAAGCAUGAAAACACACGUGCACACAUAACAACUUGCAUAUGCAACUCAAUACCAUAAAAAAAGAUCCAAAUUUUGAAGAUAUCCAAGUUCAAAAUAUGUCCUGACUUGGGCCAUUUUAUAAUUCUUAAGACAGUUAUUAGGACCUCUCCUUAAUACUUAAAUUUUCCAGCAGCAUACGUAUAGAUGUUAGCUAUUGAAAAUUUUCAUCCAUAGACACCGAAUUAUAUAGACUGUGCAAAAGCUUGAUACCAAAAAAAAAAAAAAAAAAUUCCUUGCAGUCAUCAAGCAUUAUUACCUUGAAAAACAACCUCUUGUCAGGUCCUAUGGCUGCAACCCUCAGUAGAGACUCAGCUCUUCCUAUGAUCUUCGCAAAAAGGGCAACAAUGCUAUUAGCAGUGUCCUACGAAAUCUGCCACUGGAGUGGAUCAACGAAUACCCUAGUCAACAAUAAAACUAGAUACUUCAAUACAAAGAUCUCCAUUCACCACAACAAUAGUAUCAAAUCUGUAAAUUCAUAAUUUGACACAGAAACCGCAUAUCAAGUGAUACCAUUCACGCAAUUACAAUUUGAAACAAAGGCAUUUUAUUUCAAGAACCACAAAUUUCAGUUCAUCUAUCAAGGAAGCAACUCCAAUUUUUCUUCAAUGCCCUAUAACCUUAUAAAAAUUCCAAUGCAUCCAUUCAUAAACCUAAACGAAACCCAAAUUUCUCAAAAAUGAUUCUUAAUCAAACUCAAUUAAAGCACAACAAAUUUGCAUUCAAUCUCAACCAUUAUCAGAUAAAACCAAACUCCAAAUUCAUCCAUCAGCCCAAUAACAAGCCCUUAGAAACCCAAAUUCCUCAAAACCCAGAAAAAUAAAGCAAAAACAGAAAGAAAAGUAAUCACUUUCCCGCAUUUCAUGGGCAGACAAAACAAAAUGGGGAAUCUGGACUUACGAGAUGUUCAUUUGGCGAAGAGAAUGGCGAGCGAGCAGAGGAGGACGAUGAGGACAGCGGAGACGAAGCUGGAGUUGAUGAAAAAUUUUCCAGUCUUGAUAAGAUUAUUAUUUAAAGCUUGCACCUUUUCUUCUUCUAAGGAUUAAAGAACUUGUUGGCCGGAGGUUUCUUUACGGAUACACUAACCGAACAAAAAUCCCCAAAUUUUCAUCUAUUUUUCUUUUUCUAUAUGUUUCCAUAACAAUACAUUUUAAUCUUCUCGGAAGAAAAAUCAUGGGUAUGUUGCUCUCCCUCAAAAUCUAUUUCUCUCAGUCGAGAUUUUACAGAAUUCUCAUUGGCCAUAGGAAAGAUGAACGAUUUCGGUUGGUUACAAAGGGAUUCGCAUUGUGGUGGUUCAGAGAGAAGCCUCAUCUUCCUUGAGAUAAUCUGGAUCUGUUUGCCUGUGAAGGAAAUAAAUAAAUAAAUAAAUUUUGGACGGAAAAAGGAAAACGCUGUUGCCUGUGAAGGAAAUAUUAAACGUGAAGAAGAAGAGCUAUUACGAUGUUUUAUUAUUAUUUUUAACUAGCCAAUUGGUUUUUUUUUUUUUUUUUUUUUUUUAUUUUUAUCAAUAUAUAUAUGGUUAAUGUAAAUAUUAAGAAUUGAAAUUAUUAAUUAAAUUGGUAUAAUAUGAUAAAUUCAUAUGUUUUCAUAUUUAAAAAAAUUAAAAUAAAAAGAAAAAUCAGAUAAUAAAUCAUAUUUUUAUGGAACGCAACUACCCAUUAUCUUUUUAAAUUCUAAAAUAAAUUUAAAAAAAAAUUUAAAAAGCCUCUCGCAAGCGCAUGCGUAGAAGCUAGUAAUUAAGAAAAAACUAGCCUCUCCGCACGCGCUUCCGCGCUUGCAAGAGGCUUUUUAAAAAAAAUAAAUUUAUUUAUUUUAGAAUUAAAAAAGAUAAUGGGUAGUUGUGUUCCAUAAAAAUAGGAUCCAUUAUUUGCUUUAUCUUUUUCUUUUAAUUUUUUUAAAUAUGAAAAAGUGUGAAUUUACCAUAUUAUCCUCAUUUAAUUAAUAAUUUGAAUUCUUAACGUUUGCAUUAAUCAAGGACAUUUUUUGGUAUUUUGAAUGUUUCACCAUUCUCUGCCUCUUAGUUAAUAUAAAUAUUAGCCUCUCUGCACGCGCUUCCGCGCUUGCGAGAGGUUUUUUAAAAAAAAUAAGUAAAUUUAUUUUAGAAUUAAAAAAGAUAAUGGGUAGUUGUGUUCUAUAAAAAUAGGAUCCAUUAUCUACUUUUUCUUUUUCUUUUAAUUUUUUUAAAUAUAAAAAAGUGUGAAUUUACCAUAUUAUCCUCAUUUAAUUAAUAAUUUGAAUUCUUAAUGUUUGCAUUAACCAAGGGCAUUUUCUGGUAUUUUGAAUGUUUCACCAUUCUCUGCCUUUUGCUUUAUAUUAAGAAAAAAUAACAUGAAUAGUUAUGUUCCAUAAAAGUAGGACAUAUUAUCUUAUUUGUUUUUAAUUUUAAUUUUUUUAAUACGAAAAUGUGAAUUUACUAUAAUAUCCUUAUUUAAUUAAUAAUUUCAAUUCUCCAGUUUGGCAUUGCUGUGCUGUAAAAUAAUUGCUGUCAGAUUUGCUGUAAGAAAAAUCAGCUGUGGGAGAAAGCAGUUUGGUGUUCGGUAAAAUUUUUGUUAAAAGUGUUGUUGGUAUUGAUUUUCGCAUAAUCAGAAAAUGAUUGCUGCAUAAUCAUUAAACUUAGUGCCUCUACAAAACUGAUUCUUGCAUAAUCAGAAAAUGAAAGCAUCUUAUUAGCUGCUUUCCCUUAUAGCUUUCUCUCACAACAAUUUUUAACAAUAAGUAAUUUUAUCACAGUUUACCAAAUGGGUUAGGCUUUCCAAAAAAAUUUAAAAAUCACUUAUCACCUCAAAUAAGUAAUGCCAAACUGGCAUGUUUGAAUUAACCAAAGGUAUUUUCUAGUAUUUUGAAUGUUUCACCAUUCUCUGCCUUUUGCUUUAUAUAUAUAAAUAAAAGUUGACGGUUUUAAAGUUCUGUCAACUAUUUCGACAGGUAUCAAAAUUUUAGAAAAGAGAGACACAAGGAUCCCGUCCCCCAUGGGAACCCUCGCCACCACUACCACACUACUCGCAACAUCGUCUACAAACCACCUUAUUCACAGAACAAUUUGUAUGACAACAUGAUUAACGUGUAUGUAAUUUUUGUUUUUGUUUUGGAGUAGAUGCUUCUAUUGUAUAAAGGAUAGCAAAAUCAUCUGUAACCCAAAUGUGAGAGAAGAGAAAACAAAAAGAGGAAUCUUUGAAACCUCUUUAAUCGACCACACCAAAUAGCAAUUAAGCGACUAAAAACAAAGCCUACAAGUGAAAAAGAAAAUUAACAAAAAAAUUAACAAAAUAAAACUAGAAAAAGAAAUUACAUUUGAAAGAACUCAAAAAUAAGAAUGAAAACAAAACAAUGGGUGAUAAGCAAUUACAUUUAAAAGAAUACAUGAAAAUAAAAGUAAAAGUAAAGCUUAAAAAAAUAAAAAAUAAAAGUAAAUUUAGGUUUUAGCCACAAAAAAACUUUUACUUUUGGAAAAAGUCAAAGCUUUUUCAAAAUAGACAGAAAAACCUCUCAACUUUUAAAUAAAAGACAUACAAAUGUAAAUGAUGCCUUAAAAAAUCUAAAAAUAAAUAAGGGCAAAUUUGUCCAUUUUGACUUCUUUUAAAAAAUUUCUCUCUCCUUUGGGUUUUUCCAAAGUCUCCCAAAAAUAAACAACAACACAUGGGCUAAAUCGAAAGCACAACCCAUCGACUCCGUUUGGUUCAUGGGAAAGGAGACUUGGGGAUGAGAAAUCAAUUAUUUUCUUAUGUUUAGUAAGUCCAUGCAUGGAAAAUCGUUGUCUGGCCCAUGAGAAAAUAAGAGGGAAAGUGAAGUCAUCCUCCCAACUUGGGUUUUGUUUUCCCUCAUCACGGAAAAGUUUGGUGAAAUGAACCAAUAUUAUGACCAUUUUGUUUCCAUUAACAAUUUAGAAUUACAAUAUAUCAUUAAAUGCAUUCUUUUUUUAUUUAAUUUAAUAUGGGUAUAAUUGAAAAUUUAUACAAACUUUGUUUUCCAUUCCUACUCAGAACAAACAUGGGAAAGAUAAUAAAGUGUUAUCUCCUGGUUACUUUCCCAGCAUUACCGAACAUUUAAAAUGAAUCUUCCAUUUCUCAUCACGUGGGAAAUGAUAUGGGAAGUGAUUUCCCCUCAAAUUCAUUCCGUGAACCAAACAAUGCCUGAAGGUAAGGAAGAAAAAUAAAAUACUCCAUAGGACCAAGUCCGGCUGAUGUAGCUAUGAGGCAGUUAAUGAUAACAAGUCAAACUUAUCUAGUGUUGCAGUAAUCGUGAAACCGCAAAUAACUUCUCCGAACUGAUAUACAGAAUGUGUAACCGUCAACAAUAGCUCCAGUCAAGUGUAGACAUCGGAAAACCUCCAAAAUUUCAACGAGAAUGAUCGGAAAUGUAUGCGAUGUGUAUAGGUGUGGCUGUGAUUGUAUCAUUGCACAAAAAAAACCCAUCAAUAACUGCUCCAAGACCGAUCAUGCUUUCGUAUCACAGCCACCAUCUCUUGUAGAAAUGUCAACCGGCCGGUGCCACCAAAAAAGAACACAACAAAACGAAUCGACACUAAAAUUGUGACAGACCAAAAGGAACCGCAGUUUAGCGGAAAUCAAGUUUGGGGAGGCGCUGUAAAGACAUGUUUUAAAAAAUAUAUAUAUAUAUAAAUUCUCUUAUGCAGAUGUCCGGACGUUAUUAUCGUGCGAACGCCAUAUAUUUUCUACUAUCCCUCCCUGCUUUCCUCCCUAUUUACAAUGACAUCUACAGAAUAAUAACAUGCGGACAUCCGGAUAAAAAAAUACAUAAAUAAACAUUUUGGUCCUUUAAGUUCAGCUCAAGUCUUUAGGUCUAAGCAAACCCAUUUAUUUUCUUUUAAGCCUAAAACAAUGAGCCUAAUGUUUUGUCUCAUAUGUAACUUGAGAUACAGCAGCUUUUUCUCAACGAAAAAAAAUCCUACAGCCAAAUAUUUCAUUCUUCCUCGUCUUCUUCAUUCUCUCUUGCUUUGUUUCUUUCAAAAAAUAUCCUCAUGCCUUGUAAGCACUCUAGGGUGCUUAUUAGUGAAGGCUGUAUAAGCUGGUGGAGAGUCUAUAGGAGGAGGUGGCUGUUGGUGAUGAACUUAGAUUGCUCUGUAAGCAAUCUAUAUGGUUGACUAAUCCCAGUUAGAGUGCUGAAUAAUCCCAGCUAUAAAGAGGAGGUGGAAAUAGGUUUUAAUCAUGACUUUUCCACCUAAAUAGUUGAAGUUAGAGAAGGAUUUUUCAUAUAUGUUUUUAGCUCACUUCACUAAUAGAAAGAAAGAGACGGAGAGGAAGAAUUCUGAAAGAGAAAAAGAAGAAAGAAGGAAGGCUUAAGGGUAAAGAGUUUUUAUAGUUUUGGGUGUCUUCAGUAAAUUCUUUAGUUUUCAAUUGGAAGUUUUAUGCUUUUAUCAUGUUUUAAUCUGGAAAUAAAAUGCAUGUAUAUUUUAUCGUCUCUCACUUAAAAAUUAACAUAUAGCAGAUAUUGUUCUUUCAAGACCAUCGUUCUCAAACUGCACCAUAAUUUGGACUUGCCAUGUUGAGGCUCAAUCAAUGGUUUUAAUUUUAAUUUUUCUCUAUGUACUGAUAUGGAGACUCUAGAGAGAGAGAGAGACAGAGAGAGAGAGAGAGAGAGACAGAGAGCCGUCCCGAUCAUAUUGUGCAAAGAUGAGCCAUGUCCUACGAAGUAUAUAACAAAAGAAUUCUUGCCAAAUUUUUUCAAAUUUUUAUAUGGUUGAAAGGCUGAUUCUUCAAACUUUAAAAUGACUAUUCAUUUGUAAAAUUUCGUUGAGAUUUGGUAAGCCAUAAUGCUGUUCAAAGUGGUCCAUUUAAACCAUUUAAAGCCCAGUUUUUAUAUAAAAUAGUGAGCAGUCAUCUUUUAUUUCACUAUUCUAAAUAUUUUCUUUUUGUGUUUUUACGCUUAGACUCAAGGACUUUGUUAGGGCCUGACAAAGCUUAAGGAAAGAGUUUGCUAGCUGGGAAGUAAGGUAGGGGAAUUCUGGGGAUUAAUUACAUGGAAUUAUAUUUAAAUUGAAUAUUCUUGUUUAUGUUCUUAUUGUUGAAACUUCGUUAAUUCUUUUACAUUUGUUUUUAUUUAUGAAAUUGGGUUAUGAAUAUUGCUAUUACAUAAUGCUUUCCAUUAUCAUGACUUGCUUAUCAUUGGUUGUUGGAGUAAAGGAAUUCAUUACACUUGGGUUAUGAGAAAGGAAAAUAGCUUUUGUGUAGUUGAGUCUAACCAUUGUAGGAACCAAGUUCAAGCGAGUCUGUGUGACAGUAAAAUAGGAUAUCAGUGAUAUAAUUAUCGAUUGGGUGAUUUGGGCUUGGAAAUCAAUGGUUUAGGCAAGACGACUAGCAAAAAGGGAAUAUGAAAUUGGGAAUGUUACGGGUGUUAGUUUAUGUAAUAGGGCAUUUAGAAUCACAGUCGUAAAAUGCAUGAUAUGGGACAUGCAAAUUUGUUUGCUUGCAUAAUUUUAUAAAUCUCACUAAUCACAUAAGACAUAGGACCGUUACUGAGCUUGUAGUGCUCACCCCUUAUUAAAUAUGUUGCAGGUUUUGAAUCUGAGGUUUAGUUUGUGACUUGGAAACAAGAAGAACGAGUUGUAGAUAGUUUUGGACGUUUGUUGUAAAAAAAUAAAUUAAGAGAGUGUUUCUUUCCUGUUAUUUUGCUUGUAAAAUCAUAAUGUAAAUUACUUUGGUUAAAAUAAAGAUUUAUGUUCAGUUUUCAUGUUUCUUGUUAUUUAAAGUUUUAGUUUUAGUUUUUCUUUUACCUCACACUUCCAUAAGAAGGGGGAAAAAAAAUUGGUGUAUGACAAGCUCUAAAGUUUAAUGAAAUUUACAAAAUUCUGAAAAUAACCCGAAAUAUUUUCACGCUAUUUCUUCUCGGAAGUCUUUAUCCUCCCUCGAGUCUUCACGCUCUCUCCAAGCCAAAAGUCACUCUUCUCCUUCUCUUCCUUUUUGUUCUUCAAUUUUUGUUGCUCUUCACUUGGAUGUGAACCUUGCAGACCUCAUUGGUUUCAUUUAGUUAGUUAGCUGUUUUCAACUUCUUUUUUUUCAGUAAUUUCGACUCUCCUAAUUUGCUUUCAAGACACUAGAAAUUUUUUGGCAAGAAUUCUUUUGUUAUAUACCUUGUAGGACAUGGCUGAUCUUUGCACAAUAUGAUCGGGACGGUCUCUCUCUCUCUCUCUCUCUCUCUCUCUCUCUCUCUCUCUCUCUCUCUCUCUCUCUCUCUCUCUCUCUCUCUCUCCAUAUCAGUAUCAUAGAGAAAAAUUAAAAUUAAAACCAUUGAUUGAACCUCAACAUGGCAAGUCCAAAUUAUGGUGCAGUUUGAGAAAGAUGGUCUUGAAAGAACAAUAUCUGCUAUAUGUUAAUUUUUCAAGUGAGAGACGAUAAAAUAUACAUGCAUUUUAUGCAAUUAUAAGAUUAGAUAUAUUUAUGAUUUCAUUCUUUUGUGCUUAUAUCUAUUAUAAGAAAAUAUGCUCUAACAUAAGAAGAAAAAAAAAGCAGUUUAUUAUUAAAUAUUUAUUGCAAGAGGAAGCGAUCUUCAAGGAAGAAUAAGAAGGUAAUAAACCACAAGAAUAUUGCUUAUAUUUUCUAUUGAAAAAGUCUUGGUAGAAAAACUUGAUUAUGCAAAGUUAAUUGAUACUUUGCCAUUGAAAAAUGCAAGACGAGUGAUGUUUUAAUGCAUUUUAUAAAGUUGUUAUGUGAAUUACAUUUUGUUUAUUUUUUUUUAGGUUACAAUUCUGACUUUGAGUUCAUAUAAUUUUUUUUUUAACUUAUCGAAGUAGAAGACCACAUUUUGGUAGUUCGCCUAGGGCCUCCAAAACCUUAGGACCACUAUUGUAUUAAGGAGAAGUAGCAAAUUAGUUGACCUGCCAGCUACCAUUAGGUCCAAGCAUUAGUAUUUUGUGAGGACGAAUGAGAGAUUAUAUAUUAAUUCAGUUUAUAAAGCCUUGUAUUUCUAACAUUAUUCAUAAGAGAUUGAAUUUUCGUUCAUGGUUAUAUUUUAUGUACUAUUUAUUCUUGAUAACACCUAAAUAUUGCAAUGAUUUAACAAUUUUAACAUAAUAUUUUAUUUAUUUUAUGAUUAAAAUAAUUUUUAGGUGUGAAAGUUAGAAAACACAUUAAACACAUUAAACACAAGAAUUAUAUAAGUGAAAGUAAAAAUAAAAUUGCUUUGCUUUUUACUAUACAAUUGAAUAGAAUCCCAAAUAAUUUUAACAUAUGCCCUUAAUAUCGUUUUUAUAGAAAAUUUAUCAAACACUUAUAAACUGAUUAUUGUACCAACACUUUUAACAAGAAGUUUAUCAAAUACCAAAUUGCUUUUUUUAAAAAUAAAAAAAAAUCUGACAGAGAUUAUUUUCACAUCACAACAAUCACAAACUAACCCUCCAUCAUGUCUCGUGUUUAGACAUCCAAGUAAAAGAAGCACGCAUUUUACAACCGAAAAAAACGGGAAGCACGCAUCAUUUAUAAGGACAAGCCAUGCAUUUUAGUAUGACAUUACGGGAAGGAAAAAAACACGUGUGAGUUUGUGUUUGAGUCACACAUUACUUAGCAAAGAGGACCUGUUUUCUUUUAUUUCUUUUAUUUCUUUUAUUUAUUUAUUUAUAUAAAAAAAGAGAAAAACUACAAACGCAAACCACGGGACACACAGGCCCAACGAGUCAAAAUAAAAAGGAACAGAGCAACACAAAGGAAGACCCUGCUCCUACAGACGGGUUCAUUCCCUUAUUUUCCUUUCUUUUUAACUCAUAUAUAUGAUUUUUGUUGGAUAUGAAACCCAGCUGUUCCCUUUUAUGGUAUUUUCUUACUUAUUUGCUCAAAUUUGACGGUUAUGUGUGACAAAUUUAAGAAAAGUAGAGGAGAAGCUAGGACAUGCAAUGUGUGCAGCAGCACUUCACUUUCGUCUUGUAUGCAUAUCAAACCAGUGGCUUCACUUUCACAAGCGGCUACAGAGACCGACGGGUUUUCAGACGAAAUCUCCAUGGGAAAGGCAGCUCCUACUUCUCAAGAUUUUGAGUCAAAUUCAAAGGUAAGACUUUUGAGAAAUCAGUUGUUCAUGGUAGUAAUCAGUUUAAGAGAAGAAGAAAUUGAAUGCCCAGUAGUAAUUUUUACCAAAAUAAUCUUCACAGGCAUUAGUGUUUCUUUCAAACAAAGCAAAUUCGUCAGAAAUUUCAUCUUUGACUGACAUUGACCCCAAUCGUGGUUUCCUAAAGGUGGGUAAUUUAAAUUAAUUUUCUUUAAUCAGAAAAAAAUUGUUCCUUUUUGAAGAAAUUAUUUAAGGUUGAAAUUUAAUUCCUGGGUUCUUCUUCAGUUUCCUUCAAAGUGGCCUGAGGAGCAAGCAGAAACAUUGUCAAACAGCAUGGCAACCUUUAGGGUUGAGGAUCAAAUUGGUGGUAUGUAUAGUUAUGCUGAACCUCUGAAAACUCACUCUGAAUUGAAUGAUGGAGGCCCAGCGAUUGAAGUUGGAAUUUUUUCAGGUAAAAAAGAAGAUGAUGUAAAGUGUGAUGCAGUAGUUGAGGAACAGGAAGCUCCUUCGCAGUCUAAGCCUGUUAACUGUGAUGAUGGAUCAGAUGUCGGGGAGGAUGAUGUAUGUACUUUUUCUUUCUGGUAAAAUUUACUGCUAAACUUGCUUCUUGUGUCCUGUCUAUCUUACCGGAAUGGAACCAUGAAAUUUCCUUAAAUGUUGAUAUGCAAACUUUGGAAUUCCUGAGAUGAUGAGGAACAAGUUGUUGUGAACCUCGACAUCAUACUUUCCUCUCAUAAAUGGAGCAUUGUCCCAAGAAGACAAAUGAUAGUAGUACUGCACAUGGACACAUAGACACAGAGAUAGACAUCCAUGCACACACUUGCAACCACAGAAAGCCAUGCACCGCCACCACUGUUGCAUAGCCAUACAAACUUGUUUUUGAAAGGAAACGGUGCACAGGUGUAUAGUGGUUAUCAAGUACUGAAGGUGGUGGUGCCUAAUGUGUUCUCAUAGAUUUUUGUACUUCAGAUAAAUAUUCCUUUCUUUUUAUAAUCUGAUCCACUGUGCAUUUGGCUGAAAACUGUAUUUUAUUGCUGGUCUUAUGUCAUAAUAUGAUUUACACUAAGUCUGUGUUUAGCCCAUUCUAUGCAAACCUGCACAGGCAGGGAGGAAGUGGAUGGGUUGGUGGUGGUGGGGGGAUUAUUUUGGUAGACAAUCUCGUUUAGUCCAGCUAAGCCGCCUUAUUUGAGUAGAUUGGCAUUGACCAGCAAUGCUUGUCCUAUAUUGAGAUGAUUACAGGGUUGAUUAGUAUUGCCCAGUUGAUAAUGCCUUUAUUCUUUUGUUUCAAGAAAAGAGAUUGUUACUUAAGUUGUCUGGGUACACGCACACAUGAACACAUGCUAAAUUUAGUUAUUGUCAUCAUAAGGUGGUAAAUAAGGGAAAGAAAUUGGCAGUUCUGUUUGAUUUUAGCUUUGUUGGAAUGCAAGUAACAGUUACUAAUUUGGAUGCAAAGGUUUGAUAGAUAAUAUGGCACAUGGCUAUCUUGUUGAAUCCUCACCCUAUAUUAUUCUCCUGUUUCCUUCUAUUGCUUCCUGUAUGUAUGGCCUUUAAAUAAAACUGCACUGUUGAUGUAGGAAACUAUUCUUUCUUUGUUGCUAUUGCAUCAAUUACCCUUUUUCAAUUAAAUAGGGCAACAAUUAUCUUAGUGAUUCCAUUUUCCUGGUCCUUCUUUGGGUCAUGCAAAAACAGGUGAAAGUUUGUGAUAUCUGUGGGGAUACAGGUCGUGAGGAGUUGCUUGCUACAUGUAGCAGGUGCAUUGAUGGGGCAGAGCACAUGUAUGUAGCUCAUCUUUUCUGGAUCUUUUUGUUUUUGUGUGCUUUCCUUUGUUUAUUUAUUUUUUUCCCUAUAGAACUUGAAAGCCUAUGGUUUUCCUUAACUUAUCUUCUUGUGUCAACCAGAUACUGCAUGCAGGUAAUGAUGGAAAAAGUUCCUGGAGAUGACUGGAUGUGUGAAGAUUGUAUGCGUAUGGAAGAAUCUGAGAAACAAAAUCACAACUAUGUAAAAGCUGAAAGGGUCGUAAAAGGAUCAUCUUUGAGCGGUAUAAGGAAAAACUAUAAAAACGUGGAUGCUUCAGAGUUCAAGAACAGAUUGUCAAUGAAAAGUAAAUGUGCUAGAGUUGAGAUCAAAACAGGCAAAGCUGGUUCUACUCCUAGCAUUGCUGGCAAAGGACCUACAGUCAAUGCAGAAGCUGUGUCUGUCAGUAAAAGAAGGGCUCUUGAAACAAGUGUGAAAUUGCCCAGGGUUCCUAGUUUCUGCAGCAAAACUGUACUGCAUAAGGAUGCUUCCAAAAAGGAAUUAGAUAAGAAGAAAAUAAAGGCAACCACGGAUGUCAUUUCUGGUGACCGAUCUUCGAGCAGUUAUCUGAAAAAUGCGUACUUGCCUAUUACAUCAGACAAAUCAGACAAAUUUCGAUUGCAGAUGCAAUUGAGAAAAGGUAUACUUGUUAUGCAGCUUAGAGGCCAUAGAUAUUUUUUGACAACAUUUUGUAUGAAUUGUAACUGCAUAUGAUAAAUUCUCAAUCAUGACUUUACAGGUGCUCUAUUGAAGUCAAAAUCAUUCAACAUCAUUGAUUCAAAAGUGAAGGGCAAACUGUCAGAUGAAGGUGGUGUCCAAAAGCAUAAAUUUGUCGACAACAAUGCUACUGAUGACAACAAAAAGAAAAAUAUCGCCGGCACAAUGUGUAAAUCUUUGUCCUUUGAUAAUGCCAGGUCAAACUGCUCAAAUUGUUCCGAUACAAAAGUUAAAGUGCCGUACCAUCUCAAGGACUCGAAGAAAUCGACGUUUACAAAUCAAGAGAACUCUACUCAGGUGAAGCAUGAAGCCAAGCUACUUAACCCUUUAGUGAAUAGUUCUGGGCUUCUCGUGCCACAGAGUGACAAAAAAAUUGCAUCUAGUGGUCAAACUAGUUUACUCCCUGUUGGUCAUGAUCUGGAGACUGGCCAUAGGAAAUCGAAAAACUUAUCAGAAGCAAGUAAUCAUCUUGCUCAUGAAGGCUCAAGGUAUGUAAAUGAGAAAGAGAAUAGAGUGGUUGGUGAUGCGAAACAGCAUGCUGAUCAUUACAUAGAAGCAGCAGUUGCUAUCAGAGAAAAUAAUUCUAAUGUCAAUUUGCAUUCGGAAGGAAGGCCUCAUGUGAGAAACGCUUCAAACGCUUUUUCUCUGGCUUUUGCUGUCCCACAGCUUGAUUACAUAUGGAAGUAUGGCCUUUUUCUCCUUUAGUAGAUCUUUUCUUGUACACUGGUCUUUGGCUUGCCUUUUGAGUAUGUUCUGAUGCAUGUGCUUCUGGCAUUUCAUGCAGAGGUGGAUUUGAAAUGUGGAGAAAUGGAAGAGUCCUUGGUUCUUGUGAUGGAAUGCAAGCACAUUUGUCUACUGUUGCUUCACCCAAAGUUCUUGAAGUAGUACCCAAGCUUCCUCAGAAAAUGCUGGUGGAGGAAGUUCCUCGCUUGAGCACAUGGCCAACUCAAUUCGUACGAAAUCAUCCAACAGAAGAUAAUAUUGCUCUCUACUUUUUCGCAGAAGAUCUUGAGAGGUUUUGUUUAUGUUAUUCCUUAAAUUAAAUAAUAAAUUAAAUAAAUUAAAUAAUGAAUUAAAGUUUUCUCUCAUGCUGGCCAUCUGUCUAAUUCUGUAUGCUAUUUAUCCAGCUAUAGAAGAAACUACAAAGUUUUGGUGGAAUGCAUGGUUAGGGAUGACUUGGCUCUUAGGGCAAAUGUUGAUGGGGUUGAACUGUUAAUAUUCCCAUCUAACAUGCUUCCUGAGGAUUUGCAAUGUAAGGAUUGACCAUUGUGCAUGCAUAUUUUAAAGAUGGUUUUCGACACACAAUUUAAUCAAAUAUAUAUAUAUAUAUUCUUUUUUCCCCUGUAAAUGUAAUCUUAUUCUUUGGCAGGUUGGAAUAGGAUGUUAUUUCUGUGGGGUGUGUUUAGAGGAAGGAGGGUUUCUUGCUCUGAACUCAUGCAGCCUUCAAGAGAUGUGAAUCAAGUUGACUCUAUCCUGGUAUGUAUAUUUAGUUAGUGAUUAAUUGCCUUAUUAAUGCAUUCUCCUUUCUUUUAUAUAUAUAUAUACUUCUCCAAAGCUUUAGCUGUUAGUUCAUGUUUAGCUGUCAAUCAUAUGGCGAGGAUAAUAACUUUAUUACAAUUUUUAAGUAUAGAAUGAAGAAACAAAAAUAAUAAUUAAGGAAAAACACUAAGGAUCGAUGAAUUAUGACACUUUUAGCAUCAUGGAACAUGGAGGUCUUUGAAUAUCCUUCAGAGUCAUCAGCAACUGUAUAGUUAGUUGUUUGCAGAACAGGGUUUGUAGUUAAGAGUAUCAUCCCUUCACUUAUAACUAUAUAUGUAUGAAUAUAUAGAUAAACAAAUAAAUUUAAACUUUUCUUUUAUGAUGAACAUGCACUAAAGAAAUAAUAACUUUACCUCACAUUUAUAGUUUGUCAAACCCAAAACACGAAAUUGUCGAUGAUUAUAAUGAGAAGACAUUGAAUUAAUGUGACUCCAAUUGAGAAGUUUUUGGUGUAGGCCCUACAGAAAAAGAAAGAUGAUUAAUCUAACGUGAUUGCUGAUAAUGUUGCUAAUCUACCAUGGCUUUGUGUUCUGUUCAAGAUUACAAGAACCUAAAGCUUUUAUAAAGAAUAAAAUUUGGUUUAUGUGGUUUAGUCUUCAUAUGCUCUAACUACUAGAAUUUGGAUCCUUAUUUGGCAAUUUUGAUGAUUGGAUUCAGAUCCUUGUAAGCUCCAUAGGCAUUCCAUUUUAUUUAUUUUAUUUUAUUUUUAUUUUUUUGUAAUCUCAGUCCUCCUUCAUGACAUGAAUAUGAGCACUUUACGUAGUUUGACACACAUAUCAUUCAAACUUGUCCCAUGAAUAUGUAAUGCAUGGAGCAUUGCCCCAAUGACAAGCUACAUCAUGUCAUGGAGCCAAUAAUGUGACAUAGUCUUUUUUAUUUUUAAAAGAGAAUGGUUAAGAUUUAGCAAACAACAUUUUUCUUAAAAAAUAUAAAGAAAACCCCAUUUUAUCGAAACCAUUAAAAAGUGCAAAGUCCAAACAAUACAACAAAAGAAACAAAAUAUUAUCAUAUAGAAAUAUUGUAUAAAAAAAUCACUCUAGAAACUUAAAUAACAACAGAGCUCUCCAAUCUGCAAAAAUAGAGAAAAUUUGUAUUUUCCGAAACUCAGAUGACUGAGGCCAAUAAUGAUCUCUAGAGCUUGACUUUAUCCCAUAUUACUUCCAUGGUUCCCUCCUCUCAAGUACAGAACUCCAUGUGGUGUUACAGUAAUCUAGGGAGAAUGCUAGGGGAUCUUAAUCCUUGAUAGCCCACUUUUGGGAUACCUCAAUAAUUGUCGUGAAAUCAUGAGUAGAUAGUAAUGGUUGUCAAAUGGACCCCUUGGAUUUGCACUUAGUGGGCGAAGGAUCCUACUCUGUACUAUUUUGUGCUAUGUAGCCAGGAUCAGGUGAUUUCGAUGCUUCAUAGGAAUUUUGAUAAACUGCUUUGUUUUCUUUGUGCUCUUUUGUUCCUUUCCAUUUUCUUGCUUGUGGAUCGUUAGUUCAUUUAACUUUUAUGAAAUCUUUUUGGUACCUUUAUCAUUAUAUUUUUUCCUGUGAUAAGCAUUCAGAGACAGAUAAAUUAACUUUUUUUGAGAAAGAUUCAAAAGUGUAAUAUUAGAGCAACUCUGUAACCUAUGUUGGGUGACUUGACAUCUGGGCUGGUGUUCAAUUGGUCAAUGGGCCAAUUGCGAACAUUGGUGAGUGGGUUUCUAGGCAAUAACAAGACCAUUCAUUUGGUCUGCUCAGGUUUUUACUUAUAAUGUGCUUGGUAAAUCUUGGCAAAGAGUGCCAACUUUGGUGCAUUCAAUUUUUGAGUUGGUAAAUAUAUCAGAGUUUGUGGUACUUGAUGAUUGGUAUAUAUGUAUAACUGGUAUUGUCUUCAUUGAUUUCUAUUCCUCUAUUUUGUAAAUUGUGUUCUAUAAAAGUACAUGAGGUUUCUCUAGCACAAGCAAAACAUCAGUCUCUAGUCAAAUUAGCUGUGACAUCCAAAUUUGGCCUGCAGAAAGGAGGACAAUCCAAGCAAAGGCAGGAGAUGGACUUCAGAUUUUUUCUUCAAGGUAGUAGAAGAUAUAGCAUCGACAGUGUGAGCGUUGAUGAAGAGCCUGAUCUCAAGAGGGUCAAGACAGAUGAGUCAAAGUAUUCAGAUAAAGGAUUUCCAUUCCAAACAGAUGUGUGUGGUUCUGGUUUUUCUGGGGAUCAUCUUGGAUGUGGUAAACCCUAUGAUAUGCCUGUCUCUUCAACGGAGAUGCAAGUUCGUACAACUAUAGGAAAGGAUCAGACAGAAUCUCAAGUUCCAGGUAUUGAGCUAUCAUUAGGGGCACCAUUUAUUGAUUUUGAACACCAAAAAGAAGAUCGAACUUCUAAUCCCAAGCUGGUGAACAACAUUAACGACGAGGACAAUGAAGUCUCAACAUCCCUUUCUCUUUCCCUUGCGCUGCCAUCACCUCUAGGAAACAAGUACUGAAGAUUGGAUCGAAACAAAGCAGCUGUUGGAUGAGAGGCAUCCACAUCUAGAAUGAAACCCUGUAGACUGUAGAUUAAUAGUACCGUAGCAUAACAUGGAUGUUUUGAUGUACAUGGAUCGUAGCAACCAUCGUGAUCCUUUCCAGUUCAUAACAAACCAAUUUCCGUUGUUCACAAUUAAAGGUUUGUUAGUUUUCUCAGUAAUUUAUUUCUUCCUGCUAUGUUCUUGUGUGCAAAAAAAAAAGAAAAAAGAAAAAAAGGAGCUAUUAUACCUGUGGAGAAAUGAUAAAGUUAAAUGCUGCUAGAACCUUGAAGUUAAAUACCUACUGUUAACUUCUUCAAUGGCGUCUGCAGAGUUUAUUUUAUUUACUGGUCAUGUGGGUUCGCUUGAUAGUGUGGCCAGAUGUGGUAACUUUAGCAAGUUGGUUGGUCGCGGCUUCUUUUUUAUUUUAUAUUUUGAAAGAACAAUAUUUUCAUUAAUAAUAAACUCAAAUCUCCAGGGUCCAUAGUUCAGUAGUAAGAGCAUUUGCGUGCAGAUAAGUUGUUUCUAGUUGGAACUCCAAUGUCAACUUCAUGAUUUUUUUAGUACAAGGGAUGAUCUAAAUUAGAGGGGGGAGCGUGAUUUCUCACAUGCACACGACUAUAAUGUCGUGGGGAUUCAAACUUGAGACCUCUGAUCUACAAGUCAAGACUCUUUUUCAUUGGACUAGGCCUUGUUGGCAUGUCAACUUCAUAAUUUUUUUAUUGGGUCAAAUACCAACCUUCAUAUUUGGGAUAGAAGGCAAAACCCAAAAGGUGGUUCUUGCAAUGACAAAACUAAACCAAUAAGCAAGGACAUGUAAUUUGAGCAUGUGCGUGACUAUGAGUGACGCGGGGAUGGUAUUUUUUGCUAUUCUCAGUCAAUAACGAUGCACAGAAUAAUUUUUUUACGUGUCAUUGCAUUAUUGACCAGAAAUAACAAAACAGUAUAAUUCCUGUUAUAAGUUUUUACGCUCAUAGGGACACACCUAUUGAUUGCUUCUACUUAGGGAUGGGGGGACCACCAAUAUGGACUACAAUGGUAGAGUCAUAACAACUAAUUACAUGGCUUGAUUAUUGGCUUUUCUUAGAGUGAUGGGAGUUUUAAGUAGACAUAAUAUUAUUUGACACCUCACCAUGUACGACUAAAUUAAGAUCCAAAACUUUGCAUAUCAUGAAGAUUGAAGAUUGAAGAGGGUUAAUCAGUAGAUCGACUAAACCUAGGUCUAGGUUUGGCACCUCUCUCUAAUCAUAAUUACUUUCAAAGCCAUGCAGCACAGCACAUAUCCACUAAUUACAUUACACCACAUAUUAAUUCAAUAUCACCAAUGCCCAUCAAUUGAGGAAAAAAAUUUGAGGGAUGGGUGGGGUGAAACACUUUGAAGUACUUAUCAAAAUCAUAUGUCACUAAUUAUUUCCCCAUUUUAGAACAAAGUCAAGCCACAAUAAUAAUGAAAUUGAAGUAUAGGCUAAAUAGCCGAACAAACACAUGCGUAAUCAUAUAUCGGGCCAAACCCAAUAUUGGUUUAUUAAUUCCCAAAACCAGCCCUAAAAGUAGGUUGAAUUGUAGUCAUUAAAGGUUAGUUGGACUAUAGCGUAGUUAUGAGAACCGAAUUAAAUCAAAACCCUAGGUCAAAUGAUUCUUGCCAUUUGGGGAUUAUUUGACCUAAUUGGGAAUUACUCAACCUAAUUGGGAGUUACUCAAUUUAAUUGGGAGUUACCUAAUUAAAUUGAGAGUUACCUAAUUAAUUAGAGAAUUGAUUUGAUUCCUACCACAAUUCCCAAUUAAAUGAGGAGUUACCUAAUCAAAUUAGGAAUUAAUUUGAUACCUACCACAAUUAGGGAUUUGAUUUACCUUAAUAAAUCAAAUCCCUAAUUAAUCAAAUCAAUUCCAAGUCAGGGAGGAAUAAUUCCCUUCCAUCUACGGAAUUAUUCCUCUGAAACUCUAGCCUCCAAGACCACUAUAAAAGGAUGGCCACACACAAGGGUUGAGGUACGUCUGAAAUCUCUACUGAAACUCUAUAGAAAAUUCCUCUCAAACCCUAGCCACCUCCUUUCUCUCUCUCUUUUACAUAAGGCUCCGGCCGCCCUAUUUACACAUUAAACACAUCCCGUACCCUAUUUUAGCUAUUGUUUCUAUACAGAUCGAUUGAACUGACUUAGGCAUCGGAGGGCCUUUGGCCAACACCCCCCGGGUGUGGUCCUUUUAUUUGUUCUAUUUUGCAGGGAGAAAAAGGCGGGGAAGAAGAAAGGGGAAUCUUUCAAACCGAAUAUUCUUGUGGGGAAAUUUGCUCCCACAGUAGUUGGUUGAGAUAUUUCACCGUUACUUAUGUGGGCAGAGGUUCGAAACCCCAGACACCCAAUGAAUUCAGAUCAAUUCAACUUGUUGUUGCAUUUGGUCACUGGAGAAGUUGUAUUAUAUGCAGCACCUUAGUUGGCUUCCGCGUCUGCGAGAGGUUGAUAAUGGGCAGUUGUGUUCCAUAAAAAUAGGAUCCAUUAUCUACAAAACUGCCAUCGAUUUCUUAAAACAAGCUUAACCCUAAAAUCUCAUUAAAAAAACCCAAAACACUCAAUAGAGCAUCAAAGUAAUUUAAUAAUCAAAAUUAAAUUCAAUAGGGCAAGCUAUCAUUUUUUGGGGUGUUUAUAGAAAUUAAAUGGUAUUGGGUUUAUCUAUAUCAUUAGUGCUAAGAAUUAGUAUAAAAUAUCUUGUUAUUUUAUUCCUAGGGUUAUUGACCAAAAUGGUCUCCCAACUAUUGCUCCAGUAUCAUUUUGUUUCACCAACUAAAAUUUUCAUUUCAGUAGUCCUUCAACUCUUCAUUUGGUAUCAAGAUGGUCAUACCGUCAAAGUCUGUCUAUUUUAUUGUUAAAUUGAGGGGUAAAACCGUCCAUAUACAAUUACCAAACUCAUUCCCCAUCUCACGACUCCAGCCCACAUGCAGCCGUCUUAUGACUCCAACCCACAUAUCAGCCUCCCCAUCUCAACCCAGCCCCCUUGAUCUCUCGCAUAAAGUAGCAAUUCUAGCCCAAAGUAGCCCCGCAAAUCAAGCCAACCCAAUUUAAAUAUAAGCCAUACCCAAUAUAAACAUCCCCAGAUCAGAUCUGAGUUGGUGUACAAAUACAAUAGUAGGGAGGGAGGGAGACAGAGAGAGAGAGAGAGAGAGAGAGAGAGAGAGAGAGAGAGAGAGAGAGAGACCCCCAUUCAUAGGUUUUCAUUUUUGUAGCUUUUGAGUGGUAAUGGAUUUGGGAGAGAGGGAGGGUGCGGGUCACGGUGAGAGCGACUGGGAGUGGUGAAGUAACGGUGGGUGGAGGUUGAUAGGGGGGAGGUUGAGAGGUUGGAGGUGAGGGGAGGUUGCGGAGUUGGAGAGGUGGGGUUGGGUAAUGUUGGGUUUGUUUACUUUUUUUAAUUUUUUGUUAUUUAUUUUUGUAUUUAUCUGAUUUAAAUUUUUUUUAAAAUUAAUUUAAACAAUAGAGAAAAAAAUUAUUACUUUUUAAGUCCAUGUCAGCCAAAAAAAAGCAAUGUUGGUGGUGAGAUUCAAUUUUUUCAAAUUUAAAAUUAGGUACAAGUUCUUAUAAUAGUUUCCUUUAAUUUUUAAUUAUUGUAUUAAUAUGGAUAAUUUUACCUCUAAAUUUAACAGCAAUAUUAACAGACUUUGACGAUGGGACCGUUUUGAUACCAAAUGAAGAAUUAAGGGACCAUUGAAAUACAAAAUUUAGUUGUGGAGCAAAAGUUGAGGGACCAUUUCGGUCAAUAACCCUUAUUCCUAAUUACUGCAAACGAGAUUUUCUUACCAACAAGCGAAAUGGUAAUAAAUUUUGUACUCCUUGUACAUAGCAAUUGUUUUAGAAGUAUUCACAUCACUUGCAUCUGUCCAAGAAAUAUAUAGAUGGUAAAAAUCUAAGGUAUAAAUGCCCAUACAAAUCACAUUUGUCGAACAAAUUUCUAAGGUACACUAUAAAAAAAAAAAGUGAGUGAAUAUAAGUUAAGUCAAUUGGCCAAAACAGAGAUUGCUUUUAUAUAUAUAUAUUUUUUUUAAGAAGAUAAAAAAAUAUUUAAAAAAAACCUACUUCAACAUAUUAUAUGCGACUAUUUAUGUUAUUUAUAAUAGUAAUAAUGUUAUAGAAAAAAUAACUUUGACAUAAAAUAUGGGAAGUGUUCUAUUUUCGAGAGAAAGAUGCCACUUUGUGUGGUAGAAUUUGAACUACCUUCAAAAUAUGCAAUUUCUUUUAAUUAACAAAGAAUGAGAAUUCGAACUUUAAAAGUGCUUCUAAGAUUUGAGAAGAGAGAUUCUAUUAGAUUAAAAGUUAGUUGGUUCAAAAUAUGCAAUUUUAGGAAUGAUAGGGAUUAUGGAAAUGUAUUCAUGUUUAUAUGUGUUGUAAUUGUGCUAAUGAAAAGAGGGUAAGGUAAAAUUAUUUUUACCAAAUUCAUAAUUUGCCACCAUAUAUAGAUUUCAUAAUUCCACAAUUACACUAAUUUUUUUUUCACUUCCAUGGUUUUUAAUGUAGUCUUCAACAUGAGCUUCAAAACAUGAGAGGGGAAUGCAGGAGAGAUGGAGGAAGAGGCGACAUUUUUUGUUCGCACUACAACCUGGAUAACGACUAUCCAUCCCAAUAUGCAUUAAUUAAUAGAAAAGCAAGUAAUUUAUAAAAAUUAUAGUGUCUUUUGAUUAAUCACAAUAGUUUACUGUGCUUAACACUCAUUUCUGGCUUUUAUUUGCAUCUCUCUCUAUUGAUUUUUCAUUUUAAAACUGAAUUUUUGAAUUUAUUGAACAACUUUAGCUUUUUUCUAUUAAUUUUUAAAAAGUUUACAAAUUUUUUUUCAACGGAAAUUAGAUGGAGAUGACUACAUUGAUUAACAAAGUCAAAUAAAUGGAAGAAAUUGCAAACUUACUUAAGAUGUACUCUUUUUUUUUCUUUUUUUUUUUUGAUAAAAAGAUGUACUUUUAUUUUUUUUAGUACAAAUGAUAGUCUAAACUGUAAGGAAAGGGGUAAUUUCUCACAUACACUACUAUGAUGUCAUGGAGGUUCAAACUUAAAACCACUAAUCCGCAAAUUAAGGUCCUUUUUAACUGGGCUAUCCCCGUUGACUAUAAAGACGUACUCUUAUAUGAACUAGUUAUGUUCAUCUUUGCUAAAAGAAUUCCCAUGUUUUCUCAUUUAAUAUACCUUGAGGAAACUAUUAUGUAUGUAUGAAAAACUCAUUUAAGCUAAUAUGGUCUAGCUGAAUGGAAAAAUGGCAUUGAUUUGCAGAUAAGUUGUCUCAGGUUCAAAUCAUCAUGACACCUUAAUAGUGUGUGUAUGAAAAAACCUCCUCCCCUUGUAGUUUAGACUAUCACUUGUGUUUUAUAUUUUUUUAAAAGAACUUAUUGUAUGUAUUGAAAAAUUGUUCAUGAGAGUUUAAAACAACAUCUCUCUCUCUCUCUCUCUUUCAUUUUUGCACGUUAAGAAUCCUAAUACGUCUUGUAGUUUAAUGUACACAUCAGAAGAGUAUGUGCACUUCUAUGCCUAGAGAGAGGACCAACUUUCUAGAGUAAAACCUUAAGGGGUCGUUUGGUACGACGGACUGUUAUGGACUGGACUAAAUCCUGGGACUGUCUUGGAUUAGCUCGGAUUGGCUUAAGUUGGAUUAAGUACUGACCUACGUUUGGUGCUGCAUCAGAUUAAGAAGCUGGAUUGUAAAAAUAGUUAAGACCUAUGUUUAGUGCUGUGUCGAACUAAAAAAUAAUUAUUUUAAUAUUUAAUUUUAAUUAGAAAUUUUAACUUAAAAAUAGAUACAUAUAAAACUAUAUAUAACUUUAAAAUAAAAAAUUGAAAAUUAUAAAUAUAUUAUAGCAUUUUGUGCUUUCUUUUUUUAUUCUUAAUAUUUUUAGGCAUUUAUAGCUUUUUUCACCCCAAACAUAUCAUUACCCAAAGCCCAUUUUAAUACCAUUGCUUAAGACCCAAACCCAUAAACAGAUCUAUGAAAAAAAAAUUAGGAAACGACGUCGUCACCCAAACAUAUCUUCUUCUUCCUCAUGAGCGCCUCUCUCUUUCUCUCUCUCUCUCUCUCUCUCUCUUCUAUCCCUCCCUCUCUCUUUCUCUCUCUCAGCUGGAUAUAUUAGGUUUUAAAUCAAAACAAUCUCAUCAUCAUUGUUUCUUCAUGGAAAGAUAGUUAAGGAUUGGGAGAGACAUUGAUGGGUGCAUAUCCUGGACGUGCCAUGAGCUUUAAUAUCAAAGAUCCAAUCUAGAUGCUCCGACGGUAAGGCCAACUAUUAAUUUUAUGAAAGGACAAUUUUUGCAUCAAGAUUCAGCUAUUUUUACCAGAUCCAUGCUUCUUAGGAGAUGAAUCUGUGGGUGGCUUGGGAUUCUCGGUGCUGGGUUUGUAUGCGUGGCUUGAAGGUGGUGGUUAUGGAAGAAGAAAUUUGGGGGCAACACUAGGCUUUGGGUUCUGCCACAGUCAAUUGCGUCUAUGGUGGUGUGGUUUUGAUUCAAGCUAAGGAAAUCCAUCGGACUCGCGUGUUCAAAAUAACAUGCUAGCUAUUUUGCGAUCCCAAUUUCGGGCUCUCUAUAUUAGACACACGAGUCCCCCUUUUUUUUUUUUUAACUGUUGGACAAUAUAGUCUCAUUUAAGGUAAUCCAUUCCUUUGCCAAACAUGGGUUUCAAGUGCUAUUUAACAUAGUCCAGUCCAAUGAGACACAAUGAGACAUACCAAACACGCCCUAAUAGAUUACCACAUGCCACCACACCAUAACUUAAACAAAUUCUUCAACAACCAAUCUAACCACCUAAUAAUAUUACACCAAUUUUCGAAAGGUGCGUGUACUUAGAUGUUAAAAGUGUAAUAAACUAAAGUUAACCCUUACUAUUAUUAUUAUGGAUUUUUACUAUGAAUGAUCCUUACACUUGUUAAGGAAAAAAACUUUCUUGUAACGGGUAUAACACUAUUUUGUUAUCCUUGACCAAUAACACAUAGAAAAAUUAUCCCACUUGUCAUUUUGUUAUCAGGUGGAGAUUAACACUUUUUACUAUCCCCGUUGCAUGAGAGUUUUUUUAACAAGAGUCCUUAUUUCGGUGCUUAAACUUCCAAAUCAAUCAAUGUAAUCCACAUAUUAAUUUAGUCCAUUUUAUCGUAUACCAUCAAAACUUCAUGUGAAAUUAGUCAUGCGUCAAAUUUUUAAACGGUAACUUUUGUCAAAACAACCUAUUCAAUAAACAAACAAAAUGAAGCUAACAUAUUUUUACCCAAAUUUGAGCUCAUUGCUUUGGUCAACUGCCGAAAUCCACUUAAGCUAGGUUAUAUGAUUUUUGAAUUUUAAUUUAUUGUUUCAUGUCUGCUAGGAUAUAUGGUUUUUAAGUUUUCAACAAAUGCUAGCUGCCGCGCGUGAAAUCCAAAUAUGCAAAACUAGAAGGCAAUACCAACUUCUCUGAUUGCAACUCCGCGACUUGUUGAUCUUGAAAACACAAAACUUCUCUUAUUUCACGUUCUUCGUUUUCAGUCUACAAUUGUUUACAUUGCUCACCGACGAAAUUCACAAACUAUCAGUUGACACCACCAACCAACGGACCAUUGGAAUUGCCUUCGUCUGGCAAUCACCGCCGUCCCUUUUCAAAUCUCGCAGAUCUGACAGCUGACCCAGUCCCGUCACCGUCCCAUUUCAUCAGUUGAUUUGGGUCUUGAUCCACUGGAUCAGAGAUGCCGGUGGCUGCUUCCGCCAUUUACUUCUUGAACCUCCGAGGUGAUGUUCUCAUCAACCGCCUCUAUCGUGACGAUGUUGGGUAAUCUCUCUCUCUCAGCUUUUGGGUACUGUGAAUUGGUCUGUAUAAUAUCGUUAAGAAAUGGGUUGUAUGUAUAUAUCUCUGUAUAAUUGCAUCUGGGUUACAUUUAUAUAUUUGUGGAUUAUUGUAUCUGGGUAUGGCCCGAAAGUUACUUUUAUGUAUUGCGACAAGGUUUUUGGUCAAUGGGUAUUCUGUUUGUGCUUUUAAGGUGUCUGGGUUUGUGUCAAUUGUUGAAAUUUGUAAGGGACAGGUGCUUUUGUCAUUCUGAGAUGUAGAGAAAUGAAAUUUAGAUCGAAAGUGGGAAAUGGUGCAUAGUUCUAUUUUGUUAUUCUUCAUACAAAUGUUGGCCUAGCUGCUGCUGUUCUCAAUACUUUUGCAGUUAACUGGUGGUUCUGUGAGUUUUGCUAUUUAUUUAGGUGUUGUAAGACUUAGAUGAAACUACUUAAAGCUUAAGCUUGUCUAUUGCUUUUGGUGUAAAAUGUUCCUUAUGGACGGGGCUGAGGCUUGUUAGGUACUCAUUAAAUAAUUGAUUGUGUUAUGGAUUUAGGUAAAUAUGACGCUCACUUCUUGUGUAUUUAUGAAAAUUGAAUCACAGGCAUUCGGGAAGGGAUUUUUCUUUCUUUUAAUUCUUUUUUGCAGGUUUUUGUUAACAAGUUAUCUAGUUAUUUGUUCAUGUAUAUGUAGUAGGCAACAGUGUAAGAGUGAGGCCUUCUGAGUCAGCUUGUACAAUUUCUUUGAGAUCCAAUGAUUUUCCAUAGGAUCAGUUCUGUGUGUCUUAUGAAAUGAUCCUAAGAGCUACUUUCAACCACAGCACACUCAUUACCUUAUGGACUAAGGCCCGGGCAGGCAGGCACUACCAUGUUUUUUCUGUUAAUGUUUAAUCUUUCUGGAUUAGUAUUUACUGCUGUUGUGGGGUAUUUUUAUUUGACCAUAUGUAGAAAGGUACUGUUCUGAAUUACUUGGCCUUCGAGAAGGCAACAUGGAGGGUUUGGGGUAGGUUCUAAGCUCACAUAAAAUGGUAUAGGGUGGUGCAAGAAAUACUAUUGUCAGGUCUGAACUUCUGUUUGCAUGUGUUUAGACCAUACAUGCUGGUGCUCGUUGUUCUGUUGUCGGCUGCAUUUUUCGUAAGUAAAAGUUCAUUAAAGUUUUAGUGUGUAAUAACAAUUCAUUUCUCUCAGGGGAAAUAUGGUGGAUGCUUUCCGAAUGCACAUAAUGCAAACAAAAGAACUUGGAACAUGUCCUGUUCGGCAGAUUGGUGGAUGCUCUUUCUUUUACAUGAGAAUCAGCAAUGUUUAUAUUGUUAUUGUAGUCAGCAGCAAUGCAAAUGUAGCCUGUGCAUUCAAGUUCGUUGUUGAGGUAAUGACGAUGUUAUCAUCUAAAGUCUAUGUAGAUUUCCUUUUCCUGUUUGGAUUUCAAGACUUUCUAUAUUGAUGAUCUGAUGCAAGGAUCUUCUCUACCCUUGGUUACGUGGUAGCUGAACAAGUUCAAGUUAUCUGUUAGCUAAACAUGUUCAAGAAGCUUGCAUCGUAUUCUGAAUUCUAAGUUUUUAUUCAGAAAAAUUUGACAGGACCAAAGCUGUUAAAGGGUUCUCUUACAGCUUUAUUGUUUUAAUGUUUUUAUGGAACGGGUCCGUGAAAUCUUUAUUGGUUAUCUUUCACCAGUCAGUAGAGAAAUAUCUUGUGUUGUUUAUCAAUCCAAAGGGGGGUUGGACCAAGUAAAUUAAUUUCAUUUUCAUUGCACAGUAAUGCUAAAAAGAUUUCCAUAUUAUGUAACAAGUAUACAGGUCUGCCCAUAAAGGUUUUUAACUUACCUUAGACAAGUUUAUAAUAGUAAGACCCACCUUGUGAGCUGAGGUUGGAGAACUUGGAUCUGUAAUGUGUUUUUACAGUUUGUUAUGUGAACCUGUGAAAAGUAGUCUUAACUGUGGUAGAUGAUUAUGGUACUCUAUUCUGCUUGCAGGCUGUUGCACUGUUCAAAUCUUAUUUUGGUGGGGCUUUUGAUGAAGAUGCAAUUCGUAAUAAUUUUGUUCUGAUUUAUGAGCUGUUGGACGGUAUGUCAUUGAACAAAAUUUUAACUAUACUGUGUCCAUGCAUGUACAGAAGCUAUUGUGUGGUAGACAAAACUGUAUCCUACACAUGCUUUGCACUUUAAAAAAGGAAAAAAGUUGAAAAAUAGAAGAGAAAUUGGGUUUGCUACACAUAGUUCAACCAUACACAACAUCCUCUUACAAUAUGACAGGGUUUGCUAGUCAUAAUAUUUGUUGUGCACAAGAAUAUGCGACUGUUGUUAGUUUUGUUCUCAACACAUCCAACGCAGUAUGGUGUGGCUUUGUAAAAUGGCGUAACAUAACAAUUGUUGUGCAAUUUGAACACAUGGCUCGGUGCAAUGAGUUUUUUUUAGUAGAUGAUGUAUAUUUCACUUGAUGCCCUCCAUUCUGGACCCGUUAUCUUUAUCUGAGAAUAUCAUGAAUUUCAAACUUAAAGAAGUUUAAGAGAAAUGGUCCACAAUAAUGAUUCACUUGGUUCUCUGUUUGCCUUUUCCCCGCACGGAAACUACUACACCAACAAUCCUGGAUAAGAACUCUAAUUAUUUGUGAUCUUGGUUAUUAUAUUCAGCUGUAUGGAAUACGAUGAUGUUGAAAUGAGUAACAUUAAGUUAAAUUUGCAUUAUUUUGUCUCUGGUCUAUAAAUUCAUGUGCUGCAGCAUGCACUGACCAUGCCUGAAUUCAUGUAAGCAUCCAUUAUGUUAUUUGUUGAUAUGAAAAUGCAUGCAUGUUUUUUUUAUAUCUUUUUCAGCUAUUUUUGUUGUUUCUAAUUACACUUAUCUUUAGUCAACCAAUGUUCUACAAUAGAAGGUCAAAUAUAUCAUUUAUAUUGAGAGUUCAUCAUAUAAAUGUCUGAAUAGUAUGUACCCUUAAAUUGCAGAAAUUAUGGAUUUUGGUUAUCCACAGAAUCUUUCUCCAGAAAUUUUAAAGCUUUACAUCACUCAAGAAGGAGUGCGCUCGCCAUUCUCUUCUAAGGUAAGAUGAUUCUAAUGGUUCAGGUUCAGGAUAUGGUAGGGCUAAUGUGUAUGAAGUCUCAUAGGACUUUUUUUUUCUGAUAAUAUACAGAAGUUUGUAGCUGUUUCAUGUGUAUAUCAUGAUAUUAGUUUCUGAUCAAUUUUUUCUUUUCAACUGUGUUCCAAAAAACAAAAGCCUACAGAUAAACCAGUCCCAAAUGCAACUCUACAAGUUACAGGUGCUGUUGGUUGGCGCAGAGAGGGCCUUGUUUAUAAAAAGAAUGAGGUGAUUUAAAUUUUUGUACUUCUUUUUUACAUUCAUUAUUGUAUGUUCUAUUAGAUUGUUAACAUUUUUUCAAUGCAGGUCUUCUUGGAUAUUGUGGAAAGUGUAAAUCUUCUUAUGUCUUCCAAAGGUGGGGAAGGUGUUUUUGAAUGAGUUGCAUGAACAAUGUCUAUUUGGUUACUCAUAGGCGAUUUUGGUGACUAUAGGUAGUGUGCUGCGUUGUGAUGUAACCGGGAAAAUUCUUAUGAAAUGCUUCCUCUCUGGAAUGCCAGACUUGAAGUUGGGCUUGAAUGAUAAAAUUGGCCUUGAGAAAGAGUCACAACUCAAAUCCCGUCCGACUAAAAGGUAUUCAAUGGCUGACAGUUCUGUUCUGUUAUUUUGAUUCUAUCUUAUCUUUUUAAUCAUCAACUUUCUUAGCUUAGUAUCUCGUUUCCAAAUUACUGUUCCCUUUGACAUUGUUUAUAGUCACUUUUCCUUUGAAAACAAAUGUUGCUCGUUUUAUUAGAGUAGCACAAGGGAAUACGUCCUUACCAGCUUUUGGCAUUCGGGUAAUUUCUAUACUCAACUACCCAGCCAAACAUUGCAAACCUAGCACAGGAAGGAGAAUCAUGGAAGAGGAAAAGUAAAGUACAUAAGCACAGGAUCACAAAAUUUAGGAUGGUUCACUCUAAACUUGACAAUGCACAUGUGGGUGAAGACUACGAUAAUCCAGUAGACCAAAAGAGUAAAUAUAAUUACAAUGAGAAACUGAUAGGUCCGUCCAAUCAACUAAAGUAAGCUCUCUUAUGCUGUCUCAGUUCUCAAUGGAGAAUACCAAUUGCACCUGAAGCUCAUAGGUUCUCUCUUAAUUGUGGCGAUCAUUCACUCUUAGAAAACCUCAACAAUCCUAUUUGUAGGAAGCGUUGCGAGGGAAGGUGCUGUCCAAGUAAAUUGCUUUCCUCAUAUUGAGUCGCACUACAUCAAUCUCCACCUCGUUGAAAAUUAAGUCUCUAGCCUUCCCCACAAAUCAAGCUCCUGGGAUCAAACUCACUUACCAAAACAUGCUCUAUGUAGCCACAACAAGUAUGUAAUCUAAGGUCUUAAAGAACUUGACAAAACCAAUUGAUGCCUUUGAACAGUUUGCCCAAUUUCCUCAUAAAUACCUCAGAACUAACCAAUUUCCAUAUAAACUCUUAUUUUUACCGGUCAGUGAUUUUUGUUCUCUUUUUGUUUUGUUAAAUUUUAAAUCUGUCUUUGCAGUGUCCUUUUUUUUUUUUUUUGCCUUUAUAGUUGAUCUGUUCUGUAUUUCGAGCAUUGCAUCUUGCCUUCAUCAAGAUAUUGCAAAUCACUCUCAAUGAGUGAUGUCAGUUUUUGACAGUACAUGAUUUUAUUUCUUUUUAUUUUCUAUUUUAAACUUGGUUAUUAUGCAGUGGUAAAACCAUUGAGCUCGACGAUGUUACUUUCCAUCAAUGUGUAAACUUGACAAGGUUCAACUCAGAGAAGACAGUUAGUUUUGUGCCACCUGAUGGUGAAUUUGAAUUAAUGAAGUAAGCCCCUACUUCCUUUAAUGUUGUCCUUUAUGGUGUGAAUUUAACUGUUUUCUUAGGGUGCUCGGACCAGCUCACUUCACGAUAAUGUUGUUUUUACAUUGUGCAUUAUGACAAAUUAAAUGGUCCCUUAAAUGGAUGUCACAACUCGAGGGAACUUGAUUUUAAUAUGAGCUUGCCAUAUAACCUUGUCUGUGAUUGCGAGGAGUUUCAAUUGUGCCGCUACUUUGUAUCAUCUGAUGUUCUGGUUUAUAUCUUGUAUGCUUUCAUAUCAAGGGGAGGUGGUUUGUGACUCAUGCUUCCUAACUUCACUCAUUCAUCUUUCGUUCUUUUGACAGAAGAAUUUUAUUGGGUGUUAAAGUUAUAAUCCAACAAAAGUCCUAGAUAGCUUUUAUAGGGUUGUACUCAAUUUUUGGUACUCUUUACUAGUACCUUCUCUGCAGUUAGCAAUCUUAUACAUGCGGAAUGCAUGUGAAACUACUAGUAUUAUUUACAGCCUGAUAUCACUGUUAUAAAUCUUAAUGAUAGGUAGAGUUUCUUUUAAUACCAGAUAAAUUGUUGUAGUGCGUAGCAGAGUUGUAUACAUUUAAUUGUAUUCAUAAGGCCUACUUCUGUGAUUGGUUAUAUGUGCAAUAGGUACCGUAUUACUGAGGGCGUGAACCUUCCCUUCCGAGUAUUGCCUACAAUUAAGGAACUUGGUAGAACUCGCAUUGAAGUAAAUGUUAAGGUUUGCUACUUUUCAUGUUAAAGGUUGCUAUUUUUGGAUGUUUGUUGCUUGGAAAAUAACUUAUAUGCGCUACUUCUCUUCAGGUAAAGAGUGUAUUUGGUGCAAAAAUGUUUGCUCUUGGGGUUGUCAUCAAAAUUCCUGUGCCAAAACAAACAGCGAAGACAAAUUUUCAAGUGACUUCGGGUCGAGCAAAAUACAAUGCUGCUAUUGAUUGUUUGGUUUGGAAGUGAGUGUUUGUAGUAUGUUUAUUCAUUGAGUUCUAAUUCUAUGGACUAUUUAAUUUGUUAAGAUUUGCAAUAUUAAUUUUCUGUUGAAAAAACUGCAAUAUUGUUUUAAUUCAGUAGCUCCUGAACGCUGGCUUAGGUGGUAAAAAAGGUGGGAUUAGAUAUGGGGUUGGGGUAGGUACCAUUCUAGGUUCAAAGUAUGCAAAUCUGCCUGGCAUAUAUGAAACUUAUAGGAGCCUUUUUGACUGCCUGAAAUGCGUGCAUUAUUUUCACUGUAUUCAACUUUCUUGUGACUUUGUAGGAUAAGAAAAUUUCCGGGACAAACUGAGCCAACCUUGAGUGCAGAAGUUGAGCUGAUUUCGACGAUGACAGAAAAGAAAUCUUGGACAAGACCACCAAUUCAGAUGGAGUUCCAGGUGCCUAACUAAUCAUUGCUGCUAACUCCAGUAUUCUUAUGACAAUUGUUUCAUCUAUUUGUUAAUCCCAGCAGCUCAUCUCCACUUUAGUAGGUAGUGCAUCAUUAGAGAAAAAAUUAAAAAUUAAAAAAUGUGACCAAAACCCAAACAAUCAGCAGCUAGGUUUAUGCAUUUCAAAACUAAUACUUUUUAGUUUUUAGGUUUUAAUUUUUGCUCUAUCUUCUGAAGUUUUCUUUACCGUCUAAAAUUUUGAUCCCUAUGUUACUUGGAUGCUGUUCAUGUGUGAAAACGAAAUAUUGCUUGCGUGUUCAUGUUUUUUGCACAGUAAGUCUCUAGUAUAUUGCCUAUUAUCAGUGGUGGACCUAGGAUUUCCUGAUAGAUGAACAGUUUCCCAACCUAUCGUUUAAAAUUUCUGUUUUCAUGUAUGUCUUUAUGGCAUUUGAUCUUGUUUCUUCUCCCCGUCCACCUCUUUAAAGAAGGUGAUUCAUUGAGUUAUUGUGUACACAGGUUCCAAUGUUCACAGCAUCUGGUUUACGUGUCCGUUUUCUCAAGGUACUGGCUUUGCCCUGUCAACACUAGUAUGCAUUCUGUAAAAAAUGAUGUAUUUAUUCAUCGAUUUUCUGCAGGUAUGGGAAAAGAGUGGGUACAACACUGUUGAGUGGGUCCGCUAUAUCACCAAAGCCGGUUCAUACGAGAUUAGGUGCUAGAGACAUGGGAUUGCUGUUGUGAAGACUUGAGAGGAUUUUAGGGUGGAUGCUGGAAUUUUAUACAAUUGAUUUGAGUGGGAAUUAUUCAGGAGUUAUGUUUUGACAAGCAUAAAUCAUAGGGAUUUUAAUUGCUCAUGUUAUAAUUUGUGUCAAUAUGAUUGUUUGUGGUCUUGUAUCCUGUUGUAAAUGCUAGCUUACUCUAGAACUGGUAAAUUGAGCCUUCAACUUUUUAUUUUAUUUUUCUACUUUCCUUUUUAUGAUCAAUCAUUUGUUGCGGUUUGGCACCACUUUUAUUUGUUGAGAUGAAGAGAUUGUAAGUGGGAUUUGUGAUGGUUUGGAUGAGUUAGUUAUAUUUGACAUCAGACUACAAAUAAAUUAUACUUGUACCCUGAUAAUAAAUUAUAAUUGUAAAAAUGACACGAUGUGCAACACAAAUUGAGCCCAAGGAGGGGUGUAUUCAAUCGGGGUGUAUUCAAUCAAUACUUACAAACUUCCAACGAACAAUAGAAUGAGAUAGAAAUGUUGACCAUUUAACCCCUUAUCCCCUUAAUAAUCUAAUUUUUCGAAAACCCAGUAAACAAAGUCAGCAUCUAAUGCAUUCACGUGUUAUAAUAUAAGUCACGUGUUAUAAUAUAAGUCGAAGUUGAUGGGUUGAUGGCAUGGUUAAAAUUUCUGACCUUUAUAAUCUGUCCAAGUUGGCGUCUCAUUUGAUUAGCUCAUGUUAUGCUUAUUGUUUGGUUUCUAAUUUCCGAAGUUGGAUACUCUUUUACAUGUUCUCUGCAUUUGAUUGUACACGAGAGGCCAAGUUAGCAUCUCAUUUAAUUAGCACACAAAACCAAUUCCAAUCCAAAAUUUUAAUUGCACGUCCUAAGUACGGGCAAAAUUGUACAUCCAUAAUUUAAACCAUUAAUAAAUAAAAUGAAAACUAAAAAAACUAAAAAGUUCCAAAAAAAAACCCAGCCACCAUCCCCGUUUCUGCCACCCCCAUCCACCAUCUCUAUCCCCAAAGAAUGCCCUCAUCCUUCCUCCUUUCUUUCUCUUCUCUCAGCAACCGACCACCGCACCAUCAUCCAUAACCACCCAAACCCACCCACACCCCCAACUAGCCAAAAGGCCUCCAAGUCUGGUGGUUGCUUCAGGGUCUAGCUUGCUUGCAGCAUUUGCAGCAAACAACAAUACCUAAAAACACAAUUUCACGCCAAAAAGAUCAAAACCCAUAGAAAUAAGAAAUUUCAAUAAAAUUCAAUUCAAUCAAAACCUCCAAUACCAAUAAGAUAUAAAACUUCAAUUCAUUUCUCCAAAAGAGCCGAACCCAAAUACCAAAAUCAAUUUCAAAUCCAAAUAACACACCAACCAAAAAUUCGAUUUAAAUGUUCAUCAAUCCUAUUAAACCCAAAAAAAUAAAACCCUAACCAAAUCCAACCAAGGCCUUGAACACGAAAUCCCAUUACACAAACAAAAUCAAAACCAAAAUCCCAAUUAAUCACUAGCAACCCAUAACAGCAUAAACACAAAAACCCAUAUCGCCAAUGUUCAACUUGAAAUUAGAAUGGGAAUUCUAGCUGACAGUGCAAGACCCAAGUGGUUUAAUUUGAUUUCUGAACUUGCAUGUCAAUUUUCGAGCAAAUAAACUCAGGAUUUAUUCCGGUAAUUCUACUCUCUUUCAACCUCUCGGCAGCAAGUUGAUAAGAAUGGUGGCUUGAGUUCGUCGGAAUUCAAAUCGAAGAGAGAGAGGGGGGAAGAGACAGAGAGGGAAUAGUGAGGGGGAAGAGACAAAAAGGGCAGAUGCAGAAAGAGUGAGAGAGAGAGGAGAGAGAAAGGUAAGAUGCAUGGAAGGGCGAAAUGGCAAAAGGGUUUUUGGGGUUUGGAUGGGAGGAGAAGUUCGGGAGAGAACUCGUAUGUUUGGAAGAAAUGGCAAUAUUGCCCAUGCACUUAUACACAUCACGUUGUUAUUAAUUGAUGGAAUUGACCAAUUGGAUUUAAUUUGCUGACAAUUUAAAGUCUGAUGAUUAAAAUUAAAAAAAUUAAAAGUUCAAAGACCAAAAUUAAAUUCAACCUAACUUCUAAUUAGACUUAAUUUGCUGACGACUUAAAAUUUGAUGAUCAAAAUUAAAAAAUUAAAACUUCAAUGACCAAAAUGAAAUUCAACCUUAACUCCUAAUGACCAAAAAUGUAAUUACUCUCCAAUUGAACAAGAAUUCUGAAAGGCGAUUUCGAGUUUCAAUUUUCUUCUUUAAUCACAUUUUGAAUUUUAAAUUGAUAUCGAGAGUCGUGUGUACUGAUGCACAUGCAAAAAAUAAAUUUAAAAAAAAAAAAGAAAAAGAAAAAAUUUAUAAUAACAGCGCACACACAACAAAUUAGAGCAUCAGCAAACCAUCGACCGGCACUCAACUGUACGGGAUCUUCUCUCUCAGGGUUUCACAUUUGUAGAAUUUUCAAUACCUGCUAACCCCAUUUUGCAACCGUUGCCGGCUCCAAUACGCCGUCGUUUGGAGUUGCGAUUGUUCAGCAGAUGGGGUUUCUUAGGAAGAUGGCGGGGAUGCUAGGGUUUACGAAGGACGACGGCCACGAAGUCAAAGACAACGGGGAAGAGGACGAAGACGAUAACCAGGCCCAGAACCGAGCCAAUUUCCAAGAAACUGGGCUUCCCCGUAAAGGCUUCAGCGUUCCGGUUCAAGUCGCCGUUGACCGGAAUCUUCCCGGCCCCGUUCUCGUUCCUUGUCGUUCCGGCGACGGUGGUGUCCAGGUAAAUCAUCUCUCUCUCUAUCUCUCAAAACCUUCAUUUCCAUUGAUGAAUUGAAUUGUUGGAUCAGCAUUAGAUUAAUCUACAACGUUUGCCCAAAAGUUGAAGUAUGCGUUAGUAGGGUUUUGUUUAUGAAUAAUUGGUAGAGUUCGAUUGCUUGGCAUCUAUGAAUUUAGCCUUAACUGUCAUCCACUAUGAUUGCUUAGUAAAAUGUGAGAAAUAUUGUAAUGGGAUGGGCACAUGACUUGUAGGUGAGCUGAAUUUAGAAUAUCAGUUAUUGGAUAGCAAUUGAGGGACUUGAGUGUAGUGGGUGGUAUUUCAAAUUUGGGAACAAAAGUUUGGAGCUUGAAGAUUCGAUCAUAGGAUGAGUGAGUGGGCAUCUAAUCUUCAUUUCCAGUUUGUUCAUUGUAGGACUCAAUUGAACCCAUUUGGAAUUAUUUUCCGUAUAAUGUUAAGAGGUCAUGCAACAUGAAGACAUUGAAAGUGAAUAGCACGAUAUGGGGGAAGUUCCCAUCAGGCAGCAAUGGCUGCCUGACCCUACUUAAGCAAACCCUACUUAAGCAUGCAUAUUCCGUCAGUGAGGACUUGGUGCUUGGAGCUUACAUUAGAAGAAGUCAGCUGAAGGGGACUGCAUAAGUGUCUAAAUGUGCGUAAGCCCAGUCGAACUUGACUAUUCUAAGCAGGGCUGGCCACCCUUUCCGAAUGGCAUUGGUCCCUAGAACUGUUUCUAUUGUUUCCCCUUCUUUUGCCUUUGGAAUGGUCAAGUGUUAUGCCACCAGAGUUCUAUUCUUCUUUCGGAAGCAGUCUGUGUUUGAUAGAGGCAUACAGGUGAUGAUUCUUGGAAUGUGCAACCUCUCUCUAGACGGUCUUUUAUCUUUCUUUUCUUUUUUUAAGUCUAGAAAUGUCCUUUACCUAUUGGGUUGUUUGUACUUGGGACAAUUUGUUUCUGCCUAUAGCUUUCCUUUGAGGAUCACAGUAUCCCUUAGGCCUUCUCCAACCAUGGUUGACUGAAAAAUGGGGCGGUAUUUGGCCCCAGAUUCCACUCCAGUUGGAAUUUUUGUGAUGCCCAAUUCGCAGCAAACAAGAGCCACGCGGGGCCUCAUUCGAAGCAAAUGAUGGGCUGUUGCCCACUACCCCAAGUUGCUGGCCGCGUGUCAAAGCCUAGGCAACUUAAAAAUUGCACUUUAAUGGCUGCAUUUCAAAUGGGCUGCUUUCAAAUUAUUUUUUUCAAACCUAAAGGCUUGAAAUCAGCGGCUGAUAUUAAAAUUUGUCUCGAUCAAUGGGAAAAAUAAAAAUAAAAAUCCAACAUCUGAAAUUUAAAUCCAAAGGUAGAAAUAAGUAAAUAUAUUAUUCUAAGUUGGAUGUAACCUCAAAACAUAUGGGUUUGAGUCCUCUAGGGUUGGAGAUGGCCUUGGUAGAAAGUGCAUAUUUAGCUGUCUAGUCAGCUUUCCUUUUCUCUUUGCAGAAUUGCUUGUUUCUCAUUAGGGUGGGAGAUCUGAAGUCAGGGAUCCAUUUUGAAGUUGACUAUCAUAGACCAGCGACAUAACCUUUAAAAUUGUUGUAUGAGGCAUCAGUCUUCCCUGAUUUGCUGAUUUGUAUAUUGAAAUGUAGGGAUUAGAAUUUCUUCCCCUAGCCCGCUGUCCUUGGUUCUGUCAUGAGCAUGGUUUCCUCAGCUUUUUGUAAUGAAUUCUCUUAUCAAACAAACCGAUGUUUUUUUAUUGGUUAAAUUUUAUUGUUUUCUUAUGCUUUAGACUUACUAUGUUGAAUGAGAUGCCUAAUGCUCAAAUAGUCCUUCAGUCUUUAUGUAUAAUCCCAGAUUCACGGAGAUCGUAUACUGUUUUUUAUUCAAGGAAAUGUAUUUUGCAGGUGUUAGUGCCUUUUGGGAAUCGUUUUAUGUGGGUGGUUGUUUGCUUCAUAAGUUUGUAGUUUGUUGGUUGCACGUUGUGUAGUUUAUCCUGUGGUAAUUUGAAUCUUUAGUAUUCCUUAUGUUAUUGAUCUGGAUGGGUCUGUUAUGCUGUAGAGCAGGGAGAUGAAAAGGUAAUACAGAACCAGAAGUUAGGAGAUAAUCCAGUUGCCAAGUUGCUUUUGAAAUGAAGUGUCGUCUAACGACUGGUUGAGUGUUAUGCCUUCCUGCCUUGUCCUGUUAAUAGUAUGUUGCUGGUUGGGUUUUUGGUUUUCCAUCUAUUAAAGAAUUAAAGAGAAGAUAAUGGUUUGCUGUUUUCCAAGUUUGAAAAUGUUCUCCCUUAUUGUAACAAUAACACUUUAGCGUUUUGUUGUUGUUGUUUUUGGUACGAGCACUUACUUUGGAUCAUAUUUAUCUCCAUCGCUAGAGCAAAGCAGGUAAAAUUUUUUGAUCUCCUAUUUGUUCUGCAACCAGGGUCUAAGAUGGCAUGCAAAGCGACUCAGGAUAGAUGAGGAUGGAGAUGUAGCAGAUGAGUUUCUUGAUGAGGUUUUUCCACAGAUGUCAGUUAGUACAGAAAAUAGUAGGGCAUUGGCAAGGUUUGAAGUGAAAUACAGUACCAAGCCAGCUAAAGUGAGGACUCAGGUCUUAUCGCCUGACGGGAAAAUCCAACAGCGUGUGGAAUACCGGGGCAGAUCACAGUGGAUAUGAAUACACCUAGAAGAAUUUAGGUUUACGUCUUUGGGUUUUUGAUUUCCUUUUUGUGGUCAGUUUAAAUUUUUGAGUGUCAUCCGAUUUCUGUUCUGCGAAUCAGAACUGUGGAACACUAGAUCCCAUUGUAUUAGUACUUAAGGUCUAGGGGUUGUCUAAAUAUAUCUGUUCCUUCAAGGAUUUGAACUGCGUUUGUGGAUUUACAACUAGGAGUCGAAUUUAAAUAGUUUCAUAUAAUUCAGUAAUAUACACAGGUAGUGGAAACACUAAUUCUAUGUUUUCCUGCGUUUUCUGUGAUCAGAUUCAAUAUCUUGUUUGAUUUCCACCAUUAUGUGCGAAUGUGCGCAUUACCGGUGGUGGGUGCAUUUUACCGGUUGAGUGGGUGCAUUUUACCGGUGAGAUCAACCGGUAACAGCACCGCACUGGUAAUGACACUUUCUGUGCUGGAAGAUUUCAGCUAGUGGGUAGUGAAUAUUCAGACAUAAACCGAAGUGAUUUUGUAUUGUACGAGGGAGUAUUAUUCAACAAAAUCAGUAGGGAUGCAUAAAACUACAGAAAGAAACGCUACCACUUUGUUAUAUAACAGCACCUUUUAUUUCAAUAUACACGUGCAUUUGUAGAUGGAAAUUAGUGCGUCCCAGCCAUGGGAUACCCAGCAGUUCCCAGAUGCUGGUGGCCAUGCAUAUGGCGAGUGCCGGCAGAAAGCAGUUGGUGGUGGUGGCGGCCGCCGCCGACGCCAUGAACAUGGGGUUGCCUGGAGCUCAAUUUCUUCUCCGCAUGCCUAGCUUUGGCUUUAUGCAGCUCCAUCUUUGCCCUAGCUUCCUUCUCCGCACUUUGGCCAUCUUUUUCUCCUCCUUCGUCCUUGCCGCUACUGCCUCUAACUCAAACAAAUAUAACCUCAUCACUCUUUGAUCUCAUCCUGCAAACAAAAACACAGUGUUUUUUAAGUAAACAUGCAUGCAAAAUGUACCUUUUCUUCUACUUCGGCUUUGUAAAUAUUUACGUGCUCCUUGGCUGAACUGGCCAUGUUGCUCAACUUCUCCUUUGCUUACUGCAUUUCUCUCUUGAUUUGUCCUGCACAAAGAAACCACAAAAGCAAUUUCCGUUGUUUGUUAUGAAACUUAAAACUUUAACAAGCCAGCCAAUUGAAUCUUGAUUUCCAAGAAGACAAGGACGUGUACGUAGGGAGUGAAAAGCUGAAGAAGAAUAAAAAAACCAAGGAUUUUAGUUGGACGUGGGUAAGAAGCUCAGAACUCUCCAACAAGGCAAAUGAAUUUUAUGUAUCGGAAAAACAAAAGGAAAGGACUGUCAAAGAUCCUGGGAUACGCCCAGAUGACCGACACGUGGCGAGCAUGCAGGUACUUCCUUUCAUAUGCUGCCACGUUGGAAACAAAAGGUCUGGAGCUUGCACAUAGAUCCUUAAUAAUUUUUUAAAGUACAUAUGGGCAUCUUCAAAUGGGCAACCUUUUUUUUCAGUAUUUUUAUUUGGUUGAGAAAGGAGGAUAUAUCAUUAGAUAAUCAAAUCAGUACAAUUGGGACAACAUGUAUUUGGCGGCCUCGUUGAAACCUCUCUAGAGAAAGCUCUGUGGGACAAAAUUUUGUAAGAGAAAAGAGUAUCACACAUGCCAGACACUACAAAAGAGUCAAACAUCAUGACUAACAGAAGAGUCCUCAUAUAGACAAUCUUGUAACCAAAGUGGUGGAUCAGUAAACCAAAAGGAUAAAAUCCUCUUGGCAAAGACUGAAACGAGCGAGACGAUUUGCAACUCCAUUGGGAACAAAAUGAACAGAGAGGGACGACGAUGAAACAAGGAGCUGUCAGACGUCAUCAACAAGAAGCAAUUGGAUAACACUAAGGAAUCAGACUCAACUAGGAGUGGAGAAAAGGAAGCAUCCACCGCAAAAGAUAUUCCAAUUUUUAGAGCAUAAAAUUCAGUAGCCAGUACCGAUAUCAGACUAGGAGCACGCAUUGCCACCACGCCGCAGAGACGACCAUAGGAGUCCCUUAUCACUGCUCUAACGCCAUGCAAGCCAUAAUUCAAACUAAGUGCACCGUCAACAUUGAGUUUAAAAGAAUCUGAAGGAGGAGGUUGCCACCGUUUCCAGGAAACUGGCAAAGAAGACCUUCAACGAUGAAGAAAGAAGUAGAAUCUUUUGAAACUUGGCAUCAUAGUUCUUUGCACAAAAAAACAAUUUGUUCAAGGGCAAAACAAUAGAAUCAAAUAAGACAGCAUUACGAGCAUUCCAGAGAGACCAAAGAACCAACGUAAACAGAUAGUGUUGGGUACUAGAGAGAACAUCCCAGGCCACCAAUAGCCAGCUUAAGGCAUCAUGACCAGGUAAUGUAGCAAGAGAGGAGGACCAACCCAAAUUUUCCCAUACCAAAGAACUAGCCGUGCAGUCAUGGAGGGCGUGGAGAGCUGUUUCAACCGACCUAUGGCAGCGGAAACAAAGGCAUCUUGAGUAAUUUUGUGUCGAUAAAGUACAUCUGGGGUAGGAAGAAUAUUCUGGGCCAAACGCCAUAAGAAAUGCUGAACUUUUAGAGGCACUUUUAAUUUCCAAAGGUGCUUCCACAGUUUCUAAAAGGGAGAAGAUAAAGACCUAGAGAUAGCCAAAGAAGCUUCCUGUUUUUGGAAUUCCAAAGCAGUCUAAUAACCCCUCUUUACCGUAUAGAGAUCGUUGCGAGUAAAAUGCCAAAUACGGCAAUCGCCAUUGUCGCACAUCAAUGGGAUAGAGAGAAUGAGCUCCACUUAGGAAAAAGUAAAGAGACGAUAAAUUUCAGAAACAUUCUAGCGUCUGCUGGUAGUAAUAAGAUCACUAACUCUAGAAUCUAUAGAGAGGUGGGGGACAGAUUGAACCGUGAAAUUAAGAUGGCGAGGGAUCCAGAGAUCUCCAUAAAUUUUAACUAAUUGUCCAUCCCCAAUGCACCAGCGGAGUCCACGAGAGAGUAGUUCCCGACCCCAUAAAAUAGAUUGCCAGGUGAAGGAUGGUGCGGCACCGGCCUGAGCAUGUAGAAAAUUAGUUUAAGAGAAAUAACGGGCCUUAAAUCACAUUGUCAGACAAAAUUCAGAGAGGAAUUAAACAAAUAUAACUCCAAUCAUACUCCCUAUCCACCUCUUAAAAUAAGGAGACAUUUAGGAGCUUUUAAAUCUGAAGAGAGAGAAAAGACUCGUAGUGACUCCCUAUAAUUAAAUGAUGCUUUACUUUAAUAAAUAUUUUUAACAUUUGUUUAAUGAGCAAGGGGCUUGUAGCUCAAGUAGUUAAGAGCAUUUACCACUGUACUUCUGAUUCCCCGCUCCUCCAAUAUUUAUAAUUCCUAAACUAGGAGUUUUUUAGUGUUCUUAGCUAAAUUCUAACUAAAAAAUAAGGAGUAUGAUUGUAGUGCAAAGUGUAGACACACGCCCUUCGCUGGCCAAACACAUAUAUGUCUGCAGUCAGUUUUACCAGCUUCUUGAACGGAGUCGGCGAUCAAGUCGAAUAUGCACAAACUAAGCUGCAAUUGAUGCAGUGCUACUUAGAAAGAUGCAGAUGAAAGACAAGGAGACAACGAAGUCAUACGUUUUUGUAUCGCAAAUAUUAGAGACGCUGCCUAUGAUUUGGAGGAUGUCGUUUGAAACUUUUGCCUUGAAGGUGGCUUCCCAGAGGAGAGGAAGCAUGAAGAUUGUUCGAAAGCGGUUCCCUGGACACAUCAUGAGAGAACUUUACAAGAUCGGUUCGGAAAUUGAUAAGAUUACCGGACGAAUUUCUGAAUUGAGGGACACUUUGCAUAAUUAUAAUAUUCAGCCAAUAACUUGGAAUGGAGGUGCCACUUCUUCUUCUUCUUUUGAAAGGCAACAAGAUCAGAGGCUAACUUAUCCUCAUGUUAUAAUCACAAGCUGACAAUAUUCCCCCUUGUUCUUCACGUUGCAUCACUUUGAAAUUACAACCAAAAUGCAUAGCAAUUGUGUUGUCAACGCCUUAUUUUAUUUUUAUUGCAUUGUCAACCCUUGCAACUGGUUUGAGUAAGUUACGCAUACAACCACUGGUUUUAGAUCUUUUUUCAAUUGUAUUUUACUUUUUUUUUCUUCUUCUCAAAAUAAGCAUUUCUUUUCAAAAGUUACAACACAUGUCUACCAUAUUAUUAUUAGAAUAGUUUCAUUCAUCGUCUGUGUCCUUUGUACUCUUUACUAUUGAUCUAAUAAAUUUUUAUCGUCUUUUUAUAUUAACAAAAUUGAACUAAGGUUUAAAUGGGUUUGUUGGUGCUGCUACUCCAGUUCCUAUAGUGGUGAUAACCUAUAAUAAUUCCUGAUUAUUACAUUAAUUAUUAAUAGAGAUCCUGAAUUUGAUUUUUAACUACCGGUGUAGUGUGUAAGUUUAAUAUAUUAUCACCCCUCUCCUAUUGAGAUCUUAAAAAAAAUUGAACCGAAGGAAAACUUUAUUACUUGGCAAUUUGAUGGAUAUGUGGCAUGUGAAGAAUUGGAAUUCAAAUUAGAAUAUGACCAUUUGCAUAUGAGAUUCAUCAGCAACACAAAAGCAAACAACUCUCCCUUAACAAAACAGCAAGCAAGUUGAUAUGUUCAACAAAAAGCAACUCACAAAAGCUAAACCUACACGUACACUUUGGUCCUCUUUUUCACAGAGCCAAGCAUUAUUAUUACAAGGGGAACUUGUGGGUGCCGUAACCUCCAAAGGGGAUACGCUGGAACUGUGGUCUUAUGAAGACGAGCCCCAUCAUGAUCAAGACCAUGGAGAUGACGCGCGAUCACCAACCGCAGGAUCACUCUGUCCAUGGAUGACAUGGGAUUUCUUAGCACUAGCAGUCAAUUUUUCAGCUGCGUGCUCAGCUUUCGCCUCAUGAAGCUCCAUCUUUGCUUUUGCUUCUUUUGCUUUUCUUACUUCGCUAGCUAUUUCCCUUUGUUCUUCUGUUCUCGCCGUCGCCUUCUCCACCUACAAUUUUAAUACGUUACGUAUUUUCGAUUAAACGACGAAAAUCAAUAGAGAAACAAAAUUCUAAUACCUGAUCAAGAAGUGAAACACCAUAUCCAAUUAAAAUUUGCCCUAAACCCUAUGUGCAUCCGUAAAUAUUUGCUGCAUGGCUUACUUAGUGUAAUUUUAAUAAUAUGAAAAAAAAAAAAAAAAAAAAA
rnacentral:lncRNA from 1 species